rnacentral:lncRNA from 1 species
UGUAGAAAAGCAAAUCCGUGAAAAAUUUGAGUUCACAACAAAGAACAUUGCGUACAUUUACCAAGGAAAAGUGCUUAGCCUCCUAUCAGGACUUGAUCUUUCUUGCAACAAGCUAAUCGGUCCUAUUCCUCUUCAAAUUGGAAAUUUGACAAGGAUUCAAACAUUGAAUCUAUCACACAACAACUUGACAGGAUCGAUCCCAUCAACAUUUUCAAACUUGAAGUAUGUCGAAAGUUUGGAUCUUUCCAACAACAAAUUGAAUGGGAAAAUCCCUCAUCAACUAGUGGAGUUAAAGACAUUGGAGGUUUUCAGUGUGGCAUACAAUAACUUAUCAGGCGAAAUUCCAGAAUGGACUGCACAAUUUGCAACCUUCAAUGAGAGUAGCUAUGAGGGAAAUACUUUUCUUUGUGGAUUGCCAUUGCCCAUUUGCAGAUCACCAGCAACUAUGUCGGAGGCUUCAAUUGGCAAUGAACGAGAUGAUAAUUUAAUUGACAUGAACAGUUUCUUUAUCACAUUUACAACAUCGUACGUAAUUGUGAUAUUCGCAACUGUUAUUAUUUUAUAUGUAAAUUCUUAUUGGCGACGUAGAUGGUUUUACUUUGUUGAAAUGUGGAUAACUUCAUCUUACUAUUUUGUUGUAGACAAUCUUAUUCCAACAAGAUUUUGUCAUUGAAAUUAAUUAGUAGCUUAAUUACGAUUCUUUAAGUACUAAUCAAGUUUGCUUAGGAAAUAUUUUUUUAUUAAAAUUGUAGUAGUAUUUAGCAUUAUAUAGCUUCCAACUUCCAAGCACUUCACAUUUGUCUCUACACUUAAAAAACUGAGUAAUCAUGUUUUGCAGAUCUGUCCACCAUAACUUAUAGCUUCCCUAUACUGUGCAGCAUACUUAAAUAAGAGAACCAUCUCCAAUGUUAAAAGCAUUCACUCUAUAACAUUCAUUUAGAAACUAUAUUCAGAAUAAUUUUAUAAUUAAACACGAGAAAUGAAACACAUAGAUACACUUGAUCGCCUAUUUUACUCUAAAAAAGAACGAUUAUUGUGCUAUCAUCAUCUUCUUCACUAGCAACAUUAACACCAAAUCGAUGGACCCAUACAUUUCAUCAAGAAAGGUAUAUAUCCAAUAAAGUUGAAGCCUAACAAAAAAUUCAAGAAGAUUAAUGCCUCGCCACAACAAGGGGCACAACAACAUCAAAGUAGAGAUUAAGCAGUAUUCUCAAAGCUAAAACUCUCAAAUCCACCCACCAGAAUUUCAUAUCUCCUCAACAAUUUUAAGAACUAAAGAUAAUUAGGAUUUAACAUUAGUUUUUUAUAUAUUAGUUUCAUAAUUUACAAAUCAAUGAAGAUGAAGAUUAUGCUAAUAAAUUCAAAUUAUACCAUACAUUCUCUAGAUGUUACCAAAAAUUUCUAAGUCAAUCCCACAUAUUUCAUAAUUUUAAGACUAGAAAAUUUCACUAGUUAGAAGUUUCAUUACCUUCAAGUGGAAGAUAAAGAACAUUAUACAAGUGAUUCAGAUUAUAUCAUACAUACUCCAAAUGCAACUAGAAAUUAACAAGUUCAUGCGCACAUAUUUCAUAACAUUAUGAUUGAAAAGUUUCACAAAGAGAAAUUCUAAAUUCAAUCUCUUGCAUGAAGGCAGUUUGAUUGAUUUGAGUUACUUUCUUAUCAAGCUACUAAUAUAACAUUCAAGUCAGGGAGAAAAUAAAUUAAAACUGGGAAGAAAUAAUAGUAAAAAUUUGUUGCUCAACAUGAUGUGUAUUUUUUUUCAAGGCAAUUUGGAAACACAAUUGUUACUACAGAUAUUCUUCUCAACUUGGAGAUAAAUACAAAUAUUAAAAUGCAUAUGAUCGCACAUAUUACUUCGAGUUUAGUAAGAUUUCAUUAAAAGAAGCAAUCAAACCACUUAUCAAUUGUCGCAGUCGUUCUAUAAACUAAAAUAGCAAUAUAAUACAAGAAAAAGAACAUAUAGAUACUUGGCAAGAGUUCAUUAAGAAGUCGCAUCACAUUCGGGUGAGGAGUUUGCUUCUGAUAUCUUGCUAGCUGGGGCUUUUUCUUGUCUUUCUACGUAUGCCGAGGGAAACCAACCAGCUUGGCCCUUGCAUUCACCUUCCGACCAUCCAAUAGGAGCCACCUUGAGAAGUUAUAACUAAAACGGUGAAUUAAACAAAAGUUGACCGUUCAAAGACCUAAGGGGAAAACUAAUUCUUUUACGUAGGAGGAGUGAAUUAGUUGUGAUCACUGAAAUAACAGCAUAACUAUGGAAGCAUAACAAGAUAUAAAUUCACACGUCUAUAAGGAUAAACUGGGUGGUUCAGAACUGAGCUAGCAACCCUACUAUAUUCUGAUUUGCACUUCAAUGUAAAAGGGAAUAUAUGGUAGGAAGAAAGAAAACCAACCAUCAUUUGUUAACUCAUUGCUUUUCAAUCAAAAUUUUAAGAACAAAAUGCCAUGUGCUUUGAACAUCAAAUAAGUAUAAGCAUUAGUUCUAAAUUCCACAUAUCAUAAGUUGUUAGAAGGAUAAGUUAAUAGCAGAGUAGAAAAAUCUAUGUGUUGGUAUUUAGAGGGGAAAGUACCUGGCGAAUCACAACAUAAUCAUCAAUUGAAAGACUUAGCUCUCCAUUUGCUUGAGCAUCAAAUGGAUGUAUAACCUGCAAGAUAAUGGGAUAAAUAGAACUUAAAAAAAGCAUAACAAAAGCAGCAACAGUAGCAGCAACGUUCAUUGUAACCACUAUGAUCAUGGCCAACAAAGAUAUAUUAGAAACAAAAUUCCAUUUUUACUACGACAUUAAUAUGUACUAUACAAAUUCUAAUAAGUUCUGUAUAACUUUAUGUAGUUAUUUAAAUUAUGGAUCAGAUUUUAAAUUUGAAAUUUUGACUGCUCUCCACAAAACAUGGCCUAUGCACAAGAAAGUCAUAGAUAAUGAGGAUUACAAGUGUCCGGCAUCUUUUGAGUGAUGGAUUUAACAUGAGAGCUUAUGGUCAGUCAAUUUCCUCUGCCUAGCAAUAUAAGCUUUCUCGGCCAGAUUUAUCAUCAAAUACAUAGAUUGCCCCCAAGUCACAUCCAUAUAAACAUAGUUUUUCUAGGUAAACCAAGUAAGGAGUAUCAUAAUUCAGACAUAAUCAUAAAAAGGCCCAUCUAAAUUAAGAGAAAAUCUCAAAAAGAGGGAUGCUGAGCUAUCAGUCUUGUAUCUAUAAGCAAUAUCAAGACUUUACAUCACCUGCUACAUCGUGAGUGGCUACACAACUUUCAGUGGUUUGUCUUUCUUUGGCACGCCUAACUCAGCUUUGAUGUUAGUGAGAUAUUGAUAGUAGAGACACAUGAUACUUCUAGCUCAUGCAUUCUAUCUAACCCAUCCAACAACUAUCUCUUUUUUAAUUCAUUAGUGUUUGCUAAACCUCAUGCUUAAAAGUCCUAUUCUCCUUAGCACCACAGUUGGACACUUGUAGAGCAAUUUUAUUUGGGGGAAAAGAAUUUUCAAGGUGUUAACUAAUAAAUUUUAAAAAAUAAUUACAAUUUGUCCUACGAUCAUAUGACAAUUUAUCUGGGAUGAAAGGAUACAGAUAGACAUCUUCCACUUUCAAGACUAAUCACUACUUCCAUAGAUGUUGUGCAAUAAUACAAAUACUUGACCAGAUGGUAGUGAUGGUAGAAAAAAAUUUUAUUGCUCCAAAAUUAAAAUAAGAAUGCAAUAUGUUAAGCAAAAGGCUGUGCAACAUCAAAUUAAUUGAUAAGUUUGUAAUUCAGUAAAUUAACAACUUUCGUGGUAAAAUACAACAAAUUUCUUUUGAAAAAAAUAAAAAAAAUAAAUCUUAAAAGACAGCAUUCAAUUUUGUGCGCAUCUUAUUUCUUAAGAUUUUUCAGGAGGAGGGCAAUAGAGGGACUUUCACCUAUGCAAGAGAGCAGAAGCCUUACUUUCCCUAUAAAGUAGACGUCAUUCUGAUUAAUAUGCGUUUGCAAAUCAGCUCCGUUUGAAUCAGUAUUCUGAUAGACACACGAGCCAUUUACAUCCAUUUCCAAAGUCACAUGUUGCGAGGAGGACUCAUUUGAUUGCUCCUAUACGAUCAUCUAAUUCAAGUAGCAAGGGUUGGAAGAGAAUAAAAAGUCACAAUUAUUCUUUUGCAUAAGUGAGACGAAAAUGAUAAAUGCAAUAUUAUCAGCAGUAAACAAGAAGAGAACGCUCCAAGAAAUAGAUAGAUGCAGACAAGCAAGUUAAAAUGCAUAGUCCCAAACCUCCGCAUACAACUUCUCUAAAAUAGCAAUAACGUGUUGAUGCUAUGUUUUCUCAGCAUCUACCUGCAAAGGCCCGAGACCAGGAAAACAACAAUAAAACCACUAGCUGAAGGAGAAAGCAAAGAAAGAAAUACACUUGACAUAAAUCUUGACAAGAAGCACAAUUUAAGACAUAACAAACCCCAAUCAUAUUGUUUAGAACUACCAUUCGUUAUUUCGUUAUUGUAACAUUUCGAACAAGUGUUGACUUAAUUCAACAUUGUUGGAAAGAUGGGCUUUUAGAAGCAGAAGAAAGCCUCUCAAACCAAAGUGCUUGUCCUUGUAUUGAUCAAGGGAUGUAAACAUAUUACAUUUGCAGGAUGAGAUUUAAUCACUCCCCUGAUUUAUUUGGGUUGCAGUAAAACUAAGCGAGCAACUGUUUGACUUCCAAGCAACAGCUAAAUCAGCUAUUAAAAUUCAAAUAAAAUCAUAAUAGAAUAAUAACAGGCCAUCUUGCAUCAAAAAUUAAGUUUAAUUUGUGAAUUGUUUUCUAUAGACAUGUCAGUUUCUGCUAUUGAAAUGUUAAAAGCAUUGAAAAAUUAUUCAAUAAAUUAUGCAAGCAUUAAAAUAGAGGACAUAUUAAAAAGUUUCUAAUUACAAUGUUAAUAUUUCCUAUAUUCUAGCAUUUGCAUAUUUUAAUUUAUUUAAAAGCUACGUCGAUCAACUUUGGGCAUGAAGAUUUUAGCUUCUACGAGACUUGCUUGGAAUAUGCACAAGAGUGUUAAAAUAUGAUGCAUCCAACGAAAGACAAACCACGUGUAGUCUUUUAAUUAAGCCAAAGUAGCAGCUCAAACAAAUGACACUUGGACCAACAUGCAAUCAUGAAGUGGCCGGAAAAAGGACAAAUGCUACUUUGGCUUAAAUAAAAAAUAACAUGUGACUUGACUUUUGCUGGACAUGCAUCAUGUUAUUACAAGACAACAGAAAUCAGUAUGAUAGUACUAAAAGUUGACAAUAACAUGAAGAUAAGAGGCAGACUGUCAACACAUGCAUAGGCACACACAAGAAAGUAUUAACUUCUAUACCAUAGCAAAAAGUCUUUGAUAUGUCAUCUGUUGCUGCUGUGAUUCAACUGACAGCAUGGCAGCUGUUGCUUCUCUACCAAGAGCCAUUAUUGUAGAUUUAAGCUCCGUCUAUCUUGCUUCUGCAUUUCGAAGCUUCACAGCACUCUCUGCUGAUAUAUCAGAUUCCCUAAUCUUUGAUCGGCGCCUAAAUACUUCAGCUGCCUGGUGAAAAUAUUCAAUAUAAAUCUAACAUAAUUCUAAUCUUGCCUUAUACAUGCAUAUGUUACCUCAAAGCUUACCUGGGCUUCAACUUCAUGUCGAAGUUUGUCAUAACGAUGAGUCAGGUGUCGAGCAUCUUCCAAAGGUGUUCCGUUGAUUAACGCCCGUAGUGGCUCAGGUACCUACAUGUCCAAAAACCUGUAACAUAGUUAGAAAAAUGAAAAGAAAGAGCGAAACCUCAAUUAAAAAGUUCCUCCAACAUAAUCAUGGAAUUUGGGCCUACUUCAAGGAUAUAUAUAAGGAUAAUUUAUGCAAUUUUGGGUCUGAGGAUGAUUCAUAUUAGGUUAGUGUUCUUCUCUUCUGUAUUUAAGGUUAAAAUAGAAAUAAACCUAUGAAAAUAUCUAAAUUAGGGCUGUAAGACUUCCACAUGCAUCCUUCAGUCUCAUGGAUUUGAUUUUACUAUAGAUGCAAGUGUCUUUAAAGAAAAUGCUUGGAGUCAAUUGAGAGAACUCACGGCCAAAAACUUGUCACACGCUAGUCUUUGCUAGUGAUGUAAGAAGUCACAGGGUCUCUUCAACAUUUGAACCAAUAAAAUUAUUAAGUCAUGGAUGUCACUAGCAAUGAUUUUAAUAUAAAACAUUAAAUAUUUCAGAGUUGUAACUUUAAAAUGGAUUCUUUUAUUCAAUAUCAUAGAACUAAGUUUCCUUAUGAGAAGAUAAUAGUUUCGAUAAUAAUUUUACAUAUAAUUUUCUAUAUUUGAAUUAUUUUCUAGUUAGGGAUGAACUAACCUGAUCACGAAGAAUCCCGAGCAAAGUUUCCCUCUCAUUUUCCAUCAAAUCAUGUGAAGUGCCAAAUUGAAGAGCAGCUCUUGCAACGCAAGAAUUGUCACUUUGAUUCUCUGCUCCAUACUUGCAACAAUCUUCAGCCAACUUUCUCGCUACAAUAUUUGAAUACAAAAAUAUUGUACACAAGAACUAUAAAAAACUAAUGAAAAAUGCCAAGAUGGAGCAGAUGCUUCAAUACUGCCCGUACAAACCAUAAAAAACUAAUGAAAAAUAAAUAAAAUCAAGAAAUUUUACUAAUUAAAAGUCUAAAUAUAAUUUUGAAAAAAGAAAAGAAACGGACUUGCUGCUGCUUGGCGACUUGUUCUCGGAGCUUGAUUGCUUGUUUCUUGAUAGCUUCCAUACUGUUUCUUUCAAAAAGCGACGACGGCUCAGCUCAUGGAAGUGGAAAAAAAAAGUGUGAUCGAGAAAAAUGAAAAGGCGUGAAUAAUUUUUGACAAAAAGCGAAAAUCAAGGAAAGCCGGCUCUUUCCAGAAAAUAAAAAAAGAAAAAAGAAAAUCAUAAGUUUGAAAGGAGAAGAUGAUAGUGGAAGUAUGCAGUGUGGCUGCCAGGUACUUGGAUUGUAUUGUCGGGUAAGGUAAAAGUGGAGAAUUAUAAGUUUGAACAGAGCAUGUUGGACUUUUGUUGACCAAAUUCAAAAGCCCAAUGGGACGGUCCAGAAGCUUUUGAAUAGAAAAACUUGCUAGAAAGCAUCAGUUUAAAUCACUACUUAAACGCUUGCUUUAACUGCACCGCUUUGUACUGUUUUAUGUAUGUAGCGGUUGUGCGGUUGUAAUUCACGGCUGACGCUACGUGUUUGUUUGUACUGUUCUAUUCGGUGACAGAGUAUUAUUAGUUAGGCCAAAACUAUGUUGCAACAGUGGUACAAUAGCACUGUUGUUUUCAGUCAUUAGAUCUAUAGUUGUACAGUUGCAUUAACAAGAUCCAAUGGUUGAAAACAACAGUGGUACCGAACUACUGUUGCAACAUAGCUGGACCCUAUUAGUUAUUUCAAAGGGAUAAAUAAGAUUGGUUACAACAAACCUACUAAUUUUAUAAAAUUCAAGUAAUAUAGAAUAAAAUAAAAAAAUAAAUACAAAAUUGACUUUUAUUUUUUAUGGUUGACUAUAUUUUGUGUUCUCUUCGGGCACUGCUACAAUUCUUCCCUAUAUAUCAAUUACACCACAUACUAUCGACACAAGAAAUGAAAUCUAAUAUCACCUAUUUAGUUAAAAAAUCACUCAUGAAAAAAUUUUACCAUUUUGAUUUGAGGAUCCAUAUUUUGAACUACAAGCUAAUGUUCAUCAAGAAUCACUGAUGGCCGUUGAGUAGAAAAAUUAUUUUUGGACAAAUUAUUUUUGUUGAUAGAAGAAUUUCUUUAGGGACUACUAAAUUAUUAAUAAAAAUAUCGAACACACCCAAAUAUCAUCGACACAAUUGAUUUUGAGGAUCCAUGCUUUGAACUGCCGCCUAAUGUUCAUCAAGAAUAGAGUAUGGCUUGUGAGUAUAAAAUUUUCUUAUUUUGGCCCGAAAUAAAAAAAAAUUAAAUUGGAUGAGAAUCUGCCACUUUCUCAUGAAGAAAGGCAUACGGAGCAUACCAUGGUACCAUACAAUAUAAGGAGCCUCCGUUCUUUGGUUUUUCAAACUCUGAAGGGGCCAAUAUUGCCAAAUUCCCCCUUGAAAAUUCUGAUUACGACAUUAUUCAUCGCUUGAUGCAAUCAAAGUAGUGACAAAGUAAUUGCUAGGCAAGGUUGCUGAGAGCAAAAUUGUCCUAAGCAUUAUAUGCAUACAUGGUGCGGUACAUAGAGCACGUUGAAUUCCCCACUAUAACACAAAUCCAGAAAGACAAGUAAUAACUCAACUGAUAUAAAGACAAAAAGAAGAUAAAAUGAUAUAGAACAAAGAAUUUCAAAGAGACAGCAACAUACGAUAGACUGAAGCCACUUGAUCUGCUCAUUGAUUGCAGCCUUAAACUUGCAAAUAGUUACUGUACGCUAGUGCUCUAAGAAGUGAAAAUGAUGCAAGCCCUGAUUCCCUUUUGACUUCCAUUUACUGUCAAACAUUCUAGUAAUACAAAAAAUUGUUUAGAUAUCUUGCUAUAAAUAUAGCCGUUUGACUGUCAUAAUAAAGUCACAAAUAACCAUUCAUAUUGAUCUACUAUCACACAGCAUGCUUUAUGCAUACAACAGCUGUAUGUAUACCAACUCCUAACCUUAUCAACACAUUUGGCAAAAACUUAGGAAGAAAACUAUUUCUCCAUCUCUUUUUUGAAAUUUCACAAUAACCAGCACAAUGUGAAAGCUAUGUUCUAACCUUAUGAUAAAUGCUCCAGACUCCAAAAGGAUUUUAUAUAUGAGAGUUUGUUGCAGCAGAUAUAUUGACUUAUCAAGUAUGAAUCAUUGUCUGGAUGAACUAUCUUUAGAUAAAAGAAUAUUAGAACCACUGUAGAAUAUCUUUACGCUGCUGGUUCUAACAGGAAUCUGCAUGUGGCAACAAUUGCUAGAUCCACAACUCCCCAACUUGAAAUACAUAGUUGCACACCAUGAGAUAGUGCUACAAUCUACUGAGAUCUAACUUAUAUGGUACUUUAAGCUACUAAUGUUUGCAUAUUUCUACAUGUUAAAUUAACACUAUUAUCUAUAAUCACUCCAAAACAACAAAUGAUAAGCAACUUUUGGCCACUUAUUACUAGCAUCCACAAUUAUAAAUAAGAGAUCAUGGGUUUACUUGUUGCACCUACUUAAUUAUCUGCAGUUGACAUCCUGACGCAAGGUUUAAAUAGUGACUGCUUAGAACCCUUGUAGUUGGAUCUUGACCUCUCCCAUUGUAGCCAAGAUUGGUUACUCUGGUAAUGAAUCAACACUCUCCUGCUCAGGGCCAUGAAGAUCUGAAAGCUCAGCACUAGUGGAGAACUUCAUCAAUCUCUUCUUCUCAGCAUACUUGAGACAAGGCUGCCUUACGAGACCAAUCACCAUAGCACCAACGCUUAAAACUGCAACUUUUAAAGAAGAAAGAGCCAACACAACACAACACAACACAAAUCAAUAUGGUUGGAGGAAUACACAUGAUAAUGGCUCCAACAGUGACAGUGGGUAUCUUGUAGGGACGAGAUGCAGCAGGAUAUUGCAUCCUUAACCAUACAAAUGCUAUGAACUCCAUAAUCAUUCCAAAACAGUACAGGAAGUUCUCUGCAGCUACAAUAUCUCAAAAGCUCAGCCAUGAUAGCAAAACCACACCGGAUGCUGAGAAUAUGAUUCCAAUCAAAGGAGUCCCAUAACAAGACCUCUUAGCAAAAAACUCAGGUAGCGUUCCACGCUCAGCCAUCCCCAAAAGUUGGAAAGAGUCGCUGCUCAUCUCAGCCACAAACAUGCCCAUAUUGGACAUUGCUGCAGCCCCCUGGAUGCACCAUCUCAACCAAACUCCUCCAAGCACUUUAGCGAUAUCUGAAAAGUAACCAUCGGUCCACAAGUCGCGAUCUAAUGGAAUAGCUCCAGUUCCAACUAGAAGGGGAAAGAAAUAUCCAAAAACGACCAAGAUCAAAGCAUAAAACAAAGCCUUUGGAAGAGUCUUCUUUGGGUUAUCCACCUCUCCAGCUAGUUUACUUAUUGAGUCCCAGUAGUUGGAGAUUCCAAAACAGGGUGUUCAAAUACAAAUUCCAGUCCACUUCACCUAAAUUUACUACAAGCCAUCUUGAAGGCUCUAACUUGGGAAGGGACACAAGUCCCAUAACCACAAAAGGAAGGAAUGAGAAAAUCUCUAAAAGAACAGCAGCCCAUCCCACAAUGGUUAGACCCCUAUAGUUCAUGAAAGUGAGAACAAAAGUCAAAGCUAACGCCGCAAAGGCUCUAGGUAACCCAUCGCCCAAAGCAGGGAUAUACCAGACUUCAAGUAGUCAAGAAACAGAACUGGGUAUAAAGCAUUAUCAAUAACCCCACUUAGCCAUUUCAUCCAAACUUGCUGAAAACCCCAAUAUGGGCCUAAGGCAGAUGAAACCCAAACCACAUAACCACAAUUUUCAGGAAACACGGUACCCAUCUCGGCAGUAAUUAAAGCUUCAGGGACACUCCAUAUAAUCGGAAACACCAAGAAACCAAGAAGUGCUAAAAGAGGACCAGCUGCCUUUACACUAUCCUCAACACCAAACGCCCCCCCAGAAACCUCAUAGAAUAUAAGGAAAAUAAGUGGCAAGAUUGAUACUUUUUUAGCGCCAUGGACUCUAGGAGAAGAUGGUUGGUCAUUGAUAUUAACAUAUUCAACAGCAUCAGACUGCCCCAUUUCUACUGAAAGUUGCCUAUUCACAGUGUUCCUCAAUUUCUGCAUCAAGUUUAAGCAUAACUAUCAAAAGGGUAUCGGCAUCUAAAUUAUGAAACAAAAUGAGCAUUUACUUAUUAAAAAAAUUCAAAAAAACAGAAAUGGAUUUCACAGAACACAUGAAUUUAAGUUCAACAUUAAACAGGCGCUUAAGAAAACAAAAGGGUCUGGUCGUAAAGCCAUCAGAUUGCAAGAUUGAACAACAUUAACGGAAUCAAUAGAAUCGAUGUAAAGAGAUCUGAAAAGAAAAUAAAAUAAAAGAUGAAGAGGGAUAAAACGACCCAUCAAAUAAGUGCAUGCAGAGCAGAGAGGCAGAUACUAGAGAAGCUCCGUCAUGUUAGAGAGAGCCUAAAUCAAUCAGAGCUCACUGAGUUUCUUUUCAACUGACCGGCAGAUUUGGAGUAGCAUAACAUAAUAUUUUUGCUUUUAAUUUUCGGAACACUUUUGAAUGGAAUUUUUUGUUUUUCAAAACUAACGAAAUCGUAAAAAUAAAUAAACACGUGUUUGGUUUUGGGCUUCUUCUUUUGUUCAUUUAAUAUCAUUUGGUUCCCUGAUUUUUGACUAAUUAUCAACGGUAUCCUGUUAGUUUCCAAAUUGAAAUAAUAUUAGGUCAUGAGAUUAUUUACUCCAUUUAGCAAUGUAGACUUAAUAGUGUAUUGAAAAAGCUUUGUCAAAUAGUAGUAAUAGGGGCAUAAGAAAUAAGUUCUUCAGAAUUUAGAUAAUAUACUUGGCUCUAGGAAGAUUCCCCUCUUAUCACUCAAGUUAGGCUUUUACCUUAGAGUUGAGUAAAUUAUUAAAAUAAAUUAUAGCUAUCACAAAUUCGUCAGGAGACUUUCAAUUUUUUUCCAUCAAAUGGCAAUGAGGCAAAAUUACCUCAACUUAUAUUUCAAAACUAAUACUUCAAAUUCUGACAAUAAAUUUGAUGACAGUCAAUUUUAUGUAUAGUAAUUUUGACUCUUUUGUUUGGUCUAAAAGUAAUUAUUUAAAAUGACAAUAUAACUUAUUUAGAAGAAAUGGUAAACUUAUAGUUCGUAAUAUUAUUUACACAAAUAAUAAAGACUAAUUUGAUAAUAAUCUUUCAAAUAAUAAUGAAGUGUUAAUUACUAUUUAACAUUUUUGAUUAAUUUCUAAAUUUAAAACAAAUAUGAAAGUUGAUUGCUUUGAAGGUUGGAUCGUGACAAAUUGACAAAUGAAAAGAGAAGUAGAGAAUAUAUAUUCUGAUGAAAGGGACAAGAUUCAGCAAGGGGACAAUAUUCUCUAUUGGACCGACAAAUGGGGGAAAAGAAUAUAUAUAUAUAUAUAAUUUCUUAUUUGUGGAUUGGCCAACACGUGUAACAAAUAUGAAAAGAUAAAAUUUGGCGUGGUUUUAACCGAUAUAAGACAAGAAGAACAAAGCAAAGCCCAUGAAAAUUCACCUUUCAUGUGGGUUGGAUCGGAUAAAAUCAAUAUCUUGAAUCAAACAAAAUGUUUGGUACAUAAAGUUUUUUUUUUUUACAUGAUAUUAGAUUUUUAUCCCUCGAAUUUUUACAUGAUAUUAGAUUUUUAACCCUCACUAAUAUUCGAGAGAUAUCUACUCCUCAUUUUUGGGUAAGGGAGAAGACUACCUUCACUCAAUUAUAAUUAAGGAAUGAAAUACCCCCACAUUACACUUGUAGGGGUUCAAACUGUUGCCCUCCAACUUGGAGUGCAGCAGCGCUGACCACUCGGCCAAAGUCCGAGUGGCUGGUACAUGAAGGUUUUGAGUGUGUGUAAUGAGCCAAAAUUUACAUAAGGAUAUUUUAGUAAAUAUAAGAAAAAAAGGCUCAGGGAAUGGCCUAUAGAUAGAAGCACGCAGCCCAUGAGUGAUGAGAAUACAAUUUAACUGUUCAAACUAAUUAGAAGCAAAUUCUUUCAUAUCUUUCUUUAAUUUUUCCGCUUAGUUCCUUAGCAUCCAAUCAAGUUCAAGUUAAAACACUGUUGAGACAACAAUAUGCAGGCAUCAAUAAGCAUAGUAGUUUUUUAUAUGUAUUCUAUACGACAAUUAUAGAACUUUUUGCAGCAACUUUUUUUCAUUAACUAAUGUUUGAAGAACUUGUUAAAAAAAAUGGUAAAUUUAUAAUUUUGAAAAAAAAGAAAGAAAGUGACGUUACCUCAUCGUCAUUAGAGACUUGUUGCAAUGAUAGCUCAAAAUUAAAAUUUUUGAAGAAUUAGUAGACGACGAUGAUGUAAUAUUUAUACAGUCACCAACAUGUUGAUUUUUGUUUAAUGUUUGAUCGAUAGAAACGCUUGUCGUCGUCGCUGUUGUUGAAUUCAUACAUAGAACACAGAAGAGAAGGAGGGAGGAAAGGGAAGAGAAGAAGAGAGAAGUGGCAUAUAGCAAAUAUGAUAUGCUAGCUGCAUACCAGCCUUAGAGAGAUUUUUUUUAAUAUUUAUUAUAUUUUUGUUUUUGUUAUUGGUUUGUCAUAUGCUUCCAGGGAAGCAAUACGUUACAUCAUAAAUUGCACCUUUUAGGGGAGGUGGUAAAAAACGUGAGAGCACUACGCUCCAGCGCAUACAUAUAGAAAGAGUUUUCGAAUUUUAAAAAGUUUCUUUAUUUCUUCCAUGUUUUUGUGCUUAAAAUAAAAUUUAAUUGUAUUUUGCAUUAACUUAGAAAAGAAAAGCCAGUUCUAUAUAUAAACUCAUGCAUUAAUUAGAAGAGUUGAACUAUUGGCACCCCUCUAUAAUCUUUAUAAAAUUCCUCUCCUAUUGUAAUUACAUUAAAGGACAAAAUAAAUCUAAUUAUAUCAUUAUAUUUCUCUUUUCAACUCUUUACACCCGUGCAACUACACCAAAGUCUUUUACAAUUUUUGUUUCCUCACAAACAACUUUUUCUUGAGAGAUUUACAAAACUUAUUUUUAAUUUUAAAAAAUAAAUAAUAGUUAUUUGAGUCCACUUUAAUUUACAAAACUUUCUAAUAAUAAGUUUUGUAGACUUAUUUUUCAUUUACAAAACUUUCUGAACUUAUUUUUAUUUUUAAAAAAUAAAUAAUAGCUAUUUGAGUCCACUUUAAUUCUACUUAAUUCAUACAUGUAUUUGAUUUUUUUGAGUAAAAUAUGUAUGAUUUAAUAAUUCAAAAAUUUAUAAAAACAAUAUUUGUAAUUGGAGUUAUUUGGAAGAAACUGAAUUGUUUUUCUUUUUGAAUAAAAAAAAGCUGAAAAAAGAAAAAGGAUAUUUUAGGAAUUAAAAUAGAUUUUGAUAGAAAAGGGGUUUGAACAGAAAAUUACAGGGUGCUAAUAGUCCCACUCUAAUUAAAAAAUGAGUUCAUGUGGAUGCAAAUGUACAAUAAAAGAGAUUCUCUUUUGUAUAUUGGAAGUAACAUAACUAGUGAGUAUAAUAUGUAAAUACAAGUUACCAAGAAUUUGCACUAGUGCUAAUUAAUGGCACAACUUUUGAGCUAUGAAUUUCUUCUUGAUAGUUUAAUUAUAUUUUUGAGUUUUCGGUAAACCUAUUUUAAUAAUUAUUAAAUUAUUUUCACUUCUUACGCCUUAAUAAAAAAAAAUCAAUAUUUUCUGGUCUAUUCUAUAUUUUGAAACUUAAUUUUUAAUUCUUUAUAUUGCAAACCAAACUAAGUCAAACAGAGUAUGCUCUUCAAAGAAUUUUUCCAUUGGCCAUUGCCUUCAAGAAGAUUUUAUUUUAUUUUUAUAUAUUAAUUUAACAUUUUUCCGUGCACUUGUAAACCGGGCCGUCGGAUUCCACAUAAAGCAAAUGAUCAAACCGUUACAAGACCGACCCGGACCCACUGACUCUCAUUUUCUUUCAUUUGACCAUUAAAAGCUUUUGACCACCCCCGCCAAAUAAAUAAAUAAGCUCUUGUUCUCUUUUGUUCCUUCUUAAAGGAAAAUAUAUCUGAUCACCAGAUAAUGAUUCCGGUGUCACAAAAUAUCAAGACAACCCCUAAAUUCCCUUAAAUUUACGAUAACACCCCACCAUGGAUGAUUCCGUUGAAAUGCCGCCUUACGAUGAAAGGCCUUAGAAGGGUUUUAACUUCACACCCAUGCGCUUGAUCUUAACCCUCAUUUUCCCAAUUUUAACUUUCUUUUCGUUGGCAUUUUUGAUCGAGAUCGUUACUGUUUUAUUCGGCGAAUCAUCAGUUUCGAGUUCCAUUUUUGUCCCUUCCCAGUGCAAGAUAGUGCCAGCAGUAAGCUUUUUUAAAAUUUUCAAUUUUUUUCCAUUUAUGAAGCUCAAAAAUUUUAUUAAUUUUUGAAUUUUUUUUGAAUGAUUUUGCAGGUGUUGAUAUAAGGUCAUCAAAGGUUUGUGAACUUGGAGUGUUGAAUUAUAAGGCGAAGCGUGUGUUUUAUCCAUUUGAAGCAAGUAAAUUUCGCCGUCGAUAUGAUUACUAUUGGGCUUCUAUCUUCAAGGUAUUCAUACAUUUUCUCAACUUUAAUUACUUACCUGUACUAUUAGCUUCUUAGUGGCGGUCUUGUUUUGUGUUUUUGAUGAAUGUGUUUAAGGGUCAGUUUGGGAAUGCUGGUAAUAGGAUGUUGUUAGUGUUUGGCAGUAAAUUUGCUAUGCAUAAUUCAGCAAUGUGCUUGAUUUUGGUUAUUGUCUUUAACAAUUUUUAGGUAGAGUACUUAGAUCAUUCACUGGGACAAACGCAGAGCUUGGUUGACCAAAGAUAAGUUCCAGGCUGGGGUCGGCAAUGCAGAGCUUCUGCGUGUAUUAAAAUUUGAAGCCUAGUAAAUGAAUUUCUAAUUUAUUUAUAGUGUUUGUUUUAUCUUGAUAGAAAUGAAUGCUAACUCAAGAUUUUCCCAACUUUGAUUACUUACCUGUACUAUAAGCUUCUUAGUGGCGGUCUUGUGAGCGGUGUGGCUGACAGCUUCUUGAAAAUUAUAAGUUUGAACAGAGCAUGCUAGACUUUUGUUGACCAAAUUCGAAAGCCAAAUGGCACAGCUCAGAACCUUUUGAAUUGAAUAACUUACUAGAAAGCUCCAAUUUUUUGUUGGCUACGGUAAAAGGAUGUUGUUUUAUUCUUCUUAUACUUUACGCUUGCAUCAGCUUAAAUCACUUCUUAAACGCUUUGCUUUAACUCCACCGCUUCAUACUGUUCUAUAUAUGUAUCGGGUAUGCGGUUGUAGUUCACUGCUGAGACUACGUGUUUGUUUGACGUGGUAAUUACGUUACGAGUCUGUUAAACAUUCGGUGAUUAAAGUAUUAUCAGUUAUUUCGAGGGGACAAAAAAGAUUAGUUACAACACACCCACUAGUUUUAUAAAAUUUGAAUAAGAUGGAAUAAAAUAAAAAAAUAAAUAAGUAAAUUGACUUUUAAUUUAGUGGUUGAAUAUAUUUUGUAUUCUCUCGGGGUACUGCUGUAAUUGUUCCUUAAAUGUCAGUCACACCCACAUGUUACAGACACAAGAAAUGGAAUCUAAGAUCACCUGUUUAAUUAAAGAAUCACUCAUGAAAAAAUUUUGCCAUUUUGAUUUGAGGAUCCACAUUUUGAACAACCAACUUAUCUUCAUCAAGAACAGAUCAUGGCCUGUGAGUAGAAAGAUUAUUUUUGGACAAAUUAUUUUUGUUAAUAGAAGAAUUUCUCAAGGGACUAUUAAAAUUACUAAUAAAAAUGUCAGACACACCCACGUACCAUCGACACAAUUGACUAUGAGGAUCCAUGUUUUGAACUGCCACUUAAUGUUCAUUAAGAACAGAGUAUGGCUUGUGAGAAGAAAAUUUUCUGAUUUUGGCCUGGAACAAAAAAAAAUUAAAUUGAAGGAGAAUCUGGUACUUUCUCAUUAAGAAAGGCAGACGGGGCAUACUAUGGUACCAUAAAAUACGAAAAGUCUCCAUUCUCUAGCUUUUUAAACUCUGAAGGGGGCAAUAUUCCCCAAUUACCCCGUGAAAAUUCUGAUUACGACAUUACUCAUCGGUUGAUACAUAAGUACAAGUACUGACAAAAUUAGGAAAAAUAUGACUCAUAAGUAAUUACUAGGCAGGGCUCUUGAGAGCAACAUUAUACUAGGCUUUAUAUGCAUACAUGGUGUGGUACAUAGAGCACGUUGAAUUCCACACUAUAACACAAACCCAGAAAGACAAGUAAUAUCUCAACUGAUAUAAAGACAAAAAGAAAAUAAAAUGAUAUAGAAAAAAGAAUUUCUAAGAGACAGCAACAUACAAUAGACUGAAGCCAGUUGAUCUGCUCAUUGAUUGCAGCCUUAAACUUGCAAAUGUUUACUGUAGCCUGGUGCUCUAAGAAGUGAAAAUGAUGCAAACCUUGAUUCCCUGUUUACUUCCAUUUACCAUCAAACAUUCUAUUCAUAAGAAAAAAAAUCUUUAGAUAUCUUGCCGUAAAUAUAGCCAUUUGAUUGUCUUAAUAAAGCCACACACAACCAUUCAUAUUGAUCCACAUUGCCACAUAGCCUGAUUUAAGCAUACAACAGCUGAAUGUAUACUGACUCCUAACCUUAUCAAUACAUUGGCGACAACUUAAGAAAAAAACUAUUUCUCCAUCUCUUUUUUGAAAUUUCACAAUAAAACAGCACAAUGUAAGAGCUGGAAUGAAAAUGGACCGUUUGGAACUAUGGCGGAAGCUUCAACUAGUGUAGUGAGUUGACCUUCUUAUUAACCUAGCGAGAUCAAACACUGCCCUUGAUCUUGAACAUAUCAAUACGAUACGCACAACUUAUGAUUGAAUCCAGAAACAAUCAAAUCUUUAGCAAGAAUAAUUAAUCAGAAUCAAGAAACAAGUUUAAUGAAUAUAAACCUAUAAUUGGAACAAACACAGCCAAAGAACCCAAGAAUGACACAACGAACACCAAGGGAGAAGCUUUCCAGUGAGAUUAUAUUAAUGAUCAAAGAAGAAUCUUUUUACAAAGAUAACAAAAGAGAUUUCAGAGAAUAAGCUAUGACCCUCUCUCUCUUCAAUCUCUGUCUAGUUUGUUAACAGUGAUGACCCCAAUCUGCUUCGUUAGCCAGCUUCAUAACUGCGUCAGUGACAAACUAGCAAACCCAGAUUGAGCAGACUAACGACACGUGCAUAACGGCUUUAACGAACUUGGUUAAAGAACUGCUCACAUGUUCGUCACGCGUGUUGCUUAAAUGAUAGCCAAAACGACUUCAACCAAAUGCCGUUUUGAAGCUUAUGAAUUAUAAGUGAAAACACGUGCUUGUCUCGUGACAUUUAAAUGCAACAACAAGCCCAAAACACUGCCGGUUCACUAUGUUGAGUUUGCCAUCUCUAAGCUUCACAACUAGCAGCGGACAAGAUGAUAAUUUAAUUGACAUGGAGAGCUUUUAUAUCACUUUUACAACAUUCUAUAUAAUUGUGAUAUUGGGAAUCGUCGGUGUUGUAUAUGUGAACCCUCGUUGGCGACACUGGUGGUUUUAUCUUUAUUGAAAUAUGGAUGACUUUUCGUUACUAUUUUGUUGUACAUAACAUUAUUCUCAGGAGAUUUAAUCAUUGAAAUUAACAUGUUAGUUUCAUUAGAAGGCUGAGUGGUUAGGGCUGCUACCCUCCAACUUGGAGGGCAAUAGUUUGAACCCACAAGCGCAGUGUGGGGGUAUUUCAUUCUUUAAUUACAUUGUAUAAUUGAAUAAAGAUAAUAUUCUCUCUUACCCAAGUGUGAGUGGAGUAGACAUCCUUCGAAUAUUAGCGAGGGUUAAAACUUGGGCAGAGCUCAAUAAGUAUUGAUGUAAGUUGGUCCUAAUAAUAGUCUGAUUUGUAAAUAUCAGUUAUAGUCUCAUGUUUCCUUCCUUAAUUAUAUUGUAUAAUUAAGUAAAUGUACUCUUUUCUCUUACCCAAGUGUGAGUGGAGUAAACAUCCCUCGAAUAUUAGUGAGGGUUAAAAUCUGGGUAGAGCUCCAUAAGUAUUGAUGUAAUUUGAUCCUAAUAAUAGUAUGAUUUGUAAAUAUCAGUUAUAUUAUCAUGUAAUAUGAGUUGUAAUUUGAGUAAUAAUUUCAUGUAAUUACAAAAAAAAUGUUACUUUCAUUACUUUUUUCUUCGUUAAAAUUCUCAAGUAUCAAUUAUGUUUGCUUAAGAAAUAAAAUUUCGUUAUGAAAAUUGUAGCAGUAUUUCCGAGCACCUCACAUUUUCAAUGAUUUUUCAUAAAUCAAUUAAUCUGCCAUACCAAUAUCAGGUUUAGUUUUUCAGACUAAAUGAUCAAGAAAGCAAACAUACAAAUUCACAUUUUAGAGGGGUAAACUAGCUUUUAGAUUUUAGAACUAGGCUAGCUACCUCACCAAAUUCCAAUCUGUACAGUGAACUACAAGAUUAAGAAAAUAAUGUAUUUAUAGUUUAAUUGAAUCAUGAGAAAACAAUGUAGUCAUAGCUCAAUCGGACAUGAUCACGGAGAGGCAUAUUCUUUUCAAGUUAAUUUGAUCCAUUUAUAAGAAAUGAAGUGGAUUGAAGUUAAAAGUUCAAAUAACAAAUCCUUGUUCUUGAGUUUUACGACGUCGUUACUCCUUCAAGAGGCUGAUUAUGCAAGUGAAUGCGGAAACAGAAUGCAUUAUCCACGGGGAUGAUAAAUCAAAAGGCGGGAUCAUAGUCUAUGCCCGCAGAUUAACAAUUUCACUCAUAUAGAAAAUUAAUUUUUUUAUAUAUACUAAUCAACACUAGAUUGAUUAUGUUUUGUAUGUUUAUAUGCUAAUCAACAAUAAAUUAUAUUAAAUGAAGAAAUGCUUCAAAUUUUUCUAAUUUAAUUUAGAAAAUCAAUUAUUAACAUUAAUAUUCCUAAUAAAAAUUAUUUUCCAUCGGUAUUCAAAAUUUUCACUUAUAGAAAAUGUGUUUUACGUGAAUACAAGUUAUUGUGUAAAUUUGAAUGAUAGCGAAAAAUAAUUUUUUUAAUUAUUGUAAAAAUAAUUAACCAUAACAAAUCCCUUGUGUAAAUAAUAAUCAUUAUUUAAAAGGUAGAAAGAUGGUUAGUGCACAAUCAAAUUUUAAGCCCCUACCUCCUCGGCCCAAGAUUCAAACUUAGAUGAUCAGCCAAAUAAAAUUAUUUGAAAAUCAUUCAAUCAGGUUCUCGGGGAAAAAAUACAAGAUCCGUAUUUGCAUGAUAUAUAUGAAUUAAUGUAAUUUAUUUGAAUUAUCCAAAUUCAUUAGAGAUAAAACUAUAAAAGAUACCAAAAAAGUUAGAAGGAAGGGUGUGCUGGGAUAUUUUACAAACUAUAGGAAUCUGGUGAGAUUUUGAGCCAAACUGUAGGGAGUUGAAGGCAUUUGCCCAAUAUGUUUAGACGUACACUAACCGUUAUUUGAUCUUGUUGUUGGUCAUGUGAACUAAGAUGUAAAUUAAAGAAAAAGUAUAAAAUUAAAAAAAGAUAAGAUUUCUAAAAUGUGUGGAAGGUGAUUCAUGAUUCACUAAAAUUACUUGCCCCACAUAUAAAGGUAAACAUGUCUAAUUUCAUUAAAAAUAGGUGGAAAAAAUUAACUAAUAGAAAGCUACGGAAAUUAACCCCCACAAAAAUGACUUUUUAUAGAAGAAUUUAUGUUUUUUAAAAUAUGUUAUCAAAGUGUAUUUGAUCAAAUCUCAAUUGCUUAGUAUGGUUAGGAUUUUGUGAACAUAACUAAAAAGUGAAAAAUAUGAAUGAUAGGGGUGAUGCUUGCAAUAUGAAUAAAUAAUGGACUGAUUCAAUUGAUGAUUAAAUUUAUAUAUUAUUGAUUAUUUAUGAAUUUUCAGACUUGUUAUGAUGUAUAACUAUGUGAUUUUGAAACUUGAAACCGUGGCAAACAUUGAAAGGAAUUAUAACUUGAAAUCAUGACUCACGGGGUAUGUCAUGAUUCACGUGCACAAAAAAGGUAGAAUUGUGGAAAUUUACAACCCAACGACAAGUACGGAAAGAAAGGAAGAAAAUUAAAAGACUUCGGGCCUAGCCUGCGUGUAUUAAUUAUUAGAUUACUUUUUUUUAUAAGGGUAAUCAUCAAUUUACUCCAUAACAAUCUUUAAUUCAUUUCUUAAAAAUAUCAAAACUUUAAUUUAUCUUUUAAACAUCGUUACCUCUCUAUUGGUUUUAACAGUUCAAAGGGUAAAAUUAUAUUUGCAUAUUUUCUUGACCGCCAACUAAAUGAUAAAACUCAAAAUUCAAUCUUGUUAUCUUGUUUCAAUCCUCUAUCAAUCAAAUAAGAUUUCUAAAAUAUGUGGAAGAUAUUGCAUGAUUUCCUCAACCUACCUGGCCCGAACAUCAAGGUAAAUAUCUCUAAAAUAGUUGAUUAAAUCUCAGUUGCUAAGUAUAGUUAGGAUUGUGUGAACAUCACUGAAAACUAUGAUUGAUAGAAGUGAUCUUUGCAAUAUGAAUAAAUAAUUAACUGAAUCAAUUGAUUUAUAUAUUAAAGUUUAUGAAUUUUCGGGCUUGUUGCGAUAUAAUAAUAGCAUAUGAUUUUGAAACUUGAAACAGUGGUAAAUAUUGAAAGGAAUUAAUUUGAAAGCAUGAUCCGUGGGGAAUGUGAUGAAUCGUGUUUACAAAAAAGGUAGAAUUGUGGAAAUUUAUAACAGAACGAUAAAUAUGGUAAAAAGGAAGAAAAUUGAAAGACUUGGGGCCUGGCCUGGGUGUAUUUUCUAACUAUCCAAUGGACAAAAUUAUAUUUCUAUACUUUCUCUUACCUAAGUUUCAUAGAAUAGCUCAUUUCAUUUUUAUUUUUUAAAUAAUAGCCCAAAAUAUCAUUAUGUUAACUCAUUAUUAGUUGAAUGGCGUUUGUUAGUAAUUCAUUAAGGGUAAAAAAUGAUUUUCUAUCAAAGAGAAAAUUAGAAAAAUAAAUAAAAAUUGAUAUAUAACUAAAAAUUAUUUUAUCUAAUCCCACUAAAUAAGAAAUGCCAAAAAAGAUGAAAAAAUUAUAUUUCAAGCAAUUCUUUUUUCACUUAUUUCUAUUUUGGCAACAUGAAAGCCCUAUAAACCCUAGAUCUAAGUACCAAAAAUAUCACAAUUUUCUUAUUCAUAUAAGUAUACUCUCUAAUUGCAUUGUAAAAUGGCUUGAAUUGAAUUGAAGAUAAAGAAGAUAUUCAGCACAUGCAAGCACAUAAAAAUUGGUGGCAUUUUUGAGUUUUUCUUCCAAUGAUUUAAAGAUAUUGUUUUAAUUACAGUUUGUUCCUUAUGACAAUUAUUCAAUGGCGAUAUCAAACUAUAUCAUCGUUGAUUUCAUUUAAGAAAAAAGUUAAUGAAUUUUGCAUACUUUGUAGUGUUAUUUAAUUGUGUAAAAAAAUUAUUUUAAUAUAGUUUGUAUCGCUUUAAUGAAAAAUCCUAUUUUGCCCUCAAUGAAUUACUGGUUAACGAUUUUACACUAAUGGUGAGUUAAUGGAAAGAUAUUUUAGGCUAUUGUUUGAAAAGUAGGGAUAAAAUGAGCUAUUGCAUUAAACUCUAAGGAUGAAAAAUGAUUUUUCCCUUUUAUUAUCAAUCAACUAUCUGAUAAAAGUCAAAACUCAUAUUUUUUUUUCCCUUGUUUCAAUCCCCUCUCAAUCAAAAAAGUUUCCUUGUCUAAGCAAUGAGGAAUAUGGCUAGAAAGAUUGUUAUUAGAAAGAUUUAUCAAUAGUAAUUAGUUCACAACUGAACAGUUUUAGAUUAUUGUGAGUCAAUAUAGGUCCUGUUUAGGAUUGAAGUGUUGCAGUUUUUAAGCUACAGCUGCUGUAGAAAAAAAAACUAUAAUUAUGAAAUAAGAGUUAAUAAUAUAUAAUAAAUAUAAAUUUUAAAUAAUAAUUUUGACAAAAUUAUUAAAAAUAUAAUAGAUUUUUCAUAAUACAAAUAAAAAAAUCAUAUCAACAUAGCUUGCAAGGUACAACAGUUAGUAUGAUGUUAGUUUAUUUUUGCGUCAAUAUAAGUAGUCAAAUUGAAUAAGUUAGUGAAAUGCUGCCUCACUGUCCCAUUGAAUAUGAUUCAGCUAACAGGGCUAGAGCUUGUGGAUGCCAAUGGCACUGAACAAAGUAUUGGGUGGUAAUUUUAAGACCACGCUAUGCCCAAAACCCAAGUUAGGCGAUUACAAAUACGGGAAUCAAUGUCACUUUGCUAGGAAUGGAGAGGAUAGAUUGCUUAGUGAAAUGCAACUUUGUAGAAUGCUGAGAGAUGUGCUGAGAGAUGAGGAUAGUUGUCGAUUUCUUCAUGUAAAUGCUGAGAGAUGUGCGGAAGUUUCUACUCAGUUUAGGCUUAGUUUAAGAAUAGCCUGGUGAUAAACAUUUUGAGUGGUGGAUCUUCUGUGGAUAACAAAAGUAGGUCUAUUCAAUGGGAACGCGACAAGGGGCUGGCUAACUCGCUCAGGUUGUGCAAAUGUUAAAAGCAGAAUGCCAGUUGUAUGAAGUUAUGUCAUUUUCUUUAUAGAACUAUGAAAGCUUGGAGUCCACGAUUCAAUGGAAUCUCGGGCUGUGCCAAUGAUUGUUUCAAGUACUUUUUCUACUUUCAAUGUCCAGACUAAGACUAUUUCUAAGCAGCAAGUGCAGGAUAUAAAGUGCAAAUCAAAAUAGACAGAAGUGAAGAGGAAGAUACGUGGUAUAUAUGUUGAUUGGAUUGAAGAUAUACCACUUUUGCCUAGUUCUUAGAACAAAGCAGAAAGCUGUAGUUAAAAAUAUACCUUCUGCUAAAGAUAAGUAGUCAAUAGUUCUAUUAGUGCAUAACUUUGCGAUUAAGGAUGAUCGCUGUCUAUUUUAAGAGCUUUUAAUAGAAUUUAGUAGCCCUGAUUUUCAAUCUCAGUGUUUUGCGGCUGUUAUCGACAUCCCUCUGUUACAUUUUUCAAGUUUCAUUGAUAAAUUAGUAGUUAGCCUUAUGAAGAAUGCACACACCAUAACCAUGUACGUUAAAUAGCAAACCUGCAUUUUAUUGAACUGUGAACUACUGAUUCAAUAAAGCUCAACAUAAGCUAACAAGUCUUUGUGAAAUUGCUUCAUGGUACAUUGUUUGAAGUAUUUAAGCUAAUAUAUGAUUAUUAAUGGGCUCGUGAGCCAACCCCAUUAAUUAUAUGUACAUAUAUAUAAUGUUACCAUCAAUAUGAUAUGUGACAUCCCAUAACAGCUAAUUAUAGAUCUUUAUCCAUUUUCAUAAUUUGCCUUCUGGCUUCCACUGCUCGUCACUAAAUUCAAAAUCCAUUGCACCUCAAAACAACAUGAGAAAUCUUAUAGGCAAAUCAUGACCAGUUCAAAGAUAAUAGCGAUUAUAGGGAAAGAAAAUUAAAAUCGAAGACGCAUAUAAAAUAAUCAAGCUACUGAUGAACAAAAUAACAUGAAAGUGUAAGUAUUUAUACUAACCUUCACUUAUUAGGAAGUUUGUUUCGCUAUUGGGUAAGAUCAAGCUCUCUGCAUAUCCUAUUGGCAAAAGGAAAUCACGCACGUGUGAUCUCUCUCUCUCUCUCUACACACGCACACAUAUACACACGCAUAUACAUAUACAUGCAUGGUCAUCAUCUUAGAAACCGAUUGAGAAAUUAUUGUCAGAGUUUGAAUUUGCGCAAUGACUAGUCAUGUUGCUAAAAAGAAAAAAGAUUGAGAUUGAAAGAAAUUCAUUAUCAUCAAAUUGGUCCAAUAUCCACUUCACUGUGUGGAUCAAAUACGUUUUCGAAUAGUGCACUGAUCUACAAUCUACUGCAAUAAUUUGUUAGGACCCUACAUCAACAAAUUAUGGGAUUAGUUGGUUUAUUAACCCUAAUACAUCCGGACAAGUCAAUCCUUUCAUGAGAAACAAAAUGAAUUUUGCAUCCCAUGAAACACAACAUACUCAGCUAGUUGAAAUUGUGGAUAUACGGGGGUAACGUAAGCAUGCUUUCACAAUUUGAAAGAUUUAUUUUUUAAGAUUUAGUAUUUCUGGGAUCCUAUUGAGAUAGAGGGGUGGUGAAGGUCUAUAGAUUUUAACUUGACAGCUUCCUAUAACCAAAGAUACAUAACUAUACUAAAUGAGCAUCAUUGAAUUUCAAAGUUAUUCAUUAUAAAUACUUAAAGAAAGAAAAAUAGAUAUUUUGGUAAUAGUAAUACAUUAUACCUUUUCUCUUUUCCAAAUUUGCUUAACCUUACUACAAGGCAAGCUGAGUCCAAUCAGGUUCUCCAAUUCAAAAUCUGAUGUCAGUAUUUUCAAAAGAUAUUUAUGCCAAUGGAGAUUUCUCAAUUCUAUAGGAAGGCAUUUUUUUUUUUUGAAACUGAUUAAGCAUCAGUUGGUUACUGUAUUACACAGAGAUAUAUACAACUGCUAUGACAGCAGGUCAUUACACUGAUAUUUACAAUCAGAUAUAUACAUGUGACUUAUAUUAUUACAUUUUUAUUCUAUGAAGUACAUGCCCAUCCAAAUACCCCUCACAGAGGAGGGAUGUCUCUACUCCACUCCCAUUGCGCAAGGGAGAAAGACGUUGUAAGAAGUCUCCAUACAAUUAUAUUUAAUUGAGGGAGGUUGAGUCCGUGGGGACUCGAACCAUUGCCCUCAUAGUCAUGCUUAACUUUGAGGGCAAUGAUUCACCACUGGGCUACAAGCCCAAGUGGCUAUAGGAAGGCAUUCUAAACCUCAGUGAAGUUACACCCUGGAGCUUAUAAUUAGAACACCAUCAUACUCGGAUAUAUAAAAUUUCAGCAAUCUAAAAUUUGACAUUGUUUUAAAUGCUCCAGAAUCUAAACGUAUGUCUCUUAUCCUGGAGAAUUCAAGAAUAUACUUUCGGUUGCAUGUGUCCCUUCAGAAAAGAAGCAAAUAAUGAGUUCGCAUAAAUUUUCUCAGGAAAAAAAUCCUAAAAUUUAUAAAGAGCUCCUUAAAUGAAGACAAAACCUGCACUCGCUCAACUCUUUUUUUUUUUUUUUAUGUUGUUCUAGUCUUCUUCAAUCCCCCCCUCUAAAACUUUAAUCCAAGCGUUAAGUGUAAGUAAACUAAAAUAUGAUUUUCGUAUGCAAGUACAACACAACAUACCCAUAAAAAUGAAGAGCGGAAGUUAGAAUCAAACCUCCAGCAAUUGAUAUUUUGCAAACUGAUAUUUGAUUCUUCUGAGACUUAUGUAAUCGUUUUGAUGGUGCAGUUUUUGAAUUAGAUUACAUAGCCUCAGGUACUAAUACCAUUUUCACCAUUUUGUUUUUAUUUCAUCUUUCCAUCAAAGAUGAAGGGGUGGGAAAUUAUCAAAGCAGCUGUUAGAUGACACCUGCUUCUAGACCUGCAAGUAAAACCAAAGAAUGAGCUCCAUUAGAUACAUUUGAGUUAAUAAAAUCCCUUGUUCCUCCUAAUGAUUAUAGACAUUAAUUAGGAGGGAGAAAUGAAGUAAAUUAAAUUAAAUGAAGGACCUUCAUUCUCCACGCAUGCAGCCGGCUAUUUUGUUACCAAGUUGUUGAAAGGAAGUAAAUAGAGAAGCAUUCAGAUACCACUCUCCCAGAUCGAUAUUCCUAGUAAGACCAAGGUGUAGUUGUACCACUCGGCCUGUGGAGUUGCUGCAGUCAACCCUUUCCCUUUGUUCAUCUACCCAGUUUUGAAGUCUAUAAGGGGAAUUGAAGAAAUGUUUAAGCCACAAAAGAUCAAAUUCCUCAUGCUCCAAACAUCCCUCACUCCACCCCCCCCACCCCCCGGCGCCCUCUUCUAAUAUUAUUAAUACGAGAACUAACAUUGUCACCAUUUUGAAUUUUGAACCACCCAUUCUAGCUAUAUCUCUAACUAUUAAAAAACACACAUUCUCUCUUUCUCUAUAACUAUAAAUAACAAAAGGGCUCUAUGUUAUUUAUAACAAACACAUCUAACAAUUUAUACACUCAGGCCCCAGCUAGCUUUCAGUUGUCUUCUUUGGUAGUCUUCAGCCUUCUCAAAGACUUUCGUCAUGCCUUACUUUCAGCCUUCCUUUCCAUAUUUGUCAUUUUGCUUUAAUUUUCCACAAUUCUACCUUGGAUGGUAAUAUUUAAUUCGCCACGAAUUGAGUGAAACGCUGGUCCGUUACCCAUCCCACUUCAAUAUUAACAAUAUUAAUAAUAAUAAAUAAAUUCUUCAAGCAAUUGAGAUUUGACACCCACCCCACUUCAAUAUUAAUAUUAAUGGGAAAUCAUAAAUUCUUCUACAAAUGAGUCAUUAUUUUAAAAUUGUUAUAAGCUUAUUUAUUUAAAAAAAAAAAAACGAGAAGGGGAACUUGUUAUCUUAAAAUUAAAAGAUUCUGGUGUGGCUACCCGAAUCCGCACGUUUUUUAAGAUUUUUUUUCCAAUCUUGUGUACCGUUCAACACCUAUAUAUGCUUUGCAAUUGAUUAGUUAACAAAAUAAAAUUCUUGAUCAGUUGUGCGGUAAAAAUAAUAUUAUUUUACAAAGCUUUACCUGGUGCAGUCAAUACGGCUAGAAAUUAAAGGAUCCCCAGCAUGAUAAUUAAGGAAUAAUUAUUAUUCUAGAUUUGUGCAGUGGCGAAGCUAAUAGCAUUUUUCGUUUUCGAGUGAGCUGAACUUUUUCCCCCCCCUAAUUCAAUACAUUUUUAUCGUACAAUAUAAUUUUGUAAAUAAGAAAUUAUAGAUGCACCUAAUAAUGCGCGACAAAAUAAGCUUUACCUCUCAAAAUAUUUGUUCUAAACAUUAUUUAAAAUAAUUUAGACACAUAUUUAUUCACAAAAUGAUGAACAGACAAGAAUUUGAUGAUAAUUGAAGAGGCAGCAUAACUAAUUAAUAUAAAAAUUUUUAUAUAGGUUUCAAUAAAGGAAAUUUUGUAACUAAAUAAUUUUUUUUCUGAGAAGCCCGGCCUUGCCCUCUCCAAAAUUCGCCACUGAAUUUGUGGGGUGGUUACUGGAGUUCACACGUUUUCAAAUUUUUUUUUCCCGAUCAUUCAAUAGUAAUUUUGCUUUUUAGUUUAUUAUUAUUGUUGUUAUUAUUAUUAACUCAGGCAUUUAUUAAAGCUCGAACACAUAAUCUAAACUUUGAUAUAUUUUUUGCUGAGAGGAGUCAAAAUUUGGGAAUUAUAUGCGCAUCAUAACAUAAUAAACAACCGCAAAGUAUCCUACGGAAACUUUCAGUGCACUCUGACAGCAGCUUUUGGUAGUCAAAUAGUCUUGGAAUCAUUUUUUAGCGCAUAUUCUUUUCGGUAAUGUGAUGAAUUCAUAUCUAAAGAAUCAAAACUAUGAUGUGAAUUUGCUGCAAAAACUGAUCCAAGACUAUUCAUUCAUUAUUAAACAUAUGAUAUCGUCCGUAAGACUGGAGAAAUAUGAAUGAAUUUGUUGAUGAUAACUCAGAAGACGGUUAACGGUUAAAUAUGCUAUGUUGAAAUGCACUGUACAGUCAAUUAAUUUAGUUAGGACUCUGUUUCUAGAAAACAGAGUAUAAAAGAUGACUAACUGUUUUGGGAGAUGCUUUUGGAGGGACUUCUAGAUGAAAUUGAGAGAGAGAGAGUGUGAGAGAAACUCUGUAAAGUCUUCUCCAAUUGGUAACCCCUUUUGUUGCGAAUAAUAAAGCUUCAAGGCUGUUCAUUUAUUUGUACAUAAGCAGGGGGAAAGCCUAUGUAUAGACAGCUUCAAAUGAGGAAACUGCACCUAACUACGCAGCAGCUGUAAUGAAGAAGACAUUGAUGCAUUAGCUUCCUGUUCCGUCUUCUUGGUCUUCGGGGAGGUUGGUAGCAGCAACUUUAAUUGUUCAAAGCAAACACUUAUCUUUCGUUUCUCAUAAAACCUCGUGAGGUAAUGCUUUAGAUGACUGGUAUGCAAUAUUGUCAAUGACAAAAUGUAAUGUUGUAUUCUGCUGAUCAACAUGUAAAAACUACAUAUUACUUGAAUUAGUUUUUUUUUUUUUUAAUUUACUAAAUUUCAGAAUUUGUUAACGAUGUUUGUACUUGGUUUUAACUCGAUUAAAGCUCAUGAAACUUAAUUGAUUAAUUAAUCAUUUAGUUAAAUUUAUUCGCUUUCAUGCUAUGGAUCUUUGCUAUAAUAACAAAUGCUUAAUUAUAUGCGUAUGUGUGAUAUAAUAGCUGCGUCUUACAUAGCAUAACACUACACCAAAUAUGCCCCCCUCAGAUACUAAUUAAUUACACAAAUGUACUUUUAUUCAAUUUAUUAUUUAAAAUAAUAUUUGAAAAAAAAUGGACUUGAGCAGAGCAAAGUAGAGAUAAUAAACAAGGGUAGAUUAUGCAUGCGUCAAAAGAUUUUAAAAAAGAAAAAGAGAAAAUAUACGGAAAACAAGAAAAUUGCGGGGAGCCACUCUUGUCUUUUACUUUGGACUUGAAGUCGUUCCAGGUGGAUAAUGUUUUCCUUUUAAAUAUUUAGAAUUAUAUUGUGGCGCUAUUUAAAAUAAGUUAUAAUUUUCUUAAAAUCAGACUAUGAUUACGGUACUCCAUGGUCAGAGUGUCGUUGAAUAAUGCUGAGUCUAUUGAGUCCUUUUCAAAUCGAAACCAGAACUAAAGAAAAAUCCAGAACUGAAACAAGGGCACGAACCAGCAAGAUUUGAAGGAAAAAUUUACUUCGUUAGUGAUCAACAACUAAUCAAACGUAAGUGGAUUUACAGAAGACUUUGUACAGAUCACAAUGAAACAGAUUCUAUGCAAAUUGACGAACAACUGAAGAAGAAAAAGGAUCGUACAACAGGCACUGCUCAUAAGCUUCUAUUUAUACUGAUGUUUCUGGAAACGUUGUAACAGAUUAUAACUAAUUCGUGCCACGUCAGCAUAAAAUAUCUACUAGACCCAUUUAACUGAAGUCAAUCUGCACAACGACUCUGAACCUCUUCAUAUUUUCCAUUUCAGUCCACAGACUCAACUACACACGUCUCCAAAAAUAAUAAGUUUUAUUUAUUUAUUUUUAUUAAUAAAAUAAAUUUUUAUUAACUUUCGUUGAUUUUGGUAGAUUUUGUUUUUGAGCUGUUACUACACUGUCGGCUGGUGUGUCAUCAUACGUAGUAGCGUCAUCAACCCUCUCAUGACUUUGACGGCCGAAACAUGUUUCAUGGCACAAAUAAUGACAGAUUUGUUUGAGGUACGGCGGAGAUGCCUAUUCAAAUAUUUGAAGCCAGCCCCUCCUUGUUUAACAUUUUUUUUUUUAAAAGGGGAACAACUGCUUUAGCUGUAUAUAUCAAGAAAAUUAGCUAACAGUUUAUGCACUUAAUUAUUUAUUUUGCCACACAUUUGUAAGUGGUCAAUGCUGCCGUAAAAUUAUUAGACCCAAAAUAAAGUGUGAUGAGGGACAGGAAUUAAUGUUCCCAUUAGCUGUAGCACCUAUCUUCCAUCUCUAAUUUUAACUUUCGAUUGAUGAAGUGUUUUCAAAUUUGUCAAAUGUCUGUAAACUGUUUAAUAAUUGAAGAAAGUUAAAAUUCAUUUUCUAAAAAUUAUUUUCAUUCAAAAUUGCGAUUGGAUGGUAAUCAGGGUUAAUAUCAGAGCUUAAGAUACUAUAACCGUGAGAACCUAUUGACUGCCAAUUAAAAUAUCCAUUAAAAUGUCUAGGGAGUUAUGAAGGUGGGGGUAACUUCCAAUUUCUAAGGCCACAGAGUAGACAUCAUCCAGGAUCCUAGGAAAGUCCAGUUAACCUCCUGCUCGAUGCAAUUAAUAAAUUUGGUCAAUGCCACUGAAACCUGCUAACUGACGUCACAAUGCGACAUGAGCACUUCAAAAUGGGACGGACAGUCAGUAGCACUGAAUUUUUCUUGCCUAAGAUUGAGCAAUUGGUCUAACUACUAAUCCCUAUUGUAGGUUGAUCAUUAUUUUUUCAAUUAUGUUCAGUUUGACCCAAAAAGUUGCAGAAUCUUGAGCUGAAUAUUGUCACGGAACACUGUCAAUGUCGCUUAGCAUAGCCAACAAACUUGAUGUUAAAACAAACACACAGUGUGUCUCAUGUCUCACAAAUCAAAUUAUCAUCUGUAAUGAUGGAGAAUUUUUCCAAUGUAUGAAGUAUGCUUUGAUACGUGGGUUACCUUGGAGAAGAUAUCUCAAAAUAAAGAAUAUGGGGAGAAAACAGUUCAGUAGUUUAUUAUUCUGUAGUCAAGUUUUGUCUCGAAAAUGGUCAAAAUUUAAAUGAUUAAGGACAGGGGAUCUUCAUUCUUUUUCCCCUUUUUUAUACCAAGAUAUCUCUCAACCUUUAUAUAAUCCCCACUGGAUAUCUGCUUCUCAUAAUUAAAAUAAAAAUUUCACCGCUCUAACAAUAAAAAGUAACAUCUUUAGUCAAAUAAUUUUGCGGUUCCUCAUCAUCUUAGUGUGAGACUAUCAGUACUUCCAAAAACAUAAUAAAACUGGUUUGAUCCUGUUUAUUAAUGUUUAAAUGUUGUUCAUUGUGACAUGUAGAAAUGAUGAGGCGAAGUUUAUUUGGGCAUCAAUUAGUAAGAUCUUGUUCGAAGUUGUUUUCUGAAAUGAACUGCCAAAUGGUAGUUUUUUGGGGGCAUUUGAUGGCUCUUUUUUUUUCCUCAUUUUCAACAUGUGCCUGCUUGGAACAGGAAGGAUUAGGCUUUAGAGUUGUUAUUUAUUUUGAGAUGCUCUGGUCAUUGCACAAUUUGUUCACACUGGAAAUUAGAAUGAGAAAUUUGUUGAUGCUGUUUUGAGAGAUCUGCAUUCUAUGCACAAUAACAUGAUUAAUGAAAAUGUAUUGUAGGACUGGAAAGAUCUGUGGCAGCCUGAGCUCGCAGGAAGAAUUUCAAUGGUUAAUUCUCCCCGAGAGGUUAUUGGUUCAGUUUUGAAGUAUAGGGGAGCAUCAUACAAUUCAAACGAUAUUGAUUCGCAAGUUGCUGGUGGGAAGAUUGCUGUUCAGCAGAAUCUGGCAUUACUGGCAAACCAGGUACUCUUACAGAAAUGAUAUCUGGUCAUUGCAUGUUAUUGCCUGACAACUGAUUUUGUUUGUAAAAGUCUACUUCUUCAUACAUAUGAAUGCAUAUGUUAGUGUUUUCUUCUCGUUUUCAUACAUAUAAAUGCAUAUGUUAGUGUUGUCUUUUCCUUUUCAUACAUAUUACUACAUAUGUUGGUGUUCUCUCCUGAGAUGGAUGCAAUAAAGGCUUUUGCUCCUAAAUUUAGCUGAAGAAAUGGCAAGGGAUGUGAGAUUCUGUCUCAUUAAAUUAACAAAAACCCAAAGCAAUGAAAAUCCAUAAUAAUGUGGUGUGGGUAAAUUGGCUCCAUUUGGUUCGUUUCCUUAAUGUGAAUGCGCGAGCAAUAGAGACUAACAAAAUGAAGUGACAACAAGAAGUCAGUGUCCUUUGAUGGAUGCAUUUUUAGGCAGAAAUAGGUUUGUAAUUGACCAAAUUUGUCUGGCAUGCCAAUUUCAAAAAAAUUAAAUUAUGUGGUUAUUAGCUGUAAUGAAGGGGGAUAGUAGGUGCAAUCAGGUGGAUCCUGGAAAGUUCAAUAAAGUUUUGGUAUGGCGUAGUGAAAUUGGUUUGUGCAACUCAGGAGUCUUUCAGGUGAACGAUGAUAGGUUUUGAUUUAUGAAUAUUAUAAAUCUACUGUGCAUAGUAUUCUAGUAGAAUCAUCUAUAAGUUCUAGUUAUUGAAAUUGUAUACUUUGCCCGGUUUGAGUUAAGGGCACAUGUAAUAUGAAAGAUAGUUGUCGCAUCUUUUAGGUUACCUAACAUUUGAUCAAUCCUAUUAUGGGGGCUUCAAGAUGUCUAACAAUAUGUAGAAUGCCCAUGCUCCUCCCCAUUGUUUAUCUUCUACAAUAAUUUGUUUUAGAUGCUAAUAUCUUUGUCGAUACCGGUAACAAUAUUACAAUAUCUGCGUUUAUUGGGUUUUACAUAGGUUCGACUGUUUGACAGUACACACUAUCUGAAGGCAUUUGCAAUUGGAGAUGUAUGGGUUGCUGUUGGGUGGAUUAGUGAUGUUCUUCCUGCUGUCAAACAUAUGUCUAAUGUUGCUGUUGUUGUUCCCAAGUCUGGUGCUAGCUGCCUGCCAUUCUACUUCGAUAUUCACAUUGUUAUCUCCUUCAUAUUAGCGAUCAGUAAACACGAUAAUGUGACUAAUAAGUUCGUAUUCUCUUUAUAGGCAAUCCCUGCUGCCUCAAGACUUGAAACAAAACAAAUUGGAGGGCGAGUCGGAGGUCCAUCUCCGUUAAUCCAUCAAUGGAUAGAAUUCUGCUUGCAAACAGCGAGAGCAUUACCUUUCAAGCAAGAGGUAAUCCCAGGUGCAUCUCCCUCUGCCCUUGAAAGUACUCUGGUUAAGUUGCCUGAAGAACUUCUGGAGGGUAAACCAAGUCUGGAUACUAACUUAAUUGCUGGAGUACUCCCGGCUGAAAUUCUGGCCAGAUGUGAGUUUUUGGAGCCAUUAUCUGAAGCUACUUUGUCAGAUUAUGAGUGGCUGGUUGUUAAUCUGCAAAAACCUGCUCCUGUCUUGAUGAAAAGGGUGCAACAUUACUUGUCAUCAUUAAUCCAAAGCUUUCUAGCAAGAGCUACAUUGAAAAGUUAAUGGCGCUGCAUGCCAGUCAUUAUAAUGCUGUCAGGACAAUUGGGUCAGGGCAAUUAGGUCAGAGCAUAACUUCAUUAGGAAAGGGGGCUUCAGCUACGUUAAAUAUUACAGGAUGUACUGAGAUGGCUGAAGUUCUUGAGGUUUUAUGAGAAACGAAAGAUGAGUGUUUGUUUGAACAAAGUUGUUGCCAAUCUUGCAGAGUUUGAAAACAAAGAUCACGGAGCGAAUGCCACCGAUUUCUUCAUCAUUUUAGCCUCCAUAAUUGAAGUUUCCUCAUUUGAAGCUGUUUAUGCAUACGAUUUUUCCCUGCUCUAGUACAGGAAAUUGAAGAAUUAACCAGAUGUGAUAUGCUGAAAGAGGGAAGUUUUCUUCCUUGAAUGUGGCCUUUGUGAUUUGUCUUGAAGGAAUAGGAUGAUCACUGGCAAGAACCCUAUCAAGGUAGAUUUUAUGGUGUUAACAUAUUAUUCAGCAUUUUGUUACAUUAGCAAUGAUGCUUUCAUAGCAUGAAAGUGUUUAAAUUUAACUGAAUGAUCUUGAUUGAUCAAUUAUGAGUUUUAAUCGAGUAAAAACUAAAUACAAUAAUCGUAACAAANNNNNNNNNNNNNNNNNNNNNNNNNNNNNNNNNNNNNNNNNNNNNNNNNNNNNNNNNNNNNNNNNNNNNNNNNNNNNNNNNNNNNNNNNNNNNNNNNNNNUGCUACCUUUUGAUUUUAGUGCUUAAUAUUUAUUGAACUAUGAUGCAGGGAAUUUGAAAUCAAACUCGUAAUACAGAUUAUCUAAUUGCGAGUUGCUGUCCAUAGCUGCUAAUUUGUAGUGAUUAUCUAAUUGACUGAGGUGACAAUAAUUCUUUUAUUUUCAAUAGCACAAUGUGGAAUUCAAUAAUUAAAUUCUCCUGUUUAAUUUGUUUCAAGUUAAAUUAUUAAUUACUUAAACUCGGUUUUAAGUCUUUAAUUUUAUGUGUUUAUGCAGAAUUGGAUUCUUGAGCGUGUUGGACACGACCAACAAUGAAAUUGACAGUAAACAAACAUUAGAACAUGUGGACUCCGGUAAGCACCAAUGAAUUUCUAGCCCCGUUGACUCCGCCAACUAAAGUUUUGUAAAAUAAAAAAAAAUACAUAGAAUUCCACCAAAUGCAAAACGCGUAAAAUUUAAUUUUCGGCCGUGUGGACCAAAACAUAAUUUAACAAAAAAGAAAAAAAUGAUAAGAUUUUUAAAAUGUGUGGAAGGUGAUCCAUAUUUUACUGAAACGACUUGUUAAAUUUUUCAAGGAUUUAGAAUAUUUGGUCAUAAAUUACGUGCAUGUUAAUUUUUCCGCCAUUGACUAUCAUAUUCUAGACUUAAUGGUACCUUUUUUGAUGAAGGGUACUUAGUCUCUCUUCUCCUCUUAUAAAAAUUAUAUUAAUUGAUUUCUUGUUAUAGUUAAUAGUCUUCAAGAACGGAUAGAUUUAUUGUUUUCAUGACCAAAUUAUGCAUGCCUAACGUUGCAACUAUUAAUAAAAUUAAUAUUUAAUAUUUAUGUUAAAAGAUAUAAGAUUUUAUGCAUUCAUUAAUUGUUAUUAGCUAAAGGAUGAAUUAUUUUUUCCCAAUCAGUUGAUGCAUCUGCAAGAGUUUUUUUUUCUUUUAUUGACCAUAAUUAUAUUCCGGGUACAAUAAAUUGUCUUUGGUGCUUGGAAGAUAUGACAUCUCUCUGUCAACUUACUGGAAAUAUCUCCUCAUCUACUCUCAUUUAUCUAAUAUCAAUUGAAGAUCUCAUAUUUCCAAACUAUGACUUCCAAAUCUCAUUAUCAUUUGAGCAUUCAAAACUAAUCAAGUGUGGAAAUAAUCAAAUAUAUGCAAAAAUCGAGUCACAAUCUUUGGCCCCUCAAAAUUCUAAUUAUAUAACUUCUAUAUAUCUCAUACAUUUUCCAAAUUCCUCUUCCAUCAACAUCAUUAGGAGUAUGUUCAUCUCUCACACAUUAACUUGAGUGGAGAGUUUCCAAAUUGAUUGUCAGAAAACAACAAAAGAACUAGACACGCUUGAUCUGUCUAAUAAUUCUCUUUCGGUAAAAUUAAUUAAUUUUAGGGGAAUUCAGCCAACCUCUGUAAUUUUAUAGUGAUCAUUAAUUAAUUAAACAAUACAAAUAUCUAAAGUGAUUAGAUGUUUACUGACAAUACAAGUUCAUGGCUUGAAAUUUGAUCUCUAUCGAUUGGUUUUGUAGUGCUUAAUAUUUACAGAACUCCGGGAAUUUGAAAUCAAACUCGUAACUACAGAUUAUCUAAUUGUAAGUUUUUGUCCAUAGCUGCUGAUUUGUAGUGAUUAUCUAAUUGACUGAGGUGACAACAAUUGUUCUUUUAAUUUUCAAUAGCAUAAUGUGGAAUUCAAUAAUUAAAUUCUCCUUUUUAAUUUGUUUCCAAUUAAAUUAUUAAUUACUUAAACUCUAUUUUAAGUCUUUAAUUUUAUGUGUUUAUGCAGAAUUGGAUUCUUGAGCGUGUUGGACACGACCAACAAUGAAAUUGACAGUAAACAAACAUUACAACGCGUUGAGUGUCGACUCCGGUAGCUGCCCUACAAGUCUACAACUUUACAAAAAAUAAUUGAGUACACACAUUCGAUUCUCGGGACCCUUCAAUGAAUUUCUAACCCCGUUGACUCCACCGACAAAAGUUUUGGAAAAUAAAAAAAAAAUUUAUAGAAUUCCACCAAAUGCAAAACGCGUGGAAUUUAAUUUUCGGCCGUGUGGACCAAAACAUAAUUUAAUGAAAAAAAAGAAGAUAAAAUUUCUAAAAUGUGUGGAAAUUGAUCCAUAUUUUACUGAAACAACUUGUUAAAUUUUUCAAGGAUUUAGAAUAUUUGGUCAUAAAUUAUGCUCAUGUUAAUUUUUCCGCUAUUGACUAUCAUAUUCUAGACACAAUGGUACCUUUCUUGAUGAAGGGUACUUAGUCUCUCUUCUCCUCUUAUAAAAAUUAUAUUAAUUGAUUUCUUAUUAUAAUAAAUAGUCUUUAAGAACGUAUAGAUUUAUUGUUUUCGUGACCAAAUUAUGCCUGCCUAAGGUUGUGACUAUUAAUAAAAUUAAUAUUUAAUGUUUAUGUUAAAAGAUAUAAGAUUUUAUGCAUUCAUUAAUUGUUAUUAGCUAAAGGAUUAAUUAUUUUUUCAACCCAAUCUGUUGAUGCAUCUGCAAGAGUUUUUUCUUUUAUUGACCAUAAUUAUAUUCCGGGUACAAUAAAUUGUCUUUGGUGCUUGGAAAAUAUGACUUCUUACUUCAAGUUUGAUAUGUCUCUCUCCAUAAGCUUACUGGAAAUAUAUCCUCAUUUACUGUCAUUUAUCUAAUAUCAAUUGAAGAGCUCACUUUUUCAAACUAUCACUUCCAAGUCUCAUUGUCACUUGCCAUUCUUGGACCAUUCAAAACCAAACAAGUGUUGNNNNNNNNNNNNNNNNNNNNNNNNNNNNNNNNNNNNNNNNNNNNNNNNNNNNNNNNNNNNNNNNNNNNNNNNNNNNNNNNNNNNNNNNNNNNNNNNNNNNNNNNNNNNNNNNNNNNNNNNNNNNNNNNNNNNNNNNNNNNNNNNNNNNNNNNNNNNNNNNNNNNNNNNNNNNNNNNNNNNNNNNNNNNNNNNNNNNNNNNNNNNNNNNNNNNNNNNNNNNNNNNNNNNNNNNNNNNNNNNNNNNNNNNNNNNNNNNNNNNNNNNNNNNNNNNNNNNNNNNNNNNNNNNNNNNNNNNNNNNNNNNNNNNNNNNNNNNNNNNNNNNNNNNNNNNNNNNNNNNNNNNNNNNNNNNNNNNNNNNNNNNNNNNNNNNNNNNNNNNNNNNNNNNNNNNNNNNNNNNNNNNNNNNNNNNNNNNNNNNNNNNNNNNNNNNNNNNNNNNNNNNNNNNNNNNNNNNNNNNNNNNNNNNNNNNNNNNNNNNNNNNNNNNNNNNNNNNNNNNNNNNNNNNNNNNNNNNNNNNNNNNNNNNNNNNNNNNNNNNNNNNNNNNNNNNNNNNNNNNNNNNNNNNNNNNNNNNNNNNNNNNNNNNNNNNNNNNNNNNNNNNNNNNNNNNNNNNNNNNNNNNNNNNNNNNNNNNNNNNNNNNNNNNNNNNNNNNNNNNNNNNNNNNNNNNNNNNNNNNNNNNNNNNNNNNNNNNNNNNNNNNNNNNNNNNNNNNNNNNNNNNNNNNNNNNNNNNNNNNNNNNNNNNNNNNNNNNNNNNNNNNNNNNNNNNNNNNNNNNNNNNNNNNNNNNNNGUAUUUUACUUGGAAGAUAUGACAUCUCUCUGUCAACUUACUGGAAAUAUCUCCUCAUCUACUCUCUUUUAUCUAAUAUCAAUUGAAGAUCUCAUAUUUCCAAACUAUGACUUCCAAAUCUCUCAUUAUCAUUGAGCAUUCAAAACUAAUCAAGUGUGGAAAUAAUCAAAUAUAUGCAAAAAUCGAGUCACAAUCUUUGGCCCCUCAAAAUUCUAAUUAUAUAACUUCUAUAUAUCUCAUACAUUUUCCAAAUUCCUCUUCCAUCAACAUCAUUAGGAGUAUGUUCAUCUCUCACACAUUAACUUGAGUGGAGAGUUUCCAAAUUGAUUGUCAGAAAACAACAAAAGAACUAGACACGCUUGAUCUGUCUAAUAAUUCUCUUUCGGUAAAAUUAAUUAAUUUUAGGGGAAUUCAGCCAACCUCUGUAAUUUUAUAGUGAUCAUUAAUUAAUUAAACAAUACAAAUAUCUAAAGUGAUUAGAUGUUUACUGACAAUACAAGUUCAUGGCUUGAAAUUUGAUCUCUAUCGAUUGGUUUUGUAGUGCUUAAUAUUUACAGAACUCCGGGAAUUUGAAAUCAAACUCGUAACUACAGAUUAUCUAAUUGUAAGUUUUUGUCCAUAGCUGCUGAUUUGUAGUGAUUAUCUAAUUGACUGAGGUGACAACAAUUGUUCUUUUAAUUUUCAAUAGCAUAAUGUGGAAUUCAAUAAUUAAAUUCUCCUUUUUAAUUUGUUUCCAAUUAAAUUAUUAAUUACUUAAACUCUAUUUUAAGUCUUUAAUUUUAUGUGUUUAUGCAGAAUUGGAUUCUUGAGCGUGUUGGACACGACCAACAAUGAAAUUGACAGUAAACAAACAUUACAACGCGUUGAGUGUCGACUCCGGUAGCUGCCCUACAAGUCUACAACUUUACAAAAAAUAAUUGAGUACACACAUUCGAUUCUCGGGACCCUUCAAUGAAUUUCUAGCCCCGUUGACUCCACUGACAAAAGUUUUGGAAAAUAAAAAAAAAAUUCAUAGAAUUCCACCAAAUGCAAAACGCAUGGAAUUUAAUUUUCGGCCGUGUGGACCAAAACAUAAUUUAAUGAAAAAAAAAAGAUAAAUUUUCUAAAAUGUGUGGAAGGUGAUCCAUAUUUUAUUGAAACAACUUGUUAAAUUUUUUAAGGAUUUAGAAUAUUUGGUCAUAAAUUACGCUCAUGUUAAUUUUUCCGCUAUUGACUAUCAUAUUCUAGACUCACUGGUACCUUUCUUGAUGAAGGGUACUUAGUCUCUCUUCUACUCUUAUAAAAAUUAUAUUAAUUGAUUUCUUAUUAUAAUAAAUUGUCUUUAAGAACGUAUAGAUUUAUUGUUUUCGUGACCAAAUUAUGCUAGAUUAAGGUUGCGACUAUUAAUAAAAUUAAUAUUUAAUGUUUAUGUUAAAAGAUAUAAGAUUUUAUGCAUUCAUUAAUUGUUAUUAGCUAAAGGAUUAAUUAUUUUUUCAACCCAAUCAGUUGAUGCAUCUGCAAGAAUGUUUUCUUUUAUUGACCAUAAUUAUAUUCCGGGUACAAUAAAUUAUCUUUGGUGCUUGGAAAAUAUGACUUCUUACUUCAAGUUUGAUAUGUCUCUCUCCAUAAACUUACUGGAAAUAUAUCCUCAUCUAUUAUCAUUUAUCUAAUAUCAAUUGGAAGAUCGCACUUUUUCAAACUAUCACUUCCAAGUCUCAUUGUCACUUGGCCAUUCUUGGACCAUUCAGAACCAAUCAAGUGUUGAAAUAAGUCGAGAGGGGGGGCAAAAUUAGAGUCACAAUUUUUGGUCCCCCAAAUUCUAAUUAUAUAACUUCUAUAUAUUUCAUUGCCAGGUCACGAACUUGUUGGCACAUUUUCCAAAUUCCUCUUCCAUCAACUCUCACACGUUAACUUAAGUGGAAAGUUUCCAAGUUGAUUGCUAGAAAGCAACGCAAAAUCAGACACGCUUGACCUGUCCCCUAAUUCUCUUUUCUACGUUGAAAAAGAAAAAAAAAAUAUAUAUAUAUAUCUAUGUAAAAAUAAAUAAUAAACUGAAUAAAAGUACAUUUGUUUAAUUAACAUCUGAUCGUGGCAUUUUUGGUGUAAUUUCGUGCUGUGUAAGCCACAACUAAAAUCAAACAGCCCCUUAGCAUACUUCUUCCAUUUUAUCUGGUACUUUUGUGGAUCUUAUAGGGUGGGCAUGUGGACAGAAUUUAAAAGUUUUAAUAGUCUCAAAGAAUAAGAUAUGUUAAAGCUAAAGUUGUUGCACCUUCUAAUUAAAUAAAGUUGUACAAUUUCACCAACUUGGAAGAAUUGACAUUAAUGGACUGGUCCCUUCUCCAUAUAUGAAGCCUUCUUAAAAGUUAAUUUUUAUUUCAGAAAAAAAAAGUUAAAGUUACAUAUAUUAUAGUAAGAUUUUUUGAGACCAAUUCCCUUCUUGAAAUAAUAAUGGAAAAGUAUUAAUUUAAUAAUAAAAUGAAUAUGUAUUGAUUAUAUCUUGAUUUUCAUCGAUUAUAGUGAGAGUUUCUCCAAAUCAAUUCCCUUAUUCAAAUAAUAUCGAAAAAAUAGUAAUUUAAUAGUAAAAUAAACAGGUGUUGAUUAUAUAUUCUAAGUUUCAUCGAUUAUGUGAUCAAAGUGGCAUUGUUGAUUUAUUUCUUGUUCAAUGUUAAUUUUUAGGUUAUCUAAAUUUCAAGGAUUUAAAAUCUUUGAUCAUGGAUUACACGCUUGUUAAUUUUUCUGCCAUUGACUAUCAUAUUCUAGACUUAAUGAUACCUUUCUUGAUCAAGGGUAAUUACUCUCUCUUCUCCUCUUAUAAAUUCCUCUUCCAUUAACAUCACUAGGAGUAUGUUGAUCUCUUACAAAACAACAAAAGAACUAGACACACUUGAUCUGUCUAAUAAUUCUCUUUCGGUAAAAUUAAUUAAUUUUAGGGGAAUAUUCGACCAACCUCUGUAAUUUUAGAGUGAUCAUUAAUUAAUUAAACGAUACAAAUAUCUAAAGUGAUUAGAUGUUUGCUGACAAUGCAAGUUCAUGACUUGAAAUUUGAUCUCUAUCGAUUGGUUUACAAAUGGACAUACUUGUGCCUUUGUGGCGAUAAUCGAACAAGUUCCAAUGAUUAUUAUUUUUUCCAAAAACUUUUUUACAACAAAUUCAUCUCGCCAAAAAUUCUAUGUUGCUAGCUAACAAUAAUUGAGCACUUGGCCGCAUUGACUCCACGUCUCCACCUCUUUCUAAAUUCUAAGUAAAAACAUGGAAAUGUAAUUUCCACAAAAUGCCAAACGUGUGGAAUUUAAUUUUUUGCCUUGUGGAUCAAAAUACAAAUGAAAGAAACAGGAAAAAAAAAAAAGGCCCAAAGACUUCUAAAAGAUGAAGAAGUCUUUGGGCCUUUUUAUAAUGGUGGAUUUUUUAAAAGAAAAAAAUAACAACACUUUUAUGGUUGGUUUUGAUAAUCAUAUGUGCGUAUAUACUCUCUAAUUUUCAAAAUGGACACAUAAAUCUUUUUUUUUCACAAAAUAUAUAUUAUUCAUAUUUUUUAUUUUUUAUUAUCAUAUUUUUAUUUAUUAUAAAUGUUUAGAGUAAAUUUUUAGGUUGAAAUAUAAUAAAAGGGUAUAAUCGUUCUCUUAUUAAACACACAUACUUUUAUUAGUUUCUAUGCAUUUGUCAUCUCAAUCUCUCUCAAUUAUUCUUUAUUGCUAGCUCAAAACACGUUGCUGUUGCAAAUUAUAGCAAAAUGACAAAUAUGGAAAAAAAGGGAAGAAAAUUAAUGCAUGAAAGACUUGGAGAAAACAACAAAAUAAGCCAACUAUGAGCUAGUUGGGUGUAUAAAUUGUUAGAUGUGUUAUAUACAAAUAGCAUAGAGCCCUCUAGUUGGUUCUAGAGACAGAAAGAGCGUGUGUGUUUUUUCACAGUUAGAGAUAUAGUUAGAAUGGGUGGCUCAAAAUCAAAAAUGAUGAUAAUGUUUAUUAUGUUAUUAAUAAUAUUUAAAAGUGGGUGGAGUGAGGGAUGUUUGGAUCACGAGAGAUUUGCUCUUUUGCGACUCAAACAUUUCUUCACUGGUCCUUGUAAUUAUCUUUACGACUGGGUAGAUGGUGAGGGAGCUACUGAUUGUUGUCAGUGGGAAAGGGUUGAGUGCAGCAACACCACAGGCCGAGUGAUAACGCUAGACCUUUUUGACACGUAUGGGGGAGAGCACAACUGGUAUCUGAAUGCUUCUUUGUUUACUCCCUUCCAACAACUUGAGUCACUUGAUUUAACUUACAACAAAAUAACCGGUUGUGUUGAGAAUGAAGGUGCUUCGUUUAAUUUAAUUAAUUUACUUUCUCCCCCCUAAUUUAAGUUGAAUAUCAAGACCGAGCAAUUAUAUGCAUAUUCAUUCAGUUGACAAUUUUGACUUUUUUUUUAAAGAUUAAUUUUGAAAUUACACUAGUAUCUAUGAUCCUUUUUUUUUUUAUUUUACUUGCAGGUAUAGAGAGGCUAUCAAGAUUGAACAACUUGAAGAUGCUUAAUUUAAGUGAUAACUCGUUCAACAAUAGCAUUUUAUCAUCACUAACUCAUCUUUCAUCAUUAAGAUCAUUAAAUUUAUAUGGGAAUAGAUUAGAAGGAAGUAUUGACGUUAAAGGUACAUAAUUAAAACUUCAUCCCUUCUCCAAGCUCUUUCAUUAACUUGCUAAAAUAAGAUUCAAGGCUUUGAAUUCAAUUUUUUUUAUGAUUAGUAUUAAAAAAAAACAGUUUUAAGCAAUUUAUAAAUACAAGUUUUAAUCUUUCUCAUAAUUUCAUCUUGUACUUUCAUGUGUCUUGAAUUUAAGAUUAAAAAGAAAUCUAAUAGCAAACCAAACACCUCCACAACUUAUUAUUAUUAUUAUUAUUAUUUGCGGUGAGGUUUGAAACAUUCAACUCAAUUUGUACUUAUUACAGAAUUUGAUUCUUUGAGAGAUUUAGAGGAGCUAGACAUUGGCGAGAACAAGAUUGACAAAUUUGUGGUCUCAAAAGGUACUACAAAUACCAUAAAAAAAAAUGCUAACUUAUACAAAUUAGUUGGAUUCUUGGCCAUUUGGUUUAUUAUUUUACAGGUUUGAGUAAGUUGAAGUCUCUCUGUUUAAGUGGUAUCAAACUCAAUCGUAGCAUCUUCGCUUCUCUUUCUUCGUUAAGAGAAUUAGAUAUAAGUUAUACGGGAUUCAAAGGAACAUUUGAUGUUCGAGGUAAGUCUAAGCCUUGCUUUCUCAUUUUAUAUAUGCGAACUAGAUUUGUGUAUCAUCGACAUAAUUUAAUAUUUAAUUUAAUAAGUCUGAAGGUAUUACAUGCUAAUUUAAACAUACUUUUAUUUACUUUGUCAAUUAAUUAAUUAAUUAAUUAAUUACUAUUUGGCUUGGUUUGGACGAAAUUCUCAUGAUGUUUUAAUUUCUUUAAAUUAAUUAAUUAAUUAACUCUGUUUUUAAGUCUUAAGUCUGGGCAUGUUUGCAGAAUUUGAUUCCUUCAAUAACUUAGAAGUGUUGGACAUGGGAUACAAUGAAAUCGACAAUCUUGUGGUUCCUCAAGGUAAACAAUUAAAAUAUUAUUCAAUUACAUUAUUUUAAUUCAUUUGAUUAGAGAAGGCCAAAAAGGUCCCAAAAAAAUUAAUAAUAAAGAAACAGAUAAUUUGUAUUAUUUAAAAAAAACAGAAUGUAAUAAAGAUUUGAUUCCAGUUCUUUAAUCUUUAAAGCGAUUGAAAAACAAUGUUGCUCUUUUCCCAAAGUAUAAAAUACGAAUUGAAUGCCAAUUAACUUAAUCAUUCAUUUCGUUUAGCUCUAAAUUUAGACAAUGAAUUUUUAUAUUAUUUCAAAAACAGGACGUAAUAGAAUUUUUUUAAAAACAGAUUGUAAUGAAGAUUUGAUUCCAAUUUUUUAAUCUUUGCAGCGAUUGAAAAACCAUACCGCUCUUUUCCCAAAGCAUAAAAUACGAAUUGACUCCCAAUUAAAUUAAUCAUUUAUUUUGUUCAUCUCUGAAUUUAAAUAAUGAAUUUUGAUCUUCAAUCAUAUUCUAACUACUAUUAAAAAACAAGUUACAAAGGUUUGAGGAAGCUGAAAAGCCUUGAUCUAUCGGAAGUUGAAAUUAGAGAUGGAAGCAAGUUGUUACAGUCGAUGGGAUCAUUCCCAUCCCUCAACACUCUUUACCUGAAGGAUAAUAAUUUUACCGAUAUAGCGACAACUACUACUCAAGGUAAGUAAAAGGUACAGAUGUGGCCAAAUUUAUAAAUAAAUUGUUAAUUAAUUAAUUUUUCCGUAUUAUUAAUUAAGCUAAAUUCGUUGCUCCUUCCUUCUAAAUCUAAACAGAGUUGCACAAUUUCACCAACUUGGAAUAUUUGACAUUGACCGGUUCCUCUCUCCAUAUAAGCCUUCUGCAAAGCAUUGCAUCAAUAUUCCCUUUGUUAAAAAUUUUGCCGAUGAUUGGUUGUGAAGUCAAUGGCAUCCUACGUGGUCAAGGUAAAAGAAAAGCGUUGAAUGUGCACUCACUGAGUGUUGUCCUACGUGUUCAAUAUUUUCAUUUAUUCAUUUUAUUGUUUAAUGUUUCUGCUAGGUUUUACUCAUUUCAAGAGUUUGGAACAUUUGGACAUGGAUUACGCGCUCAUUGCACUCAACACCAGCUUUCUUCAAAUCAUCAGUGAAUCGAUGCCUUCUCUUAAGUACUUAUCACUAUCAAAUUCUACUCUUGGCACUAACAGCAGCAGGAUUCUUGAUCAAGGUUAAUCAGAUGCUCCCACCCCCCUUCUUAAUCUAUAAUAUUAAUUUUCAAUUAAAUAUUUAAUUACACAAACGAAUCACUUAUUAUAAAAGAAUAAUACGCAUUCAUUAAUUUUUAUAUUGUAUUAAUUGAUGAAUUUAAUAAAUUUUCAGGCCUCUGUUCGUUGAUGCAUCUGCAAGAGUUGUACAUUGAUAAUAAUGAUUUAAGAGGUAGCUUGCCUUGGUGCAUGGCAAAUAUGACAUCCCUCCGAUUAUUAGAUGUUUCUUCCAAUCAACUUACGGGAAGCAUCUCCUCAUCUCCCCUCGUUCAUUUGACAUCCAUUGAAGAGUUGAUGCUUUCAAACAAUCACUUCCAGAUCCCAAUUUCACUUGAACCACUUUUCAAUCACUCAAGACUCAAGAUUUUCAAUGCUUAUAACAAUGAAAUAAAAGCUAAAAUAACUGAGUCACAUUCUUUGAUCGCCCCAAAAUUCCAAUUAAAUACACUCUUGUUGUCUUCCAGUUACGGAGACAGUUUCAUAUUCCCCAAAUUCAUUUACCAUCAACAUGACCUGGCGUAUGUUGAUCUCUCACACAUAAAGAUGAAUGGAGAAUUUCCAACUUGGUUGUUGGAAAACAACACAAAAUUGAGCCAACUUUCUGUCGUCAAUGAUUCUCUUGCAGGACCUUUUCGGUUGCCAAUUCAUUCACACAAGCAGUUAAGACUGUUGGAUAUAUCCACCAACAACAUCCGAGGCCACAUUCCAGUAGAAAUUGGAGAUGUUUUGCCACGUUUAUACGUUUUCAACAAUUCCAUGAAUGCUCUAGACGGUAGCAUUCCCUCUUCAUUUGGUAAUAUGAAAUUCCUCCAAAUUCUGGACUUAUCCAACAAUCACUUGACUGGUGAAAUCCCCGAGCACUUGGCCGUGGGUUGCGUCAACUUGCAGGCUCUUGCAUUAUCAAAUAACAACCUACAAGGUUACAUGUUCUCUAGAAAUUUUAACUUGACAAACUUGAGAUGGUUACAAUUGGAGGGCAAUCGAUUCGUAGGUGAGAUCCCACAAAGUUUGUCUAAAUGCUCCUCACUAGAAGGAUUGUAUAUUAACAAUAAUAGUCUUUCGGGUAAGAUUCCACGAUGGUUGGGUAAUCUCACAUGGUUACAAUAUAUUAUAAUGCCCAAUAAUCAUCUUGAAGGCCUUAUUCCAGUGGAGUUUUGUCAGCUUGAUUCGCUUCAGAUUUUGGACAUUUCAGACAACAACAUAUCUGGAAGUUUACCAUCUUGUUUCCAUCCUCUCUCUAUCAAACAAGUUCAUCUUUCAAAAAAUAUGUUACAUGGACAACUAAAAAGAGGUACAUUCUUUAAUUGCUCUUCCCUUGUGACAUUAGAUCUUAGCUAUAACCGCUUGAAUGGCAACAUUCUGGAUUGGGUUGAUGGGCUUUCUCGGUUAAGCCACCUGAUCUUAGGUCACAAUAAUCUUGAAGGUGAAGUGCCAGUUCAAUUGUGCGAAUUGAACCAACUACAAUUGUUAGAUCUUUCUAAUAAUAAUCUUCACGGUCCUAUUCCUCCUUGCUUUGAUAACACCACACUUCAUGAAAGUUACAGCAAUAGUUCUAGUCCUGAUGAGCAAUUUGAAAUAUUUUUUUCCAUCGAAAGCCCUGUGGGAGAUGUAAAAGAGCAAAUCCAUGAAAUUUUUGAGUUAACAACAAAGAACAUUGCGUACAUUUACCAAGGAAAAGUGUUUAGCCUCCUAUCAGGACUUGAUCUUUCUUGCAACAAGCUAAUCGGUCAUAUUCCUCCUCAAAUUGGAAAUUUGACAAGGAUUCAAACAUUGAAUCUAUCGCACCAUAACUUGACAGGAUCGAUCCCAUCAACAUUUUCAAACUUGAAGCAUGUCGAAAGUUUGGAUCUUUCCAACAACAAAUUGAAUGGAAAAAUCCCUUAUCAACUAGUGGAGUUAAAGACAUUGGAGGUUUUCAGUGUGGCAUACAAUAACUUAUCAGGCGAAAUUCCAGAAUGGAAAGCACAAUUUGCAACCUUCAACGAGAGUAGCUAUGAGGGAAAUACUUUUCUUUGUGGACUGCCAUUGCCCAUUUGCAGAUCACCAGCAACUACGCCGGAGGGUUCAAUCGGCAAUGAACGAGAUGAUAAUUUAAUUGACAUGGACAGUUUCUUUAUCACAUUUACAACAUCGUACGUAAUUGUGAUAUUCGGAAUUGUUAUUGUUUUAUAUGUAAAUUCUUAUUGGCGACGUAAAUGGUUUUACUUUGUUGAAAUGUGGAUAACUUCAUGUUAUUAUUUUAUUGUAGACAAUCUUAUUACAACAAGAUAUUGUCAUUGAAAUUAAUUAGCAGUUUAAUUACGAUUCUUUAAGUUCUAAUCAAGUUUGCACUUGAUCGCCUAUUUUACUUUAAAAAAUAAUGAUUAUGGUGCUAUCAUCAUCUUCUUCACUAGCAACAUUAACACCAAAUCCAGCGAUGGACCCAGACAUUUUAUCAAGAUAUCCACCAUAACUUAUACUUCCCUAUACUGUGCAGCCUACUUAAAUAAGAGAACCAUCUCCAAUGUUAAAACCAGCCACUCUAUAACAUUCAUUUAGAAACUAUAUUUAGAACUCUCCAAUCCACCCACCAGAAUUUCAUAUCUCCUCAACAAUUUUAAGAACUAAAGAUAAUUAGGAUAUAACAUUAGUUUUUUAUAUAUUAGUUUCAUAAUUUACAAAUCAAUGAAGAUGAAGAUUAUGUUAAUGAAUUCAAAUUAUACCAUACAUUCUCGAGAUGCUACCAAAAAUUUCUAAGUCAAUCCCACAUAUUUCAUAAUUUUAAGACUAGAAAAUUUCAUUAGGUAGAAGUUUCAUUACCUUCAAGUGGAAGAUGAAGAACAUUAUACAAUUGAUUCAGAUUAUAUCAUACAUACUCCAAAUGCAACUAGAAAUUAACAAGUUCAUGCGCACAGAUUUCAUAACAUUAUGAAUGGAAAGUUUCACAAAGAGAAAUUAUAAAUUCAAUCUCUUGCAUCAAGGUAGUUUGAUUGAUUUGAGUUACUUUCUGAUCAAGCUAUUAAUAUAACAUUCAAGUCAGGGAGAAAGUAAAUUAAAACUGGGAAGAAAUAACAGUAAAAAUUUGUUGCUAAACAUGAUGUGUAUUUUUUUUUUAAGGCAAUUUGGAAACACAGUUGUUACUACAGAUAUUCUCCUCAACUUAGAGAUAAUACAAAUAUUAAAAUGCAUAUGAUCGCACAUAUUACUUUGGAAGCUUAGUAAGAUUUCAUUAAGAGAAGCAAAUCAAACCACUUAUUUCAUUGUUGCAUCGUUCUAUAAGCUAAAAUAGCAAUAUAAUACAAGAAAAAGAACAUAUAGAUACUUGGCAAGAGUUCAUUAAGAAGUCGCAUCACAUUCGGGUGAGUUUGCUUCUGAUAUCUUGCUAGCUGGGGCUUUUUCUUGUCUUUCUAUGUAUGCCGAGGGAAACCAACCAGCUUGGCCCUUGCAUUCACCUUCCGACCAUCCAGUAGGAGCCACCUUGAGAAGUUAUAACUAAAACAGUGAAUUAAACAACAGUUGACCAUUCAAAGACCUAAGGGGAAAACUAAUUCUUUUACGUAGGAAGAGUGAAUUAAUUCUGAUCACUGAAAUAACAGCAUAACUAUGGAAGCCUAAAAAGAUAUAAAUUCACACGUCUAUAAGGGUAAACUGGGUGGUUUAGAACUGAGCUAGCAACCCUACCAUAUUCUGAUUUGCACUUCAAUGUAAAAGGGAAUAUAUGGUAUGAAGAAAGAAAACCAACCAUCAUUUGUUAACCCAUUGCUUUUCAAUCAAAAUUUUAAGAACAAAAUGCCAUGUGCUUUGAACAUCAAAUAAGUAUAAGCAUUAGUUCUAAAUUCCACAUAUCAUAAGUUAGAAGGAUAAGUUAAUAGCAUAGUAGAAAAAUCUGUGUUGUUAUUUAGAGGGGAAAGUACCUGGCGAACCACAACAUAAUCAUCAAUUGAAAGACUUAACUCUCCAUUUGCUUGAGCAUCAAAUGGAUGUAUAACCUGCAAGAUAAUGGGAUAAAUAGAACUUAAUCUCAAAAAAAGCAUAACAAAAGCAGCAACAGUAUCAGCAGCGUUCAUUGUAACCACUAUGAUCAUGGCCAACAAAGAUAUAUUAGAAACAAAAUUCCAUUUUUACUACGGCAUUAAUAUGCACUAUAUGAUAUCAUGACGAUUGGGUUACCAAGAGCUAUCAAAGUCCAAUAAAUUCUGUAUAACUUUAUGUAGUUAUUCAAAUUAUGGAUCAGAUUUUAAAUCUGAAAUUUUGACUGCUCUCCACAAAACAUGGCCUAUGCACAAGAAGGUCAUAGAUAAUGAGGAUUACAAGUGUUUGACAUCUUUAGAGUGAUGGAUUUAAGAUGACAGCUUAUGGUCAGUCAAUUUCCUCCGCCUAGCAAUAUAAGCUUUCUCGGCCGGAUUUAUCAUCAAAUAUAUAGAUUGCCCCCAAGUCACAUCCAUAUAAACAUAGUUUUUCUAGGUAAACCAAGUAAGGAGAAUCAUAAUUCAGACAUAAUCAUAAAAAGGCCCAUCUAACUUAAGAGAAAAUCUCAAAAAGAGGAAUGUUGAGCUAUCAUUCUUGUAUCUAUAAGCAAUAUCAAGACUUUACAUCACCUGCUACAUCGUGAGUGGCUACACAACUUUCAGUGGUUUGUCUUUCUUUGGCAUGCCUAACUCAGCUUUGAUGUUGCUGAGAUAUUGAUGGUAGAGACACAUGAUACUUCUAGCUCAUGCAUUCUAUCUAGCUCAUUCGACAGCUAUCUCUUUUUUAAUUCAUUAGUGUUUGCUAAACCUCAUGCUUAAAAAUCAUGCUGUUCUAAACAAAGUUUCCUAAGAAUGACUUCCUCAGCACCACACUUAGACACUUUUAGAGCAAUUUUAUUUGGGGGAAAAGAAUUUUCAAGGUGUUAACUAAUAAAUUUUAAAAAAUAAUUACAAUUUGUCCUACGAUUAUAUGACAAUUUAUCUAGGAUGAAAGGAUACAGACAGACAUCUUCCACUUUCAAGACUAAUCACUACUUCCGUAGAUGUUUUGCAAUAACACAAAUACUUGACCAGAUGGUAGUGAUGGUAGAAAAUAUUUUAUUGCUCCAAAAUUAAAAUAAGAAUGCAAUAUGUUAAGCAAAAGACUGUGCAACAUCAAAUUAAUUGAUAAGUUUGUAAUUCAGUAAAUUAACAACUUUCAUGGUAAAAUACAACAAAUUUCUUUUCAAAAAAUUUUUUUAAAAGACAGCAUUCAAUUUUGUGCGCAUCUUAUUUCUUAAGAUUUUCCAGGAGGGCAAUAGAGGGACUUUCACCUAUGCAAGAGAGCAGAAGCCUUACUUUCGCUAUAAAGUAGACGUCAUUCUGAUUAAUAUGCGUUUGCAAAUCAACUCCAUUUGAAUCAGUAUUCUGAUAGACACAUGAGGCAUUUACAUCCAUUUCCAAAGUCACAUGUUGCGAGGAGGACUCAUUUGAUUGCUCCUCUAGGAUCAUCUAAUUCAAGUAGCAAGGGUUGGAAGAGAAUAAAAAGUCACAAUUAUUCUUUUGCAUAAGUGAGACGAAAAUGAUAAAUGCACUAUUAUCAGCAGUAAACAAGAAGAGAACACUCCAAGGAAUAGAUAGAUGCGGACAAGCAAGUUAAAAUGCACAGUUCCAAACCUCCGCAUACAACUUCUCUGAAAUAGCAAUAACGUGUUGAUGAUAUGUUUUCUCAGCAUCUACCUUUAAAGGCCCGAGACCAGGAAAACAACAAUAAAACCACUAGCUAAAGGAGAAAGUAAAGAAAGAAAUACACUUGACAUAAAUCUUGACAAGAAGCACAAUUUAAGACAUAACAAACCCCAAUCAUAUUGUUUAGGACUACCAUUCGUUAUUUCGUUAUUGUAGCAUUUAGAACAAGUGUUGACUUAAUUCAACAUUGUUGGAAAGAUAGGCUUUUAGAAGCGGAAGAAAGCCACUCAAACCAAAGUGAUUGCCCUUGAAUUGAUCAAGGGAUGUAAACAUAUUACAUUUCCAGGAUGAGUUUUAAUCACUCCCCUGAUUUAUUUGGGUUGCAGUAAAACUAAGCGAGCAACUGUUUGACUUUCAAGCAACAUCUAAAUCAGCUAUUAAAAUUCAAAUAAAAUCAUAAUAGAAUAAUAACAGGCCAUCUUGCAUCAAAAAUUAAGUUUAAUUUGUGAAUUGUUUUCUAUAGACAUGUUAGUUCCUGCUAUUGAAAUGUUAAAAGCAUUGAAAAAUGAUUCAAUAAAUUAUGCAAACAUUAAAAUAGAGGACAUAUUAAAAAGUUUCUAAUUACAAUGUUAAGAUUUCCUAUAUUUUAGCAUUUGCAUAUUUUAAUUUAUGUAAAAGCUACGUCGAUCAACUUUGGGCGUGAAGAUUUUAGCUUCUACGAGACUUGAUUGGAAUAUGCAUAAGGAAGAGUGUUAAAAUAUGAUGCAUCCAACGAAAGACAAACCACGUGUAGUCUUUUAAUUAAGCCAAAGUAGCAGCUCAAACAAAUGACACUUGGACCAACAUGCAAUCAUGAAGGGGCCGGAAAAAGGACAAAUGCAACUUUGGCUUAAAUAAAAAAUAACAUGUGACUUGACUUUUGCUGGACAUGCAUCAUGUUAUUACAAGACAACAGAAAUCAGUAUGAUAGUACUAAAAGUUGACAAUAACAUGAAGAUAAGAGGCAGAAUAUCAACACAUGCAUAGGCACACACAAGGAAGUAUUAACUUAUAUACCAUAGCAAAAAGUCUUUGAAAUAUCAAUAAAAAAAAAACAAUUAAUUAAAGGUCGAAGAUGGGUCCUUUACAUAUGUUUUUGUUUUCGUAUUAGGUAGGAGGUUAUUAUAUUAUAUCAUGUAAUUAAUUUAUAUUAUAUCAUAUUAUAUCAUAUAUAUAUGAAAAAAAAAAAGAAUUUCAAAGAGAUAGCAACAUACAAUAGACUGAAGCCAUUUGAUCUACUCAUUGAUUUCAGCCUUAAACUUGUAAAUACUUACUGUACGCUAGUGCUCUAAGAAGUGAAAAUGAUGCAAACCCUGAUCCCCUUUUGACUUCCAUUUACUGUCAAAUAUUCUAUUCAUACGAAAAAAAUGUUUAGAUAUCUUACUAUAAAUAUAGCCGUUUGACUGUCUUAAUAAAGUCACACACAACCAUUCUUAUUAAAUUAGCAAGAUCAAACACUGCCCUGGAUCUUGAACAGAUCCACGCAAGUUGCACAACUUACGAUUGAAUCCGGCCAGAAAAAAUCAACUCUUUAGCAAGAAAAAUUAAUCAGAGUCAAGAAACAAGUUUAAUGAAUAUAAACCUAUAAUUGAAACAAACAUAGCCAAGAAACAAAUAGAGAUUUUACAUGUUUCAGUUGUACCAAGGAUGGCACAACCUACACCACGGGAGAAGCUUUCUGGUGACCCCAAUCUGCUUAGUUAAUAAUAGAGAUUUCAGAGAAUAAGCUAUAACCCUCUCUCCCUCUUCAGUCUCUCUCUAUUUUGUUCCCAUUGAUGACCCCAAUCUGCUUAGUUAUCCAGCUUUAUAGCUGCAUCAGUAACAAACCAGCAAACCCAGAUUGAGCAGAUUGACGACACGUGGAUAACGGCUUUAACGAACCUGGUUAAGAACUGCUCACAUGUUCGUCACGCGUGCUGCUUAAAUGAUGGCCAAAACGACUUCAAACAAAUGUCGUUUUGAGGCUUAUGAAUUACAAGUGAUAACACGAGCUUGUCUCAUGACUUUUAAAUGCAACAACGUGCCCACAACGCCGUCGUUUUACUCUGUUGAGUUUGAUUCAUUACUAAGCUUUACGACUGGCAAUGGAGAAGAUGAUAAUUUAAUUGAUACGGACAGUUUUUAUAUCACUUUUACAACAUCCUAUGCAAUUGUAAUAUUGAGAAUUAUUGAUGUUUUAUAUCCUCAUUGGCAAAAACUAGUGGUUUUAUCUUUGUUGAAAUAUAGAUGACCUCUCGUUACUGUUUUAUUAUAAACAUAUAGUUUCAUAAGUGAAACUAUAUGUUUAUAAUAAAAUUAACAUAUAGUUUCGUUACAUUUCUGCCUCAUUAAGAUUCUCAAAUACCAGUCAGGUUUGCUUAAGAAAUAAAAAUUUUCCAUUAAAAUUGCAGUAGUAUUUCCAAGCAUAUCGCAUUUUCUAUGAUUUUUCAUAAAUUAAUUAAUCUGCGGUGCCAAUAUCAGAUUUAGUUUUUCAAACUAAAUAAUCAAGAAAGCAAACAUACAAAUAUACAUACAAAUAUACUAAGCCAGCUACCUCACUAAAUUCCGAUUCGUACAGUGAACUGCAAGAAAUUGAGAAAACAAUGUAUUUAUAAUUUAAUAGAAUCAUAAGAAAACAAUGUAGUCAUUGCUUAAUAUAAGAUGAUUUCGGAGAGCCACAUUGUUUUCAAGUUAAUUUGAACCGUUUAUAAGAGAUGAAGUGGAAUCAAGUUGAAAGUUUAAAUAACAAAUCCCUGUUCUUGAGUUUUACGACGUCGUUACUCCUUCAAGUGGCAGAUUAUGCAAGUGAAUGCAGAAACAUGUGCAGAGCAUGUCAACAUGGCACAUUUAACCAUCAUUCAAGUGAUGAUGGGUUUUAUAAGACUGCUUAUGGGUUUUAUCAAGUUCCUCUGCCUCUAAGCAAAAAAUUAAAUUCGUAAUUUGUAAACGAAUUUUCCUGACAUGUAUAGUAAAUGAAGUUGUUGAUCCUUUCUUUGGAUUAUUGCAGCUCUGGUUGUGGGUCACCGAUGAGCCAAAGUCUUAUGGGUUUUAUCAAGUUCCUCUGCCUCUAAGCAGAAUUACUAUUGAAGGGCCAAAAAGAAAAUGAAAACGUGUGAACUCCAACAACCACCCCACAAAUUCAAUGACGAUGCUCAGAGACGGUUACGUUGGGCCUCUGAGAAAAAAAAUUUAUUUAGUUAAAAAAUUACCCAUAUUGAAACAUGUAUAAAAAUUUUAUAUUAAUUAGUUAUGUUUCCUCUUCAACUAUGAUCAAAUUCUUAUUCGAGCUCAUUAUUUAAUGAAUAAACGCGUAUUUUAAUUAUCUCAAUUAAUAUUUAGAACAAAUAUUUUAAGAAAUAAAGCUCAUUACAUCUCCCAUCAUUAGGUAUCUCUUUAAUUUCUUAUUUACAAAAUUAUAUUGUACAUUAAAAAUGUAUUGAAUUAGAAGAAAAUAAAUUCAACUCACUCCAAAAAUAAAUAAAAAAUGCUGGUAGCUUCGUAAUAAUUACUGUAUUGACUGCACCAGAUAAAGUUUUGUAAAAUAAUAAGUUCCCAUUAGAGGUUUUUAAAUUUUUUUUUCCGGCACACCUGAUCAAGAAUUCUAUUUUGUUAACUAAUCAAUUGCAAAGCAUAAGUGUUGAACGGUACAAAAAAUUUGAAAAAAACACUUAAAACGUGGGGUGGGUAACGGUUCACUCAAUUCGUUAGGUAGAAUUUUGGAAAACUAAAGCGAAAUGAGAAAUAUAGAAAGAAAGGAAGAAAGUUAAGAUAUGAAAGAUCAGCAGUGAAAUUGAUAGUCAUGUUUGAUUCAUCCUUCUAUGAAUUUCUAGCUGUAUUGACCCCAACUGCUAAAGUUUUGUAAAAUAAAAAAAAAAAAAAACUGGAAUUUCAACAAAAUUCAAAACGUGUGAAAUUUAAUUUUUGGCCAUGUGGAACAAAAUGUAAAUUAAGGAAAAAAAGUAUAAAUCUGAAUUGCUUAGUAUGGUUAGGAUUUUGUGAGCAUCACUAAAAAGUGAAAACUAUGAAUGAUAGAGGUGAUGUUUGCAACAUGAAUAAAUGAUGAACUGAAUCAAUUGAUGAUCGUAAUUAUAUAAAAUUUUACAAAAUCAACAAAAGUUAAUAAAAUUUUAUUUAAAUAAUAAAAAAUCAAUAAAAACUUAUUAUUUUACGACGCUCUAACCAUGGAGUACCAUAAUCAUAUUCUUCUUUUAAGAAAAUUAUUCUAGAUAUUUAAAAGAAAACAUUAUCCACCUGGAAUGACUUGAAGUCUAAAGAAAAAGAGAGAAUGGCUCCCCGCAAUUUUCUUGUCUUCAGUAUAUUUUCUUUUUUUUUUCUUUUUUAAAAUCUUUUGCCGCAUACUUAAUCUACCCUUGUUUAUUAUCUCUACUUUGCUCUGUUCAAGUCCUUUUUUUUUUCAAAUCUUAUUUUAAAUAAGAAAAUUGAAUAAAAGUACAUUUGUGUAAUUAAUUAGUAUCUGGGGGGGGGGGGGGGGGAUAUUUGGUGUAAUGUUUUGCUAUGUAAGACUCAGCUAUUAUUAAACAGUUCCUUAACCUGUUUCGCAGUUUAUUUGCUAUCUUUGUGGAUCUCAUAGGCGUUGCAGAAUUUAAUAAUUUUAUUCGUCAGAAGAAUAGGAUAUUGGCUUCAAUAAAUUUAAUUUAAACCAACUUUUAUUUACUCCAUCAAUUAAUUAAUAUUAUGCAUUUAUUAAUUGUUAUAAUCUAAAAAAAAUUAAUUAGUUCAGGUCAAUCUGAGUUGAUGCAUCUGCAGGAGAUUUUUUUUAAAUUUUUUUUUCCCCUUAUUGACCAUAAUGAUCUAAGGGGUAUAAUUCGACCUUGGUUCUUGGGAAAAAUGACAUCUCCUUCAACAUGACUAUUGACUAGGAGCAUGUAAAAACAUGGAAACAGAAUUUCCACAAAAUGCCAAACGUGUGGAACUUAAGUUUUGGCCAUGUGGACCAAAUGCAAAUGAAGGAAAAAUGAUUUCCCCUGCUUAUGUACAAAUAAAGGAACAACCUCGAAGAAAAAGGGGUUACCAAUUGGAGAAGACUUUACAGAGUUUCUCUCACACUCUCUCUGUCAAUUUCAUCUAGAAGUCCCUCUGAAAGCAUCUCCCAAAACAGUUAGUCAUCUUUUAUGCUCUGUUUUCUAGAAACAGAGUCCUAACUAAAUUGAUUGACUGUACAGUGCAUUUCAACAUAGCAUAUUUAACCGUUUUAACUGUUAUUUGAACCGUCUUCAGAGUUAACAUCAACAAACUCAUUCACAUUGGUCCAAUCUUACGGACGAUAUCAUAUGCUUAAUAAUGAACGAAUUGGAUCAGUGUUUUGCGGCAAGAGCAACUCGACACAAUCUGGAUUCAACCUCCUCCUAUCUAACAAGGGAUUUCGAUUUGAGUUACUUUGUGCUCAAGCAAAUUCACAUCAUAGUUUUGAUUCUUUAGAUAUGAAUUCAUCACUUUACAUAUAUCAGAUUAAUGUGUAACAAAAUUUUUAAUUUACUGCGAAAAGAAUAUGCACUAAAAAAUGAUUUCAAGACUAUUUGACUACCAAAAGCAGCUGUCAGAGUGCACUAAAAAUUUCUGUAGGAUAUUUUGUAGCUGUUUAAUAUGUUAUGAUGGGCAUAUAAUUCUCAAAUUUUGAUGCCUCUCAGCGAAAAUCUAUCAAAGUUACAGAUGAUAUCACGUAAAACAUGCAUGGCUCAGGCUCAGGCUCAGGUAAGAAGCCACGGAAAAGGAAAAUCUCACUGUCACGACUCACGUCACGCAUCAUUCAAGUGAUGGAUUUAACAAGACUGCUUAUGUUCUAUCAAAUUCCUCUGCCUCUCAGAAGAUAACUUUUCUGGGCCAAAUUUCUCAUCUAAAGCAUAUUAUGCCCCAAAGUCACAGAUAACAAAAUGGGGCACUACCGAUUAUGAAAGAGAACUAGUAGUUGUCAGAAGCCUAAGUCAAAUUCCGGUAGUAAGAAGAGGCCUUUCUUGAGUUUAGAUUAUGUGUUCGAGUUUUAAUAAAUGCCUGAGUUAAUAAUAAUAACAACAGUAAUAAUAAACUAAAAAGCAUAAUUACUAUUGAAUGGUAAAAAAAAAAAAAUUGUGUGAACUCCAAUAACACCCCAGUGGCGAAUUUUGGAGAGGGCUAGGCCGGGCUUCUUAGAAAAAAAAAAUAUUUAAUUACAAAAUUACCUUUAUUGAAACCUAUAUAAAAAAUUUAUAUUAAUUAGUUAUGAUGCCUCUUCAAUUAUCAUUAAAUUCUUGUCUGUUCAUCAUUUGAUGGAUAAAUGUGUAUUUAAAUAAUCUUAAAUAAUGUCUAGAACAAAUAUUUUGAAUGGUAAAACUCAUUAUGUCUUGCAUUACUAGAUGUAUCUAUAAUUUAUUAUUUACAAAUUAUAUUGUAUGAUAAAAAUGUAUUGAAUUUUUUUUUUAAAGUUCGGCUCACUCAGAAAAAAAAAUGUUAUUAGACUCGCCACUGCACAAACCUAGAAUAAUAAUUAUUCCUUAUUAUAUUGACUGCACCAGGCAAUAAACUAAUAAGUUCUCAUCAGUGGUUUUUAAUCUUUUUAAUUCUUUUUACCGCACACCUGAUCAAGAAUUCUAUUUUGUUAACUAAUCAAUUGCAAAGCAUAUAUUAGUGUUGAACGGUGCACAAAAUUGAAAAAACAAAAUCUUAAAAAACGUGCGGACUCGGAUAGCCAGACCAGAAAUCUAUGACAAUAAUUAGAUUUGAUGCUGGGAAUCUAUUAAUUUCUGGCCGUAUUGACUCCACCAGUGAAGUUUUUAAAAUAACAAGUUCCCAUUCUCGGCUUAUAAUAAUUUUAGAAUAAUGACUUAUUUGUAGAAGAAUUUAUGAUUUCCCAUUAAUAUCAAUAUUGAAGUGGCAUGGGUCAAAUCUCAAUUGCUUGAAGAAUCUAUUUAUUAUUAUUAUUAAUAUUGAAAUGGGGUGGGUAACGGUUCACUCAAUUAAUAUGUGGGGAAUUAAAUAUUACCACCCAAGGUAGAAUUGUGGAAAAUUAAAGCAAAAUGAGAAAUAUGGAAAGGAAGGCUGAAAGUAAGGCAUGAUGAAAGGCUUUGAGAAGGCUGAAGACCACCAAAUAAGUCAACUGAAAGCUAGUUGGGGCCUGGUAUAUAUGUUAGAUGUGUUUGUUAUAAAUAACAUAGAGCCCUUUUGUUAGCUAUAGCUAUGGAGACAGAGAGAGUUUGUGUUUUUUAGUAGUUAAAGAUAUAGCUAGAAUGGGUGGUUCAAAAUCCAAAAUGGUGACAACGUUAGUUUUGUUAUUAAUAAUAUUAGAAGGGGGUGAAGUGAGGAAUGUUUGGAGCUUGAGAGAUUUGCUCUUUUGCGGCUUAAGCAUUUCUUCAAUUCUCCUUAUAGACUUUAAAACUAGGUAGACGAGCAAAGAGAUUGUUGUCAGUGGGAAACCGUUGAGUGCAGGAAAGUGAUACGACUACAUCUUAGUCUUACCAGGAAUAUCGAUCUGGGAGAGUGGUCUCUGAAUGCUUCUCUAUUUACUCUCUUUCAACAACUUGGCAACAAAAUAGCCGGUUGGGUUAAGAACGAAGGUCCUUCAUUUAAUUUAAUUUACUUAAUUUCUCCCUCUUAAUUAAUGUCUAUAACCAUUAGGAGAAAUAAGGGAUUUUAUUAACUCAAAUAUGUCUAAUGGAGCUCAUUCUUUGGUUUUACUUGCAGGUCUAGAAGCAGGUGUGUCAUCUAACAGCUGCUUUGAUAAUUUCCCACACCUUCAUCUUUGAUGGAAAUAUGAAAUAAAAACAAAUUGGUGAAAAUGGUAUUGGUACCUGAGGCCAUGUAAUCUAUUUCAAAAACUACACCAUCAAAACGAUUACAUAAGUCUCAGAAGAAUCAAACAUCAGUUUUGCAAAAUACCAAUUGCUGGAGGCUAGAUUCUAACUUCCCCUCUUGAUUUUUAUGGGCAUGUUGUGUCGUACAUGCAGACAAAAAUCAUAUUUUACUUUACUUAUUUCUUACUUUCACUUGCAACCCAAAGUGGCAAGAAAUAAAUAACAUGCUCCGAUUAGCUGGACAAAAGGAUGAUGACAAUCGAGUCGAUAUUAUAUGCAGAGUUUUCGAGAUAAAAUUAUUCCAACUAAUGCAAGAUCUGAAAAAAGAUCAACCAUUUGGAAAAAUAAUUGCAUGUAAGUUCACUUCAAAUUCGUAUACAUAACAAAUUCAACUCAUUUGUUAUUGAAAAGUGCAGGGAAGAACAAUAAUUUCACAAUUGAAAUCAAUGUUUCUAACUUUUAAAUUUUACUCCAUUUUGUGGCAGGUCUAUAGACAAUUGAGUUUCAAAAAAGAGGCUUGCUGUUGUGCAAAUUUUAAUGUACUCGCAAGCGCACGAAUCUAUUGUAGUAUAGAUCAAUGGUGACGAGUGUCGAUCCCACGAGGAGGUGGAUUUUAAUUGUGUAGAAUUAAUUUUGUGAAUGGGUGAUUGGAUUUUGUGGUGAAGGUGACUUAGAUUAUCCUAAAAUUGGAAUUGAAAUGGCGAGAAUAACUUGAAGAGAAUUCUAUUGAAAUGACGUACUUGGGUAUCUGGAUCCGUAUCAACAUGCAUCAUGGGCUAAAUAAUCUGUAUUAAUGCCAAUUAAAUCAUGAGGGGGGAAUCCACACUUCAUGAACCACGCUCUAAUCAAUAUGGUGCUAAGGGCUUAUCGUGCCAAAUAAUAAUAACCUUGUACUAGAGGGCCGGUGAAACCAAGGCGGUACUAGACAAGAUUAGUAUUAUUUAUCGACGAGAAGUCAAAACAUCCACAAAAACUAGAGGGGAAGAGAAAAUAAAUUUACCAAAUUAAGCCCAUGACACAUGUUGAGACUUCACCUUCAACCCAAGCUUGAAAGAAAAUUAGCCACUCAUAAUUGAACUAGGGGUAAAAUGGGAAUUUAUUACAAUACGAAGAAAAUACAAGAUGGAGAGGGAAUUACAGAAAACAGAGUCCAAAAAUGGAUUCAGAGGUAUCAAAUUAGGGGGGGGGAGGCCCCCUUUUUAUAGAUACAUGGAGUAAAUCAUGGCCAUCGGAUUAAAAACAGUUUGGACGCUCAGGAUUGCGCCACGUCAUCAGUCAACAGUCCACGGUUUGACCACGCGGAUGAACAGUAAUACGGUUUGACUCGGAUGAACAGUAACGUGGUUUGACUCGGAUGAACAGUAACGCAGUUUGGUUGAAAAUAAUCCUGUGUGAUGCAUGUACCGUACGCGAGAUUUUUCAUCCACUGAUAUGCUGCCACGUCACCAUCAACAGUACAUAAGAAUUUUAGCCCAACAGGAUCGUGACACCUCAUCAGUCAAUGCCACAUCAUCGGUCAAUGCCAUGUCAUCGAUCCGUCUAUGUGAACAGUGUUGUGAACAGUAACGUAGAUAGUACCGUACACGUGAAUAGUACCGUACAUAUGAAUAGUGCCAUUUUUCCUUUUAUGCUUCUCCUAAGGUUUUCGACCGUCCUGAGUUCAAAAGUGAUGUUCGUUUUGCCGUCUGAUCUCUCCUUUAUUGUGAAAUGACUAUAAUGCCCCUAAAAUACAUAAAAUACUUAAUUAAAAUAAAACACAUGUAAUUAAAUCACAAGAAGGUUAAAUACAUAAAAGUAAGGGUUGUUAGUAAGACUUGAAAUGUAAAAUGACGGUUUUCUCCUUUAUAAAUAUGCAUUUUCUAACACUCAACACACCCCCCAACCAGCUUAUUGCUAGUCCCUAGCAAAUAAAGCGAAAACAAAAUUUAAUUCAAAAUAUUUUUUUUUUUUAAUAAAAACACUCGUAUUUAUUCCAUCAGAUUAAUGAUAGCAAUCAAAUAAAAGUAUAAGCAUUAUCUCCAGUCUAAAGCAACAUCACACCCACAUCAACCAUCCACAUGAAUCAGCCCAGUAGACUUUUUUAUAGCUACUUUCAAGAAUGACAUGUCAAACCCCAAAAUCUCACUGGAAGUAGUGACACUCUCACAAAGAAAUUAAAACCAAUAAAAAUAGUCACUCCAAUGAAUGGUAAUUGAGAGAGAAAAUAAUAAAGAAGUGAUAUCACAUGCUCUCACCAAGAUGAAAUAAAUAUGCCCUUAGCUUAUAAAUAAUACGAUCUCAAGUCAAACAAAAAUGGUAGUCAACCCAAUUUAUUUAUCUUUUAUUUAUUUAUUUUUAUUAUGCACCACUACAUCUUUUUAGCCCAUAUAACUAGCUUCUACUUCAAACUAUAGUUCCCUAAAAUCAAGAAGGACUUUUAUUAGGACGUAACGUAGGCUAGGGAUAUGGCUAACAAAGAAAGGAAAUAAGGAAAACAAAGUGUAUGUUUGAGAAAAAUGCAGAGAAUUUUUUUUUUUUUUUGGAAGUUGCAAGGUGGAUUUCACCUAUUUUUAUUCUUUUGAAACAACAACUUUUGUUUUUGUUUUUUUUUUUGCUUUUAUUUGGCAUAACUUCACUGAACAAAAUAAUUAUUUACAUUUUCUCAAACAUAAAUAGGUGAUGGAACUUAUAAGAUAUCGGGUAACACUCCAAAUCGGAGUGGGUCAAGAUGAUAAGUUGACAAAGAAAAUGAUUUUUUUUUUAAAGGCUCAAAAUGGUUAACUAUGGAUAUUUAAUAAAAGGGAUGGCUAGAAAGGCUCAAACGGAUCAAAGAUGGCCUUUCCAUCGUCUUUUAGGGCUCUAAAUAAUCAUCCAUAUCUACUAGUUAGAUGGGCCUCCCAAUGUAGCAACACACAUUUUUUUUUCUUUUUUUUUAUUUUACCAUUUUUUUUUAAGGGUUAACGCAAAAGAAAUCUAGAGAUCGUGUAUAAAAUAAUAAACUGUUAAGCUGUAUAAAGAAUGGGCAAAAGGGUUACUCUCCAAGAAAAAUGAUAGGCUCAAAAACUCACUUAGUACUUAUUAUGACAUGUUCAUUCCUUCAAGCAACUCAUAUAUGUCUCCGACAUCAACAUGUAGAGUAGCAAACAUAAUGUAACAUCACUUAAGACCAAAGAUAAUACAAAUACUAAAAUUUGAAAUUAAUCAUGUCAUCCAAUGUUAAAACAAAUCACACAAUUUUUAUUUUUUUAAACAACAUUCUACCCCCCAACCUAUUCUAAACAUGAAAGGAAAAAUAUGCAUGCAGGAAUGUGAAAAUGAUGCAUAAAAACUAAUUAAAAAAAGUUACACUUAAAAUGAUAGAAAACGAAAAUGGGUUUUUUUUUUUUAACUUAGAAGAUGCGUUUCUAGAGGCACUACUCUCCAUAUUCAGCCAUCUUCGACUCAAAAUUUUGAAAAUAUAUAUUUAUAAGGAGAAAUUAAAAAGAAGAAGAAAAAUAAACAUCAAAACAUAAUAAAGAAAAAAAAAAUGUCUGAAUUUUUUUUUUUAGUUUUUUUUUUAAUUUUUUUUUUAAAACGAUGAAGAUGCGUUUCUAGAGUCACUACACUCCAUAUUCAGCCAUCUUCAACACAAAAAGUUAGCAACAGUUAGUUUCUACAACAAAAAAUUAGUAAAAACCUAACCAAAAUUCCACAAUUGUCGACUAUUCCCUCCCCCCAACCAGAAUGAAACAUUGUCCUCAAUGUUUGAAAGGAAAGAAGUAGAGUUUAGAAGACAUCACCUGGGUGGUGCAACACAGAAGAAAAUAUUUACAGGCGGAGAGUUAAAUCUAAUUUGUACUUCUUACUGCUGCUACUGUUACCAUCAUUAUUUGGACGCUCCAACACAAAGGUCCAGGGGUCUGGCUCCGGUCUAUAAGCUUGUAACAGAUCAAGUAGCUCAUUAGCAGUGUGAGCACAAAUAAAGAGUUUUUUCACAUUAGCGGGAAUGAAAUAGUUUUUUAUUGCAUGGUUAAGAAAUGCGAUAAAGCCAUCAUAAAAGUUAUUGACAUUUAACAAACCGAUGGGUUUCUGGUGGAUGUGGAGAUGGGCCCAAGAUGCUAGUGUGAUAAGUGCCUCUAGUGUUGCAAGAUCUCCUGGAAGGAAAAUAAAAGCAUCAGCAUGAUUAAGCAUUUCAGUUAUUCUUUCUUGCAUACCUGAGACAACUAACUCUUCUCCAGUUGAUGAGUCAGACGAACUGCCCAACGGUUUUAGGACUCUUGGGAUGAUGCCUAACACUUGGCUGCCUCUGAUUAAAGCUGCUUCUGAGACCAUUUUUGAUAACCCUCGAUUACCUCCUCCAUACACCAAGUGUAAUUUUCUCUCUGCUAUACUUCGACCAAGAUCUAUGGCUGCCUCAACGAACUCUUUAUGUUUGCCAUAGGUAAAUCCGGAAAGCACACAAAUGUUCUUGAAUUGUCUAUUGGGAGUAGCUACCAUUGCGAUACUUCUCAAAAACAAUUUGUGAGUGCUUGACAAAAGAUAUCACAUUUAAGAGUCUUGGUGAUAGUGGGUCAUGGUUGUGUAUGAGGUAAUAUGUCAGUGUCAAAUAACGCUUAAAGCACGUGGCUCGCAAGUAAAAAAGGAAACAGUAAAAAUGAAAAAGUAAACAGUAAUAAGAAAAAAGCAAACAGUAAUAAAAUUAUUAAGGACAAUAAUACACACAAUAAACAAUAGUGAAAUAAAAUAACAGUAAAGUGAAAGGAUAUUUACAGGUAGUUGCGACUGUGGCUCACAUCUUCCUCUGGUUUUAUGUCCAGAAAUGGCUUGAACGCCCUCUAUGGGUCGAGGAUAGGCUUCCUAUCCAGUUUUCUUAUAAACUGGCAAACAAGGUCGUUUAUAGUCAGAUUCCCAAGACUAUAUCGUGCAUGCUCUUUCUGGAAUAAUGGCCAUAACUGGAGAAUCGCUCCUUGCACAUAUCCACUGGGAUGCGUUUCAAGAGACAAAAGGAUAUCAUCCAAUGACUCCUUAUUCAAGCCAUCCCUAAUGAAUUGAAUCUUAUCUUCCCUGUUAUCAGACAUCAUUCCUAAAGAACAUGGGUUUUUAUUGCAACUCAUUCUGGCACACUUAUGACAAGCAACAGAAAUUCUUCGAGCUCGUCGUUUUCUUGCAUAAUUUCCUUUACCACAACCAGGCAUGUAUGUAAUAAAUUUUGGAGGUAACUCACCUGCCGAUCGUACUUUAGCCUCAAUUAACCAACGGAUGUCAGCAGGUAUGUUAUUCCUCAUAAGUAAUCGCAUGCGUUCGGACCGAGCUUUAUAGACCGUAAGGAGGGCAUUCUGAGGAAGUGAAGGGAAUCGCUUGUGAAGCUUCGCUAGAGUCUCGUUUCUGUCCAUACUUUCGCCUCAGAAUAUCAGUUAUUAUGGGAAACUGAAGUAACCGACUUGAUUGUCACGGAGUACCGUUAUCCGCCACUUCACCGGGGUAACAAACUAAAGCACACAAAUAGAAAAAAAAAAUUAAAACACACAAAGAAAAUUAAAAUCGUCCUCUUAUUGAAUAUACCUCAAGCUCCAACUGGAUGUCGUAAACACUUCUCUCAAUGUCUCUGAGUUGGAGUUCUAAACCCUCAACAUAGGCUACUAACUCUGGUGGUUGUAGAGCCCAAAUGCGUUGUGUUUUACAAAAUUGAAUCUGCCUUUUGAGAUGAGUUUUGACACGUUGAAGUGGUUUAAGAAUGUUCAGGAGGAACGGUCUAAGUAAUGUACUCAUGAUUAAAAAUGAUAAAAGAAAACAUACUAGUUAAACAAAUACACUUAUACAAAAAUAAUUUCAAUUAGCAAAAGAAUAAUAUAAAGAAAGAAAGAAAAAUCAAAUCAACGAAAAGAAAAAUCAAUUCAAAUCUGGUGGGUCACUCAAAUUUAUUUCGGUGUCUUCUCCAUGUGAUUGGUAUUCUAGAUAUGGCUUUAAUCUUUGACCAUUAACUUUAAACGUGACACCGUUCUUUGGGUCCUUAAUUUCAAUUGCCCCAUGUGGAAAAACAGUAUGAACAAUAAAUGGGCCAGACCAACGAGAGCGUAACUUACCUGGGAAUAGGUGCAAGCGAGAAUUGAAUAAAAGCACUUUCUGACCUGGAGUGAAAGAUUUUCUCAUAAUUUGCUUGUCAUGGAAGACUUUCAUUCGUUGCUUGUAAAUCUUGGCAUUUUCGUAUGCAUCAUUGCGAAUUUCUUCAAGUUCUGCCAACUGUAAUCUUCUUUCUGAGCUGGCUUGCUGCAUGUCAAAAUUGAAUUUCUUGAUGGCCCAAUAUGCACGAUGCUCGAGUUCCACAGGUAGGUGGCAAGCUUUUCCAUACACUAGCCUGUAGGGUGACAUCCCAAUCGGGGUCUUGAAAGCCGUUCUAUAUGCCCAUAAGGCAUCAUCAAGUCUUAAUGACCAAUCUUUUCUGUCUGGCCUCACCGUCUUUUCUAAUAUGUGCUUUAUUUCUCGAUUGGAGAUCUCAACUUGGCCACUGGUUUGCGGAUGAUACGGAGUCGCCACUUUGUGUGUGAUUGAAUACUUUGUCAAAAGAGAUUUGAAUGCUUUGUUACAAAAGUGGGCACCACCAUCACUAAUUAUUGCUCGAGGGAAUCCAAAGCGCGAGACAAUGUUGCUUUUCAAAAAUCCUAUCACCACCUUGUGAUCAUUAGUACUGCAUGGAAUUGCUUCUACCCAUUUGGAUACAUAGUCAACAGCAACCAAUAUGUAUUGAUGGCCAAAAGAAGGGGGAAAGGGUCCCAUGAAGUCGAUACCCCAUACGUCAAAAAUUUCAACCACUAAAAUUGGAUUUAAUGGCAUCAUGUUCCUUCGUGUAAUGCUCCCCAUUCGUUGACACCUAUCACAUGAAGAACAAAAAGUGUAAGCAUCUCGAAAUAUAGUUGGCCAAUAGAAACCACAUUGCAAAACUUUAGUAGCUGUUUUCUUAGCACUGAAAUGGCCUCCACAAGCUUGUUCAUGGCAGAAUGAAAGGAUAUUCUGAAUUUCAUUUUCUGGGACACAUCGUCUAACAAUUUGAUCAACACAAUACUUGAACAAAUACGGGUCAUCCCAAAAGAAAUUCUUUAUCUCUGCAAAGAAUUUAGCCUUAUCUUGCUUGGUCCAAUGCUUUGGAAGUUGACCUGUAACAAGAUAAUUCACGAUGUCAGCAUACCACGGUAAUACUUCCACAUUCAUCAAUUGUUCAUCAGGGAAUGACUCAUUUAAUGGUAAUGGCUCUGUAGUUGUGUCAAAAUGGAGACGAGAGAGGUGGUCCGCCACAACAUUUUCUGUCCCUUUCUUAUCUUUGAAUUCCAAGUCAAAUUCCUGCAAAAGUAACACCCAACGAAUUAGUCUAGCUUUUGCAUCUUUCUUUGUGAGAAGAUAUUUAAGAGCAGCAUGAUCCGUGAAUAUAAUUAUUUUACAACCAAUGAGAUAAGAUCGAAAUUUUUCUAAUGCAAACACUACUGCUAGCAUUUCUUUUUCAGUAGUUGAAUAGUUCAACUGUGCAUCAUUCAAUGUCAUACUAGCAUAGUAAAUAACGUGGGGAAUUCGAUCAACUCUUUGUCCUAAUACUGCUCCUACUGCAUAAUCAGAUGCAUCACACAUGAGCUCAAAUGGUAAGUUCCAGUUCGGGGGCUGAAUGAUGGGUGAUGAUGUCAACAAAUGCUUUAAUUUUUCAAACGCAACAAGACAUGAAUCAUAAAAAACAAAAGGUACAUCUUUAGCAAGUAGAUUGCAUAAGGGUCUAGAAACUUUGCUAAAAUCUUUAAUGAAACGUCUAUAAAAACCAGCAUGCCCAAUGAAAGAUCUUACUUCUCUGACUGUUUUGGGUGAAGGAAGAUUAGAAAUGAGAUCCACCUUAGCUUUGUCAACCUCAAUACCUUUGCUCGAAAUGAUGUGACCGAGAACAAUACCUUGUUUUACCAUAAAAUGACACUUCUCCCAAUUUAAGACCAAGUUCUUCUCGAUACAUCUCUGCAGAACUAGUGUUAGAUGAUGUAAACAUUGAUCAAACGAAUCACCAAAGACAGAAAAGUCAUCCAUAAAGACUUCAAGGAAUCGUUCAACCAUAUCAGAAAAAAUGCUCAACAUGCAUCGUUGAAAUGUAGCAGGUGCAUUACAUAAUCCAAAUGGCAUCCUCCUAUAUGCAAAAGUGCUAAAGGGCAAGUGAAAGUAGUUUUCUCUUGAUCUUUUGGUGCUAUGGGAAUCUGAUUAUAUCCUGAGUAGCCAUCUAGAAAGCAAUAAAAUUCAUGGCCUGCCAAUCUAUCAAGCAUUUGAUCGAUAAAUGGUAAAGGAAAAUGGUCUUUACGUGUGACAGAAUUCAACUUUCUAUAAUCAAUGCAUACACGCCAUCCUGUAGUCACUCUAGUGGGUAUCAAUUCAUUAUCAGCAUUGGUAACUACUGUGACUCCUGACUUUUUGGGGAUGACUUGUACAGGACUGACCCAUGAACUAUCAGAAAUUGGGUAAAUGAUACCUGCAUCUAAUAGCUUAAGGACUUCUGUUCUAACAACUUCUUUCAUAUUAGGAUUUAACCGACGUUGCAUUUCCCUAGUAGAUUUAGCAUUUUCAUCGAGGUGAAUGUAAUGCAUGCAGUCUACUGGAUUUAUACCUUUUAUAUCUGCUAUGGUCCAUCCUUAUGCUCCUUUGUGCUCUUUUAAAACAUCCAACAACUUACCUUUUUGUUCGUCAUUUAGGGAUGAUGAGAUGAUUACCGGCAGAGUACUUUCUUCUCCCAAAAACGCAUAUUCCAAAGUGUUGGGCAAUGGUUUGAGCUCGAGUUUCGGUGGUGAUUCUGAUGAUGGGAUGAGUUUCUUCUCUGAUGGUGCUACUCUUGACUUCCAUUUAUUAGUGUCCAUGGAUGGUGCUGAGUCAAGUAGGGCGUUGACCUCAUCGACCGAUCUGUCAAUAUCAAUAUCAAAAUCCAAACCAAAGUGAGUUAAACAUGUUUGUAAAGGAUCACCACUAAGGUUUGAAAGAAAAGUGUCAUCAACUAAUGAUUCAAUUAAAUCCACAUCAACAAUUCCAUCAUCUACACUGUGAGGUUGUUUGGCAAUGUUGAAAAUGUUUAGCUCCAUAGUCAUGUUGCCGAAGGACAACUGCAUAUUUCCAGUCCUGCAUUGAAUGUGAGCAUCCGCAGUUGCCAAGAAAGGUCGGCCUAGGAUAAUGGGGAUGUGCUUCCUUGAAUCCUGUAUUGGUUGAGUGUCAAUUACAAUGAAAUCAACAGGAAAAUAAAACUUGUCUACCUGGAUAAGCACGUCCUCCACAAUACCACGAGGUAUUUUCGUGGACCGAUCUGCGAGUUGUAACACCACUAGAGUUGGGUGCAAUUCUCCAAGUCCAAGUUUCACAAACACAGAGUAAGGCAAUAAAUUUACACUAGCUCCUAAAUCCAACAAAACAUUCUCAAUUGUGUGGUUCCCUAUACUACAUGAGAUAGUGGGGGAGCCUGGGUCUUUGCAUUUUAAAGGAAUUUUAUGUUGGAGUAUAGAACUAACGUUUUCUGUUAAAAAUGCCUUCUUUUGAACAUGCAUAUUUCUCUUUUUAGUACAAAGGUCUUUAAGAAACUUGGCAUAAGAUGGAACUUGCUUAAUAGCAUCAAGCAAAGGGAUGUUAACACUUACCUGUUUGAAGAUUUCAAGAAUCUCACUUGUGGAUUUUCCCUUUUUUCCUUUAGCUAACCUCUGAGGAAAUGGAGCUUUGGGAACAUAUUCCCGUGGGUUGGUUUCUUCUUUCUCCUCCGGUGAUGAGUCUUCAACAUUCACAGGUACAAUUUGAUUUUCUUUUGUCACCGGCAUCUCCACUUUGUUGUCGACUUCUUUUCCUUUUCAUAAGGUCAUGACUGCUUUGACCUCUCCAUGCUGCUGUGAUGAACUGGUACUUGCUUCAUGUACUCCUUUAGGAUUAGGCACUGGUUGACUUGGAAAUUUGCCUUUCUCAACAGUCAUUGCCAAUGUCUGAACUGAAGAAGCAAGUUGUCCCACCAUCUUCUCGAGGCUUGAAACUGAUUGAGCUUGUGAGUUGAAGCCUUCUCUCAACUCAUUUCGUAGUCCAUCAAUGGUGCGGUUCUGUUGCUCAAUCGUGGAGUGAGUAACAUUCCUGAAAUUCUGGAAUUCAUCCUCCCAUGGUCUAGGUUGAGAGUGGUUCUGGUUCUGAUUGUAUGGUCUAAAUGGUGGCUGAGAGGCUUGAGGAACUUGAGGAAUUUGUUGCAUUGGUGGAGCUGGAGCUGCUGGUCCAUUCUGUUGGAAUCCUUGAGACCAUGAAAAAUUGGGGUGGUCUCUCCAUCCAGGAUUAUAUGUGUUGGAGUAUGGGUUGUAAUUUGAUGGUUUUUUCAUUAUACCUAUGGCAUUGGCUUGAUCUGAGUAUGAGUCAAGGUCAUGUGGUUCAGUUGAUUUAGCAGUCGAUAACGAUGCUAUUUGUCGAGCAAGACCUUCAACCAUCUCCUUGACUUCUUUGAUUCCUGAAGUUGAUUCGCCAAUUUAAACCUCAUUCACUCCUUUAAUUCUUCUAGUAGUCCUGAGUGAUCGACUCCGUUGUUGGGAAUUAUCUGCUUGUCGUUGGAAGAAUUCCCAAAUUUCUGAUGCACUUUUUGACAUUAGCUCUCCUCCACUUGUUGCCAUUAGCCAUUCUUGCACAUUUGGUAGUAAUCCCUCCAAAAAGUAUUGGCAUUGGUGCCAUUUCUCGUACCCAUGAUGUGGACACUUCAAGAGUAGCCCAUUAAAUCGCUCCCAUGUUUCGAAAAAUUGUUCGUCCUCUCUCUGGGUAAACUCCGAGAUUUCCCUGCGAAUAGCAUUGGUUUUAUGCACUGGGAAAUAUUUAUUCAAAAAUUUAGUUACCAUUUGUUCCCAUGAUGAAAUGCUAUUAGCAGGUAAAGUAUUUAACCAUGAACGAGCUCUAUCUUUUAAAGAAAAUGGGAAUAGUCUAAGUUUAACAUUAUCGUCUGAAAAAUUUUCAUAUUUAAAAGUUUGACAAAUGGCAUGAAAAUCAUUCAGAUGAUUAUAUGGAUCCUCAUUUUCUAGGCCAUAAAAUGUUGGGAGACAAUUUAGCACACUGGGUUUUAAUUCAAAACUCCUAGCAGCUACAUUUGGGUAUCUUAUGCAUGAUGUGCUCAAAUUAGCUAAGGGACUGAAGUAGUCCUUAAAUGGCCUCUCCUGUGGUUGCAAAUCCAUUUUAUUUUUAAUUUGUUUGUGUGUGCGAAGUGUUCUUUCUAGUUCAAGGUCCAUAGGUUCAAGAUUAGGUAAUAAUGACCUACGACCAUGCAUGCAAAACAAAUAAAAAAAAUAAAGAUGGGAACAAAAAAAUAAAAUAAAAAUAAAGAAGAGGGAGAAAUUACGAUACUAACCUUAUUGCGCUAUUACAAUCUUUCUAUAAAAAUACACAAAAAUAAAUACGUGAAAUAAAUUAACUAAAAAUAAAUUAAUAAGAUAAACAAAAAAAAAUUACAAAGAAAAAUAAGUUGAAAAUGAAAUAAUAGAAUUUUAAAGAAGAGAAAAAGAAAAAAAAAUACUAACCUUUAAAUGUAGGUUCACUUUUUUUUCUUUUUUUUUUAAGAAAAAAAUAUAUAAGAAAACAAAUAAAAGAUAUUAUUCACACAAAUUAAUUCUAUGAAUUAAAAUUACUUACCUCCCCGGCAACGGCGCCAAAAACUUGUUGUGCAAAUUUUAAUGUACUCGCAAGCGCACGAAUCUAUUGUAGUAUAGAUCAAUGGUGACGAGUGUCGAUCCCACGAGGAGGUGGAUUUUAAUUGUGUAGAAUUAAUUUUGUGAAUGGGUGAUUGGAUUUUGUGGUGAAGGUGACUUAGAUUAUCCUAAAAUUGGAAUUGAAAUGGCGAGAAUAAAUUGAAGAGAAUUCUAUUAAAAUGACGUACUUGGGUAUCUGGAUCCGUAUCAACAUGCAUCAUGGGCUAAAUAAUCCGUAUUAAUGCCAAUUAAAUCAUGAGGGGGGAAUCCACACUUCAUGAACCACACUCUAAUCAAUAUGGUGCUAAGGGCUUAUCGUGCCAAAUAAUAAUAACCUUGUACUAGAGGGCCGGUGAAACCAAGGCGGUACUAGACAAGAUUAGUAUUAUUUGUCGAUGAGAAGUCAAAACAUCCACAAAAACUAGAGGGGAAGAGAAAAUAAAUUUACCAAAUUAAGCCCAUGACACAUGUUGAGACUUCACCUUCAACCCAAGCUUGAAAGAAAAUUAGCCACUCAUAAUUGAACUAGGGGCAAAAUGGGAAUUUAUUACAAUACGAAGAAAAUACAAGAUGGAGAGGGAAUUACAGAAAACAGAGUCCAAAAAUGGAUUCAGAGGUAUCAAAUUAGGGGGGGAGGCCCCCUUUUUAUAGAUACAUGGAGUAAAUCAUGGCCAUCGGAUUAAAAACAGUUUGGACGCUCAGGAUUGCGCCACGUCAUCAGCCAACAGUCCACGGUUUGACCACGCGGAUGAACAGUAACACGAUUUGACUCGGAUGAACAGUAACGUGGUUUGACUCGGAUGAACAGUAACGCAGUUUGACUCGGAUGAACAGUAACGCGGUUUGGUUGAAAAUAAUCUUGUGUGAUGCAUGUACCGUACGCGAGAUUUUUCAUCCACUGAUAUGCUGCCACGUCACCAUCAACAGUACAUAAGAAUUUUAGCCCAACAGGAUCGUGACACCUCAUCAGUCAAUGCCACAUCAUCGGUCAAUGCCACGUCAUCGAUCCGUCUAUGUGAACAGUGUUGUGAACAGUAACGUAGAUAGUACCGCACACGUGAAUAGUAAUGUACAUAUGAAUAGUGCCAUUUUUCCUUUUAUGCUCCUCCUAAGGUUUUCGACCGUCCUGAGUUCAAAAGUGAUGUCCGUUUUGCCGUCUGAUCUCUCCUUUAUUGUGAAAUGACUAUAAUGCCCCUAAAAUACAUAAAAUACUUAAUUAAAAUAAAACACAUGUAAUUAAAUCACAAGAAGGUUAAAUACAUAAAAGUAAGGGUUGUUAGUAAGACUUGAAAUGUAAAAUGACGGUUUUCUCCUUUAUAAAUAUGCAUUUUCUAACACUCAACACUUGCCCCAUGCACACAUACUGCUUUUUUUGCAUCCAACAAUGAAAAAUCCUUCUGCAAACCAUAUUGAUAAAAUAAUAAUUGCAGAAAUCCCUAACUUAAAUGUUGAUCCUGAUGGUUAUAAUGCAGUUAACAAAUUUAUGAUUCAUGGACCGUGUGGAAAACACAAUUCUCACUCUCCAUGCAUGAUGCAAGACAAGUGCACAAAACAUUUUCCAAAAAAAUUCAAUGAUCAAACAAUAGUGGAUACAUAUGGCUUUCCAGUCUUUAAAAGGAGAAAUACAGGUAUUCAUGUCGAAAAGAAAGGUGUCUUCUUGGAUAAUCGAUAUGUGGUCCCUUAUCACAGGAAUUUAAUUGUCAAAUUUGAUGCACAUAUUAAUGUUGAGAUUUGUAAUUACUCGAGACCAGUUAAAUAUUUUUUCAAGUAUGUCCAUAAAGGGUCUGAGAGAACAACUGCAACAAUAGAAUCUAUUGACACUACCCAAGAAAUGGACGAGUGAUGGGUGUUGAAGCCAACAAAAAUAAAUUCCUACUCUAAAUAAAUUGUGUAUAGUGAUUGAGCAGGGUCGUGUCCACAGAGAUCGGUAAUUAUUUAAAUCCUUUUGAAACGUAAAACGUAAAAUGGGGGAAUUGUUGACAAUAAUAAAAAUCAAAUUAAAAAUAACAAGAAUGCAAAUUAAAGUUGUAAUUCAAAUUGGAGAAAGCUCUGGUUGAAGGAAUUAACUCAGCUUGAUUCGACUACUGAUCAUUGAUUCAAAUAUAGAUGAUUAUUACUCAUGAAUAGACUGGUUAUAGCUACUGAGACCCUCUAAUAGCCAAUCUCUCCUUAACUAGUCGAUAACCAAGGUACGACCAUUGGUUAUUUCCCUAAUCAAUAGACAACCCUAGAUACGAUCAUAGAAUUUAAUCAAUUGACAGCCUGAAAAACCAGAGAGACCCAAAUCCUAAUCAACACAUAUGAUGAUUCAUUUAAAUUAGAUUGUUUAUUCUCACAACACAACUCUCUGCUAUGUUAUUUGUCACAAGCAUUAAAUUCUUCAUACGAUGAAUCCUUUAAUUGACAAUAGAUUAAGUUGAUAAUUAAAUAGUGGCCAAUUACCUAAUUAACAAACAUAAUCAUGAAAAUAAUUUAGAGAAUAAACAAAUACCCAAAAAGCAAUAAAACAAUUAAAGCACAAGAAAGAUCUCACAGUAGUGAUGAAUCAAAGCUUCGUUAUCCUUCAACUAGAAAAAUAGGUUUAGUUCUUCAUAGAGAGAAGAGAAAAAUUAAAUCUAGGGUUUCUUUCUUUUUCUCCAAUCCAAAAAAUCCCCCCUUUUUCACAAUUGAUUCCUCCCUUAAAUACUCUCUCUCUCUUCUCUUUUAGAGUUCUAUUUAAAAUAAAAUACUAAUAUCUAAAAUAUUAAAUUCGUAAUUACAAAAAUAGCCAAAAAUAUAAAACACGUUAAACUAAAAACUGCAGGUCCGCAAUUGACAGCACGCGCCCACGCCUUAUCAACAAAGUUCUUCUGCCGCUCAUAAUUUCUCCAAGGGAACAAUCAUCCCUAAACAUCAUCUUGUAGCUCAAUUUUAUCACCAAUCAAUAGAAUUGCACCUACAAAAGUAAAUCACAGGUAAAUCACUAUUAUUAAAUGCAAAACAUCGAUAUUAAGGGAAGUAAACAAUGCAAAACUAGUGCAUAAAUUGCACUCUAACAAAUUCCCCCACACCAAGAUGAUGCUUGUCCUCAAGCAUAUAACUCAAGAUUAAUCUCAAAUUUCCACUCAAUUCUCAUCUCAACUCAUCCAAAAACAAUUUUAAGCAAGCAUACCUCAAGAAAUUAAGUCGUUCAACGUUCGAGAGACAAGGAUUUUAAAGCAUAGAAUUUCGUAAGAUAGAAUAAGAACAUUCAACCACCAAGAAGAUCCAUUCAAAACUCAAGUGCAGCAAGAUUUAAUAGCCCUCUCAAUAACUUCACUCCAUGCACUCAAAGUGUUUAGGGUGUCAUUUAUCCACUCAAAUCAAAUCAAAGAAUGCUAUUACCAUAAGCUUGCUCAUAUAUCACAUCUCAAUCCACAAAACAUGAAUAAAAUGCAAAAAUCUAAGGGUCUUAAAAGGGUUGUAAUGGGGUUAAAUUGGAGAAAUGAAAAAGAAAGGUUUAUGAAAGAAAAAGAGAUCAAAAUGAGAAGAAUGAACUCAUUGAAUGAACUUAUGAUAUCAAAAUGCUUAUUUCUACUCAAGUCACCAAGAAUGUAAAAUUUUUUUUUUCGAUUUUUCUUUUUCUUUUUUUUUCUUUUUUUUCUUUUUUUUUCUUCUUUUUUUUUCUUUUUUUUUUGUUUUUGAUUUUUUUUUUGAAUCAAACAAAAGAAACGAACCUUGCACAAUUUAAUUCAAGCAUAAUGCUUGUUGAUCUAAUUGAGAAACUUUAAUACAAGGUAGAAAAAGCAACAAAAUAUAUCCACACAAUGAGUCCAAAAAUCUCCUUAAAUUGAGGCUCAAAAAGAAGAAAAAUGGUUAAGUCGACGGAGAGAAUUAGAUGGGUAAUGGUUAAGGCUCAAACAAAGGUAGCAAAUAAAGGUCUUCGGGUAGAGAAGGAAAAAAAAAUGCGAGAAUAGAAAAAUGGAAUAUGGUUUGCCCUUAUCAUUUUAAUGCAUAAAAUCCCGUAAUGUGGCUUCAACAUGCAUAAUAAAGCAAGUUCUAGAAUAAACAAAGUAGGAUUGAUAUUCACAUAACAAAAAUAAUUAGAGCAAAGUGGUUGCUCAUAGGCUCAAAUCCUCACAAAGUUGGUAAAUUUGCCAUCAAAUCAUGUACACUCUUCAAAUGAAUCAACCAUCAAUAGUGGUGUAGAAUGAGAAGAAGGUAUGAGUGAGAUGUAAAAGGAAAGGUAAAAAUGAUAAGAAGUGAGAAAGAUGUAUGUAGUAAUAUGAAAAGUGAAAGAUAAAAUGUGAGUGAUGAAAGAGUAUGAUAGAAUAAAAAUAGAUGUAAAUAAUUUGAGAUAGAUGGGAAAAGAGUAGUGAGAGAGAGAGGAAAAGAAAAUUAAUAAUAUAUGAAGCAUACUGCAAAAAUCAUUUAAGGAUGAGUAGAGUGAAAACAAUAAUUUCAGACAUCAAUAAUGCAAAAAUCCCUCCCCCACACUAAGAACUGACAUUGUCCCCAAUGUAAGAUAAUCAAAGCUCACAUAAAAAUUAAAGCGUAAGGAUAAAAGAUUAAGGGCAAAAACUUCCUUGAAUUGUGAGCUUUGAUCCUCAUAACGUCUAUGGGCUUGGCGGGAAUGGUGGGAUAAAUCCCACACUCUUGAAGUAUGCGGCCAAAUUCUGCUCCAUCUUGUCACGGAUUUCGAUUCACGGACCUGGAAUGCAGGUCGUAGGCUGGUUGCGUUGCGAUUGCUGCUCGGCUGGAGCUUGCUUGAUGGACGCGGGAUGGCACUGAUUGUGUUGCGCGCGCGCGCUGGGGCUGCUGGAUCUGCGCGUUGCGUGGGCUGUGUUGUGCGCGAGAGCUGGGCUGACGCUGGUGCUGCGUUGCGUUGCGCGCGCGGGACUGAUGCGCUGCGUGAUGGUGAUGGCUGGAGCUUGCUGCGUUGCGCGUGGCUGGUUUCGCUGGUGGGACUUCGUUGCGCGCUGCUGGGCUGCGAGACACGGGAUGCUGGUGCUUGCGCUCACGGGAUGGUGCGUUUUCCGGCGGGUUGGUUUGCUGCUGGUGUGCUGCAAGCGGCUGGAGAAGAAAACAAGUUCUGGAAAAUUAGGGAUUUUGUGAACAGUGAAUAGUGAACAGUGAUUUUCGAUUUUUGGUUUUUUUUUUAAUAAAUAAAUAAAUAAAAAGAAAGAAAGGAACGAAAAAAGAAAAAGAAAAAAAAAUAAUAAAUAAUUUUUUUUUUUUUAUAGUGAUGAAUCACUUUGAGACACUAAAAAUUUCAGAAGUACUUUUCUAAUAAGUACAUGGGCACGCCUUAUAAAAAAUUUUCUUCUGACCAAAAUAAGCAAACACAUUAAAUUUCAGAAGUACUUUUCUAUUAAGUACGUGGGCACGCCUUAAAACUAUGUUACUUUAAAAAUUACAGAAGUACUUAUUAGCUAAGACGUGGGCACGCCUUAUCAAAAAUUUUCUUCUGACCAAAAUAAGCAAAAUUUUUCUUUUUUUUUUUUGAAUUAAAAUUAAAAGAAGAUAUAACAAAAACCAAAACAAACAAAUCAUUUGGGUUGCCUCCCAAAAAAGCGCCUUUGUUUUAUGUCUUUGGCUAGACACAUUUAUGCAUCAAUCUCCAUAAUUGGGACUCUCGAGAGCCACAUCCUCCACAAUAUUCACCGAAAAACCUUCAUAAAAAGGUUUUAAGCGAUGACCAUUAACCUUAAAAACUUUGUCAGAGGUCGGGCUCCGAAUCUCAACUGCACCAUAAGGAAAAACAUUAGUAACAAUAAAAGGUCCAACCCAACAAGAACGUAAUUUACCCGGAAAAAGUUUAAGCUUAGGAUGAAAAAGAAGAACUUUUUGACCAACAGAGAACUCCUUUCUCAAAAUCAUUCUAUCAUGAAAUGUCUUCGUCUUUUCCUUGUAAAAAAUUUCCUGCGCUAUAGGGUUAAUAACAUCCACAGAAAAUACCGAAUGUUCCUCACUAGGAUAUUUCAUGGCAUCAUUCAUAUUGAAUUCUAUAACCUCUCCAUCAAACUCCAUAGUGAGAGUCCCUUUAUGUAUAUCCAUUUUAGUCCUAGCAGUCUUAAGAAAAGGUCUUCCUAGCAAAAUUGGGAUAGAAUUAGAGGAGUUAUCAUCUUCCAUAUCAAGUACAUAAAAAUCAGCAGGAAAAACCAACUCAUUAACUUGUACUAAGACAUCUUCUAAUACCCCAUCAGGAUAUGCAUUAGACCUAUCAGCUAGUUGAAUUAUCACACAAGUUUCUUUUAAUGGACCAAUAUUCAAAGAUGAAUAAAUGGAACGAGGCAUGACAUUAAUAGAAGCUCCUAGAUCUAACAAAGCCUUUUCAACUCUAACACUACCAAUUUUACAAGGGAUAGUAAACAUACCUGGAUCCUUGCACUUAGGAGGUAGUUUCUUUUGAAGAACUGCUGAAACAUUCUCCCCCAUGUGAACUUUUUCAUCUCCUCUUAAUUUUCUCUUGGAGGUGCACAGUUCCUUAAGGACUUUAGCAUAUCGAGGUAUUUGUUUUAUAGCAUCUAAUAAAGGAAUAUUUACCUCAACCUUGCGAAAUGUCUCAAGGAUGUCUUUCUCUUGUUCCUCCUUCUUGGAUUUUACAAAUCGGCUUGGAAAAGGAGGAGGUAUCACAAUAGGUAGGGGUUUCGCUUUGGUGGGUUGCGCAUCUUGAGAUUUAGGUAUCAAUUCAUUCUUCUCAAGCUCAUCUUCUACAUGCUUUGUCACUUUCUUACUAGGCUCUUGCAACUCCUUCCCACUUCUAAGGAUGACAGCACUAACGUUUUGCUUUGGAUUCACCUCAGAUUGUGAAGGCAAUCUUCCUAAUACUUGAGACUCCAGACGGCUUACUGUAGUCGCCAAUUGACUCAUUUGGUUCUCCAAGUUCUGAAUGCUUGUUGUAGUUGCCUGCUGAAAUUGUUGAGUGUUAGUCGCAAGUGAUUUAACAAUUUCUUCAAGAGAUAUACCUGACUUGGAGUUUGACUGUGGAGGUGUUGGUUGUCUUGGUGGAUACUGUUGUGGGAAUCCUGACGGCCUAAUGCCAUAGCUGAAGUUUGGAUGAUCCUUCCAUCCCGGAUUGUAUGUUUGUGCAUAAGGAUCAUACCUCCUCUGAGGCAUGCCUGGAAAUCCUCCAACUGCAUUGGCUUGUUCAACGGGUUCUUCUUGAAGUGUAGGACACAUAUCAGUUGAAUGACCCAUAUUGUAACAAAUACCACAAGUCUUCACCUGUUGCACAUUACCUACAACAAACUUUUCCACAAGAGAAGUGAGUUUAUCUAAACGUUGUUCAACAGAAGAAAUAUUUACCUCAUUCACAUUCCUUAAGGUGGCAUCUUGUCUGCUGCCAAAUUGUUGUGCAUUGGCAGCCAUAUUUGAUAUCAACUCCCUUGCUUGAGUAGGAGUCUUGUUCACCAACACACCUCCACUAGCAGCAUCUAUCAUACUCCUAUCCAUCAAUGAUAGUCCUUCGUAAAAAUAUUGAAUAAGAAGUUGAUCAGAAAUCUGAUGCUGAGGACAACUGGCACACAAUUGUUUGAAUCGCUCCCAAUACUCAUACAAAGUCUCCCCAGGAAGUUGUCUGAUCCCACAAAUAUCUUUUCUGAUGUUGGCAGCUCUUGAAGCAGGAAAGUACUUCUCGAGGAACUGCUUCUUCAAACCAUUCCACGUUGUAAUCGAUUCAGGAGGCAAGUAGUACAACCAAUCUUUAGCUAGCCCAUCUACAGAGAACGGAAAAGCACGCAGCUUAAUCUGCUCUUCAGUCACGCCUUGUGGCCUCAUACUUGAGCACACAACAUGAAACUCCUUGAGAUGUUUAUGAGGAUCUUCACCUGCAAAACCAUGAAACUUGGGUAAUAAGUGAAUAAGACCAGACUUUAAUUCAAAAUUUACCUCCAAGUCUACAUAUUGAAUGCAGAGUGGUUGUUGAUUCAAGUCUGGGUCAGCUAACUCUCUAAGAGUUCUUUCUACAGGUGCAGGUCUAUCCAUCACUUGUUCUUCUGAAUCGCUAGAUGAUUCAACUAAAUCAGGCACCGUAUCUGUUUCAGAAAGCAAAGGCGACGAGGAUCGUUGCUUAGCUCGUUUUGUCUGCUGUCUCAGCUGGCGAGCUGUCUUCUCAAUUUCAGGAUCAAACGAAAGUGUACCUGUACGAGAAGAACGAACCAUACACCAAGUAAAACGUAAAAAGGAUUAAAUAAAUGACACCAAUCCCCGGCAACGGCGCCAAAAUUUGAUGGGUGUCGAAGCCAACAAAAAUAAAUUCCUACUCUAAAUAAAUUGUGUAUAGUGAUUGAGCAGGGUCGUGUCCACAGAGAUCGGUAAUUAUUUAAAUCCUUUUGAAACGUAAAACGUAAAAUGGGGGAAUUGUUGACAAUAAUAAAAAUCAAAUUAAAAAUAACAAGAAUGCAAAUUAAAGUUGUAAUUCAAAUUGGAGAAAGCUCUGGUUGAAGGAAUUAACUCAGCUUGAUUCGACUACUGAUCAUUGAUUCAAAUAUAGAUGAUUAUUACUCAUGAAUAGACUGGUUAUAGCUACUGAGACCCUCUAAUAGCCAAUCUCUCCUUAACUAGUCGAUAACCAAGGUACGACCAUUGGUUAUUUCCCUAAUCAAUAGACAACCCUAGAUACGAUCAUAGAAUUUAAUCAAUUGACAGCCUGAAAAACCAGAGAGACCCAAAUCCUAAUCAACACAUAUGAUGAUUCAUUUAAAUUAGAUUGUUUAUUCUCACAACACAACUCUCUGCUAUGUUAUUUGUCACAAGCAUUAAAUUCUUCAUACGAUGAAUCCUUUAAUUGACAAUAGAUUAAGUUGAUAAUUAAAUAGUGGCCAAUUACCUAAUUAACAAACAUAAUCAUGAAAAUAAUUUAGAGAAUAAACAAAUACCCAAAAAGCAAUAAAACAAUUAAAGCACAAGAAAGAUCUCACAGUAGUGAUGAAUCAAAGCUUCAUUAUCCUUCAACUAGAAAAAUAGGUUUAGUUCUUCAUAGAGAGAAGAGAAAAAUUAAAUCUAGGGUUUCUUUCUUUUUCUCCAAUCCAAAAAAUCCCCCCUUUUUCACAAUUGAUUCCUCCCUUAAAUACUCUCUCUCUCUUCUCUUUUAGAGUUCUAUUUAAAAUAAAAUACUAAUAUCUAAAAUAUUAAAUUCGUAAUUACAAAAAUAGCCAAAAAUAUAAAACACGUUAAACUAAAAACUGCAGGUCCGCAAUUGACAGCACGCGCCCACGCCUUAUCAACAAAGUUCUUCUGCCGCUCAUAAUUUCUCCAAGGGAACAAUCAUCCCUAAACAUCAUCUUGUAGCUCAAUUUUAUCACCAAUCAAUAGAAUUGCACCUACAAAAGUAAAUCACAGGUAAAUCACUAUUAUUAAAUGCAAAACAUCGAUAUUAAGGGAAGUAAACAAUGCAAAACUAGUGCAUAAAUUGCACUCUAACAACGAGAUCAAAACAUAUUUGGAGUGCAGAUAUAUAUCAGCAACCGAAGCUUGCUAACGAAUCUUCUAAUUUGACAUACAUUAAAGAAAGCCGGCAGUUGAAAGAUUGCCGUUCCAUUUACCGGGAGAGCAUACAGUAAUAUUCGAAGAAUCCAAGUGCUUAGAAAAUGUGCUUACCAUACCUGGAAUAGAAAAAACAAAGUUCACAGAAUGGUUGCAGGCAAACAAGAAUUAUGAUGAUGCACGAGAGCUAACUUAUUCUAAUUUCCCUACAUGUUGGGUAUGGAAUUCAAAAGACAAAACUUGGACUAGGAGAAAAAAUGGCUUAGCAAUUAGAAGAAUUUACUUUGCACAUCCUUCAAGUGGAGAACGAUUUUAUAUGAGAAUGUUGCUCAAUUUUGUAAAAGGAAGCACUUCAUUUGAAAGUACUAGAACAGUAAAUGGAGUGACAUAUCCAACUUUUAAAGCUGCGUGCUAUGCUUUGGGAUUAUUAGACGAUGAUAAAGAAUGGAUCGACUGCUUGACUGAAGCUGCAAUAUGGGCGACUGGAAAUGAAUUAAGACAUCUUUUUGUCACGAUACUCAUUCAUUGUCAGGUUUCUGAUGCAUCCCAACUUUGGAAAUCUAAUUAUACUAGUUUAUCAUAAGGCAUAACUUCAUUGCAAAGGAAAAGAUUCAGAUUGAAAGAUCUUCAGUUAACCGAGCAACAAGUUGAAGCAUACACAUUGUUGGAGAUUGAAACUAUCAUGUUGAAAAUGGGAAAAAGUUUAAGAGACAUAGAUGGAAUGCCACUUCCUAAUUCUUCUUUGAUAAGAGAUUCAGGUAACCGAUUGGUCAAUGAAGAGCUUGAUUAUGAUCGUGAUCAAUUAAAGAAGUUGCAUGAGAAAUCAUUUACUGCUCUAAAUGCUUGCAAAAAAUCAGCCUAUGAAGCAAUAAUGCAUUCUGUUGAGAAUGAAGAAGGGUGUUUAUUUUUUAUCAAUGGACAUGGUGGUACUGGUAAAAUAUUUUUGUGGAAUACAAUUAUUGCAAAGCUCAUAUCACAUUCUAAAAUAGUCUUGCCUGUUGCAACUUCAGGUAUAGCAGCUUUGUUAUUGCCUAAUGGUAGGACAGCUCAUUCGCGAUUUCAUAUUCCUUUGGAUGUGAUAGCAGAGUGCACUUGUGAAAUCCGACAAGGCACCUUAUUAGCUGGACUUCUUAUGAAAACUUCUUUGAUCAUUUGGGAUGAAGCGCCUAUGGCACAUAAGUUCUGCUUUGAAGCUUUGGAUAAGACCUUGAGAGAUAUUCUAAGAACAAGGUAUGAAAAUACUUCUAUCAAACCUUUUUGAGGACUUACAAUAGUAUGUGGUGGUGAUUUCCGUCAAAUAUUGCCAGUUGUGCCAAAGGGGACAAGAGCAGACAUUGUUGACGCUUCACUUAACUCAUCCUACUUAUGGCCAUUUUUCAAAAUUUAUGAGCUCAAACAAAAUAUGAGGCUCUAUAAUGGAAGCAUGAGUGGCUCUGAGGCUGCUAAAAUAGCUUCUUUUGACAAAUGGUUGUUACAGAUUGGAGAUGGUUCAUUAUAUGAUGACAUUGAUAGAGAGUUAGUUAAACUACCUUCUGAUAUCUGUAAGAAACCAUAAAAAAAUCUAAUGAAAUCAAUAGUCGACACUAUCUACCCAUCAAUUCUACAUAAUUACAGUGAUCCAACAUAUUUGAAAGAAAGAGCAAUAUUAACGCCAAAAAAUGAAAUGGUGCAUGAAUUGAACGAGAUGAUUAUGAAUAUAAUACCUGGUCAAGGGAGAACCUAUUUUAGCUCAGACAGUAUAUGCAAAGCAAGCGCAAACACAAAUGAUGAAGAUGUUCUGUAUCCAACUGAAUUUUUGAAUAGUUUGAAAUUCAAUGGCAUCCCUAAUCAUGACAUACGACUUAAGGAAGGUGCUCCCGUAAUGCUUCUCAGAAAUCUAAAUCAAAUAGAAGGCCUAUGUAACGGCACAAGAUUGAUUGUAACUCGUCUUAGUAAAUGGUCCAUUAGAGGUGACAUCAUUUCUGGAACAAAUAUUGGACAAAAUGUCACAAUUCCAAGAAUUGUUAUGUCUCCUAAUGAAUCAAGAUGGCCAUUCAAGCUUAACAGACGGCAACUUCCUUUGGCACCAUGUUUUGCCAUGACGAUCAACAAAAGCCAAGGACAAUCUCUUAAACAUGUUGGCUUGUAUCUCCCUAAGCAAGUAUUCACACAUGGUCAAUUAUAUGUCGCCGUAUCUCGAGUUACCACAAGAGAAUGAUUGACCAUACUAAAUGCUGAUCAAGAGGUAGAAGACCGAACCUUCAUAAAAAAACAUUGUCUACAAAGAAGUAUUUCAAAAUAUUCACACAUUAGCUCACAAAAUCAAGGUAUCACAUUUUUAGAUUAUAUUUUAAAAUUUAAUUUAUACAUUGCAAGCUCUUACUUCACCCUAUAAUAAUGAUUUUUAUUAUGUGUUUUAAUUAUUCAGUAGACAAAUGAAUAAAUCAAAGGAACUAUCGAGACAGCAAAAUGGUAGUUUGGUUGAGUUUUCCAAGCUAUUAUGGAGAAUUUAAUCGCCAAAGAACAUAGUACGUGAAGAAGCAUUCCUUUUUACAUCAACUAUUUCUCCUUUCAUUCUCUCUAAUCCAUGGAGACAUGGUUUAUAUACAGAUAAAGAACAUUUUGGCACUAGGUGUUGCUGAUCCCCAUUGGAACUUGCCAUAGCUGCAAGCUUGAUAUAAACAACUGCUCACCUACGCAGCUACAAACGAUGCAAAAUAACUUACAGAAGUCUUUACAUGUAUUUUACUUAUUUCUUUUAUAAUUCAACGCAUUGCUAAGGAUCCUCAAUUACAAAAUUUAAUUUGGAACUUAUCAACUACAAAAGGUAUAAGGUCUGUACACCUAGACUAUACACGUUAAUAUAUAUAUUUAAAGUUAACAAAAAAAUAGUUAACUUUCAUAAAUAACAUUAGUUUUAUAAGGCUACCUCAUUUUAAAAAAAAUCAAUUUAUAUUUUUUAUCAGUUUUAUUGAGUAUAAAGAAAGAAAAAUUGAUAAUACUAAAUUCAUUUUCUAAAGCCGCGCGAAGCGCGGUUUUAUUUCCUAGUAUAUAUAUAAAGCUGGGACUAUAAGAGGUGAUGUGACAUCACCAUUUCUCAUCUUUGUAUAUUUUCUAUUAUCUAAUAAAUAGAGAAUUUUUCUUUCAAAUUUGGCUUUUCAUCUUCUCAUAAUUAAUUUGAUUGUUAUUACAAUUAUGUAAAUGUUUUAAUGAGGCAUAUUCUUUAUAAUGAACAUCCAAUGGGGAGUGUUAUAAAUUUAUUAAAAUAAAUGUGGAUGUUCAUAACAUAUAUCUCUUAGUCUCUCCACUAUCUCUCAUUAGCAACCUUUAGCUUCUCUGUAACUCCCACAAUCUCACAAGGAAUUAUGAUCCAUAAUUUUUCAUUAAUUUCAUGGAGUGAUUAUGUAACUACAAAAGGAGAGCUCAUCUUUUUGUUUUGUAUACACAAUUGGAAUGAAUAAAAUCACUCUAAAAUAUAUUCUCUCAUUUUAUUCUUUAUCUUGCGUUGCUUCUUUAUUUGUGUUGUUGGCUAAUAGUUUUUUUUUUAUUUAAACCACCCGGUUUCCGACGACCGCAUUGGAUACUUCUACUGCAUUCAACAUUUCUAAUUUUUAUUGGUUGAUAUACGUGUGAAUGACAACACAAUCCUCUGAGGUAUUUUUUUAAUUAUUAAUGUUUGUUAAUCUUUAAGUGUAUAUUAGAAAUUAUUGAUCCUUAUGUUUUAACAUAUUUAUGUUAUUUUCCCAUAAUAUUACAGAUGUUGUCGGAAGUUUAUGUGGUGUGGGUGAUAUUGAGAUUGUUGGAGCUGGUUGGAAAAAAAGACAUAUAAAAGUUCUAAAAGAUUAGCAAGUUGAAUAUAAUUUGGAACUUAUCAACAACUACAAAAGGUAUAAGGUUUGUACACUUACUAUACACAUUAAUAUAUAUAUAUUUAAAGUUAACAAACAAAUAAUUAACUUUAAUAAAUAACAUUAAUUUUAUAAGGUUGCCUCAUCUUUAAAAAAAAUCAAUUCAUAUUUUUUAUCAGUUUCAUCAAGUGUAAAGUAAGAAAAAAUGAUAAUACUAAAUUAUUUUUUUAAAGCCGCGUGAAAUGCGGUUCUAUUUUCUAGUAAUUUAUAAACCGAGGCCGGGCCCCAAGUCUUUUAAUUUUCUUCCUUUCUUUCCAUAUUUGUCGUUGGGUUAUAAACUUCCCCAAUUCUACCUUUUAUGUGCACGUGAAUCAUGACAUACCCCUUGAGUCAUGCUUUCAAGUUAUAAUUCCUUUCAAUCUUUGCCACGGCUUCAAGUCUCAAAAUCACACAGCAAUACAUCAUAACCCGAAAAUUUAUAAAUAAUCAAUAAUAUAUAAAUGUAAUCAUCUAUUGAAUCAGUUCAUUAUUUAUUCGUAUUGCAAGCAUCACCCCUAUCAUUCAUAGUUUUCACUUUUUAGUGAUGUUCACAAAAUCCUAACCAUACUAUGCAAUUGAGAUAUGAUCAAUAACACUUUGAUAACAUAUUUUAAAAAACAUAAAUUCUUCUAUAAAAAGUCAUUAUUCUGGGGGUUAAUUUCCAUAGGUUUCUAUUAGUUAAUUUUUUCCAACUAUUUUUGAUGAAAUUAGAUAGAUUUGCCUUCAUAUUUGGGGCAAAUAGUUUCAGCGAAUCAUGAAUAAGCUUCCACACAUUUUAGAAAUCUUAUCUUUUUUAAUUUUAUACUUUUUCUUUAAUUUGCAUUUUGGUUCACAUGACCAAAAAUUAAGUUCCAUGCGUUUUUCAAUUUGUGGAAAUUCAGUUUUUUUUUUUUGUGGAAAUUUCGGUGGAGUCAAUAUGGCUAGAAAUUCGUAGAAGGAUGAAUCAAAAUACUCAAUUAUUGUUGUAGACUUGUAAGGCAGCUAACGGAGUCCACACGUUUCAAUGUUUGUUUACAGUUCAGCUUUCCCUUUGAUUAGUUAUCAAAAUAGAAACAUGAUUAUCAAUUUCAACUGUAUGUCUUUCAUGCCUUAACUUUCUUCCUUUCUUUCCAAAUUUCUCAUUUUGCUUUAAUUUUCCACAAUUUACCUCCACGAAUUGAUUGACCUGUUACCCACCACACUUCAAUACUAAUAAUAAUAAAUAAAUUCUUCAAGCAAUUGACAUUUGACCCACCCCACUUCAAUAAUAAUGCUAAUGGGACAUCAUAAAUUCUUCUAUUCAAAUAUAAUACUCAUGACUUUGACGGCCGAAACAUGUUUCAUGGCACAAAUAAUGACGGUUUUGUUUGAGGUACGGUGGAGGUGUCUAUUCAAAUAUUUGAAGCCAGCCCCUCGUUUUAUCUAAACCACAAGCAGGCUCAGCCGAAAUUGUUUAAUAUUUUUAUUUUUUCAAGAAACUCUCACUAUAAGGCUUAUGUGAAAAUUUGGUUGACAGUUUAUGUAUUUAAUUAUUUAUUUUACCACACAUGUCAUGUGUAGGUUUUAUUUACCUUGAGCAGUGGUCAAUGCAUUAGACCCAAGAUAAAGUGUGUUGAGGUAGGGGAAUUAAUGAUCGCAUUAGCUGUAGCACCUAUCUUCAAUCUCUAAUUUUAACUUUCUAUAGAUGAAGUGUUUUCAAAUUCCUCAAAUGUCUGUAAUCUGUUUAAUAAUUGAAGAAAGUUAAAAUUCAUUUUCUAAAUUUAAGGUUAAACUCCCAAUAAAAAAUUUUAUUUUCAUUCAAUAUUGUCAUUAGAUGGUAAUCACUUUGUACGAGAGAUUCCAAAAAAUUUGUCUCAUUGCUCCUCACUAGAAAGAUUGUAUCUUAGUGAUAAUAAUCUCUUGGUAGGAUUUCACAAUGGUUGGAUAAUCUUUCAACAUUACAACAUUUUAUAAUGCUCAAGAAACACAUUCUUGAAGGUCUUAUUUCAAUGGAGUUUUAUCAGCUUGAUUCUCUUCAAAUUUUGGACAUUUCAAACAAUAAUGUAUUUAAGAGUUUAUUAUCUUGUUUACAUAAAAAUAUAUGCCUAUAGGCAGGUAAAAGAAGGUACAUUUUUUAAUUACUCUUCCUUAGGGACAUCAUAUCUUAGCUAUAGCCACUUGAAUGAGAUCAUUUCAAGUUGGGUUGAUAGGCUUUCUCAAGCAAGCCACUUCAUACUGACCCACAAUAAUCUUAAAGAUGAAGUAUCUGCUCAGUUGUGCCGAUUGAACCAAUUGCUAUUGAUAAAUCAUGCUGAUAACAGUCUUUCCAGCCAUAUUCUUCAUUGCUUAAACAAGUGAACUUGUUUCAUUGAGAGAGUAGUGAAACAAGGAAAAAAAAAAGUUUUGACUUUUAUCAGUUAGUUGACUGUUAAGUAAAAAGUAUGCAAAUAUCAUUUUAUACUUUAGAUUGUUAAAAACUAAUGGAAAAAUAACGUCAUUUGAGGAUAAAUUGAAAUUUUCAUACUUUUAAAAAGUAAAGUGAAAAUUAUCAUUCUAAGUGUGGAUAAAUUAAAGUUACACUCAUAAAAAACACAUCUAAUAAUUUAUACACCAAGGCAGGCCCAAGUCUUUCAAUUUUCUUCCUUUCUUACCAUACUUAUCGUCCUGUAAUAAAUUUCCACAGUUCUACCUUUUUUGUACACAUGAUUCAUGACAUACUCCAUGAGUCAUGCUUUCAAGUUAUAAUUCCUUUCAAUAUUUGCCACGUUUGCAAGUUUCAAAAUCACAUAGUAAUAUGUCAUAACAAGUCCGAAAAUUCAUAAAUAAUCAAUAAUAUAUAAAAGGAAAUUAUCCACCGUCUAUCCGUUUUUUCAACUUUUUCAAAAAUACACAAUUUUUUUUUUUUUUGCUGGAAUCCACCUGAAGUUACAUUUCUUUUCACUUUUCCACUUCCGUUUGGAAUCCGUUAAGGAAAUUAAGGGAAUAUUGUUAAAUGACUUUUUUACCCUCAAAUGUAAAAGAUAAUUUAUCCAUCGACCACUUGUUUUUUCGUAUUUUUUCAGAAAUACACAAUUCUUAAUUUUUUUUUUGCUGACCUCCACUCGAAGUUGUAUUGUUUUACACCUAUCCACCACUGUGUCGUUGUAAAAUGAUGAUUUACCCUUAUAAUGUUAGCAAAGUUAUAACGGUCUCCAAACGGAAGUGGAAAAGUGAAAAGAAAUGUAAUUUCAGGUGGAUUCCAGCAAAAAAAAAAAAGAAUUGUGUAUUUUUGAAAAGCAGUGAAAAACGGGUGGAUGGUGGAUAAUUUCCCAUAUAUAAAUAUGAUCAUCAAUUGAAUUUGAAUCAGUUCGUUAUUUGUUCAUAUUGCAAACAUCACCUCUAUCAUUCAUAGUUUUCACUUUUUAGUGAUGUUCACAAAAUCCUAACCACACUAAGCAAUUGAUAUUCAAUCAAAGACACUUUGAUAACAUAUUUUAAAAAACAUAAAUUCUUCUAUAAAAAGUCAUUAUUCUAGGGGUUAAUUUCUGUAGGUUUCUAUUAUUUAAUUUUUUUCCAAUUAUGUUUUAUGAAAUUAGAAGAUUUGUCUUCAUAUCUAGGGUACUUAGUUUUAGUAAAUUAUGCAUCACCUUCCACACAUUUUAGAAAGAUGAUCUUUUUUUUAAUUUUAUACUUUUCUUUCAUUUACUUUUUGGUUCAUAGGGCCAAAAUUUAAGUUCCAUGCAUAUGCAUUUUGUGGAAAUUCAGUUUUUAUUUUUUUAUUUUGUGGAAAUUUCGGUGGACUCAAUACGGCUAGAAAUUCUUAGAAGGAUGAAUCUAGGGCAGCUAGCAGAGUCUACGAGUUUUAAUGUUUGUUUACAGUUCAAUUUUCCAUUUGAUUAGUUAACAAAAUAGAAACAUGAUUAUCAAUUUCAACUAUAGUUCUUUCAUGCCCUUAACUUUCUUCCUUCCUUUCCAUAAAUUCUCAUUUUGCUUUAAUUUUUCACAAUUCUACCUUGGAUGGUGUUGAUUCAAAUUUUUUCUCAAUGUACAAUGAUUGAUUUGUGUUUCGGACAUUCUUCUAAAUCGAGUUCUGUGGCAUAUUUUUUUCCUUGAGGCGAGUGUCUCAAAUCAUAUGUCUCCUUGUGGUUAAUUAUUUUGUAAAAAGAAACAAUUAUCAAAGGGUGCCGACAUGCCGGCAAUAACCCUCCGACACUCAAGUUAGUUCUUUUUACUCAAGUUUUAAAGAGAGAGAAUCUAGAGCAAGAUGGGCAGAGUUUUGCUCGCAUUUUAUGCCUUUUUUCCUCUUACUUUCAAAUGCCGGUCUUGGCCUUUAUAUAGACAACUUAGAGUCAAUUGGAGAGAUUAUGUGGCACUUUUCUUGUGACAAGUGUCAGCCAAAGUCCAUGCAUGGCGACAUAUAUUCAUAUGUGUCAAUACUUGCUCAUGACAAAUAAUCUUUGGACAUUUGUCAUGUUUUUGGGCUAUUAACCUUUAAUGGACUUUAGCUUAAAUUCGGCACUUAUAUUGGUUUCUUACAAAGAGGAUUGAUUUUGCAACAUUUUGCCCAUAAGCACAUUCCGCAAAAUGUUUGUUAGCCAGUAGGUGUUGAGUGUUAGAAAAUGUAUAUUUAUAAAGGAGAAAAUCAUCAUUUUACAUUUCAAGUUUUACUAACAAUCCUUACUUUUAUGUAUUUAAGCUUCUUGCAAUUUAAUUAUGUGUGUUUGAUUUUAAUUAAGUAUUUUAUGUAUUUUAGGGGCAUCAUGGUUAUUUCACAAUAAACGAGAGAUCAGACGGCAAAACGAAUAUCACUUUUGAACUUAGGACGGUCGAAAACCUUAGGAGGAGCAUAAAAGAAAAAAUGGCACUAUUCACAUGUACGGUAUUAUUCACGUGUACGGUACUGUUUACGUUACUGUUCAUAAUACUGUUCACAUAGACGGAUUGAUGACGUGGCAUUGACUGAUGAGGUGUCACGAUCCUGUUGGGCUAAAAUUCUUAUGUACUGUUGAUGGUGACGUGGCAGCAUAUCAGUAGACGAAAAAAUCUCGCGUACGGUACAUGCAUCACACAGGAUUAUUUUCAACCAAACCGCGUCACUGUUCAACCCAGGUCAAACCGUGUUACUGUUCAUCCACGUGGUCAAACCGCGUACUGUUGACUGAUGACGUGGCGCAAUCCUGAGCGUCCAAACUGUUUUUAAUCCGAUAGCCAUGAUUUACUUCAUGUAUCUAUAAAAAGGGGGCCUCUCCCCCCUAAUUGGAUAGCUCUGAAUCCAUUUUUGGGAUCCAUUUUUUGUAAUUCCUUCUCCAUUUUGUAUUUUCUACAUAUUUUAAUAAUUCCCAUUUUGCCCCUAGUUCAAUUAUGAGUGGCUAAUUUUCUUUCAAGCUUGGGUUGAAGGUGAAGUCUCAACAUGUGUCAUGGGCUUAAUUUGGUAGAUUUACUUUCUCUUCCCAUCUAAUUUUUGUGGAUGUUUUGACUUCUCGUCGACAAAUAAUACUAAUCUUGUCUAGUACCGCCUUGGUUUCACCGGCUCCGUAGUACAAGGUUAUUAUUAUUUGGCACGAUAAGCCCUUAGCACCAUAUUGAUUAGAGUGUGGUUUAUGAGGUGUGGAUUUCCCCCUUAUGAUUUAAUUGAUAUUAAUAAGGAAUAUUUAGCCCAUGGUACAUGUUGAUACGGAUUCAGAUACCCAAGUACGUCAUUUCAAUAGAAUUCUCUUCAAUUUAUUCUCGCCAUUUCAAUUCCAAUUUUAGAAUUUAUUCUCGCCAUUUUAAUUUAAAUUUUAGCAUAUUCCAAAUCAUUUCCACCACAAAUCCAAUCACCCAUUUACAAAAUUAAUUCUACACACAAUUAAAAUCCACCUCCUCGUGGGAUCGACACUCGUCACCAUUAGUCUAUACUACAAUAGAUUCGUGCGUUUGCGAGUACAUUAAAAUUUGCACAGCAGUAGGCUCGCUCCGUGGAAUGUUUGUUGGCCCGUUGGCACAUUCCAUAAAAUGCAUAUAUUUGCCCGUAUGCACAUAUUGUAGAAUGUAUAUUUCUUCGUAGGCGCAAUCUGCCCGUAGCCGCCAUCCGUAGAAUGUGUAUUUGUCCAUAGGCCUAUUGCAUAGAAUGUGUGUUUGCCUGUAGACCCAUUCCGUAGAAUGUGCAUUUGCCCGUACGCCCAUUUCGUAGAAUGUGUAUUUGCCCGUAGGCUCAUUCUAUAGAAUGUAUAUUUGCCCGUAGGUGCACUCCGAGUAGCUCAUGUGCUCUUAGAAAUAUUUUUGAAGUGUCUAGAUCAUGAACGGACCUAGGUCAUUUUUUGUGAGGAAUGGACCUAGGUCGUUCUUUGUAAAAAAUAGACCUAGGUCCUUCUUUGUUGAAUCAUGCCUUUGGCACUUUGUGAAGACUCGUAAGGAAUGGACUUAGGUCAUUCUUUGUAAGCAAUGAACGUAGAUCAUUCUUUAAGACUUAGGUUUUUCUAUGAUAAAUCACGCUUUUGGCUUUUUGUCGUGUCUUGCAUUUAGACACUUUAGUUAGAAUUGUAAAUACCUUGGCCAUUCUUAUAGAGAACACACAUGGGUUAUUUUAUAUAAAAUAAUUUUAUUGGGCCUAUAUUUUUUGUGGGUUUUGGACCUUUCAUAAUUUGGGCUAACAGAGGCCCCCGAAGUCUUACUUUUCAAUUUUGAGAAGUGAGACUUUUUUUGUACUUUUUUUUAGGCUUUUCUUUGGCUUUUCUUAUUACAAAUUAAAUUUUAAGGCUUGAAAUUUCUCUAAGGCACCUAUCCUAUUAAAAUUAGUCUACAACCAAUCUCACAUACUUCAUUUAAUGAUUUGUAGCUCUCUACAAUCUAUCUUAAUUUAACAAUUAUUGAAAAGUAUAAAAAUAAGGAGUUAGUAAAAGUAUCAUUUAAAAAGAGAUACUUGACUUUUUCUAAAUAGUAUGUGAGAAUUUUCUGACAAUUCUUUGGCGAGCUACUGUUGAAGCUCUUCGAGUGCUCAUCGAUCUAAGAAGCAAUGCCAAAUCUUUUCCUGAAAGGUCAUCUUUGAAACUGAAUUGCUUCAAUGGUAAACAUUUUUGUAGAUAGCGAUCCCAGUCAAUUCUCAUAUAUACUUACCCUUAGGCAUUUUGGUUGAGAUCAACCAAAGCUGUAGUCAACAUCCGCCCUUGGAAGAUUUAGUCAAUAGUUGCCCCUAAGCUUUUUGACAUUGGCUUUAAGGUGUUUCUCGUCAACACUAACUCUCGGACGUUUUUAUCUAAAACAUGUCAUUAGGUGUUUCAGACAAUCAUUUGCCUUUUAAUGUUUCACUUAGAAUAUUUUCCCUCAGGUCUAUUAUUAUAAUUCGCUUGUGGACGGUUUCCUUCAAAAAUUAAUUUGAAGUAAUUGGACCUAGGUCAUCCUUUAAAAGAAAGGACCUAGGCCCUUUUAUCAUAAUUUACUCGUGGGCAGUUUCGUAGAACUUAGCCCGUAAGCAUUCUCUUUAGAAUGAUUUUUCUAAGAAUUGGACCUAGGUCAUUUUUUACAAGAAUGGACCUAGGUCUUUUUAUUAUAAUUCGCAUGUGGGCACUUUUUAUAGAAUACUAAUUCUAAGUGAUUGGACCUAGAUCAUUCUUUGAAAGAAAGGACCUAUAUCUUUUUAUCAUAAUUCAGCCAUAUAUGGUUUCCUUAGAAGAUUAAUUCUAAGUAAUUUGACGUAGGUCUCUUUAUUAUAAUCCGCCCGUAGGCACUUUCCUUAGAAAAUUGAUUUUAAGUAAUUGGGCUUAAGUCUCUUUUUAAAGGAAAUGACGUAGGUCUCUUUUUAAAUUGAUUCUAACUUUGUCACUACUUUGAUUGCAUCAAGUGAUGAAUAAUGUCGUAAUCAGAAUUUUCAAGGGGGUAUUUGGGAAUAUUGCCCCCUUCAGAGUUUUAAAAGCCAGAGAAAGAAGACUUUUUGUAUUGUAUGGUACCAUGGUAUGCCCCGUAUGCCUUUCUUAAUGAUAAAGUAGCAGAUUCUCCUUCAAUUUAAUUUCUUUUUGUUCCAAGCCAAAAUAAAAAAAUUUCUGCUCACUAGCCGUACUCUGUUCUUGAUGAACAUUAGGAGGCAGUUCAAGACAUGGAUUCUCAAAGUCAAUUGUAUCGAUGAUACUUGGGUGUGUAUGACAUUUUUAUUAAUAAUUUUAAUCAUUCAUUGAUAAAUUCUUCUAUUAACAAAAAUAAUUUCUCCAAAAUUAAUUUUUCUACUCGCAGACCAUACUUUGUUCUUGAUGAACAUUAGUUGGUACUUCAAAACGUGGAUCCUCAAGUCAAAACGGUAAAUUUUUUUCAUCAGUGAAUCAUUAACUAAACAAGUGAUCUUAGAUUUCAUUCUUGUGUCUAUGAUAUGUGGGUGUGACUGACAUUUGAGGAACAAUUACAAGAGUGAAAAAGGAGAAUACAUAAUAUAUUCAACCACUAAAAAUAAAAGUCAUUUUUAUUUUAUUCCAUCUUACUCGAAUUUGAUACAACUAGUGGGUGUGUUGUAACUAAUCUUAUUUGUCCCUUUGAAAUAACCGAUAAUAAUCUUAUCACCGAAUGUUUAACAGACUCGUAACGUCAUAACGUAACUACCACGUCAAGCAAACACGUGGACUCAGCCGUGAACUACAACCGCAUAACCGUUACAUAUAUAGACUAGUAUGAAGCGGUGGAGUUAAAGCAAGCGUUUAAGAAGUGAUUUAAGCUGAUGCAAGCGUAAAGUAUGAGACGAAUAAAACAACAUACAAUUCAACAAAAGUCUAACAUGCCCUGUUCAAACUUAUAAUUUUCUACUAUUACCUUACCCGACAAUACAAUCCAAGUAGCUGGCAGCCACACCGCAAACUUCCACUAUCAUCUUCUCCUUUCAAACUUAUAAUUUUCUUUUUUCUUUUUUAUUUUCUGGAAAGAGCUGGCUUUCCUUGAUUUUUGCUUUUUGUCAACAAUUAUUCAUGCCUUUUUAUUUUUCUCCAUCACACUUUUUUUCUUUCCCAACUUCCACGAGCUGAGCCGUCGUCGCUUUUUGAAAGAAACAGUAUGGAAGCUAUCAAGAAACAGGCAAUCAAGCUCCGAGAACAAGUCGCCAAGCAGCAGCAAGUCCGUUUCUUUUCUUUUUUUGUUUUUAAAUUAUUUAGACUUUUAAUUAGUGAAAUUUCUCGAUUUUAUUUAUUUUUCAUUAGUUUUUUAUGGUUUGUACAGGCAGUAUUGAAGCAUCUGCUCCAUCUUGGCAUUGAAAAUGUUGCGGUUGAUAAAGCUGACAUUGAGUGUCACCAACAACUUCAAAAUCUAUACAAUUCCACCAGGGCAGCUAAGGCACCAUCCUCCUUUAGCUAAUAAUAAGACUCUGUUUGAUAUUGAUUUAUUGUGGCUUUUGGUAAUUAGAUAUGAUUUUUAAAUAAUAAUUUUGUCAAAUAUGGUACAAACAACUGUAUUUUCUAGACUGAAGUUGCAAGUAUUUACCAACGGAGCUUAAUGUAUGUUGAACAAUUAUGAUGGUUUGUAUGGUUUUAUCUGAACAAUAAUUUGGAAUAUAUGCUCUGUAGCGCAGCAUUUUCAGAGGAAUAUUGUCCGUGGCGUUGAAGGGUUUGUUGCAGUAAGCUUGAAACAAAUGGAAAUAUGUUGUUUGUUUGCUCUUGCUCUUGUUAUAAUAUUUGAUUUUUUUUUAUUUAUUUUCUUGACUAGUUCUUGUGUACAAUAUUUUUGUAUUCAAAUAUUGUAGCGAGAAAGUUGGCCGAAGAUUGUUGCAAGUAUGGAGCGGAGAAUCAAAGUGACAAUUCUUGCGUUGCAAGAGCUGCUCUUCAAUUUGGCACUUCACAUGAUUUGAUGGAAAAUGAGAGGGAAACUUUGCUUGGGAUUCUUCAUGAUCAGGUUAGUUCAUCCCUAACUAGAAAAUAAUUCAAAUAUAGAAAAUUAUAUGUAAAUUACUACGGAAACUAUUAUCUUCUCAUAAGGAAAUUUAGUUCUAAGAUAUUGAAUAAAAGAAUCCAUUUUAAAGUUACAACUCUGAAAUAUUUAAUGUUUUAUAUUAAAAUCAUUGCUAGUGACAUCCAUGACUUGAUAGUUUUAUUGGUUCAAAUGUUGAAGAGACCUUGUACUUCUUACAUCACUAGCGAAGACUGGCGUGGGACAAGUUAUUGGCCGUGAGUUCUCUCAAUUGACUCCAAGCAUUUUGGAUAAAGACAUUUGCAUCUGUAGUAAAAUCAAAUCCAUGAGACUGAAGGAUGCAUGGGGAAGUCUUACAACCUUUAUUUGCAUAGGUAGAUGCUGAGAAAACAUAUCAUCAACACGUUAUUGAUAUUUUAGAGAAGUUGUAUGCGGAGGUUUGGGACUAUGCAUUUUAACUUGCUUGUCCCCAUCUAUCUAUUCCUUGGAGCGUUCUCUUCUUGCUAUUUUCGUCUCACUUAUGCAAAAGAAUAAUUGUGACUUUUUAGUCCCUUCCAACCCUUGCUACUUGAAUUAGAUGAUCCUAUAGGAGCAAUCAAAUGAGUCCUCCUCGCAACAUGUGACUUUCGAAAUGGAUGUACAUGCCUCAUGUGUCUAUCAGAGUACUGAUUCAAAUGGAGCUGAUUUGCAAACGCAUAUUAAUCAGAAUGACGUCUACUUUAUAGCAAAAGUAAGGCUCCUGCUCUCUUGCAUAGGUGAAAGUCCCUCUAUUGCCCUCCUCCUGGAAAAUCUUAAGAAAUAAGAUGCGCACAAAAUUGAAUGCUGUCUUUUAAGAUUUUUUUUUUUAAAAAAAAAGAAUUUUGUUGUAUUUUACCAUGAAAGUUGUUAAUUUACUGAAUUACAAACUUAUCAAUUAAUUUGAUGUUGCACAGUCUUUUUCUUAACAUAUUGCAUUCAUAUUUUAAUUUUGGAGCAAUAAAAUUUUUUUUCUACUAUCACUACCAUCUGGGCAGGUAUUUGUAUUAUUGCACAACAUCUACGGAAGUAGUGAUUAGUCUUAAAAGUUGAAGAUGUCUGUCUGUAUCCUUUCAUCCUAGAUAAAUUGUCAUAUGAUCGUAGGACAAAUUGUAAUUAUUUUUUAAAAUUUAUUAGUUAACACCUUGAAAAUUCUUUUCCCCCAAAUAAAAUUACUCUAAAAGUGUCCAAAUGUGGUGCUGAGGAAGCCAUUCUUAGGAAACUUUAUUUAGGAGAACAGGACUUUUAAGCAUGAGGUUUAGCAAACACCAAUGAAUUAAAAAAGCGAUAGAUGUCGGAUGAGCUAGAUAGAAUGCAUGGGCUAGAAAUAUCAUGUGUCUCUACUAUCAAUAUCUUAGCAACAUCAAAGCUGAGUUAGGCAUGCCAAAGAAAGGCAAACCACUGAAAGUUGUGUAGCCACUCACGACGUAGCAGGUGAUGUAAAGUCUUGAUAUUGCUUAUAGAUACAAGACUGAUAGCUCAACAUCCCUCUUUUUGAGAUUUUCUCUUAAGUUAGAUGGGCCUUUUUAUGAUUAUGUCUGAAUUAUGAUUCUCCUUACUUGGUUUACCUAGAAAAACUAUGUUUAUAUGGAUGUGACUUGGGGGCAAUCUAUGUAUUUGAUGAUAAAUCUGGCCGAGAAAACUUAAAUUAUUAGGCAGAGGAAAUUGACUGACCAUAAGCUGUCAUGUUAAAUCCAUCACUUAAAAGAUGUCGGUCACUUGGAAUCCCCAUUAUCUAUGACUUUCUUGUGCAUAGGCCAUGUUUUGUGGAGAGCAGUCAAAAUUUCAGAUUUAAAAUCUUAUCCAUAAUUUAAAAAUGGAAUUUUGUUUCUAAUAUAUCUUUGUUGGCCAUAAUCAUUGUAGUUACAAUGAACGCUGCUGCUACUGCUGCUGCUUUUGUUAUGCUUUUUUAAAGAUUAAGUUCUAUUUAUCCUAGUAUCUUAUAGGUUAUACAUCCAUUUGACGCUCAAGCAAAUGGGGAGCUAAGUCUUUCAAUUGAUGAUUAUGUUGUGGUUCGCCAGGUACUUUCCCCUCUAAAUAACAACACAGAGAUUUUUCUACUAUGCUAUUAACUUAUCCUUCUAACAACUUAUGAUAUGUGGAAUUUAGAACUAAUGCUUAUACUAAUUUGAUGUUCAAAGCACAUGGCAUUUUGUUCUUAAAAUUUUGAUUGAAAAGCAAUGAGUUAACAUAUGAUGGUUGGUUUUCUUUCUUCCUACCAUAUAUUCCCUUUUAUAUUGAAGUGCAAAUCAGAAUAUAGUAGGGUUGCUAGCUCAGUUCUAAACCACCCAGUUUACCCUUAUAGAUAUGUGAAUUUAUAUCUUGUUAUGCUUCCAUGGUUAAUGUUGUUAUUUCAGUGAUCACAACUAAUUCACUCCUCCUACGUAAAAGAAUUAGUUUUCCCCUUAGGUCUUUGAACGGUCAACUUUUGUUUAAUUCACUGUUUUAGUUAUAACUUCUCAAGGUGGCUCUUAUGGAUGGUCGGAAGGUGAAUGCAAGGGCCAAGUUGGUUGGUUUCCCUCGGCAUACAUAGAAAGACAAGAAAAAGCCCCAGCUAGAAGGAUAUCAGAAACAAACUCCUCACCCAAAUGUGAUGCGACUUCUUAAUAAACUCUUGCCAAGUAUCUAUAUGUUCUUUUUCCUGUAUUAUAUUGCCAUUUUAGUUUAUAGAACGACUGCGACAAUUGAUAAGUGGUUUGAUUGCUUCUCUUAAUGAAAUCUUACUAAGCUCCAAGUAAUAUGUGCGAUCAUAUGCAUUUUAAUAUUUGUAUUUAUCUCCUAGUUGAGGAGAAUAUUUGUAGUAACAACUGUGUUUCCAAAUUGCCAAAAAAAAAAAAAUACACAUCAUGUUUAGCAACAAAUUUUUACUAUUAUUUCUUCCCAGUUUUAAUUUACUUUCUCCGUGAAUUGAAUGUUAUAUUAGUAGCUUGAUCAGAAAGUAACUCAUAUCAAUCAAACUACCUUGAUGCAAGAGAUUGAAUUUAGAAUUUCUCUAUCUUUGUGAAACUUUCCAAUCAUAAUGUUAUGAAAUAUGUGGGCAUGAACUUUUUAAUUUCUAGUUGCAUUUGGAGUAUGUAUGAUAUAAUCUGAAUCACUUGCAUAAUGUUCUUCAUCUUCCANNNNNNNNNNNNNNNNNNNNNNNNNNNNNNNNNNNNNNNNNNNNNNNNNNNNNNNNNNNNNNNNNNNNNNNNNNNNNNNNNNNNNNNNNNNNNNNNNNNNUUCUAACUAAUGAAAUUUUCUAGUCUAAAUUAUGAAAUAUGUGGGAUUGACUUAGAAAUUUUGGUAACAUGUCGAGAAUGUAUGGUAUAAUUUGAAUUCAUUAGCAUAAUCUUCAUCUUCAUUGAUUUGUAAAUUAUGAAACUAAUAUAUAAAAAACUAAUGUUAGAUCCUAAUUAUCUUUAGUUCUUAAAAUUGUUGAGGAGAUAUGAAAUUCUGGUGGGUGGAUUUGAGAGUUUUAGCUUUGAGAAUAUUGCUUCAUCUCUACUUUGAUGUUGUUGUGCCCCUUGUUGUGGCGAGGCAUUAAUCUUCCUAAAUUUUUUGUCAAGCUUCAACUUUAUUAUAUAUAUACCUUUCUUGAUAAAAUGUCUGGGUCCAUCGCUGGAUUUGGUGUUAAUGACACUAGUGAAGAAGAUGAUGAUAGCACCAUAAUCAUUAUUUUUUAAAGUAAAAUAGGCGAUCAAGUGCAUCUAGGUGUUUCAUUUCUUGUGUAUGAUUAUAAAACUAUUCUGAAUAUAGUUUCUAAAUGAAUGUUAUAGAGUGGCUGCUUUUAACAUUGGAGAUGGUUCUCUUAUUUAAGUAUGCUGCACAGUAUAGGGAAGUAUAAGUUAUGGUGGAUAGAUAUGAGUUUGGAAGUGUGGAGACAAAUGUGAAGUGCUUGGAAGUUGGAAGCUAUAUAACGCUAAAUACUUCUACAAUUUUAAUAAAAAAUAAAAAUAAAUUUAUUUCCUAAGCAAACUUGAUUAGUACUUAAAGAAUCAUAAUUAAGCUACUAAUUAAUUUCAAUGACAAAAUCUUGUUGGAAUAAGAUUGUCUACAACAAAAUAAUAACAUGAAGUUAUCCACAUUUCAACAAAGUAAAACAAUUUACGUCGCCAAUAAGAAUUUACAUAUAAAACAAUAACAAUUCCAAAUAUCACUAUUACGUACGAUGUUGUAAAUGUGAUAAAGAAACUGUCCGUGUCAAUUAAAAUGUCUGGGUCCAUCGCUGGAUUUGGUGUUAAUGUUUCUAGUGAAGAAGAUGAUGAUAGCACCAUAAUCAUUCUUUUUAAAAGUAAAAUAGGCGAUCAAGUGCAUCUAGGUGUUUCAUUUCCUGUGUAUGAUUAUAAAACUAUUCUGAAUAUAGUUGGCGAUCAAGUGCAUCUAGGUGUUUCAUUUCUUGUGUAUGAUUAUAAAACUAUUCUGAAUAUAGUUUCUAAAUGAAUGUUAUAGAGUGGCUGCUUUUAACAUUGGAGAUGGUUCUCUUAAAUAAAGUUUGCUGCACAGUAUAGCGAAGUAUAAGUUAUGGUGGAUAGAUAUGGGUUUGGAAGUGUAGAGACAAAUGUGAAGUGCUUGGAAGUUGGAAGCUAUAUAACACUAAAUACUACUACAAUUUUAAUAAAAAAUAAAAAUAAAUUUAUUUCCUAAGCAAACUUGAUUAGAACUUAAAGAAUCGUAAUUAAACUGCUAAUUAAUUUCAAUGACAAUAUCUUGUUGCAAUAAGAUUGUUUACAACAAAAUAGGAACAUGAAGUUAUCCACAUUUCAACAAAGUAAAACCAUCUACGUCGCCAAUAAGAAUUUACAUAUAAAACAAUAACAAUUCCGAAUAUCACAAUUAUGUACGAUGUUGUAAAUGUGAUAAAGAAACUGUCCAUGUCAAUUAAAUUAUCAUUUUUUGUUGGGGGGGGGAAAAAAGGGGCCCCCAAAAAAAAAAAAAAAAAAACUUUUUUUUUUUAAAAAAAAAAAAAUUUUUAAAAAUUUUUGGAAGGCGUUAAAUGUUGCAAAUUGUNNNNNNNNNNNNNNNNNNNNNNNNNNNNNNNNNNNNNNNNNNNNNNNNNNNNNNNNNNNNNNNNNNNNNNNNNNNNNNNNNNNNNNNNNNNNNNNNNNNNNNNNNNNNNNNNNNNNNNNNNNNNNNNNNNNNNNNNNNNNNNNNNNNNNNNNNNNNNNNNNNNNNNNNNNNNNNNNNNNNNNNNNNNNNNNNNNNNNNNNNNNNNNNNNNNNNNNNNNNNNNNNNNNNNNNNNNNNNNNNAUCAGCUUGUUGCAAGAAAGAUCAAGUCCUGAUAGGAGGCUAAGCACUUUUCCUUGGUAAAUGUACGCAAUGUUCUUUGUUGUGAACUCAAAAUUUUCACGGAUUUGCUUUUCUACAUCUCCGUCAGGGCCGUCGAUGGAAAAAGAUAUUUCAAAUUGCUCAUCAAGACUAGAACUAUUGCUGUAACUGUCAUGAAGUGUGGUGUUAUCAAAGCAAGGAGGAAUAGGACCGUGAAGAUUAUUAUUAGAAAGAUCUAACAAUUGUAGUUGGUUCAAUUCGCACAAUUGAACUGGCACUUUACCUUCAAGAUUAUUGUGACCUAAGAUAAGGUGACUUAACUGAGAAAGCCCAUCAACCCAAUCCGGAAUGCUGCCAUUCAAGCGGUUAUAGCUAAGAUCUAAUGUCACAAGGGAAGAGCAAUUAAAGAAUGUACCUCUUUUUAGUUGUCCAUGUAACAUAUUUUUUGAAAGAUGAACUUGUUUGAUAUUGAGAGGAUGGAAACAAGAUGGUAGACUUCCAGAUAUGUUGUUGUCUGAAAUGUCCAAAAUCUGAAGCAAAUCCAGUUGACAAAACUCCAUUGGAAUAGAACCUUUAAGAUGAUUCUUGUGCAUUGUAAUAUGUUGUAAACUUGUGAGACUGCCUAACCAUCGUGGAACCUUACCCGAAAGACUGUUAUUAUUAAGGUACAAUCCUUCUAGUGAGGAGCAUUUAUAUAAACUUUGUGGGAUCUCUCUUAUGAAGUGAUUGUCCUCCAAUUGUAACCAUAUUAAAUUUGCCAGGUUAAAAUUUCUACAGAACAUGUGACCUUUUAGGUUGUUGUUUGAUAACGCUAGAAACUCCAAGUUAACGCAACCGACGGCCAAGCGCUCAGGGAUUUCACCAGUCAAUUGAUUGCUGGAUAAGUCCAAAAUUCUGAGGAAGUUCAUUUUACCAAAUGAAGAGGGAAUGCUACCAUGCAAGGCAUUCGUGGAAAUGUUAAAAGAAAAUAAACUUGGUAAAAUAUCUCUAAUUUCUACUGGAAUAUGGCCUUGGAAGUUGUUGUUGGAGACACCCAAGAAUCUUAACCGCCUGUGUGGAUGAAUUGGCAAUUAAAAAGGUCCUCCAAUAGAAUCAUUGAUGAGAAAAAGAGUUUCUAAUUUUGUGUUGUUUUCCAACAACCAAUUUGGAAAUUCUCCAUUCAUCUUUAUAUGUGAGAGAUGAACAUCCUCCAGGUCAUGUUGAUGGUAAAGGAAUUUGGGGAAUGUGACACCAUCUCCACAACCGGAAGACAACAAGAGAGAUUGUAAUUGGAAGUUUGGGGCGGUCAAAGAAUGUGACUCAGUUAUUUCAGCUUUUAUUUCAUUGUUGUAAGCCCAUAAGCUCUUGAGUCUUGAGUGAUUGAAAAGUGGUUUAAGUGAAAUUGGGAUGCAGAAGUGAUUCUUUGAAAGUAUUAGCUCUUCAAUGGAUGUCAAAUGAACGAGGGGAGUGAUAACUCUAGGAAAUGAGAGUUAUUACAUCAAUUCUAAACUUGAAUCAGGAUCUUUUAGAGAACAAAUAAGGUGUUUUUAUUACAUUUUGCUUAAACAUUCAUUUUAGUUGAGUAUUAAUAAGUUUUGCUUGAAUUAUAGUAAUUUGUGCUAAAAACAUAUGCAUAAUUGUAGGUUCUUGGAAAGUCUUAAUUCAUGAGGGGAUGUUGAGGCAUUAGAUGAGCAAGAGGAGGAAAUAAGCCAGUCAUAAAAGAACAAAAGCACAAUCGGGAGUAAUGCAGUGCUGUUACGGAUGUUAGAGCAACCCGUUCUGUAGCAAUCUGGAAGUAAAUGCGAGAGAAAACUUGGGCGCGGGUCAGCACAUGUUUCUUAAUUUAACGCAUGCACACUCAUAGGCUUGUGUUUACCCUAAUUUGCAAUAUAAAAGGGAGGCAAUACCACAAAGAAAGGCGGCAAGGAAAUUAUCACUAGAAUAAUCACAAAGGAACGAAGAAGAAGAAGAUCAGAAUUAAAGAGUUUUGUUUUGGAAACAUUGGAGAAUCGUGCAGAAUUACUUGGCUUUGAUUUUCGCCGUGCUCAACUUAUAUUUAUCUUCUUCCUUUAAUUAUUUUGAUGUAUUCCGGGAUCAAUAUAUUUAUGAUUAUUUUUGUCAUCCAGAUUAUGAACUAAAUUUACUUGUAGUUGAGUGACAAAUAAUCCAAUGGGUUCUUGAUUGUUCUUAUAUGUUGUUAUGGUAAUGCUGUAGCAUUUUACUCUAGUAGUUUUUAUGAGUAUAACUGUUAUUUCGGUUGACCACCCAUUUAAUAGUUUCAGUUAAGAGCAGCAAAGGGGCAUGUCUUAGCGGACAUUAUUAGAGUAUUACUUGUUCUUAAAUUGAGUUUCCUGGAUUAGGUUAUCUUGAAUCCCAUAAGGGCAAUACUUGAAGUUAAGAUUUGUGACACUCUGGACAUAGGUGUUCACCUUGUAGGGUAGAGAGAUUAAAGGAUAUAAUGACGUACCAUAAAUAUAUGAGCAACUGGUCAUUGUUAGUAGAUUUAAAGGUAUGAGAUUUCUAACAUGCGAUAGCUGAGGAUGCAGAUUUAUUCUGCCCAGUGCUGCAGCACUUAUUGUAACAACUGGUGCUAAUUUGGUAAACACCAAUCACCCCAUUAGGAGAGUUUGAUUAUUCAACUACUAUAUUCUCAAUUGAAUCUUAGACACAGUUAACUUAGUUUAUUUCAUUACAGUAUUGUUUUAUUUCCAUCUCUCGCAAUUAUUAAUUACGAUAGAAUUAUUUAACAAUUGUUUGUUUCGGUUUUAGUUAAUUUGCACUAUUGUGAUUGCUUUAGCAUUUUGAGUAACAUCAAUCCCUGUGGAGACGAUCUUGAAUACUCAUCACUUUAUUACUUGUUGUGUAUAUGAUGAAGAGUAGGAAUCCAUAUUAUACUAGGAUUAGUUUCCUUAUUAACUAAAGUUUAAGACUUUUAAAUUCCUUUCUAAUUUAGAAUUUUGUUUCCCUUUCAAUUUAGGAUUUUGUUUUUACUUCAUGAAUUAGGAUAAUUACUACUACUAUAAAUAGCUUCCUCUUGUAACCUUUGAAUGCAUAAUUUUGAGUUCAAUAAUAUUUCAAUUUUCAAAUCUCUUUGUGAGUAUUUGAACAGUUAACUCUCGGUAUUCUGCGGAAUCAACGAGUCUUAAUCCCUAAAUUCACGGUAUUCUUUUGAAUCAACGUGAAUUUAAUUAUUAUUUUGUUCCGGUAUUCUCUAGAAUCAACGGAAUAUUUUGAACAUUAAACUUCCGCUGCAUCAGUAUAUUUGCACAUCGGCAUUGGUAGUAAUUGAUUAUAAAAAUAAAUCAAUAAGUGUUUGGGGUCGUUGCCGGGGAUUGAUUGUUUAUUUUUAAAGUGUAAAGUAAAUCUUGAUAGCGCCAAAUUUGAUUUGAUUUAUUCUAUUUAUUAGGAGAUCGGUACAUGCAUGCGCAAAGACAGGUCUGUGGUAUUCUAAUUCGAUCCUGAGAUUGAAAGGACUGUCAGGAGAUUGCGAAGAGAACAAAGGAAUUCAGAAAUUGAUUCAAGCAUGAAUAAUUUGCAGGAUGCGGGAAAUUUGAAUCCUCACGGGCCCUUACAACCAGUAAACAUUCAAGGAGAGCAGAAUGAACAUGUUAACGGGAGACAGCCAGGCAAUAACAAUAUUAUUUACAUGGCUGAUGACAGAGACAGAGCUAUAAGAGAUUAUGCUGUGCUAACUCCUCAAGUUGUACAUCCUGACAUCAUCAGACCUGAAGUAGACGUUGCAAAUUUUGAGUUAAAGCCAGUGAUGUUUCAAAUGUUGCAAACAGUUGGUCAAUUCAAUGGAUUGCCAGAUGAAGAUCCUCAUCUCCAUCUUAAAUUGUUCUUGGAAGUAAGUGAUACUUUCAAGAUUGCUGGAGCAAUACAAGAUGCUUUAAGGCUGAGACUCUUUCCUUAUUCCUUAAGAGAUCAAGCAAGAGUAUGGUUAAAUUCGUUACCAUCUGAUUCCAUCACUACAUGGAAUGAAUUGGCUGAUAAAUUCCUAAUGAAAUAUUUCCCACCAACAAAAAAUGCAAAGUUGCGGAAUGAGAUUACUUUCUUCCAUCAACUUGAAGAUGAAAUGCAAAAAAUGCAAAAAAUGCAAUGUUAGUUAAUGAGUGACCUCAUUAACUAACAUAGUAAAGGCCUUGACAUCUGCUCCAGCAACAGUAAAGCAAGUUACUGAACUUUCUUGUGUAUACUGUGGUGAAGAGCAUAACUUUGAUAAUUGUCCUGGAAACCCAGCUUCAGUAAACUAUGUGGGUAAUUUCAGUUGAUAACCUCAGAACAACCCAUAUUCAAAUACUUACAACCCUGGCUAGAAGCAACACCCAAAUUUUGCAUGGAGCAGUCAGAAUCGAAAUGCUCCAGCAUUAAAUAGACAAAAUAAAAACACACAACCACUUGGUUUUCAUCAGCAGAGUCAAGGGCAAAAGCAUAACAGUCAGGAUCCAAUCACUUCACUGGAAGCACUGAUUAAAGAGUACAUUGUAAAGAAUGAAGCAAUUGUGCAGAGUCAAGCUGUAUCCUUGAGAAACCUGGAAAACCAAAUGGGACAACUAGCCACAGUAAUAAGCAGCAGAACUCAAGGAAGCCUACCUACCAACACAAAAGACCCUAGGAGGGAGGGCAAAGAACACUGCAAAGUAAUUAAUUUGAGGUCUGGAAAGAAUGUUGAUAUCCCAGCUGAUGUAACAAAAAAUGGGAUGGAAUUCAAUUCAGCACAAAAAUUACCUCAAAAGGGAAGCAUGUUACAACAACCUCCUCUUCAAGACACUGGUUACAUGGGCCAAGUUACAGCAACUACAGAGGAAAUUCAACCAAAACAUGUUGAAAAAGAAAUUGCAACACCAGUAGUCACAACCUGCACCAAACCAAACAAACAGAGUUUGAUAUCUCCUGAAGCUACCUAGCAGUUUAGACAUCCACCACCUUUCCCACAAAGGAUCCAGAAGCAAUAACAAGACAAGCAGUUUAGCAAAUUCCUGGAAGGGCUGAAACAACUGCACAUAAAUAUACCUUUUGUGGAAGUUUUGGAGCAAAUGCCAAAUUAUGUGAAAUUUUUAAAAGAUAUCUUAGCAUGAAAAAGAAAGCUGAGAGAGUUUGAAACUGUUGCUUUAACACAGAAGAGCAGCCAUAUGCUCAAGAGUAAAAUUCUCACAAAAGUAAAAGAUCCAGGGAGUUUUACAAUACCCUGCGCUAUAGGAACUAGGUAUGCUGGCAAAGCACUUUGUGACUUGGGAGCUAAUAUUAAUUUGAUGCCAUUAUCUGUAUUUAAGCAGCUGGGAGUAGGGGAGUGCAGACCAACAACAGUCACUCUGCAAUUAGCUGAUAGAUCUCAUGCAUACCCUGAAGGAAAAAUAGAGGAUGUAUUGGUGAAGGUUGACAAAUUCAUUUUUCCAGUGGAUUUCAUUGUACUGGACUUUGAAGUUAAUAAAGAGGUACCCAUUGUAUUGGGAAGACCUUUUCUAGCAACUGGAAAGACUUUGAUAGAUGUGCAGAAAAGAGAGCUCACCAUGAGAGUGAAUGAUCAGCAAGUCACAUUUAAUGUCCUAGAGGCUAUGAGAAACCCCGAUGAAGUAGAAGAUUGCAAUUUCCUAAGUGCAGUGGAUUUUGUUGUAGCAAACAAAAUGGACAGAUGCUACAAUAAUGCACUUGACAAAGUCACCACCUUUGAAGAUGUUGCAGCAAUCCAAACAUAUUAGAUGGACAAACAGCAAUCUAAUAGGCACAACAUGUUUAUUGAACACCUGAAUGUUUCAGACAGGGAAGUAAAAACAACUUUACCAUCUAUUGAAUCACCUCCUAGUUUUGAAUUAAAACUGUUACCUUCACAUUUGAAGUAUGCAUAUCUUGGUCAAAACAACACACUCCCUGUAAUCAUUUCUUCUACUGUGGAUGCAGGUCAAGAACAGAGUCUAGUAGAUUUACUGGGAAAAUACAGAAGAGCAAUUGGAUGGACCAUGGCAGAUAUAAAGGGGAUAAGUCCAUCAAUAUGCAUGCAUAAAAUCCUGUUAGAAGAUUGUUCCAACAAUUCGGUGGAGCACUAGAGAAGGAUGAAUCCUAUUAUGAAAGAAGUGGUGAAGAAGGAAAUCAUCAAAUGGUUGGAUGCUGGAAUCAUAUACCCAAUAUCGGACAGUUCAUGGGUAAGCCCAGUUCAAUGUGUUCCAAAGAAAGGAGGGAUAACAGUAAUGGCUAAUGAAAAGAAUGAACUUAUUCCUACAAGGAUAGUGACUAGAUGGAGAGUGUGUAUGGAUUACAGGAAACUCAACAAAGCCACAAGGAAAGACCAUUUCCCACUUUCAUUCAUAAAUCAGAUGUUGGACAGACUUGCUGGAAAACAAUACUAUUGUUUCUUAGAUGGGUACUCAAGUUACAACCAUAUUGCUAUAGCUCUAGAAGAUCAAGAGAAUACUACAUUUACUUGUCCCUAUGGAACAUUUGCCUUCAGAAGAAUGUCAUUUGGGCUAUGCAAUGCUCUAGCAACUUUUCAGAGAUGCAUGAUGUCUAUAUUUUCUGAUAUGGUAGAGCAGACUUUGGAAGUUUUCAUGGAUGACUUCUCAGUUUUUGGAGAAACAUACAAUGAUUGUUUACACAACUUGGAAGAAGUUCUUAAAAGAUGUGAGAUGACCAACUUAGUACUCAAUUCGGAAAAGUGUCAUUUCAUGGUGCAAGAAGGAAUAGUGUUGGGUCACAAGAUAUCCAAGGAUGGUAUUGAGGUAGACAAAGCUAAGAUAGAGGUAAUAGAUAAACUGCCACCUCCAACUUCAGUAAAGGGAAUUAGGAGUUUUUUGGGCCGUGCUGGAUUCUACAGAAGAUUCAUUAAGCAUUUUUCCAAAGUAGCUAAACCACUGUGUUCAUUGCUGGAGCAUGACAAACCGUUUCACUUUGACAAAGAUUGCCUUCAAGCAUUUGGAGAAUUAAAGAAAGCUUUGAUCACUGCUCCAGUAGUUAUAUCUCCAGACUGGACUUUACCAUUUGAAUUGAUGUGUGAUACUAGUGAUCACUCUGUGGGGGCAGUAUUAGGGCAAAGAAAGGAUAAAGUUUUUCACUUCAUCUACUAUGCAAGAAAACUCUCACUCAAACUCAAAUCAAUUACACCACUACAGAGAAAGAGUUGCUAGUAGUAGUAUUUGCUUUUGACAAAUUCAGAGCCUACUUAGUAGGCACUAGAGUGACUGUAUAUACAGACCAUGCAGCAAUCAAAUACUUAAUUUCAAAGAAGGAUGCCAAGCCAAGAUUAAUUAGAUGGAUUUUAUUGCUUUAAGAAUUUGAUCUGGAAAUUAAAGAUAGAAAGGGGACUGAGAAUCAAGUAGCAGACCACCUGUCACGGCUGGAUGCAGACACAAGCACAUUGACCAGAAACGACAUCACUGAAACUUUUCCUGAUGAACAGCUGUUGGUAGUACAAUAAGCACAGAUGCUGCAGCAGUCAGAAUCUCCAUAGUAUGCAGAUUUUGCUAACUAUUUAGUAAGUGGGUUGCUACCACCUGAGCUAAAGUUUUAAGAGAAAAAGAAAUUUCUUCAUGAUGUUAGAAGUUAUCAGUGGGAUGACCCACAUUUAUAUAAGCUAUGCUCAGAUCAAGUAAUAAGAAGAUGUGUUGCAGCAGAAGAGAUACCCCAUAUACUGGAGUCAUGUCAUGCUGCAGCAUAUGGAGGACAUUUUGGUGGUCACAGAACAGCUGUCAAAGUUCUGCAAUUAGGUUAUUAUUGGCCCACUAUUUUUAAAGAUACUUAUGAAUUUGUUAAAUGUUGUGACAGGUGUCGAAGGACAGGGAACAUAAGUAGAAGACAUGAAAUGCCACUGACCAACAUCCUGGAAGUGGAAGUUUUUUAUGUCUGGAGAAUAGAUUUUAUGGGACCCUUCCCGCCAUCUUUUGGGAACUUAUAUAUCCUUGUUGCUGUGGAUUAUGUCUCCAAGUGGGUAGAAGCUGCAGCAUUACCUACCAAUGAUGCUAAAACAGUUGUGGCUUUUCUUCAGAAAAAUGUUUUCUCUAGGUUUGGCACUCCUAGAGCAAUUAUUAGUGAUGAGGGCACACAUUUUACAACAAAAUCUUUGCUGCAGCAAUGAUGAAAUAUGGAGUCAGGCUGAAGUGUCCAACAGAGAAAUUAAAAAGAUCUUAGAAAAAGUGGUGAAUCCAAUAAGGAAGGAUUGGUCUUUACACUUGCAUGACUCUCUAUGGGCCUACAGAACAGCAUACAAAACUCCACUCGGAAUGUCUCACUACCGAAUUGUUUAUGGCAAAGCUUGUCAUUUGCCACUAGAGCUAGAGCAUAAAGCACAUUGGGCACUGAAGAAAUUAAAUUGGGAUAUGCAUGCUGCAACAGAGCAAAGGAAACUUCAACUUUGUGAGCUUGAUUAAUUACAACUAUUUUCAUAUGAAAAUGCAAGAAUCUAUAAAGAGAGGACAAAACACUGGCACGACAAGCAUAUUCAGCACAGGAAAUUCAACCCUAGUCAAUUAGUGUUGCUCCACAAUACAAGACUAAGAUUAUUUUUGGGAAAGCUCAAGUUACGAUGGUCUAGCCCGUUUAAGUUGUUAAAAUCUUAUUCUCAUGGAGUUGUUGAUCUUCUAGAUGAACAAACAGGCCACGAAUUCAAAGUUAAUGGACACAGGGUUAAGCAUUACAUACAUCCAGCAGUAGAAUGUUCAAAGGAGAUGUUACUCCUUAAAGAACCCAGCUAUUGAACAAUGAAGGAAGGUCAGGCUGAAGGACCUUAAAUCAAGCGCUCCAUGGGAAGCAGCCCAUUUGGGAGACAACCACUUCAAACCAAUUUUGAUCUCCUUUGGUUUAGUUGACAGCUCUCCCUCCUUACCAUUUUAUUUAAUUUUGUUCUUUCAUUCUAGCUAUUUAAUUUUAUCUUUUCAAAUUAUUGCAUUCUUUAAUUUUGCUAUCAUUUAAUCUAUUUAUUUUUAAAUGUUAGAAUUAAUUUGAAUUUGUGGGAAGUAUGUGUAACAAUUGAAUUCCAUACUGACAAGUGAGGUUGUAUGGUGGCAGAGUAUAGAGGUGAGCCACGUGUCAGAGGCUUUAGUGUGGAGUAUGUACCGUUGCUAGAGUAAGCGAAUGGGUGCUGCAGCAACCAAUUUUACCGUUGCAAUAAAUUGAAAGAUGAAGCCUCUCACUUACCGUUGGAGAUAAAUCAUGACAGAUGGAGGCUUGGAUGUGGAUAGAAAUUGCAAAUAAAUCUCUGAAAUUAAUGCCUUAAAUUACCUAGCCGAUGUUUUUGGGAUACGCGCUUUAAAUUAAAAAAUAUUUUCUUCCCUCAUUUAUCUUUAGUUACCGUAUUUAUCUCCAAUUAAAAGUCCACUAUAAAAAAGUCAUUGUACUUAGUGCUCUACACCACUAUUCCCCAUCUCCUUCGCAAAUCCAACUCUCCUAAUUCUUAGCCUCUUCUUCUCUUUUUACUCUCAGGAACAGUAGACUAAAUUUGUUACUGCUACAGUAAUGCCGAGAUAUAAGAAAACAGCAAGCCGCCUCAAAGAUCCGUCACGAUUCUAAAGUUACCACGCCGAAAAAAAAUAUGAAGAAUUCAUAGAGCCGCGUAGGAUUCUGGAAGAAAAAAGGUUUCAAUUUCCAGACCAACUCACGGGAAUUGUGCAAACAAUUCAUAAUGCUGCAGCAAAGCGAGGAUGGCUAGAGUUUUACAAACACCCUCGGGAUCCUGUGCUGCCUGUAGUAAAAGAAUUUUACGCCAAUUUGGUAAGCCCUGAUCAGCACAACAUUUGGAUAAGAAAUACACUUGUCCCAUUAGACUCUCGUGUUAUCAAUGCUUUUUAUAACUUACCUGCUGAAAUUACUUGUGAGUAUGCUAAGUUGCGUGAUAAGUUAACCCCGAAAAAGUGGAACACCAUUUUUACAACUCUUACAAUCGAAAGAGCAUCAUGGGCUAACAAGGAAGGGCGUGUAGUUAAUAGGAUAGAUUUGAAACCUAUUGCUAAGAUGUGGGUGAAAUUUCUGAAAUCUAGGCUUAUGCCCACCACUCACACUACUACAGUUUUGCAAGAAAGGUUGGUCUUGUUAUAUGUCAUAGUUCGCGGGCUUCCCAUAGAUGUGGGUAGCAUCAUCGCAAAAGAAAUCCGAGAUUGUGCAGUCAAGACUCACCGAACUGCUGCUUUGCUAUUUCCAUCACUCGUUACUAGCAUUUGUGUAGUUUCAGGUGUUCAUCUUGACGCCAGAGAUGACCAUGUCAAUAAUGAUGGUGCCUUUACGGCAUGAACCAUUGAGAGAGUUGCUGGUGAGAGUGCUGGAACAACCACUGAACCAGCUGCUGAGACAGGAGCAAGAUGAGCUAUUGGCUUAGAAAAGACCAUCCAGGCACUCAGCACAAGUAUAACUCAAUGUACGGAACCACAGCAGUGGGAAAACGAUCGAUUUUGGAGCUAUCUCCAGCACCUGGACAACCAACUACACCAAUUUUCUCUGUACAUGAAACGCACUCACCGGAACUUCCUUGAUGCACUGCUCCAGCAGUACAAUUUUGACACCAACACCACAAAUGCAUCAACAGAGGCUAGUGCAGAAGCCACUGCCACAGAGGAACCAGCAGAAGAUGCUACAGCCGAACCUCAAGCAGAGGAAGAAUCAGAAGAUGCUGAACCAUCUGAUUAGCCUGAGGAAGAAGGUGACAAGUCUGAGAUUGAUAGCUCACCUACAGAGGAAGAAGACAACUCGGAGAAAGACCGUGAGGAACCAACCAUCCUAACCCAGCCCAAAACCAGAAAAAAAAAAAGCACGUUAUUCAAGAAAAUGAGGAGGAAGACCUUGAAGAGGAGCCGUAUAUUCCAGUCCUUGCAGGCAAGAGAAAGGACAAGGGUAAAGCAAAAAUGGCAACAACUCCAGCCUCUGAAGAUGAGAUGGAGCAAGUCGAUGCUAAGCUGGCUGCUGCAGCAGCCAGAGCUAUGCCUACACCUAAGCAAGCUAAGCAACUACUUGCGGUUAUUGCUGCCAUCACAACUGAGGGCCAGGCAGCUGAUGCAUUAACUCAACAACCUCCACAGCAAACUCCUAGCCAGCCUAUUCGCACAAGUCCAAGACAAUCCAGCAAACAAAAAGGCAGUACGUCUACAAGUACUUCUACAGCAACCCCAGCCACAACUCCUCUCACCAGCCGCGCAGUGAAAAAGACAAAGACAUUGCCAGCUACUUCCCCAAAAGCUUCACCAAAGGAUGAGCUGCGCAGUGCAUCCAAGAAGUGCUGAUAGCAUCCCGUCAUGCACUCCAGUCCCCACCACAGGGGAGUACUCUAUCCUUACUAGUUCAUAUUUAAAAAAAAAAAAUUAUGUUUGUCAAUUUGUAUGCCUUUGUUAUGUAUGCUUGUGAGGACACAGCAUCUCUCAAGUUUGGGGGGAUUGUGUCCGAAUGCAUGUGUUUAUGUAUGUGUUUAUGUUUGUGUUGUGUGAAGCUCUGUUAUCUGUUAUUUGUGUAUGGAUUUGAAAACCUAAUAAAGAUAAAUUGAGUGUUAUUCAGUAUUUAUGAGAAUGCCAAGUAGAGAUAGUUAUAGAUAGAAGUGAAAUUAUGUCCCAACACUUAGACUUUGGUUGAAUUGUAUGAGACUGUUAGAGCAAAGCCAAAAGAAUAGAAAAUAUCUUAAGUUUGAAGGGAGAAGCAAGUUGAUUGACUGUGAUAUUUAUGAGAUAAAACUCUACUCCAAUGGCUCAAGUUGCUGAGUAACCAAAUCUGAGUAUGUACCCCAUAUGCAGAAUUGUGUAAAAGGUAGCAAGAGUUAUGAGCAAUGCUGUAGCAAAUAAAAAAAAAAGUCCUAUGUCUAAGGCAUUGAGUAGUCAGGUCUGUUCAUGAACCCCAUGUUCAGCCUUGAGUAAAAGAUACCUUUAGAUGAGAUUAUACCGCAAAUAUUGCUGCAGCAACUCUGAUCUGGGCAUGGUUUAAGUAAUUGGGUGUCAUCAUUACAAGUGAUUGACAUUCACAUGAAAGAUAAAUGUUACAGUAAGGAGGUUGAUUACUCCCCAGUUUAUCAAUGUAAAACAAUCACAGUUUGAAUAUGUGAAAUUUAUGCUACCCCAUUUAUGAAUGAAGUAUAUCACUGCUGAAAUUUAUGCAGUCCUUUGGUGAUGUUACAGCAUAUCUGGAAUUCAAUCAAAGGAAGCACACACACACAAUGGACAGAAAGAAGCUUAAGUCUAGAACUGAUUUACUAUGGCAUUUUGUAUGAUUGGGAUUGUGAUCUGAAGGUGGAAGAAUCCUUGCAAAUUUGAUAAAAGAGCUAAAGUUGUGUGCAUGUUUGUUUGCGGAAAAUGUUAGUAUGUGUCAUUACUUGAAGGCAAGUAAUGGUUUAAGUUUGGGGGUGUGAUAACUCUAAGAAAUGAGAGUUAUUACAUCAAUUCUAGACUUGAAUCAGGAUCAUUUAGAGAACAAAUAAGGUGUUUUUAUUACAUUUUGCUUAAACAUUCAUUUUAGUUGAGUAUUAAUAAGUUUUGCUUGAAUUAUAGUAAUUUGUACUAAAAACAUAUGCAUAAUUGUAGGUUCUUGGAAAGUCUUAAUUCAUGAGGGGAUGUCGAGGCAUUAGAUGAGCAAGAGGAGGAAAGAAGACGGUCAUAAAAGAAGAAAAGCACAAUCGGGAGUAAUGCAGUGCUGUUGUGGAUGUUAGAGCAACCCGUGCUAUAGCAAUCUAGAAGUAAAUGUCGGAGAAAACUUAGGCUCAGGUCAGCACAUGUUUCCUAAUUUAACGCACGCACGCUCAUGGGCUUGUGUUUACCCUAAUUUGCAAUAUAAAAUGGAGGCAAUACCACAAAGAAAUGCGGCAAGGAAAUUAUCAUUAGAAUAAUCACAAAGGAACGAAGAAGGAGAAGAUCAGAAUUGAAGAGUGUUGUUUUGGUAACAUUGGAGAAUCGUGCAGAAUUACUUGGCUUUGAUUUUCACCGUGCUCAACUUAUAUUUAUCUUCUUCUUUUAAUUGUUUUGAUGUAUUCCGAGAUCAAUAUAUUUAUGAUUAUUUUUGUCAUCCAGAUUAUGAACUAAAUUUACUUGUAGUUGAGUGACAAAUAAUCCAAUGGGUUCUUGACUGUUCUUAUAUGUUGUUAUGUUAAUGCUGUAGCAUUUUACUCUAGUAGUUUUUAUGAGUAUAACUGUUAUUUAGGUUGACCACCCAUUUAAUAGUUUCAGUUAAGAUAGAGCAGCAAAAGGGCAUGUCUUAGCGGACAUUAUUAGAGUAUUACUUGUUCUUAAGUCGAGUUUCCUGGAUUAGGUUAUCUUGAAUCCCAUAAGGGCAGUACUUGAAGUUAAGAUUUGUGACACUCUAGACAUAGGUGUUCACCUUGUAGGGUAGAGAGAUUAAAGGAUAUAAUGACGUACCAUAAAUAUAUGAGCAACUGGUCAUUGUUAGUAGAUUUAAAGGUAUGAGAUUUCUAACAUGCGAUAGCUGAGGAUGCAGAUUUAUUCUGCCCAGUGCUGCAGCACUUAUUGUAACAACUGGUGCUAAUUUGGUAAACAACAAUCACCCCAUUAGGAGAGUUUGAUCAUUCAACUACUAUAUUCUCAAUUGAAUCUUAGACACAGUUAACUUAGUUUAUUUCAUUACAGUAUUGUUUUAUUUCUAUCUCUCGCAAUUAUUAACUACGAUAGAAUUAUUUGACAAUUGUUUGUUUCGGUUUUAGUUAAUUUGCACUAUUGUGAUUGCUUUAGCAUUUUGAGUAACAUCAAUCCCUGUGAAGACGAUCUUGAAUAUUCAUCACUUUAUUACUUAUUGUGUAUACUUGCACAUUGGCAUUGGUAGUAAUUGAUUAUAAAAAUAAAUCAACAGGGAGAUAAGGAGAUGCUUCCAGUAAGUUGAUUGUAAGAAACAUCUAAUAUUCGGAGGGAUGUCAUAUUUGCCAAGCACCAAGGCAAGCUACCUCUUAAAUCAUUGCUUGCAAUGUACAACUCUUGUAGAUGCACCAACGAACAGAGGCCUGAAAAUUUAUUAAUUCAACCAUUGGUACAAUAAAACAAUUAACAAAUGCAUAACAUUCUUUUAUAAGUGAUUGGUUUGUGUAAUUAUAUUUUUAAUUGAAAAUUAAAAUUAUAGAUCAAGAGGGGAGGGUGGGAGCAUCUGAUUAACCUUGAUCAAGAAUCAUGCUGCUGUUAAUGCCAAUAGUAGAACCUGACAGUGAUAAGUACUUGAGAGAAGACAUCGAUUCACCGAUGCUUUGAAGAAAGCUGGUGUUGAGUGCACUGCGCAUGAAUUCCAUGUCCAAAUGUUCCAAACUCUUGAAAUGAGGAAAGCCUAGCAAAAACAAUAAAAUAAAUAAAUAAAAAUGUUGAACACUUAAGACGACAUUGAGUUCACAAUCAACACUUUUCUUUUACCUUGACCACGUACGACACCAUUGACUUCACAACCAAUCACCGACAGAUUUUUUAACGAAGGGAAUAUUGAUGCAAUGCUUUACAGAAGGCUUAUAUGGAGAGGGGAAUCGUUCAAUUUCAAAUAUUCCAAGUUGGUGAAAUUGUGCAACUCUGUUUCGAAGCAAUAAUUUUAGCUUUAUUAACAAUACGGAAAAAUAAUUAAUUAUUUAACAGUUUAUUUAUAAAUUUGGCCACAUAUGUACCGUUUAUUAAUAAUAUGGAUAAUUAAUUAAUUAAUUAGCUGCUUAUUUAUAAAUUUGGCCACAUUUGUACCUUUUACUUACCUUGAGUAGUAAUUGUCACUGUUUCCGUAAAAUUAUUAGACGAAAGGUAAAGAUUGUUGAGGGAUGGGAAUGAUCCCAUUGACUGUAACAACUUGCUUCCAUCUCUAACUCCAACUCUCGAUAGAUCAAGGCUUUUCAACUUCCUCAAACCGCUGUAACCUAUUUAAUAACAAUAAUUAGGAUAGGAUUUAAGAAAAUCAAAAUUCAUUGUCUAAAUUUAGAGCUAAACGAAAUAACUGAUUAAUUUAAUUAGGAGUCAAUUUGUAUUUUAUGCUUUGGGCAAAGAUCAGUAUCAUUUUUCAAUCGCUGCAAAGAUUAAAAAAUUAAAAUGAAAUCUUUAUUACAUUUUGUUUUUGAAAUAAUAAUAUUACGUCCUAUUUUUGAAAUAAUAUAAAUUCUAUGUUUCUUUAUUUUUAUUUUUAUUUUUUUGUACCUUUUGGGCCUUCCCUAAUCAAAUGAAUAAAAUUUAUGUAAUUGAAUAAUAUUUUAAAUGUUUACCUUGAGGAACCACAAGAUUGUUGAUUUCAUUGAAGCUCAUGUCCAACAAUUCUAAGUUGUUGAAGGAAUUGAAUUCUGCAAACAUAAACAGACUUAAGACUUAAAACAGAGUAAAUUAAUUAAUAAAUUUAAAGAAAUUAAAACGUCAUUAGAAUUUCGUCUAAACCAAACCAAAUAGUAUUUAAUUAAUUGAUUGAAAAAGUAUGCUUACUUUGUAUGUAAUUCCUUCAGGCUAAUCAAAUUAAAUAUUAAAUUAUGUCGAUAAUACAGAAGUCUAGCUGGCAUAUAUAAAAUGAGAAAGCAGGGCUUAGACUUACCUCGAACAUUGAAUGUUCCUUUGAAUCUCGUACCACUUAAACUAAGAGACUUCAAUUUACUCAAACCUGUAAAAUAAUAAACCAAAUGGCAAAGAAUCCAGCUAAUUUGUAUAAGUUAGCAUUUUUUAUGGUAUUUGUAGUACCUUUUGAGACCACAAAUUUGUCAAUCUUGUUCCCGCCAAUGUCUAGCUCCUCUAAAUCUCUCAAAGAAUCUAAUUCUGUAAUAAGUACAAAUUGAGUUGAAUGUUUCAAACCUCACCAAAUAAUAAUAAUAAUAAUAAUAAUAAGUUGUGGAGGUGUUUGGUUCACUAUUGGAGUUUUUUUUUAAUCUUAAAUUCAAGACAUAUGAAAGUACAAGAUGAAAUUACGAGAAACAUAAAAACUUGUAUUUAUAAAUUGCUUAAAACUGUUUUUUUUAAUAUUAAUCAUAAAAAAAUUGAAUUCAAAGCCUUGAAUCUUAUUUUAGCAAGUUAAUGAAAGAACUUGAAGUUUUAAUUAUGUACCUUUAACGUCAAUACUUCCUUCCAAUCUAUUCCAAAAUAAAUUUAAUGAUCUUAAUGGUGAAAGAUGAGUUAGAGAUGAUAAAAUGCUAUUAUUGAAUGAGUUUCCACUUAAAUUAAGCAUCUUCAAGUUGUUCAAUCUUGAUAGCCUCUCUAUACCUGCAAGUAAAAUAAAAAAAAGAUCAUAGAUACUGGUGUAAUUUCAAAAUUAAUCAUUUAAAAAAAAAGUCAAAAUUGUCGACUAAAUGAAUAUGCAUAUAAUUGCUCGGUCUUGAUAUUCAACUUAAAUUAGGGGGGAGAAAGUAAAUUAAUUAAAUUAAACGAAGCACCUUCAUUCUCAACACAACUGGCUAUUUUGUUGUCAGUUAAAUCAAGUGACUCAAGUUGUUGGAAGGGAGUAAACAAAGAAGCAUUCAGAUACCAGUACUCUCCCCCAUACGUGUCAGAAAGGUCUAGCGCUAUCACUCGGCUCAUGGUGUUGCUGCACUCAACCCUUUCCCACUGACAACAAUCAGUAGCUCCCUCACCAUCUCCCCAGUCGUAAAGAAAAUUAUAAGGAUCAUUGAGGAAAUGUUUGAGUCGCAAAAGAGCAAAUCUCUCAUGAUCCAAACAUCCCUCACUUCACCCACCUUCAAAUAUUAUUAAUAACAAAACAAACAUUAUCACCAUUUUUUUAUUUUGAACCACCCAUUCUAACUAUAUCUUUAAGUUUUAAAAAACACACACACUCUUUCUAUCUUUGUAACCAACCAGAGGACUAUACGCCAUUUGCUUAUAACGCAUGUAACUAUUUAUACACCCAACUAGCUUAUAGUUGACUUUUUUAGUUGUUUCUCCAAGUCCUUCAUGCAUUAAUUUUCUUCCCUUUUUUUUUCAUCUUUGUCAUUUUGCUAUAAUUUGCAACAGCAACGCGUUUUGAGCUAGCAAUAAAUAAUAAUUGAGAGAGAUUGAGAUGACAAAUGGAUAGAAACUAAAAGUAUGGGUGUUUAAUACGAGAACGAUUAUACCCGUUUAUUAUAUUUCAACCUAAAAAUUUACUCUAAGCAUUUAUAAUAAAUAAAAAUAUGAUAAUAAAAAUAAUAAAAAAAUAUGAAUAAUAUAUAUUUGUAAAAAAAAAAGAUUUAUGUGUCCAUUUUGAAAAUUAGCGAGUAUAUGUAAAUAUAAUUAUCAAAACAAACCAUAGAAGUGUUGUUAUUUUUUCCUUUCAAAAAAUCCACCAUUAUAAAAAAAGCCCAAAGACUUUGACAUCUUUUAGGAGUCUUUGGGCCUUGUUUUUUUCCCUCUUUUUCUUUCAUUUGCAUUUUGAUCCACAAGGCCAAAAAUUAAAUUCCACACCUUUGGCAUUUUGUGGAGAUUACAUUUCCAUGUUUUUACUUAGAAAGUAGGUGGAGACGUGGAGUCAAUGCGGCCAAGUGCUCAAUUAUUGUUAGUUAGCAAAAUAGAAUUUUUGGCGAGAUGAAUUUGUUGUAAAAAAGUUUUUGGAAAAAAUAAUAAUCAUCGGAACUUGUCUUGUGUCUUUAUAACAAUUUACUACUGCGAAAUCUUUACAACUUCACAUCUUUGAUUCAAUUAUCGCCACAAAGGCACAAGUACGUCCAUUUGUAAACCAAUCGAUAGAGAUCAAAUUUCAAGCCAUGAACUUGUAUUGUCAGCAAACACCUAAUCACUUUAGAUAUUUGUAUCGUUUAAUUAAUUAAUGAUCACUCUGAAAUUACAGAGGUUGGCCGAAUAUUCCCCUAAAAUUAAUUAAUUUUACCGAAAGGGAAUUAUUAGACAGAUCAAGUGUGUCUAGUUUUUUUGUUGUUUUGUAACAAUCAAUUUGGAAACUCUUCACUCAAGUUAGCAUCUUAGAGAUCAAGAUAAACAAACUCCUAGUGAUGCUAAUGGAAGAGGAAUUUAUAAGAGGAGAAGAGAGAGUAAUUAUGCUUGAUCAAGAAAGGUACCAUUAAAUCUAGAAUAUGACAAUUAAUGGUAGAAAAAUUAACAAGCAUGUAAUCCACGAUCAAAGAUUUUAAAUCCUUGAAAUUUAGAUAACCUAAAAAUUAACAUUGAACAAGAAAUAAAUCAACACUGCCACUUUGAUCACAUAAUCGAUGAAACUUAGGAUAUAUAAUCAACACCUGUUUAUUUUACUAUUGAAUUACUAUUUUUUCUGUAUUAUUUGAAUAAGGGAAUUGAUUUGGAGAAACUCUCACUAUAAUUGAUGAAAAUCAAGAUAUAAUCAAUACAUAUUCAUUUUAUUUUUAAAUUAAUACUUUUCCAUUAUUAUUUGAAGAAGGGAAUUGGUCUCAAAAAAUCUUAUUGUAAUAUAUGUAACUUAAACUUUUUUUUUCUGAAAUAAAAAUUAACUUUUAAGAAGGCUUCAAAUAUGGAGAGGGGACCAGUCCAUUAAUGUCAAUUCUUCCAAGUUAGUGACAUUGUGCAGCUUUAUUUGAUUAGAAGGUGCAACAUCUUUAGCUUUAACAUAUCUUAUUCUUUAAGACUAUUAAAACUUUUAAAUUAUGUCCACAUGCCCACCCUAUAAGAUCCACAAAAGUAGCAGAUAAAAUGGAAGAAGUACGCUAAGGGGCUGUUUGAUUUUAGUUGUGGCUUACACAGCACGAAAUUACACCAAAAAUGCCCCGACCAGAUUUAAUAAAACAAAUGUACUCUUACUCAGUUUAUUAUUUAUUUUUACAUAGAUAUAUUUUCUUUUUUUUCUUUUUUUUUCUUUUUCAACUUAGAAAAGAGAAUUAGGGGACAGAUCAAGUGUGUCUGAUUUUGCGUUGCUUUCUAGCAAUCAACUUGGAAACUUUCCACUCAAGUUAACAUGUGAGAGCUGAUGGAAGAGGAAUUUGAAAAAUCGUGACUCUAAUUUUGCAUAUAUUUGAUUAUUUCAACACUUGAUUGGUUUUGAAUGGUCCAAGAAUGGGCAAGUGACAAUGAGACUUGGAAGUGAUAGUUUGAAAAAGUGAGAUCUUCAAUUGAUAUUAGAUAAAUGAGAGUAGACUAGGAUAUAUUUCCAGUAAGCUUAUGGAGAGAGACAUAUCAAACUUGAAGUAAGAAGUCAUAUUUUCCAAGCACCAAAGACAAUUUAUUGUACCCGGAAUAUAAUUAUGGUCAAUAAAACAAAAAACUCUUGCAGAUUCAUCAACUGAUUGGGUUGAAAACAUAAUUCAUCCUUUAGCUAAUAACAAUUAAUGAACGCAUAAAAUCUUAUAUCUUUUAACAUAAAUGUUAAAUAUUAAUUUUAUUAAUAGUCGCAACCUUAUGCAGGCAUAAUUUGGUCAUGAAAACAAUAAAUCUAUCCGUUCUUAAAGGCUAUUAACUAUAACAAAAAAUCAAUUAAUAUAAUUUUUAUAAGAGGAGAAGAGAGACUAAGUAUCCUUCAUCAAGAAAUGUACCAUUAAGUCUAGAAUAUGAUAGUCAAUGGCGGAAAAAUUAACAUGCGCAUAAUUUAUGAUCAAAUAUUAUAAAUCCUUGAAAUUUAACAAGUCAUUUCAUUAAAAUAUGGAUCACCUUCCACACAUUUUAGAAAUCUUAUCAUUUUUUUUCUUUUUUCAUUAAAUUAUGUUUUGGUCCACACAACCGAAAAUUAAAUUCCACGCAUUUUGCAUUUAGUGGAAUUCUAUGUAUUUUUUAAUUUUACAAAACUUUAGUCGGUGGAGUCAAUGGGGCUAGAAAUUCAUUGAAGGGUCCCGAGAAUCAAAGGUGCUUACUCAAUUAUUAUUUGUAAAGUUGUAGACUUGUAGGGCAGCUACCGGAGUCCACACGUUGUAAUGUUUUGUUCACUAUCAAUCUCAUUGUUGGUCGUUUCCAACACGCUCAAGAAUCCAAUUCUGCAUAAACACAUAAAAUUAAAGACUUAAAACAGAGUUUAAGUAAUUAAUAAUUUAACUGGAAACAAAUUAAAAAGGAGAAUUUAAUUAUUGAAUUCCACAUUGUGCUAUUGAAAAUUAAAAAAAAAAAUUGUUGUCACCUCAGUCAAUUAGAUAAUCACUACAAAUAGUUCUUUAUGUAGAUGAUAUUCUUCUAAUUGGAAAUGAUAUAGGAAUAUUGACUACAAUAAAGAGUUGGUUAGCAAAACAAUUUGAUAUGAAAGAAAGACAUGAGAGAAGCAAGUUAUAUUCUUGGUAUCAAAUUACUACGAGACCGGAAGAAUAAAACUUUAGCCUUGGCUCAAGUGGUCUAUAUCGACAAGAUAUUGGUUAGAUUUAGCAUAGAAAAUUCCAAGACUGGUUUAUUACCAUUUAGACAUGGAAUUGUAUUCUCUAAGGACCAAUCACCUAAAACAUCUAAAGAGAUGGAGAAAAUGAGACGAGUUCCCUAUGCAGAAGUUGUGGGAAGUCCCAUGUAUGUCAUGCUUUGCACUAGGCUAGACAUCUGUUUUGUGGUAGGAAUGGUUAGCAGAUAUCAAAUCCUGGACCUGAACACUAGACUGUAAUCAAGCAUAUAAUGAAGUAUCUUAAAAAAACUAAAACUUAUAUGCUUGUGUAUUCUAGUGAUGAACUCAUUCCAGUGGAUUCUAGAAAAUCAACUUUCGGCUAUAUGUUUACAUUAGGAAGUGGAGCUAUUAAUUGGAGGAGUGUGAAACAAUUUGUAUCACAGACUCCACAACUGAAGCUGAAUAUGUGGAUGCAUCUGAAGCUGCAAAAGAAGUUGUAUGGCUUUGCAAGUUCCUACAAAAUCUUAAGGUGGUACCUGUUGUAACUGCACCCCUUAAACUAUUUUGUGAUUAUGGUGGUGCAGUAGCUCAAUCUAAGGAACCACAAGAAACAAAAACAUAUUGAGAGGAAACAUCAUCUUAUAAGGGAAUAGUAUAGAAAGACUAUAUGACAGUACCCCAAAUGACAUUAGAUGCUUUAUGGUAGAUUUUAUUACAAUGGCCAUUAGUGGGAAACCUUUAUAACCUGCACUUAGAGCCCCUAGAGCAUGUGCAAUAUGCCAGAUAUGCUUUAAAGAGCUAGUGGGAGAUUGUUGGGAUUAUGUGCUCUUUUAAAAGUAUUAUUAAUUUAUUUUCUGAUUAAUAAAAUAUUUGAGAUAUUUCAAUUGCAUAAAUAUAUUGAAUAAGGUCCGUUUAAUCAUAUUAUAUUUUCUCUUGCUAGUUGCUUUUAGUAGUGAUAAAAGCACCCACACGUCAAGUGCAGAUCAAACUUGAGUCAUAACCCAGAAGAUUAUUUGGUGACAGAUCGUGAUCUAACAAGCGUGGUGGUGACAGAUCGUGAUCUAACAGGCGUGAUGGUGACGGAUCAUGAUCUGGGAAGCCUGGAUUAAUUUCAAUUGUUCAUCUUCUCAGUUGCACUCAAUGUGUAUUAGAAUCCACGAAGGUCCGAUCCNNNNNNNNNNNNNNNNNNNNNNNNNNNNNNNNNNNNNNNNNNNNNNNNNNNNNNNNNNNNNNNNNNNNNNNNNNNNNNNNNNNNNNNNNNNNNNNNNNNNAACGUAGAACCCUGUAGUUGGUUGCAGAGAUAGAAAGAGUGAGUGUGUUUUCCAUAGUUAAAGAUAUAGUUAGAAUGGAUAGUUCAAAAUCAAAAAUGGUGAUAAUGUUUGUUCUGUUAUUAAUUAAAUUUGAAGGUGGGUGGAGUGAGGGAUGUUUGGAUCAUGAGAUAUUUGCUCUUUUUCGACUCAAAUAUUUCUUCAAUGAUCUUCAUGAUUGGGUAGAUGAUGAGGGAGCUACUGAUUGUUGUCAAUGGGUAAGGGUUGAAUGCAACAACACCACAGAUCGAGUGAUAGCACUAGACCUUUCUGAUACUAGGAAUUGGGAUUUGGGAGAGUGGUAUCUGAAUGCUUCUUUGUUUACUCCCUUUCAACAACUUGAGUCACUUGAUUUAAGUUGGAACAAAAUAGCCGGUUGUGUUGAGAAUGAAGGUGAAUUUACUUCUCCCUCCUAAUUUAAGUGGAAUAUCAAGACUGAGCAACUAUAUGCAUAUCGAUUCAGUUGACAAUUCUGACAUUUUUUUUAAGUGAAUAAUUAAUUUUGAAAUCACACAAGUAUCUAUAAUCCUUUUUUAUUUUACUUGCAGGUCUAGAGAGGCUAUCAAAAUUGAACAAUUUGAAGAUGCUUGAUUUAAGUGAAAACUUGUUCGACAAUAGCAUCUUAUCAUUUGUAGGUCGUCUUUCAUCAUUACGAUCAUUAAAAUUAUCUUACAAUAGAUUGGAAGGAAGUAUUGAUGUUAAAGGUACAUAAUUAAAACUUUAUCUCUUCUCCAAGCUCUUUCAUUAACUUGCUAAAAUAAGAUUCAAGGUUUUGAAUUCAAUUUUUUAAUGAUUAAUAUUUUAAAAAAAUAGUUUUUAGCAAUUCAUAAAUACAAGUUCUAGUGUUUCUCAUAAUUUCAUCUUGUACUUUCAUAUGUAUUGUAUUUAAGAUGAAAAAAAAAUUCUAAUUGCGAACCGCACACCCCCACAACUUAUUUUUUUGUGAGGUUUGAAACAUUCAACUCAAUUUGUACUCUUUACAGAAUUAGAUUCUUUGAGAGAUUUAGAGGAGCUAGAUAUUGGCUGGAACAAGAUUGACAAAUUUGUGGUCUCAAAAGGUACUACAAAUACCAUAAAAAAUAUAAACUUUUACAAAUUAGCUGGAUUCUUUGCCAUUUGUUUUAUUAUUUCGUAGGUUUGAGGAAGUUGAAGUAUCUCGGUUUAAGUGGCAACAAACUCAAUCAUAGCAUCUUAUCUUCUCUGACUAUCUUUUCUUUGUUAAGAGAAUUAUAUCUACGUGAUACGGGAUUCAAAGGAACAUUUGAUGUUCGAGGUAAGCCUAAGCCUUGCUUUCUCAUUUUAUAUAUGUCAGCUAGACUUGUGUAUCAUCGACAUAAUUUAAUAUUUAAUUUGAUUAGUCUGAAGGAAUUACAUGCUAAUUUAAACAAACUUUUAUUUACCCUGUCAAUCAUUAAUUAAACACUAUUUGGUUUGGUUUAAACCUACUUUUUUAUUUUAUAUGCUAGCUAGACUUAGAUACUAACUAUUUUGAUGAGUCUGAAGGAAUUAGAUACUAACUAAACAUACUUUUAUGUACUCCCUCAAUUAAUUAAUUAAUUAUUUCACUUGGUUUGGACGAAAUUCUCAUGAUGCUUUAAUUUCUUUAAAGUUAUUAAUUAAUUAAUUCUGUUUUUAAGUCUUAAGUCUGGGUAUGUUUGUAGAAUUCAAUUCCUUCAAUAACUUAGAAGCGUUGGACAUGAGCAACAACGAAAUCGACAAUCUUGUGGUUCCUCAAGGUAAACAAUUAAAAUAUUAUUCAAUUACAUAAAUUUAAUUCAUUUGAUCAGGGAAGACGCAAAAGGUACAAAAAUAAUAAUAAUAAAAUAAAGAAACAGAGAAUUUAUAUUAUUUCAAAAACAGGACGUACUAGUUAUUUCAAAAACAGAAUGUAAUAAAGAUUUGAUUCCAGUACUUUAAUCUUUACAGUGAUUGAAAAACGAUACUAAUCCUUUCCCAAAGUAUAAAAUACGAAUUGACUCCCAAUUAAAUUAAUCAUUUAUUUAGUUCAUCUCUAAAUUUAAACAAUGAAUUUUGAUCUUCAAUCCUAUUCUAAUUACAAUUAAAAAACAGGUUAUAGAGGUUUAAGGAAUUUGAAAAGCCUUGAUCUAUCAGAAGUCGGAAUUAGAGAUGGAAGUAAUUUGUUACGGUCAAUGGGAUCAUUCCCAUCCCUCAACACUCUUUACUUGACUUCUAAUAAUUUUAUCGAUACAACGUCAGGUACAGAUGUGUCCAAAUUUAUAAAUAGGCUGUUAAUUAAUUAAUUAAUUUUCUGUAUUGUUGAAAAAGCUAAAUUUGUUGCUUCGAAACAGAGUUGCACAAUUUCACCAACUUGGAAUAUUUGGCAUUGGACUCUUCCUCUCUCCAUAUAAGCCUUUUACAAAGCAUUGCAUCAUUCACUUCGUUAAAAAUAUUGACGAUGACUAAUUGCGAAGUCAAUGGCGUCCUAAGUGGUCAAGGUAAAAGAAAAGUGUUGAUUAUAAAUAAACUAUUAAUUAAUUAAUUAAUUUUCCGUAUUAUUGAUAAAGCUAAAUUUGUUGAUCCUUCCUUUUAAUUCUAAACAGAGUUGCACAAUUUCGCCAACUUGGAAUAUCUGGCAUUGGACUUUUCCUCCCUCCAUACAAGCCUUCUGCAAAGCAUUGCAUCAUUCACUUCGUUAAAAAAAUUGUCGAUGACUAAUUGUGAAGUCAAUGGUGUUCUAAGUGGUCAAGGUAAAAGAAAAGUGUUGAUUAUGAAUAAGCUGUUAAUUAAUUAAUGUUGUUGCUCCUUGCUUCUAAAAUGAGUUGCGCAAUUUCACCAACUUGGAAUAUUUGAAUUGGACUCUUCCUCGCUCCAUAUAAGCCUUCUGCAUCUGCAAUUGCUUGAAGAAUUUAUUUAUUUAUUUAUUAUUGUUGUUGUUGUUGUUGAAAUGGGGUGGGCAAGCGUUCACUCAGUUAAUAUGUGGUGAAUUAAAUAUUACAAUCCAAGUUAGAAUUGUGGAAAAUUAAAGCAAAAUGAGAAAUAUGGACAGAAAGGAAGAAAGUUAAGGGCAUGAAAGACUAGGAGAAGACUGAAGACCACCAAAUAAGUCAAUUGAAAACUAGCUGGGGCUUGGGUGUACAAAUUGUUAGAAGUGUUUGUUAUAAAUCACAUAGAGCCCUCUUGUUGGUUGCAGAGCCAAAGAGACAAAGAGUGUGCAUUUUAUUAAUUAAAAAAAUAUAUAGAAUGGGUGGUUUAAAAUCCAAAUGGUGAUAAUGUUAGUUUUGUUAGUAUUAAUAAUAUUAGAAGGGGGUAGCGUGAGGGAUGUUUGGUGCAUGAGAGAUUUGCUCUUUCGAGACUUAAAAAAUUUCUUCAAUUCUCCUUAUAAUUUUUGUCACGACUGACCAUUGUCAAUGGGAUGGGGCUGGGUGCAGCAACACCACAGGGCGAGUGGUAUCUGAAUGUUUCUUAGUUUACUCUUUUUCAACAAAUUGAGUGGGUUAAUUUAAGUUGGAACAAUAUAGUUGGUAGUGUUGAGAAUGAAGGUGUUUCGUUUAAUUUAAUACUUUCUCCCUCCUAAUUUAAGUCGAAUAUCAGGAUUGAGCAACUAUAUGUAUCUUUAUUCAGUUGACAAUUUUGACAUAUUUUUUUAAAUGAUUAAUUUUGAAAUUACAUCAAACUGAUGUGAUCUCUGUUUUGAUUUUACUUGCAGCACUAGAGACGCUCUCAAGAUUAACCAACUUGAAGAUGCUUGAUUUAAGAGGAAACUUGUUCAAUAAUAGCAUUUUAUCAUCUCUAGCUCAUCUUUCAUCAUUAACAUCAUUAGAUUUAUCUGAGAAUAAAUUGGAAGGAAGUAUUAAUGUUAAAGGUACGUAAUUAAAAUGUCAUCGCUUCUCCCAACUCUUUCAUUAACAUGCUAAAAUAAGAUUCAAGGCUUUGAAUUCAAUUUUUUUUAAUGAGUAAUAUUAGAAAAAUAGUUUUAAGCAAUUCAUAAAUACAAGUUUCAAUGUUUCUCAUAAUUUCAUCUUGUACUUUUGUAUGUCUUGACUUUAAGAUUAAAAAAAAAAAUUAUUCUAACUGUGAAGCAAAUACCCCACGACUAAUUUAUUAUUUUGUCUAGUUAAAAAUGAUAAAAUUUAUUAUUUGCUUAUAUUGAUUAAUUAACUCUAUUUUUAAGUCUUAAGUCUUGGCGUCUUGGCAUGUUUGCAGAAUUUGAUUCCUUGAGCAACUUAGAGGAGUUGGACAUGAGCGGCAAUGAAAUAGACAAUUUUCAGGUUCCUCAAGGUAAACUAUUAAAAUAUUAUUCAAUUACAUUAAUUUAAUUCGUUUGAUUAGGGAAGGCCAAAAGGUACAAAAACAUAAUAAAAAACUAAAGAAACAAAGAAUUUAUAUUAUUUCAAAAAAUAAAAUGUAAUACUAUUAUUUCAAAAAUAGAAUGUAAUAAAGAUUUGAUUCCGGUUCUUUAAUCUUUACAGCAAUUGAAAAACAAUGUUGCUCUUUUUCUAAAGCAUAAAAUAUGAAAUGAGUCAUAAUUGAAUUAGUCAUUUAUUUUGUUUAGCUCUAAAUUUAGAUAAUAAAUUUUGAUUUUUUUCAAUCCCAUCCUUAUUAUUAUUAUUAUUAUUAUUAUUAUUAUUAUUAUUAUUAUUAUUAAACAGGUUACGGAGGUUUGAGGAAGCUGAAAAGCCUGCAUCUAUCGAGAGUUGGAAUUAGAGAUGGAAGCAAGUUGUUACGGUCAAUGGGAUCAUUCCCAUCCCUCAACACUCUUUACCUUUGGGGUAAUAAUUUUACGGAAACAAUGACAACUACAACUCAAGGUAAGUAAAAGGUAUAGGUUUGGCCAAAUUUAUAAAUAAAUUGUUAAUUAAUUAAUUUUCCACAUUAUUAAUGAAGCUAAAUUCCUUGCUCCUUCUUUGUAAUUCUAAACAGAGUUGCACAAUUUCACCAACUUGGAAUAUUUGACAUUGGACCAUUCCUCUCUCCAUAUAAGCCUUCUGCAAAGCAUUGCAUCAAUAUCCCCUUCAUUAAAAAAUUUGUCGAUGUGUGGUUGUGAAAUCAAUGGUGUCGUACGUGGUCAAGGUGAAAGAAAAGGGUUGAAUAUGAACUCACUCAAUGGUGUCCUAUGUGUUCAACUUAUUUAUUUUUUUAUUAAUUUUAUUUUUUAAUGUUUCUACUAGGUUUUCCUCAUUUCAAGAGUUUGGAACAUUUGGAGAUGGAUGACGCGCGCAUUGCACUCAACACCAGCUUUCUUCAAAUCAUCGGUGAAUUGAUGCCCUCUCUUAAGUACUUAUCACUAUCAUAUUCUACUCCUGGCACUAACAGCAUCGAGAUUCUUGAUCAAGGUUAAUGAGAUGCUCCACUCUCCCCGCUUAAUCUAUAAUAUUAAUUUUUGAUUAAAUGUUUAAUUACACAAACGAAUCACUUAUUUUAAAAGAAUAAUACGUAUUCAUUAAUUUUUAUAUUGUAUUAAUUGAUGAAUUUAAUAAAUUUUCAGGCCUCUGUUCGUUGAUGCAUAUGCAAGAGUUACACAUUGCUCAUAACGAUUUAAGAGGUAGCUUGCCUUGGUGCUUGGCAAAUAUGACAUCCCUCAGGAUAUUAGAUGUUUCUUCCAAUCAACUUACUGGAAGCAUCUCUUCAUCUCCCCUCAUUCAUUUGACAUCCAUUGAAGAGCUGAGGCUUUCAGACAAUCAUUUUCGGAUUCCAAUUUCACUUGAACCACUUUUUAAUCACUCAAGACUCCAGAUUUUCGAUGCUUACAACAACGAAAUAAAUGCAGAAAUAACUCAAUCACCUUCUUUGACCCCAAACUUCCAAUUAUCACAUCUCUCAUUGUCUUUCGGUUAUGGAGAUGGUGUCACAUUCCCCAAAUUCCUUUACCAUCAACAUGACCUUGUGAAUGUUGAUCUCUCACACAUAAAGAUGAAUGGAGGAUUUCCAAAUUGGUUGUUGGAAAACAACACAAGAUUAGAAACUCUUUCUUUGGUCAAUGAUUCUCUUGCAGGACCUUUCCGAUUGCCAAUUCAUUCACACAAGCAGUUAAGACUGUUGGAUGUCUCCAACAACAACUUCCAAGGCCACAUUCCAGUAGAAAUUGGAGAUAUUUUACCAAGUUUAAUAUCCUUUAACAUUUCAAUGAAUGCUUUAAACGGUAGCAUUCCCUCUUCAUUUGGUAAUAUAAACUCCCUUCAAAUUCUGGACUUAUCCAACAAUCAAUUGAUUGGUGAAAUACCCGAGCACUUGGCUGUGGGUUGCGUCAACUUGGAGUAUCUUACAUUAUCAAACAACAACCUAGAAGGUCAUAUGUUCACUAGAAAUUUUAACCUGACAAACUUGAGAUGGUUACAAUUGGAAAGCAAUCACUUCGUAGGAGAGAUCCCACAAAGCUUGUCUAAAUGCUCUUCACUAGAAGGAUUGUAUCUUAAUAAUAACAGUCUCUCGGGUAAGAUUCCACGAUGGUUAGGUAAUCUCAAAGGGUUAAAACAUAUUAUAAUGCCCGAGAAUCAUCUUGAAGGUCCUAUUCCAAUGGAGUUUUGUCAACUUUAUUCGCUUCAGCUUUUGGACAUUUCAGACAACAACAUAUCUGGAAGUUUACCAUCUUGUUUCCAUCUUCUCUCUAUCGAACAAGUUCAUCUUUCAAAAAAUAUGUUACGUGGACAGCUAAAAAGAGGUACAUUCUUUAAUUGCUCUUCCCUUGUGACAUUAGAUCUUAGCUAUAAUCGUUUGAAUGGCAGCAUUCCGAAUUGGGUUGAUGGGCUUUCUCAACUAAGGCACCUUAUCUUAGGUCACAAUAAUCUUGAAGGUGAAGUGCCAGUUCAAUUGUGCGGAUUAAACCAACUGCAAUUGUUAGAUCUUUCUAAUAAUAAUCUUCAUGGCCAUAUUCCUCCUUGCUUUGAUAACACCACACUUCAUGAAAGUUAUAGCAAUAGUUCUAGUCUUAAGCCAUUUGAAAUAUCUCUUGUCAUGGAAAGCGGGAUGAUCUAUGCAGAAAAGCAAAUCCAUGAAAUUUUUGAGUUCACAACAAAGAACAUUGCGCACAUUUACCAAGGAAAAGUGCUUAGCCUCCUAUCAGGACUUGAUCUUUCUUGCAACAAGCUAAUCGGUCAUAUUCCUCCUCAAAUUGGAAAUUUGACAAGGAUUCAAACAUUGAAUCUAUCACACAACAACUUGAUAGGAUCGAUCCCAUCAACAUUUUCAAACUUGAAGCAAAUCGAAAGUUUGGAUCUUUCUUACAACAAAUUGAAUGGGAAAAUCCCUCAUCAACUUAUGGAGUUAAACGCAUUGGCUGUUUUCAGUGUGGCAUACAAUAACUUAUCAGGCGAAAUUCCAGAAUGUAAAGCACAAUUUGCAACCUUCAACGAGAGGAGCUAUGAGGGAAAUACUUUUCUUUGUGGACUGCCAUUGCCCAUUUGCAGAUCACCAGCAACUAUGCCAGAGGCUUCAAUUGGCAAUGAACGAGAUGAUAAUUUAAUUGACAUUGACAGUUUCUUUAUCACAUUUACAACAUCAUACAUAAUUGUGAUAUUUGGAAUUGUUAUUGUUUUAUAUGUAAAUUCUUAUUGGCGACAUAGAUGGUUUUACUUUGUUGAAAUGUGGAUAACUUCAUGUUACUAUUUUGUUGUAGACAAUCUUAUUCCAACAAGAUUUUGUCAUUGAAAUUAAUUAGUAGUUUAAUUACGAUUCUUUAAGUACUAAUCAGGUUUUCUUGGGAAAUAAAUUUUUUUAUUUUUUAUUAAAAUUGUAGUAGUAUUUAGCAUUAUAUAGCUUCCAACUUCCAAGCACUUCACAUUUGUCUCUACACUUAAAAAGCGAGUGAUCAUGUUUUGUAGAUCUGGAUUUGGAGCAGGAUGGAUCCAAACCCAUAUCUAUCCAUCAUAGCUUAUAGCUUCCCUAUACUGUGCAGCAUACUUAAAUAAGAGAACCAUCUCCAAUGUUAAAAGUAGCCACUCUAUAACAAUCAUUUAGAAACUAUAUUCAGAAUAGUUUUAUAAUCAUACACAAGAAAUGAAACACCUAGAUGCACUUGAUCGCCUAUUUUACUUUGAAAAAGAACAGUUAUGGUGCUUUCAUCAUCUUCUUCACUAGCAACAUUAACACUAAAUCCACCGAUGGACCCAGACAUUUCAUCAAGAAAGGUAUAUAUCUAAUAAAGUUAAAGCUUGACAAAAAAUUCAGGAAGAUUAAUGCCUCGCCACAACAAGGGCCACAACAACAUCAAAGUAGAGAUGAAGCAGUAUUCUCAAAGCUAAAACUCUCAAAUCCACCUAGGGGUGUUUAGAAUCCAAUUUGAUCCGCUCAAUCCGUCUAAUCCAUAGAAAUCCAAUUUGUAAAAAUCUGAUCCGUGGAUUGGUGGAUUAGAUUAGAUUGAAAAUUUGAUAAUCCGCAAUCGGUGGAUUAGAUACGGAUCUACUUCUGUAAAUCUAUAAAAAUCUGUGAAUCCGCAAAAAAAUAAAAAGUAUUUAUUUAAUUAAAAAAUAAAACUUGUAAAUAUGGUAUUAGUACUUACUAGUACAUAAAUAAGUUAAAAUAUAGUUAUAUUAACAGUAUGUUAUAUCUUAUCCGAUAAUAAUAAAAAAUAAAAAAAUAAUUAAAUAAACAAAUAUAGCUUUCUAAAUAGUUAAUUUCUAUGUACUGAUCUAAACGAAUGAGAUUUUUUUCGUUUUGAUGUGUUAUAUUUCGAAACUUUAAAUGAAUUUUUUAAGCUUUAUUUAAACAAUUAAUUUAUUUAAAUCUUAUUUAAUUUUAAAUUUGAAGUCCGUAAACCAAUCCGCAAAAUAUUAGAUUUGGUCAAAUCUGCAUCCGAUCCGUAGAUGUAUGGAUUGGAUUUGGAUUGAAUUUUACCAAUCCGUGGAUUGAAUUGAAUUGAAGAUUUAUAAUCCGCAAAAUCGUAGAUCGGAUAUGGAUUGAGGUCUAAUCCAUAAAAUCCGAUCCACGAACACCCUUAGUUGGAUUCUUGAGUGAGAACAAUUCCUAGGCCAAAUCCAAAUUGUCUACAAGAAAUCCAACGUCCUCAAGAGAUCAUAUAUAGUUUUCAAAUUGCGGGAAAGCUCUAAAACUUGUGAAUUGAGAAAUUGUACAUGCAUGUCAAGCUUUAACCAAUGAAUUUGCUUUAAUUUAUCAACAAUAAGAAUAUAAGAUGAGAUUUGACCUAGUUGUUACUCUUGUGAAUAAAAAAAUUGUGUGCCUGAACAUGAUUUAACUAAUGAAAUGAAUUUUCUUUAAUUUUUUUUAAUAAUAGGAUGAGACUUUCCUGAAACGAAAAGUACGGAUAUAUAAUUUGUUGGCUUUAGUUACCUUACAUAAUAAUGUAUGGUACAUAACCGUUUGAUGAAAAUCCAACAGUCGUGGAAAUAAUAAAAUUUUAUUAUCUUAUAUUUUCACAACUGUUGGAUUUUCAUCAAACGGUUGUGGAAAAUCAAAUGGUUGUGGAAGAGUCAUUUACCUUACAUUAUUAUGUAAGGUAACAAGCUCCUAAUUUAUUUAGUAUGAUUGAAAAUUAUGAAUGAAAAUAGUUUUGCCAAAAUUGACAAAAUCAAAAUCUUUAAAUUAGUGAAAAGUCUUCAAGUCCUAUGUGAUAUAAACACGUAUUUGGCCUACUUCUUAGAACUCUUAUGGCUAUAGUCAAGCUAGAUGAAAAAGAGAUUUACUAAUUCUGAGUUAGAGAUCAUGAUGGUAACAUCUACACCUUACUCAAUAAAAUUCUUUGCUUAUUUUUUUAUUACUUAUGGUUGAAUUAGAAAUUCAAUUAUUCUUUUAUAACGUGGUUUAAAAUAUUUAAUAAAAGGAAAUUCUUAAAUACUUUGGAGAUUUCAGAGCUUUUUUUUUAAUUUUUAAAAAAGAUAGAGAUGUGACAAAACUAAAAAAAAAAAAUUAAACUCAGAUGACCAACUAAAAGUUAUCUGAUCACUUUAUUUGAACGAAAACUUUAAUGCUGUUAUGAAAAUGUGUAGAUCAAGCAAUGAAAAAUUCCAAAAUAUUGGUAAUAACUUCAAAUUACAACGACGGAGGUAGGUUGACGGCGACCUUAUGUAGCGGAGGCAGCCAUAAAUUUUAAAUUUUGUUUGCGUUGAAGUCAAAAUUCAACUGUCGCCGACCCAUUUGGUUUGAACUCUAUGUCAAUCGGGUCUGCCCAAAACCAAACACAACCCAAACCAUAGCCAGCAUAGGUGCUAAGAAGAUUCUUUUACUUUGUCACUUGUCGCCUACAAUGAAAUUGACAUUAAACAAACAUUAAAACGUGUGGACUCCGAUAGCUGCCCCACAACUGUACAAUAAUAAUUGAGUAUGCACUUUUGAUUCUCGGGACCUUUCAAUGAGUUUCUGCCCCGCUGAUUCUAUCAACUAAAGUUUUGUAAAAUGAAAAAAAAAAAGUACAUAGAAUUCCACAAAAUGCAAAACGUGUGGAAUUUAAUUUUUGGCCGUGUGGACCAAAAUAUAAUUUAACGAAAAAGGGCAAAAAUGGUAAGAUAUUUAAAAUGUAUGGAAGAUGAUCCAUAUUUUACUGAAACGACUUAUCUCGAACAUUAAGAUGAUUGAUUUUUUCUUUUUGAAUAAUAUCAACUUCCAUAUCUUUCUACCGGAGAACAUGCUCACAUUAAAGUCUAUCUUACUAAUUUGAAAAAGAAAAUCAAAUCAACACCAAAGCAAUGAAAAGUAAAGCUUUUGAAUUUUAACUCCGGCUGGCAAACGUAUUCAGGAAUUCUUCCCAUUGCAUAUCUUAUUCCUCCAUCAAUGCAAUAUUAAGUAAUUUUUCUUUAUCAUAUUCUUUUCUUUGCAUUUCUUCUUCCUCUAUCAAUGCAAUAUUUGAACAAUUAAGAAAGAGUUUAAGAACAUAAAAGAUCUCCUAGAUUUAUACGGUAUAACAAAUUUAAAUUCUCAAUUAUAAUGGAUAAUAAUUAAACUAAUAAUUAUUUAUUUACUUAUUUUAAUAGUUUCACCUAAGAAUAAUAUUGUAAUUAGAAAAAAUCUAAAAAGCGGGGUGGUUUUAUACAAAAUCAAUUGCAUACACAUAUCCAGAAGCAUAUGCGGAUGCAAAUAAUAUUUUUUAUUCUUUUUUUAUAAGAAAAUUGUGUAUUGAGAUGAAUAAAAUGUUUAAUUUAAUUAAUUUCCUUACUUUCAUAUACAUUGUCUUUCUAUCUAAAGAAAGCUCAUGUUUGUUAGUAUUCAUUCUUAGAGAGGUGAAAAAAUUACAAAUCUUGAACAACAAGGAGUAGUUUAAUUGCCACUAACUUUACUUGGCCUUCUUUAGUUGGAGCUGUGUUUUCUGAUAAGCCAAAGAAUUAGUAGCUGUUAGAAAGCUGAAAUGAGAUUGUAAACUUUGUUUGGAAGCUAAGAAAAUGAAAAGAAAAUGUUCUGGAAAUUUCUUGAUUUUAUUCAAUUUUUCUCAUUACAUAACAAAUACAAUCACGAUAGUAUUUAUACUAAAUCAAGUCUCUAAAACAAAAAUAAUAGUUUGCUUAACAGCUGACGAACAGGACGUAAUGCAUGCUUAACGGAAUUGCUGAGCUGGCUUCUUUUCUUAACUAACUGCUGACGUGUCAUUGGCACACACGUGUUGAAUAUGCAGCUCCCUUUUGUACAAUGUGUGCUUCCUUAACAGCCCCCCUCAAACUCAAGGGGCAGGGAUGCACAUUGAGUUUGCUUCUAAAGUAGUUAAAGUGAAUGAAUGUGAGAGGCUUGGUCAAGAUGUCUGCAAUCUGCUCUUCACUGGGAAUGUAAUUGAUCUCCAGCUCUCUUGCCAACACUUUAUCUCUUAUGAAGUGCAUGUCUAGUUCAAUAUGUUUAGUUCUCGAGUGGUAGACAUGAUUUUUGGCUAGCUCAGUUGCACUUAUAUUAUAGCACUAUUUUGUAGGCACUGAAACACAUUCUAUCUUGAUCGUCUUGAAUAAUGACUGCAACCAUGUAAUUUCUGCACUUGCAAAAGCAAGAGCUCUGCACUCACUCUCUGCACUUGAUCUUGUGACUAUUGAUUGCUUCUUGGAUGACCAAGAUAUCAAAUUAUGCCCCAAGUAAAUGCAGUAUGCCCCUAUUGAUUUUUCUAUCAUCAACAUCAUAUGCCCAAUCUGCAUCUGCAUAUUCUAUUAGCUUUAUUUCUCCACCAGCUGUACACUUUAAUCCAUAGUCUUCUGUUUCUUUCAAAUAUCUAAGUAUCCUCUUACAAGCCAUGAUAUGUUGAAGUGUUAGUGUAGACACAUAUUGACUUAAUUUGUGCACUGCAAAAGCAAUUUCUAGCCUAGUCAGGACUAAAUACUGUAACUCUCCAAUCAAGCUUCUAUAACUAGUUGCAUCUUCAACAUACUGACCCAAAGAUCCCUUAACUUCUUUAUGAAGUUUUGUUCUUGUAACCAUUGGAGUAUCACACCCUUUGCAGUCAAGCAUAUCAACUUUUCUCAGCAAGUCUUUAAUAUAUUUUUUUUUGGGACAGAUAUAUAUCAUUCUCAGUAUAAGAGACUUCUAUACCAAGAAAAUAUGAAAGCUUUCCUAAAUCUUUUAAUGCAAACAUUUUGCUCAAACCUGAGAUAAAUUUUUCAAGUUCAUCACUAUUAGGUCAUGUUAUCAAUAUGUCAUCAACGUAAAUCAGGAUUAGUAUCAUUGAAUUCUGUUCUCCCUUGAAAAAUAGUGAAGUGUCGGCUCUGGAAUUUUGAAAACCCCAAUUUGUAACCAAACAACUCUUCAGUUUGUCAAACCAUACUCUAGGAGAUUGUUUCAACCCAUAUAAGGCCUUCUUCAACUUGCAUACAUAAUCAGGUCUUAUCUCAUCAACAAAUCCUUCAGGUUGGCACAUGUAAACAUCCUCUGUCAAGUCUCCAUUUAGGAAAGCAUUACUAACAUCUACUUGUCUGAUCAUCCACCUAUGCAUUACAGCCAAGCUCAAUAUAACUCUCACUGUAGAAGCCUUUAUAACAGGGCUAAAUCUUUCAAAAUAAUUGAUUCCUUUAGUUUGUUGGAACCCUUUUGCAACCAACCUAGCUUUAUAUUUGGCAAUACUGCCAUCACUAUUUUGUUUGACUCUAAACACCCAUUUGUUUCCAACAAUUUUGUAUUCAGCUGGAGGUGGUAUAAGAGACCAAGUCUCAUUUCUGAUCAAGGCUUCAUAUUCCUCUUUCACGGCCUUAUACCAGUGUUUAUCAUUAAGAGCUUCUCGAACUGUGUUAGGUUCUUUGUUGAUCAAGGUGGUUGUGUACAACUUAGGCUUGAAUAUUCCAGACUUCGAUCUAAUGGUCAUUUUGUGUGUGGGUUGUGAAGUCAGAAUUCUGUUUGGACUGAGUUCAGUUUGUUGUUGACUGGUUACAUGUGGUUCAAAUUGUGUUUGAGUUGGUUCAGGAAUAUGACGGAUAGUUUGUGAUGUUGAUGAUUUUGAUAUGAAUGACUAGAUGAUUCUUGUUGAUGCUGAUUAUUUGUAUGCUCAGGUAAUACAGGUGUUUGUUCAUUACUCGGUACUCUUGCUGAGUAAGUAUCUUCAAAGCUGCUGUUGAGUAAGGGUAAUGUUGAGAGAUGAUAGAUUUGUUGUUUAGAGAAAUUUGACACUGGAGUUUCUGAUUGGAUGACAUUUUCAGAAGAAGAAGUGGCAAAGAUUGUUGCAUAUGGAAAUACAGUCUCAUCAAAGACAUCAUGCCUAAGAAUAUGAACUUGACCUGAGCUUGUAAGACAUUUGCAUCCUUUAUGAGAUGAGCUAUAUCCAAUAAAGAUGCAUUUGCUAGUAUGAAAAUCAAACUCAUGUCUGUUAAAGUCUCUCAUGUAUGGAUAACAAAGACAACCAAAUCAUUUAAGGAAAUUGUAAUCAGGUUUAUGCUUGAAAAGUUUCUGAUGUGGGGAUAAGAGUCUCAAUACAGGUGUUGGCAACCUGUUUAUGUGAUAUACUGCUAUAUGAACAGUUUCCCACCAGAAUUUGAAAGGAAGAUCAGCUUGAGUUAAAAGAGUCAAGGCCAAUUCAAUUAUAUGCCUAUGUUUUCUUUCUACCAGUCCAUUCUGGUGAUGAGUGUAAGGGCAUGAGUGUUUGAAAAUGAUCCCAUUUUGGUUCAAAAAAUCAGUGAAUACUCAAUAUUCUCCCCCUAGUCAGAUUACAUCAUCUUAAUUGUUGUAUUGAACUGAUUCUAUAAUUCUGUCUUUAGAAAUGCAACUAAAUUUUUAAUCUCUUACUCUACAUAAAAUUGAAAUUCGAGUGGCUUAUCAAAUAAAAUUAAAACUAUUAAUUAACCAAAUAAAAUUAUUUAAAACCAUUGGGUAUGGUAGCAGGAGUUCUUGAAACUAUCGAUGCCAUGAAAUUUACUGGCGAAAAGGGUUUUAGAUGUCUAUUUUAUAAAUCUUUUAAUAAUUUUUUUAUUUACCAUUUUACUAUCCAUGGUAAAAGUGUCGCAUCGACAUUGAACAGUUCAACAUAUCAGUCAUUUCUCAUUCAGUCAUUAAGAAUUUACGUUUGGGGUAUUUUUGUAAUUAUGAGAAGGUAAACUAAUCGCAAAAUUCAUUUGGCUUGCACUUGCUCGCCUUUGCUGUGUGUUUGGUUAUGGCGUUAUCAUUAUCAUCUUCUCCACUCCUGCUGACACCAGACCUUAACCGUUCAGAUUCCCUUUCUCGACUGUCAUACCCUACGCCCCGUCUCCGUGUCUCCGAUAAACAGUGCUCAAUUAAGACCAUCAGAUUAUCCCGGACCCACAUUAAUCCAACGGCUCACAAUGACCGACAACCUCUCCAUCUCCAUUACAAGCUCCCUCUUCAGCUGGCUUCUUCUUCCGUCCUACUCUUUCUCGGAUUCGGAGCCCGUAUAUGCUCGGCUGGUCCCACGCAGCUCCCUCUCACUCCAGCUGUCAACCAACAAGACCAAUUGCUUGAUCAAGACACAGAACAAAAAGAGGAUGAGAAAUUGAAUCAAGAAUUUGAGAAUUGGAAAUGGAAGACGUACGCAUUGACCGUGCCUUUGAGAGUCGUUUCUCUUCAGAAUUCAGUGCCUCAAUCUUGGGUUAAGGAUUUUAUGCGAAGUCAAGGAAAGAGAUUGAAGUUUCAGAUGAAUUUGUGUGCUAGCAUUGAUGGGAUCGUUAACAAUUUAUCUACGCCCUUUAACAAAGUUAAGGCUAAGUCAGCUUCGUAUAUGGCUGCUGAUUUGGUUAGUGUUGGUGAUUCAUGGCUCAGUUUUGCGAUUAAAAAGAGAUUGAUCGAGCUAAUAGCUGAAGCUGAAGAUCAAGAUUGGUUCAAAUGCUUAAGUCACAAAUGGAAGGUAACAUCUUUAUCUUUUACCCGAUAAUUUUUAUUGUCUUACCUUGAAAUUUGGUAAUGUAAUUUGUUCUCUAUCUGUGUUACCCUUUAUAGUCAUUUUAUUUAUUUGUUUAUUGCUUUUAUUUGCACUAACGAAAUCUCAGGUAUAUCUACGCAGCAAUGAUGCAGGAGAAAUUGAUCCUCGAGGUCAAAUAUGGGCGGCACCAUACAGGUGGGGCACAAUGGCGAUAGGCUACAAGAAAAGUAAAUUUCAAAACCAUAAUUUGGCUCCGAUUGAGGUAAUAAUUGUACUUAAACUCAUUUAGUUUAAUAUCAAGCAAAAUCAAGACUGCCUUUCUCUUCAAUAUUUUCAAUGAUAAUAUCUUUAGAAGCAUCUCAUUGACGGGUAACAAUGGUAUCCCUGAAAGAGUCUAUAAACUCAAUGAUAUUAUCUUCUACAAUGGCUCAUUAAACUUUGUCGUUGCAGUCAAAUGUACACUCAGAGCAAUGAAAAGCUAUGCCACUGUAGCAUGUAGUGAUGGCACUUAAUAAGUGAAUUGCUAGGAUGUGAACUAGAAAAAUUAAAUAUUGUCUCCUUGGGUAUGCUAGCUCGUAAGUCAGGGUUACUAUUAGAGCUUAAGAUACUAUAACCAUGAGAAGCUAUUGACUGCCAAUUAAAAUAUCCAUUAAAAUGUCUAGGGAGUUAUGAAGGUGGAGGUAGCUUCCAAUAACUAACUUGAGUUUGGUAAAACAAACAGACAGUGUGUCUCAUGUCUCACAAUUCAAAUUAUCAUCUGUAAUGAUGGAGAAUUUUUCUAAUGUAUGAAGUAUGCUUUCAUACGUGGAUUAGCUUGGAGAAGAUAUCUCAAAAUAAAGAAUAUGGGGAGCGAAUGGGAAAAAAACAGUUCAGUAGUUUAUUAUUCUGUAGUCAAGUUUUGUCUUGAAAAUGGUCAAAAUUUAAAUGAAUAAGGACAGGGGAUCUUCAUUCUUUUUUCCCUUUUUUAUACCAAGAUAUCUUUCAACCUUUAUAUAAUCCCCACUGGAUAUCUGCUUCUAAUAAUUAAAAUAAAAAUUUCACCCACACAAAUAAAUACUGACCAAGCUCUAACAAUAAAAACUAACAUCUUUAGUCAAGUAACAUCUUUAGUCACGUAAUUUACAGUUCCUCAUCAUCUUAGUGUGAGCUAUCAGUACGAUCUAAAAACAUAAUAAAACUGGUUUGAUCCUGUUUAUUGAUGUUUAAAUGUUGUUUAUUGUGACAAGUAAAUUAGUAAGAUCUUGUUUGAAGUUGUUUUCCGAAAUGAACUGCCAAAUGGUAGUUUUUUUGGGGCAUCUGAUGGCUCUUUUUUCCUCAUUUUAAACAUGUGCCUGCUUGGAAUGGGAAGGAUUAGGCUGCAGAGUUGUUAUAUAUUUUGACAUGCUCUGGUAAUUACACAAUUUGUUCACACUGGAAAUUAGAAUGAGAAAUUUGUUGAUGCUGUUUUGAUAGAUCUGCAUUCUAUGCACAAUAACAUGAUUAAUGAAAAUGGAUUGUAGGACUGGAAAGAUCCGUGGUGGCCUGAGCUCGCAGGAAGAAUUUCAAUGGUUAAUUCUCCCCGAGAGGUUAUUGGUUCAGUUUUGAAGUAUAUGGGAGCAUCAUAAAAUUCAAACAAUAUUGAUUUGCAAGUUGCUGGUGGGAAGAUUGCUGUUCAGCAGAAUCUGGCAUUACUGGCAAACCAGGUACUCUUAAAGAAAUGAUAUCUGAUCAUUGCAUGUUAUUGCCUGACAACUGAUUUUGUUUGUAGAAGUCUGCUUCUUCAUACAUAUGAAUGCAUAUGCUAGUGUUUUCUUCUCCUUUUCAUACAUAUGAAUGCGUAUGUUGGUGUUGUCUUUUCCUUUUCAUACGUAUUAAUAAUACAUAUGUUGGUGUUCUCUCCUGAGAUGGAUGCAAUAAAGGCUUUUGCUCCUAAAUUUAGCUGAAGAAAUGGCAAGGGAUGUGAGAUUCUGUCUCAUUAAAUUAACAAAAACCCAAAACAAUGAAAAACCAUAAUAAUGUGGUGUGGGUAAACUGGCUCCAUUUGGUUCGUUUCCUUAAUGUGAAUACGCAAACAAUGGAGACUAACAAAAUGAAGUGACAACAACAAGUCAGUGUCCUUUGAUGGAUGCAUUUUUAAGCAGAAAUAGGUUUGUAAUUGACCAAAUUUGUCUGGCAUGCCAAUUUCGAAAAAAUUAAAUUAUGUGAUUAUUACCUGUAAUGAAGGGGGAUAGUAGGUGCAAUCAGGUGGAUCCCGGAAAGUUCAACAAAGUUCUGGUAUGGUGUAUUGAAAUUGGUUUGUGCAACUCAAGAGUCUUUCAGGUGAACGAUGAUGGGUUUUGAUUUAUGAAUGUUAUAAAUCUACUGUGCAUAGUAUUCUAGUAGAAUCAUUUAUAAGUUCUAGUUAUUGAAAUUGUCUACUUUGUCCGGUUUGAGUUAAGGGCACAUGUAAUAUGAAAAAUAGUUGUCGCAUCUUUUAGGUUACCUAACAUUUGAUCAAUCCUAUUAUGAGGGCUUCAAGAUGUCUAACAAUAUGUAGAAUGCCCAUGCUCCUCCCCAUUGUUUAUCUUAUACAAUAAUUUGUUUUAGAUGCUAAUAUCUUUGUCGAUACUGGUAACAUUAUUACAAUCUCUGCUUUUAUUGGGUUCUACAUAGGUUCGACUGUUUGACAGUACACACUAUCUGAAGGCAUUUGGAAUUGGAGAUGUAUGGGUUGCUGUUGGGUGGAGUAGUGAUGUUCUUCCUGCUGUCAAACGUAUGUCUAAUGUUGCUGUUGUUGUUCCCAAGUCUGGUGCAAGCUUAUGGGCCGAUCUUUGGGUAUUCCCAUGCCUGCCAUUCUACUUCGAUAUUCACUUUGUUAUCACCUUCAUAUUAGUGAUCAGUAAACACGAUAAUGUGACUAAUAAGUUUGUAUUCUCUUUAUAGGCGAUCCCUGCUGCCUCAAGACUUGAAACAAAACAAAUUGGAGGGCAAGUCAGAGGUCCGUCUCCAUUAAUCCAUCAAUGGAUAGAGUUCUGCUUGCAAACAGCAAGAGCAUUGCCUUUCAAGCAAGAGGUUAUCCCAGGCGCAUCUCCCUCUGCCCUUGAAAGUACUCUGGUUAAGUUGCCUGAAGAACUUCUGAAGGGUAAACCAAGUGUGGAUACUAACUUAAUUGCUGGAGUACCCCCCCGCUGAAAUUCUGGCCAGAUGUGAGUUUUUGGAGCCAUUAUCUGAAGCUACAUUGUCAGAUUAUGAGUGGCUGGUUGCUAAUCUGCAAAACCUGCUCCUGUCUUGAUGAAAAGGGUGCAGCAUUACUUGUCAUCAUUAAUCCAAAGCUUUCUAGCAAAGCUACAUUGAAAAGUUAAUGGCACUGCAUACAAUCAUGAGUUUUAAUGGAGCAAGAACUAAAUACAAUUAUCGCUAACAAAUACUGAAAACACAACCCACACAGGAAAUCACCCUUCGCGUGGGGAUGGAGAUGUUUACUGGAGCGAUAUUGAAUAUGUGCAAGGUGUUGUCCACUGCUCUUUGGGUUAUGGUGUGACUUGCGAUUUCAAGAUUGCCCAGAAACAAUGGAAAAGAUUAACAUAUCCUCCCAUGAGUGAAAACGGCUUGACUAAUUCUAAUUACCGAAUUGACUCAGGAUCAGGUAGCAAUAAUAACAGUUAACUAACAUUGCACAGUCCCGAGUACUUUUCCAGGAUCAGAUACAACGUGGUCUAAUGUUGAUAAUAAUACCUUAUUAAAGGACAAAUCAUUGUUCUUGGGUGUUGAUAGUAAUAGCUUAUUAAAGUAGAAGAUGAAGGUUGUGCAGGUGAUUUCAGAAAUAAAAUACAUUCUGAGAGAUGAUGGUCUACUAUUGCAAGCCCCCAGAUUUCAGAAUCUUUUGAUUGCGGCAUUUGGCAACGAUUCCACAAAUUCUAGAUUCCAACUGAGUUAUCAAUUGAAAAUGAAGUUGAAUUGAAAAAGAACAACAAAUACACAGUGAAGUUGAAUUGAAAAUGAAGUUGCAAGUUGCGCCCAUAGCUGCUGACUAAUAAUAAAACGAGACAAAUUAAUUAAACUCAGAUCUCUAUGUACAUGUCAACCUAACUUUACUUUUCCUUGUUUGUUAUAUUCACUUAACACUUGAUGCCUAAACCAUUAAAACCAAAUGACCAUAGAGGUAUUUGUAAUAUGUAAAAACAAACAAAAACACGUAAAAAAUUUUAAAAACAAUUAAUAAUCACACUCUAAAUUUACCACUCAACUCUAAAUAAUAACCAUACUCAAACAAUUUACAACUUUUGACGGGAGUAGCUAUGAGGAAAAUCCUUUCUCAAUGGAUUGCCAUUGCCCAAGAGUUGCAAUGAAAACGUACCACCUGCAGCUGUGCCGGAAGAUUCAACUAGGUCUGAAAAAGAUGAUAAUUUAAUUGAUAUGGACAGUAAUUGUGAUAUCGGAAAGCAUUAGUAUUCUAUAUGUGAACCAUUAUUGGCGACAUCGAUAGUUUUAUAUUAUUAAAAUGUGGAUGACUUCCAUUUACUAUUUUGUUAUAGACAAUCUUAUUCAAUUAACAUAUAGUUUUAAACUAUUAUGUAAAUCAAUCUAUUAAUUUUCAUGAUAUUUAACUGAGUUAAAACUAAGUGCAAUCAAUAAAUCUCUUUUCCUUUAAAAAACCGCUACGUUUUAAUUUUAGUGCUUAAUAUUUAUUGAACUCUGAUACAGGAAAUUUGAAAUCAAACUCGUAACUACAAAUUAUUUAAUUGCGAGUUGCUGUCCAUAGCUGCUGAUCUGUAGUAAUUAUCUAAUUGACUGAGGUGACAACAAUUUUUUUUUUUUUCGGAAAAAUGUCAAUAGCACAAAUUCAAUAAUUAAAUUCUCAUGUUUAAUUUGUUUCAAGUUAAAUUAUUAAUUACUAAAACUCUGUUUUAAGUCUUUAAUUUUAUAUCUUGGCGUAUAUGCAGAGUUGGAUUCUUGAGUGAGUUGGGCAUUAAAAUGUGUGGACUCCGGUAGCUGUCCCACAAGUGUACAACUCUACAAUAAUAAUUGAGUACACACUUUUAAUUCUGGGGACCCUUCAAUGAAUUUCUAGCCCCGUUGACUCCACUGACUAGAGUUUUGUAAAAUAAUAAAAAAAAAGUACAUAGAAUUCCACCAAAUGCAAAAGCAAAAUGUGUGGAAUUUAAUUUUUGGCCGUGUGGACCAAAAUACAAUUUAACGAAAAAAGAAAAAAAAAAUUGUAAGAUUUCUAAAAUAUGUGGAAAGUGAUUCAUGUUUUACUGAAAUGACUUGUCUCAUGAUUGAUUUUUUUUUUUUUUUGAAAAAUAUCAACGUCCAUAUCUUUCUACCCUAGAACAUGCUCACAUUCAAGUCUAUCUUUGCUAAUUUGAGAAAGAAAAUCAAAUCAAAUCAAUACCAAAGCAAUGAAAAGUUAAGCUUUUGAAUUUUAACUUCAGCUAGCAAACGUAUUCAGCGUUUUCAAAUUCUUCCCAUUGCAUAUCUUCUUCCUCCAUCAAUGCAAUAUUAAGUACUUUUUCUUCAUUAUAUUCUUUUCUUUGCAUUUCUUCUUCCUCCAUCAAUGCAAUAUUUGAACAAUUAAGAAAGAGUUUAAGAACAUAAAAAAUCUUCUAGGUUUAUACGGUACAACAAAUUUAAAUUCUCAAUUAUAAUAGAUAAUAAUUAAACUAAUAAUUAUUUAUUUACUUAUUUUGGUAAUUUCACCUAAGAAUAAUAUUGCAUUAGAAAAAAUCUAAUAAGUGGGGUGGUUUUAUACAAAAUCAACUACAUACAGUAAUAAGUGAGUACGCACCUUUGAUUCUCGGGACCCUUCAAUGAAUUUCUAGCCCCGUUGACUCCACGGGCUACGGCUAAAGAUCUGUAAAACAAGUAAAUAGAAUUUCCACAAAAUGCAAAACUUGUCGAAUUUAAUUUUUGACCAUGUGGAUCAAAAUGUAAAUUAAAGAAAAAGACAAAACAAAAAGAGGUAAAAUUUCCAAAACGUGUGAAAGAUGACUCAUGAUUUAUUAAAACGACCUGCCUCGAAUAUCAAGACGAUUAAUCUUUUUAAAUUUUUUUUUUUGAAAUAAUAUCAACUCUCAUAUUUUUCCACUCGCAGAACAAGUUCACAUUCAAGUCUAACUUGCUAAUUUGGAAAACGAAAUCAAAUCAAAUCAAUAUCAAAGCAAUGAAAAGUAAAACUUUUGGAUUCUAACUCCAGCUAGCAAACGUUGGAAUGCAAUAAUUAAAUUCUUCUGUUUAAUUUGUUUUAAGUUAAAUUACUAAUUACUUAAACUCUGUUUUAAGUAUUUAAUUUUAUGUGUUGGUGGGUAUGCAGAAUUGGAUUCUUGAGUGACUUGGACAUGACCACAAUGAAAUUGAUGGCAAACAAACAUUAAAAUGUGUGGACUCCGGUACCUGCCGCACAAUUCUACAAUAAUAAGUGAGUACGCACCUUUGAUUCUCGGGACCCCUUCAAAAAAUUUCCAGCCUUGUUGACUCCACUGGCUAAGGCUAAAAUUUUGUAAUAGAAAAAAGGUCAAUUCUUGUGGAAUUUAAUUUUUGGCCUUGUAGACCAAAAUGUAAAUUAAAGAAAAAGACAAAAAAGAAAAGGGGCAAGAUUUAUAAAACGUGUAGAAGGUGGUCCAUGAUUUAUUCGAAUAACCUGCCUCGACUCGAAUAUUGUAAUGAUUGAUUUUUUUUAUUUUUUUAAAAUAAUAUCAAUUCUCAUAUCUUCCCACUCCUUGAAAAUGCUCACAUUCAAGUCAAAUUAAAUGGACACCAAAACAAUGAAAAUUGAAAAGUAAAACUUUUGAAUUCUAACUCUAGCUGGCAAACGUAUUCAGUAUUUUUAAAUUCUUCGAAUCGCUUAUCUUCUUCCUCCAUCAAUGCAAUAUCAAGUAUUUUUUUCUUUUUCGUAAUCUUUUCUUUGCAUUUCUUUUUGCUCCAUUAAUGUAAUUUAACUUCUUUUUUUAUUUGAACGGCUCGGAAAGAGUUGAAGAACAUAAAAAAGCUCUUGGUUUUAUACGGUAAAACAAAUUUAACUUAUAAUUAUUCAACUAACAAUUAUUUAUUUACCUAUUUUAGUAAUUUCACCGAAGAAUAAUAAUCUAAUUACAAAAAAUCUAGUCAGUUGGGUGGUUUUAUACAAAGAGUAAUGAUAUAGCCACAAACUCUUGUACAAACUUAUUUUGUACAAACUGAUGUGGCGUUAAUUCAUUGGUUGAAUUAAAUAUCUCUUGGCCCACAUGAUUUGUUUAUAUUAUUUUAUAUUUCUAUUCAACCAAUGAAUUAAUGCCACAUCAGUUUGUAUAAUAUAAAUUUAUACAAGAGUUUGUGGCUGUAUCAUUACUCUUAUACAAAAUCAACUACAUACCCAUAUACAGAUGCAAAUGCAAAUAAUAUUUUUAAAUAAGAAAAUUGUAUAUUGAGAUGAAUAAGAUGUUUCUAUGAUUCUAUCUUAGGAAAGCUCGGUGGUGGUAACGACAUGAAGUUGCGAGUUGCCGCACACAGUUGCUAGUAAUAUAAUAAAACAAGACAAAUUAAUUAAACUCAGGCCUUUACGUAUAUGUUAUCUUAACUUUACUUGCCCUUGUUUGAUGAUAUUCAUUCUUGGAGCUAAGGGCGCAUGUAAUAUUUGUAAUUGUAUUAAGUAUAUAUUAAUGUGAUUUUCAAAAUCAGGUUUUAAAAUCUGUAGGAUAGGCUGAUUUUGGUAGUUUUGGGUCGGCCGUUGCAGUCAUUGGGACUGACUUAUUAUUAUUAUUAUUAUUAUUAUUAUUAUUAUUAUUAUUAUUAUUAUUAUUAUCAUCAUUAUUAUUAUUAUUAUAAUUAUAAUAUCAACUUCCAUAUCUUUCUAAACCCGGAAUAUGCUCACGUCACGUUCAAGUCUAUCUUGCUAACCUGAAAAAGAAAAUCAAAUCCAAUCAACACCAAAACAAUGAAAAUUAAAGCUUUUGAAUUUCAACUCCAGCUAGCAAACAUAUUCAGCGUUCCCAAUUUCUUCCCAUUGCAUAUCUUCUUCCUCCAUCAAUGCAAUAUUAAGUACUUUUUCUUGAUCAUAUUCUUUUCUUUGCAUUUCUUCUUCCUCCAUCAAUGCAAUAUUUGAUCGAUUAGGAAAGAGUUUAAGAACAUAAAAAAUCUCCUAGGUUUAUACGGUAUAGCAAAUUUAAAUUCUCAAUUAUAAUAGAUAAUAAUUAAACUAAUAAUUAUUUAUUUACUUAUUUUAGUAAUUUCACCUAAGGAUAAUAUUGUAAUUAGAAAAAACUAAUUAGAACAAUUUAAUUUUUGGCCGUGUAGACCAAAAUAUAAUUUAACGAAAAAGGAAAAAAAAAAGGGUAAAGAUUUUUAAAAUGUGUGGAAAGUGAUCCAUAUUUUGUUCGACUUGUCCCGAACAUCACGACGAUUGAUUUUUUUAUUUUUUUUUUAAUAACAUCAACUUCCAUAUCUUUCUACCCUCAGAACAUGCUCACAUCCAUAUUUUUUAUGUACUUAUUUUAGUAAUUUCACCUAAGAAUAAUAUUGUAAUUAGAAAAAAAUCAAAUAAGUAGGGUGGUCUUAUACAAAAUCAACUGCAUACAUAUAUGCAGAUGCAGAUAAUAAUUUUUAAUUCCUUUUUUUAAUAAGAAAAUUGUGUAUUGAGAUGAAUAAGAUGUUUAAUUUAAUUAAUUUCCUUACUUUCAUAUACAUUGUCUUUCUAUCUAGAGAAAGCUUGGUGCUCAGAACGACAUGAAGUUGCGAGUUGUCGCCCAUGGCUGCUGAUUAAUAAUAAAACGACACAAAUUAAUUGAACUCUGGCCUCCAAGUAUAUGUUAUCCUAACUUUACUUGCUCUUGUUUGUUAAUAUUCAUUCUUAGAGAGGUGAAAAAAAUUACAAGUCUUGAAUAACGAGGAGUUUAAUUGCCUCUAACUUUACUUGGCCUUCUAUAAUCUCAUUAAUAAUACAGAGAAUUAAUUAUCUUUUUAUUAUUAAACCAAAGAAUUAGUAGCAGUUAAUAUUAAUAUUGCCCACCCAAGAAAUAUGAGUGAAUUAAAGUAUUGGCAAGAGUUCGCUCAGAGGAGCAUUUAAACCACUUCCUUAUCAAUUGCGGCAGCCGUCUAUUAACUAAAACGCCAAUCUAAUACACGAAGAAAGAACAUUUACAGACUUGGCAAUUGAGUUCAUUAAGAAGUAGCAUCGCAUUCGGGUGAUGAGUUUCCUUUUGUUAAUAAUUUUAGUCUAAUUUCCAUUGUACUGAGAUCGCUUCUCGAGGUAAGUGAAAGUUACAGAUGUGGCAAAAUAAAUAAUUAAAUUAACAAAAUGCUAACUAAUUUUCCUAAAUACCUAGGGUUGUACAAUUUCAUCAACCUGGAAGAAUUGACAUUAAUGGACUGGUCUCCUCCCCAUAUAAUUAUAAUCCUUCUAGAAAGCUAAUUUUUAUUAAAUAUUUUCUUUUAAGUUAAUUUCAAUUAAAAUUUUUUUUAAGUUAUAUAUACUCUAAUGAGAUUCUGAAUUCCUUUCUUCCAAUAAUAAUGAAAACGUAUUAAAUUAGAAAUGAAAAAAUUGGUGUUGAUGAUUCAACCUGUUUGGAUAGAUUACGCGAAUAAAAUUGAAAUUUUGAUUUAAUUUUUGUUUAUUGUUAAUUCUCAGGCUAUCUUAAUUUCAAGAAUUUAGAAUGUUAAUUUGGUCAUGGAUUUCAACCCAUGAGUGUCAUAUUCUAGACUUAAUGGUACCAUUCUUUGAUUGAGGGCAAUGACUCUCACUCCUCUUGUAAAAAACUAUUUUCAACUAUUUUGAUGACUUAAAAAUUGAUAGAUUUAUUGUUGUCAUGACCAAAUUAUUCAUUUUAAUUAAACAUAAUUAAUGCAUCAAAGUUACCAGGUUUAUGUUCUAUCUUAAUGCGCUUUUUUUUUUUUUUCAGUUAUCAGCUAUGCCCCUGAGGCAUUUUGUAGAGUAUAGCUUCUGCUUACCUCUGUUUCAUUUUUUUUAAUAAAAAAAACAAGGGAAGGUUUUUCCGAGUCGUCCAUUAUUUGAUUACCGUCAAUCAAGAAAACGACCAAAUUAAUUUCUCUCCAAAAUUUCCAAAAGCUAGAAAAUUUUGUUAUUUGAAAAUAACAUCAUUAAUUAUAGAGUGGAUCAAACCGCGUUAUUGUCUUUUAUAAAAUUGAUGUCUUUUUAAGAGUCAAUGCAUUUUAUUUACACAAACCAGUCGACAUCAACUUGAACUUCCAUAUUUUUAUUAUUAUGUUAUUUAUUUUAAUCCCCGAUUAUUUGAUUAGCCACUAUAUAUAUCAAGAAAGCGACAAAAUUUAUUUCUCAUGACUUCCAAAAACUAGAAAACAACAUCAUUUAUUAUUUUUUUGCAACCCUAAUUGACAUCAACUUUAACUUUAUUAUGUUAUUAUUUCAAUCCCCCAUUAUGACCUUUCUAAUCCUCCAUUAUGCAUCUUUUAUAGUGCAAAUUUAAUUGCACAUCUAAAUAAAUUGAUUAUUGUCACUCCACCACCAAUAUUUCAAAUAGUCACUAGACCAUUUCUGCCUUUAAUUUUCCCUUAACUAUUGACUGUUUUUAGCAUCUUAAAAUAUACAUUUAUUCCUUGAUUAUGUGAUAAAAUUAUGAAAAUAUCCAUUUUAGCUUAAAUUAAUUGAAAUAACCAUAAGCGUAACUUAAAUUAAUAGAACAAAAUUAUCAAGUGUAUGUUCUAUGUUACAUUUUGAAGAAUUUAACAUAUACAAUGCUAUACUAUUAAUUCAUUUAUCAUUUAAUAUAUAUGUUCAAAUAUUUUAUAUAUUUAUUAAUUGUUAUAUAGUCAAAGGAUGAAUGAUUUUUCAGGUCUACAUGAGUUGGUGCAUCUGCAAGACUCAAUUUUGACAACAAUGAUCUAAGGGGUAAUUUACCUUGGCGUUUGACAAAUUUAACCUCUCUUCAAGAUUUACUUCCAAUCUACUUACUGUAAAUAUCUCCUCAUCUCCUCUCAUUUAUAUGAUAACCCUUGAAGAUCUCACAUUUUCAAACAAUCAUAUUAGGGUUUUUAUUAUUAGCAUCAUCGUGUCAAUAAUAUAUGUUGCAGUAAGAUUUUUUCAGACCAAUUCCCUUCUUCAAAUAAUAAUGGAAAAGUAUUAAUUUAAAAAUAAAAUGAAUAUUGUAAAAUAAAGAACAGAGUUUAUGAAUAAAACUCUUGUAUUCCUUGCAUUAACGUUGCUACAUAUAUAUAUAGAUGUACAACCCUAAAGAAUAGAAUCCCAGGUAGAAAAGCAUUACAGAUUCAUAAUAUAUAUACAAAUCUAAUUGCUUUAAAUAUGAAACCGAAUUCUAUACGACUUCUAUAUACAAAACCGAAUGCUAUACGAAUUCUAUACGUUAAUAAAUAUGCAUUGAUUAUAUCCUAAUUUUCAUCAAUUAUAGCGAGAGUUUCUCCAAAUCAACUCCCUUAUUCAAAUAAUACAGAAAAAAUAGUAAUUUAAUAGUAAAAUUAACAAGUGUUGAUUAUAUAUCCUAAGUUUCAUCGAUUAUGUGAUCAAAGUGGCAUUGUUGAUUUAUUUCUUGUUCAAUGUAAAUUUUUAGGUUAUCUAAAUUUCAAGGAUUUAAAAUCUUUGUUCAUGGAUUACACGCUUAUUAAUUUUUCUGCCAUUGACUGUCAUAUUCUAGACUUAAUGGUACCUUCCUUGAUCGAGGAUAAUUACUCUAUGUUCUCCUCUUAUAAAUUCUUCUUCCAUUAACAUCACUAGGAGUAUGUUGAUCUCUCAGACGUUAACUUCAGUGGAGAGUUUCCAAAUUGAUUGUCACAAAACAACACAAAAACUAGACACACUUGAUCUGUCUAAUAAUUCUCUUUCGGUAAAAUUAAUUAAUUUUAGGGGAAUAUUCGACCAACCUAUAUAAUUUUAGAUUGAUCAUUAAUUAAUUGGACGAAAAAAGUACUUGUGCUUUUGUGGCGACAAUUGAACCAGAGAAGUGAAGCUGUAAAGAUUUGGCAGUAGUAAAUUGUUAGAAAGACAUAAAGACAAGUUCCCAUUAUUAUAAUUUUUUCAAAAAACUUUUUUACAACACAUGCACCUGGCCAAAAAUUUUAUUUUGCUAACUAACAAUAAUUGAUUAGCUGACCGAAUUGACUCCACCUACUUGCUAAAGUAAAAAAAUAGAAAUAGAAUUUCCACAAAAUGGCAAACAUGUAAAAUCUAAUAUUUGGCCGUGUGGAACAAAAUACAAAUGAAAAAAAAAAUAGAAAAAAGGCCUAAAGACUUUUAAAAUGUGUGGAAGUCUUUCUGCCCUUUUAUAAUGGUGUGUUUUUCAAAGGAACAAAUAAUAAUAAUGACACUUCAACGGUUUGUUUUGAUAAUCACACCUAUACUCUUUAAUUUGAUAAAUGGUUACACAAAUUUUGUUUACAAAAAUAUAUUAUUCAUGUUCUGUAUUAUUUUUUAACAUCAUAUUUUUAUUUAUUAUAAUUGUUUAAAGUUAAUUGUUGGGUUGAUAUAUAAUAAAAAUGUAUAAUCGUUCUCUUACUAAACACACAUACUCAUAGUUUCUGUUCAUUUGUCAUCUCAAUCUAUCUCAUUUAUCCUUUGUUGAUAGCUCAAAACGCGUCACUGUAGAAAAUUAUAGCAAAACGACAAAUAUGGAAAAAAUGGGAAGAAAAUUAAUGCAUGAAAGAGUUGCAGAAGACAACCAAAUAAGUCAACUAUACGCUAGUUGGGUGUAUAAAUUGUUAGAUGUGUUAUAAACAAAUAGCAUAGAGCCUUGGUUGGUUACAGAGAUAGAAAAAGUGUGUGUUUUUUAGAACUUAAAGAUAUAGUUAGAAUGGGUGGUUCAAAAUCAAAAAUGGUGAUAAUGUUUGUUCUGUUAUUAAUAAUAUUAGAAGGUGGGUGGAGUGAAGGAUGUUUGGAUCACGAGAGAUUUGCUCUUUUGCGACUGCAACAUUUCUUCAAUGAUCCUUAUAAUUAUCUUCCCAACCGGGUAGAUGAUGAGGGAGCUACUGAUUGUUGUCAGUGGGAAAGGGUUGAGUGCAGCAACACCACAGGCCGACUGAUAGCGCUAGACCUUUUUGGCACGUAUUGGCGAGAGUACAGCUGGUAUCUGAAUGCUUCUUUGUUUACUCCCUUCCAACAACUUGAGUCACUUGAUUUACAUGGCAACAACAUAGCCGGUUUUGUUGAGAAUGAAGGUGCUUCGUCUAAUUCAAUUAAAUUACAUUUCGCUCUCCUAAUUUAAGUCGAAUAUCAAGACUGAGCAGCUAUAUGCAUAUUCAUUCAAUUGACAAUUUUUACAUAUUUUUUAAAAUGUUUAAUUUUGAAAUUACACCAAACAUCAUAUGUGAUCUUUGUUUUGAUUUUACUUGCAGGUCUAGAAAGAUUGAGCAACUUGAAGAGGCUUGAUUUAAGUUAUAACUUGUUCAACAAUAGCAUCUUAUCAUCUGUGGCUCGUCUUUCAUCAUUAGCAUUAUUAUAUUUAAGUGGUAAUAGGUUGGAGGGAAGUAUUGAUGUUAAAGGUACAUAAUAAAAACGUCAUCUCUUCUCCCAACUCUUUCAUUAACAUGCUAAAAUAAGAUUCAAGGCUUUGAAUUCAAUUUUUUUUAUGAGUAAAUAUUAGAAAAAUAGUUUUAAGCAAUUCAUAAAUACAAUUUUCAAUGUUUCUCAUAAUUUCAUCUUGUACUUUUGUAUGUCUUGACUUUAAGAUUAAAAAAAAAAUUACUCUAACUGUGAAGCAAAUACCCCAUGACUAAUUUACAAUUUUGUCCAGUUAAAAAUGAUAAAAUUUAUCAUUUGUUCAUAUUGAUUUAUUAACUCUAUUUUAAGUCUUAAGUCUUGGCGUCUUGGCAUGUUUGCAGAAUUUGAUUCCUUGAGCAACUUAGAGGAGUUGGACAUGAGCUACAAUGAAAUAGACAAUUUCGAGGUUCCUCAAGGUACACAAUUAAAAUAUUAUUUAAUUACAUUAAUUUAUUUCGUUUGAUUAGGGAAGGCCCAAAAUGUACAAAAACAUAAUUAAAAAAAAUAAAGAAACAGAGAAUUCAUAUUAUUUCAAAAAACAAAACGUAAUACUAUUAUUUCAAAAAAAGAAUGUAAUAAAGAUUUGAUUUCGGUUCUUUAAUCUUUACAGCAAUUGAAAAACGAUGUUGCUCUUUUCCUAAAGCAUAAAAUAUGAAAUGAGUCAUAAUUGAAUUAGUCAUUUAUUUUGUUUAGAUCUAAAUUUAGACAAUAAAUUUUGAUUUUUUUUUCAAUCAUUUCCUAAUUAUUAUUAUUAAACAGGUUACAGAGGUUUGAGGAAGCUGAAAAGCCUGCAUCUAUCGGGAGUUGGAAUUAGAGAUGGAAGCAAGUUGUUACAGUCAAUGGGAUCAUUCCCAUCCCUCAACACUCUUCACCUUUCGUUUACUAGUUUUACGAAAACAGUGACAACUACUCGAGGUAAGUAAAAGGUACGGAUGUAGCCAAAUUUAUAAAUUAAUUGUUAAUUAAUUAAUUUUUCCGUAUUAUUAAUUAAGCUAAAUUUGUUGCUCCUUCCUUCUAAAUCUAAACAGAGUUGCACAGUUUCACCAACUUGGAAUAUUUGAGAUUGGACGACUCCUCUCUCCAUAUAAGCCUUCUGCAAAGCAUUGCAUCAAUAUUCCCUUCAUUAAAAAAUCUGUCGAUGUUGGGUGGUAAAGUCAACGGUCUCCUACGCGGUCAAGGUAAAAGAAAAGCUUUGAUUGUGAACUCACUCAAUGGUGUCCUACGUGUUCAACAUUUUUAUUUAUUUAUUUUAUUGUUUAAUGUUUCUGCUAGGUUUUCCUCAUUUCAAGAGUUUGGAAUAUUUGAAUAUGGAUUUCACGCGCAUUGCACUCAACACCAACUUUCUUCAAAUCAUCAGUGAAUCGAUGCCUUCUCUUAAGUACUUAUCACUGUCAGAUUCAUAACAGUAAAAAUUUGUUGCUCAACAUGAUGUGUAUUUUUUUUCAAGGCACUUUGGAAACACAAUUGUUACUACAGAUAUUCUUCUCAACUUGGAGAUAAAUACAAAUAUUAAAAUGCAUAUGAUCACACAUAUUACUUCGAGUUUAGUAAGAUUUCAUUAAAAGAAGCAAUCAAACCACUUAUCAAUUGUCGCAGUCGUUCUAUAAACUAAAAUAGCAAUAUAAUACAAGAAAAAGAACAUAUAGAUACUUGGCAAGAGUUCAUUAAGAAGUCGCAUCACAUUCGGGUGAGGAGUUUGCUUCUGAUAUCUUGCUAGCUGGGGCUUUUUCUUGUCUUUCUACGUAUGCCGAGGGAAACCAACCAGCUUGGCCCUUGCAUUCACCUUCCGACCAUCCAAUAGGAGCAACCUUGAGAAGUUAUAACUAAAACGGUGAAUUAAACAAAAGUUGACCGUUCAAAGACCUAAGGGGAAAACUAAUUCUUUUACGUAGAAUGAGUGAACUAGUUGUGAUCACUGAAAUAACAACAUAACUAUGGAAGCAUAACUAGAUAUAAAUUCACAUGGCUAUAAGGGUAAACUGAGUGGUUUAGAACUGAGCUAGCAACCCUACUAUAUUCUGAUUUGCACUUCAAUGUAAAAGGGAAUAUAUGGUAGGAAGAAAGAAAACCAACCAUCAUUUGUUAACUCAUUGCUUUUCAAUCAAAAUUUUAAGAACAAAAUGCCAUGUGCUUUGAACAUCAAAUAAGUAUAAGCAUUAGUUCUAAAUUCCACAUAUCAUAAGUUGUUAGAAGGAUAAGUUAAUAGCAGAGUAGAAAAAUCUAUGUGUUGGUAUUUAGAGGGGAAAGUACCUGGCGAACCACAAUAUAAUCAUCAAUUGAAAGACUUAGCUUUCCAUUUGCUUGAGCAUCAAAUGGAUGUAUAACCUGCAAGAUAAUGGGAUAAAUAGAACUUUAAAAAAGCAUAACAAAAGCAGCAACAGUAGCAGCAACGUUCAUUGUAACCACUAUGAUCAUGGCCAACAAAGAUAUAUUAGAAACAAAAUUCCAUUUUUACUACGACAUUAAUAUGUACUAUACGAUAUCAUGACGAUUGGGUUACUAAGAGCUAUCAAAGUCUAAUAAGUUCUGUAUAACUUUAUGUAGUUAUUUAAAUUAUGGAUCAGAUUUUAAAUUUGAAAUUUUGACUGCUCUCCACAAAACAUGGCCUAUGCACAAGAAAGUCAUAGAUAAUGAGGAUUACAAGUGUCCGACAUCUUUUGAGUGAUGGAUUUAACAUGAGAGCUUAUGGUCAGUCAAUUUCCUCUGCCUAGCAAUAUAAGCUUUCUCGGCCAGAUUUAUCAUCAAAUACAUAGAUUGCCCCCAAGUCACAUCCAUAUAAACAUAGUUUUUCUAGGUAAACCAAGUAAGGAGUAUCAUAAUUCAGACAUAAUCAUAAAAAGGCCCAUCUAACUUAAGAGAAAAUCUCAAAAAUGGCUACAUCGUCUUGUAUCUAUAAGCAAUAUCAAGACUUUACAUCACCUGCUACAUCGUGAGUGGCUACACAACUUUCAAUGGUUUGUCUUUCUUUGGCAUGCCUAACUCAGCUUUGAUGUUGCUGAGAUAUUGAUAGUAGAGACACAUGAUACUUCUAGCUCAUGCAUUCUAUCUAACUCAUCCAACAACUAUCUCUUUUUUAAUUCAUUAGUGUUUGCUAAACCUCAUGCUUAAAAGUCCUGUUCUCCUAAACAAAGUUUCCUAAGAAUGACUUCCUUAGCACCACAUUUGGACACUUUUAGAGCAAUUUUAUUUUGGGGAAAAGAAUUUUCAAGGUGUUAACUAAUAAAUUUUAAAAAAUAAUUACAAUUUUUCCUACGAUCAUAUGACAAUUUAUCUGGGAUGAAAGGAUACAGAUAGACAUCUUCCACUUUCAAGACUAAUCACUACUUCCGUAGAUGUUGUGCAAUAAUACAAAUACUUGAUCAGAUGGUAGUGAUGGUAGAAAAAAAUUUUAUUGCUCCAAAAUUAAAAUAAGAAUGCAAUAUGUUAAGCAAAAGGCUGUGCAACAUCAAAUUAAUUGAUAAGUUUGUAAUUCAGUAAAUUAACAACUUUCAUGGUAAAAUACAACAAAUUUCUUUUGAAAAAAAUAAAUCUUAAAAGACAGCAUUCAAUUUUGUGCGCAUCUUAUUUCUUAAGAUUUUUCAGGAGGAGGGCAAUAGAGGGACUUUCACCUAUGCAAGAGAGCAGAAGCCUUACUUUCCCUAUAAAGUAGACGUCAUUCUGAUUAAUAUGCGUUUGCAAAUCAGCUCCGUUUGAAUCAGUAUUCUGAUAGACACACGAGGCAUUGACAUCCAUUUCCAAAGUCACAUGUUGCGAGGAGGACUCAUUUGAUUGCUCCUAUACGAUCAUCUAAUUCAAGUAGCAAGGGUUGGAAGAGAAUAAAAAGUCACAAUUAUUCUUUUGCAUAAGUGAGACGAAAAUGAUAAAUGCAAUAUUAUCAACAGUAAACAAGAAGAAGAUGAUAGUGGAAGUAUGCGGUGUGGCUGCCAGGUACUUGGAUUGUAUUGUCGGGUAAGGUAAUAGUAGAGAAUUAUAAGUUUGAACAGAGCAUGUUGGACUUUUGUUGACCAAAUUCAAAAGCCCAAUGGCACGGCCCGGAAGCUUUUGAAUAGAAAAACUUGCUAGAAAGCAUCAGUUUAAAUCACUACUUAAACGCUUGCUUUAACUGCACCACUUUGUACUGUUUUAUGUGUGUAGCGGUUGUGCGGUUGUAAUUCACGGCUGACGCUACGUGUUUGUUAGGUCAAAACUAUGAUACAAUAGUGGUACGGUACCAUUGUUACUUUCAAUCAUUGGAUCUAUAGUUGUACAGUUGCAUUAAUAAGAUCUAAUGGCUGAAAACAACAGUGGUACCAUACCACUGUUGCAACAUAACAGGACCCUAUUAGUUAUUUCAAAGGGAUAAAUAAGAUUGCUUACAACAAACCUACUAAUUUUAUAAAAUUCAAGUAAUAUAGAAUAAAAUAAAAAAAUAAAUACAAAAUUGACUUUUAUUUUUUAUGGUUGACUAUAUUUUGUGUUCUCUUCGGGCACUACUACAAUUCUUCCCUAUAUAUCAAUUACACCACAUACUAUCGACACAAGAAAUGAAAUCUAAUAUCACCCGUUUAGUUAAAAAAUCACUCAUGAAAAAAUUUUACCAUUUUGAUUUGAGGAUCCAUAUUUUAAACUGCAAGCUAAUGUUCAUCAAGAAUUACUGAUGGCCGUUGAGUAGAAAAAUUAUUUUUGGACAAAUUAUUUUUGUUGAUAGAAGAAUUUCUUUAGGGACUACUAAAUUAUUAAUAAAAAUGUCGAACACACCCACAUAUCAUCGACACAAUUGAUUUUGAGGAUCCAUGCUUUGAACUGCAGCCUAAUGUUCAUCAAGAAUAGAGUAUGGCUUGUGAGUAGAAAAUUUUCUUAUUUUGGCCCGAAAUAAAAAGAAAUUAAAUUGGAUGAGAAUCUGCCACUUUCUCAUGAAGAAAGGCAUACGGAGCAUACCAUGGUACCAUACAAAAUAAGGAGCCUCUAUUCUUUGGUUUUUCAAACUCUAAAGGGGCCAAUAUUGCCAAAUUCCCCCUUGAAAAUUCUGAUUACGACAUUAUUCAUCGCUUGAUGCAAUCAAAGUAGUGACAAAGUUAGGAAAAAUAUGAGUCCUAAGUAAUUGCUAGGCAGGGUUCCUGAGAGCAAAAUUGUCCUAAGCAUUAUAUGCAUACAUGGUGCGGUACAUAGAGCACGUUGAAUUCCCCACUAUAACACAAACCCAGAAAGACAAGUAAUAACUCAACUGAUAUAAAGACAAAAAGAAGAUAAAAUGAUAUAGAAAAAAGAAUUCAAAGAGACAGCAACAUACGAUAGACUGAAGCCACUUGAUCUGCUCAUUGAUUGCAGCCUUAAACUUGCAAAUAGUUACUGUACGCUAGUGCUCUAAGAAGUGAAAAUGAUGCCAGCCCUGAUUCCCUUUUGACUUCCAUUUACUGUCAAACAUUCUAGUAAUACAAAAAAUUGUUUAGAUAUCUUGCUAUAAAUAUAGCCGUUUGACUGUCAUAAUAAAGUCACAAAUAACCAUUCAUAUUGAUCUACUGUCACACAGCAUGCUUUAUGCAUACAACAGCUGUAUGUAUACCAACUCCUAACCUUAUCAAUACAUUUGGCAAAAACUUAAGAAGAAAGCUAUUUCUCCAUCUCUUUUUUGAAAUUUCACAAUAACCAGCACAAUGUGAAAGCUAUGUUCUAACCUUAUGAUAAAUGCUCCAGACUCCAAAAGGAUUUUAUAUAUGAGAGUUUGUUGCAGCAGAUAUAUUGACUUAUCAAGUAUGAAUCAUUGUCUGGAUGAACUAUCUUUAGAUAAAAGAAUAUUAGAACCACUGUAGAAUAUCUUUACGCUGCUGGUUCUAACAGGAAUCUGCAUGUGGCAACAAUUGCUAGAUCCACAAUUCCCCAACUUGAAAUACAUAGUUGCACACCAUGAGAUAGUGCUACAAUCUACUGAGAUCUAACUUAUAUGGUACUUUAAGCUACUAAUGUUUGCAUAUUUCUACAUGUUAAAUUAACACUAUCAUCUAUAAUCACUCCAAAACAACAAAUGAUAAGCAGCUUUUGGCCACUUAUUACUAGCAUCCACAAUUAUAAAUAAGAGAUCAUGGGUUUACUUGUUGCACCUACUUAAUUAUCUGCAGUUGACAUCCUGAAGCAAGGUUUAAAUAGUGACUGCUUAGAACCCUUGUAGUUGGAUCUUGACCUCUCCCAUUGUAGCCAAGAUUGGUUACUCUGGUAAUGAAUCAACACUCUCCUGCUCAGGGCCAUGAAGAUCUGAAAGCUCAGCACUAGUGGAGAACUUCAUCAAUCUCUUCUUCUCAGCACACUUGAGACAAGGCUGCAUUACGAGACCAAUCACCACAGCACCAACGCUUAAAACUGCAACUUUUAAAGAAGAAAGAGCCAACACAACACAACACAACACAACACAAAUCAAUAUGGUUGGAGGAAUACACAUGAUAAUGGCUCCAACAGUGCCAGUGGGUAUCUUGUAGGGACGAGAUGCAGCAGGAUAUUGUAUCCUUAACCAUACAAAUGCUAUGAACUCCAUAACCAUUCCAAAACAGUACAGGAAGUUCUCUGCAGCUACAAUAUCUCGAAAGCUCAGCCAUGAUAGCAAAACCACACCAGAUGCUGAGAAUAUGAUUCCAAUCAAAGGAGUCCCAUAACAAGACCUCUUAGCAAAAAACUCAGGUAGCAUUCCACACUCAGCCAUCCCCAAAAGUUGGAAAGAGUUGCUGCUCAUCUCAGCCACAAACAUGCCCAUAUUGGACAUUGCUGCAGCCCCCUGGAUGCAUUAUCUCAACCAAACUCCUCCAAGCACUUUAGCGAUAUCUGAAAAGUAACCAUCGGUCCACAAGUCGCGAUCUAAUGGAAUAGCUCCAGUUCCAACUAGAAGGGGAAAGAAAUACCCAAAAAUGACCAAGAUCAAAGCAUAAAACAAAGCCUUUGGAAGAGUCUUCUUGGGGUUAUCCACCUCUCCAGCUAGUGUACUUAUUGAGUCCCAGUAGUUGAGAUUCCAAAACAGGGUGUUCAAAUACAAAUUCCAAUCCACUUCACCUAAAUUUACUACAAGCCAUCUUGAAGGCUCUAACUUGGGAAGGGACACAAGUCCCAUAACCACAAAAGGAAGGAGUGAGAAAAUCCCUAAAAGAACAGCAGCCCAUCCCACAAUGGUUAGACCCCUAUAGUUCAUGAAAGUGAGAACAAAAGUCAAAGCUAACGCCGCAAAGGCUCUAGGUAACCCAUUGCCCAACGCAGGGAUACCAGACUUCAAGUAGUCAAGAAACAGAACUGGGUAUAAAGCAUUAUCAAUAACCCCACUUAGCCAUUUCAUCCAACCUUGCUGAAAACCCCAAUAUGGGCCUAAGGCAGAUGAAACCCAAACCACAUAACCACAAUUUUCAGAAAACACGGUACCCAUCUCGGCAGUAAUUAAAGCUUCAGGGACACUCCAUAUAAUCGGAAACACCAAGAAACCAAGAAGUGCUAAAAGAGGACCAGCUGCCUUUACACUAUCCUCAACACCAAACGGCCCCCCAGAAACCUCAUAGAAUAUAAGGAAAAUAAGUGGCAAGAUUGAUACUUUUUUAGUGCCAUGGACUCUAGGAGAAGAUGGUUGGUCAUUGAUAUUAACAUAUUCAACAGCAUCAGACUGCCCCAUUUCUACUGAAACUUGCCUAUUUACAGUGUUCCUCAAUUUCUGCAUCAAGUUUUAGCAUAACUAUCAAAAGGGUAUCCGCAUGUAAAUUAUGAAACAAAAUGAGCAUUUACUUUUUAAAAAAAAAUCAAAAAACAGAAAUGGAUUUCGCAGAGCACAUGAAUUUAAGUUCAACAUUAAACAGGCGCUUAAGAAAACAAAAGGGUCUGUUCGUAAAGCCAUCAGAUUGCAAGAUUGAACAACAUUAACGGAAUCAAUAGAAUAGAUGUAAAGAGAUCUGAAAAGAAAAUAAAAUAAAAGAUGAAGAGAGAUAAAACGAACCAUCAAAUAAGUGCAUGCAGAGCAGAGAGGCAGAUACUAGAGAAGCUCCGUCAUGUUAGAGAGAGCCUAAAUCAAUCAGAGCUCACUGAGUUUCUUUUCAACCGACCGGCAAAUUUGGAGUGGCACAAAAUAAUAUUUUUGCUUUUAAUUUUUGGAACACUUUUGAAUGGAAUUUUUUGUUUUUAAAAAAGGUAAGGGAGAUUAGGGCAUCAUAAAAAGAUUUUUUAAAUAAAAUUUUAUUAAUUAUUUAAAAAAUUAUUUUAAUAUUUAAUAUUUUAAAAAAUAUUUUAAUUAAAAUUUUUUAAAUAAAAAAUAAUUUUUUUUAAAUUUAGAGAAUUAAUUUUUUUUAUAAUUUUUUUUAUUAUUUUUUAUUGAAAAAAAAGAGAUAAAUACUUUAAUUGUUAUUAUUUUUUUUAAAUAAUUAUUUGAUUAAAAUAAUAUUAAAUUAUUUUUAUUUGAAGAGUUUUUUAAAAAAUAUCAUAUUUUUUUAUCCUUCUAUUUGCCACAUGAGUAAACAAAUAGAUAUUUAAAGAAUAAAAUUUAUAUAAUCUUUUGGAAAUGCUCUUAAUAUUUAUUUAGUCUUAUAUUUUUUAAAAUAUUUUUAAAAUAUUUUUGUCGUUAAAAUAUUGAUAUUAUUAUUAUUUUUUUAUAUUUUUUAAUUUAUUUUUAUAAUAUUAUUUUUAUAAUAAUUUUUUAUUUAGAUAUUAAUAAAAAAAUAAUUUAAUUAAUAAUUUAAUCCUAAAAUAAAUAAACACGUGUUUGGUUUUGGGCCUUUUCUUUUGUUCGUUUAAUAUCAUCUGGCUCGCUGAUUUGUGACUAAUUAUCAACGGAAUCCCGUUGGUUUCUAAAUUGAAAUAAUAGAAGGUCAUGAGACUAUUUACUCCAUUUAGCACUGCAGACUUAGAGUAUAUUGAAAAAGCUUUGUCAAAUAGUAGUAAUAGGGGCAUAAGAAAUAAAUUAUAGCUAUCACAAAUUCGUUAGGAGAAUUUCAAUUUUUUCCGUCAAUAAUGGCUAUGAAGCAAAAUUACCUUAGGUUAUAUUGCAACACUAAUACUUCAAAUCCUGAUAAGGGGUGAUAAAAUUAAGGUUGUUCAAAUCCCUUAAAAUGCUCCUUUGUUUAGUUUAAAAGUUGUUCUUAAAAUGGAAACGAUGACUUAUUUAGAAGAAAUGGUAAAUUUAUAAUUUGUAAUAUUAUUUGCACAAACAAUAAUAAUGAAGUGUUAAUUACCACUUAACAUUUUUAAUUAAUUUCUAAAUUUAAAACAAAUAUGAAAGUUGAUUGCUUCGAAGGUUGGAUCGACAAAUUGACAUUUGAAAAGAGAAGUAGGGAAUGUAUAUUCUGAUGAAAGGGACAAGAUUAAGUAAGGGGACAAUAUUCUCUAUUGGACCUACAAAUGGGGGGAAAGAUAUAUAUAUAUAUAUAUAUAUUCUUAUUUGUGGAUUGGGCAUCACGUGUAACUAAUAUAAAAGGAGAAAAUUUAGCAUGGUUUUAACAUAUAUAAGAAGAGAAAAUUAAUUGUUCAAACAAAUUAGAAGCAAAUUCUUUCAUAUCUUUCUUUAUUUUUCCGCUUACUUUCUUAGCAUCCAAACAAGUUAAAGUUAAAACGCUGUUGAGCCAACAAUAUGCAGGCAUCAAUAAGCAUAGUAGUUUUGUAUAUGUAUUCUAUACGAUAUUCUGGGGAUGUCAAUUGUAGAACAUUUUGUGGUAACUUUUUUACAUUAAUUAAUGUUUGAAGAACUUGUUAAAAAGAAAAUGGUAAUUUUAUUAUUUUGAAAGACAAAAAAAAAUAAAAAUAAAAGAGUGAAAGUGGCGUUACCUCAUGGUCAUUAGAGACUUGUUGCAAUGAUAGCUCAAAAUUAAAAAUUUGUGAAGAAUUAGUAGACAACGACGAUACUAUAUUUAUAUAGUCACCAACAUGUUGAUUUUUGUUUAAUGUUUGAUCGAUAGAAACUUUUGUCGUCGUCGUCGCCGUUGUUGAAUUCAUGCUUAGAAUACCACAAGAGAAGAAGAAGGGAUGAAAGGGAAGAGAAGAAGAGAGAAGUAGUGGAUAGCAAAUAUGAUAUGCUAGCUACACACAGGCCUUAGAGAGUUUUUUUUUUAAUAUUUAUUGUAUUUUUGUUUUUGUUAUUGGUUUGUCAUAUGCUUCCAAGGCAGCAAUGUGUUACAUCAUAAAUUGCACCUUUUAGGGGAGGUGGUAAAAAACAUGAGAGGAAUGCAUUCUAGCGCAUACAUGCAGAAAGAGUUUCCAAAUUUUCAAAAGUUUGUUAUUUCUUCCACCUUUUUUUUGCUUAAAAUAAAUUUUAAUUGUAUUUUGCAUUAACUUAGAGAAAAAAAAAAUCAAGUUCUAUGCAUAAACGCAUACAUUGAUUAGAAAAUGAGUUUUAUGGACACAAAGGGACAAUAUAAGAGAUUCUUUUUGUUUAUUAGAAGUAACAUAACUAGUUAGUGUAACAUGUAAUUAUAAGCUACCAAGAAUUUGCACUGAUGAUAAUUAACGGUAUAGAUUUUGAGCUAUGAAUGUCUUGUGGCUAGUUUAAUUGGAUUUUCGAGUUUUCAGCAGAUCUAUUUUAAUGAUUAUUAAAUUAUUUUCACUUCUUAUGCUUUAAUAAAAAAAAUUCAAUAUUUUUUGCUGUAUUCUAUAUUUUAAAACUUAAUUUUUAAUUCUUUAUAUUGCAAACCAAACUGAGUCAAAUAGAGUAUGCUCGAAUUUUUCCAAUGCCUUCAAGAAGAAUUCAUUUUAUUUUUAUAUAUUAAUUUAACACAUGUAAACCGGGCCGUUGGAUUGCACAUAAAGCAAAUGAUCAAACCGUUACAAGACCGGCCCAGGCCCACCGACUCUAUUUUCUUUCAUUUGACCAUUAAAAAGCUUUUGGCCACCCCCACCAAAUAAAUAAGCUCUUGUUCUCUUUUGUUUCCCUCUCAAAGGAAAAUAUCUGAUCACCGGAUAAUGAUUCCGGUGACACAAAAGAUCGAAACACCCCCCUAAAUUCCCUAAAUUUACAAUAAUACCCCACCAUGGAUGAUUCCGUUGAAAUGCCGCCUUACGAUGAAAGGCCUAAAAAGGGUUUUAACUUCACCUCCAUGCGCUUGAUCUUAACCCUCGUUUUCCCAAUUUUAACUUGCUUUUUGUUGGCAUUUUUUAUUGGAAUCGUAGCUGUUUUAUUCGGCGAAUCAUCAGUUUCCAGUUCCAUUUUUGUCCCUUCCUAGUGCAAAAUAGUGUCCAGCAGUAAGCUUUUUUUAACAUUUUCAAUUUUUUUUCCAUUUAUGAAGUCCAAAAAUUUUAUUAAUUUUGAUUUUUUUGAAUGAUUUUGCAGGUGUUGAUAUAAGGUCAUCAAAAGUUCGUGAACUUGGGGUGUUGAAUUAUAAGGCGAAGCGUGCGUUUUAUCCAUUUGAAGCAAUUAAAUUUCGCUGUCGGUAUGAUUACUAUUGGGCUUCUAUCUUCAAGGUAUUCAUACAUUUUCCCCUGUACUAUAAGCUUCUUAGUGGCGGUCUUGUGAGCGGAAGUGAGCGGUGUGGCUGACAGCUUCUUGAAAAUUAUGAACAGAGCAUGUUAGACUUUUGUUGACCAAAUUCAAAAGCCAAAUGGCACAACUCAGAAGCUUUUGAAUUGAAUAACUUACUAGAAAGCUCCAAUUUUUUGUUGGCUACAGUAAAAGGAUGUUGUUUUAUUCUUCUUAUACUUUACGCUUGCAUCAGCUUAAAUCACUUCUUAAACGCUUUGCUUUAACUCUACCGCUUCAUACUGUUCUAUAUAUGUAUCGGGUAUGCGGUUGUAGUUCAUUGCUGAGACUACGUGUUUGUUUGACGUGGUAGUUACGUUCCGAGUCUGUUAAACAUUCGGUGAUUAAAGUAUUAUCAGUUAUUUCAAAGGGGCAAAUAAGAUUAGCUACAACACACCCACUAGUUUUAUAAAAUUCGAAUAAGAUGGAAUAAAAUAAAAAAAUAAAUAAGUAAAUUGACUUUUAAUUUUUGUGGUUGAAUAUAUUUUGUAUUCUCUCAGGGCACUGCUGUAAUUGUUCCUUAAAUGUCAGUCACACCCACAUGUUACAGACACAAGAAAUGAAAUCUAAGAUCACCUGUUUAAUUAAAGAAUCACUCAUAAAAAAAUUUUGCCAUUUUGAUUUGAGGAUCCACAUUUUGAACAACCAACUUAUCUUCAUCAAGAACAGAUCAUGGCCUUUGAGUAGAAAAAUUAUUUUUGGACAAACUAUUUUUAUUAAUAGAAGAAUUUCUCAAGGGACUAUUAAAAUUACUAAUGAAAAUGUCAGACACACCCACGUACCAUCGACACAAUUGACUAUGAGGAUCCAUGUUUUGAACUGCCACUUAAUGUUAAUCAAGAACAGAGUAUGGCUUGUGAGAAGAAAAAUUUCUGAUUUUGGCCUGGAACAAAAAGAAAUUAAAUUGAAGGAGAAUCUGGUACUUUCUCAUUAAGAAAGGCAGACGGGGCAUACUAUGGUACCAUACAAUACGAAAAGUCUCCGUUCUCUGGCUUUUAAACUCUAAAGGGGGCAAUAUUCCCCAAUUACCCCGUGAAAAUUCUGAUUACGACAUUAUUUAUUGCUUGAUACAUAAGUAAAAGUAGUGACAAAAUUAGGAAAAAUAUGACUCAUAAGUAAUUACUAGGCAGGGCUCUUGAGAGCAACAUUGUACUAGGCUUUAUAUGCAUACAUGGUGUGGUACAUAGAGCACGUUGAAUUCCACACUAUAACAUAAACCCAGAAAGACAAGUAAUAUCUCAACAUAUAUAAAGACAAAAAGAAGAUAAAAUGAUACAGAACAAAGAAUUUCUAAGAGACAGCAACAUACAAUAGACUGAAGCCAGUUGAUCUGCUCAUUGAUUGCAGCCUUAAACUUGCAAAUGUUUACUGUAGCCUGGUGCUCAAAGAAGUGAAAAUGAUGCAAACCUUGAUUCCCUAUUUACUUCCAUUUACCAUCAAACAUUCUAUUCAUAAGAAAAAAAAUGUUUAGAUAUCUUGCCGUAAAUAUAGCCAUUUGAUUGUUUUAAUAAAGCCACACACAACCAUUCAUAUUGAUCCACAUUGCCACAUAGCCUGAUUUAAGCAUACAACAGCUGAAUGUAUACCUGACUCCUAACCUUAUCAAUACAUUGGCGACAACUUAAGAAGAAAACUAUUUCUCCAUCUCUUUUUUGAAAUUUCACAAUAAAACAGCACAAUGUAAGAGCUGCAAUGAAAAUGGACCGUCUGGAACUAUGGCGGAAGCUUCAACUAGUGUAGUGAUUUGACCUUCUUAUUAACCUGGCAAGAUCAAACACUGCCCUUGAUCUUGAACAGAUCAAUACGAUACGCACAACUUAUGAUUGAAUCCAGAAACCAUCAAAUCUUUAGCAAGAAUAAUUAAUCAGAAUCAAGAAACAAGUUUAAUGAAUAUAAACCUAUAAUUGGAACAAACACAGCCAAAGAACCCAAGAAUGACACAACGUACACCAAGGGAGAAGCUUUCCAGUGAGAUUAUAUUGAUGAUCAAAGAAGAAUCUUUUUACAAAGGUAACAAAAGUGAUUUCAGAGAAUAAGCUAUGACCCUCUCUCUUUUCAAUCUCUGUCUAGUUUGUUAACAGUGAUGACCCCAAUCUGCUUCGUUAGCCAGGUUCAUAACUGCGUCAGUGACAAACUAGCAAACCUAGAUUGAGCAGACUAACGACACGUGCAUAACGGCUUUAACGAACUUGGUUAAAGAACUGCUCACAUGUUCGUCACGCGUGUUGCUUAAAUGAUAGCCAAAACGACUUCAACCAGAUGCCGUUUUGAAGCUUAUGAAUUAUAAGUGAAAACACGUGCUUGUCUCGUGACAUUUAAAUGCAACAACAAGCCCAAAACACUGUCGUUUCACUAUGUUGAGUUUGCCAUCUCCAAGCUUCACAACUAGCAGCGAACAAGAUGAUAAUUUAAUUGACAUGGAGAGCUUUUAUAUCACUUUUACAACAUUCUAUAUAAUUGUGAUAUUGGGAAUCGUCGGUGCUGUAUAUGUGAACCCUCAUUGGCGACACUGGUGGUUUUAUCUUUGUUAAAAUAUGGAUGACUUUUCGUUACUAUUUUGUUGUACAUAACCUUAUUCCUACGAGAUUUAAUCAUUGAAAUUAUGUUAGUUUCAUUAGAAGGCUGAGUGGUUAGUGCUGCUACCCUCCAAUUUGGAGGGCAGUAGUUUGAACCCCCACAAGCGCAAUGUGGGGGUAUUUCCUUCUUUAAUUACAUUGUAUAAUUGAGUAAAGGUAAUUUUCUCUCUUACCCAAGUGUGAGUGGAGUAGACAUCCCUCGAUGGUUAAAACCUGGGCAGAGCUUCAUAAGUAUUGAUGUAAGUUGGUCCCAGUAAUAGUCUGAUUUGUAAAUAUCAGUUAUAGUCUCAUGUUUCCUUCCUUAAUUAUAUUGUAUAAUUAAGUAAAGGUACUCUUUUCCCCUACCCAAGUGUGAGUGGAGUAAAUAUCCAUCGAAUAUUAGUGAGGGUUAAAAUCUGGGCAAAGCUCCAUAAGUAUUGAUGUAAGUUGAUCCCAGUAAUAGUAUGAUUUGUAAAUAUCAGUUAUAGUCUCAUGUAAUAUGAGUUGUAAUUUGAGCAAUAGUUUCAUGUAAUUAAAAAAAAUGUUACUUUCAUUACAUUUUUCUUCGUUAAAAUUCUCAAGUAUCAAUUAUGUUUGCUUAAGAAAUAAAAUUUUGUCAUUAAAGUUGUAGUAGUAUUUCUAAGCAUCUCACAUUUUCAAUGAUUUUUCAUAAAUCAAUUAAUAUGUCGUACCAAUAUCAUGUUUAGUUUUUCAGACUAAAUAAUCAAGAAAGCAAACAAAUUCACAGUUUAGAGGGGUAAACUAGCUUUUAGAUUUUAGAACUAGGCUAGCUACCUCACCAAAUUCCAGUUUGUACAGUGAACUACAAGAUUGAGAAAAUAAUGUAUUUAUAGUUUAAUUGAAUCAUGACAAACAAUGUAGUCAUAGCUCAAUCGGACAUGAUCACGGAGAGGCAUAUUCUUUUCAAGUUAAUUUGAUCCAUUUAUAAGAAAUGAAGUGGAUCGAAGUUAAAAGUUCAAAUAAAAAAUCCUUGUUCUUGAGUUUUACGACGUCGUUACUCCUUCAAGAGGCUGAUUAUGCAAGUGAAUGGAGAAACAUAAUGCAUUUAUAAUUUUUUUAAUAAUUAUAAAAAUAAUUAACCAUAACAAAUCCCUUGCGUAAAUAAUAAUCAUUAUUUAAAAGGUCCAAAGAUGGUUAGUGCACAAUCAAAUUUUAAGCCCCUACCUCCUCGGCCCAAGAUUCAAACUUAGAUGAUAAGCCAAAUAAAAUUAUUUGAAAAUCAUUCAAUCAAGUUCCGGGGCAAAAAUACAAGAUCCUUAUUUACAUGAUAUAUAUGAAUUAAUGUAAUUUAUUUGAAUUGUCCAAAUUCAUUAGAGAUAAAACUAUAAAAUAUACCAAAAAAGUUAGAAGGAAGGCUGUGUUGGGAUAUUUUACAAACUAUAGGGAUCUGGUGAGAUUUUGAGCCAAACUGUAGGGAGUUGAAGGCAUUUGCCCAAUAUGUUUAGACGUACACUAACCGUUAUUUGAUCUUGUUGUUGGUCCCGGAUGAGCUGUAGUCUUAUUUUAAUUUUAUUUAAACUCACCAUAAGAUUCGCGGAGCUCCUAACUAACUUAAAUGACUCUGCAGAGCAUGUCAACACAUACCAUGUUUAACCGUUUUAUUUGUAGAAGAAUUUAUGAUUUCCCAUUAGCAUUAUUAUUGAAGUGGGGCAGGUCAAAUCUCAAUUGCUUGAAAAUUUUAUUUAUUAUUAUUAGUCUUGAAGUGGGGUGGGUAACGGUUCGCUCAAUUCGAGGGGAAUCAAAUAUAUCAUCCAAGGUAGAAUUGUGGAAAAUUAAAGCAAAAUAAGAAAUAUGGAAAGACAAGAAGAAAGUUAAGGCAUGAAAGACAUAUACAGUUGAAAUUGAUAAUCAUGUUUCUAUUUUGUUAACUAAUCAAAUGGAAAGCUGAACUGUAAACAAACAUUAAAACGUGUGGACCAAGCUCGCUGUCCUACAAGUCUACAAUAAUAAUUGAGUACUUUGAUUCAUCCUUCUAUGAAUUUCUACCCAUAUUGACUCCACCGAAAUUUCCACAAAAUAAAAUUAAAAAAAAAAACUGAAUUUCCACAAAAUACAAAACCCGUUGAACUUAAUUUUUGGUCAUGUGAACUAAGAUGUAAAUUAUAAAAAAAAGUAUAAAAUUAAAAAAGAUGAGAUUUCUAAAAUGUGUGGAAAGUGAUUCAUGAUUCACUGAAAUUACUUACCCCAGAUAUAAAGGUAAACCUAUCUAAUUUCAUUAAAAAUAGUUGAAAAACAUUAACUAAUAGAAAGCUACGGAAAUUAACCCCCCACAAAAAUGACUUUUUAUAGAAGAAUUUAUGUUUUUUAAAAUAUGUUAUCAAAGUGUAUUUGAUCAAAUCUGAAUUGCUUAGUAUGGUUAGGAUUUUGUGAACAUCACUAAAAAGUGAAAACUAUGAAUGAUAGGGGUGAUGCUUGCAAUAUGAAUAAAUAAUGGACUGAUUCAAUUUCUGAUUACAUUUAUAUAUUAUUGAUUAUUUAUGAAUUUUCAGACUUGUUAUGAUGUAUAACUAUGUGAUUUUGAAACUUGAAACCGUGGCAAACAUUGAAAGGAAUUAUAACUUGAAAGCAUGACUCACGGGGUAUGUCAUGAUUCACGUGCACAAAAAAGGUAGAAUUGUGGAAAUUUACAACCCAACGACAAGUACGGAAAGAAAGGAAGAAAAUUAAAAGACUUUGGGCCUAGCUGCGUGUAUAAAUUAUUAGAUUACUUUUUUUUUUAUAAGGGUAAUCAUCAAUUUACUCCAUAAAAAUCUUUAAUUCAAUUAAAAUUUAUGGUAUUUUAUAUAUUAAAAAUUCUAAAAUAAUUAUGUAUUCACUUGAAUAUAGUUUUAGUUAUAAAUGUUAAAAUAUUGUGGUAUUUAAUAUAUUAUUUAUUUGACAUUCAAAUUUAAUAAGGAUACAAAUGUAAAAGUAUAUAUUUUUCAGCUUUUUAAGUUGAAAAAAACAAACAACUUAAUACUUAUUUUUUGAGAUUCAGACAAAAAAAUAAACAUAUUAUUCAGAUUCAGACAUUCAGAUCUAUUCAGAAUUCUCACUAAUUCAGAUCUAUUCAGAUUUCAGAUAAAAAAAAAAAAAACAAAACGCCACCUAAGUAUAGUUAGGAUUGUGUGAACAUCACUGAAAACUAUGAUUGAUAGAAGUGAUCUUGGCAAUAUGAAUAAAUAAUUAACUGAAUCAAUUGAUUUAUAUAUUAAUGAUUGUUUAUGAAUUUGCGGACUUGUUGCGAUAUAAUAAUAGCAUAUGAUUUUGAAACUUGAAACAGUGGUAAAUAUUGAAAGGAAUUAAUUUGAAAGCAUGAUCCGUGGGGAAUGUGAUGAAUCGUGUUUACAAAAAAGGUAGAAUUGUGGAAAUUUAUAAUAGAACGAUAAAUAUGGUAAAAAGGAAGAAAAUUGAAAGACUUGGGGCUUGGCCUGGGUGUAUUUUCUAACAGUCCAAUGGACAAAAUUAUAUUUGUAUACUUUCUUUUCAGGAAAAAGUUAUUCUCAUCCCUAGGUUUCAUGCAAUAGCUCAUUCCAUCCUUAUUUUUUAAAUAAUAGACCAAAACAUUCUUCCGUUAACUCACUGUUAGUUGAAUGUCGUUUGUUAGUUAUUCAUUAAGAGUAAAAAAUGAUUUUCUAUCAAAGAGAAAAUUAGAAAAAUAAAUAAAAGUUGACAUAUAACUAAAAAUGAUUUUAUCUAAUCCCACUAAAUAAGAAAUACCAAAAAAGAUGAAAAUUUUAUAUUUCAAGCAGUUCUUUUUUCACUUAUUUCUAUUUUGGCGGUAUGAAAGCCCUAUAAACCCUAGAUCUAAGUACCAAAAAUAUUGCAAUUUUCUUAUUCAUAUAAGUAUACUCUCUAAUUGCACUAUAAAAUGACUUGAAUUGAAUUGAAGAUAAAGAAUAUAUUCAGCACAUACAAAGCACAUAAAAAUUGGUGGCAUUUUUGAGUUUUUCUUCCAAUGAUUUAAAUAUAUUAUUUUAAUUACAGUUUGUUCCUUAUGACAAUUAUUAAAUGGCUAUAUCAAACUAUAUCAUCGUUGAUUUCAUUUAAAAAAAAAAGUUAAUGAAUUUUGCAUACUUUGUAGUGUUAUUUAAUUGUGUAAAAAAAUUAUUUUAAUAUAGUUUGUAUCACUUUAAUGAAAAAUUCUAUUUUGCCCUCAAUGAAUUACUAGUUAACAGUUUUACACUAACGGUGAAUUAACAUAAGGAUAUUUUAGGCUAUUGUUUGAAAAGGAGGGAUAAAAUGGGCUAUUACAUUAAACUCUAAGGAUGAAAAAUGCUUUUUCCCCUUUCUUAUCAAUCAACUAACUGAUAAAAGUCAAAACUCAUAUUUUUUUUUCCUUGUUUCAAUCCCCUCUCAAUCAAAAAAGUUUCAUUGUCUAAGCAAUGAGGAAUAUGGCUAGAAAGAUUGUUAUUAGAAAGAUUUAUCAAUAGUAAUUGGUUCACAAUUGAACCGUUUUAGAUUAUUGUGAGUCAAUAUAGGUCCUGUUUGGAAUUGAAGUGUUGCAGCUCUUAAGUUAUAGAUGCUUUGGAAAAAAAACUAAAAUUAUGAAAUAAGAGUUAAUAAUAUAUAAUAAAUAUAAAUUUUAAAUAAUAAUUGUGACAAAAUUAUUAAAAAUAUAAUAGAUUUUUGAUAAUACAAGUAAAAAAAUCAUAACAACAUAGCUUGCAAGCUACAACAGUUAGUGUUUAACAAAUACUUUAAUACUGUGGCUUUUAAGUUACAGCUGUUCAAUACCUCAAUUCCAAACGCACCUAUAAAAUGGCUUGCUUCAAAAGUCUAUCAACCCAACUUGGAAUGCUCUCAUUCAAGUGGCUAUAACUAAGAUAAAACUUCGCUAAGGAAGAGUAAUUAAAAAAUGUAACUUUAACAUGUCCAUAUAGCAUUUUUGUUUACAAGUGAAUUUGUGUGAUAGAGAGAGGAUGUAAGCAAGAUAGUAAAGUCCUAAAUAUAUUAUUGUGUAUAAUGUCUAAAAUUUAAAGAGAAUCAAGCUGAUAAAACUCCAUUGAAAUUAGACCUUCAAGAAUACGGUUCUUGGGCAUUAUAAAAUGUUGUAAUGUUGAGAGAUUACCCAACCAUUAUGGAAUCCUACCAAGAUGAUUGUUACCACUAAGAUACAAUCCUUCUAGUGAACAACAAUCAGAUAAAUUUUUUGGGGAUCUCUCUUACAAAGUGAUUACCAUCCAAUCGCAAUUUUGAAUGAAAAUAAAUUUUUUUUAUUGGGAGUUUAACCUUAACAUUAAAUUUAGACAAUGAAUUUUAACUUUCUACAGUUAUUAAGCAGAUUACGGACAUUUGAGGAAUUUGAAAACAUUUCAUCCAUCGAAAGUUAAAAUUAGAGAUGGAAGAUAGGUGCUACAGCUAAUGGGAACAUUACUUCCUGUCCCUCAUCACACUUUAUUUUGGGUCUAAUAAUUUUACGGUAGCAUUGACCACUGCUCAAGGUAAGUAAAACUUACAAAUGUGUGGCAAAAUAAAUAAUUAAGUACAUAAACUGUUAACCAAUUUUCUUGAUAUAUACAGCUAAAGUAGUUGUAUAUUAGUGUCCUGAAACAUGUUUAUUAUGAUAGACACCUCCACCGUACCUCAAACAAAUCUGUCAUUAUUAGUGUCCUGAAACAUGUUUCGGCCGUCAAAGUCAUGAGAGGGUUGAUGACGCUACUACGUAUGAUGACACACCAGCCGACAGUGUAGUAACAGCUCAAAAACAAAAUCUACCAAAAUCAACGGAAGUUAAUAAAAAAAUAUUUUAUUAAUAAAAAAACUUAUUAUUUGUGGAGAUAUGUGUAUUUGAGUCUGUGGACUGAAAUGGAAAAUAUGAAGAAGUUCAGAGUCGUUGUGCAGAUUGACUUCAGUUGAGCGGGUCUAAUAGAUAUUUUAUGCUGACGUGGCACGAAUUAGUUAUAAUCUGUUAUAACGAUUCCAGAAAUAUCGGUAUAAAUAGAAGUUGAUGAGCAGUGCCUGUUGUACGAUCCUUUUCUUCUUCAGCAGUUCGUCAAUUUGCAUAGAAUCUGUUUCACUUAUGUUUGAUUAGUUGUUGAUCGAUAACGAGAGUAAAUUUUUCCUUCAAAUCUUGCUGGUUCGUGCCCCUGUUUCAGUUUUGGGUUUUUUUUUUUUUUUAGUUCUGGUUUCUUAAUUCAAUUGAAUUUCUUGGUGCUUAAUUCAUCAAGAUUCAGUGGAAUUGACUUGAAAAGGACUCAAUAGACUCAACAUUAUUUAACGACACUCGGACCGUGGGGUACCGUAAUCAUAAUAUUAAAAGAUUUAAAAUUUUAUGCAUUUAUUAAUUGUUAUAAUCUAAAAAAAAAUUAAUUAAUUCAGGUCAAUCUGAGUUGGUGCAUCUGCAGAGCCUUUUUUUUUUUUCCCCUUAUUGACCAUAACUUUCGACUUAUUAAUAGUUAUAUCAAAGGGUGUGGGUGUUUUACCUCAUCAUGUCUUCAAGCGGAAGAUGAAGACUAUGCAAGUGAAUACAGUGCAUUUCAACAUAGCAUAUUUAACCGUUUUAACAGUUAUUUGGACCGUCUUCAGAGCUAACAUCAACAUACUCAUUCAUAUGCUUAAUAAUGAACGAAUAGUCAUGGAUCGAUGUUUUGCAGCAAGAGCAACUCGACACAAUCUGGAUUCAACCUCCUCCUUUCUAACAGGGUGAUACGCCGCGGAGGUCGUCAAGGAUUCCAAAGCCUAGCAACAAGUAUGCUGGGUACAUUUGAAUUAUGCAUGGAUGCUUGGAAGUCGAACGGUCACAUGGCUCAAGACUUAUGCAUACGUUACAUGCAACAUGCAGCACGUUGGAAGAAUGGUCAUUGGAGCAGUCUACAUGGAUCAUGGGGGGGAUUCGGUCAACAUGGGAUCACUUGCUGAUUUAAUGGAGAUUUAUCAUUUGGUUUAAUUCAUUUUCGGUUGUUUAGUUAAGCUAAAAGAAUAAGUUAAGUUGUUAGCUUAGGACCUGCCUACAAUCUCGAGUGAUAGUUAGAUUGUUUGGCUAAGUUGUUUUAAGUAUAAAUAAGCUCCAACGGACUUGAAUAAAGGGCAUUGACUAUUAUCCAAAAAUCAAAUAUCUUGUGGUCUUAUUUCUCACCCUAAGUAGAAAUAUAUUCAACCACUUACGCUUUGACUGGGACCCCUAUCAGUGGUAUCAGAGCGAGGUUACUAUGUCAACCAACAAGGAACGCAUAGAGCGUGUGGAAGCCGAGAUCGGAAGCUUGCAAGAUGGAAUGAAGCGUAUGGAACUAGGGCUUACUGACAGAUUGCACCGCCUAGAAGAAACAAUGAGCAAACUGGUAGAUUCACUUCCAACUUCAAAAGGGAUGCCAAGUCACAACAAUUCUGAUCACGUUGGAUCCUCACAGCCUAGCCGUGGAGAUAGUGAAGGGAGCCGCCAUCAGCUAGCAUCAAGACUUACCAAACUGGAGUGUCCACGAUAUUCCGGCGACGACCCAACGGAGUGGUAUAAUAGGAUCAUGCAAUUUUUCGAGUACCAGAAAGCAACCAAUGAACAGAAAGUCUCCUUAGCUUCUUUUCACCUCGAAGGAGAGGCCAACCAAUGGUGGCAGUAGAUGCGACGAACUUAUCAAGAAGACGAAAAAAUAGUAACGUGGGAAAUUUUUGUGGAGGAGCUUUGGGCACGGUUUGGCCCUACUGAGUGCGAAGAUUAUGAUGAGGCGUUGUCCAGGGUUAAGCAGACAGGGUCACUACGUGAUUAUCAGAGGGAAUUCGAAAGGCUUGGGAACUGGGUACGAGGCUGGACGCAAAAGGCCUUGGUCGGGACCUUUAUGGGAGGAUUGAAGCCGGCAAUCUCAGAGGAAAUUCGGAUGUUUCGGCCCAAAACUUUAAAAGAAGCUAUAAGCCUCGCACGUAUGAAGGAUGAUCAAUUAACGCGACAAAGGAAGUUGCUACGACCACAGUACCUCAACCGUACACCACCAACACCAACAAACAAUACCCGUGCCCAACCAACGAGACCCAUCAAACGGCUGACUUGGGACGAAAUGCAGCGGCAUCGAGUAAUGGGACUUUGCUUCAAUUGCAACGAUCGGUUUACAGCAGGUCAUAAGUGCACCCAACCUCAGCUAUUGCUCCUUGAAAGUGAGACAAUGAAUGAUGAAACUACAUAUGAGGGAAUUCCUGAAGUCUUAUGAACAAAACCUGACACUAAAGAGCCUACCGAUCCAAAAAUCACUUUCUAUGCCCUCACUGGAUGGGCAGCCCCAAGAACCAUGCGGGUCACGGCAACGGUAGGACCAUAUGAGAUUAUGGUUCUGAUCGAUAGCGGUUCAACUCACAAUUUCAUCAGCUCCCGAAUGGCCAACAUGUUACGGCUGCCAAUCAUUCCCACAGCAGGAUUUUUGGUGCGAGUGGCAAACGGAGAAACGCUAUCGUGCAAGGGAAAAUUCGAACGGGUUCAGGUAUUAUUACAAGAAGUUCCAUUCACUUUGACUCUUUAUUCACUUCCAAUUACAGGGUUGGAUAUGGUGCUUGGAGUCUAGUGGCUUGAGAUGCUAGGCUCAGUGGUUUGCAAUUGGAAACAACUUACCAUGGAUUUCACUUGGGAGAACAAAAGUUGCCGGUUACAAGUCAUCGGGCCUCAAUCAAUCCAAACAGCAUCCUUGACCGAAAUUACCAAAGAGCUGAGACAAGGGCAGUCCGGUUUUGCUAUUUGUUUCCAUGUGAAUGUAGAAGACUCUCUCAACACAACAACUCCAGAUAUGCAAGACUUGUUAAAGGAAUACAACACUUUAUUUCAAAAGCCAACAAAACUGCCACCUAGACGAGAAAUCGACCAUAACAUCACAUUGAAAGAGGGAACUGAGCCAGUCAACGUACGGCCAUACCGUUAUGCCUAUUUCCAGAAAGCCGAAAUUAAAAAACAAGUCCAGGAGAUGCUGAAUUCGGGACUCAUUCGGCCUAGUACCAGCCCUUUUUCAUCACCAGUACUACUUGUCAAAAAAAAAGAUGGAAGUUGGCGAUUUUGCACCGACUAUCGGUCUCUCAAUAACGCCACUGUUAAAGACCGAUUUCCAAUCCCUACAGUCGAUGACAUGCUGGACGAGUUACAUGGAGCAGCAUACUUCACUAAAUUGGACCUAAGGGCCGGAUACCAUCAGGUACGUGUAAACCCAGCCGAUAUCCACAAAACGGCUUUUCGUACAUACAAUGGACAUUACGAAUACUUAGUAAUGCCGUUUGGCUUAUGCAAUGCACCAUCGACAUUCCAGGCCAUCAUGAACUCUAUCUUCCGUCCCUAUCUCAGGAAAUUUAUCCUUGUUUUCUUUGACGAUAUAUUGAUAUACAGUCCCUCUUGGUGUAGCCACCUUACUCAUGUUAAGCAGGCAAUGGAGGUUCUUAAACAACAUCAAUUUUUUCUUAAAGCAAGCAAGUGCACUUUUGGCCAACAAGAACUCGAGUACCUUGGCCACAUAAUUACCAGCCAAGGGGUAAAAGUAGAUGAGACAAAAAUUGCGGCCAUGGUCUCCUGGCCUCAACCGAAGAACAUCUCAGAGUUACGGGGAUUCCUUGGCCUUACAGGUUACUAUAGAAAGUUCGUCCAAGGAUAUGGAGUUUUAGCUCGGCCACUCACGAAUCUUCUAAAAAAAGGACAGUUUGAAUGGAAUGCAGAAGCGGACAAAGCUUUUAUCAAUUUAAAAAAGGCAAUGACAAGUACACCCACAUUAGCCAUGCCUAAUUUUAAUGAAACUUUUAUUAUUGUGACAGAUGCAUCCGGUGACGGCAUCGGCGCAAUACUCCAGCAACAAGGGCAUCCCAUCGCAUUUAUGAGUCGUGCCUUGGGAGUCACAAAAAAAUCUUAGUCCACAUACGCAAAAGAGAUGUUGGCGAUUAUAGAAGCUAUCCGUGUGUGGCGACCUUAUCUGGUGGGACGAAAGUUUAUCAUCCAAACCGAUCAACGCAGCCUUAAGUACCUUUUGGAACAAAAAAUAACGACACCCGAAUAGCAACAGUGGCUGGCCAAAUUGAUGGGGAUUGAAUAUGAAAUCCAAUAUAGGCCCGGCCGUGAGAAUGUUGCCGCCGACGCCCUUUCACGACGACCUGACAGUUCUGCUCUUAACAGUUUAUUUGUGGCGCAGGUAUCUAUUUGGAAUGAAAUAAAAACGGCUGCCCAAGAUGAUGAUUACAUGCAGCAAAUUACACAUCAGGCUCUGACUCAACCUACUGGCCCUUAUUUCAUGCGUAACGGGCUAAUUUUCUUCAAGGGCCGAGUUGUAGUUCCUCUUCGACUCCGUCAAUCUUUAAUUUUUUAAGCCCAUGACACUAAGAUGGGAGGUCAUUCAUGAGUUCUACGUACUUACAAACGUUUGAAACAACAAUUCUAUUGGCCUUCAAUGUUUCAAACGGUUCAUGACUAUGUAGGUAAAUGCGAGAUUUGUCAAAAAACGAAAGCAUCAACCCUUAAGCCUGCGGGUCUCCUCCAGCCCUUGCCAAUUCCUUGCCAAGUGUGGGAUGAUAUCACGCUCGACUUCAUUGAAGGGCUGCCAAACUCACACGGUAAAAAUUCUAUUCUAGUGGUGGUGGAUCGGCUCAGCAAGAGUGCACACUUUAUGGCCUUGACUCACCCAUUCACAGCAAAAACAGUGGCUGAGAAGUUUAUUGAUGGAGUGGUAAAAUUACAUGGCAUGCCGAAAUCAAUAAUCAGUGACCGAGACCCUAUUUUUAUUAGCAAGUUUUGGCAGGAGUUUUUUCAUAUGUCCGGUACACAACUCAAUAUGAGUUCUGCGUACCAUCCGCAAACCGACGGUCAAACGGAAGUUAUUAAUAGAUGUCUUGAACAAUACCUGCGAAGCUUUGUUCACCAAUGGCAGAAGCAAUGGAACUCUUACCUACCUUGGGCAGAAUACUGGUACAACACAACGUACCAUGAGUCCACAAGCAUGACUCCUUUUUUGGCUUUGUAUGGGCGACAUCCACUGGUAGUACCAAUGUAUCAUGUGGAAUCUUCUCCAGUGCACAAGGUAGAUCAAGCUUUGUUGUCUAGGGAUGAGCUGCUGCGACAAUUAAAACAGAAUUUGAAAAUGGCAACCAAUCGCAUGAAACAAUUUGCGGAUACAAAAACGCGCGACGUGGAGUUUAAGGAGGGUGACAUGGUAUUCCUAAGACUUCCACCGUAUAGGCAGACUACUGUAUUCCGUCGUGCUCAUCAGAAGUUGACCAGCAAAUACUCUGGGCCAUAUCCAAUUCUGCGAAGAGUGGGACAAGUGGCUUAUGAGCUUAAACUACCGACGGGAUCUCGAGUGCAUCCGGUAUUUCAUGUGUCCUUACUCAAAAAAUACGUUGGUGAGAUGCCUCAAUUCAGUGCAGAUCUUCCAUAUGUCAAUGACGACGGAGUACUCGUUUUAGAACCGGACAAAAUUAUUGAUGUUCGUUGGCUUAAAAGAGGUGGCAAGUUGGUGGAACAAAGUCUUGUCCGUUGGAAACGCCUUCCACAUGAGGACGCAACAUGGGAAGAUUCAGAGUUCCUGGCAAAGCAAUUCCCUCACCUGACCCUUGAGGACAAGGGUCCUCUUCGUGGAGGCGGUAUUGAUACACCGCGGAGGUCGUCAAGGAUUCCAAAGCCUAGCAACAAGUAUGCUGGGUACAUUUGAAUUAUGCAUGGAUGCUUGGAAGUCGAACGGUCACAUGGCUCAAGACUUAUACGUUACAUGCAACAUGCAGCACCUUGGAAGAAUGGUCGUUGGAGCAGUCUACAUGGAUCAUGGGGGGGAUUCGGUCAACAUGGGAUCACUUGCUGAUUUAAUGGAGAUUUAUCAUUUGGUUUAAUUCAUUUUCGGUUGUUUAGUUAAGCUAAAAGAAUAAGUCAAGUUGUUAGCUUAGGACCUGCCUACAAUCUCGAGUGAUAGUUAGAUUGUUUGGCUAAGUUGUUUUAAGUAUAAAUAAGCUCCAACGGACUUGAAUAAAGGGUAUUGACUAUUAUCCAAAAAUCAAAUAUCUUGUGGUCUUAUUUCUCACCCUAAGUAGAAAUAUAUUCAAUCACUUACGCUUUGACUGGGACCCCUAUCACAGGGGAUUUCGAUUUGAGUUACUUUGUGCUCAAGCAAAUUCACAUCAUAGUUUUGAUUCUUUAGAUAUGAAUUCAUCACAUUACAUAUAUCAGAUUAAGUGUAACAAAAUUUUUAAUUUACUGCGAAAAGAAUAUGCACUAAACAAUGAUUUCAAGACGAUUUGACUACCAAAAGCAGCUGUCAGAGUGCACUAAAAAUUUCUGUAGGAUAUUUUGUAGCUGUUUAAUAUGUUAUGAUGGGCAUAUAAUUCUCAAAUUUUGAUGCCUCUCAGCGAAAAAUAUAUCAAAGUUUAGAUUAUGUGUUCGAGCUUUAAUAAAUGGUCGGAAAAAAAGCUGCUGUCAGAGUGCACUGAGUGAAUAAUAAUAACGACAAUAAUAAUAAACUAAAAAACAGAAUUAAUUACUAUUGAAUGGUCGGAAAAAAAUUUGAAAACGUGUGAACUCCAAUAAUCACCCCACAAAUUCAGUGGCGAAUUUUGGAGAGGGCAAGGCCGGGCUUCUCAGAAAAAAAUUUAUUUAGUUACAAAAUUAUCUUUAUUGAAACCUAUAUAAAUUUUUUUUUAUAUUAAUUAGUUAUGUUACCUCUUCAAUUAUCAUCAAAUUUUUGUCUGUUCAUCAUUUGGUGAAUAAAUGUGUGUCUAAAUAAUUUCAAAUAACAUUUAGAACAAAUAUUUUGAGAGGUAAAGUUUAUUUUGUCUCCCAUUAUUAGGUGCAUCUAUAAUUUCUUAUUUACAAAAUUAUAUUGUACGAUAAAAAUUUAUUGAAUUAGGGGGAAAAAAAAAGUUCAGCUCACUCAAAAACAAAAAAUGGUAUUAACUUCGCCACCGCACAAAUCUAGAAUAAUAAUUAUUCCUUAUCAUGCUGGGGAUCCUUUACUUUCUAGCCGUAUUGACAGCACCAGGUAAAGCUUUGUAAAAUAAUAAGUUACUCAUUAGUGGUUUUUAAUCUUUUUAAUUCUUUUUACCGCACACCUGAUCAAGAAUUUUAUUUUGUUAACUAAUCAAUUGCAAAGCAUAUAUAAGUGUUGAACGGUACGCAAGAUUGGAAAAAAAAAUCUUAAAAAACGUGUGGAUUCGGGUGGCCACACCAGAAAUCUAUUACAAUAAUUAGCUUUGAUGCUGGGAAUCUUUUAAUUUCUGGCCGUAUUGAAAUUUUUAAAAUAACAAGUUCCCCUUCUCGUUUUUUUUUUUAUAAAUAUAUAAGCUUAUAACAAUUUUAGAAUAAUGACUCAUUUGUAGAAGAAUUUAUGAUUUCCCAUUAAUAUUAAUAUUGAAGUGGGGUGGGUCAAAUCUCAAUUGCUUGAAGAAUUUAUUUAUUAUUAUUAAUAUUAUUAGUAUUGAAGUGGGGUAGGGAACGGACCAGCAGUUCACUCAAUUCGUGGCGAAUUAAAUAUUACCAUCCAAGGUAGGAUUGUGGAAAAUUAAAGCAAAAUGACAAGUAUGGAAAGGAAGGCUGAAAGUAAGGCAUGACGAAAGGCUUUGAGAAGGCUGAAGACUUACCAAAGAAGUCAACUGAAAACUAGCUGGGGCCUGAGUGUAUAAAUUGUUAGAUGCGUUUGUUAUAAAUAACAUAGAGCCCUUUUGUUAUUUAUAGUUAUAGAGAAAGAGAGAAUGUGUGUCUUUUAAGAGUUAGAGAUAUAGCUAGAAUGGGCGGCUCAAAAUCCAAAAUGGUGACAAUGUUAGUUCUCGUAUUGGUAAUAUUUUGGGUGGGGGGGGGGGGGGGGGGGGGGGGGGGUUGUGAGGGAAGGAAGGUCCACAGGCCGAGUGGUACAACUACACCUUGGCCUUACUAGGAAUAUCGAUCUGGGAGAGUGGUAUCUGAAUGCUUCUCUAUUUACUUCCUUUCAACAACUUGGUAACAAAAUAGCCGGCUGCAUGCGUUGAGAAUGAAGGUCCUUCAUUUAAUUUAAUUUACUUAAUUUCUCCCUCCCAAUUAAUGUCUAAUGGAGCUCAUUCUUUGGUUUUACUUGCAGGUCUAGAAGCAGGUGUCAUCUAACAGCUGCUUUGAUAAUUUCCCACCCCUUCAUCUUUGAUGGAAAGAUGAAAUAAAAACAAAAUGGUGAAAAUGGUAUUGGUACCUGAGGCUAUGUAAUCUAAUUCAACAACUGCACCAUCAAAACGAUUACAUAAGUCCCAGAAGAAUCAAACAUUAGUUUGCAAAAUAUCAAUUGCUGGAGGUUAGAUUCUAACUUCCGCUCUUGAUUUUUAUGGGCAUGUUGUAUUGUACUUGCAUACGAAAAUCAUAUUUUAGUUUACUUACACUCAAUGCUUGGAUUAAAGUUUCAGGUGGGGAAAAUUGAAGGAGACUAAAAUGACUCAAAAAAAUAGUUGAAUGAGUGAGGGUUUUGUCUUCAUUUGAGGAGCUCUUUAUAAAUUUUAGGAUUUUUUUUCCCGAGAAAAUUUAUGCCAACUUAUUCUUUGCUUCUUUUCUGAAGGGACAAAUGCAACUGAAAGUGUAUUCUUGAAUUCUCCAGGAUAAGAGACAUAUGUUUAAUUAGAUUCUCGAGCCUUCAAAACAAUAUAAAAUUUUAUAUAUCUGAGCAUGAUGGUGUUUGACAUGACUUAAAAUUGUUUAAUUUACUCUCACGUACAAGAAUGCCUAGUUAUAUUGUCGCUCAGAGUCCGAGGUUAAUCCAUAAAGAAAUGAUUUAAUUUGUUUAUUUAAGAUUAUCCCAAAAAAUAAAAAUAAAAUUUAAAUAUAUGUAAUUUAAUUUGAAAAAAGUUAUGAAAUUAAAUUAUUUAGAGUCAUGGAUCCACUCUUAGUAAUAAAUACAAUUUAAUAAAUUCUUUUUAUUUUUAUUUUAUUGCCCAAAAGAUUAAUUAUAUAAAUUAUAAUUAUUUUUCCAUUAAUUUUAUUAUGGAUUAAGUACUUAAUGUGCCAAAACUUAACUUGUCUACAAUAUGUCAAAAUACCAUUUUACCAUACUUUAUGCUAAGAUAUUAAGAAUUCAUGUGCCAAACUCCCAUGUUUGUCUACAAUAAAUCCAAAUUUCAAAACAUAAAAUAUGGAUCAAAUUAAAUAAAAAAUAAUUUAAUUUAUAUAAUUAAAAAUAGAAUUUGAUUAAAUCAUAUUUUUCUACUUAGAGUUUUACCUCACCCUAACUAUUAGUAUUUAGCUAAACAUAUUUGAAAUAAAUGAAAUUAUUAAAAUUGAAAAAUACAUAAUUAAAAAAAUGGUAUUUGAAAAUUAGAAAUAAAACUAAUUUUAUUUAUUGAAAAUGUAUUACAAAGAGAGAUGAGAAGAAGAAUUUGAGGGAAAAGAAGAGAAGAAAAUGUGUGGAGAGGUGUGUGAAAUUAUAUUGUAAAGAUGUUACACAAACAAAUGAAUAAAAAAAAACUAAAUGAAAAUUACACAAAUUAAAAAGAAAAUGAAAAUUAAAUAAAAAAGAUAAAUGUGUAAGAAAAAAAUGCGCAAUAAAAAUAAAUAAACUGAAAAGUAAUUAACUAAAAUUAAAAUAACUAAAUAGGCGGUAAACAAAGUAAAUGCCAAAAAUAAAAUAAGUGCGAAAAUUAAAUUACAGAAAUUAAAAGAAGAAAGAAAGAAAAAAAUAAUUAUCUCAAAGUGUAAACUCUUUUUCUUUUUCUUUUCAAAUUUUAAAUAUUACCAGCCAAUUAAGUGAUUAAUUCAAAUUAUUAGGCUUUAAUAGUAAUUUUUAAAAUCAAUAUUCAGUUUAUUGAGUCCAAAUAAGGUCCAAAGAAGUUCAAGUUGUUGGUCUAAAAUUGAGAAUUUUGGGAAAUAUUGGCAACGGACCUAUUCAAAAAGCUCUAUAAUUUUGUGGUCAAACUGCAAUUAUGAGAAGAAUGAUCCAAAAAUUAGAAUUUUUGGGGUGAGUGAGAUUUAGAAAGAUUUUGUGGAUAUAACAUAAUUUAAGAAAGAAAAAGGAGGUAAAUGAAAAUUUACACAAAAAGUAUAAAAAGAAAGAAAAAAGAAAACAAAAUAAAUACCUCUCCCAGCAAUGGCGGUAAAAACUUAACACGACUUAAAAGCAUUUAAUUUACUCUAAAGUAUAAGAGUACCUAGUUAUAUUAUAUCGCGAGAAGUCCGAGAUCGAUCUACAGAAAAAUGAUUUAAUUUAUUUAUUUAAGUUUAUCUAAAAAAUAAAAAUAAAAUUAAAUACAUGCAAUUUAAUUUGAGAAAAACUAUGAAAUUGAAGUAGUUAGGAUUAUGGAUCUACUCCUAGUAAUAAAUGUAAUUUAAUAAAUUCUUUUUAUUUUUAUUUUAUUGACCAAAAGAUUACUUGUAUAAAUUACAAUUAUUUUCCCAUUAAUUUUAUUAUGGAUUAAGUACUUAAUGUGCCAAAGCUUAACUUGUCUACAAUAAGUCAAAAUACUAUUUUACCAUACUUUAUACUAAGAUAUUAACAAUUCAUUGUGCCAAACUCCCAUGUUUGUCUACAAUAAAUCAAAAUUUCAAAAUAUAAAAUAUAGAUAAAAUUAAAUAAAAAAUAAUUUAAUUUAUAUAAUUAAAAAUAGAAUUUGAUUAAAUCAUAUUUUUCUACUCAGAGUUUUACCUCACCCUAACUAUUAGUAUUUAGCUAAACCUAUUUGAAGUAAAUGAAAUUAUUAAAAUUGAAAAAUACAUAAUUAAAAAAAUAGUAUUUGAAAAUUAGAAAUAAAACUAAUUUUAUUUAUUGAAAAUAUACUACAAAAAGAGAUGAGAAGAAAAAGUUGAGGGGAAUGAAGAGAAAAUAAGGUGUGGAGAGGUGUGUUCCUCCCCCCACUUCUCUAUUUAUACUAAUACAUGAUUAAUCUAUACCACACAAAUAAAUAAAACUAAUUACAUCUUAGGCAUACAUUUGUCCCACUAACAAAAUAUAAACCUAAGUUAAUCCACUUAAGCACAUCCAACACAUUUCACUAACAAUUACCACACCUAACAUGAUAAAAACUUAUAAUUUCACAAUUACCACAUUUACUUUUACAACAAAAACCACGAAUCUUCUCGACAAUAACCUAAUUUCUCGGACUUUCGGAAUCUAAAAAUUUAAAUAAUAUUAAAUUUAUCUAAUAUAAUUAAAUGUAUUAAAUAAAAUAAUGUUUCAUUUUAUAUUUACCCUCCUUUUAUUAAAUUUACUAUAAUUAUAUUUAAUAAAAUAAAUAAUAUUAUAUAUUUAAAUAAUAUUAGUUAUAUUUAACUAAAUUAAAGCAAAAUGACAAGUAUGGAAAGGAAGGCUGAAAGGAAGGCAUGACAAAAGGCUUUGAGAAGGCUGAAGACUACCAAAGAAGUCAACUGAAAGCUAGCGGGGGCGUGAGUGUAUAAAUUGUUAGAUGUGUUUGUUAUAAAUAACAUAGAGCCCUUUUGUUAUUUAUAAUUAUAGAGAAAGAGAAUGUGUGUUUUUUAAUAGUUAGAGAUAUAGCUAGAAUGGGUGGCACAAAAUCCAAAAUGGUGACAAUGUUAGUUCUCGUAUUGAUAGGGGGGGGGGGAGAGGUCGAGUGAGGGAUGUUUGGAGCAUGAGAAAUUUGAUCUUUUGCGGCUGGAUGUUUGGAGCAUGAGAAAUUUGAUCUUUUGCGGCUUAAACAUUUCUUCAAUUCCCCUUAUACACUUCAAAACUGGGUAGGUGAACAAAGGGAAAGGGUUGAGUGCAGCAACUCCACAGGCCAAGUGGUACAACUACACCAUGGCCUUACUAGGAAUAUUGAUCUGGGAGAGUGGUAUCUGAAUGCUUCUCUAUUUACUUCCUUUCAACAAUUUGGUAACAAAAUAGCCGGCUGCAUGCGUUGAGAAUGAAGGUCCUUCAUUUAAUUUAAUUUACUUAAUUUCUCCCUCCCAAUUAAUGUCUAAUGGAGCUCAUUCUUUUGUUUUAUUUGCAGGUCUAGAAGCAGGUGUCAUCUAACAGUUGAUUUGAUAAUUUCCCACCCCUUCAUCUUUGAUGAAAAGAUGAAAUAAAAACAAAAUGGUGAAAAUGGUAUUGGUACCUGAGGCUAUGUAAUCUAAUUCAAAAACUGCACCAUCAAAACGAUUACAUAAGUCCCAGAAGAAUCAAACAUUAGUUUGCAAAAUAUCAAUUGCUGGAGGUUUGAUUCUAACUUCUGCUCUUCAUUUUUAUGGGCAUAUUGUGUUGUACUUGCAUCCGAAAAUCAUAUUUUAGUUUACUUACACUCAACGCUUGGAUUAAAGUUUUAGGGGGGGCAUUGAAGAAGACUAAAAUGACACAAAAAAAGAGUUGAGCGAGUGCGGGUUUUGUCUUCAUUUAAGGAGCUCUUUGUAAAUUUUAGGAUUUUUUUCCUAAGAAAAUUUAUGCCAACUCAUUCUUUGCUUCUUUUCUGAACGGACAGAUGCAACCGAAAGUAUAUUCUUGAAUUCUUUAGGAUGAGAGACAUACGUUUAGAUUCAUCGAGCCUUUAAAACAAUAUCAAAUUUUAGAUUGCUGAAAUUUUAUAUAUCUGAGUAUGAUGGUGUUCCAAUUAUAAGCUCCAGGGUGCAACUUCACUAAGGUUUAGAAUACCUUCCUAUAGAAUUGAGAAAUCUCCAUUGGCAUAAAUAUCCUUUGAAAAUAUUGCCAUCAGAUGUUGAAUUGGAGAACCUGAUUGAACUCAGCUUGCCUUGUAGUAAGGUUAAGCAAAUUUGGAAAAGAGAAAAGGUAUAAUGUAUUACUAUUACCAAAGUAUCUAUUUUUCUUUCUUUAAGUAUUUAUAAUGAAUAACUUUGAAAUUGAAUGAUGCUCAUUUAGUAUAGUUGUGUAUCUUUGGUUAUAGGAAGCUGUCAAGUUAAAAUCUAUAGAUCUUCACCACCCUCUGUAUCUCAAUAGGAUCCCAAAAAUACUAAAUCUUAAAAAAAUAAAUCUUUCAAAAUGUGAAAGCAUGCUUACGUUACCCGCGUAUAUCCACAAUUUCAACUAGCUCAGUAUGUUGUGUUUCAUGGGAUGCAAAAUUCAUUUUGUUUCUCAUGAAAGGAUUGACUUGUUCGGAUGUAUUAGGGUUAAUAAACCAACUAAUCCCAUAAUUUGUUGAUGUCGGGUCCUAACAAAUUACUGCAGUAUAUUGUAGAUCAAUACACUAUUUGAAAACGUAUUUGAUCCACACAGUGAAUGUUUGAGGGUGCAUUUCUCGCGAACCAGCCAUACCCUAAACGAGGAGCCGGUCUCCUUGUAAUUGAGCAGGCAGGUGAAGUCUGGUAGCAAAUAUCCAAGAGCAGGAAUUCUAUGCUCAAUCACAAGGACAUCCUCUUUUGGACUAUAAUUCGAACAAGGUUCCUGCUAGGAGCCGAGAGCCUUUCCUGCUGGAGAGCGGGGUCGGCAGGCCUAGUCUAUAACGGUUAGCGAGACGUGCACUCCUAUUCGAGAAUCUAGGCACGAAACCAACUCAGCUGCAACUACGACAUUCAGGCAUCCACUUCCGUAAGCUGAGGGAGGUGAUGGACGUGGAUCGUAGGGCGUCGGAUUUGUAAGACGGCUAUAAAACGGUAAUCAACGAAGGUAAAGGGGUUAGACACUUUUACACUAGAACUUAAGAAAUAAGACCAUUUACUAAAAAAGGAGAGAAACACUCAUAGGUGUUCCACUGCCUAAGAGAUCAUGAGAGAGCCACGAGAUCAGUGGCCGAGUUUCCCAAAAAGUAAACCUAAAUUUCUGACUUGAGCGUAGGAGGAUUUUUCCGGCGUGCUCUGACAAGUUUUUGUGUGCGCAUGAGUCUGCUAAGUCAUACAAGGCAUAGCUUUGCUCGGUUAGAAGAGUUACGUGAAGUAUCCUAGGUUGGUCGUGAGUUCGGGAGUUAAGGAGAGAUCCUGGUUGCAGACGAGCAGACACCAGAAUCUCGCAUCAACAGUGAAGAUGAUUCAAUAUUAAGCAUGUCAUAUAAUCUAGAAGUGGAUAUUGGACCAAUUUGAUGAUAAUGAAUUUCUUUCAAUCUCAAUCUUUUUCUUUUUAGCAACAUGACUAGUAAUUGUGCAAAUUUAAACUCUGAGAAUGAUUUCUCAAUCGGUUUCUAAAAUGAUGACCAUGCAUGUAUACGUGUGUGUGUGUAGAGAGAGAGAGAGAGAGAUCACACGUGUGUGAUUUCCUUUUGCCAAUAGGAUAUGCAGAGAGCUUGAUCUUACCCAAUAGCGAAACAAACUUCCUAAUAAGUGAAGGUAUAGUAUAAAUACUUAUACUUUCAUGUUAUUUUGUUCAUCGGUAGCUUGAUUAUUUUAUAUGCGUCUUCGAUUUUAAUUUUCUUUCCCUAUAAUCGCUAUUAUCUUUGAACUGGUCAUGAUUUGCCUAUUAGAUUUCUCAUGUUGUUUUGAGGUGCAAUGGAUUUUGAAUUUAGUGACGAGCAGUGGAAGCCAGAAGGCAAAUUAUGAAAAUGGAUAAAGAUCUAUAAUUAGCUGUUAUGGGAUGUCACAUAUCAUAUUGAUGGUAACAUUAUAUAUAUGUACAUAUAAUUAAUGGGGUUGGCUCACGAGCCCAUUAAUAAUCGUAUAUUAGCUUAUAUACUUCAAACAAUGUACUAUGAAGUAAUUUCACAAAUACUUGUUAGCUUAUGUGGAGCUUUAUUGAAUCAGUAGUUCACAGUUCAAUAAAAUGCAGGUUUGCUAUUUGAAGUACAUGGUCAUGGUGCGUACAUUCUUCAUAAGGCUAACUACUAAUUUAUCAUUGAAACUUGAAAAAUGUGAUAGAGAGAUGUAGAUAACAGCCGCAAAACACUGAGAUUGAAAAUCAGGGCUACUAAAUUCUAUUAAAAGCCCUUAAAAUAGACAGCGAUCAUCCUAAAAUAUUAAUUGCAAAGUUAUGCACUAAUAGAACUAUUGACUACUUAUCUUUAGCAGAAGGUAUAUUUUUAACUACAGCUUUCUGCUUUGUUCUAAGAACUAGGCAAAAGUGGUAUAUCUUCAAUCCAAUCAACAUAUAUACCACUUAUUUUCCCCUUCACUUCUGUCCAUUUUGAUUUGCACUUCAUAUCCUGCACUUGCUGCUUAGAAAUAGUCUUAGUCUGGACAUUGAAAGUAGAAAAAGUACUUGAAACAAUCAUUGGCACAGCCCGAGAUUCCAUUGAAUCGUGGACUCCAAGCUUUCAUAGUUCUAUAAAGAAAAUGACAAAACAUCAUACAACUGGCAUUCGGCUUUUAACAUUUGCACAACCUGAGCGCGUUAGCAAGCCCCUUAUUGCGUUCCCAUUGAAUAGACCUACUUCUGUUAUCCACAGAAGAUCCACCUCUCAAAAUGUUUAUCACCAGGCUAUUCUUAAACUGAGCCUAAACUGAGUAGAAACUUCCGCACAUCUCUCAGCAUUUACAUGAAGAAAGCGACAACUAUCCUCAUCUCUCAGCACAUCUCUCAGCAUUCUACAAAGUUGCAUUUCACUAAGCAAUCUAUCCUCUCCAUUCCUAGCAAAGUGACAUUGAUUCCCGUAUUUGUAAUCGCCUAACUUGGGUUUUGGGCAUAGCGUGGUCUUAAAAUUACCACCCAAUACUUUGUUCAGUGCCACUGGCAUCCACAAGCUCUAGCCUUGUUAGCUGAAUCAUAUUCAAUAGGACAGUGAGACAGCAUUUCACUGACAUAUUCAAUUUGACUACUUAUAUUGACGCAAAUAUUAGAAUUUGAAAUCACUUCUUUUAUUGGAAUAUUAUAUUAAAAUGACCCCAAAUGAAAGUUCUUGAAUGGAAAUGAUUUUUAUUUAAUUUUCCAACAGAUUCAAGAAAACCCAGAGAACAUUAAUUUACACAGUAAUAUGAUUAAGAGCUGAGAACGUACAUGUAGUAAAUGUCUAUCAAAAAACACCCAAGGGUUUCUUUAAAAUUAGAAACUAGUAAACAAAAAGAAAGAAUCAUUUUACAUUUUUAUCAACUUUGGGGUGAGUGAGGAGUGAGAAAUUGAAACCCUAAAGUAAUGACAACAGUAAGAUUCAGUAUGAAGUGAAACCCCAAUUUGAAAUGUAGGCAUGAGUUGCUGAGUCAGUAGAUGAAGCUGUAAAUAGGCAUUCGGUUUCCUUCUUUUCGGUUUGGAGGGCCAUGGAAUAGUGUAUUGGAGUGGGCUCCAAGUAAUAGCCUCUAUCACUGGAAUGACACAUCUAUAAAAUGUGAUACAUGGGGAAGGAUUGGACAUUAUAUUCUUAGAUUAGCGCCUUAUUUAGGGUGUAUAUUAAGCAGAUUAUAUAUUACAUGGAGAUGGAGUUUAUGAAAUAGAUUAAAAAGAAAAGGAAAUUUUGGUGCCUAAAGUUUGCCACUUGGAAUAUUUCGGUGUCUAAAAAUUCACUCACCACUUAUUUCAUGUUUGAUUAUAUGUUGAAAAGAUAUUAAAAUAGUAUAAUGCUAUUAAGGCUUAACGUAUAUUUUUUAUUAGUAGAGUGUAGAAUUUUUAAGAAAUAAAUUAUUAAAUUAUUAUAACUAACAUAUUAUUUUAAAGUUGUGUUAUGAAAAAAAUGAAAUAAAAAUGUACAGUAAAUAAGAAUAUUUUAAAACUUUUAUCUUUUUAAAAUUAUUUUUUAACAUAAGGUGAACUAUUUUUUUUUUAAAUCACAUAUUCUAGUUAAAAUCAAAUAUGUAUUUAUAUGAAGCUUGUAAAUUUUUUUUUUAGUACUGAUAUUUGGAUAUUACCAAUAAAAAAAAAGGUAAUGUGCAUGCUGAAUUAUUUUUGUAGCACACAAAAGGACAACACCGUUUAUGUUAUCAUACUAUCACUUCUGUUAUGAUAAUAUUUUUUUGUGGCCAAAUAUCUUCUUUUUUUUUUUAAGUAAAAGUGUGGACAAAAUGCAAAUCAGUUUUUAAUCCUCAAUCUCUCCCAAAAUAUAAAUUCGUAGGUACAUGGGUUGUUAAAACUAUAGCUGACAAAAAGUUACUAACAAAAACAGAAUGUCCAUUUUAUAACUUUCUUAAAAAACUUUCCUUAACUUUUUUAAAAAGUUACCAAUAAAAAGUUAUUUCUAAUUUUUAUUUUGUUAUAAUUUUUAUAACAAAAUUCGUAGUUCGUAGUUAACUAAACUCUUCUUAUUCCCUUUCUCAACUGCCAUACCCUAACCUUGUUCCCCACACUAAACCACGCUCAAUUAAGGCCAUCAGAUUCUCCCGGGCCCACAUUAAUCCAACUGCUCACAGAGACCGACAGCCUCUCUAUCUCCAUUUCAAGCUCCCUCUUCAACUGGCUUCUGCUACCGUCCUACUCUUUCUCGGCUUCGGAGUCCGUAUUUGCUCGGCCUGUCCCACGAAGCUCCCUCUCACUCCAAUUGUCGCCCCACAAGACCAAUUGCUUAAUCAAGACACCGAACAAGAAAAGGAUGAGAAGUUGAAACAAGAAUUUGAGAAUUGGAAAUAAAAAACGUACGCAUUGACCGUGCCUUUGAGAGUCGUUUCUCUUCAGAACUCAGUGCCUCAAUCUUGGGUUAAGGAUUUUAUGCGAAGUCAGGGAAAGAGAUUGAAGUUUCAGAUGAAUUUGUGUGCUAGCAUUGAUGGGAUCUUUAACAAUUUAUCUGUGCCCUUUAACAAAGUUAAGGCUAAGUCAGCUUCUUAUAUGGCUGCUGAUUUGGUUAGUGUUGGUGAUUCAUGGCUUAGUUUUGCCAUUAAAAAGAGAUUGAUUGAGCCAAUGGCUGGAGCUGAAGACCAAGAUUGGUUCAAAUGCUUAAGUCACAAAUGGAAGGUAACAUCUUUGUCUUUGAUCCUCGAGGUAAAAUAUGGGCGGCACCGUACAGGUGGGGCACAACGGUGAUAGCCUACAAGAAAAGUAAAUUUCGAAAGCAUAAUUUGGCUCCGAUUGAGGUAAUAAUUUUCUUUAAACUCAUUUAGUUUUAUAUCAAACAAAAUCAAGACUGCCUUUCUUUUCAAUAUUUUUUAUGAUAAUAUCUUUAGAAGCAUCUCAUUGACGGGUAACAAUGGCAUCCCUGAAAGAGUCUAUAAACUCAAUGAUAUUAUCUUCUACAAAUGGUUCAUUAAACUUUGUCGUUGUACUCAAAUGUACACUCAGAUCAAUGAGAAGCUAUGCUACGUUAGCAUGUAGUGAUGGCACUUAAUAAGUGAGUUGCUAGGAUGUGAACUAGAAAAAUUAAAUAUUGUCUCCUUGGGUAUGCUAGCUGGUAAGUCAGGGUUAAUAUCAGAGCUUAAGAUAGUAUAACCGUGAGAACCUAUUGACUGCCAAUUAAAAUAUCCAUUGAAAUGUCUAGGGAGUUAUGAAGGUGGAGGUAACUUCCAAUUUCUAAGGCCACAGAGUAGACAUCAUCCAGGAUCCUAAAAUAUCCAGUUAACCUCCUGCUCGAUGCGAUUAAUAAAUUUGGUCAAUGCCACUGAAACCUGCUAACUGACGUCACAAUGCGACAUGAGCACUUCAAAAUGGGACAGAUGGUCAGUAGCACUAAAUUUUUCUUGCCUAAGAUUGAGCAAUUGGUCUAACUACUAAUCCCUAUUGUAGGUUGAUCAUUAUUUUUUCAAUUAUGUUCAGUUUGACCCAAAAAGUUGCAGAAUCUUGAGCUGAAUAUUGUCACUGAACACUGUCAAUGUUGUUUAGCAUAGCCAACUAACUUGAUGUUAAAACAAACACACAGUGUGUCUCAUGUCUCACAAUUCAAAUUAUCAUCUGUAAUGAUGGAGAAUUUUUCCAAUGUAUGAAGUAUGCUUUGAUACGUGGGUUACCUUGGAGAAGAUAUCUCAAAAUAAAGAAUAUGGGGAGAAAACAGUUCAGUAGUUUAUUAUUCUGUAGUCAAGUUUUGUCUCGAAAAUGGUCAAAAUUUAAAUGAAUAAGGACAGGGAAUCUUCAUUCUUUUUUCCCUUUUUUAUACCAAGAUAUCUCUCAACCUUUAUAUAAUCCCCACUGGAUAUCUGCUUCUAAUAAUUAAAAUAAAAAUUUCACCGCUCUAACAAUAAAAAGUAACAUCUUUAAUCAAAUAAUUUACAGUUCCUCAUCACCUUAGUGUGAGACUAUCAGUACAUUCCAAAAACUUAAUAAAACUGGUUUGAUCCUGUUUAUUGAUGUUUAAAUGUUGUUCAUUGUGACAUGUAGAAAUGAUGAGGCGAAGUUUAUUUGGACAUCAAUUAGUAAGAUCUUGUUUGAAGUUGUUUUCUGAAAUGAACUGCCCAAUGGUAGUUUUUUGGGGGCAUUUGAUGGCUCUUUUUUUCCUCAUUUUCAACAUGUGCCUGCUUGGAACAGGAAGGAUUAGGCUGCAGAGUUGUUAUAUAUUUUUAGAUGCUCUGGUCAUUGCACAAUUUGUUCACACUGGAAAUUAGAAUGAGAAAUUUGUUGAUGCUGUUUUGAGAGAUCUGCAUUCUAUGCACAAUAACGUGAUUAAUGAAAAUGCAUUGUAGGACUGGAAAGAUCUGUGGCAGCCUGAGCUCGCAGGAAGAAUUUCAAUGGUUAAUUCUCCCCGAGAGGUUAUUGGUUCAGCUUUGAAGAAUAGGGGAGCAUCAUACAAUUCAAACGAUAUUGAUUUGCAAGUUGCUGGUGGGAAGAUUGCUGUUCAGCAGAAUCUGGCAUUACUGGCAAACCAAGUACUCUUACAGAAAUGAUAUCUGGUCAUUGCAUGUUAUUGCCUGACAACUGAUUUUGUUUGUACAAGUCUGCUUCUUCAUACAUAUGAAUGCAUAUGUUAGUGUUUUCUUCUCCUUUUCAUACAUAUAAAUGCAUAUGUUAGUGUUGUCUUUUCCUUUUCAUACAUAUUAAUACAUAUGUUGGUGUUCUCUCAUGAGAUGGAUGCAAUAGAGGCUUUUGCUCCUAAAUUUAGCUGAAGAAAUGGGAAGGGAUGUGAGAUUCUGUCUCAUUAAAUUAACAAAAACCCAAAACAAUGAAAAUCCAUAAUAAUGUGGUGUGGGUAAAUUGGCUCCAUUUGGUUCGUUUCCUUAAUGUGACUGCGCGAGCAAUAGAGACUAACAAAAUGAAGUGACAACAAGAAGUCAGUGUCCUUUGAUGGAUGCAUUUUUAGGCAGAAAUAGGUUUGUAAUUGACCAAAUUUGCCUGGCAUGCCAAUUUCAAAAAAAUUAAAUUAUGUGGUUAUUGGCUGUAAUGAAGGGGGAUAGUCGGUGCAAUCAGGUGGAUCCUGGAAAGUUCAACAAAGUUUGGUAUGGCGUAGUGAAAUUGGUUUGUGCAACUCAGGAGUCUUUCAGGUGAACGAUGAUAGGUUUUGAUUUAUGAAUAUUAUAAAUCUACUGUGCAUAUUAUUCUAGCAGAAUCAUCUAUAAGUUCUAGUUAUUGAAAUUGUAUACUUUGCCCGGUUUGAGUUAAGGGCACAUGUAAUAUGAAAGAUAGUUGUCGCAUCUUUUAGGUUACCUAACAUUUGAUCAAUCCUAUUAUGGGGGCUUCAAGAUGUCUAACAAUAUGUAGAAUGCCCAUGCUCCUCCCCAUUGUUUAUCUUAUACAAUAAUUUGUUUUAGAUGCUAAUAUCUUUGUCGAUACUGGUAACAAUAUUACAAUAUCUGCCUUUAUUGGGUUUUACAUAGGUUCGACUGUUUGACAGUACACACUAUCUGAAGGCAUUUGCAAUUGGAGAUGUAUGGGUUGCUGUUGGGUGGAGUAGUGAUGUUCUUCCUGCUGUCAAACGUAUGUCUAAGGUUUUAUGAGAAACGAAAGAUGAGUGUUUGUUUGAACAAAGUUGUUGCCAAUCUUGCAGAGUUCGAAAAGAAAGAUCACGGAGCGAAUGCCACCGAUUUCUUCAUCAUUUUAGCCUCCAUAGUUGAAGUUUCCUCAUUUGAAGCUGUUUAUGCAUACGCUUUUUCCCUGCUCUAGUACAGGAAAUUGAAGAAUUAACCAGAUGUGAUAUGCUGAAAGAGGGAAGUUUUCUUCCUUGAAUGUGGCCUUUGUGAUUUGUCUUGAAGGAAUAGGAUGAUCACUGGCAAAAACCCUAUCAAGGUAGAUUUUAUGAUGUUAACAUAUUAUUAAGCAUUUUGUUACAUCAGCAAUGAUGCUUUCAUAGCAUGAAAGUGUCUAAAUUUAACUGAAUGAUCUUGAUUAAUCAAUUAUGAGUUUUAAUCGAGUAAAAACUAAAUACAAUAAUCGUUGACAAAUACUGAAAUUGGGUAAAUAUGAUCUUGAUAUUGAGAAUCUGAAAACACAACCCACACAGGGAAUCACCCUUCGCGUGGGGAUGGAGAUGUUUACUGCAGCGAUAUUGCAUAUGUCCACUGCUCUUUGGGUUAUGGUGCGACUUGCGAUUUCAAGGUUUCCCUGAAACAAUGAAAAGAUUGACGUACCCUGCAAUGAAUGAAAGCGGCUGGACUAAUUCUGAUUACCUAAUUGACUCAGGAUCGGCUGGCAAUAAUGACAGUUUAUUAACAAUGCACAGUCCCGAGUACUUUCCAGGAUCAGAUAUUACGUGGUCUAAUGUUGAUAAUAAUAGAUUAUCAAAUGACAAAUCGUUGUUCUUGGGUGUUGAUUUCAGAAAUAAAAUACGUUCUGAGAGAUGCUGGUCUACUAUUGCAAGCCCCCAGAUUUAAGAAUCUUUUGAUGAUAAUUUACCACCUGUAACUGUGCCGGAAGAUUCACCUAGCACUGAAAAAGAUGAUAAUUUAAUUGAUAUGGACAGUUUCCAUAUCACUUUUAAAUCAUCUUAUGUAAUUGUGAUGUUAGGAAGCAUUAGUGAUCUACAUGUGAACUAUUAUUGGCGCCAUUUGUGGUUUUAUUUUAUUAAAAUAUGGAUGACUUCCCGUUACUAUUUCGUUGUAGACAAUCUUAUCAAUUAACAUAUAGUUUAAAAUCAUUAUGAUCUAUUAAUUUUCAUGAUAUUUAACUGAGUUAAAACUAAGUGCAUUCAAUAAAUCUUUCUUCCUUUAAAAAACUGUUGCGCUUUAAUUUUAGUGCUUAAUAUUUACAGAACUCUGGUACAGGGAAUUCGAAAUCAAACUAGUAACUACAGAUUAUCUAAUUGCAAGUUUUUGUCCAUAGUUGCAGAUUUGUAGUGAUUAUCUAAUUGACUGAGGUGACAACAAUUUUUUUUUUAAUUUUCAAUAGCAUAAUGUGGAAUUCAAUAAUUAAAUUCUCCUUUUUAAUUUGUUUCCAGUUAAAUUAUUAAUUACUUAAACUUUGUUUUAAGUCUUUAAUUUUAUGUCUUGGCCUAUAUGCAGGGUUGGAUUCUUGAGCGUGUUGGACACGACCAACAAUGAAAUUGACAGUAAACAAACAUUACAACACGUUGAGUGUCGACUCCAGUAGCUGCCCUACAAGUCUACAACUUUACAAACAAUAAUUGAGUACACACAUUUGAUUCUCGGGACCCUCCAAUGAAUUUCUAGCCCCGUUGACUCCGCCGACAAAAGUUUUGGAAAAUAAAAAAAAUUCAUAGAAUUCCACCAAAUACAAAACGCGUGGAAUUUAAUUUUCGGCCAUGUGGACCAAAACACAAUUUAAUGAAAAAAAAGAUAAGAUUUCUAAAAUGUGUAGAAAGUGAUCCAUAUUUUACUGAAACAACUUGUUAAAUUUUUCAAGGAUUUAGAAUAUUUGAUCAUAAAUUACGCCCAUGUUAAUUUUUCCGCUAUUGACUAUCAUUUUCUAGACUCACUGUCACCUUUCUUGAUGAACGGUACUUAGUCUCUCUUCUCCUCUUAUAAAAAUUAUAUUAAUUGAUUUCUUAUUAUAAUAAAUAGUCUUUAAGAACGUAUAGAUUUAUUGUUUUCGUGACCAAAUUAUGCCUGCUUAAGGUUGAGACUAUUAAUAAAAUUAAUAUUUAAUGUUUAUGUUAAAAGAUAUAAGAUUUUAUGCAUUCAUUAAUUGUUAUUAGCUAAAGGAUUAAUUAUUUUUUCAACCCAAUCAGUUGAUGCAUCUGCAAGAGUUUUUUCUUUUAUUUACCAUAAUUAUAUUCCGGGUACAAUAAAUUAUCUUUGGUGCUUGGAAAAUAUGACUUCUUACUUCAAGUUUGAUGUGUCUCUCUCCGUAAGCUUACUGGAAAUAUAUCCUCAUUUACUGUCAUUUAUCUAAUAUCAAAUGAAAGAUCUCACUUUUUCAAACUAUCACUUCCAAGUCUCAUUGUCACUUAGCCAUUCUUGGACCAUUCAAAACCAAUCUGUUGAAAUAAUCAAAUAUAUGCAAAAUUAGAGUCACGAUUGUUGGUCCCCCAAAUUCUAAUUAUAUAACUUCUAUAUAUCUCAUUGUCAGGUCACGAACUUGUUGGCACAUUUCCAAAUUCCUCUUCCAUCAGCUCUCACACGUUAAUUUUUAGGUUAUCUAAAUUUCAAGGAUUUAAAAUCUUUGAUCAUGGAUUACAUGUUUAAUUUUUCUGCCAUUGACUGUCAUAUUCUAGAUUUAAUGGUACCUUUCUUGAUCAAGCGUAAUUACUCUCUCGUCUCCUCUUAUAAAUUCCUCUUCCAUUAGCUGUUAGCCUAUAUGGCUAUAGAUAUUGAUUUUGAUGAUAACAAACCACAUGUGUUGAUUAAACAAAGAUUUAUGAAUUGUGCAUUUAUAAUAAGAAAAUGAUGUUAUGGAAUUAAAGUGUUUUUGGACUAAAGUGAAAGUAUUUUAAAACCUUUGAUAUUAUUUUAAAAUUUCAGAUUUGGACCUAUUUGAAAAUAUUUAAAUAUUUUGGGUCAUUCUAUAUUUUUACAUGGUUUGGGUGAAAUCAUAAUUUCAAUUUGAGUGUGUGAGACACUUGAGUGAAGAGGUUGGGAGAUAAUCUCUUUGUUGUAAGGGUUCAUUGACACAUUGAAGUCAAUUGUAAACGUUUGAAGCCUUAAAAAAACUUGGAUAGUGAAAUCCUCAAGUUUGAAUCGCUUGGAGGCGUGGACGUAAGCGGGGAUUGCCGAACUACGUAAAAAUUCGUGUGUUUGUUUCUCUUCUCUCUUGCUCAAUUGUUAUUGUGCUUUUAUUGAACUUAUUACUUUUGAAUUUAUUAAUGCAUUAAAUUGGAUUGUUAUGUGGCUUUGUUAGGAUAUUUUUUAAAAUACCAAUUCACCCCCCUCUUAGGUUGCACACUUGUAUUUCAUUAGCAUUACUAGGAAUUUGUUGAUCUCUAAGAUGCUAACUUGAGUGAAGAGUUUCCAAAUUGAUUGUUACAAAACAACAAAAAAACUAGACACACUUGAUCUGUCUAAUAAUUCUCUUUCGGUAAAAUUAAUUAAUUUUAGGGGAAUUUUCGGCCAACCUCUGUAAUUUCAAAGUGAUCAUUAAUUAAUUAAACGAUACAAAUAUCUAAAGUGAUUAGAUGUUUGCUGACAAUACAAGUUCAUGGCUUGAAAUUUGAUCUCUAUCGAUUGGUUUACAAAUGGACGCACUUGUGCCUUUGUGGCGAUAAUUAAACAGAGAUGUGAAGUUGUAAAGAUUUGACAAGUUCCCAUGAUUAGUAUUUUUUUUCAAAAACUUUUUUACAACAAAUUCAUCUCGCCCAAAAAUUAUAUUUUGCUAUCUAACAAUAAUUGAGCACUUGGCCGCAUUGACUCCACGUCUCCACCUACUUUCUAAGUAAAAACAUGGAAAUGUAAUCUCCACAAAAUGUCAAACGUGUGGAAUUUAAUUUUUGGCCUUGUGAACCAAAAUGCAAAUGAAAGAAAAAGAGAGAAAAAAACAAGGCCCAAAGACUACGAAAAGAUAUAAAAGUCUUUGGGCCUUUUUAUAACGGUGGAUUUUUUAAAAGGAAAAAAUAACAACACUUCUAUGGUUUGUUUUGAUAAUCACAUUUACAUAUACUCUCUAAUUUUUAAAAUGGACACAUAAAUCUUUUUUUUUUUUUUCUACAAACGUAUAUUAUUCGUAUUUUUUAUUAUUUUUAAUAUCAUAUUGUUAUUUUUUUUAGAAGAUAUUGUUAUUUAUUAUAAAUGUUUAAAGUAAAUUUUUAGGUUGAAAUAUAAUAAAAAGGUAUAAUCGUUCUCUUAUUAAACACCCAUACUUUUAAUUUCUAUCCAUUUGUCAUCUCAAUCUCUCUCAAUUAUUCUUUAUUGCUAGCUCAAAACGCGUUGCUGUUGCAAAUUAUAGCAAAAAGACAAAUAUGGAAAAGAAAAAAGGGAAGAAAAUUAAUGCAUGAAAGAUUUGGAGAAAACAACGAAGUAAGUCAACUAUAAUCUAGUUGGGUGUGUAAAUUGUUUGAUGCUUUAUAAGCAAAUAACAUAUAGAGACAGACAAUGUGUGUUCGUUUUUUCAUAGUUAAAGAUAUAGUUAGAAUGGGUGGUUCAAAAUCAAAAAUGGUGAUAAUGUUUGUUAUGUUAUUAAUAAUAUUUAAAAGUGGGUGGAGUGAGGGAUGUUUGGAUCACGAGAGAUUUGCUCUUUUGCGACUUAAACAUUUCUUCGAUGAUACUAGUAGUUAUCUUUACGAUUGGGGAGAUGGUGAGGGAGCUACUGAUUGUUGUCAGUGGAAAAGGGUUGAGUGCAGCAACACCACAGGUCGAGUGAUAGUGCUAGACCUUUCUAGCAUGUAUUGGGGAGAGUACAGCUGGUAUCUGAAUGCUUCUUUGUUUACUCCCUUCCAACAACUUGAGUCACUUGAUUUAACUGACAACAAAAUAGCCGGUUGUGUUGAGAAUGAAGGUGCUUCGUUUAAUUUAAUUAAUUUACUUUCUCCACCCUAAUUUAAGUUGAAUAUCAAGACCGAGCAAUUAUACACAUAUUCAUUUAGUCGACAAUUUUGACUUUUUUUUAAAUGAUUAAUUUUGAAAUUACACCAAUAUCUAUGAUCCUUUUUUUUUAUUUUACUUGCAGGUAUAGAGAGGCUAUCAAGAUUGAACAACUUGAAGAUGCUUAAUUUAAGUGAUAACUCGUUCAACAAUAGCAUUUUAUCAUCUCUAACUCAUCUUUCAUCAUUAAGAUCAUUAAAUUUAUUUUGGAAUAGAUUGGAAGGAAGUAUUGACGUUAAAGGUACAUAAUUAAAACUUCAUCCCUUCUCCAAGCUCUUUCAUUAACUUGCUAAAAUAAGAUUCAAGGCUUUGAAUUCAAAUUUUUUUAUGAUUAGUAUUAAAAAAAAACAGUUUUAAGCAAUUUAUAAAUACAAGUUUUAAUGUUUCUCAUAAUUUCAUCUUGUACUUUCAUAUGUCUUGAAUUUAAGAUUAAAAAAAAAAAACUCUAAUAGCGAACCAAACACCUCCACAACUAAUUAUUAUUAUUAUUAUCAUUUUUUUUUUAUUUGUGGUGAGGUUUGAAACAUUCAACUCAAUUUGUACUUAUUACAGAAUUUGAUUCUUUGAGAGAUUUAGAGGAGCUAGACAUUGGCGAGAACAAGAUUGACAAAUUUGUGGUCUCAAAAGGUACUAGAACGACUGCAAAAAAUGUAAACUUCUACAAAUUAGCUAGAUUCUUUGCCAUUUGGUUUAUUAUUUUGCAGGUUUGAGGAAGUUGAGGUAUCUCAGUUUAAGUGGUAUCAAACUCAAUCAUAGCAUAUUAUCUUCUCUGACUGUCUUUUCUUCGUUAAGAGAAUUAUAUCUAGAUGAUACGGGAUUCAAAGGAACAUUAGAUAUUCGAGGUAAGUCUAAGCCCUGCUUUCUCAUUUUAUAUAUGCCAGCUAGACUUGUGUAUCAUCGACAUAAUUUAAUAUUUAAUUUGAUUAGUCUGAAGGAAUUACAUGCUAAUUUAAACAUACUUUUAUUUACUCUGUCAAUCAAUUAAUUAAUUAAUUACUAUUUGGCUUGGUUUGGAUGAAUUCUCAUGAUGUUUUAAUUUCUUUAAAUUAAUUAAUUAAUUAACUCUGUUUUUAAGUCUUAAGUCUGGGCAUGUUUGCAGAAUUUGAUUCCUUCAACAACUUAGAAGUGUUGGACAUGAGUUACAACAAAAUCGACAAUCUUGUGGUUCCUCAAGGUAAACAAUUAAAAUAUUAUUCAAUUACAUUAAUAUAAUUCAUUUGGUUAGGGAAGGCCCAAAAGGUACAAAAAAAAUUAAAUAAAGAAACAGAGAAUUUGUAUUAUUUAAAAAACAGAAUGUAAUAAAGAUUUGAUUCUAGUUCUUUAAUCUUUAAAGCGAUUGAAAAAUAAUGUUGCUCUUUUCCCAAAGCAUAAAAUACGAAUUGAAUGCCAAUUAACUUAAUCAUUCAUUUCGUUUAGCUCUAAAUUUAGACAAUGAAUUUUUAUAUUAUUUCAAAAACAGGACGUAAUAGAAUUUAAAAAAAAAACAGAUUGUAAUAAAGAUUUGAUUCUAAUUUUUUAAUCUUUACUGCGAUUGAAAAAUGAUACAGCUCUUUUCCCAAAGCAUAAAAUACGAAUUGACUCCCAAUUAAAUUAAUCAUUUAUUCCAUUCAUCUCUUAAUUUAAAUAAUGAAUUUUGUUUUCUUAAAUCGUAUUCUAAUUACUAUUAAAAAACAGGUUACAGAGGUUUGAGGAAGUUGAAAAGCCUUUAUCUAUUGAGAGUUAGAAUUAGAGAUGGAAGCAAGUUGUUACAGUCAAUUGGAUCAUUCCCAUCCCUCAACACUCUUUACCUUUCGUCUAAUAAUUUGACGGAAACAGUGACAACUACUACUCAAGGUAAUUAAAAGGUACAAAUGUCGCCAAAUUUAUAAAUAAAUUGUUAAUUAAUUAAUUUUUCCGUAUUAUUAAUAAAGCUAAAUUCGUUGCUCCUUCCUUCUAAAUCUAAACAGAGUUGCACAAUUUCACCAACUUGGAAUAUUUGACAUUGGACGAUUCCUCUCUCCAUAUAAGCCUUCUGCAAAGCAUUGCAUCAAUAUUCCCUUCGUUAAAAAAUUUGUCGAUGAUUGGUUGUGAAGUCAAUGGCGUCCUACGUGGUCAAGGUAAAAGAAAAGUGUUAAUUGUGAACUCGCACAAUGGUGUCCUACGUGUUCAACAUUUUUAUUUAUUUAUUUUAUUGUUUAAUGUUUCUGCUAGGUUUUCCUCAUUUCAAGAGUUUGGAAUAUUUGAAUAUGGAUUUCACGCGCAUUGCACUCAACACCAACUUUCUUCAAAUCAUCAGUGAAUCGAUGCCUUCUCUUAAGUACUUAUCACUGUCAGAUUCUACUCUUGGCACUAACAGCAGCAGGAUUCUUGAUCGAGGUUAAUCAGAUGCUCCCACCCUCCCUUCUUAAUCUAUAAUAUUAAUUUUCAAUUCAAUAUUUAAUUACACAAACGAAUCACUUAUUAUAAAAGAAUAAUACGCAUUCAUUAAUUUUUAUGCUGUAUUAAUUGAUGAAUUUAAUAAAUUUUCAGGCCUCUGUUCGUUGGUGCAUCUGCAAGAGUUGCGCAUGGCUGAUAAUGAUUUAAGAGGUAGCUUGCCUUGGUGCUUGGCAAAUAUGACAUCCCUCCGAAUAUUAGAUGUUUCUUUCAAUCAACUUACUGGAAGCAUCUCCUCAUCUCCCCUCGUUCAUUUGACAUCCAUUGAAGAGCUGAGGCUUUCAGACAAUCAUUUUCGGAUCCCAAUUUCACUUGAACCACUUUUCAAUCACUCAAGACUCAAGAUUUUCCAUGCUAAAAAUAACCAAAUGAAUGCAGAAAUAACUGAGUCACAUUCUUUGACCGCCCCAAACUUCCAAUUACAAUCUCUCUCAUUGUCUUCCAGUUAUGGAGAUGGUGUCACAUUCCCCAAAUUCCUUUACCAUCAACAUGACCUGGAGUAUGUUCGUCUCUCACAUAUAAAGAUGAAUGGAGAAUUUCCAAAUUGGUUGUUGGAAAACAACACAAAAUUAGCAACUCUUUUUUUGGUUAAUGAUUCUCUUGCAGGACCUUUUUGGUUGCCAAUUCAUUCACACAAGCGGUUAGGAAUAUUGGAUAUAUCCAACAACAACAUCCGAGGCCACAUUCCAGUAGAAAUUGGAGAUGUUUUACCAAGUUUAUACGUUUUCAACAUUUCCAUGAAUGCUUUAGAUGGUAGCAUUCCCUCUUCAUUUGGUAAUAUGAAAUUCCUCCAAUUGCUGGACUUAUCCAACAAUCAAUUGACUGGUGAAAUCCCCGAGCACUUGGCCGUCGGUUGCGUCAACUUGCAGUUUCUCAUGUUAUCAAACAACAGCCUAAAAGGUCACAUGUUCUCUUGAAAUUUUAACCUGGCCAAUUUGAUGUGGUUACAAUUGGAGGGCAAUCACUUCGUAGGAGAGAUCCCACAAAGUUUGUCUAAAUGCUCCUCCUUAGAAGGAUUGUAUCUUACCAAUAAUAGUCUCUCGGGUAACAUUCCAGGAUGGUUGGGUAAUCUCACAUGGUUAAUACAUAUUAUAAUGCCCGAGAAUCAUCUUGAAGGUCCUAUUCCAGUGGAGUUUUGUCAACUUUAUUCGCUUCAGAUUUUGGACAUUUCAGACAACAACAUAUCUGGAAGUUUGCCAUCCUGUUUCCAUCCUCUCUCUAUCGAACAAGUUCAUCUUUCAAAAAAUAUGUUACAUAGACAGCUAAAAAGAGGUACAUUCUUUAAUUGCUCUUCCCUUGUGACAUUAGAUCUUAGUUAUAACCUCUUGAAUGGCAGCAUUCCGGAUUGGAUUGGUGAGCUUUCUCAGUUAAGCCACCUUAUCUUAGGUCACAAUAAUCUUGAAGGUGAAGUGCCAGUUCAAUUGUGCGAAUUGAACCAACUACAAUUGUUAGAUCUUUCUAAUAAUAGUCUUCACGGUUCUAUUCCUCCAUGCUUUGAUAACACAACACUUUAUGAAAGUUACAACAACAGUUCUAGUCUUGAUGAGAAAUUUGAAAUAUCUUUUUUCAUCGAAGGCCCUCAGGGAGAUGUAGAAAAGUGAAUCCGUGAAAAAUUUGAGUUCACAACAAAGAAUAUUGCGUACAUUUACCAAGGAAAAGUGCUUAGCCUCCUAUCAGGACUUUAUCUUUCUUGCAAUAAGCUAAUCGGUCAUAUUCCUCCUCAAAUUGGAAAUUUGACAAGGAUUCAAACAUUGAAUCUAUCAUAUAACAACUUGACAGGAUUGAUCCCAUCAACAUUUUCAAACUUGAAGCAUAUCGAAAGUUUGGAUCUUUCCUACAAUAAAUUAAAUGGGAAAAUCCCUCAUCAACUUGUGGAGUUAAAGACAUUGGAGGUUUUUAGUGUGGCAUACAAUAACUUAUCGGGCGAAAUUCUAGAAUGGACUGCACAAUUUGCAACAUUUAACAAGAGUAGCUAUGAGGGAAAUACUUUUCUUUGUGGAUUGCCAUUGCCCAUUUGCAGAUCACCAGCAACUAUGUCGGAGGCUUCAAUUGGCAAUGAACGAGAUGAUAAUUUAAUUGACAUGGAUAGUUUCUUUAUCACAUUUACAACAUCGUACGUAAUUGUGAUAUUCGCAAUUGUUAUUAUUUUAUAUGUAAAUUCUUAUUGGCGACGUAGAUGGUUUUACUUUGUUGAAAUGUGGAUAACUACAUGUUACUAUUUUGUUGUAGACAAUCUUAUUCCAACAAGAUUUUGUCAUUGAAAUUAUUUAGUAGUUUAAUUACGAUUCUUUAAGUACUAAUCAAGUUUGUAUAGGAAAUAAUUUUUUAUUAAAAUUGUAGUAGUAUUUAGCAUUAUAUAGCUUCCAACUUCCAAGCACUUCACAUUUGUCUCUACACUUACAAAACUGAGUGAUCAUGUUUUGCAGAUCUGGAUUUGGAGCAGGAUGGAUCCAAACCCAUAUCUGUCCACCAUAACUUAUAGCUUCCCUAUACUGUGCAGCAUACUUAAAUAAGAGAACCAUCUCCAAUGUUAAAAGCAUUCACUCUAUAACAUUCAUUUAGAAACUAUAUUCAGAAUAAUUUUAUAAUUAAACACAAGAAAUGAAACACCUAGAUACACUUGAUCGCCUAUUUUACUCUAAAAAAUAACGAUUAUGGUGCUAUCAUCAUCUUCUUCACUAGCAACAUUAACACCAAAUCGAUGGACCCAUACAUUUCAUCAAGAAAGGUAUAUAUCCAAUAAAGUUGAAGCCUAACAAAAAAAUCAGGAAGAUUAAUGCCUCACCACAACAAGGGGCAUAACAACAUCAAAGUAGAGAUUAAACAGUAUUCUCAAAGCUAAAACUCUCAAAUCCACCCACCAGAAUUUCAUAUCUCCUCAACAAUUUUAAGAACUAAAGAUAAUUAGGAUUUAACAUUAGUUUUUUAUAUAUUAGUUUCAUAAUUUACAAAUCAAUGAAGAUGAAGAUUAUGCGAAUAAAUUCAAAUUAUACCAUACAUUCUCUAGAUGUUACCAAAAAUUUCUAAGUCAAUCCCACAUAUUUCAUAAUUUUAAGACUAGAAAAUUCACUAGUUAGAAGUUUCAUUACCUUCAAGUGGAAGAUGAAGAACAUUAUGCAAGUGAUUCAGAUUAUAUCAUACAUACUCCAAAUGCAACUAGAAAUUAACAAGUUCAUGUGCACAUAUUUCAUAACAUUAUGAUUGAAAAGUUUCACAAAGAGAAAUUCUAAAUUCAAUCUCUUGCAUGAAGGCAGUUUGAUUGAUUUGAGUUACUUUAUGAUCAAGCUACUAAUAUAACAUUCAAGUCAGGGAGAAAGUAAAUUAAAAAUGGGAAGAAAUAACAGUAAAAAUUUGUUGCUAAACAUGAUGUGUAUUUUUUUCAAGGCAAUUUGGAAACACAAUUGUUACUACAGAUAUUCUCCUCAACUUAGAGAUAAAUACAAAUAUUAAAAUGCACAUGAUCGCACAUAUUACUUGGAGCUUAGUAAGAUUUCAUUAAAAGAAGCAAUCAAACCACUUAUCAAUUGUCGCAGUCAUUCUAUAAACUAAAAUAGCAAAUAUAAUAUAAGAAAAAGAACAUAUAGAUACUUGGCAAGAGUUCAUUAAGAAGUCACAUCACAUUCGGGUGAGGAGUUUGCUUCUGAUAUCUUGCUAGCUGGGGCUUUUUCUCGUCUUUCUAUGUAUGCCGAGGGAAACCAACCAGCUUGGCCCUUGCAUUCACCUUCCAACCAUCCAGUACGAGCCACCUUGAGAAGUUAUAACUAAAACGGUGAAUUAAACAAAAGUUGACCGUUCAAAGACCUAAGGGGAAAACUAAUUCUUUUAUGUAGAAUGAGUGAACUAGUUGUGAUCACUGGAAUAACAACAUAACUAUGGAAGCAUAACAAGAUAUAAAUUCACAUGUCUAUAAGGGUAAACUGGGUGGUUUAGAACUGAGCUAGCAACCCUACUAGAUUAUGAUUUGCAUUUCAAUGUAAAAGGGAAUAUAUGGUAGGAAGAAAGAAAACCAACCAUCAUUUGUUAACUCAUUGCUUUUCAAUCAAAAUUUUAAGAACAAAAUGCCAUGUGCUUUGAAUAUCAAAUAAGUAUAAGCAUUAUUUCUAAAUUCCACAUAUCAUAAGUUGUUAGAAGGAUAAGUUAAUAGCAUAGUAGAAAAAUCUAUGUGUCAGUAUUUAGAGGGGAAAGUACCUGGCGAACCACAACAUAAUCAUCAAUUAAAAGACUUAGCUCUCCAUUUGCUUGAGCAUCAAAUGGAUGUAUAACCUGCAAGAUAAUGGGAUAAAUAGAACUUAAAAAAAGCAUAACAAAAGCAGCAACAGUAGCAGCAGCGUUCAUUGUAACCACUAUGAUCAUGGCCAACAAAGAUAUAUUAGAAACAAAAUUCCAUUUUUACUACGACAUUAAUAUGUACUAUACGAUAUCAUGACGAUUGGGUUACUAAGAGCUAUCAAAGUCUAAUAAGUUAUGUAUAACUUUUGUAGUUAUUUAAAUUAUGGAUCAGAUUUUAAAUUUGAAAUUUUGACUGCUCUCCACAAAACAUGGCCUGUGCACAAAAAAGUCAUAGAUAAUGAGGAUUACAAGUGUCCGACAUCUUUUGAGUGAUGGAUUUAACAUGAGAGCUUAUGGUCAGUCAAUUUCCUCUGCCUAGCAAUAUAAGCUUUCUCGGCCAGAUUUAUCAUCAAAUACAUAGAUUGCCCCCAAGUCACAUCCAUAUAAACAUAAUUUUUCUAGGUAAACCAAGUAAGGAGAAUCAUAAUUCGGACAUAAUCAUAAAAAGGCCCAUCUAACUUAAGAGAAAAUCUUAAAAAGAGGGAUGCUGAGCUAUCAGUCUUGUAUCUAUAAGCAAUAUCAAGACUUUACAUCACCUGCUACAUCGUGAGUGGUUACACAACUUUUAGUGGUUUGUCUUUCUUUGGCAUGCCUAACUCAGCUUUGAUGUUGCUGAGAUAUUGAUAGUAGAGAGCAGAAGCCUUACUUUCGCUAUAAAUUAGACGUCAUUCUGAUUAAUAUGCGUUUGCAAAUCAGCUCUGUUUGAAUCAGUAUUCUGAUAGACACAUGAGGCAUUUACAUCCAUUUCCAAAGUCACAUGUUGCGGGGAGGACUCAUUUGAUUGCUCCUAUACGAUCAUCUAAUUCAAGUAGCAAGGGUUGGAAGAGAAUAAAAAGUCACAAUUAUUCUUUUGCAUAAGUGAGACGAAAAUGGUAAAUGCAAUAUUAUUAGCAGUAAAUAAGAAGAGAACGCUCCAAGGAAUAGAUAGAUGCAGACAAGCAAGUUAAAAUGCAUAGUCCCAAACCUCCGCAUACAACUUCUCUAAAAUAGCAAUAACGUGUUGAUGAUAUAUUUUCUCAGCAUCUACCUGCAAAGGCCCGAGACCGGGAAAACAACAAUAAAACCACUAGCUGAAGGAGAAAGCAAAGAAAAAAAUACACUUGACAUAAAUCUUGACAAGAAGCACAAUUUAAGACAUAACAAACCCCAAUCAUAUUAUUUUUGCUAGUCACACGCUAGUCUGUGCUAGUGAUGUAAGAAGUCACAAGGUCUCUUCAACAUUUGAACCAAUAAAAUUAUUAAGUCAUGGAUGUCACUAGCAAUGAUUUUAAUAUAAAACAUUAAAUAUUUCAGAGUUGUAACUUUAAAAUGGAUUCUUUUAUUCAAUACCAUAGAACUAAGUUUCCUUAUGAGAAGAUAGUAGUUUCGAUAAUAUUUUACAUAUAAUUUUUGCGAUACCUUCGUCUCGCACUACCAGUGAUACCCUCACUCUUNNNNNNNNNNNNNNNNNNNNNNNNNNNNNNNNNNNNNNNNNNNNNNNNNNNNNNNNNNNNNNNNNNNNNNNNNNNNNNNNNNNNNNNNNNNNNNNNNNNNUGUUGAAAUUUAUCUAAGUUCAAAAGUAAUGCAGAGUGGGUUUCUAAACUCCAUUCCACUAGCUACUUCCUUUAAGAAAAAUUCCACAUCAUUGGUUUGAAUUUUAACUGGUGGCAUAGGAUCAUAUGUCUUAAGCUUGAACUUCAUUGUGAUUUCGAAUUCCGAAGUAUUUAUAUCAAUAACUUGAGCUAUCUUCUCCACCAAUUCGGCAUAUGUUGUCGAUCGUGGUAUCAUUAUCCCUUUAGCCUUGGAACCUUUGAAUUUAUACUCGUCAUUUUGCUCAAUCCAUUCACCAUUGAAGAGAAUAAGCACACGUACCAAAACCAUAUAUGAUGAUACAAUAAAAACAAUAAUAUCAAAUUUCAUAUACAAGUAACUACACGACCUACACAACUACAUUACUUACAUGACCUACAUGACCUACAUGACUAUAUUACUUACAUGACCUACACGAAUUAUACGACUUACACGACUAUAUUACUUACACGACUUACAUGACUAACUAUAUGACAUACACAGUAUCAAAAGGAAUGCACGACGCGAAACAUUUUCGCCAUAAAUAAGUUAUAAACAACCUAUAUUGCAUAUAUUUCUAUAUAUAAGAAAAAAUGGUGAAAAUAAAACAUUAUAAUGUGAAGAAAAUUUCUAAAUUUUCCUAAAAAUAAAAAAACUUAAAACCCAACAACAUUAACAUACCUUAUUGGGUUGUUUAAUAAGUAAUGCACAUUAUUUCAGUUAAAAAAAAGUGGGUGUUAAAGAAAUGAAUACAUAAUCAUAUUUGUGUAAGAAGUUAUGAGAGAUUUUGAGAGAUUCUAGGAGAUUUUGAGAGAAUUUCGGCAGCAAGAAGAGAUUUGGGUGUUAAAGAAAUAUGAAGACAAGGAAGUUGAGUGAAUUUGAUUCAUUCAUUAAGGGCAUUUUAGACUUUACUCACAUUUGUUAGGGUAUCCAUGAAAACAAAAAAGGAAAGGGGUAUUUAAAUAAUUUUAAAACUAUUAAAGGGUAUUUAAUUAAAAACCCUAGGAGAAGAUGAUAGUGGAAGUAUGCAGUGUGGCUGCCAGGUACUUGGAUUGUAUUAUCGGGUAAGGUAAUAGUAGAGAAUUAUAAGUUUGAACAGAGCAUGUUGGACUUUUGUUGACCAAAUUCAAAAGCCCAAUGGCACGACCCAGAAGCUUUUGAAUAGAAAAACUUGCUAGAAAGCAUCAGUUUAAAUCACUACUUAAACGCUGCACCGCUUUGUACUGUUUUAGGUAUGUAGCGGUUGUGCAGUUGUAAUUCACGGCUGACGCUACGUGUUUGUUUGUACUGUUCUAUUCAGUGAUAGAGUAUUAUUAGUUAGGCCAAAACUAUGUUGCAACAGUGGUACAGUACCACUGUUGCUUUCAUAGCUGGACCCUAUUAGUUAUUUCAAAGGGAUAAAUAAGAUUGGUUACAACAAAUCUACUAUUUUUAUAAAAUUCAAGUAAUAUAGAAUAAAAUAAAAAAAUAAAUACAAAAUUGACUUUUAUUUUUUAUGGUUGACUAUAUUUUGUGUUCUCUUCGGGCACUGCUACAAUUGUUCCCCAUAUAUCAAUUACACCACAUACUAUCGACACAAGAAAUGAAAUCUAAUAUCACCUGUUUAGUUAAAAAAUCACUCAUGAAAAAAGUUUACCAUUUUGAUUUGAGGAUCCAUAUUUUGAACUGCAAGCUAAUGUUCAUCAAGAAUCACUGAUGGCCGUUGAGUAGAAAAAUUAUUUUUGGACAAAUUAUUUUUGUUGAUAGAAGAAUUUCUUUAGGGACUACUAAAUUAUUAAUAAAAAUGUCGAACACACCCACAUAUCAUCGACACAAUUGAUUUUGAGGAUCCAUGCUUUGAAUUGCCGCCUAAUGUUCAUCAAGAAUAGAGUAUGGCUUGUGAGUAGAAAAUUUUCUUAUUUUGGCCCAAAAUAAAAAGAAAUUAAAUUGGAUGAGAAUCUGCCACUUUCUCAUGAAGAAAGGCAUACGAAGCAUACCAUGAUACCAUACAAUAUAAGGAGCCGCCGUUCUUUGGUUUUUCAAACUUUGAAGGGGCCAAUAUUGCCAAAUUCCCCCUUGAAAAUUCUGACUACGACAUUAUUCAUCGCUUGAUGCAAUCAAAGUAGUGACAAAGUUAGGAAAAAUAUGAGCCCUAAGUAAUUGCUAGGCAGGGUUCCUGAGAGCAAAAUUGUCCUAAGCAUUAUAUGCAUACAUGGUGCGGUACAUAGAGCACGUUGAAUUCCCCACUAUAACACAAAUCCAGAAAGAGAAGUAAUAACUCAACUGAUAUAAAGACAAAAAGAAGAUAAAAUGAUAUAGAAAAAAGAAUUUCAAAGAGACAGCAACAUACGAUAGGCUGAAGCCACUUGAUCUACUCAUUGAUUGCAGCCUUAAACUUGCAAAUAGUUACUGUAUGCUAGUGCUCUAAGAAGUGAAAAUGAUGCAAGCCCUGAUUCCCUUUUGACUUCCAUUUACUGUCAAACAUUCUAGUAAUACAAAAAAUUGUUUAGAUAUCUUGCUAUAAAUAUAGUUGUUUGACUGUCAUAAUAAAGUCACAAAUAACCAUUCAUAUUGAUCUACUGUCACACAGCAUGCUUUAUGCAUACAACAGCUGUAUGUAUACCAACUCCUAACCUUAUCAAUGCAUUUGGCAAAAACUUAAGAAGAAAACUAUUUCUCCAUCUCUUUUUUGAAAUUUCACAAUAACCAGCACAAUGUGAAAGCUAUGUUCUAACCUUAUGAUAAAUGCUCCAGACUCCAAAAGGAUUUUAUAUAUGAGUUUUUGUUGCAGCAGAUAUAUUGACUUAUCAAGUAUGAAUCAUUUUCUGGAUGAACUAUCUUUAGAUAAAAGAAUAUUAGAACCACUGUAGAAUAUCUUUACGCUGCUGGUUCUAACAAGAAUCUGCUUGUGGCAACAAUUGCUAGAUCCACAAUUCCCCAACUUGAAAUACAUAGUUGCACACCAUGAGAUAGUGCUACGAUCUACUGAGAUCUAACUUAUAUGGUACUUUAAGCUACUAAUGUUUGCAUAUUUCUACAUGUUAAAUUAACACUAUCAUCUAUAAUCACUCCAAAACAACAAAUGAUAAGCAGCUUUUGGCCACUUAUUACUAGCAUCCACAAUUAUAAUAAGAGAUCAUGGGUUUACUUGUUGCACCUACUUAAUUAUCUGCAGUUGACAUCCUGACGCAAGGUUUAAAUAGUGACUGCUUAGAACCCUUGUAGUUGGAUCUUGACCUCUCCCAUUGUAGCCAAGAUUGGUUACUCUGGUAAUGAAUCAACACUCUCCUGCUCAGGGCCAUGAAGAUCUGAAAGCUCAGCACUAGUGGAGAACUUCAUCAAUCUCUUCUUCUCAGCAUACUUGAGACAAGGCUGCAUUACGAGACCAAUCACCACAGCACCAACGCUUAAAGCUACAACUUUUAAAGAAGAAAGAGCCAACACAACACAACACAAAUCAAUAUGGUUGGAGGAAUACACAUGAUAAUGGCUCUAACAGUGCCAGUGGGUAUCUUGUAGGGACGAGAUGCAGCAGGAUAUUGUAUCCUUAACCAUACAAAUGCUAUGAACUCCAUAAUCAUUCCAAAACAGUACAGGAAGUUCUCUGCAGCUACAAUAUCUCGAAAGCUCAGCCAUGAUAGCAAAACCACACCAGAUGCUGAGAAUAUGAUUCCAAUCAAAGGAGUCCCAUAACAAGACCUCUUAGCAAAAAACUCAGGUAGCAUUCCACGCUCAGCCAUCCCCAAAAGUUGGAAAGAGUCGCUGCUCAUCUCAGCCACAAACAUGCCCAUAUUGGACAUUGCUGCAACCCCCUGGAUGCACCAACUCAACCAAACUCCUCCAAGCACUUUAGCGAUACCUGAAAAGUAACCAUCGGUCCACAAGUCGCGAUCUAAUGGAAUAGCUCCAGUUCCAACUAGAAAGGGAAAGAAAUAUCCAAAAACGACCAAGAUCAAAGCAUAAAACAAAGCCUUUGGAAGAGUCUUCUUUGGGUUAUCCACCUCUCCAGCUAGUGUACUUAUUGAGUCCCAGUAGUUGAGAUUCCAAAACAGGGUGUUCAAAUACAAAUUCCAAUCCACUUCACCUAAAUUUAAUACAAGCCAUCUUGAAGGCUCUAACUUGGGAAGGGACACAAGUCCCAUAACCACAAAAGGAAGGAGUGAGAAAAUCCCUAAAAGAACAGCAGCCCAUCCCACAAUGGUUAGACCCCUAUAGUUCAUGAAAGUGAGAACAAAAGUCAAAGCUAACGCCGCAAAGGCUCUAGGUAACCCAUCGCCCAAAGCAGGGAUACCAGACUUCAAGUAAUCAAGAAACAGAACUGGGUAUAAAGCAUUAUCAGUAACCCCACUUAGCCAUUUCAUCCAAACUUGCUCAAAACCCCAAUAUGGGCCUAAGGCAGAUGAAACCCAAACCACAUAACCACAAUUUUCAGGAAACACGGUACCCAUCUCGGCAGUAAUUAAAGCUUCAGGGACACUCCAUAUAAUCGGAAACACCAAGAAACCAAGAAGUGCUAAAAGAGGACCAGCUGUCUUUACACUAUCCUCAACACCAAACGGCCCCCCAGAAACCUCAUAGAAUAUAAGGAAAAUAAGUGGCAAGAUUGAUACUUUUUUAGUGCCAUGGACUCUAGGAGAAGAUGGUUGGUCAUUGAUAUUAAAAUAUUCAACAGCAUCAGACUGCCCCAUUUCUACUGAAACUUGCCUAUUUACAGUGCUCCUCAAUUUCUGCAUCAAGUUUAAGCAUAACUAUCAAAAGGGUAUCCGCAUCUAAAUUAUGAAACAAAAUGAGCAUUUACUUAUUAAAAAAAAAAUCAAAAAACAGAAAUGGAUUUCACAGAACACAUGAACUUAAGUUCAACAUUAAACAGGCGCUUAAGAAAACAAAAGGGUCUGUUCGUAAAGCCAUCAGAUUGCAAGAUUGAACAACAUUAACGGAAUCAAUAGAAUGGAUGUAAAGAGAACUGAAAAGAAAAUAAAAUAAAAGAUGAAGAGAGAUAAAACGAACCAUCAAAUAAGUGCAUGCAGAGCAGAGAGGCAGAUACUAGUGAAGCUCCGUCAUGUUAGAGAGAGCCUAAAUCAAUCAGAGCUCACUGAGUUUCUUUUAAACCGACCGGCAAAUUUGGAGUAGCACAACAUAAUAUUUUUGCUUUUAUUUUUGGAACACUUUUGAAUGGAAUUUUUUGUUUUAAAAAAUGGCAAAGGAGAUUAGUAUUUCUAUCGUUAAAAUAAUAAUUUUCCUAACAUUAUUUUUUAUAUUUUUUAAUUUAUUUUUAUAAUAAUUUUUUAUUUAAAUAUUAAUAAAAAAUAAUUAAAUUAACAAUUUAAUCCUAAAAUAAAUAAACACGGUUUUGGGUUUUUUCUUUUGUUCGUUUAAUAUCAUCUGGUUCCCUGAUUUGUGACUAAUUAUCAACGGAAUCCCGUUAGUUUCUAAAUUGAAAUAAUAGAAGGUCAUGAGAUUAUUUACUCCAUUUAGCACUGCAGACUUAGAGUAUAUUGAAAAAGCUUUGUCAAAUAGUAGUAAUAGGGGCAUAAGAAAUAAAUUAUAGCUAUCACAAAUUCGUUAGGAGAAUUUCAAAUUUUUCCAUCAAUAAUGGCUAUGAAGCAAAAUUACUUUAGGUUAUAUUGCAACACUAAUACUUCAAAUCCUGACAAUAAAUUUGAAGAACUUGUUAAAAAGAAAAUGGUAAUGUUAUCAUUUUGAAAGACAAAAAAAAAAAGAGUGAAAGUGGCGUUACCUCAUGGUCAUUAGUGACUUGUUGCAAUGAUAGCUCAAAAUUAAAAAUUUGUGAAGAAUUAGUAGACAACGACGAUAUUAUAUUUAUACAGUCACCAACGUAUUGAUUUUUGUUUAAUGUUUGAUUGAUAGAAACUUUUGUCGUCGUCGCCGUUGUUGAAUUCGUGCUUAGAAUACCACAAGAGAAGAAAAAGGGAUGAAAGGGAAGAGAAGAAGAGAGAAGUGGUGGAUAGCAAAUAUGAUAUGCUAGCUACACACAGGCCUUAGAGAGUUUUUUUUUUUAAUAUUUAUUGUAUUUUUGUUUUUGUUAUUGGUUUGUCAUAUGCUUCCAAGGCAACAAUGCAUUACAUCAUAAAUUGCACCUUUUAGGGGAGGUGGUAAAAAACAUGAGAGCAAUGCAUUCUAGCGCAUACAUGCAGAAAGAGUUUCCAAAUUUUCAAAAGUUUCUUUAUUUCUUCCACCUUUUUUUGCUUAAAAUAAAUUUUAAUUGUAUUUUGCAUUAACUUAGAGAAAAAAAAAUCCAAUUCUAUGCAUAAACGCAUACAUUGAUUAGAAAAUGAGUUUUAUGGACACAAAGGGACAAUAUAAGAGAUUCUUUUUGUUUAUUAGAAGUAACAUAACUAGUUAGUGUAACAUGUAAUUAUAAGCUACCAAUAAUUUGCACUGAUGAUAAUUAACGGUACAGAUUUUGAGCUAUGAAUGUCUUGUGGCUAGUUUAAUUGGAUUUUUGAGUUUUCAGCAGAUCUAUUUUAAUGAUUAUUAAAUUAUUUUCACUUCUUAUGCCUUAAUAAAAAAAAUUCAAUAUUUUUUGCUGUAUUCUAUAUUUUAAAACUUAAUUUUUAGUUCUUUAUAUUGCAAACCAAACUGAGUCAAAUAGAGUAUGCUCUUCAAAUAAUUUUUCCAUUGCCUUCAAGAAGAAUUCAUUUUAUUUUUAUAUAUUAAUUCAACACUUGUAAACCGGGCCGUCAGAUUGCACAUAAAGCAAAUGAUCAAACCGUUACAAGACCGGCCCAGGCCCACUGACUCUAUUUUCUUUAAUUUGACCAUUAAAAAGCUUUUGGCCACCCCCACCAAAUAAAUAAGCUCUUGUUCUCUUUUGUAGGGGUGGGCAAAAAAACCGUAGUCUUAAAAAAACCGAACCGAACCGACGGUUUUUUCUAAUUCGGUUUGGUUUUUAUUUUUUUAAAAAACCGAAAUAUACCAUUUGUAAAAAAAAACCGAAAUGUCGGUUUGGUAUUCGGUUCACUUAGCUGAACCGAAAAACUGAACCGAAAAACCGAAUUAUUUUUUGAUUUUAUUCAAAUCAAACAUGUGUUAAUUUUUAACUGAUUGUGCAAGAUAACUAACAUAAACUUGCAUACACACAAUCAUGAGUAUAUAUAUGUAAGUGUUACAAUUUCGUAAAUCUUUAUUUCCCCCAAAAUAAACCCUAAAGCUAAAAUCAAAGAUUCAAAAUCGAAACCAAAUCCAAAUCACCCACCCCAAUCCACUGCAAUCACAGCCGACGCUGCUCACCGGCGAUAGUGUCACCGUGCAACACGCUGCUCACCGCGAAAGCUGCAGCUUCUUUUCACCGUGGGACAGCUUCAACUCACAGGCCUGAGGCCACCACGCGACAGCUUUGCUCUGCUCACCUGAUUGGAGUGGAAAUUCGAUGGUUUUGAAUGGUUUAUAUAUGCAUGUGAGGUGUUCGGCGCAUAUAAUCAACUUAAUUGUGCAAGAUGGGUUGUCACAAGUGAGUCAAUCAAUAGCUAGUAUUCGAAAUGCGGUGAAAUAUGUUAGAUCAUCUCCGGCAAGAUUACAAAAGUUCAAAACAUGUGUUGAUAGGGAGAAAAUCUCACGUGGAGGGCUUAUGGUGUUAGACGUGCCGACUCGGUGGAAUUCAACAUAUUUGAUGUUAGAAAAAGCGGUAGCAUUUGAGAGGCUAAAGGAAGAUGAUGGCCAUUAUACAAACUGGUUUGAUGAGGAUGAGAGUGAAUAAAGGAGGGUGGGGCCACCGAUUGAUAAGGAUUGGGAAAAUGCAAAGAGGUUAGUCAAGUGUCUUUCGAUUUUUUAUCAUGUGACUUUAAAAUUCAGCAGCUCUUUAACAGUCACUUCCAAUAAUUUCUUGAAUGAAAUGUGGAAAGUUUAUAUUCAUUUGAAGUCACUGGUUGAUUUUGUUAACAUAUAUGUUUUCAUAAUGUUAAUUUUGAUGAUAACAAACAAGAUUAAGAAUGAUUAAUCUUUUAAGAUCAAAUUAUUUUUUAUAUAUUUUAAAUAAAUCAUUAUUUUCACAUUAUAAAUGUUUUAUAUUUAAUGGAAAAAUGAUUUUAUGAAAAAUGAUUGUUUAAAUACAUGAAAUGUUUGUCAUCAUCAAAAAGGGGGAGAUUGUUAACAUAUAUGUUUUCAUAAUGUUGAUUUUGAUGAUAACAAACAAGAUUAAGAAUGAUUAAUCUUUUAAAAUCAAAUUAUUUUUUAUACAUCUUAAAUAAAUCAUUAUUUUCACAUUUUAAAGGUUUUAUAUUUAAUGGAAAAAUAUUUUAUGAAAUUGAUUGUUUUUAUUCUUUUUAAAUAAAUCAUUAUUUUCACAUUAUAAAUGUUUCAUACUUAAUGGAAAAAUGAUUUUAUGAAAUUGGUUGUUUUUCAAAGUUUAUGGUUUAAUUGAAAGAAUUUUGAAAACUUUGAUAUAAACAAGUAUUGCUUGAAAUUUUGGUAAAGGACUUAUUUGAAAAGUGUCAUAGCAUCUUUGGGCGAAAUCAUAAUUUCAGAAAGUUUUGGGAUUAACGAAGAAUUAUUUAGAAAUUCUGAAAUUGGACUUAUUUGCAAAGUUUAAUAACGUUUUGGGCCAUACUACAGUUUUAUAAAGUUUUGGGGUCAAACUAUAAAUUUUGGGAAAUGUUUUACUGUAGCAGUUACUGUAGCAAGCGGCUUACCGGAUACUAAUAAACGGCAAGUCGGAUACGGGGUAGUAAGCACCAGAACGAAAGCGGCUAACCGGAUGUCCAUAAACGGCAAGCCGGUUACGACAAAAAAUGUGCAUAACGGCUAGUAACGGCUAGUUUUUGAGUUCAAACUAUAUAAACUCAAAACCAAUUCAUUUUUGGUAACUCAAGCAAGCAUAAACAAGUGCACACAACUUAUAUUGAGCUUCAAAUUCGAAAAUCUUCAUAGAUUAAAUCUUCAUUGGGCUAUCAUUUGUAAAUCCACUCUUAAAGAGAGUUUUUGUUGUAAUUUUCAUUUCUCAUCAAAUUGUGAGAGUACAAGUGUGAGAAACACUUGGAGUGAAGAGAUUGGAGAUAUAAUCUCUUGUUGUAAAGGUUCAUUGACACCUUGAAGUCAAUUGUAAUCGUUUGAAGCCUUGGAAAGGCUUGGAUAGUGAAAUCCUCAAGCCCGGUGUGCUUGGAGGCGUGGACGUAGGCGGGGAUUGCCAAACCACGUAAAAAUCCUUGAGUUUGCUUUCUCUUCCCUUACUCUUUAAUUAUUGUGCUUUGAUUGAAUUUAUUGUUUUCGAAUUUAUUAAGGCAUUAGAUUGCUUGUUGUGUGGAUUUGUUAGGAUAAUUUUUAAAAUUCCAAUUCACCCCCCCCUCUUGGGUUGCACACUCAUAUUUCAGAUUUUAAUGAUUUUUUGUUAAAUCAAAUGGGUUACAAGAUGGAGGAAAAAUUUGUCAAGUAUUGGGGUCAUUUUUUUGAAAAGGUUAACAUGUUGUUGAUUGUGGCAAAUGUGCUUGAUCCUCGCUGCAAACUUGACUUUGUUAUAUGGUGUUUUAGUAGCUUGUAUGAUAUUAGAAAGGUUGAUGAAUUGAGAGCUAAUAUUAAAGAGUUGUUGUUGAAGCUUCUUGAAAGCUAUGGUGGUGAGAGUAAUCCAAAUAGAGGUGAGAGAUGUACGGCUGUUCAUGAUGGUGCUAGUAGUAGUAUUGAGUUAUUUGAUCCUUUUACACAAUUUAAAAAGAUGAAAGAAAGUUCAAAUGAUGACAUUAGUGGAAAAAAUGAUGUUGAAAAGUACUUGUCAGAGACUUGUGAGAGUGCUAGUAAUCCCCAGUUUGAUAUUUUGACUUGGUGGAAAUUGAAUGGGCCUCGGUAUCUGAUUUUAUCUCAAAUUGCCAAAGAUGUUUUGGCAAUUCCGGUGUCUACUGUGGCUUCUGAAUCAGCAUUUAGUACAGGAGGGCGCAUUCUUGAUCCUUUUAGGAGUUCUUUAACUCAUAAAACAGUCGAGUCAUUAAUAUGCACUCAAAAUUGGCUUCGUUCAACUCUAUUAGGAGAGCGUACAAUACAACCAAGUCAGGAAGAAGCUGAAUUCUAUGAAUUAGUUGAAACAUGUAAUAUUGUAAUUUAUUAUGUUAUUUUUUUCUAUUUCACUUAUAACAUUUUGAAUAUUAGAAUUAAUUAUUUUAAUAUAAUUGUUUUAAUUUCUUGAAGAAUUUUUUAGGCCAAUGCAAUCUCAAGAACAACAGCAAGUAGCUGAGGAGUAAAUGACAAUUGAUUGAUGUUGCUUACCAGUAAGUUUUCUUUAUUUUUUUUAAACUAGCAUCUUAUUUAUAUAGAUUGUUUAUUUAAUUAUUUAUUGUUUAAAUUUUUUUUAUAGAUCCAAAUAUUGAGUUGGAAAAUGCCUAAAGUUGAUGUUGAUAUUGAUGAAGAUGGGAGAAUAUUGUUGGCAUUUGUUUGCAAUUUUUUUUUUAUUUUGUGUUGUAAGUUGUAAUUGUUGUUAUUUUUAUUUCUCUUUAUAACAUUAUGAUUAUGUUUAUAUAGAUGGAGUAUUGGAGUUUGGUUAUGUAUUUUGAAAUUUUAAUAUUUCAUAUUUUGGGAGUAUCUUAUUAAUAGUUAGUAAGAUAUUAGUGAUAAAAUGUGUUUUGAAUACUUUGUAUUUAUUGUUAAUAUUUGUAAUAAAAUUAGAAUAAAUUAAUUGUUAAAAAAAUUAUUACAUUCAUGAGGCCCAAUGGGCUAAAAAUUCAAAAUAGGCCCAAUAGGCCCAGAAUCGAAAAAACCGAACCGAACCGAACCGAUCCGAAAAGAACCGUUUGAGUUCGGUUCUUAUUGAGUUCGGUUCUUAUUCAGUUCUUUUGAUAAAAUAACUGAUUUAAAUCGGUUCUACUUAAUUUCGAUCCGAACCGAACCGUGCCCACCCUUACUCUUUUGUUCCCUCUCAAAGGAAAAUAUCUAAUCACCGGAUAAUGAUUCCGGUGACACAAAAGAUCGAAACACCCCCUAAAUUCCCUAAAUUUAUGAUAAUACCCCACCAUGGAUGAUUCCGUUGAAAUGCCGCCUUACGAUGAAAGGCCUAAAAAGGGUUUUAACUUCACCUCCAUGCGCUUGAUCUUAACCCUCGUUUUCCCAAUUUUAACUUGCUUUUUGUUGGCAUUUUUUAUUGGAAUCGUAGUUGUUUUAUUCGGCGAAUCAUCAGUUUCCAGUUCCAUUUUUGUCCCUUCCCAGUGCAAGAUAGUGUCCAACAGUAAGCUUUUUUUAACAUUUUCAAUUUUUUUUCCAUUUAUGAAGUCCAAAAAAUUUAUUAAUUUUGAUUUUUUUGAAUGAUUUUUCAGGUGUUGAUAUAAGGUCAUCAAAAGUUCGUAAACUUGGGGUGUUCAAUUAUAAGGCGAAGCGCGUGUUUUAUCCAUUUGAAGCAAGUAAAUUUCGCUGUCGGUAUGAUUACUAUUGGGCUUCUAUCUUCAAGGUAUUCAUACAUUUUCCCCUGUACUAUAAGCUUCUUAGUGGCGGUCUUGUGUGCGGAAGUGAACGGUGUGGCUGACAGCUUCUUGAAAAUUAUAAGUUUGAACAGAGCAUGUUAGAGCACCACCAAAAGGCUCUUUAAAUAAGAUUUUAUUAUUUAUUUGAAGAGCCACAUCAAUAUUGAAAACUUCAAAAGACACUUCAAUUAAAAUUCUUCAAAUAAGAAUUGAUUCUCUCUCUUCAAAUUUGGAGAGUUAAUUUAUUCCUCUUCAAUUUAUAUUUUAUUACUUUUCAUUGAAGAAAGAGAGAAGUGCUUUAAUUGCUAUUGACUUUUCCUUUAAAAAACUAAUUAUAUGAUUAAAACAAUAUUAACUUAUUUAUAUUUGAAGAGUCUUUUGGAGAAUAUCAUAUUUUUUCACCCUUCUAUUUGCCACAUAGGUAAACAAAUAGAUAUUUAAAGAGUAAAAUUUAUAGAGGCUUUUAGAGAUGCUCUUAGACUUUUGUUGACCAAAUUCGAAAGCCAAAUGGCACAGCUCAGAAGCUUUUGAAUUGAAUAACUUACUAGGAAGCUCCAAUUUUUUGUUGGCUACAGUAAAAGGAUGUUGUUUUAUUCUUCUUAUACUUUACGCUUGCAUCAGCUUAAAUCACUUCUUAAACGCUUUGCUUUAACUCCACUGCUUCGCUGGGGCGGAUUUACCUUGGAACAAGUGGGGACUUAAGUCCCCACUGAAAAAAAAAAAUUGUUUUAAUAAUUAAUUUGAUUUGCCAAAACUUCUCAAUAAAUUUUUCUUAAGCCCCCCAUAAUUUCUUUCAACAAACAAUUGAUCUAAAUGAGUUAUUUUCUGUCAGUUGUAUCCAAAUGAGUUCUCUGCAAUUGAUAUCAUGGCACUUAAAAUUCAACUUGAUACAUAUAUUUUGGAUAUGCGCACUAGUGCGAGACUAAAAGACAUAAGGUAUAUCCAUUGGUUUACUUGUUAAUAAUAUUAGCAUUGACUUUACCUGUUGCCACUGCUAGUGUAGAGAGAGUAUUUUCAGCCAUGAACAUUUUGAAGAAUUGAUUAUAAAGCUGUGAGUAAUGGAUGAAUGAUAGUUUAAUUAUUUACAUAGAAAAAUACUUAUUUAAUAAUAUUGAUAAUGAACUUGUAAUGCAACAUUAUUAAUGUAUGAAAACUUGAAAGGACAAUUGUAAACAUAUAUUGAAGUAUGAUAAAUCUUUCAAAUUUAUAUAUUUAUUACUUUUUAAAUUUUUUUAUAUUGCCGUUGAAUGAGCCCCCAGUCAAUCAAUAUGUUGUCUUCGCCCUACUUCGUACUCUUCUAUAUAUGUAUCGGGUAUGCAGUUUUAGUUAACAGCUGAGACUACGUGUUUGUUUGACGUGGUAGUUACGUUACGAGUCUGUUAAACAUUCAAUGAUUAAAGUAUUAUCAGUUAUUUCAAAGGGACAAAUAAGAUUAGCUACAACACACCCACUAGUUUUAUAAAAUUCGAAUGAGAUGGAAUAAAAUAAAAAAAUAAAUAAGUAAAUUGACUUUUAGUUUUAGUGGUUGAAUAUAUUUUGCAUUCUCUUAGGGCACUGCUGUAAUUAUUCCUUAAACGUCAGUCAUACCCACAUAUAAUAGACACAAGAAAUGAAAUCUAAAAUCACCUGUUUAGUUAAAGAAUCAUCAUGAAAAAAUUUUGCCAUUUUGAUUUGAGGAUCCACAUUUUGAACAACCAACUUAUGUUCAUCAAAAACGGAUCAUGGCCUGUGAGUAGAAAAAUUAUUUUUGGACAAAUUAUUUUUUUUAAUAGAAUAAUUUCUCAAGGGACUAUUAAAAUUACUAAUAAAAAUGUCAGACACACCCACGUACCAUCGACACAAUUGACUAUGAGGAUCCAUGUUUUGAACUGCCACAUAAUGUUCAUCAAGAAUAGAAUAUGGCUCGUGAAAAGAAAAUUUUCUGAUUUUGGCCUGGAACAAAAAAAAAUUAAAUUGAAGGAGAAUCUGCUACUUUCUCAUUAAGAAAGGCAGACAGGGUAUACUAUGGUACCAUACAAUAUAAAAAGUCUCCGUUCUCUGGCUUUUCAAACUCUGAAGGGGGCAAUAUUCCCCAAUUCCCCCUUGAAAAUUCUGAUUACGACAUUAUUCAUCACUUGAUACAUAAGUACAAGUAGUGACAAAAUUAGGAAAAAUAUGACUCAUAAGUAAUUACUAGGCAGGGCUCUUGAGAGCAACAUUGUACUAGGCUUUAUAUGCAAACAUGGUGUGGUACAUAGAGCACGUUGAAUUCCACACUAUAACACAAACCCAGAAAGACAAGUAAUAUCUCAACUGAUAUAAAGACAAAAAGAAGAUAAAAUGAUACAGAACAAAGAAUUUCUAAGAGAUAGCAACAUACAAUAGACUGAAGCCAGUUGAUCUGCUCAUUGAUUGCAGCCUUAAACUUGCAAAUGUUUACUGUAGCCUGGUGCUCUAAGAAGUGAAAAUGAUGCAAACCUUGAUUCCCUGUUUACUUCCAUUUACCAUCAAACAUUCUAUUCAUAAGAAAAAAAAUGUUUAGAUAUCUUGCCGUAAAUAUAGCCAUUUGAUUGUCUUAAUAAAGCCACACACAACCAUUCAUAUUGAUCCACAUUGCCACAUAGCCUGAUUUAAGCAUACAACACCUGAAUGUAUACUGACUCCUAACCUUAUCAAUACAUUGGCGACAACUUAAGAAGAAAACUAUUUCUCCAUCUCUUUUUUGAAAUUUCACAAUAAAAUAGCACAAUGUAAGAGCUGCAAUGAAAAUGGACCAUCUGGAACUAUGGCGGAAGCUUCAACUAGUGUAGUGAUUUGACCUUCUUAUUAACCUAGCGAGAUCAAACACUGCCCUUGAUCUUGAACAGAUCAAUACGAUACGCACAACUUAUGAUUGAAUCCAGAAACAAUCAAAUCUUUAGCAAGAAUAAUUAAUCAGAAUCAAGAAACAAGUUUAAUGAAUAUAAACCUAUAAUUGGAACAAACACAGCAAAAGAACCCAAGAAUGACACAACCAGCACCAAGGGAGAAGCUUUCCAGUGAGAUUAUAUUGAUGAUCAAAGAAGAAUCUUUUUACAAAGCUAACAAAAGAGAUUUCAGAGAAUAAGCUAUGACCCUCUCUCUUCUCAAUCUCUGUCUAGUUUGUUAACAGUGAUGACCCCAAUCUCCUUCGUUAGCCAGCUUCAUAACUGCGUCAGUGACAAACUAGCAAACCCAGAUUGAGCAGACUAACGACACGUGCAUAACGGCUUUAACGAACUUGGUUAAAGAACUGCUCACAUGUUCGUCACGCGUGUUGCUUAAAUGAUAGCCAAAACGACUUCAACCAGAUGCCGUUUUGAAGCUUAUGAAUUAUAAGUGAAAACACGUGCUUGUCUCGUGACAUUUAAAUGCAACAACAAGCCCAAAACACUGCCGGUCCACUAUGUUGAGUUUGCCAUCUCUAAGCUUCACAACUAGCAGCGGACAAGAUGAUAAUUUAAUUGACUUGGAGAGCUUUUAUAUCACUUUUACAACAUUCUAUAUAAUUGUGAUAUUGGGAAUCGUCGGUGUUGUAUAUGUGAACCCUCGUUGGCGACACUGGUGGUUUUAUCUUUAUUGAAAUAUGGAUGACUUUUCGUUACUAUUUUGUUGUACAUAACCUUAUUCUCAGGAGAUUUAAUCAUUGAAAUUAACAUGUUAGUUUCAUUAGAAGGCUGAGUGGUUAGGGCUGCUACCUUCCAACUUGGAGGGCAAUAGUUUGAACCCACAAGCGCAAUGUGGGGGUAUUUCAUUCUUUAAUUACAUUGUAUAAUUGAAUAAAGAUAAUAUUCUCUCUUACCCAAGUGUGAGUGGAGUAGACAUCCUUCGAAUAUUAGCGAGGGUUAAAACUUGGGCAGAGCUCAAUAAGUAUUGAUGUAAGUUGGUCCUAAUAAUAGUCUGAUUUGUAAAUAUCAGUUAUAGUCUCAUGUUUCCUUCCUUAAUUAUAUUGCAUAAUUAAGUAAAUGUACUCUUUUCUCUUACCCAAGUGUGAGUGGAGUAAACAUCUCUCGAAUAUUAGUGAGAGUUAAAAUCUGGGCAGAGCUCCAUAAGUAUUGAUGUAAUUUGAUCCCAAUAAUAGUAUGAUUUGUAAAUACCAGUUAUAGUAUCAUGUAAUAUGAGUUGUAAUUUGAGUAAUAAUUUCAUGUAAUUACAAAAAAAAAUGUUACUUUCAUUACUUUUUUCUUCGUUAAAAUUCUCAAGUAUCAAUUAUGUUUGCUUAAGAAAUAAAAUUUCAUUAUGAAAAUUGUAGCAGUAUUUCCGAGCACCUCACAUUUUCAAUGAUUUUUCAUAAAUCAAUUAAUCUGCCAUACCAAUAUCAGGUUUAGUUUUUCAGACUAAAUGAUCAAGAAAGCAAACAUACAAAUUCACAUUUUAGAGGGGUAAACUAGCUUUUAGAUUUUAGAACUAGGCUAGCUACCUCACCAAAUUCCAAUCUGUACAGUGAACUACAAGAUUAAGAAAAUAAUGUAUUUAUAGUUUAAUUGAAUCAUGAGAAAACAAUGUAGUCAUAGCUCAAUCGGACAUGAUCACGGAGAGGCAUAUUCUUUUCAAGUUAAUUUGAUCCAUUUAUAAGAAAUGAAGUGGAUUGAAGUUAAAAGUUCAAAUAACAAAUCCUUGUUCUUGAGUUUUACGACGUCGUUACUCCUUCAAGAGGCUGAUUAUGCGAGUGAAUGAGGAAACAGAAUGCAUUAUCCAAUUUCACUCAUAUAGAAAAUUAAUUUUUUAUAUAUACUAAUCAACACUAGAUUGAUUAUGUUUUGUAUGUUUAUAUGCUAAUCAACAAUAAAUUAUAGUAAAUGAAGAAAUGCUUCAAAAUUUUUUAAUUUAAUUUAGAAAAUCAAUUAUUAACAUUAAUAUUCCUAAUAAAAAUUAUUUUCCAUCGGUAUUCAAAAUUUUCACUUAUAGAAAAUGCGUUUUACGUGAAUACAAGUUAUUGUGUAAAUUUGAAUGAUAGCGAAAAAUAUUUUUUUUAAUAAUUGUAAAAAUAAUUAACCAUAACAAAUCGCUUGCGUAAAUAAUAAUCAUUAUUUAAAAGGUAGAAAGAUGGUUAGUGCACAAUCAAAUUUUAAGCCCCUACCUCCUCGGCCCAAUAUUCAAACUUAGAUGAUCAGCCAAAUAAAAUUAUUUGAAAAUCAUUCAAUCAGGUUCUCGGGGCAAAAAUACAAGAUCCUUAUUUGCAUGAUAUAUAUGAAUUAAUGUAAUUUAUUUGAAUUAUCCAAAUUCAUUAGAGAUAAAACUAUAAAAUAUACGAAAAAAGUUAGAAGGAAGGGUGUGUUGGGAUAUUUUACAAACUAUAGGAAUCUGGUGAGAUUUUGAGCCAAACUGUAGGGAGUUGAAGGCAUUUGCCCAAUAUGUUUAGCCGUACACUAACCGUUAUUUGAUCUUGUUGUUGGUCCCGGAUGAGCUAUAGUCUUAUUUUAAUUUUAUUUAAACUCACCAUAAGAUUCGCAGAGCUCCUAACUAACUUAAAUGACUCUGCAGAGCAUGUCAACACAUAGCAUGUUUAACCGUUUUAUUUGUAGAAGAAUUUAUGAUUUCCCAUUAGCAUUAUUAUUGAAGUGGGGCGGGUCAAAUCUCAAUUGCUUGAAAAUUUUAUUUAUUAUUAUUAAUUUUGAAGUGGGGUGGGUAACGGUUCGUUCAAUUCGAGGGAAUCAAAUAUAUCAUCCAAGGUAGAAUUGUGGAAAAUUAAAGCAAAAUAAGAAAUAUGGACAGAAAAGAAGAAAGUUAAUGCAUGAAAGACAUUUACAGUUGAAAUUGAUAAUCAUGUUUCUAUUUUGUUAACUAAUCAAAUGGAAAACUGAACUGUAAACAAACAUUAAAACGUGUGGACCAAGCUAGCUGCCCUACAAGUCUACAAUAAUAAUUGAGUACUUUGAUUCAUCCUUCUAUGAAUUUCUACCCAUAUUGACUCCUCCGAAAUUUCCACAAAAUAAAAAAAAAAAAAAAACUGAAUUUCCACAAAAUGCAAAACCCGUAGAACUUAAUUUUUGGUCAUGUGAACUAAGAUGUAAAUUAAAGAAAAAGUAUAAAAUUAAAAAAGAUAAAAUUUCUAAAAUGUGUGGAAGGUGAUUCAUAAUUCACUGAAAUUACUUGCCCCAGAUAUAUAGGUAAACCUAUCUAAUUUCAUUAAAAAUAGUUGGAAAAAAUUAACUAAUAGAAAGCUACGGAAAUUAACCCCCCACAAAAAUAACUUUUUAUAGAAGAAUUUAUGUUUUUUAAAAUAUGUUAUCAAAGUGUAUUUGAUCAAAUCUCAAUUGCUUAGUAUGCUUAGGAUUUUGUGAACAUCACUAAAAAGCGAAAGCUAUGAAUGAUAGGGGUGAUGCUUGCAAUAUGAAUAAAUAAUGGACUGAUUCAAUUGAUGAUUACAUUUAUAUAUUAUUGAUUAUUUAUGAAUUUUCAGACUUGUUACGAUGUAUAACUAUGUGAUUUUGAAACUUGAAACCGUGGCAAACAUUGAAAGGAAUUAUAACUUGAAAUCAUGACUCACGGGGUAUGUCAUGAUUCACGUGCACAAAAAAAGGUAGAAUUGUGGAAAUUUAUAACCCAACGACAAAUACGGAAAGAAAGGAAGAAAAUUAAAAGACUUCGGGCCUAGCCUGCGUGUAUUAAUUAUUAGAUUAUUUUUUUUUUAUAAGGGUAAUCAUCAAUUUACUCCAUAACAAUCUUUAAUUCAUUUCUUAAAACUAUCAAAACUUUAAUUUAUCUUUUAAACAUCGUUACCUCUUCAUUGGUUUUAAUAGUUCAAAGGGUAAAAUUAUGUUUGCAUAUUUUCUUGACCGCCAACUAAAUGAUAAAACUCAAAAUUCAAUCUUGUUAUCUUGUUUCAAUCCUCUAUCAAUCAAAUAAGAUUUCUAAAAUAUGUGGAAGAUAUUGCAUGAUUUCCUCAACCUACCUGGCCCGAACAUCAAGGUAAAUAUCUCUAAAAUAGUUUAUUAAAUCUCAGUUGCUAAGUAUAGUAAGGAUUGUGUGAACAUCAAUCAAAACUAUGAUUGAUAGAAGUGAUCUUUGCAAAAUGAAUAAAUAAUUAACUGAAUCAAUUGAUUUACAUAUUAAAGUUUAUGAAUUUUCGGACUUGUUGCGAUAUAAUAAUAGCAUAUGAUUUUGAAACUUGAAACAGUGGUAAAUAUUGAAAGGAAUUAAUUUGAAAGCAUGAUCCGUGGGGAAUGUGAUGAAUCGUGUUUACCAAAAAGGUAGAAUUGUGGAAAUUUAUAACAGAACGAUAAAUAUGGUAAAAAGGAAGAAAAUUGAAAGACUUGGGGCCUGGCCUGGGUGUAUUUUCUAACAGUCCAAUGGACAAAAUUAUAUUUGUAUACUUUCUUAACAGUCAACUGAUUGAUAAAAGUCAAAACUGGUCUCUUUUUUUUUUCCUUGUUUCAAUCCCCUCUCAAUCAAAAAUGUUUCCUUGUCUAAGCAAUGAGGAAUAUGGCUGAAAAGAUUGCUAUUAGAAAGAUUUAUCAAUUGUAAUUGGUUUAAAAUUGAAUAGACACUUCAUUUUUAAGAUUGUUAUGAGUCAAUAUAGGUCCUAUUUGGGAUUGAGUUCUUGUAAUUUUUAAGCUACAGCGGCUGUGGAAAAAAAAUUAUAAUUAUGAAAUAAGAGUUAAAAACAUGUAAUAAAUAUAAAUUUUAAAUAAUAGUUUUGACAAAAUUAUAAAAUAUAUAAUAUAUCUUUCAUAAUACAAGUAAAAGAUCAUAUCAACAUAGAUUGCAAGCCACAACAGUUAGUGUUUACCAAACAAUUUAGUGCUGUAACUUUCAAGUUACAGCUGCCCAAUCUCAAUUUCAAAUGCACUUAUAAAGUGACUUGCUUCAAAAGCCUAGCAACCCAAAUUGGAAUGCUUUCAUUCAAGUGGCUAUAACUAAGAUAUAACGUCCCUAAGGAAGAGUAAUUAAAAAAUGUACCUUCUUUAACAUGUCCGUAUGGCAUUUUUUUUUUAAGUGAAUUUGUGUGAUAGAGAGAGGAUGUCAGCAAGAUAGUAAACUCCUAAAUAUAUUAUUGUUUGUAAUGUCUAAAAUUUGAAGAGAAUCAAGCUAAUAAAACUCCAUUGAAAUUAGACCUUCAAGAGUACGGUUCUUGGGCAUUAUAAAAUGUUGUAAUGUCGAGAGAUUACCCAACCAUUAUGGAAUCCUACCAAGAUGAUUGUUACCACUAAGAUACAAUCCUUCUAGUGAACAACAAUCAGACAAAUUUUUUGGGGAUCUCUCUUACAAAGUGAUUACCAUCCAAUCGCAAUUUUGAAUGAAAAUAAAUUUUUUUUAUUGGGAGUUUGACCUUAACAUUAAAUUUAGACAAUGAAUUUUAACUUUCUUCAAUUAUUAAACAGUUUACAGACAUUUGACAAAUUUGAAAACACUUCAUCCAUAGAAAGUUAAAAUUAGAGAUGGAAGCUAGGUGCUACAGCUAAUGGGAACAUUAAUUCCUGUCCCUCAUCACACUUUAUUUUGGGUCUAAUAAUUUUACGGCAGCAUUGACCACUGCUCAAGGUAAGUAAAACUUACAAAUGUGUGGCAAAAUAAAUAAUUAAGUGCAUAAAUUGUUAGCUAAUUUUCUUGAUAUAUACAGCUAAAGUAGUCGUUCCCCUUUAAAAAAAAUGUUAAACAAUUUCGGCUGAGCCUGCUUGUGGUUUUGAUAAAAAGGAGGGGCUGGCUUCAAAUAUUUGAAUAGGCAUCUCCGCCGUACCUCAAACAAAUCUGUCAUUAUUUGUGCCAUGAAACAUGUUUCGGCCGUCGAAGUCACGAGAGGGUUGAUGACGCUACUACGUAUGAUGACACACCAGCCGACAGUGUAGUAACAGCUCAAAAACAAAAUCUACCAAAAUCAACGAAAGUUAAUAAAAAUUUAUUUUAUUAAUAAAAAUAAAUAAAUAAACUUAUUAUUUUUGGAGACGUGUGUAUUUGAGUCUGUGGACUGAAAUGGAAAAUAUGAAGAAGUUCAGAGUCGUUGUGCAGAUUGACUUCAGUUAAAUGGGUCUAGUAGAUAUUUUAUGCUGACGUGGCACGAAUUAGUUAUAAUCUGUUACAACGUUUCCAGAAACAUCAGUAUAAAUAGAAGCUGAUGAGCAGUGCCUGUUGUACGAUCCUUUUUCUUCGUCAGUUGUUCGUCAAUUUUCAUAGAAUCUGUUUCAUUGUGAUCUGUACAAAGUCUUCUGUAAAUCCACUUAUGUUUGAUUAGUUGUUGAUCACUAACGAAGUAAAUUUUUCCUUCAAAUCUUGCUGGUUCGUGCCCCUGUUUCAGUUCUGGAUUUUUCUUUUUCUUUUUUUAGUUCUGGUUUCUUAAUUCAAUUGAAUUUCUUGGUGCUUAAUUCAUCAAGAUUCAGUGGAAUCGACUUGAAAAGGAAAACAUUAUCCACCUGGAACGACUUCAAGUCCAAAGUAAAAGACAAGAGUGGCUCCCCGCAAUUUUCUUGUUUUCAGUAUAUUUUCUCUUUUUCUUUUUUAAAAUCUUUUGACGCAUGCAUAAUAUACCCUUGUUUAUUAUCUCUACUUUGCUCUGCUCAAGUCCAUUUUUUUCAAAUAUUAUUUUAAAUAAUAAAUUUAAUAAAAGUACAUUUGUGUAAUUAAGACUCUGCUAUUAUAUCACACAUACGCAUAUAAUAUAACUAAGCAUUUGUUAUUAUAGCAAAGAUCCAUAGCAUGAAAGUGAAUAAAUUUAACUAAAUGGUUAAUUAAUCAAUUAAGUUUCAUGAGCUUUAAUCGAGUUAAAACCAAGUACAAACAUCGUUAACAAAUACUGAAAUUGAGUAAAUUAAAAAAAUAAAAAAAAUUAAUUCAAGUAAUAUGUAGUUUUUACAUGUUGAUCAGCAGAAUACAACAUUAAAUUUUGUCAUUGACAAUAUUGCAUACCAGUCAUCUAAAGCAUUACCUCACGAGGUUUUAUGAGAAACGAAAGAUAAGUGUUUGCUCUGAACAAUUAAAGUUGCUGCUACCAACCUCCCCGAAGACCAAGAAGACGGAACAGGAAGCUAAUGCAUCAAUGUCUUCUUCAUUAUAGCUGCUGCGUAGUUAGGUGUAGUUUCCUCAUUUGAAGCUGUCUAUACAUAGGCUUUCCCCCUGCUUAUGUACAAAUAAAUGAACAGCCUUGAAGCUUUAUUAUUCGCAACAAAAGGGAUUACCAAUUGGAGAAGACUUUACAGAGUUCCUCUCACACACUCUCUCAAUUUCAUCUAGAAGUCCCUCCGAAAGCAUCUCCCAAAACAGUUAGUCAUCUUUUAUACUCUGUUUUCUAGAAACAGAGUCCUAACUAAAUUAAUUGACUGUACAGUGCAUUUCAACAUAGCAUAUUUAACCGUUUUAACAGUAAUUUUAACCGUCUUCUGAGUUAUCAUCAACAAAUUCAUUCAUAUUUCUCCAGUCUUACGGACGAUAUCAUAUGUUUAAUAAUGAAUGAAUAGUCUUGGAUCAGUGUUUUGCAGCAAAUUCACAUCAUAGUUUUGAUUCUUUAGAUAUGAAUUCAUCACAUUACCGAAAAGAAUAUGCGCUAAAAAAUGAUUCCAAGACUAUUUGACUACCAAAAGCUGCUGUCAGAGUGCACUGAAAUCUUGACUCCUCUCAGCGAAAAAUAUAUCAAAGUUUAGAUUAUGUGUUCGAGCUUUAAUAAAUGCCUGAGUUAAUAAUAAUAACAACAAUAAUAAUAAACUAAAAAGCAAAAUUACUAUUGAAUGAUCGGAAAAAAAAAAAUUUGAAAACGUGUGAACUCCAAUAACCACCCCACAAAUUUAGUGGCGAAUUUUGGAGAGGGCAAGGCCGGGCUUCUCAGAAAAAAAAUGACGAGUAGAAUUGUGGAAAAUUAAGCAAAAUGACAAGUAUGGAAAGGAAGGCUGAAAGUAAGGCAUGACGAAAGGCUUUGAGAAGGCUGAAGACUACCAAAGAAGACAACUGAAAGCUAGUUGGGGCCUGGGUGUAUAAAUUGUAGAUGUGUUUGUUAUAAAUAACAUAGAGCCCUUUUGUUAUUUAUAGUUAUAGAGAAAGAGAGAAUGUGUGUUUUUUAAUAGUUAGAGAUAUAGCUAGAAUGGGUGGUUCAAAAUCCAAAAUGGUGACAAUGUUAGUUCUCGUAUUAAUAAUAUUAGGGAGGGGGGGGGGGGGGGGUGUGGAGUGAGGGAUGUUUGGAGCAUGAGGAAUUUGCUCAUUUUCGGCUUAAACAUUUCUUCAAUUCCCCUUAUAGACUUCAAAACUGGGUAGGUGAACAAAGGGAAAGGGUUGAGUGCAGCAACUCCACAGGCCGAGUGGUACAACUACACCUUAGUCUUACUAGGAAUAUCGAUCUGGGAGUGUGGUAUCUGAAUGCUUCUCUAUUUACUCCCUUUCAACAACUUGGUAACAAAAUAGCCGGCUGCAUGCGUUGAGAAUGAAGGUCCUUCAUUUAAUUUAAUUUACUUAAUUUCUCCCUCCUAAUUAAUGUCUAUAACCAUUAGGAGGAACAAGGGAUUUUAUUAACUCAAAUAUAUCUAAUGGAGCUCAUUCUUUGGUUUUACUUGCAGGUAUAGAAGCAGGUGUCAUCUAACAGCUGCUUUGAUAAUUUCCCACCCCUUCAUCUUUGAUGGAAAGAUGAAAUAAAAACAAAAUGGUGAAAAUGGUAUUGGUACCUGAGGCUAUGUAAUCUAAUUCAAAAACUGCACCAUCAAAACGAUUACAUAAGUCCCAGAAGAAUCAAACGUUAGUUUGCAAAAUAUCAAUUGCUGGAGUUGUUUCGGUUGCACGUUAAUAUCAAUUCCGCUCUUGAUUUUUAUGGGCAUGUUGUAUUGUACUUGCAUACGAAAAUCAUAUUUUAGUUUACUUCACUCAACACUUGGAUUAAAGUUUUAGGUGGGGAAAAUUGAAGGAGACUAAAAUGACUCAAAAAAAUAGUUGAAUGAGUGAGGGUUUUGUCUUCAUUUAAGGAGCUCUUUAUAAAUUUUAGGAUUCUUUUUCCUGAGAAAAUUUAUGCCAACUCAUUCUUUGCUUCUUUUUUGAAGGGACACAUGCAACCGAAAGUAUAUUCUUGAAUUCUCCAGGAUAAGAGACAUACGUUUAGAUUCUGGAGCAUUUAAAACAAUGUCAAAUUUUAGAUUGCUGAAAUUUUAUAUAUCCGAGUAUGAUGGUAUUCCAAUUAUAAGCUCCAGGGUGCAACUUCACUGAGGUUUAGAAUGCCUUCCUAUAGAAUUGAGAAAUCUCCAUUGGCCUAAAUAUCUUUUGAAAAUACUGGCAUCAGAUUUUGAAUUGGAGAACCUGAUUGGACUCAGCUUGCCUUGUAGUAAGGUUAAGCAAAUUUGGAAAAGAGAAAAGGUAUAAUGUAUUACUAUUACCAAAGUAUCUAUUUUUCUUUCUUUAAGUAUUUAUAAUGAAUAACUUUGAAAUUCAAUGAUGCUCAUUUAGUAUAGUUAUGUAUCUUUGGUUAUAGGAAGCUGUCAAGUUAAAAUCUAUAGACCUUCACCACCCCUCUAUCUCAAUAGGAUCCCAGAAAUACUAAAUCUUAAAAAAAUAAAUCUUUCAAAUUGUGAAAGCAUGCUUACGUUACCCCCGUAUAUCCACAAUUUCAACUAGCUGAGUAUGUUGUGUUUCAGGGAUGCAAAAUUCAUUUUGUUUCUCAUGAAAGGAUUGACUUGUCCGGAUGUAUUAGGGUUAAUAAACCAACUAAUCCCAUAAUUUGUUGAUGUAGUAGAUUGUAGAUCAGUACACUAUUCGAAAAUGUAUUUGAUCCACACAGUGAAGUGGAUAUUGGACCAAUUUGAUGAUAAUGAUUUUCUUUCAAUCUCAAUCUUUUUUCCUUUUAGCAACAUGACUAGUCAUUGCGCAAAUUCAAACUCUGACAAUGAUUUCUCAAUCGGUUUCUAAGAUGAUGACCAUGCAUGUAUAUGUAUAUGCGUGUGUAUAUGUGUGUGUGUGUGUGUGUAGAGAGAGAGAGAGAGAUCACACGUGUGUGAUUUCCUUUUGCCAAUAGGAUAUGCAGAGAGCUUGAUCUUACCCAAUAGCGAAACAAACUUCCUAAUAAGUGAAGGUUAGUAUAAAUACUUACACUUUCAUGUUAUUUUGUUCAUCAGUAGCUUGAUUAUUUUAUAUGCGUCUUCGAUUUUAAUUUUCUUUCCCUAUAAUCACUAUUAUCUUUGAACUGGUCGUGAUUUGCGUAUAAGAUUUCUCAUGUUGUUUUGAGGUGCAAUGGAUUUUGAAUUUAGUGACGAGCGGUGGAAGCCAGAAGGCAGAUUAUGAAAAUGGAUAAAGAUCUAUAAUUAGCUGUUAUGGGAUGUCACAUAUCAUAUUGAUGGUAACAUUAUAUAUAUGUACAUAUAAUUAAUGGGGUUGGCUCACGAGCCCAUUAAUAAUCAUAUAUUAGCUUAAAUACUUCAAACAAUGUACCAUGAAGCAAUUUCACAAACACUUUUUAGCUUAUGUUGAGCUUUAUCAAUAAAAUGCAGGUUUGCUAUUUUACGUACAUGGUUAUGGUGUGUGCAUUCUUCAUAAGGCUAACUACUAAUUUAUCAAUGAAACUUGAAAAAUGUGACAGAGAGAUGUCGAUAACAGCCGCAAAACACUGAGAUCGAAAAUCAGGGCUACUAAAUACUAUUAAAAGCUCUUAAAAUAGACAGUGAUCAUCCUUAAUCGCAAAGUUAUGCACUAAUAGAACUAUUGACUACUUAUCUUUAGCAGAAGGUAUAUUUUUAACUACAGCUUUCUGCUUUGUUCUAAGAACUAGGCAAGUGGUAUAUCUUCAAUCCAAUCAACGCAUAUACCACUUAUCUUCCUCUUCACUUUUGUCUAUUUUGAUUUCCACUUUAUAUCCUGCACUUGCUGCUUAGAAAUAGUCUUAGUCUGGACAUUGAAAGUAGAAAAAGUACUUGAAACAAUCAUUGGCACAGCCCGAGAUUCCAUUGAAUCGUGGACUCCAAGCUUUCAUAGUUCUAUAAAGAAAAUGACAUAACUUUAUACAACUGGCAUUCUGCUUUUAACAUUUGAUCAACCUGAGCGAGUUAGCAAGCCUCUUGUCGCGUUCCCAUUGAAUAGACCUACUUCUGUUAUCCACAGAAGAUCCACCACUCAAAAUGUUUAUCACCAGGCUAUUCUUAAACUGAGCCUAAACUGAGUAGAAAUUUCCGCACAUCUCUCAACAUUUACAUGAAGAAAUCGACAACUAUCCUCAUCUCUCAGCACAUCUCUCAGCAUUCUACAAAGUUGCAUUUCACUAAGCAAUCUAUCCUCUCCAUUCCUAGCAAAGUGACAUUGAUUCAUGUAUUUGUAAUCGCCUAACUUGGGUUUUGGGCAUAGCGUGGUCUUAAAAUUACCACCCAAUACUUUGUUCAGUGCCACUGGCAUCCACAAGCUCUAGCCCUGUUAGCUGAAUCAUAUUCAAUGGGAGAGUGAGGCAGCAUUUCACUAACAUAUUCAAUUUGACUACUUAUAUUGAUGCAAAUAUUAGAAUUUGAAAUCACUUCUUUUCUUGGAAUAUUAUAUUAAAAUGACCCCAAAUGAAAGUUCUUUAAUGGAAAUUAUUUUUAUUUAAUUUUCCAACAGAUUCAAGAAAACCCAGAGAACACAAAAUUUACACAGUAAUAUGAUUAAGAGCUGAGAACAUACAUGUAGUAAAUGUCUAUCAAAAAACACCCAAGUGUUUCUUUAAAAUUAGAAACUAGUAAACAAAAAGAAAGAAUCAUUUUACAUUUUUAGCAACUUUGGGGUGAGUGAGUGAGUGAGUGAGUGAGAAAUUGAAACCCUAAAGUGAUGACAACAGUAAGAUUCAGUAUGAAGUGAAACCCCAAUUUGAAAUGUAGGCAUGAGUUGCUGAGUCAGUAGAUGAAGCUAUAAAUAGGCAUUCGGUUUCCUUCUUUUCGGUUUGGAGGGCCAUGGAAUAGUGUAUUGGAGUGGGCUCCAAGUAAUAGCCUCUAUCACUGGAACGACACAUCUGUAAAACGUGAUACAUGGGGAAGGAUUGGGCAUUAUAUUCUUAGAUUAGCGCCUUAUUUAGGGUGUAUAUUAAGCAAAUUAUAUAUUACAUGGAGAUGGAGUUUAUGAAAUAGAUUAAAAAGAAAAGGAAAUUUCGGUGUCUAAAGUUUGCUACUUGGAAUAUUUCGGUGUCUAAAAAUUCACUCACCACUUAUUUCAUGUUUGAUUAUAUGUUGAAAAGAUAUUAAAAUAGUAUAAUGCUAUUAAGGCUUAACGUAUAUUUUUUAUUAGUAGAGUGUAGAAUUUUUAAGAAAUAAAUUAUUAAAUUAUUAUAACUAACAUAUUAUUUUAAAGUUGUGUUAUGAAAAAAAUGAAAUAAAAAUGUACAAUAAAUAAGAAUAUUUUAAAACUUUUAUCUUUUUAAAAUUAGUUUUUAACAUAAGGUGAACUAUUUUUUUUUUUAAAUCACAUAUUCUAGUUAAAAUCAAAUAUGUAUUUAUAUGAAGCUUGUAAAUUUUUUUUUUUAGUACUGAUAUUUGAAUAUUAUCAAUAAAAAAAAGGGUAAUGUUCAUGCUGCAUUAUUUUUGUAGCACACAAAAGGACAACAAAGUUUAUGUUAUAAUACUAUCGCUUCUGUUAUGAUAAUAUUUUUUUGUGGCCAAAUAUCUUUUUUUUUUUUAAGUAAAAAAAAGUGGACAAAAUGCAAAUCAGUUUUUAAUCCUCAAUCUCUCCCAAAAUAUAAAUUCGUAGGUCCAUGGGUUGUUAAAACUAUAGCCGACAAAAAGUUACUAACAAAAACAGAAUGUCCAUUUUAUAACUUUCUUAAAAAACUUUCCUUAACUUUUUUAAAAAGUUACCAACAAAAAGUUAUUUCUAAUUUUUAUUUUGUUAUAAUUUUUAUAACAAAAUUCGUAGUUAACUAAACUCUUCUUAUUCCCUUUCUCAACUGCCAUACCCUAACCCGAGCAAAUUGCGUAGGAUAUACCUGUUUUCCCUCAAAAUACUUAAAAUAUACCUCCAUAUAUUAAAAUUGCUAGCUUUACACAUUUAUACUUAAAAAGAUCAGGGAAAAUACAAAAAUAACCUUAAUAAAAAUACUCAACUUAUUAAUAUGCUUAAUCGACUCAUUUAAUAUUCUUACUCGACUUUUUACCGGACCAUACACUCGACUUAGUUAAUAUGCUUACUCGACUUAUUUAAUAUUCUUACUCGACUUCUUACCCGACCAUAUACUCGAUUUAUUUAAUAUGUUUACUCGACUCAUUUAAUAUUCUUACUCGACUUCUUACCCGACCAUAUACUCGACUUAUUUAAUAUGCUUACUCGACUCAUGUAAUAUUCUUACUCGACUUCUUAUCCGACCAUAUACUCAACUUAUUUAAUAUGCUUACUCGACUCAUUUAAUAUUCUUACUCGACUUCUUACCGGACCAUAUACUCAACUUAUUUAAUAUGCUUACUCGACUCAUUUAAUAUUCUUACUCGACUUCUUACCGGACCAUAUACUCGACUUAUGUAAUAUGCUUACUCGACCCAUGUAAUAUUCUUACUCGACUUCUUACCCGACCAUAUACUCAACUUAUUUAAUAUGCUUACUCGACUCAUUUAAUAUUCUUACUCGACUUCUUACCCGACCAUAUACUCGACUUCUUUAAUAUGCUUACUCGACUCAUUUAAUAUUCUUACUCGACUCAUUUAAUAUUCUUACUCGACUUCGUACCCGACCAUAUACUCGACUUCUUUAAUAUGCUUACUCGACUCAUUUAAUUUUCCUACUCGACUUCUUACCCGACCAUAUACUCGACUUAUUUAAUAUGCUUACUCGAUUCAUUUAAUAUUCUUACUCGACUUCUUACCCGACCAUAUACUCGACUUACUUAUCUCUAAUUCUUACUCGACUAAAUUCUCGAUUUACCCGACUUCUUCCUGCACUGAUUCUUCAAUCACUCAUAACUUAAAUGUAGUCUUAAAUCCCUACAUUGAAAUAGUGUGUGUGUGCAAGCACAAAAAAUGAAUAAUGUACUACUAAAAUUCAUAAAUCAUUAGGAAGUACACUUAUAAGAAAAAUAGAGAAUGGUGAGAGAAGCCCAAAAAAGAGAAGCAAUGGGAGAAGAGAGAUGUGAAUUCUUAGUUUUUUUAAGGUUAUUUUUGACUUGUCCUAUCUUCAUAAGGUAUAUGUGUGUAAUAGGGUACAAAUUUGGCAUUUAAGGGUAAAUUGAGGGUAUUUAAAUAAAAAACCCCCUAACCCUGUUCCCCAUGUCCCCACUAAACCACGCUCAAUUAAGGCCAUCAGAUUCUCCCGGGCCCACAUUAAUCCAACUGCUCACAGAGACCGACAGCCUCUCUAUCUCCAUUUCAAGCUCCCUCUUCAACUGGCUUCUGCUACCGUCCUACUCUUUCUCGGCUUCGGAGUCCGUAUUUGCUCGGCCUGUCCCACGAAGCUCCCUCUCACUCCAAUUGUCGCCCCACAAGACCAAUUGCUUAAUCAAGACACCGAACAAGAAGAGGAUGAGAAGUUGAAACAAGAAUUUGAGAAUUGGAAAUCAAAAACGUUUGAGAGUCGUUUCUCUUCAGAACUCAGCGCCUCAAUCUUGGGUUAAGGAUUUUAGAAGUCAGGGAAAGAGAUUGAAGUUUCAGAUGAAUUUGUGUGCUAGCAUUGAUGGGAUCUUUAACAAUUUAUCUGUGCCCUUUAACAAAGUUAAGUCUAAGUCAGCUUCUUAUAUGGCUGCUGAUUUGGUUAGUGUUGGUGAUUCAUGGCUUAGUUUUGCCAUUAAAAAUAGAUUGAUUGAGCCAAUAGCUGGAGCUGAAGACCAAGAUUGGUUCAAAUGCUUAAGUCACAAAUGGAAGGUAACAUCUUUGUCUUUGAUCCUCGAGGUAAAAUAUGGGCGGCACCAUACAGGUGGGGCACAACGGUGAUAGCCUGCAAGAAAAUUAAAUUUCGAAAGCAUAAUUUGGCUCCGAUUGAGGUAAUAAUUUUCUUUAAACUCAUUUAGUUUUAUAUCAAACAAAAUCAAGAAUGCCUUUCUCUUCAAUAUUUUUUAUGAUAAUAUCUUUAGAAGCAUCUCAUUGACGGGUAACAAUGGCAUCCCUGAAAGAGUCUAUAAACUCAAUGAUAUUAUCUUCUACAAAUGGUUCAUUAAACUUUGUCGUUGUACUCAAAUGUACACUCAGAGCAAUGAGAAGCUAUGCCACUUUAGCAUGUAGUGAUGGCACUUAAUAAGUGAGUUGCUAGGAUGUGAACUAGAAAAAUUAAAUAUUGUCUCCUUGGGUAUGCUAGCUCGUAAGUCAGGGUUAAUAUCAGAGCUUAAGAUAGUAUAACCGUGAGAACCUAUUGACUGCCAAUUAAAAUAUCCAUUAAAAUGUCUAGGGAGUUAUGAAGGUGGAGGUAACUUCCGAUUUCUAGGGCCACAUGGUAGACAUCAUCCAGGAUUCUAGGAAAGUGCAGUUAACUUCCUGCUCGAUGCAAUUAAUAAAUUUGGUCAAUGCCACUGAAACCUGCUAACUGACAUCACAAUGUGACAUGAGCACUUCAAAAUGGGACAGACGGUCAGUAGCACUAAUUUUUUCUUGGCUAGGAUUGAGCAAUUGGUCUAACUACUAAUCCCCUAUUGUAGGUUGAUCAUUAUUUUUUAAAUUAUGUUCAGUUUGACCCAAAAAGUUGCAGAAUCUUGAGCAGAAUUUUGUCACUGAACACUGUCAAUGUCAUUUAGCAUAGCCCACUAACUUGAUGUUAAAACAAACACACAGUGUGUCUCAUGUCUCACAAUUCAAAUUAUCAUCUGUAAUGAUGGAGAAUUUUUCCAAUGUAUGAAGUAUGCUUUGAUAUGUGGGUUACCUUGGAGAAGAUAUCUCAAAAUAAAGAAUAUGGGGAGAAAACAGUUCAGUAGUUUAUUAUUCUGUAGUCAAGUUUUGUCUCGAAAAUGGUCAAAAUUUAAAUGAAUAAGGACAGGGGAUCUUCAUUCUUUUUUCCCUUUUUUAUACCAAGAUAUCUCUCAACCUUUAUAUAAUCCCCACUGGAUAUCUGCUUCUAAUAAUUAAAAUAAAAAUUUCACCGCUCUAACAAUAAAAAGUAACAUCUUUAGUCAAAUAAUUUACAGUUCCUCAUCAUCUUAGUGUGAGACUAUCAGUACAUUCCAAAAACAUAAUAAAACUGGUUUGAUCCUGUUUAUUGAUGUUUAAAUGUUGUUCAUUGUGACAUGUAGAAAUGAUGAGGCGAAGUUUAUUUGGACAUCAAUUAGUAAGAUCUUGUUUGAAGUUGUUUUCUGAAAUUUCUGAAAUGAACUGCCAAAUGGUAGUUUUUUUGGGGCAUUUGAUGGCUCUUUUUUUUCCCUCAUUUUCAACAUGUGCCUGCUUGGAACAGGAAGGAUUAGGCUGCAGAGUUGUUAUAUAUUUUGAGAUGCUCUGGUCAUUGCACAAUUUGUUCACACUGGAAAUUAGAAUGAGAAAUUUGUUGAUGCUGUUUUGAGAGAUCUGCAUUCUAUGCACAAUAACAUGAUUAAUGAAAAUGCAUUGUAAGACUGGAAAGAUCUGUGGCAGCCUGAGCUCGCAGGAAGAAUUUCAAUGGUUAAUUCUCCCCGAGAGGUUAUUGGUUCAGUUUUGAAGUAUAGGGUAGCAUCAUACAAUUCAAAUGAUAUUGAUUCGCAAGUUGCUGGUGGGAAGAUUGCUGUUCAGCAGAAUCUGGCAUUACUGGCAAACCAGGUACUCUUACAGAAAUGAUAUCUGCUCAUUGCAUGUUAUUGCCUGACAACUGAUUUUGUUUGUAAAAGUCUGCUUCUUCAUACAGAUGAAUGCAUAUGUUAGUGUUUUCUUCUCCUUUUCAUACAUAUAAAUGCAUAUGUUAGUGUUGUCUUUUCUUUUUCAUACAUAUUAAUACAUAUGUUGGUGUUCUCUCCUGAGAUGGAUGCAAUAAAGGCUUUUGCUCCUAAAUUUAGCUGAAGAAAUGGCAAGGGAUGUGAGAUUCUGUCUCAUUAAAUUAACAAAAACCCAAAGCAAUGAAAAUCCAUAAUAAUGUGGUGUGGGUAAAUUGGCUCCAUUUGGUUUGUUUCCUUAAUGUGAAUGCGCGAGCAAUAGAGACUAACAAAAUGAAGUGACAACAAGAAGUCAGUGUCCUUUGAUGGAUGCAAUUUUAGGCAGAAAUCAGUGUCCUUUGAUGGAUGCAUUUUUAGGCAGAAAUAUGUUUGUAAUUGACCAAAUUUGUCUGGCAUGCCAAUUUCAAAAAAAUUAAAUUAUGUGGUUAUUAGCUGUAAUGAAGGAGGAUAGUAGGUGCAAUCAUGUGGAUCCAGGAAAGUUCGACAAAGUUUUGGUAUGGCGUAGUGAAAUUGGUUUGUGCAACUCAGGAGCCUUUCAGGUGAACGAUGAUAGGUUUUGAUUUAUGAAUAUUAUAAAUCUACUGUGCAUAGUAUUCUAGUAGAAUCAUCUACAAGUUCUAGUUAUUGAAAUUGUAUACUUUGCCCGGUUUGAGUUAAGGGCACAUGUAAUAUGAAAGAUAGUUGUCGCAUCUUUUAGGUUACCUAACAUUUGAUCAAUCCUAUUAUGGGGGCUUCAAGAUGUCUAACAAUAUGUAGAAUGCCCAUGCUCCUCCCCAUUGUUUAUCUUCUACAAUAAUUUGUUUUAAAUGCUAAUAUCUUUGUCGAUACCGGUAACAAUAUUACAAUAUCUGCAUUUAUUGGGUUUUACAUAGGUUCGACUGUUUGACAGUACACACUAUCUGAAGGCAUUUGCAAUUGGAGAUGUAUGGGUUGCUGUUGGGUGGAUUAGUGAUGUUCUUCCUACUGUCAAACAUAUGUCUAAUGUUGCUGUUGUUGUUCCCAAGUCUGGUGCUAGCUGCCUGCCAUUCUACUUCGAUAUUCACAUUGUUAUCUCCUUCAUAUUAGCGAUCAGUAAACACGAUAAUGUGGCUAAUAAGUUCGUAUUCUCUUUAUAGGCAAUCCCUGCUGCCUCAAGACUUGAAACAAAACAAAUUGGAGGGCGAGUCAGAGGUCCAUCUCCAUUAAUCCAUCAAUGAAUAGAAUUCUGCUUGCAAACAGCGAGAUUUUUGCCUUGCAAGCAAGAGGUUAUCCCGGGUGCAUCUCCCUCUGCCCUUGAAAGUACUCUGGUUAAGUUGCCUGAAGAACUUCUGGAGGGUAAACCAAGUCUGGAUACUAACUUAAUUGCUGGAGUACUCCCGGCUGAAAUUCUGGCCAGAUGUGAGUUUUUGGAGCCAUUAUCUGAAGCUACUUUGUCAGAUUAUGAGUGGCUGGUUGUUAAUCUGCAAAAACCUGCUCCUGUCUUGAUGAAAAGGGUGCAACAUUACUUGUCAUCAUUAAUCUAAAGCUUUCUAGCAAGAGCUACACUGAAAAGUUAAUGGCGCUGCAUGCCAGUCAUUAUAAUGCUGUCAGGGCAAUUGGGUCAGGGCAAUUAGGUCUGAGCAUAACUUCAUUAGGAAAAGAGGCUUCAGCUACGUUAAAUAUUACAGGAUGUACUGAGAUGGCUGAAGUUCUGAAGGUUUUAUGAGAAGCGAAAGAUGAGUGUUUGUUUGAACAAAGUUGUUGCCAAUCUUGCAGAGUUCGGAAAGAAAGAUCACGGAGCGAAUGCCACCGAUUUCUUCAUCAUUUUAGCCUCCAUAGUUGAAGUUUCCUCAUUUGAAGCUGUUUAUGCAUACGCUUUUUCCCUGCUCUAGUACAGGAAAUUGAAGAAUUAACCAGAUGUGAUAUGCUGAAAGAGGGAAGUUUUCUUCCUUGAAUGUGGCCUUUGUGAUUUGUCUUGAAGGAAUAGGAUGAUCACUGGCAAGAACCCUAUCAAGGUAGAUUUUAUGGUGUUAACAUAUUAUUAGGCAUUUUGUUACAUCAUGAAAGUGUUUAAAUUUAACCGAAUGAUCUUGAUUGAUCAAUUAUGAGUUUUAAUCGAGUAAAAACUAAAUACAAUAAUCGUUAACAAAUAUUGAAAUUGGGUAAAUAUGAUCUUGAUAUUGAAGAAUUUGAAAUCACAACCCACACAGGAAAUCACCCUUCGCGUGGGGAUGGAGAUGUUUACUGCAGCGAUAUUGAAUAUGUCCACUGCUCUUUGGGUUAUGGUGCGACUUGCGAUUUCAAGGUUGCCAUGAAACAAUGGAAAAGAUUAACAUACCCUCCAAUGAAUGAAAACGGGUGGACUAAUUCGGAUUACCUAAUUGACUCAGGAUCAAGAUCGGCUGGCAAUAAUAACAGUUUAUUAACAAUGCACAGUCCGAGUACCUUUCCAGGAUCAGAUACGACGUGGUCUAAUGUUGAUAAUAAUAGUUUAUUAAAUGACAAAUCGUUGUUCUUGGGUGUUGAUUUCAGAAAUAAAAUACAUUCUGAGAGAUGCUGGUCUACUAUUGCAAGCCCCCAGAUUUAAGAAUAUUUUGAUGAUAAUUUAUCACCGGCAACUGUGCCGGAAGAUUCAAGUAGCACUGAAAAAGAUGAUAAUUUAAUUGAUAUGGACAGUUUCCAUAUCACUUUUAAAUCAUCUUAUGUAAUUGUAAUGUUAGGAAGCAUUAGUGAUCUAAAAGUGAACUAUUAUUGGUGUCAUUGGUGGUUUUAUCUUGUUAAAAUAUGGAUGAUAUUUUAUUGUAGACAAUCUUAUUCAAUUAACAUAUGGUUUAAAACCAUUAUGUUUUAUAUAAAUCAAUCUACUAAUUUUCAUGAUAUUUAACUGAGUUAAAAUCAAGUGCACUCAAUAAAUGUCUUUUCCUUUAAAAAAACAGCUACGCUUUGAUUUUAGUGCUUAAUAUUUCGUAACUACAAAUUAUAUAAUUGCGAGUUGCUGUCCAUAGCUGCUAAUUUGUAGUGAUUAUCUAAUUGCCUGAGGUGACAAUAAUUCUUUUAUCUUCAAUAGCACAAUGUGGAAUUCAAUAAUUAAAUUCUCCUAUUUAAUUUGUUUCAAGUUAAAUUAUUAAUUACUUAAACUCUGUUUUAAGUCUUUAAUUUUAUGUGUUUAUGCAGAAUUGGAUUCUUGAGCGUGUUGGACAUGACCAACAAUGAAAUUGACAGUAAACAAACAUUACAACGUGUGGACUCCGGUAAGCACCAAUGAAUUUCUAGCCCUGUUGACUCCGCCAACUAAAGUUUUGUAAAAUAAAAAAAUAAUACAUAGAAUUCCACCAAAUGCAAAACGCGUGAAAUUUAAUUUUCGGCCGUGUGGACCAAAACAUAAUUUAACGAAAAAGGAAAAAAAUAAUAAGAUUUUUAAAAUGUGUGGAAGGUAAUCCAUAUUUUACUGAAACGACUUAUUAAAUUUUUCAAGGAUUUAGAAUAUUUGAUCAUAAAUUACGUGCAUGUUAAUUUUUCCGCCAUUGACUAUCAUAUUCUAGACUUAAUGGUACCUUUCUUGAUGAAGGGUACUUAGUCUCUCUUCUCCUCUUAUAAAAAUUAUAUUAAUUGAUUUCUUGUUAUAGUUAAUAGACUUUAAGAACGGAUAGAUUUAUUGUUUUCAUGACCAAAUUAUGCAUGCCUAAGGUUGCAACUAUUAAUAAAAUUAAUAUUUAAUGUUUAUGUUAAAAGAUAUAAGUUUUUAUGCAUUCAUUAAUUGUUAUUAGCUAAAGGAUGAAUUAUUUUUUCCCAAUCAGUUGAUGCAUCUGCAAUAGUUUUUUUUUUCUUUUAUUGACCAUAAUUAUAUUCCGGGUGCAAUAAAUUGUCUUUGGUGCUUGGAAAAUAUGACAUCUCUCCGUCAACUUACUGGAAAUAUCUCCUCAUCUACUCGCAUUUAUCUAAUAUCAAUUGAAGAUCUCAUAUUUCCAAACUAUGACUUCCAAAUCUCAUUAUCAUUUGAGCAUUCAAAACUAAUCAAGUGUGGAAAUAAUCAAAUAUAUGCAAAAAUCGAGUCACAAUCUUUGGCCCCUCAAAAUUCUAAUUAUAUAACUUCUAUAUAUCUCAUACAUUUUCCAAAUUCCUCUUCCAUCAACAUCACUAGGAGUAUGUUCAUCUCUCACACAUUAACUUGAGUGAAGAGUUUCUAAAUUGAUUGUUAGAAAAUAAUACAAAAGCUAGACACGCUUGAUCUGUCUAAUAAUUCUCUUUCUGUAAAAUUAAUUAAUUUUAGGGGAAUUUAGCCAACCUCUGUAAUUUCAGAGUGAUCAUUAAUUAAUUAAACAAUACAAAUAUCUAAAGUGAUUAGAUGUUUGCUGACAAUACAAGUUCAUGGCUUGAAAUUUGAUCUCUAUCGAUUGACUUACAGAUGGACGUACUUGUGCCUUUCUGGUGAUAAUUGAACCAGAGAUGUGAAGCUGUAAGGAUUUGGCAGUAGUAAAUUGUUAUAAAGACAUAAUGACAAAUUCCCAUGAUUAUUAUUUUUUCCAAAAACUUUUUUACAACAAAUUCAUCUCGCCAAAAAUUUUAUUUUGCUAACUAACAAUAAUUGAGCACUUGACCGCAUUGACUCCACGUCUCCACCUACUUUCUAAGUAAAAACAUGGAAAUGUAAUCUCUACAAAAUGCCAAACGUGUGGAAUUUAAUUUUUGGCCUUGUGGACCAAAAUGCAAAUGAAAGAAAAAGAGAGAAAAAAACAAGGCCCAAAGACUUCUAAAAGAUGUAAAAGCUUUGGGCUUUUUUAUAAUGGUGGAUUUUUUAAAAGGAAAAAAUAACAACACUUCUAUGGUUUGUUUUGAUAAUCACAUUUACAUAUACUCUCUAAUUUUCAAAAUAGACACAUAAAUAUUUUUUUUCUACAAAUGUAUAUUAUUCAUAUUUUUUUAUUAUUUUUAAUAUCAUAUUAUUAUUUAUUAUAAAUGUUUAAAGUAAAUUUUUAGGUUGAAAUAUAAUAAAAGGGGAUAAUCGUUCUCCUAUUAAACACCCAUACUUUUAGUUUCUAUCCAUUUGUCAUCUCAAUCUCUCUCGAUUAUUCAUUCUUUCUAGCUCAAAACGCGUUGCUGUGGAAAAUUAUAGCAAAAAGACAAAUAUGGAAAAGAAAAAAGGGAAGAAAAUUAAUGCAUGAAAGACUUGGAGAAAACAACGAAGUAAGUCAACUAUAAUCUAGUUAGGUAUAUAAAUUGUUUGAUGCUUUAUAAGCAAAUAACAUAUAGAGACAGACAGUGUGUGUUCGUUUUUUCAUAGUUAAAGAUAUAGUUAGAAUGGGUGGUUCAAAAUCAAAAAUGGUGAUAAUGUUUGUUAUGUUAUUAAUAAUAUUUAAAAGUGGGUGGAGUGAGGGAUGUUUGGAUCACGAGAGAUUUGCUCUUUUGCGACUUAAACAUUUCUUCGAUGAUACUGGUAGUUAUCUUUACGACUGGGCCGAUGAUGAGGGAGCUACUGAUUGUUGUCAGUGGGAAAGGGUUGAGUGCAGCAACACCACAGGUCGAGUGACAGCGCUAGACCUUUCUGACACGUAUUCGGGAGAGUACGGCUGGUAUCUGAAUGCUUCUUUGUUUACUUCCUUUCAACAACUUGAGUCACUUGAUUUUAGUUUAAACAAAAUAGCCGGUUGUGAUGAGAAUGAAGGUACUUCGUUUAAUUUAAUUAAUUUACUUUCACUCUCCUAAUUUAAGUGGAAUAUUAAGACUGAGCAACUAUAUGCAUAUACAUUAGUUGACAAUUUUGACAUAUUUUUUGAAGUGAUUAAUUAAUUUUGAAAUUACACCAAUAUCUAUGAUCUUUUUUUUUUUUUUAAUUUUGCUUGCAGGUCUAGAGAGGUUAUCAAGAUUGAACAAUUUAAAGAUGCUUAAUUUAAGUUAUAACUGGUUCAACAAUAGUAUCUUAUCAUCUUUAACUCGUCUUUCAUCAUUAAGAUCAUUAAAAUUAUAUGCGAAUAAUUUGGAAGGAAGUAUUGAUGUUAAAGGUACAUAUUUAAAACUUCUCUCUUCCCCAAGCUCUUUCAUUAACCUGCUAAAAUAAGAUUCAAGGCUUUGAAUUCAAUUUUUUUAUGAUUAAUAUUUUAAAAAAAAGUUUUAAGCAAUUUAUAAAUACAAGUUUUAAUGUUUCUCAUAAUUUCAUCUUGUACUUUCAUAUGUCUUGAAUUUAAGAUUAAAAAAAAAACUCUAAUAGCGAACCAAACACCUCCACAACUUAUUAUUAUUAUUUUUUAAUUUGUGGUGAGGUUUGAAACAUUCAAGUCAAUUUGUACUUAUUACAGAAUUUGAUUCUUUGAGAGAUUUAGAGGAGCUAGACAUUGGAUGGAACAUGAUUGACAAAUUUGUGGUCUCAAAAGGUACUACAAAUACCAUAAAAAAAUGCCAACUUUUACAAAUAAGCUGGAUUCUUUGCCAUUUGGUUUAUUAUUUUACAGGUUUGAGUAAGUUGAAGUCUCUCGGUUUAGCUGGUAUCAAACUCAACCGUAGCAUCUUAUCUUCUCUGACUGUCUUUUCUUCGUUAAGAGAAUUACAUCUACGUGAUACCGGAUUCAAAGGAACAUUCGAUGUUCGAGGUAAGUCUAAGCCUUGCUUUCUCAUUUUAUAUAUGCCAGCUAGAUUUGUGUAUCAUUGACAUAAUUUAAUAUUUAAUUUGAUUCGUCUGAAGGAAUUACAUGCUAAUUUAAACAUACUUUUAUUUACUUUGUCAAUUAAUUAAUUAAUUAAUUACUAUUUGGCUUGGUUUGGAUGAAAUUCUCAUGAUGUUUUAAUUUCUUUAAAUUAAUUAAUUAAUUAACUUUGUUUUUAAGUCUUAAGUCUGGGCAUGUUUGCAGAAUUUGAUUCCUUCAAUAACUUAGAAGUGUUGGACCUGAGUUGGAACGAAAUCGACAAUCUUGUGGUUCCUCAAGGUAAACAAUUAAAAUGUUAUUUAAUUACAUUAUUUUAAUUCAUUUGAUCUGGGAAGGCCAAAAAGGUAAAAAAAAAAUUAAAUAAAGAAACAGAGAAUUUGUAUUAUUUAAAAAACAGAAUGUAAUAAAGAUUUGAUUCUAGUUCUUUAAUCUUUAAAGCGAUUGAAAAACAAUGUUGCUCUUUUCCCAAAGCAUAAAAUACGAAUUGAAUGCCGAUUAACUUAAUCAUUCAUUUUGUUUAGCUCUAAAUUUAGACAAUGAAUUUUUAUAUUAUUUCAAAAACAGGACGUAAUAGAAUUUUUUUUAAAAACAGAUUGUAAUAAAGAUUUGAUUCCAAUUCUUUAAUCUUUACAGUGAUUGAAAAACGAUACUGCUUCCCAAAGCACAAAAUACGAAUUGACUCCCAAUUAAAUUAAUAAUUUAUUUCGUUUAGGUCUAAAUUUAGAAAAAUGAAUUUUGAUUCUCUUCAAUCCUUUCCUAAUUAUUAUUAAUAAACAGGUUACAAAGGUUUGAGGAAGUUGAAAAGCCUUGAUCUAUCGGGAGUUGGAAUUAGAGAUGGAAGCAAGUUGUUACAGUCAAUGGGAUCAUUCCCAUCCCUCAACACUCUUCACCUUUUGUUGAAUAAUUUUAACAAUAUAGCGACAGCUACUCAAGGUAAGUAAAAGUUGGAGAUGUGACCAAAUUUAUAAAUAAGCUGUUAAUUAAUUAAUUAAUUAAUUUUUCCGUAUUAUUAAUUAAGCUAAAUUCCUUGCUCCUUCCUUCUAAAUCUAAACAGAGUUGCACACUUUCACCAACUUGGAAUAUUUGACAUUGGACCAUUCCUCCCUCCAUAUAAGCCUUCUGCAAAGCAUUGCGUCAAUAUUCCCUUCGUUAAAAGAUUUGUCGAUGUUUGAUUGCAAAGUCAACGGUCUUGUACGCGGUCAAGGUAAAAGAAAAGUGUCGAUUGUGAACUCACUCAGUGUUGUCCUACGUGUUCAACAUUUUUAUUUAUUUAUUUUAUUGUUUAAUGUUUCUGCUAGGUUUUCCUCAUUUCAAGAGUUUGGACCAUUUGGACAUGGUUUUCGCGCGCACUGCACUCAACACCAGCUUUCUUCAAAUCAUCCGUGAAUCAAUGCCUUCUCUUAAGUACUUAUCAAUGUCAGAUUCUACUCUUGGCACUAACAGCAGCAGGAUUCUUGAUCAAGGUUAAUAAUAUAAAUAUUUAAUUACACAAACGAAUCACUUAUUAUAAAAGAAUAAUACGCAUUCAUUAAUUUUUAUGUUGUAUUAAUUGAUGAAUUUAAUAAAAUUUCAGGCCUCUGUUCGUUGAUGCAUCUGCAAGAGUUGUACAUCGAUAAUAAUGAUUUGAGAGGUAGCUUGCCUUGGUGCUUGGCAAAUAUGACAUCCCUCCGAAUAUUAGAUGUUUCUUCCAAUCAACUUACUGGAAGCAUCUCCUCAUCUCCCCUCGUUCAUUUGACAUCCAUUGAAGAACUGAUGCUUUCAAACAAUCACUUCCAGAUCCCAAUUUCACUUGAACCACUUUUCAAUCACUCAAGACUCAAGAUUUUCGAUGCUGCGAACAACGAAAUAAAAGCUGAAAUAACUGAGUCACAUUCUUUGACCGCCCCAAACUUCCAAUUACAAGCUCUCUCAUUGUCUUCCGGUUAUGGAGAUGGUGUCACAUUCCCCAAAUUCCUUUACCAUCAACAUGACCUGGAGGAUGUUCGUCUCUCACACGUAAAUAUGGAUGGAGAAUUUCCAAACUGGUUGUUGGAAAACAACACAAAAUUGAGACAACUUUAUCUCGUCAAUGAUUCUCUUACAGGACCUUUCCGAUUGCCAAUCCAUUCACACAGAUGGUUAAGAUUCUUGGAUGUCUCCAACAACAACUUCCAAGGCCACAUUCCAGUGGAAAUUGGAGAUAUUUUACCAAGUUUAAUAUCCUUCAACAUUUCAAUGAAUGCUUUAGAUAGUAGCAUUCCCUCUUCAUUUGGUAAUAUGAAAUUCCUCCAAAUUCUGGACUUAUCCAACAAUCACUUGACUGGUGAAAUCCCCGAGCACUUGGCCGUGGGUUGCGUCAACUUGCAGGCUCUUGCAUUAUCAAACAACAACUUAAAAGGUCAUAUGUUCUCCAGAAACUUUAACCUGACAAACUUGAGAUCAUUACAAUUGGAAGGCAAUCACUCGUAGGUGAGAUCCCACAAAGUUUGUCUAAAUGCUCCUCACUAGAAGGAUUGUAUAUUAACAAUAAUAGUCUUUCGGGUAAGAUUCCACGAUGGUUGGGUAAUCUCACAUGGUUACAAUAUAUUAUAAUGCCCAAUAAUCAUCUUGAAGGCCUUAUUCCAGUGGAGUUUUGUCAGCUUGAUUCGCUUCAGAUUUUGGACAUUUCAGACAACAACAUAUCUGGAAGUUUACCAUCUUGUUUCCAUCCUCUCUCUAUUGAACAAGUUCAUCUUUCAAAAAAUAUGUUACAUGGACAGCUAAAAAGAGGUACAUUCUUUCAUUGCUCUUCCCUGGUGACAUUAGAUCUCAGCUAUAACCGUUUGAAUGGCAGCAUUCCGAAUUGGGUUGAUGGGCUUUCUUAGUUAAGCCACCUUAUCUUAGGUCACAAUAAUCUUGAAGGUGAAGUGCCAGUUCAAUUGUGCGAACUGAACCGAUUGCAAUUGUUAGAUCUUUCUAAUAAUAAUCUUCACGGUCCUAUUCCUCCUUGCUUUGAUAACACCACACUUCAUGAAAGUUACAGCAAUAGUUAUAGUCUUGAUGAGCAAUUUGAAAUAUUUGUUUCCAUCGAAGGCUCUUGGGGAUCGGUAGAAAAGUAAAUCCAUGAAAUUUUUGAGUUCACAAUAAAGAACAUUGCGUACAUUUACCAAGGAAAAGUUCUUAGCCUCCUAUCAGGACUUGAUCUUUCUUGCAACAAGCUAAUCGGUCAUAUUCCUCCUCAAAUUGGAAAUUUGACAAGGAUUCAAACAUUGAAUCUAUCACACAACAACUUGACAGGAUUGAUCCCAUCAACAUUUUCAAACUUGAAGCAUAUCGAAAGUUUGGAUCUUUCCUACAACAAAUUGAAUGGGAAAAUCCCUCAUCAACUUGUGGAGUUAAAGACAUUGGAGGUUUUCAGUGUGGCAUACAAUAACUUAUCAGGCGAAAUUCCAGAAUGGACAGCACAAUUUGCAACCUUCAAUGAGAGUAGCUAUGAGGGAAAUACUUUUCUUUGUGGAUUGCCAUUGCCAAUUUGUAGAUCACCAGCAACUAUGUCGGAGGCUUCAAUUGGCAAUGAACGAGAUGAUAAUUUAAUUGACAUAGACAGUUUCUUUAUCACAUUUACAACAUCGUACGUAGUUGUGAUAUUCGGAAUUGUUAUUGUUUUAUAUGUAAAUUCUUAUUGGCGACGUAAAUGGUUUUACUUUGUUGAAAUGUGGAUAACUUCAUGUUACUAUUUUGUUGUAGACAAUCUUAUUCCAACAAGAUUUUGUCAUUAAAAUUAAUUAGUAGUUUAAUUACGAUUCUUUAAGUUCUAAUCAAGUUUGCUUAGGAAAUAAAUUUAUUUUUAUUUUUUAUUAAAAUUGUAGUAGUAUUUAGCGUUACAUAGCUUCCAACUUCCAAGCACUUCACAUUUGUCUCUACACUUCCAAACCCAUAUCUAUCCACCAUAACUUAUACUUCCCUAUACUGUGCAGCCUACUUAAAUAAGAGAACCAUCUCCAAUGUUAAAACCAGCCACUCUAUAACAUUCAUUUAGAAACUAUAUUUAGAAUAGUUUUAUUAUCAUACACAAGAAAUGAAACACCUAGAUGCACUUGAUCGCCUAUUUUACUUUAAAAAACAAUAAUUAUCGUGCUAUCAUCAUCUUCUUCACUAGCAACAUUAACACCAAAUCCAGCGAUGGACCCAGACAUUUAAUCAAGAAAGGUAUAUAUAUAACAAAGUUGAAGCUUGACAAAAAAUUCAGGAAGAUUAAUGCCUCGGUAUAUAUAUAUAAUAAAGUUGAAGCUUGACAAAAAAUUCAGGAAGAUUAAUGCCUCGCCACAACAAGGGGCACAACAACAUCAAAGUAGAGAUGAAGCAAUAUUCUCAAAGCUAAAACUCUCAAAUCCACCCACCAGAAUUUCAUAUCUCCUCGACAAUUUUAAGAACUAAAGAUAAUUAGGAUUUAACAUUAGUUUUUUAUAUAUUAGUUUCAUAAUUUACAAAUCAAUGAAGAUGAAGAUUAUGCUAAUGAAUUCAAAUUAUACCAUACAUUCUAUAGAUGUUACCAAAAAUUUCUAAGUCAAUCCCACAUAUUUCAUAAUUUUAAGACUAGAAAAUUUCAUUAGUUAGAAGUUUCAUUACCUUCAAGUGGAAGAUGAAGAACAUUAUACAAGUGAUUCAGAUUAUAUCAUACAUACUCCAAAUGCAACUAGAAAUUAACAAGUUCAUGCGCACAGAUUUCAUAACAUUAUGAUUGGAAAGUUUCACAAAGAGAAAUUCUAAAUUCAAUCUCUUGCAUCAAGGUAGUUUGAUUGAUUUGAGUUACUUUCUGAUCAAGCUACUAAUAUAACAUUCAAGUUAGGGAGAAAGUAAAUUAAAACUGGGAAGAAAUAACAGUAAAAAUUUGUUGCUAAACAUGAUGUGUAUUUUUUUUAAGGCAAUUUGGAAACACAGUUGUUACUACAGAUAUUCUCCUCAACUUGGAGACAAAUACAAAUAUUAAAAUGCAUAUGAUCGCACAUACUACUUGGAGCUUAGUAAGAUUUCAUUAAAAGAAGCAAUCAAACCACUUAUCAAUUGUCGCAAUCGUUCUAUAAACUAAAAUAGCAAUAUAAUACAAGAAAAAGAACAUAUAGAUACUCGGCAAGAGUUCAUUAAGAAGUCGCAUCACAUUAGGGUGAGGAGUUUGCUUCUGAUAUCUUGCUAGCUGGGGCUUUUUCUUGUCUUUCUACGUAUGCCGAGGGAAACCAACCAGCUAGGCCCUUGCAUUCACCUUCCGACCAUCCAGUAGGAGCCACCUUGAGAAGUUAUAACUAAAACGGUGAAUUAAAAAAAAGUUGACAAUUCAAAGACCUAAGGGGAAAACUAAUUCUUUUACGUAGAGGAAGUGAACUAGUUGUGAUCACUGAAAUAAAAAAAUAACUAUGGAAGCAUAACAAGAUAUAAAUUCACAUGUCUAUAAGGGUAAACAGGGUGGUUUAGAACUGAGCUAGCAACCCUACUAUAUUCUGAUUUGCACUUCAAUGUAAAAGGGAAUAUAUGGUAGGAAGAAAAAAAACCAACCAUCAUUUGUUAACUUAUUGCUUUUCAAUCAAAAUUUUAAGAACAAAAUGCCAUGUGCUUUGAACAUCAAAUAAGUAUAAGCAUUAGUUCUAAAUUCCACAUAUUAUAAGUUGUUAGAAGGAUAAGUUAAUAGCAUAGUAGAAAAAUCUAUGUGUUGGUAUUUAGAGGGGAAAGUACCUGGCGAACCACAACAUAAUCAUCAAUUGAAAGACUUAGCUCUCCAUUUGCUUGAUCAUCAAAUGGAUGUAUAACCUGCAAGAUAAUGGGAUAAAUAGAACUUAAAAAAAGCAUAACAAAAGCAGCAACAGCAGCAGCAGCAUUCAUUGUAACCACUAUGAUCAUGGCCAACAAAGAUAUAUUAGAAACAAAAUUCCAUUUUUACUACGACUUUAAUAUGUACUAUACGAUAUCAUGACGAUUGGGUUAUCAAGUGCUAUCAAAGUCUAAUAAGUUCUGUAUAACUUUAUAUAGUUAUUUUAAUUAUGGAUCAAAUUUUAAAUUUGAAAUUUUGACUGCUCUCCACAAAAUAUGGCCUAUGCACAAGAAAGUCAUAGAUAAUGAGGAUUACAAGUGUCCGACAUCUUUUGAGUGAUGGAUUUAACAUGAGAGCUUAUGGUCAGUCAAUUUCCUCUGCCUAGCAAUAUAAGCUUUCUCGGCCAGAUUUAUCAUCAAAUACAUAGAUUGCCCCCAAGUCACAUCCAUAUAAACAUAGUUUUCUAGGUAAACCAAGUAAGGAGAAUCAUAAUUUAGACAUAAUCAUAAAAAGGCCCAUCUAACUUAAGAGAAAAUCUCAAAAAGAGGGAUGUUGAGCUAUCAGUCUUGUAUCUAUAAGCAAUAUCAAGACUUUACAUCACCUGCUACAUCGUGAGUGGCUACACAACUUUCAGUGGUUUGUCUUUCUUUGGCAUGCCUAACUCAGCUUUGAUGUUGCUGAGAUAUUGAUAGUAGAGACACAUGAUACUUCUAGCUCAUGCAUUUUAUCUAGCUCAUCCGACAACUAUUUCUUUUUUAAUUCAUUAGUGUUUGCUAAACCUCAUGCUCAAAAGUCCUGUUCUCCUAAACAAAGUUUCCUAAGAAUGACUUCCUCAACACAACAUUUGGACACUUUUAGAGCAAUUUUAUUUGGAGGAAAAGAAUUUUCAAGGUGUUAACUAAUAAAUUUUAAAAUAUAAUUACAAUUUGUCCUACGAUCAUAUGACAAUUUAUUUGGGAUGAAAGGAUACAGACAGACAUCUUCCACUUUCAAGACUAAUCACUACUUCCGUAGAUGUUGUGCAAUGAUACAAAUACUUGACCAGAUGGUAGUGAUGGUAGAAAAAAAUUUAUUGCUCCAAAAUUAAAAUAAGAAUGCAAUAUGUUAAGCAAAAGACUGUGCAACAUCAAAUUAAUUGAUGAGUUUGUAAUUCAGUAAAUUAACAACUUUCAUGGUAAAAUACAACAAGUUUCUUUUAAAAAAAAUAAAUCUUAAAAGACAGCAUUCAUUUUUGUGCGCAUGUUAUUUCUUAAGAUUUUUCAGGAGGAGGGCAAUAGAGGGACUUUCACCUAUGCAAGAGAGCAGAAGCCUUACUUUUGCUAUAAAGUAGACGUCAUUCUGAUUAAUAUGCGUUUGAAUCAGCUCCGUUUGCUAUAAAGUAGACGUCACACAUGAGGCAUUUACAUCCAUUUCCAAAGUCACAUGUUGCGAGGAGGACUCAUUUGAUUGCUCCUCUAGGAUCAUCUAAUGCAAGUAGUAAGGGUUGGAAGAAAAUAAAAAGUCACAAUUAUUCUUUUGCGUAAGUGAGACGAAAAUGAUAAAUGCAAUAUUAUCAGCAGUAAACAAGAAGAGAACGCUCCAAGGAAUAGAUAGAUGCAGACAAGCAAGUUAAAAUGCAUAGUCCCAAACCUCCGCAUACAACUUCUCUAAAAUAGCAAUAACGUGUUGAUGAUAUGUUUUCUCAGCAUCUACCUGCAAAGGCCCGAGACCAGGAAAACGGCAAUAAAACCACUAGCUAAAGGAGAAAGUAAAGAAAGAAAUACACUUGACAUAAAUCUUGACAAGAAGCACAGUUUAAACCCCAAUCAUAUUGUUUAGAACUACCAUUCGUUAUUGUAACAUUUCGAACAAGUGUUGACUUAAUUCAACAUUGUUGGAAAGAUAGGCUUUUAAAAGCGGAAGAAAGCCACUCAAACCAAAGUGAUUGUCCUUGUAUUGAUCAAGGGAUGUAAACAUAUUACAUUUGCAGGAUAAGUUUUAAUUAAUCACUCCCCUGAUUUAUUUGGGUUGCAGUUUAAUUUGUGAAUUUCGUUAUUGUAACAUUUCGAACAAGUGUUGACUUAAUUCAACAUUGAAAAAUUAUUCAAUAAAUUAUGCAAACAUUAAAAUAGAGGACAUAUUAAAAAGUUUCUAAUUACAAUGUUAAUAUUUCCUAUAUUUUAGCAUUUGCAUAUUUUAAUUUAUUUAAAAGCUACGUCGAUCAACUUUGGGCGUGAAGAUUUUAGCUUCUACGAGACUUGAUUGGAAUAUGCAUAAGGAAGAGUGUUAAAAUAUGAUGCAUCCAACGAAAGACAAACCACGUGUAGUCUUUUAAUUAAGCCAAAGUAGCAGCUCAAACAAAUGACACUUGGACCAACAUGCAAUCAUGAAGUGGCCGGAAAAAGGACAAAUGCAACUUUGGCUUAAAUAAAAAAUAACAUGUGACUUGACUUUUGCUGGACAUGCAUCAUGUUAUUACAAGACAACAGAAAUCAGUAUGAUAGUACUAAAAGUUGACAAUAACAUGAAGAUAAGAGGCAGAAUAUCAACACAUGCAUAGGCACACACAAGGAAGUAUUAACUUAUAUACCAUAGCAAAAAGUCUUUGAUAUGUCAUCUGUUGCUGCUGUGAUUCAACUGACAGCAUGGCAGUUGUCGCUUCUCUACCAAGAGCCAUUAUUGUAGAUUUAAGCUCGGUCAAUCUUGCUUCUGCAUUUCGAAGCUUCACAGCACUCUCUGCUGAUAUAUCAGAUUCCCUAAUCUUUGAUCGGCGCCUAAAUACUUCAGCUGCCUGGUGAAAAUAUUCAAUAUAAAUCUAACAUAAUUCUAAUCUUGCCUUAUACAUGCAUAUGUUAACUCAAAGCUUACCUGGGCUUCAACUUCAUGUCGAAGUUUGUCAUAACGAUGAGUCAGGUGUCGAGCAUCUUCCAAAGGUGCUCCGUUGAUUAACGCCCGUAGUGGCUCAGAUACCUACAUGUCCAAAAACCUGUAACAUAGUUAGAAAAAUGAAAAGAAAGAGCGAAACCUCAAUUAAAAAGUUCCUCCAACAUAAUCAUGGAAUUUGGGCCUACUUCAAGGACAUAUAUAAGGAUAAUUUAUGCAAUUUUGGGUCUUAGGAUGAUUGGCAUUAGGUUAGUGUUCUUCUCUUCUGUAUUUAAGGUUAAAAUAGAAAUAAACCUAUGAAAAUAUCUAAAUUAGGGCUGUAAGACUUCCACAUGCAUCCUUCAGUCUCAUGGAUUUGAUUUUACUAUAGAUGCAAGUGUCUUUAUCGAAAAUGCUUGGAGUCAAUUGAGAGAACUCACGGCCAAUAACUUGUCACACGCUAGUCUUUGCUAGUGAUGUAAGAAGUCACAAGGUCUCUUCAACAUUUGAACCCAUAAAAUUAUUAAGUCAUGGAUGUCACUAGCAAUGAUUUUAAUAUAAAACAUUAAAUAUUUCAGAGUUGUAACGUUAAAAUUCUUUUAUUCAAUAUCUUAGAACUAAGUUUCCUUAUGAGAAGAUAAUAGUUUCAGUAGUAAUUUACAUAUAAUUUUCUAUAUUUGAAUUAUUUUCUAGUUAGGGAUGAACUAACCUGAUCACCAAGAAUCCCAAGCAAAGUUUCCCUCUCAUUUUCCAUCAAAUCAUGUGAAGUGCCAAAUUGAAGAGCAGCUCUUGCAACGCAAGAAUUGUCACUUUGAUUCUCCGCUCCAUACUUGCAACAAUCUUCAGCCAACUUUCUCGCUACAAUAUUUGAAUACAAAAAUAUUGUGCACAAGAACUAGUCAAGAAAAAAAAAAUCAAAUAUUAUAACGAAUGCAAGAGCAAACAAACAACCUAUUUCCAUUUGUUUCAAGCUUACUGCAACAAGCCCUUCAAUGCCACGAACAAUAUUCCUCUGAAAAUGCUGCGCUACAGAGCAUAUAUUCCAAAUUAUUGUUCAGAUAAAACCAUAGAAACCAUCAUAAUUAUUCAACAUACAUUAAGCUCCGUUUGGUAAAUACUUGCAACUUCAGUCUAGAGAAUACAGUUCUAUAUAUGUAGCAGUCUAAAGGAGGAUGGUGCCUUAGCUGCCCUGGUGGAAUUGUAUAGAUUUUGAAGUUGUUGGUGACACUCAAUUUCAGCUUCAUCAACUGCCUGUACAAAUCAUAAAAAACUAAUGAAAAAAAUAAAUAAAAUCGAGAAAUUUCACUAAUUAAAAGUCUAAAUAUAAUUUUAAAAAAGAAAGAAACGCACUUGGUGCUGCUUGGCGACUUGUUCUCGGAGCUUGAUUGCCUGUUUCUUGAUAGCUUCCAUACUGUUUCUUUCAAAAAGCGGCGACGGCUCAGCUCAUGGAAGUUGGGGAAAAAAAAAAGUGUGAUCAAGAAAAUAAAAAGGCAUAUUAUUGUUGACAAAAUGUGAAAAUAAAAAAGAAAAAAGAAAAUUAUAAGUUUGAAAGGAGAAGAUGAUAGUGGAAGAGUGCGGCGUGGCUGCCAGCUACUUGGAUUGUAUUGUCGGGUAAGGUAAUUGUAGAAAAUUAUAAGUUUGAACAGAGCAUGUUAGACUUUUGUUGACCAAAUUCAAAAGGCAAAUGGUACGGCCCAGAAGCUUUGGAAUACAGUAACUUACAAGAAAGCUCCAUUUAUUCUUCUUAUACUUUACGCUUGCAUCAGCUUAAAUCACUUCUUAAUCGCUUGCUUUAACUGCGCCGCUUUGUACUGUUCUAUAUAUGUAGCAGUUAUGCGGAUGUAGUUCACGGCUGAGGGUACGUGUUUGUUUGACGUGGUAGUUACGUUACGACGUUACGAGAGUAUUAUUAGUUAUUUCACAGGGAUAAAUAAGAUUAGUCACAAUAAACCCACUAGUUUUAUAAAAUUCGAGUAAUAUAGAAUAAAAUAAAAAAUGAAUACAAAAUUGACUUUUAUUUUUUAUGGUUGACUAUAUUUUGUGUUCUCUUCUGGUACUACUACAAUUGUUCCCUGUAUAUCACUCAUACCCAUAUAUCAUUGACACAAGAAAUGAAAUCUAAUGUCAGAUGUUUAGUUAAAGAAUCACUUAUGAAAAAAUUUUACCAUUUUGAUUUGAGGAUCCCUAUUUUGAACUGCAAGCUAAUGUUCAUCAAGAACAGAGUAUGGCAGUUGAGUAGAAAAACUAUUUUUGGACAAAUUGUUUUUAUUGAUAGAAGAAUUUCUCAAGGGACUACUAAAAUUAUUAAAAAAAAAUGUCAAACACGCCCAUAUAUCAUCAACACAAUUGGUUUUGAGAAUCCAUACUUUAAACUGCCGCCUAAUAUUCAUCAAGAGCAGAGCAUGGCUUGUGAGUAGAAAAUUUUCUGAUUUUGGCCCCAAAUAAUCCAGCACUUUCUCAUGAAGAAAUGCAUACAAAGCAUACCAUGGUACCAUACAAUACAAGGAGUCUCCGUUCUCUAGUUUUUCAAACUCUAAAGGGGCCAAUACUCCCUAAUUCCCCCUCGAAAAUUCUGAUUAUGACAUUAUUCAUCCCUCGAUGCAAUCAAAGUAGUGACAAAGUUAGGAAAAAUAUGAGUCCUAAGUAAUUGCUAGGCAGGGCUCCUGUGAGCAAAAUUGUCCUAAGCAUUAUAUGCAUACAUGGUGUGGUACAUAAAGCACAAUGAAUUCCACACUAUAACACAAACCCAGAAAGAGAAGAAACAACUUAAUUGAUGUAAAGACAAAAAGAAGAUAAAAUGAUAUAGAAAAAAAAAUUCAAAGAGAUAGCAACAUACUAUAGACUGAAGCCACUUGAUCUGCUCAUUGAUUGCAGCCUUAAACUUGCAAAUAGUUACCGUAAGCUAGUGCUAUAAGAAGUGAAAAUGAUGCACACCCUGAUUCCCUUCGACUUCCAUUUACUGUCAAACAUUCUAUUAAUACAAAAAAAUUGUUCAAAUAUCUUGCCAUAAAUAUAGCCGUUUGACUGGCUUAAUAAAGUCACAAAUAACCAUUCAUAUUGAUCCACAGUGUCACACCGCCUGCUUUAUGCAUACAACAGCUGUAUGUAUACCAACUCCUAACCUUAUCAAUACAUUUGGCAAAAACUUAAGAAGAAAACUAUUUCUCCAUCUCUUUUUUGAAAUUUCACAAUAAACCAGCAUAUUGUAAACGUUAUGUUGUAACCUUAUGAUAAAUGCUCUAGACUCCAAAUGAAUUUUAUAUAUGAGGGUUUGUUGCAGCAGAUAUAUUGACUUAUCAAGUAUGAAUCAUUGUCUAGAAGAACUAUCUUUAGAUAAAAGAAUAUUAGAACCAUUCUAGAAUAUCUUUAGGUUGCUAGUUCUAACAGGAAUCUGCAUGUGGCAACAGUUGCCAGAUCCACAAUUCCCCAACUUGAAAUACAUAGUUGCACACCGUGAGAUAGUGCUGCAAUCUACUGAGAUCUAACUUAUAUGAUACUUUAAGCUACUAAUGUUUGCAUAUUUCUACAUGUUAAAUUGACACUACCAUCUAUAAUCACUCUAAAACGACAGAUGAUAAGCAGCUUUUGGCUACUUAUUACUAGCAUCCACAAUUAAUUUUUGUUCAGCAAUCAGCUUAUUUUAUAGAAAUUGAUUUAGUCAGCAACAAACACUAUAAUCCUUGAAAUUAGUUCUUGUUCUUUGUAAUUUUCUAUGAUUUUUCAUACAUCAAUUAAUCUGCAGUGCCAAGAUGAGGUUUGGUUUUUCAAACUAAAUAAUCAAGUAGCAAAAAUACAAAUUUAGAGAUUAGGGGGUGAACUAGCUAGGUGGUUUACAAAUAUUCCUAUUUGUAAGGUGAAUUAAUUGAAUCAUGAGAAAACAAUGUGACCAUAGCUCAAUAUGAGAUGAUUUCGGAGAGGCAUAUUGUUUUCAAGUGAAUUUGAUCCAUUAAGAGAUGAAGUGGAUUGAAGUGGAAAGUUUAAAUAACAAAUCCUUGUUCUUGAGUUUUACGACGUUGUUACUCCUUCAGGUGGCAGAUUAUGCAAGUGAAUUCAAAAACACAAUGCAUCAAUCACGGGGAUGCUACACCAAAAGACGGGAUCAUAGUCUAUGCAUUGAACAGUUACAGUUGCUGCUACCAAUUGACUCGGCAAAGAUCAAGAAGACUGAACGGGAAGUUAAUGCCAUCAAUGUCGUCUUCACUAUAGCUGCUGGGAAUGUAGGUGAACUUUCCUCAUUUGCGGCUGUCUAUACAUAGGCUUUUCCCCAGCUUAAGUACAAAUAAAUGAACCUGCUUUGAAGGCUUUAUUAUUGACCACAAUAAGGAUUACUAAUUGAAGAAGACUAUACGGAGUUAAUCCCACACUUUCGUUCUCUCAAUUUCUUUCAGAAGUGCCUCUGAAAAUAGCUGCCAAACCGUUAGUCAGCUUGUUAGACUCUGUUUUCUGGAAACAGAGCCCUAACUAACUGACUGUACAGAGUAAGUCAACAUAGCAUAUUUAAUCGUUUUAAUUGAAUUGUCUUCGUAGCGAUCAUCAACAAACUCAUCAUGAGAUUUUUGAAGCACCCAAGGACUAUCACUGGGUUUCUCUUCUGGUUGAUUAAUUAAUUAAUCAAAGAACGGUUGGAUACCCAAGGACAAUUAAAAUUAUUCGACUUCUGGAACUGGGAAUGAAGUGCAAUGAUGGAGCAAAAUUUACAAUGUCUCCGGUUUCUCCUACCAUCGGACUUUUGCAGUGAGAACAUAUAACAAAAAGGCCUUCAUCAAAAUUUGUAGACUCCGGGUAUGGAUUGGAUCGAUUUUUUUGUUUGAUAUUGAAGAACCUCUUUACUAUCGCGAUAUAGAUUAUGUGCAAGGAGUUGUCUACUGUUCUUUGCCUUGUGCUAUGAUCGGUGCUCUUGAGGCUGCCCUGAAACACAGGAAAAUACUUCGAUAUCCUCCGUUCGAUGAUGCAAAGAACCGGUUAAUGUAUGAUUACCUAAUUGACUCAGGAUCAGGUAACAACAACAACAAUUUAUUAAUAUCACAAACGAAGAAGAUCGCGGAGAGGGAGAUGUAUGCCUAUACUGUUUACAGGUUUGAUCCAUUGGGGAUGAAGUGGUCUCAAGUCGAAAGUGAUUUAUUAAACAACAAAUCAUUGUUCUUGGGUUAUACCUCAUGAUGUCAUCAAGUGGAAGAUUAAGAUUAUGCAAGACGAAGAUCGUUUGAUAUUGAAGAAUUUGAACAGAAAGCCCAUAGAAAGUACUUAAAAAAGCAUAUUCUUGUUGGGGUAGAAUAUUGAGAAAGGAGUUGUCUACUGUGUGUUGCGUGAUUAUGCUAUGAUCUGUGCUUUGAACAUUGCCCUGAAAACAGUGGAAAAUACUUCAUAUCCUCGACAUGAUGAUAAAAAAUUGGUUACCGAUUACGUAACUGACUCAGGUGACAACAAUCCAUUAAUAGCACAAUUUGAGGUGAUGCCGUUUAGGUAUAUGGUUAACAGGUUUGAUUCAUCAAUGAUGAAGUGGGCUUAAAUUAAAAGAUCAUAUAAUAAGUCGUUCUUCUUGGGCAUAUCGUCAUUACUACUUCAAGUGAUCAAAGAUGAAGAUGAAGAUGAAAAUUGUGCAAGUGAGUUCAAGAAUACCAUACAUCGUUACUUGGGAUACUUCUUCAAAUAUGGAUGGGGUCAUAAUUUACUCCCACGAAUUUCAACCCAAUUUUAUGAUUGGAGUGUCCCACCAUGACUCAGAAAAAUUUUGAUUCAACCUCCUCCACCAAUGGAUUUUGAUUAGUCACUUUGUGAUCAAGCAACUUAAUUAAACUCAGAGAGUCAGAGUUCGAUUUUGCUGGCACCGCAUUUUCUUUAAAAUGUGGCCAUGUAAGGAGAGCGGCACAUAAUGUCACUUCCUUAUCAAGCACUUUAAAGAGGGAUUUUAGAAGAAGAUACAACUGCAAUUGUUUUCGUAUGUAUAUAUAUAAACAACAGCACACAUUCAGUUCAUAAAAGAAAUUUUUGCUAACCAUGAUAUGUGGUAGUGCUUUUUAGGCAAUUUAGAAACAGAGUUGUUCAACUUACAGCAGGUAUUCUCCUCAAGUUCGACGUAAAUACAAAUAUUAAUUAGAAUCCAUAUUAUAAUGACACACAUAACUUGCUUCAAAAUUAUCAGAAAUUAAAAUUGCUGAUUCAUAAUGCAGAUAACUUGGAUGAAUUGAUGUUAAAGGAAAAAUCACAGGCAUAACUUGGAGAGCAAUUGCGACAGCAGCCAAGUAUAUAUUUUUAUUUGAGAGUUGAGAAGAAUAUAUUUAAUGAAGCUUGAUAACAUUUGAUGGGAUAGCAAGUAAGGGUAAAUAAGAUAUUUUUAUUUGUUAUUUAUUUGAAUUAUAUCUAUUUUGUUCAAGUUAAAAUACUAAAUAUAAAUUGGAGGUAGACAUUUUAACAGAUCAUCUAAGCUCUCAAAUCUGAAAUUUUGUGUAGAUUUAAAUUCAUAAUUUUAGUUAAUUUUCAUUCAUUCAUAUAAACAAAUUUAUGAGAUUUUUCUUUUCAGCAUGUUAUAUUUUGAAACUUUCAAUGUAUUAUUCUAGCUUUAUUUAAACAAUUAAUUUAUUUAAUUUUGAAUUUGAUCAGUAGUAAAAUUAUUUUUAUAUCAAAUUUUUUUUAUUUAAAUAGUUCGUGGAUUGGACAAAAUUAAAAAAUUUUAAUCUACAAAAUGGUGGAUUAGAUAUGAAUUGGGUUAAAUCCACAUUCGAUUUGCAGUCGUAUGAAUUUGAUUUGGAUUGAAUUUCAUCAAUCCAUGGAUUAGAUUGGAUUGAAAAUUUAUUAUCCGCAAAAUCGUGGAUCGAAUAUGGACUGAUGUCCAAUCAGCAAAAUCCGAUCCCCGAACACGCCUCUAUCAAAAUUUUCAAGAAUAUGUUUUAUCUUACAAAUUUUUUUUUAAAGUCAUAAUCUAAUGGCAGCCCAAUUUUAUAAAGUCACACACAACCAUUCUUAUUAAAUUAGAAAGAUCAAACACUGCACUGGAUCUUGAACAGAUCAACACAAGUUGCACAACUUGCGAUUGAAUCCGGCCUGAAACAAUCAACUCUUUAGCAAGAACAAUUAAUCAGAGUCAAGAAACAAGUUUAAUGAAUAUAAACCUAUAAUUGAAACAAACAUAGCAAAGAAAAAAAAUACAGAUUUUACACGGUUCAGUUGUACCUAGGAUGGCACAACCUACACCACGAGAGAAGCUUUCUGGUGAGAUUUUAUUGAUGAUCAAAGAAGAAUCUUUUGACAAAGCUAAUAAUAGAGAUUUCAGAGAAUAAGCUAUAACCUCUCUCCCUCUUCAAUCUCUCUCUAUUUUGUUCCCAUUGAUGACCCCAAUCUGCUUAGUUAGCCAGCUUUAUAGCUGCAUCAGUAACAAACCAGCAAACCCAGAUUGAGCAGAUUGACGACACGUGGAUAACGGCUUUAACGAACCUGGUUAAGAACUGCUCACAUGUUCGUCACGCGUACUGCUUAAAUGAUGGCCAAAACGACUUCAAACAAAUGUCGUUUUGAGGCUUAUGAAUUACAAGUGAUAACACGAGAUUGUCUCAUGACUUUUAAAUGCAACAACGUGCCCAAAACGCUGUCGUUUUACUCUGUUGAGUUUGAUUCAUUACUAAGCUUUACGACUGGCAAUGGAGAAGAUGAUAAUUUAAUUGAUAUGGACAGUUUUUAUAUCACUUUUACAAAAUCCUAUGCAAUUGUAAUAUUGGGAAUUAUUGAUGUUUUAUAUGUGAAUCCUCAUUGGCAAAAACUAGUGGUUUUAUCUUUGUUGAAAUGUAGAUUACCUCUCGUUACUAUUUUAUUAUAAACAUAUAGUUUCGUAAGUGAAACUAUAUAUUUAUAAUAAAANNNNNNNNNNNNNNNNNNNNNNNNNNNNNNNNNNNNNNNNNNNNNNNNNNNNNNNNNNNNNNNNNNNNNNNNNNNNNNNNNNNNNNNNNNNNNNNNNNNNCAUUUCUGCCUCAUUAAGAUUCUCAAAUACCAGUCAGGUUUGCUUAAGAAAUAAAAUUUUUCCAUUAAAAUUGCAGUAGUAUUUCCAAGCAUAUCGCAUUUUCUAUGAUUUUUCAUAAAUUAAUUAAUCUGCGGUGCCAAUAUCAGAUUUAGUUUUUCAAACUAAAUAAUCAAGAAAGCAAACAUACAAAUAUACAGUUUAGAGGGGUAAACUAGGCAGGUGGUUUAGAUUUUAGAACUAAGGCAGCUACCUCACUAAAUUCCGAUUCGUACAGUGAACUGCAAGAAAUUGAGAAAACAAUGUAUUUAUAAUUUAAUAGAAUCAUAACAGAUGAAGUGGAAUGAAGUUGAAAGUUUAAAUAACAAAUCCUUGUUCUUGAGUUUUUACGACGUCGUUACUCCUUCAAGUGGCAGAUUAUGCAAGUGAAUGCAGAAACACAAUGCAUCUUCCGCGGGAUGAUACAUCAAAAGGCGGGAUUUGUUUAUGCCUUCAGAUUAGCAAUUUCACUCAUAUAGAAAAUUAAUUUUUUAUAUAUACUAAUCAACACUAAAUUGAUUAUGUGUUGUAUGUUUAUAUGCUAAUCAACACGAAAUUAUAUUGAAUUAUUAACAUUCAUAUUCCUAAUAAAAAUUAUUUUCCAUUAGUAUUCAAAAUUUUCACUUAUAGAAAAUGCAUUUUACGUGAAUACUAGUUAUUGUGUAAAUUUGAAUGAUAGCAAAAAAUAAACCUAUUUGAAAACUGUAAGGGUGUGUUGGGAUAUUUUACAACUGUCGGAAUCUGGUAGGAUAUUGCACCAUUUGCCCAAUAUUUUUAGACGUACUCUAACCGGUAUUCAAGAUAAGUAAAAUUUACAAGCGUGGCAAAAUAAAAAAAAUUAAAUUCGUAAUUUGUAAACGAAUUUUCCUGACAUGUAUAGUAGAUGAAGUUGUUGACCCUUUCUUUGGAUUAUUUCAGCUCUGGUUGUUGGUCACCGAUGAGCCGAAGUCUUAUUUUAAUUCUAUUUAAACUCAUCAUAAGAUUCGUGGAGCACCUAACUAACUUAACUGACUGUGCAGAGCAUCUCAACAUGGCAAAUUUAACCAUCAUUCAAGUGAUGGGUUUAAUAAGACUGCUUUUGUUCUACCAAGUUCCUCCGCCUCUAAGCAGAAUUACUAUUGAAGGGCCAAAUGGAAAAUGAAAACGUGUGAACUCCAACAACCACCCCACAAAUUCAAUGACGAUGCUCGGAGAGGGUUAGGUUGGGCCUCUGAGAAAAAAAAAAAUUAUUUAGUUAAAAAGUUACCCUUAUUGAAACCUGUAUAAAAAUUUUAUAUUAAUUAGUUAUGUUGCCUCUUCAACUAUGAUCAAAUUUUUAUCUGAGCUCAUCAUUUAAUGAGUAAACAUGUAUUUUAAUGAUCUCAAUUAAUAUUUAGAACAAAUAUUUUAAGAAGUAAAGCUCAUUAUAUCCCCCAUUAUUAUGUAUCUCUGUAAUGUAUUGAAUUAGAAGAAAAAAAAAAUUCAACUCACUCAAAAAAAAAAAAAUGCUGGUAGCUUCGUAAUAAUUACUGUCUUGACUGCACCAGAUAAAGUUUUGUAAAAGAAUUCUGAUAUUUACCCCGGGUCAAACCCCGAAAAUAACUUAAACGGUGUCGUUUUGAUUUUUUUUUUUUUUAUACUCCAAAACGUUCUUACCAUUUCCGUUUCACUUACCAUUUAAUGCUCACAACUCAAAUAAAAAGCCCAGAAACUAGAAUCAAACUUUACAGAAACUAGAAUGCCCAGAAACGUUGUAUAGCAGGAACGUAUGUAAAGAGAGUAAACAAGAGGGAUUAAACAGAACAUACGUUUUCUUCACUUAUUAUUAGCAACAAACACCCUACACAACACACAUUUAAUGCUCACAACUCAAAUAAAAAGCCCAGAAACUAGAAUCAAACUUUACAGAAACUAGAAUCAAACAAUACACAUUUCAUUUCUUCAAGGUUAGGGAGAGACUCAGGGGAGUGAUUAAUUAACAAAAAUAAGAAUAAUAAUACCAACAUUUGUACAGGUCAAAUAAGAAUAAUAAUACUCAACCUAAUACCCAGUAUAUACAAACAAAUGCCCAGGCCAUCGUUCCUAUUUUGCCAUAACCUAAAGAGGAAAAAGCGAAGCACUACCUCAGGCUGUGAACUUUGCCGCUUCGUGAGUUUAAUUUCCCGAACAAGUUUCGGCUACCAGCGUUACCAGUGUUGACGGUGACCGUGGCUGUCAGCGUUGACGGUGACCGUUGGUGGAUCCCGAAUGCCUGGACCUUGGUCGAGGAAGGAAAGUAACGAAUUUUUUGAACAAACGAAGAAACGAAGCACCGAAGAGAUUUACGGUCAAACGGAACAAGACCAACUUGCUCUUCUAUCUAUGGCUUUCCCAGUUGAAACGAAGAAACGAAGAGGAAGAGGUUUAAUUCUUCUCAAAAUCGUCCAUCAGAAACGGCAACGUUUUGGAGUAUAAAAAAAGAAAAAAAAAUCAAAACGACGCCGUUUAAGUUAUUUUUCGAGUUUGACCCAGGACAAACAUCAUUUUCCUUUGUAAAAUAAUAAGUUCUCAUUAGUGGUUUUUAAUUUUUAAUUUUUUUUUCGGCACACCUGAUCAAGAAUUCUAUUUUGUUAACUAAUAAAUUGCAAAGCAUAAGUGUUGAACGGUACAAAAAAAUUUGAAAAAAAACACUUAAAACGUAGGGAAAUGAGAAAUAUAGAAAGAAAGGAAGAAAGUUAAGACAUGAAACUGAUCUGCCGUGAAAUUGAUAAUCAUGUUUCUAUUUCGUUAACUAAUCAAACGGAAAACUGGAACUGUAAACAAACAUUAACACGUGUGGACUCUGCUAGCUGCCCUACAAGUCUACAAUAAUAAUUGAGUACCUUUGAUUCAUCCUUCUACGAAUUUCUAGCUGUAUUGACCCCAACUGCUAAAGUUUUGUAAAAUUAAAAAAAUAAAAAAUAAAAACUGGAAUUUCAACAAAAUUCAAAACGUGAGAAAUUUAAUUUUUGGCCAUGUGGAACAAAAUGUAAAUUACGGAAAAAGUAUAAAUCUCAAUUGCUUAGUAUGGUUAGGUUUUGUGAGCAUCACUAGAAAGUGAAAACUAUGAAUGAUAGGGGUGAUGUUUGCAACAUGAAUAAACGAUGAACUGAAUCAAUUGAUGAUCGUAAUUAUAUAAUGAACAAAAUUUACAAAAUCAACAAAAGUUAAUAAAAAUUUAUUUUAAUAAUAAAAAAUAAUAAAACUUAUUAUUUAACGGCGCUCUAACCAUGGAGUGCCAUAAUCAUAUUCUUCUUUUAAGAAAAUUAUAACUUAUUUCAAAUAGCACCAUAACAUAAUUCUAGAUAUUUAAAAGAAAAGCAUUAUCCACCUGAAAUGACUUGAAGUCUAAAGAAAAAGAGAGAGUGGCUCCCCACAAUUUUCUUGUUUUCAGUAUAUUUUCUUUUUUUUUUCUUUUUAAAAUCUUUUGACGCAUACAUAAUCUACCCUUGUUCAUUAUCUCUAUUUUGCUCUGUUCAAGUCCCUUUUUUUCAAAUCUUAGUUUAAAUAAGAAAAUUGAAUAAAAGUACAUUUGUGUAAUUAAUUAGUAUCUGUUUUUUUUGGGGGGGGGGGGGGGGGGGGGGGGGGGGGAGGGGGAGGAUAUUUGGUGUAAUGUUUUGCUAUGUAAGACUCAGCUAUUAUUAAACAGUUCCUUAACCUGUUUCGCAGUUUAUUUGCUAUCUUUGUGGAUCUCAUAGGCGUUGCAGAAUUUAAUAAUUUUAUUCGUCAGAAGAAUAGGAUACUGACUUCAAUAAAUUUAAUUUAAACCAACUUUUAUUUACUCCAUCAAUUAAUUAAUGCCAUUUUGUUUUGAAAAAUUCAAUAAUUAAAUUCUCACGUUUUAUGUGUUUGAAGUUAAAUUAUUCAUUAACUAGAACUCUGUUCAAAAUUGACUGUCUUGUGGUUCCCAAAUGUAGUUGUAAUAUUGAAUGAAAGUAAAAACUUUCUAUGGCGAGUUUAAAUCUAAAUCUGAACAAUGAAUUUUGACUUUCUCAAUGCUAUUCUAAUUACAAAAAUUAUAUUGAUUGAUUUAUUGUUACAGUUACUACCCUUUGAAAAUGUAUGGAUUUAUUGUUUCCGUGACCAAAUUAUGCCUGCCUAACGCUGCAACUAUUAAAAAAACUAAUAUUUAAUGCAUGUGUUAAAAGAUUUAAAAUUUUAUGCAUUUAUUAAUUGUUAUAAUCUAAAAAAAUUAAUUAGUUCAGGACAAUCUGAGUUGGUGCAUCUGCAGAGCCUUUUUUUUUUCCCCCCUUAUUGACCAUAAUGAUCUAAGGGGUAUAAUACGACCUUGGUUCUUGGUAAAAAUUAAUUAGUUCAGGUCAAUCUUUUAUGCUCUGUUUUCUAGAAACAGAGUCCUAACUAAAUUGAUUGACUGUACAGUGCAUUUCAACAUAGCAUAUUUAACCGUUUUAACAGUUAUUUGAACCGUCUUCAGAGUUAACAUCAACAAACUCAUUCAUAUUGGUCCAAUCUUACGGCCGAUAUCAUAUUAUCAUAUGCUUAAUAAUGAACAAAUAGUCUUGGAUCAGUGUUUUGCAGCAAGAGCAACUCGACACAAUCUGGAUUCAACCUCCUCCUAUCUAACAGGGGAUUUCGAUUUGAGUUACUUUGUGCUCAAGCAAAUUCACAUCAUAGUUUUGAUUCUUUAGGUAUGAAUUCAUCACAUUACAUAUAUCAGAUUAAGUGUAACAAAAUUUUUAAUUUAUUGCGAAAAGAAUACGCGCUAAAAAAUUAUUUGACGACUAUUUGAUUACCAAAAGCUGCUGUUAGAGUGCACUAAAAAUCGCCAUUGGCAUAAAUAUUUUUUGAAAAUACUGCCAUUAGAUAUUUUUAUUAUUCAUACUUCAUUGCACAAGGCAGCACCUAGCUUCUAUUUCCAGCCCUAAUAAUGAUCCGCUGCUGGAAAAGAAUUUGUGCAGCAUGUACGCUCCUUGACCACAACAGCAAAGUUUAUUGAUGUUAUUUCAUAUUCUGCUGUGACUCAAAUAAAAAUUUACCAUGCCCUUUCGGCAUGGCUUGCCUUUCAGCAAAAAAAGAAAAAAAAAAAUCUUUCAAAUUGUGGAAGCAUGCUUACAUUAAUCAGCUCAGUAUGUUGUGUUUCAUGGGAUGCAAAAUUCUUUUUGUUUCUCAUGGAAGAAUUGACUUGUCUGGAUGUAUUAAUCUCAUAGAUUUUCCACAGAUUCGUGGGAAUAUAACAAAGCUAGACUUAAGUGAGACCCCAAUAGAAGAAGUUCCGUCAUCAAUAGAGUGCCUAGCUGAUCUUAAAACGUUGCGUUUGAGUAAUUGCAUGAGGCUGAAGAGGCUUUCCAUCAAGCAUUUGUAAAUUGAAAUCUCUUCUUGAGCUUUAUCUCUAUAACUGCUCAAACCUUGAAAGUUUUCAAGAAAUCAUGGAGAAAAUGGAACGUUUAAAGAUAUAAAUUUAAAAAGGACGGCCAAUUACAGAGCUGCAAUCUUGAUAGCCUUCGGGAUAACAUUAGAAAUUUAAAAUCUUUGAGGUACAUCUCUACUAAUGGAUCGGCCAUUAGUCCUCUGUCGCAGGUUCGAUUGUACUUAAAUAUCUAUCAUUUUCUCAAUGCAGAGGUUUGGUAUCAUUGCCUCCAAUAUUAUUUUCAGGUUUAGUUUAUCGAAUUUGUUACAGCUAAAUUUAAGGGACUCUGCUAUAAUGGAAAUUCCCCAAAAUAUUGUUUGUCAAUCCUCAUUGAAAAUUUUAAAUCUAAAGGCUUGUUUGUUAACUACUUGAAGUAUGUAAUUAAUGCUUUUUUUUGUGUAAUUUAUGUUUGAUUUUGAGAUAUUUACAUUUGAAUAAAAAAAAAAAACUUUUGUUACAUUUAUCUAAAUAAGAAAAAGGCUGAAUGAGAAGUAAAUAAUCUCCUUUUUUGUUUUAACUUAGAAAAACAUAAACGUUAACUAACUAUGUUUAAAAAAAAUUUUAUUUAUGAAAAGAAACCAAAUACUACUUAUAUUCAUAUAUCAAAAAAUGAAAAACAAACAUAUUAUUCAUACGUGCACGCACAAACUCAUUCAGACCUCAGCUACAUACAAAUCCAUUUAGAUUUCAAACAAAAAAAUAAAUACUUCCUAAGUGGGAAUAACUUUGAGAGUUGACUUGCAAAUGUCAAGCAACUUGCAGGGCUAGAAUAUCUUGACUUGAACGGUUGCAAUGAUUUCUCAUCAUUGAGAGUUUAUCAUUGUGCUUCAUCAUCAUCAUCAUCAUCAUUAUUAAUAAAAAGGUAAGCAAUUAAGAGUCAAAUUAAACCACUUGAAAAUCACUCAUCCACACUUUUGGGACAUCAUCUGCUCAUUAUUUUUAUUCCGUAUCUUCAUUGUUUUAUUUGGUAAUUAUUACCAUUAGUAAAUAAAGGGAUUAGUUGAUUAUUGUGAAGUAACUAAAUGGAGCUCACCCUUAAAUGUCGGCUUAUAUCAAGGAGGCGCCUUAGGGUUAAUAAAUCAACUAAUCCCAUAAUUUGUUGAUGUAGGGUCCUAACAAAUUAUUGCCGUAGAUCAGCACACAGCUCGAAAACAUAUUUGAUCCACACAGUGAAGAUGAUUCAAUAUUAAGCAUGUCAUAUAAUCUGGAGUUGGAUAUUGGACCAAUUUGAUGAUAAUGAGUUUCUUUCAAUCUCAAUCUUUAUCUUAUUCGCAACAUGACUAGCCAUUGCGUAAAUUCAAACUCUGAAAAUGAUAAGUUUGUGAUAAAGGAAUCUAUGAGUACAAUGGGAAAAUUACAUGAACUUAUGUUAUCAAUCAUUGUUUUUCCUUCUCGUGAUAGAAUUCAGUGCAACAUAAAACAUGAUAUAUUUGUACCUUACCAUGCCAUGUUGUGAACCUAGAAGCAAUGCAAAUUGCAAGGAACAUUAAGCUAUCCACUGUAUAUAACAAAUUCUUAUUAGCCCACAAUCUUGUGCCGCCACAUUGAUCAAGUAACACUAUUAUAUCAUUUCCAAAAUGGCAUAUAUAAUCUAAUGUUGAACAAACCAAAUUGGGAAUCAUCAUUCCUUACAUUAAGUUGACAUUCGUACCUGCUAGUCCAUGAGCAAAGUUGCAUAUAUUUCUACACAGGCCGCUCCCCUUAUCUCUCGGUUCCGACAGAGCUUUGUUUUCCCAUCACCAGCUUUGGAUUCAUUCGAUCACUGGUGCUCCGAGUUAGAACGGUCUACAAAGCUGCAUUUCGUUAGGCAAUCUAGUCUCUCCAUUCCUAGCAAAGUGACAUUGAUUCCCGUAUUUGUAAUUGCCUAAUUGGGGUUUUGGCAAUAGCCUGGCUUAAAAUUACCACCCAUUACUUUGUUCAAUGCCACUGGCAUCCUCUGAUUAGGAACAUUUUCACAAUUUUUGGUCCUGUUAGUCGAAUCACAUUCAACGGGAUAGUGAGGCAGUAUUUCACUAAAAGAUUCAAUUUGACUACUCAUAUUGAUGCACAUAUAAGAAUUUGAAAUCACUUUCUCUUGGAAUAUUUAAUGACCCUUGAUGAAAGUUCUUGAAUGGAAUUAUUUAAUUUGAUUUGAUUUCCAACAAAUUCAAGAAACCCCACAUAGUAGCUAAACAAAAAUCAACCAAUAAUACGCAAUGGGUUUCUUUCUUUUUGCCUUUGGAGGGCCAUGGAGAUCUGGAGUGGGCUGUAAGUAAUAGCCUUUAUCACUGGAAUGACAGAUUUGCAGAAGAUGAUACAUGGGGAAGGAUUGGGCGAGCAUAAAAAUGGGUUUACACUCUUGGAUUAGCGCCUCAUUUAGGUUGUAGGCUUGUAGCGAGAUAAAGAUAUUAAUUAAAGUUUUAUAAUCCCUGUUAUGAUUAAGGCUUCACUUAGUAUAGCAUAGAGCUUUUUGAGUUUUACCAGAAAAUUUUUUUAAAAUUAUUAUUUAUCGGAAAAAGGAGACUUACACUCCAUGGUCUAAGGAAAUAGUCACAAAGAUACUAAGUUUUCAAUAAAAGACACCAAUUUUUUUUUUUUUUUCAUAAUGCCCUUUGACUCCAUAAAUUUCUAAAAAAAUAACUCCAAAAUUUUAUAAUAAAUGAAAAUAUGGCAUUAAAAUAAAUGCAGUAAUAUAUACAUUUCAAAAUAAUUUUAAUAUUUAGAAAUAUUUUAAUAUUUUUCAAUCUAUUAAACCUAUUUUUAAGCUGUUGACCUAUUAAAGUAAUUCUUAAUAAUGAUAGAAACAUAAUAUUAAAAUAAAUUAAUUAAAAUUAAAAUUAAAAUUAAAAGUAUUUUGAAAUUAUAUAAAACUAAUUUUAAUAUUAUUAAUAGGUAGAUUUUUAAUUGUAAAAUCUAUUUAACAAAAGAUUUAUUCAAAAUCUUUAUGAUAUUACAAAUAUAUUGUUAAAAUAAAUAUAAUAAUUUAAAAUUUUAAUAUUAUUUUAAAUGUAAAAAAUAAUUUAAUAUUAUUAGUCUACUAGAUAGAUUAUGUUAUUUAUAUUAAAUUUGUUUUAAUUAAAAGUCUUUAAAGUUAAUUUUUUAAUUACUAUAGUGAAAGGGUAUUAUGGGCAAAAAAGUGUCUUGGUAUCCUUCUUUUAAAACUUGAGAGUUUUUGUGACUAUUUUCCUAAAUCUUAAAGGUAUAAGUGUCAUUAUCCCUUAUUUAUUUGGUUGUUUUGCUCUCGAGAGUUUUUAAAGCUCCAAAAUCUUUAAUCAGUACUUUUUUUUUUUAAGUAAAACUUUUAACAAAAAAUUAUUAUUCAUUUGAUUGUUUACGAGAGUUUUUAUUAGAAGUUAUAUAAAGUUCUUUAAUUUUUUUAUUGGUGCAGCUUUUUACAUGUAUAAUUUUUAUUUUUUAACAAAAAUUAAUUAAAUAAUAUUAGAAAUCCUAAUAUUUGAGUCCCAAUAUCAUAUAUCACUCAUUUUUUAGAUGACAGAUUUCAUAACUUAUAAAAUUAUUUAACUAACAUCCAAUUAGUGAAUGUUACUAUAGUGAAGACUCAAAUUGAAAUUUAAAUGUUGGGUUGCGUGACAUUUCUCUUAUUUGGUUGUUUAUGAGAGCUUUCUUGUACAAAAUAAUUUUUAUACAAAUUGAUAUAGUCUAAAUUCAUUAAUUAGAUUAAAAUACAAAAUAAUAAAAAUAAAUAAGUUUGUAUAAGAAUAAUUCAUUCUUUAAUCCAUCUAAUUGAAUUAUCCUAUGUCUAUUUAUACUAAAUAAGUUUAUAUAAAAAUUUAUAGUUUUGUUUUUAGAUGUGCAACUAAAUUUUUAGUCUCUUAUUCCUCGUAAAAUUCAAAUCUGAGUGGCUCAUCAAAUAAAAUUAUUUGAAACCAUACGGUAUGGUAGCUGGAACCCUUGAAACCAUCGAGGUCAUGAAAUUUACCAGCCAAAAGAGUUUUAAAUGUCUAUUUUAUAAACUUUUAAAAAAAUUUUUAUUUACCAUUUUACCAUCCGUAGUAAAGGUGUCGCAUCGACAUUGAACAGAUCAACAUAUCAGUCAUUUCUCAUUCAGCCAUUAGGAAUUUACGUUUGGGGUAUUUUUGUAAUUAUAAGAAGGUAAACUAAUCGCAAAACUCGUUUGGCUUGCACUUGCUCGCCUGUGCUCUGUGACUCUGUGUAUGGUUAUGGCGUUAUCAUUAUCAUCUUCUCCACUCCUACUGACGCCAGACCUUAACAGUUCAGAUUCCCUUUCUCGACUGUCAUACCCUACGCCCCGUCUCCGUGUCUCCGAUAAACAGUGCUCAAUUAAGGCCAUCAGAUUAUCCCGGACCCACAUUGAUCCAACGGCUCACAAUGACCGACAUCCUCUCUAUCUCCAUUUCAAGCUCCCUCUUCAACUGGCUUCUGCUUCUGUCGUACUCUUUCUUGGAUUCGGAGUCCGUAUUUGCUCAGCCGGUCCCGCACAGCUCCCUCUCACUCCAAUUGUCACCCAACAAGACCAAUUGCUUAAUCAAGGCACAGACCAAGAAGAGGAUGAGAAGUUGAAACAAGAAUUUGAGAAUUGGAAAUCGAAAACGUACGCAUUAACCGUGCCUUAAAGGGUUGCUUCUCUUCAGAAUUCAGUGCCUCAAUCUUGGGUUAAGGAUUUUAUGCGAAGUCAAGGAAAGAGAUUGAAGUUUCAGAUGAAUUUGUGUGCUAGCAUUGAUGGGAUCGUUAACAAUUUAUCUGUGCCCUUUAACAAAGUUAAGGCUAAGUCAGCUUCUUAUAUGGCUGCUGAUUUGGUUAGUAUUGGUGAUUCAUGGCUCAGCUUUGCGAUUAAAAAGAGAUUGAUUGAGCCAAUAGCUGGAGCUGAAGACCAAGAUUGGUUCAAAUGCUUAAGUCACAAAUGGAAGGUAACAUCUUUAUCUUUGACCCGAUAAUUUUUAUUGUCUUACAUUGAAAUUUGGUAAUGUAAUUUGUUCUCUAUCUGUAUUACCCUUUUUAGUCGUUUUAUUUAUUUGUUUGUUUGUUUAUUUGCUUUUAUUUGCACUAACGAAGUCUCGGGUAUAUCUACCCAGGAAUGAUGCAGGAGAAAUUGAUCCUCGAGGUGAAAUAUGGGCGGCACCAUACAGGUGGGGCACAAUGGUGAUAGCCUACAAGAAAAGUAAAUUUCGAAAGCAUAAUUUGGCUCCGAUUGAGGUAAUAACUGUCUUUAAACUCAUUUAGUUUUAUAUCAAACAAAAUCAAGGCUGCCUUUCUCUUCAAUAUUUUUUAUGAUAAUAUCUUUAGAAGCAUCUCAUUGACGGGUAAUAAUGGUGUCCCUGAAAGAGUCUAUAAACUCAAUGAUAUUAUCUUCUACAAAUGGAUCAUUAAACUUCUUUUUUGUAGUCAAAUGUACACUAAGAACAAUGAGAAGCUAUGCCACUGUAGCACGUAGUGAUGGCACUUAAUAAGUGAGUUGCUAGGAUGUGAACAAGAAAAAUUAAAUAUUGUCUCCUUGGGUAUGCUAGCUCGUAAGUCAGGGUUAAUAUUAGAGCUUAAGAUACUAUAACCAUGCGAAACUAUUGACUGCCAAUUAAAAUAUCCAUUAAAAUGUCUAGGGAGUUAUGAAGGUAGAGUUAUCUUCCAAUUUCUAAGGCCACAUAGUAGACAUCAUCCAGGAUCCUAGGAAAGUGCGGUUGAUCUCCUGCUUGAUGCAGUUAAUAAAUUUGGUCAAUGCGACUGAAACCUGCUAACUGACGUCGCAAUGCGACAUGAGCACUUCAAAAUGGGAUAGACAGUAGCACUAAAUUUUUCUUGCCUAAGAUUGAGCAAUUGGUCUAAAUACUAACCCCUAUUGUAAGUUGAUCAUUAUUUUUUCAAUUAUGUUCAUUUUGACCCAAAAGUUACACAAUCUUGAUCUGAAUAUUGUCACUGAACACUGUCAAUGUCGUUUAGCAUUGGCAACUAACUCGAGUUUAGUAAAACAAACAUACACACUGUCUCAUGUCUCACAAUUCAAAUUAUCAUCUGUACUGAUGGAGAAUUUUUCUGAUGUAUGAAGUAUGCUUUGAUAUGUAGGUUAAGCUUGGAGAAGAUAUCUCAAAAUAAAGAAUAUGGGGAGUGAAUGGGAAGAAUCUGUAGUCAAGUUUUGUCUCAAAAAUGGUCAAAAUUUAAAUGAAUGGACGGGGGAUCUUCAUUCUUUUUUCACUUCUUUAUACCGAGAUAUCUCUCAACCUUUAUAUAAUUCCCACUGGAUAUCUGCUUCUAAUAAUUAAAAUAAAAAUUUCAACCACACCAAUAAAUAAUCAUCUUAGAGUGAGACUAUCAGUACAACCCAAAAACAUAAUAAAACUGGUUUGGUUCUUUUUGUUGAUGUCUAAAUGUUGUUCAUUGUGACAUGUAGAAAUGAUGAGGUGAAGUUUCUUUGGUCAUCAAAUAGUAAGAUCUUGUUUGAAGUUAUUUUCUGAAAUGAACAGUCAAAUGGUAGUUUUUUUGGGCCAUUCGAUGGCUCUUUUCUUCCUCAUUUUAAACUUGUGCCUGCUUGGAACGGGAUGGAUUAGGCUGCAGAGUUAUAUAUUUUGACAUGCUCUGGUCAUUACACAAUUUGUUCAUACUGGAAAUUAGGAUGAGAAAUUUGUUGCUGCUGUUUUGAGAGAUCUGCAUUCUAUGCACAAACAUGAUUAAUGAAAAUGGAUUGUAGGACUGGAAAGAUCUGUGGCAGCCUGAGCUCGCAGGAAGGAUUUCAAUGGUUAAUUCUCCCCGAGAGGUUAUUGGUUCAGUUUUGAAGUAUAUGGGAGCAUCAUACAAUUCAGACGAUAUUGAUUCACAAGUUGCUGGUGGGAAGAUUGCUGUUCAGCAGAAUCUGGCAUUACUGGUAAACCAGGUACUCUUAAAGAAAUGAUAUCUGGUCAUUGCAUGUUAUUGCCUGACAACUGAUUUUGUUUGUAAAAGUCGGCUUCUUCAUACAUAUGAAUGCAUAUGUUAGUGUUUUCUUCUCCUUUUCAUACAUAUGAAUGCAUAUGUUAGUGUUGUCUUUUCCUUUUCAUACAUAUUAAUACAUAUGUAGAUUUCUUCAUCAUUGUAGCCUCCAUAGUUGAAGUUUCCUCAUUUGAAGCUGUUUAUGCAUAUGCUUUUUCCCUUCUCAAGUACAGGAAAUUGAAGAAUUAACCAGAUGUGAUAUGCUGAAAGAGUGAAGUUUUCUCCCUUGAAUGUGGCCUUGUGAUUUGUCUUGAAGGAAUAGGAUGAUCACUGGCAAGAACCCUAUCAAGGUAGAUUUUAUGGUGUUAACAUAUUUUUAAGCAUUUUGUUACAUCAGCAAUGAUGCUUUCAUAGCAUGAAAGUGUUUAAUUUAACUGACUGAUCUUGAUUAAUCAAUUAUGAGUUUUAAUCGAGUAAAAACUAAAUACAAUCAUCGUCAAAAAAUACUGAAAUUGGAUUUGGAAACACAAUCCACACAGGAAAUCACCCUUCGCGUGGGGAUGGAGAUGUUUACUGCAACGAUAUCGAAUAUGUGCACGGUGUUGUCCACUGAAACAAUGGAAAAAAUUAACAUAGGGGUAUUUAAAUAAUUAAACUCAGACCUCUUUGUAUAUGUUAUCCUAACUUUACUUACCCUUGUUUGUAAUUUUCACUUAACAGUUGAUGCCUAAACCAUUAAAACCAAAUGACCAUAGGGGUAUUUAAAGUAUGUAAAAAUAAACAAAAACACGUAAAAAAUUUCAAACAAUUAAUAAUUACACUCUAAAUGUACCACUUAACUCUUAAUAAUAGCCAUACUCUAAAACAAUCUACAACCUUUGAGGGGAGUAGCUAUGAGGAAAAUCCUUUUCUCAGUGGAUUGCCAUUGUCCGAGAGUUACAAUGAAAAGAGACCACCAGCAACUGAGUCGGAAGAUUCAACUAGCACUGAAAAAGAUGAUAAUUUAAUUGAUAUGGACAGUUUCCAUAUCAUUUUUAAAUCAUCCUAUGUAAUUGUGAUGUUAGGAAGCAUUAGUGAUCUGUAUGUGAACUAUUAUUGGCGCCAUUGGUGGUUUUAUCUUGUUAAAAUAUGGAUGACUUCCAGUUACUAUUUUGUAGUACACAAUUUUAUUCAAUUAACAUAUAGCUUAAAACCAUUAUGUAUGUGCUUUAUUAAGAUUCUCAAGUACCAAUCACGUUUGCUUAAGAAAUAAAAUUUUGCCAUUAAAAGCGUAGUAAUAUUUCCAAGCGCUUCGCAUUUAUCUCAACAUUUUGAAGGAAUUUUGAGAAAUACACGGGUCCAAAAGUCUAGUCAUCAUCCUUAUUUUUCUAUCGUUCUUUUGGGUUUGCAGUUGGUGGUGCUUUCAAUGUUUCCCUGAAACAUAGCAAAAGAACGUACAUAUUCUUGGUAUGAGUUGAUUUUUAGUGAUUAUCUAAUUGACUGGGGUGACAACAAUAGCACAACGUAGAAUUCAAUAAUAAAAUUCUCUUGUUUAAUUUGUUUUAAGUUAAAUUAUUAAUUACUUAAAAUUCUGUUUUAAGUCUUUAAUUUUAUGUCUUGGCGUAUAUGCAGAGUUGGAUUCUUGAGUGAGUUGGACAUGACCUACAAUGAGAGUGGCAGUAAACAAACAUUAAAACGUGUGGACUCCGGUGGCUGCCCUGCAAGUCCACAACUCUACAAGAAUAAUUUCUAGCCCCGUUGACUCCACUAACUAAAGUUUUUUAAAAUUUAAAAAGGUACAUAGAAUUCCACAACAAGCAAAACGUGUGGAAUUUAAUUUUUUGCCCGUGUGGAACAAAAUACAAUUUAGCAAAAAAGGACAAGAAAAAUGGUAAGAUUUCUAAAAUGAGUGGAAGGUGAUCCAUAUUUUACUGAAACGACUUGUCCCGAACAUCACGACGAUUGAUUUUUUUUAUUUUAUUUUUGAAUAACAUCAACUUUCAUAUUUUUCUAACCCCCAGAAUAUGCUCACGUUCAAGUCUAUCUUGCUAAUUUAAAAAAAGAAAAUCAAAUCAACACCAAAACAAUGAAAAGUAAAGCUUUUGAAUUUCAACUCCAGCUAGCAAACGUAUUCAGCGUUUUCAAAUUCUUCCCAUUGCAUAUCUUCUUCCUCCAUCAAUGCAAUAUUUGAACGAUUAUGAAAGAAUUUAAGAACAUAAAAAAUCUCCAAGGUUUAUACGGUAUAACAAAUUUAAAUUCUCAAUUACAAUAGAUAAUAAUUAAACUAAUAAUUUUUUAUGUAUUUAUUUUAGUAAUUUCACCUAAGAAUAAUAUUGUAAUUAGAAAAAAAAAAUCUAAUAAGUAGGGUGGUCUUAUACAAAAUCAACUGCAUACAUUUACGCAGAUGCAGAUAAUAAUUUUUAAUUCCUUUUUUUAAUAAGAAAAUUGUGUAUUGAGAUGAAUAAGAUGUUUAAUUUAAUUAAUUUCCUUACUUUCGUAUGCAUUGUCUUUCUAUCUAGAGAAAGCUUGGUGUUCAGAACGACAUGAAGUUGCGAGUUGUCGCCCAUGGCUGCUGAUUAAUAAUAAAACGAGACAAAUUAAUUGAACUCAGGCCCAUAUGUAUAUGUUAUCCUAACUUUACUUGCUCUUGUUUGUUAAUAUUCAUUCUUAGAGAGGUGAAAAAAAUUUCAAGUCUUGAAUAACGAGGAGUUAGUUGCCUCUAACUUUACUUGGCCUUCUAUAAUCUCAUUAAUAAUACAGAGAAUUAAUUAUCUUUUUAUUAUUAAACCAUCUUCAGGAAGAUUUUCCUCAAUUUGCUCCAGAAGAGUUGGAGCUGUGGUUCUGAUAAACCAAAGAAUUAGUAGCAAUAUUAAUAUUGCCCACCCAAGAAAUAUGAGUGAAUUAAAGUAUUGACAAGACUUCGCUCAGAGGAGCAUUUAAACCACUUCCUUAUCAAUUGCGGCAGCCGUCUAUUAACUAAAACGCCAAUCUAAUACAAGAAGAAAGAACAUUUACAGACUUCGCUCAGAGGUCUAUUAACUGCGGCAGCCGUCUAUUAACUAAAACGCCAAUCUAAUACAAGAAGAAAUAACAUUUCCUUUUGUUAAUAAUUUUAGUCUAAUUUCAAUUGUACUGUGACCGCUUCUCAAGGUAAGUGAAAGUUACAGAUGUGGCAAAAUAAAUAAUUAAAUUAACAAAAUGCUAACUAAUUUUCCUAAAUACCUAGGGUUGUACAAUUUCACCAACCUGGAAGAAUUGACAUUAAUGGACUGGUCUCCUCCCCAUAUAAUUAUAAUCCUUCUAGAAAGCUAAUUUUUAUUAAAUAUUUGCUUUUAAGUUCAUUUCAAUUAAAAAAUGUUUUAAGUUAUUGAGAUUCUGAAUUCCUUUCUUCCAAUAAUAAUGAAAACGUAUUAAAUUAGAAAUGAAAAAAUUGGUGUUGAUGAUUCAACCUAUUUGGAUAGAUUACGUGAAUAAAAUUGAAAUUUUGAUUUAAUUUUUGUUUAUUGUUAAUUUUCAGGCUUAGUUUCAAGAAUUUAGAAUAUUACUUUGUUCAUGGAUUCAACUCGUGAGUGUCAUAUUCUAGACUUAAUGGUACCAUUUUUGAUUGAGGACAAUGACUCUCACUCAUCUUGUAAAAAAAUAUUUUCAACUAUUUUAAUGACUUAAAAAUUGAUAGAUUUAUUGUUGUCAUGAACAAAUUAUUCAUUUUAAUGAAAUAUAAUUAAUGCAUCAAAGUUAUCAGGUUUAUGUUCUAUCUUAACGCACUUUUUUUUUUUUUUGGGUUAUCAGCUAUGCCCCUGAGGCAUUUUGUAGAGUAUAGCUUCUGCCUACCUUUGUUUCAUUUUUUUUAAUAAAAAAACAAGGGAAGGUUUUUCCGAGUCAUCCAUUAUUUGAUUACCGUCAAUCAAGAAAACGACCAAAUUAAUUUCUCUCCAAAAUUUCCAAAAGCUAGAAAAUUUUGUUAUUUGAAAAUAACAUCAUUAAUUAUAGAGUGGAUCAAACCGCGUUAUUGUCUUUCAUAAAAUUGAUGUCUUUUUAAGAGUCAAUACUUUUUAUUUACGCAAACCAGUCGACAUCAACUUAAACUUCCAUAUUUUUAUUAUUAUUAUGUUAUUUAUUUUAAUCCCCGAUUAUUUGAUUAGCCACUAUAUAUAUCAAGAAAGCGACAAAAUUUAUUUCUCAUGACUUCCAAAAACUAGAAAAACGACAUCAUUUAUUAUUUUUUUGCAACCCUAAUUGACAUCAACUUUAACUUUAUUAUGUCAUUAUUUCAAUCCCCCAUUAUGACCUUUCUAAUCCUCCAUUAUGCAUCUUUUAUAGUGCAAAUUUAAUUGCACAUAUAAAUAAAUUGAUUAUUGUUACUCCACCACCAAUAUUUCAAAUAGUCACUAGACCAUUUCUGCCUUUAAUUUUCCCUUAAGUUUAACUAUUGACUGCUUUUAGCAUCUUAAAAUAUACAUUUAUUCCUCGAUUAUGUGAUAAAAUUAUGAAAAUAUCCAUUUUAGCUUAAAUUAAUUGGAAUAACCAUAAACAUAACUUAAAUUAAUAGAACAAAAUUAUCAAGUGUAUGUUCUAUCUUACUUUUUGAAGAAUUUAACAUAUAUAAUGCUAUACUAUUAAUAAAUUUAUCAUUUAAUAUAUAUGUUCAAAUAUUUUAUAUAUUUAUUAAUUGUUAUAUACUCAAAGGAUGAAUGAUUUUUCAGGUCUACAUGAGUUGGUGCAUCUGCAAGACUCAAUUUUGACAACAAUGAUCUAAGGGGUAAUUUACCUUGGUGUUUGACAAAUUUAACCUCUCUUCAAGAUUUACUUCCAAUCUACUUACUGUAAAUAUCUCCUCAUCUCCUCUCAUUUAUAUGAUAACCCUUGAAGAUCUCACAUUUUCAAACAAUCAUAUUAGGGUUUUUAUUAUUAGCAUCAUUGUGUCAAUAAUAUAUGUUGCAGUAAGAUUUUUUCAGACCAGUUCCCUUCUUCAAAUAAUAAUGGAAAAGUAUCAAUUUAAAAAUAAAAUGAAUAUGCAUUGAUUAAUUAUAUCCUGAUUUUGAUCGAUUAUAGCGAGAGUUUCUCCAAAUCAACGCCCUGAUUCAAAUAAUACAGAAAAAAUAGUAAUUUAAUAGUAAAAUUAACAAGUGUUGAUUAUAUAUCCUAAGUUUCAUCGAUUAUGUGAUCAAAGUGGCAUUGUUGAUUUAUUUCUUGUUCAAUGUUAAUUUUUAGGUUAUCUAAAUUUCAAGGAUUUAAAAUCUUUGUUCAUGGAUUACACGCUUAUUAAUUUUUCUGCCAUUGACUGUCAUAUUCUAGACUUAAUGGUACCUUCCUUGAUCAAGGACAAUUACUCUCUGUUCUCCUCUUAUAAAUUCCUCUUCCAUUAACAUCACUAGGAGUAUGUUGAUCUCUCAGACGUUAACUUCAGUGGAGAGUUUUCAAAUUGAUUGUUAUAAAACAACACAAAAACUAGACACACUUGAUCUGUCUAAUAAUUCUCUUUCGGUAAAAUUGAUUAAUUUUAGGGGAAUAUUCUACCAACCUAUAUAAUUUUAGAUUGAUCAUUAAUUAAUUAGACGAAAAAAGUACUUGUGCUUUUGUGGCGACAAUUGAACCGGAGAAGUGAAGCUGUAAAGAUUUGGCAGUAGUAAAUUGUUAGAAAGACGUAAAGACAAGUUCCCAUUAUUAUAAUUUUUUCAAAAAACUUUUUUACAACACAUGCACCUGGCCAAAAAUUUUAUUUUGCUAACUAACAAUAAUUGAGUAGCUGACCGUAUUGACUCCACCUACUUGCUAAAGUAAAAAAAUAGAAAUAGAAUUUCCACAAAAUGGCAAACAUGUAAAAUCUAAUAUUUGGCCGUGUGGAACAAAAUACAAAUUAAAAAAAAAUAGAAAAAAGGCCUAAAGACUUUUAAAAUGUGUGGAAGUCUUUCGGCCCUUUUAUAAUGGUGUGUUUUUCAAAGGAACAAAUAAUAAUAAUGACACUUCUAUGGUUUGUUUUGAUAAUCACACAUAUACUCUUUAAUUUGAUAAAUGGUUACACAAAUUUUGUUUACAAAAAUAUAUUAUUCAUGUUCUGUAUUAUUUUUUAACAUCAUAUUUUUAUUUAUUAUAAUUGUUUAAAGUUAAUUGUUAGGUUGAUAUAUAAUAAAAACGUAUAAUCGUUCUCUUACUAAACACACAUACUCGUAGUUUAUGUUCAUUUGUCAUCUCAAUCUCUCUCAUUUAUCCUUUAUUGAUAGCUCAAAACGCGUCACUGUGGAAAAUUAUAGCAAAACGACAAAUAUGGAAAAAAUGGGAAGAAAAUUAAUGCAUGAAAGAGUUGCAGAAGACAACCAAAUAAGUCAACUAUACGCUAGUUGGGUGUAUAAAUUGUUAGAUGUGUUAUAAACAAAUAGCAUAGAGCCUUGGUUGGUUACAGAGAUAGAAAAAGUGUGUGUGUUUUUUAGAACUUAAAGAUAUAGUUAGAAUGGGUGGUUCAAAAUCAAAAAUGGUGAUAAUGUUUGUUCUGUUAUUAAUAAUAUUAGAAGGUGGGUGGAGUGAAGGAUGUUUGGAUCACGAGAGAUUUGCUCUUUUGCGACUCAAACAUCUCUUCGAUGAUACUGGUAAUUAUCCUUACGAUUGGGGAGAUGGUGAGGGAGCUACUGAUUGUUGUCUGUGGGAAAAGGUUGAGUGCAGCAACACCACAGGCCGAGUGAUAGCGCUAGACCUUAUUGAUACGUAUGGGGGAGAGCACAGCUGGUAUCUGAAUGCUUCUUUGUUUACUCCCUUCCAACAACUUGAGUCACUUGAUUUACAUGGCAAAAAUAUAGCCGGUUUUGUUGAGAAUGAAGGUGCUUCGUCUAAUUCAAUUAAAUUACAUUUCGCUCUCCUAAUUUAAGUCGAAUAUCAAGACUGAGCAGCUAUAUGCAUAUUCAUUCAAUUGACAAUUUUUACAUAUUUUUUAAAAUGUUUAAUUUUGAAAUUACACCAAACAUCAUAUGUGAUCUUUGUUUUGAUUUUACUUGCAGGUCUAGAAAGAUUGAGCAACUUGAAGAUGCUGGAUUUAAGUGAAAACUUGUUCAACAAUAGCAUCUUAUCAUCUCUAGCUCGUCUUUCAUCAUUAACAUCAUUAGAUUUAUCUGAUAAUAGAUUGGAAGGAAGUAUUAAUGUUAAAGGUACGUAAUUAAAACAUCAUCUCUUCUCCCAACUCUUUCAUUAACAUGCUAAAAUAAGAUUCAAGGCUUUGAAUUCAAUUUUUUUAUGAGUAAAUAUUAGAAAAAUAGUUUUAAGCAAUUCAUAAAUACAAUUUUCAAUGUUUCUCAUAAUUACUCUAACUGUGAAGCAAAUACCCCAUGACUAAUUUAUCAUUUUGUCCAGUUAAAAAUGAUAAAAUUUAUCAUUUGUUUAUAUUGAUUUAUUAACUCUAUUUUAAGUCUUAAGUCUUGGCGUGUUGGCAUGUUUGCAGAAUUUGAUUCCUUGAGCAACUUAGAGGAGUUGGACAUGCGCGGUAAUGAAAUAGACAAUUUCGAGGUUCCUCAAGGUAAACAAUUAAAAUAUUAUUCAAUUACAUUAAUUUAAUUCGUUUGAUUAGGGAAGGCCCAAAAUGUACAAAAACAUAAUUAAAAAAAAAUAAAGAAACAGAGAAUUCAUAUUAUUUCAAAAAACAAAAGGUAAUACUAUUAUUUCAAAAAAAGAAUGUAAUAAAGAUUUGAUUCCGGUUCUUUAAUCUUUAUAGCAAUUGAAAAACAAUGUUGCUCUUUUCCUAAAGCAUAAAAUAUGAAAUGAGUCAUAAUUGAAUUAGUCAUUUAUUUUGUUUAGAUCUAAAUUUAGACAAUAAAUUUUGAUUUUUUUUUCAAUCCUAUCCUUAUUAUUAUUGUUAAACAGGUUACAGAGGUUUGAGGAAGUUGAAAAGCCUCUAUCUAUCGGAAGUUAAAAUUAGAGAUGGAAGCAAGUUGUUACAGUCAAUUGGAUCAUUCCCAUCCCUCAACACUCUUUACCUUUCGUCUAAUAAUUUUACGGAAACAGUGACAACUACUACUCAAGGUAAGUAAAAGGUAUAGAUGUGGCCAAAUUUAUAAACAAAUUGUUAAUUAAUUAAUUUUUCCGUAUUAUUAAUUAAGCUAAAUUUGUUGCUCCUUCCUUCUAAAUGUACACAGAGUUGCACAAUUUCACCAACUUGGAAUAUUUGACAUUGGACUCUUCCUCUAUCCAUAUAAGCCUUCUGCAAAGCAUUGCAUCAUUAUUCCCUUCAUUAAAAAAUCUGUCGAUGUCUAGUUAUGAAGUCAAUGGCGUCCUACGUGGUCAAGGUAAAAGAAAAGUGUUGAUUGUGAACUCGCUCAAUGGUGUCCUACGUGUUCAACAUUUUUAUUUAUUUAUUUUAUUGUUUAAUGUUUCUGCUAGGUUUUCCUCAUUUCAAGAGUUUGGAACUUUUGGAUAUGGAGUGCACGCGCAUUGCACUCAACACCAGCUUUCUUCAAAUCAUCAGUGAAUCGAUGCCUUCUCUUAAGUACUUAUCACUGUCAGAUUCUACUCUUGGCACUAACAGCAGCAAGAUUCUUGAUCGAGGUUAAUCAGAUGCUCCCACCCUCCCUUCUUAAUCUAUAAUAUUAAUUUUCAAUUAAAUAUUUAAUUACACAAACGAAUCACUUAUUAUAAAAGAAUAAUACGCAUUCAUUAAUUUCUAUAUUGAAUUAAUUGAUGAAUUUAAUAAUAUGCAUUUGUUAAUUUUUUUAUUGUACUGAUGGAUGAAUUAAUAAAUUUUCAGGCCUCUGUUCGCUGGUGCAUUUACAAGAGUUGUACAUUUAUAAUAAUGAUCUGAGAGGAAGCUUGCCUUGGUGCAUGGCAAAUAUGACAUCCCUCAGAAUAUUAUAUGUUUCUUCUAAUCAACUUACUGGAAGCAUCUCCUCAUCUCCCCUCGUUCAUUUGACAUCCAUUGAAGAGCUGCAUCUUUCAAACAAUCACUUCCAGAUCCCAAUUUCACUUGAACCACUUUUCAAUCACUCAAGACUCAAGGUUUUUUGGGCUAAGAACAAUGAAAUAAAUGCAGAAAUAACUCAGUCACCUUCUUUGACCGCCCCAAACUUCCAAUUAUCACGUCUCUCAUUGUCUUCCGGUUAUGGAGACGGUGUCAUAUUCCCCAAAUUCCUUUACCAUCAACAUGACCUGGAGUAUGUUGAUCUCUCACACAUGAAGAUGAAUGGAGAAUUUCCAACUUGGUUGUUGGAAAACAACACAAACUUAGAAUCUCUUUUUUUGGUUAAUGAUUCUCUUGCAGGACCUUUCCGGUUGCCAAUUCAUUCACACAAGCGGUUAAGACUGUUGGAUAUAUCCAACAACAACUUCCGAGGCCACAUUCCAGUAGAAAUUGGAGAUGUUUUACCCGGUUUAUUUUCUUUAAACAUUUCCAUGAAUGCUUUAGACGGUAGCAUUCCCUCUUCAUUUGGUAAUAUGAAAUUCCUCCAAUUACUGGACGUAACCAACAACCAAUUGACUGGUGAAAUCCCUGAGCACUUGGCUGUGGGUUGCGUCAACUUGGAGUAUCUUGCGUUGUCAAACAACAGCUUAGAAGGUCAUAUGUUCUCCAGAAACUUCAACCUGACAAACUUGAAAUGGUUACAAUUGGAAGGCAAUCACUUCGUAGGAGAGAUCCCACAAAGUUUGUCUAAAUGCUUCGUACUAGAAGGAUUGUUCCUUAAUAAUAACAGUCUUUCGGGUAUGAUUCCACGAUGGUUGGGUAAUCUCACAAGGUUACAACAUAUUAUGAUGCCCAAGAAUCAUCUUGAAGGUCCUAUUCCAGUGGAGUUUUGUCAACUUGAUUGGCUUCAGAUUUUGGACAUUUCAGACAACAACAUAUCUGGAAGUUUACCAUCUUGUUUCCAUCCUCUCUCUAUCGAACACGUUCAUCUUUCAAAAAAUAUGUUACAUGGACAAUUAAAAAGAGGUACAUUCUUUAAUUACCAUUCCCUUGUGACAUUAGAUCUUAGCUAUAAUCGCUUGAAUGGCAGCAUUUCGGAUUGGGUUGAUGGGCUUUCUCAGUUAAGCCACCUUAUCUUAGGUCACAAUAAUCUUGAAGGUGAAGUGCCAGUUCAAUUGUGCAAAUUGAACCAACUACAAUUGUUAGAUCUUUCUAAUAAUAAUCUUCAUGGUCCUAUUCCUCCCUGCUUUGAUAACACCACACUUCAUGAAAGUUACAGCAAUAGUUCUAGUCCUAAUAAGCAAUUUGAAAUAUUCUUUUUCAUCCAAGGCCCUCAGGGACAUGUAGAAAAGCAAAUCCAUGAAAAUUUUGAGUUCACAACAAAGAACAUUGCGUACAUUUACCAAGGAAAAGUGCUUAGCCUCCUAUCAGGACUUGAUCUUUCUUGCAACAAGCUAAUCGGUCAUAUUCCUUCUCAAAUUGGAAAUUUGACAAGGAUUCAAACAUUGAAUCUAUCGCACAACAACUUGACAGGAUCGAUCCCAUCAACAUUUUCAAACUUGAAGCAAAUCGAAAGUUUGGAUCUUUCCUACAACAAAUUGAAUGGGGAAAUCCCUCAUCAACUAGUGGAGUUAAAGACGUUGGAGGUUUUCAGUGUGGCAUACAAUAACUUAUCAGGCGAAAUUCCAGAAUGGAAAGCACAAUUUGCAACCUUCAACGAGAGUAGUUAUGAGGGAAAUACUUUUCUUUGUGGACUGCCAUUGCCCAUUUGCAAAUCACCAGCAACUACGCCAGAGGCUUCAAUUGGCAAUGAACGAGAUGAUAAUUUAAUUGACAUGGACAGUUUUUUUAUCACAUUUACAACAUCGUACGUAAUUGUGAUAUUCGGAAUUGUUAUUGUUUUAUAUGUAAAUUCUUAUUGGCGACGUAGAUGGUUUUACUUUGUUGAAAUGUGGAUAACUUCAUGCUACUAUUUUGUUGUAAACAAUCUUAUUGCAACAAGAUAUUGUCAUUGAAAUUAAUUAGCAGUUUAAUUACGAUUCUUUAAGUUCUAAUCAAGUUUGCUUAGGAAAUACAUUUAUUUUUAUUUUUUAUUAAAAUUGUAGUAGUAUUUAGCAUUAUAUAGCUUCCAACUUCCAAGCACUUCACAUUUGUCUCCACACUUCCAAACCCAUAUCUAUCCACCAUAACGUAUACUUCCCUAUACUGUGCAGCAUAAUUUAUUUAAGAGAACCAUCUCCAAUGUUUUUUUUUUUUUUUUGAAUACUGAUUAAUCAUCAGAUUACUGCAUUAUACAGAUAUUUACAACAACUGCUAUUGUAGAAGAGAUAUUAUACUGAUAUUUACAAUCAGAUAUACAUAAUUGGGACUUAUAUUAUGACAUUAAAUUCUAUGAAGUACAUGCCCAAACAAAUAACCUCUCACAAGAUAGGGAUGUCCAUACUCCACUCGCAUUUCGCAAGGAAGAAGGAUUUUGAAAUAUGAAGAACAUUUAGCCCCCACAAUGCUUUUAUGGGGGCUAGAACCGCUGCCCUCACAAUUCUUGUGAGGGCAGCAGCCCACCACUUCGGCCAUCUCCAAUGUUAAAAGCAGCCACUCUGUAACAUUCAUUUAGAAACUAUAUUCAGAAUAGUUUUAUAAUCAUACACAAGAAAUGAAACACCUAGAUGCACUUAAUCGCCUAUUUUACUUUAAAAAAUAAUGAUUAUGGUGCUAUCAUCAUCUUCUUCACUAGCAACAUUAACACCAAAUCCAACGAUGGACCCAGACAUUUUAUCAAGAAAGGUAUAUAUAUAUAUAAUAAAGUUGAAGCUUGACAAAAAAUUCAGGAAGAUUAAUGCCUCGCCACAACAAAGGGCACAACAACAUCAAAGUAGAGAUGAAGCAAUAUUCUCAAAGGUAAAACUCUCAAAUCCACCCACCAGAAUUUCAUAUCUCCUCGACAAUUUUAAGAACUAAAGAUAAUUAGGAUUUAACAUUAGUUUUUUAUAUAUUAGUUUCAUAAUUUACAAAUCAAUGCAGAUGAAGAUUAUGCUAAUGAAUUCAAAUUAUACCAUACAUUCUCUAGAUGUUACCAAAUAUUUCUAAAGUCAAUCCCACACAUUUCAUAAUUUUAAGACUAGAAAAUUUCAUUAGUUAGAAGUUUCAUUACCUUCAAGUGGAAGAUGAAGAACAUUGUACAAGUGAUUCAGAUUAUAUCAUACAUACUCCAAAUCCAACUAGAAAUUAACAAGUUCAUGCGCACAGAUUUCAUAACAUUAUGAUUGGAAAGUUUCACAAAGAGAAAUUCUAAAUUCAAUCUCUUGCAUCAAGGUAGUUUGAUUGAUUUGAGUUACUUUCUGAUCAAGCUACUAAUAUAACAUUCAAGUCAAGGAGAAAGUAAAUUAAAACUGGGAAAAAGUAACAGUAAAAAUUUGUUGCUAAACAUGAUGUGUAUUUUUUUUUUAAAGCAAUUUGGAAACACAGUUGUUACUACAGAUAUUCUCCUCAACUUGGAGAUAAAUACAAAUAUUAAAAUGCAUUUGAUCGCACAUAUUACUUAGAGCUUAGUAAGAUUUCAUUAAGAGAAGCAAUCAAACCACUUAUCAAUUGUUGCAGUCAUUCUAUAAGCUAAAAUAGCAAUAUAAUACAAGAAAAAGAACAUAUAGAUACUUGGCAAGAGUUCAUUAAGAAGUCGCAUCACAUUCGGGUGAGGAGUUUGCUUCUGAUAUCUUGCUAGCUGGGGCUUUUUCUUGUCUUUCUACGUAUGCCAAGGGAAACCAACCAGCUUGGCCCUUGCAUUCACCUUCCGACCAUCCAAUAGGAGCCACCUUGAGAAGUUAUAACUAAAACGGUGAAUUAAACAAAAGUUGACCGUUCAAAGACCUAAGGGGAAAACUAAUUCUUUUACGUAGGGGGAGUGAAUUAGUUGUGAUCACUGAAAUAACAGCAUAACUAUGGAAGCAUAACAAGAUAUAAAUUCACAUGUCUAUAAGGGUAAACUGGGUGGUUUAGAACCGAGCUAGCAACCCUACUAUAUUCUGAUUUGCACUUCAAUGUAAAAGGGAAUAUAUGGUAGGAAGAAAGAAAACCAACCAUCAUUUGUUAACUCAUUGCUUUUCAAUCAAAAUUUUAAGAACAAAAUGCCAUGUGCCUUGAACAUCAAAUAAGUAUAAGCAUUAGUUCUAAAUUCCACAUAUCAUAUGUUAAUAGCAUAGUAGAAAAAUCUAUGUGUUGUUAUUUAGAGGGGAAAGUACUUGGCGAACCACAACAUAAUCAUCAAUUGAAAGACUUAGCUCUCCAUUUGCUUGAGCAUCAAAUGGAUGUAUAACCUGCAAGAUAAUGGGAUAAAUAGAACUUAAUCUUAGAAAAAGCAUAACAAAAGCAGCAACAGUAGCAGCAGCGUUCAUUGUAACCACUAUGAUCAUGGCCAACAAAGAUAUAUUAGAAACAAAAUUCCAUUUUUACUACAACCUUAAUAUGUACUAUAUGAUAUCAUGACGAUUGGGUUACCAAGAGCUAUUAAAGUCCAAUAAGUUCUGUAUAACUUUAUGUAGUUAUUUAAAUUAUGGAUCAGAUUUUAAAUCUGAAAUUUUGACUGCUCUCCACAAAACAUGGCCUAUGCACAAAAAAGUCAUAGAUAAUGAGGAUUACAAAUGUCUGACAUCUUUUGAGUGAUGGAUUUAACAUGAGAGCUUAUGGUCAGUCAAUUUCCUCUGCCUACCAAUAUAAGCUUUCUCGGCCAGAUUUAUCAUCAAAUACAUAGAUUGCCCCCAAGUCACAUCCAUACAAACAUAGUUUUUCUAGGUAAACCAAGUAAGGAGAAUCAUAAUUCAGACAUAAUCAUAAAAAGGUCCAUCUAACUUAAGAGAAAAUCUCAAAAAGAGGGAUGUUGAGCUAUCAGUCUUGUAUCUAUAAGCAAUAUCAAGACUUUACAUCACCUGCUACAUCGUGAGUGGCUACACAACUUUCAGUGGUUUGUCUUUCUUUGGCAUGCCUAACUCAGCUUUGAUGUUGCUGAGAUAUUGAUAGUAGAGACACUUGAUACUUCUAGCUCAUGCAUUCUAUCUAGCUCAUCCGACAACUAUCUCUUUUUUAAUUCAUUAGUGUUUGCGAAACCUCAGGCUUAAAAGUCCUGUUCUCCUAAACAAAGUUUCCUAAGAAUGACUUCCUCAGCACCACAUUUGGACACUUUUAGAGCAAUUUUAUUUGGGGGAAAAGAAUUUUCAAGGUGUUAACUAAUAAAUUUUAAAAAAUAAUUACAAUUUGUCCUACGAUUAUAUGACAAUUUACCUAUGUGGCAAAUAAAAGGGUGAAAAAAUAUGAUAUUCUCUAAAAGACUUUUCAAAUAGAAAUAAAUUAAUAUUAUUUUAAUCAUAUAAUUAAUUUUUUAAAGGAAAAGUCAAUAGCAAUUAAAGCACUUCUCUCUCUUUCUUCAAUGAAAAAUAAUAAAAUAUAAAUUGAAGAGAGAUAAAUUAACUCUCCAAAUUUAAAGAGAGAGAAUCAAUUCUUAUUUGAAGAAUCUUAAUUGGAGUGUCUUUUGGAGCUUUAAAUAUUGAUGUGGCUCUUCAAAUAAGUAAUAAAAUCUUAUUUGAAGAACUUUUUGGUGAUGCUCUAAGAAGUGAAAAUGAUGAGAGCCCUGAUUCCCUUUUGACUUCCAUUUACUGUCAAACAUUCUAGCAAUACAAAAAAUUGUUUAGAUAUCUUGCUAUAAAUAUAGCCGUUUGACUGUCAUAAUAAAGUCCCAAAUAACCAUUCAUAUUGAUCCACUGUCACACAGCAUGCUUUAUGCAUACAACAUCUGUAUGCAUACCAACUCCUAACCUUAUCAAUACAUUUGGCAAAAACCUAAGAAGAAAACUAUUUCUCCAUCUCUUUUUUGAAAUUUCACAAUAAACCAGCACAUUGUGAAAGCUAUGUUCUAAUCUUAUGAUAAAUGCUCUAGACUCCAAAAGGAUUUUAUAUAUGAGAGUUUGUUGCAGUAGAUAUAUUGACUUAUCAAGUAUGAAUCAUUGUCUGGAUGAACUAUCUUUAAAUAAAAGAACAUUAGAACCACUGUAGAAUAUCUUUACGCUGCUGGUUGUGGCAACAAUUGCUAGAUCCACAAUUCCCCAACUUCAAAUACAUAGUUGCACACCAUGAGAUAGUGCUACAAUCUACUGAGAUCUAACUUAUAUGAUACUUUAAGCUACUAAUGUUUGCAUAUUUCUACAUGUUAAAUUAACACUACCAUCUAUAAUCACUCCAAAACGACAAAUGAUAAGCAGCUUUUGGCUACUUAUUACUAGCAUCCACAAUUAUAAAUAAGAGAUCAUGGGUUUACUUGUUGCACCUACUUAAUGAUCUGCAGUUGAGACCCUGACGCAAGGUUUAAACAGUCACUGCUUAGAACCCUUGUAGUUGGAUCUUGACCUCUCCCAUUGUAGCCAAGAUUGGCUACUCUGGUAAUGAAUCAACACUCUCCUGCUCAGGGCCAUGAAGAUCUGGAAGCUCAGCACUAGUGGAGAACUUCAUCAAUCUCUUCUUCUCAGCAUACUUGAGACAAGGCUGCAUUACGAGACCAAUCACCACAGCACCAAUGCUUAAAGCUGCAACUUUUAAAGUAGAAAGAGCCAACACAACACAAAUCAAUAUGGUUGGAGGAAUACACAUGAUAAUGGCUCCAACAGUGCCAGUGGGUAUCUUGUAAGGACAAGAUGCAGCAGGAUAUUGUAUCCUUAACCAUAUAAAUGCUAUAAACUCCAUAAUCAUUCCAAAACAGUACAGGAAGUUCUCUGCAGCUACAAUAUCUUGAAAGCUCAGCCAUGAUAGCAAAACCACACCAGAUGCUGAGAAUAUGAUUCCAAUCAAAGGAGUCCCAUAACGAGACCUCUUAGCAAAAACCUCAGGUAGCAUUCCACGCUCAGCCAUCCCCAAAAGCUGGAAAGAGUCGCUGCUCAUCUCAGCUACAAACAUGCCCAUAUUCGACAUUGCUGCAGCCCCCUGGAUCCACCAUCUCAACCAAACUCCACCAAGCACUUUAGCGAUAUCUGAAAAGUAACCAUCGGUCCACAAGUCGCGAUCUAAUGGAAUAGCUCCAGUUCCAACUAGAAGGGGAAAGAAAUACCCAAAAAUGACCAAGAUCAAAGCAUUAAACAAAGCCUUUGGAAGAGUCUUCUUUGGGUUAUCCACCUCUCCAGCUAGUGUACUUAUUGAGUCCCAGUAGUUGAGAUUCCAAAACAGGGUGUUCAAAUACAAAUUCCAAUCCACUUCACCUAAAUUUACUACAAGCCAUCUUGAAGGCUCUAACUUGGGAAGGGACACAAGUCCCAUAACCACAAAAGGAAGGAGUGAGAAAAUCCCUAAAAGAACAGCAGCCCAUCCCACAAUGGUUAGACCCCUAUAGUUCACGUAGAACAAAAGUCAAAGCUAACGCCACAAAGGCUCUAGGUAACCCAUUGCCCAACGCAGGGAUACCAGACUUCAAGUAGUCAAGAAACAGAACUGGGUAUAAAGCAUUAUCAAUAACCCCACUUAGCCAUUUCAUCCAACCUUGCUGAAAACCCCAAUAUGGGCCUAAGGCAGAUGAAACCCAAACCACAUAACCACCAUUUUCAGGAAACAUGGUACCCAUCUCGGCAGUAAUUAAAGCUUCAGGGACACUCCAUAUAAUCGGAGACACCAAGAAACCGAGAAGUGCUAAAAGAGGACCAGCUGCCUUUACACUAUCCUCAACACCAAACGGCCCUCCAGAAACCUCAUAGAGUAUAAGGAAAAUAAGUGGCAAGAUCGAUACUUUUCUAGUUCCAUAGACUCUAGGAGAAGAUGGUUGGUCAUUGAUAUUAACAUAUUCAACAACAUCAGACUGCCCCAUUUCUACUGAAACUUGCCUAUUCACAGUGCUCCUCAAUUUCUGCAUCAAGUUUAAGCAUAACUAUCAAAAGGGUAUCCACAUCUAAAUUAUGAAACAAAAUGAGCAUUUACUUAUUAAAAAAAAAUCAAAAAACAGAAAUGGAUUUCGCAGAGCACAUGAAUUUAAGUUCAACAUUAAACAGGCGCUUAAGAAAACAAAAGGGUCUGUUCGUAAAGCCAUCAGAUUGCAAGAUUGAACAAACAUUAAGGGAAUCAAUAGAAUGGAUGUAAAGAGAUCUGAAAAGAAAAUAAAAUAAAAGAUGAAGAGAGAUAAAACGAACCAUCAAAUAAGUGCAUGCAGAGCAGAGAGCCAGAUGCUAGGGAAGCUCCGUCAUGUUAGAGAGAGCCUAAAUCAAUCAGAGCUCAUUGAGUUUCUUUCAACUGACCGGCAAAUUUGGAGCAUCAUAACAUAAAAUUUUUGCUUUUAAUUUUUGGCACUCCUUCGAAUGGAAUUUUUUGUUUUUAAAAAAUAACGAAAUCAUAAAAUAAAUAAACACGUGUUUGGUUUUGGGCAUUUUCUUUUGUUCAUUUAAUAUCACCUGGCUCCCUGAUUUUUGACUAAUUAUCAACCGAAUCCUGUUAGUUUCUAAAUUGAAAUAAUAUUAGGUCAUGAGAUUAUUUACUCCAUUUAGGAUUCCUCCCACUUUAGUGUUUACUUAUUAAUUUUAAGAGAGUGCGAAUCCCACUCUAUGGGACUCAUUCUUUUUUGGAGUGUAGAGUGGGAUUCCCACUCCCAUGGGGGGAGGUGAGAGUGGGAAUCCACUCCCCCCUCUUCCAUUUUUAUCUUUAUAUUUAAUUUAAUAAAAUAAAAUAAUAUCAUAUUUACUUAAAUAAUAUUAUUAUAUUAUUUUAUAAAUUAUACUUAUUAAAAAUAAUAAUUUAUAUUGAUUCUAAGUUAAAAUUACUUAAAAAAAUAUUAUUAUACUCAUAGAGAAUUAAUAAUAUUACUAUAUACUCUUUUUAUUUGAAAAUAUAAUAUUAUUAUAUUUAUUUAAAAAUAAUAGUAUUAUAUUUAUUUAAUAUUAGUAAUUAAUAAUAAUCAAUAUUUUAUUCUGAGAAAAUAUUAAUUUUGUAUUAUAUUAUUAAUAAUAAUGUUUCAUUUGUGUUGCUCUUAAUAAUAAUUUUUUAUUUACAUAAUUAAAAUUAAAUUUAAUAAAAAAAUUAUUUACAUAAUUAAGAAUAUUAAUAAUUAUUAUUAAUUUACAAAUAUAAUAAAAUAAAUAUUUUAUUUUUCAAAUCUAUUUUUUAUUAAUUUUGUAAUUAAAAACUAUAAUUCUUUAAAUAAGGAUAAAACUGUAAUUUAAAAUUAUUUACUCCCAAAUCUAUGCUCUCAUUCCAGUGUAAGUAAAUAACUUACUCUCACUCCCACUCCACACUCCUAAUCCCAGGAUUCUUAUUUCAAUCCAAAAUGUAAACGCAGCAUUAGCACGGUAGACUUACUUAUAGUAUAUAAUACUAUUGAAAAAGCUUUGUCAAAUAGUAGUAAUAGGAGCAUAAGAAAAAGUUCUUCAGAAUUUAGAUAACGCACUUGGCUCUAGGAAGAUUGCCCUCUUAUCACUCGAGUUAGGCUUUUGGCUUAGAGUUGAGUAAAUCAUUAAAAUAAAUUAUAGCUAUCACAAAUUGUUAGGAAAAUUUCAAUUUUUUUUCCCAUCAAAUGUCUAUGAAGCAAAAUUUUCUUAGCUUAUAUUGCAACACUAAUACUUCAAAUCCUGACAAUAAAUUUGAUGACAGUUGUUUUUUUGUAUAGUAAUUGUCACUCUAUUGUUUAGUUUAAAAGUAGUUCUUAAAAUGAUAAUGAUGACUUAUUUAGAACAAAUGGUAAACUUGUAGUUUGUAAUAUUAUUUGUACAAACAAUAAAGACUAAUUUGAUAAUAAUCUUUCAAAGAAUAAAUUACUAUUUAACAUUUUAAAUUAAUUUCUAAAUUUAAAACAAAUAUGAAAGUUGAUUGCUUCGAAGGUUGGAUCGUGACAAAUUGACAAUUGAAAAGAGGAGGGAAUAUAUAUUUUGAUGAAAGGGACAAGAUUAAGCAAGGGGACAAUAUUUUCUAUUGGACCUACAAAUAGGGGGAAAGAUUUAUAUAUUUCAAAAUUUCUUAUUUGUGGAUUGGCCAGCACGUGUAACUAAUAUAAAAGGAGAAAAUUUGUCAUGGUUUUAACCGAUAUAAGAAGAGAAAAUUUUGAGUGCACAACAAGAACGAAGCAAAACUAGGGUUGGCAGAAAAGCCCGGGCCGGCCCAGGCCCGCAUCGGCCCGGGCCAGGCCCGCGGGCUUUAAGCCCGGCCCGUGGCUUGAAAUUAUGGGUAAGGGCUCAAAGUUAAUAAAGCCCAUAACAUAUGGGCUCAGUCAAGGACCUAAAUGAAAAGUCCGGGCUUAAGCCCGGGCUUUAUAAUAAAUAAUAAAUAAUAUAUAUAUAUAUAUAUAAUAUUAUGGAUAAUGGCUUUAUAUAUAUAUUAAAAAAUGUAUAAUAUAUUAUAAAAUUGAAAAAAUAAUUAAACAAAAUAAUAAAAAAAUCGGGCAAAGGGAAAGGGCAAAGGUUUUGUCACAAAAUGUCAAAAUUCCUAAAUCGGUAAAUCUCUAUUAGUUUUUUUUUUAUAUUAGUGGUUGAUUUGUACGUUGUGUACGGUAUUUGUAUUGUUAGUAUUUUUAUAUUUUGUGUUGCUAAUCAUGUAUUAGAGAAUUAUAUUUAAGUUUUUAGCCUAUUGUAGUAUUAUGUAUUGGUUAAUUAUGUUUUGAAAAUUUAUAAUUUUAUUUUUUAAAAAAAAAUUUUAAAAUUUCGUAAAAGCCCGGGCUUGGCCCGCGGCCCGGCCCAGACCCGUCAAGGCCCGGCCCGCCCAAAGUCUGCUCAACUUGGAUGGACUUUAAGAGGGCCUGGACUUAUUUAACAUUAUAUGGGCCUGGUCCUGAGCUUGAUAAAGCCCGGCCCAGGCCCUUAAAUUGCCAACCCUAAGCAAAACCCAUGAAAAUUCACCUUGUGGGUUGGAUUGGAUAAAAUCAAUAUCUUGAAUCAAACAAAAUGUUUGGUACAUUAAGGUUUUGAGUGUGUGUAAUGAGCAAGAAUCUACAUAAGGAUAUUUUAGUAAAUAUAAGAAAAAGGGCUCAAGGAAUGGCCUAGAGAUAGAAGCCCACAGCCCAUGAGUGAUGAGAAUACAAUUUAACCAUUCAAACUAAUUAGAAGCAAAUUAUUUCAUAUCUUUCGUUAAUUUUUCCGCUUACUUACUUAGCAUCCAAACAAGUUAAAGUUAAAACACUGUUGAGACAACAAUAUGCAGGCAUCAAUAAGCAUGGCAGUUUUUUAUAUGUAUUCUACACGAUAUUCUGGGGAUGUCAAUUGUAGAACAUUUUGCGGCAACUUUUUACAUUAAUUAAUGUUUGAAGAAUUUGUUAAAAAAGGGUAAUUUUAUCAUUUUGAAAGAGAAAAAAAAAAGUAAAAGUGGCGUUACCUCAUGGUCAUUAGAGACUUGUUGCAAUGAUAGCUCAAAAUUAACAAUUUGUGAAGAGUUAGUAGACGAUGCCGAUGUUGUCGUCGUCACUUUUGUCGUCGCCGCUGUUGUUGAAUUCAUGCUUAGAACACAACAAGAGAAGAAGAAGGGAGGAAAGGGAAGAGAAGAAGAGAGAAGUGGUGGAUAGCAAAUAUGAUAUGCUAGCUACACACCCGCCUUAGAAUUUUUUUUUUGUGUUUAUUAUAUUUUUGUUUUCGUUAUUGUUUUGUCAUAUACUUUCGGUGUAGCAGUGCCUUACAUCAUAAAUUGCACCUUUUAGGAGAGGUGGUAAAAAACGUGAGGGCACUGCGCUCCAGCGCAUACAUAUAGAAAGAGCUUCUUAAUUUUAAAAAGUUUCUUUAUUUCUUCCACAUUUUUGUGCUUAAAAUAAAAUUUAAUUGUAUUUUGCAUUAACUUAGAAAAAAAAUCCAGUUCUAUACAUAAACGCAUGCAUUAAUUAGAAAAUGAGUUUUACUAACGCAAAUGUACAAUAAAAGAGAUUCUUUUUGUAUAUUGGAAGUAACAUAACUAUUUAGUAUAAAAUGUAAAUAUAAGCUACCAAGAAUUUGCACUUGUGGUAAUUAACGACACAGAUUUUGAACUAUGAAUGUUUUGUGGCUGGUUUGAUUGGAUUUUCGAGUUUUCAGCAAACCUAUCUCAAUAAUUAUUAAAUUAUUUUCACUUCUUACGCCUUAAUAAAAAAAAUCAAUAUUUUUCUGGUCUAUUCUGUAUUUUAAAACUUAAUUUUAAUUUUUAUAUUGCAAACCAAAAUGAGUCAACCGGAGUAUGCUCUUCAAAGAAAUUUUCCAUUGCCUUCAAGAAGAAUUUAUUUUAUUUUUAUACAUUAAUUUAACAUUUUUUCAUUCACUUGUAAACCGGGCCGUCGGAUUGCACAUAAAGCAAAUGAUCAAACCGUUACAAGACCAGCCCGGACCCACCGACUGUCAUUUUCUUUCAUUUGACCAUUAAAAGCUUUUGACCACCCCCACCAAAUAAAUAAGCUCUUGUUCUCUUUUGUUCCCUCUCAAAGGAAAAAAAAUAUCUGAUCACCGGAUAAUGAUUCCGGUGACACAAAAUAUCAAAACACCCCCCUAAAUUCCCUUAAAUUUACAAUAAUACCCCACCAUGGAUGAUUCUGUUGAAAUGCUGCCUUACAGUGAAAGGCCUAAGAAGGGUUUUAACUUCACACCCAUGCGCUUGAUCUUAACCCUCGUUUUCCCAAUUUUAACUUUCUUUUCGUUGGCAUUUUUGAUUGGGAUCGUUGCUGUUUUAUUCGGCGAAUCAUCAGUUUCGAGUUCCAUUUUUGUCCCUUCCCAGUGCAAGAUAGUGUCCAGCAGUAAGCUUUUUCAAAAUUUUCAAUUUUUUUACCUUAAUGAAGCUAAAAAGUUUUAUUAAUUUUUUUUUUUGAAUGAUUUUGCAGGUGUUGAUAUAAGGUCAUCAAAGGUUUGUGAACUUGGGGUGUUGAAUUAUAAGGCGAAGCGUGUGUUUUAUCCAUUUGAAGCAAGUAAAUUUCGCUGUCGAUAUGAUUACUAUUGGGCUUCUAUCUUCAAGGUAUUCAUACAUUUUCUCAACUUUAAUUACUUACCUGUACUAUAAGCUUCUUAGUGGCGGUCUUGUUUUGUGUUUUGAUGAAUGUGUUUAAGGGUCAGUUUGGGAAUGCUGGUAAUAGGAUGUUGUUAGUGUUUGGCAGUAAAUUUGCUAUGCAUAAUUCAGCAAUGUGCUUGAUUUUGGUUAUUGUCUUUAACAAUUUUUAGGUAGAGUACUUAGAUCAUUCACUGGGACAAACGCAGAGCUUGGUUGACCAAAGAUAAGUUCCAGGUUGGGGUCGGCAAUGCAGAGCUUCUGCGUGUAUUAAAAUUUGAAGCCUAGUAAAUGAAUUUCUAAUUUAUUUAUAGUGUUUGUUUUAUCUUGACAGAAAUGAAUGCUAACUCAAGAUUUUCCCAACUUUAAUUACUUACCUGUACUAUAAGCUUCUUAGUGGCGGUCUUGUGAGCGGAAGUGAGCGGUGUGGCUGACAGCUUCUUGAAAAUUAUAAGUUUGAACAGAGCAUGUUAGACUUUUGUUGACCAAAUUCGAAAGCCAAAUGGCACAGCUCAGAAGCUUUUGAAUUGAAUAACUUACGAGAAAGCUCCAAUUUUUUGUUGGCUACAGUAAAAGGAUGUUGUUUUAUUCUUCUUAUACUUUACGCUUGCAUCAGCUUAAAUCACUUCUUAAACGCUUUGCUUUAACUCCACUGCUUCGUACUGUUCUAUAUAUGUAUCGGGUAUGCGGUCGUAGUUCACGGCUGAGACUACGUGUUUGUUUGACGUGGUAGUUACGUUACGAGUCUGUUAAACAUUCGGUGAUUAAAGUAUUAUCGGUUAUUCCAAAGGGACAAAUAAGAUUAGCUGCAACACACCCACUAGUUUUAUAAAAUUCGAAUGAGAUGGAAUAAAAUAAAAAAAUAAAAAAGUAAAUUGACUUUUAAUUUUAGUGGUUGAAUAUAUUUUGUAUUCUCUUAGGGUACUGCUGUAAUUAUUCCUUAAACGUCGUCAUACUCACAUAUAAUAGACACAAGAAAUGAAAUCUAAGAUCACCUGCUUAGUUAAAGAAUCAUCAUGAAAAAAUUUUGCCAUUUUGAUUUGAGGAUCCACAUUUUAAACAACCAACUUAUGUUCAUCAAGAACAGAGUAUGAAUUGUGAGUAGAAAAAUUAUUUUUGGACAAAUUAUUUUGUUAAUAGAAGAAUGUCUCAAGGGACUAUUAAAAUUACUAAUAAAAAUGUCAGACACACCCACGUACCAUCGACACAAUUGAUUAUGAGGAUCCAUGUUUUGAACUGCCUCCUAAUGUUCAUCAAGAACAGAGUCAAUUGAAGGAGAAUAUGCUACUUUUUCAUUAAGAAAGGCAGACGGGGCAUACCAUGGUACCAUACAAUACAAAAAAUCUCCGUUCUCUGACUUUUCAAACUCUGAAGGGGGCAAUAUUCCCCAAUUCCUUUGUGAAAAUUCUGAUUACGACAUUAUUCAUCGCUUGAUACAUAAGUAAAAGUAGUGACAAAAUUAGAAAAAUUAUGAUUCAUAAGUAAUUACUAGGCAGGGCUCUUGAGAGCAACAUUGUCCUAGGCUUUAUAUGCAUACAUGGUGUGGCCACACCAUAACACAAACCCAGAAAGACAAGUAAUAUCUCAACUGAUAUAAAGACAAAAAGAAGAUAAAAUGAUACAGAACAAAGAAUUUCUAAGAGACAACAACAUACAAUAGACUGAAGCCAGUUGAUCUGCUCAUUGAUUGCAGCCUUAAACUUGCAAACGUUUACUGUAGCCUGGUGCUCUAAGAAGUGAAAAUGAUGCAAACCUUGAUUCCAUGUUUACUUCCAUUUACCAUCAAACAUUCUAUUCAUAAGAAAAAAAAUGUUUAGAUAUCUUGACGUAAAUAUAGCCAUUUGAUUGUCUUAAUAAAGCCACACACAACCAUUCAUAUUGAUCCACAUUGCCAUAUAGCCUGAUUUAAGCAUACAACAGCUGAAUGCAUACUGACUCCUAACCUUAUCAAUACAUUGGCGACAACUUCAGAAGAAAACUAUUUCUCCAUCUCUUUUUUGAAAUUUCACAAUAAAACAGCACAAUGUGAGCUGCAAUGAAAAUGGACCGUCUGGAACUAUGGCGGAAGCUUCAACUAGUGUAGUGAAUAUAAACCUAUAAUUGGAACAAACACAGCCACAGAACCCAAGAAUGACACACCCUACACCGCGGGAGAAGCUUUCCAGUGAGAUUUUAUUGAUGAUCAAAGAAGAAUCUUUUUACAAAGCUAACAAAAGAGAUUUCAGAGAAUAAGCUAUGACCCUCUCUCUCUUCAAUCUCUCUCUAGUUUGUUCACAGUGAUGACCCCAAUCUGCUUCGUUAGCCAGCUUCAUAACUGCGUCAGUGACAAACUAACAAACCCAGAUUGAGCAGAUUACCGACACGUGGAUAACGGCUUUUAAGAACUUGGUUAAAGAACUGCUCACAUAUUCGUCACGGGUGUUACUUAAAUGAUGGCCAAAACGACUUCAACCAGAUGCCGUUUUGAAGCUUGUGAAUUAUAAUUGAAAACACGUGCUUGUAUCGUGACACUUAAAUGCAACAACAAGCCCAAAACACUGCCGUUUCACUUUGUUCAGUUUGCCAUCUCUAAGCUUCACAACUAGCAACGGAGAAGAUGAUAAUUAAAUUGACAUGGAGAGUUUUUAUAUCACUUUUACAACAUUCUAUAUAAUUGUGAUAUUGGGAAUCGUCGGUGUUGUAUAUGUGAACUCUCGUUGGCGACACUAGUGGUUUUAUUUUUGUUGAAAUAUGGAUGACAUUUCGUUACUAUUUUAUUGUACACAACCUUAUUCUUAGGAGAUUUAAUCAUUGAAAUUAACAUGUUAGUUUCAUUAGCCACUAGGCCUUUGGCUGAGUCGUUCGGGUGUCUGCCCUCCAACUUGGAGGGCAGCAGUUUGAACCCCCACAAGCGCAAUGUGGGGUAUUUCCUUCUUUAAUCCCUCGAAUAUUACUGAGGGUUAAAAUCUAGGUAGAGUUCCAUAAGUAUUAAUGUAAGUUGGUUCCAGUAAUAGUCUAAUUUGUAAAUAUCAGUUAUAGUCUCAUGUAAGAUGAGUUGUAAUUUGAGCAAUAGUCUCAUAUAAUAAUAAUAAAAUAAAAUAAACAUGUUAGCUUCAUUACAUUUUUCUUCGUUAAAAUUCUCAAGUAUUAGUCAGGUUUGCUUAAGUAAUAAAAUUUUGUCAUUAAAAUUGUAGUAGUAUUUCUGAGCACCUCACAUUUUCAAUGAUUGUUCAUAAAUCAAUUAAUCUGCCGUACCGAUAUUAGGUUUAGUUUUUCAUACUAAAUAAUCAAGAAAGCAAACAUACAAAUUCACAGUUUAGAGGGGUAAACUAGGUAGGUGGUUUAGAUUUUAGAACUAGGCUAGCUACCCCACUAAAUUCCAAUUUGUACAGUGAACUACAAGAAAUUGAGAAAACAGUGUAUUUAUAGUUUAAUUGAAUCGUGAGAAAGCAAUGUAGUCAUAGCUCAAUCUGAGAUGAUCACGGAGAGGCAUAUUCUUUUCAAGUUAAUUUGAUCAAUUUAUAAGAGAUGAAGUGGAUUGAAGUUAAAAGUUUAAAUAACAAAUCCUUGUUCUUGAGUUUUACGACGUCGUUACUCCUUCAAGAGGCAGAUUAUUUAUGCAAGUGAAUGCAGAAACGCAAUGCAUCAUCCACGGGGAUGGUACACCAAAAGGCGGGAUCAUAGUCUAUGCCCGCAGAUUAACAAUUUCGCUCAUAUAGAAAAUUAAUUUUUUAUAUAUACUAAUCAAUACUAAAUUGAUUAUGUUUUGUAUGUUUAUAUGCGAAUCAACACUAAAUUAUAUUAAAUGAAGAAAUAAUUCAAUUUUUUCUAAUUUAAUUUAGAAAAUAAAAUUAUUAACAUUAAUAUUCCCAACAAAAAUUAUUUUCCAUUAGUAUUCAAAGCUUCACUUAUGGAAAAUGUGUUUUACAUGAAUAUUAGUUACUGUGUAAAUUUGAAUGAUAGUGAAAAAUAAUUUUUUAAUUAUUGUAAAAAUAAUUAACCAUAUCAAAUCCCUUACGUAAAUAAUUUUUAUUUUUCAAAAAGGUAGAAAGAUGGUUAAUGCACAAGCAAAUUUUAAGCCCCUCUCUUCUUGGCCUAAGAUUCAAACUCAGAUGACUAGUUAAAUAAACCUAUGUGAAAAUCAUUCGGCCAGGUCCGCGGGGCAAAAAUACAAGAUCCUUAAUUUCAUAAUAUAUAUGAAUUAAUGUCAUUUACUUGAAUUAUCCAAAUUCAUCAGAGGUUAACGAGUUUUCCUGACAUGUAGCAGAUGAAGUUGUUGCUUCCUUCUUGGCAUUAUUUCAGCUCUGGUUGUUGGUCCCGAUGAGCUUUAGUCUUAUUUUAAUUUUAUUUAAACUCAUCAUAAGAUUCGUGAAGCACCUAACUGACUUAACUGACUGUGCAGAAAUGUCACAUAGCAUAUUUAACCGUUUUAACAGUAAUUUUGAACGGUCUUCGCAGUUAUCAUCUACAAACUCGUUCGUGUUGGUCCACUAGGUGAAGUUUUUGAAAUAAUAAUAAGCUCCCAUUCUUGAUUUUAAAAAAUGUGCUUAUAAUAAUUUUAGAAUAAUGGCUUAUUUAUAGAACAACUUAUGAUUUCCCAUUAGCAUUAUUAUUGAAGUGGGGUGGAUAACGGUUCACUCAAUUCGUCGGGAAUCAAAAAUUACCAUCCAAGGCAGAAUUGUGGAAAAUUAAAGCGAAAUGAGAAAUAUGGAAAUGAAGGAAGAAAGUUAAGGCAUGAAAGACUUCCAGUUGAAAUUGAUAAUCAUGUUUCUCUUUGGUAACUAAUCAAAUGGGAAACUGAACCAUAAACAGACAUUAAAACGUGUGGACUCCGCUAGCUGCCUUACAAGCCUACAAUAAUAACUGAGUACCUUUGAUUCAUCCUUCUAUGAAUUUCUAGCCGUAUUGACUCCACCGAAAUUUCCACAAAAAAAAAAAAAAAAAGAAUUUCCACAAAAUGCAAAACGCAUGGAACUUAAUUUUUGGCCCUGUGAUCACUAAGAUACAAUCCUUCUAGUGAAGAGCAAUCAGGCAAAUUUUUUUAGAUCUCUCCGACAAAGUGAUUACCAUCUAAUCGCAAUAUUGAAUAAAAAUAAAAAUUUUAAUGGGAGUUUGACCUUAAAUUUAGAAAAUGAAUUUUCACUUUCUUCAAUUAUUAAACAGAUUACAUACAUUUGAGGAAUUUGAAAACACUUUAUCCAUCGACAGUUAAAAUUAGAGAUGGAAGCUAGGUGCUACAGCUAAUGGGAUCAUUAAUUCCCCUCCCUCAAAUGUGUAGUUGUUCCUCUUUCCACAGCAUAAGCCUUAUAGUUAGAGUUUCUUUAAAAAAAAAAUGUUAAACAAUUUCGGUUGAGCAUGGUUUUGGUAGUUGAAUAGACACCUCCGCCGUACCUCAAACAAAACUGUCAUUAUUCGUGCCAUGAAACAUGUUUCGGCCGUCAAAGUCAUGAGUAGGAGUGUGCAUGGGUUGGUUUGGGUUAGAUUUUAAGUCAAUUCAAAGCAAACCAUAAAAAUUUGGGUUCAAUCCAAAUCAACCCAAAUAUUUUUAACCCAACCCAAACCAACCUAUUUGGGUUUGGGUUUGGAUUUUAUAAUUAAAAUAUUUUUUAUUUUAAUAAAUUUAACUAUAUCAAAUUAUAAUAAUUAUUAAAUUAAUAUUAAAAUACGAAAAAAUGUAGUGGAUAAAAAUUAUGAAUAAUGGAUUUUACAAUAACUUUGUUCUUAAAUAUUAACCAUAUUACAACAUAAAUUCUAACAAUGUCAAUACAAAUUAAAGUAAGAUAAGAUAUCUCAACUCAAGUAUCAAAGCAAUCCAUCAAAAUUAAAUUAUUUAAUUUUAUAAAUUUAAAUUUUCCGAGAAAUAAAUCUAAAAUUUAUUGUAAUUAGAAAAAGCGCCAAAAUUUUAAACGCAAUAAGAAAAAUUAGACAUAAAAUCUAAUUAGGUUUAAAUUUAAUUAAAAAAUAACAAUAGAAUCAUAUUUUAUUUGAUAAAAUCUUAAAAUCAAUUUCAUUUUUUAUUUUAAUAAGUUACAAUACAAAUAGGAUUAUAAAAUUAUAUUACAGAAUUUCAUAAAAAUAUUGUUUGAGUAAUUUAUUAAAGGACUCACCUACGUUGCCACAGUUGUAGCUUACCACGCUUUUUGUCUUUUUCCAGUAAAAUCGUAGAUGCUUUCAAAUUUAAUCUAACGGCUGCAAUUAAUUAUUAGAUAAUUUAAUCAGCCAUUGGCAACCUUUACAACCGGUUAUAUUCUCUCGUUACAUUUCUCGGCUACCAAAUAAUCCCCAAGAAAAUGACGAAGUGAGUAACUAAUACGCACACCGCAGAGAAAGAUGACAGGAGAAGAGAUGACGGUAGGCUCACCGGCACAAAGGUUCUUCGAUUGCUCUAUUUCUUCGGCGCUGGAUUUAUCUACACAGCUACAAUCGACAAGUGGCGGGAACUCGAGCAGAAGUCAUUGAAGAAGAAACAGCAAGAGAGCAAUCUAUGGACUGAUGAUAACUCAGCAACUACGGUAAAGAAAGCCGUCAAAUGAUCUUUUUUAUUUGACUUUUGAUGGAUUUUCAAGAGUUUUGGUAAUAAAAUGUCUCUUAAUUUUUCAUUUCAAUGGCCUAUUGUUUGAGUUAUUAUUAUGCAUAAUUGUUGGAAGAGUUAGGGUUUUACUAUUGGAUUUUGGAAUUUGUAUUUUGGCUUUGAUAUGUUAUUGUUGUGAUGUUGGUCAAGAAAUUUUUGACAACACUCUCCUCGAGUUUGAUACUAUAGCUAAUGAAUUUUUACGGCAGAUAUAUUCUUUUCUUUGAAAAAAAAAAACACUUUACAACUGGUUAUGCAUUCAUUUAGGAGCUGUUAACUGAGCGUGACUUCCAUAAUUUUCCAACCAGUGGUUAGGGUUUCACAGAAAAAUGUCGACAUUGAUCUUUAGGCAGCACUUAAGACUGAAAUUGGUUGUAGAGGAUUGAAUUUGGGGGACUAGAAAUUUCUGAUCAUUAAUAAUUGAAAAUGGCCUCUCACUUGUAGGCAGUUGUUGGAUGUAAUGUAUCCAGUUUCUGAAAUCGAAAGCAGAGUGAGUUCUUAGGUUAGAUGUACCUACAUGCAUUAAGGUUCGAAGAUGUAGAAUAGGCCAAUUGUUUGAUGUCAGCUUUGUUGCACAUGUUCUGAAAUUGAUCAUUUAAGAUGGCUUGGAAGCACUCCGUGAUGUGACUAAGAAGAUUCGAGGAAGUAUUAAAUAUGUUGAAAGUUCACAAUUAAUACAAGGAAAGUUCAAUGAGAUCACCCAACAAGUUGAAAUCAACAGUCAAAAGAGCCUAAAGUGUGAUAUUUUUCUCUUGGAUUGUUUUUUUAUUUUCCAUUUCAAAGCUGAUAGUGUAAAUAUUUUGUUUGCAAAAGUUUCUAAAAAGUACUUGAGUCAAGAUGGUUAGGUAUUUCAUAACUUCCUUUUUACUCUUAACUAGAUUCAUAGAGAGUUAUAACAUUAACAUAAUUUUUUUCUUUUAAAAGUGAUCAAUUAGACACUGAUGAGAUAUCUCACUUUUGAAUCAUUUAGCUUUAUGUAAUUUCAUUACUAUUAUAUGCCCCCAGGAAUUGUUGAAGUAUAUAUAUCUUGGCAUUUCUUCACUGACUGAAUUAUCUUUCAUAAUAUUCCAGCUUCAAAUGGGUACACUGCAGAGCCUAUUGGAUGCAGAAUUCCUUCUAGCUCAUAUGUGCUCUGUAAAAUUCAAAGACUGAAUAGUGGUUAUGGCAACUCUUUGUAGAUGAUCUAAGGUAUAAUGCCCAAUUAUUGCUUUUGCUUUAUCUGUUUUACCUUGCAACAUUUUGAAAUUUAUGAGAAGCAUAAAAUUACUGAGCCAAAAUUGAGGAUCUGAACUUUCGUAAAAAUAUUUGUAUUUUUAAAUUAUAAAAUAUUGCAUUUGAUGCUUUAGGUGGAACUUAGUUCACUACAGAAAGGAAAAUUAUGUUGGGCAUAACCAGAUGUUUUUCAAGAGAAAAUUUCACUUCUGAGGAUUUUACUUGGCCAUCUUAUUUCAAGCUGCUUGAAUUUUUUCUUUAUAUCAUCUUGGUUGUAUACUAUAACUCAUUGAAUUUGCUAGCACUUUUGCUAGUUGUUUAUUCUAUAUGUGAUUGUGGUGGUAAAGUUUGGAAGCUCAAAAAGUAAUGGAACUUAGGAAGNNNNNNNNNNNNNNNNNNNNNNNNNNNNNNNNNNNNNNNNNNNNNNNNNNNNNNNNNNNNNNNNNNNNNNNNNNNNNNNNNNNNNNNNNNNNNNNNNNNNNNNNNNNNNNNNNNNNNNNNNNNNNNNNNNNNNNNNNNNNNNNNNNNNNNNNNNNNNNNNNNNNNNNNNNNNNNNNNNNNNNNNNNNNNNNNNNNNNNNNNNNNNNNNNNNNNNNNNNNNNNNNNNNNNNNNNNNNNNNNNNNNNNNNNNNNNNNNNNNNNNNNNNNNNNNNNNNNNNNNNNNNNNNNNNNNNNNNNNNNNNNNNNNNNNNNNNNNNNNNNNNNNNNNNNNNNNNNNNNNNNNNNNNNNNNNNNNNNNNNNNNNNNNNNNNNNNNNNNNNNNNNNNNNNNNNNNNNNNNNNNNNNNNNNNNNNNNNNNNNNNNNNNNNNNNNNNNNNNNNNNNNNNNNNNNNNNNNNNNNNNNNNNNNNNNNNNNNNNNNNNNNNNNNNNNNNNNNNNNNNNNNNNNNNNNNNNNNNNNNNNNNNNNNNNNNNNNNNNNNNNNNNNNNNNNNNNNNNNNNNNNNNNNNNNNNNNNNNNNNNNNNNNNNNNNNNNNNNNNNNNNNNNNNNNNNNNNNNNNNNNNNNNNNNNNNNNNNNNNNNNNNNNNNNNNNNNNNNNNNNNNNNNNNNNNNNNNNNNNNNNNNNNNNNNNNNNNNNNNNNNNNNNNNNNNNNNNNNNNNNNNNNNNNNNNNNNNNNNNNNNNNNNNNNNNNNNNNNNNNNNNNNNNNNNNNNNNNNNNNNNNNNNNNNNNNNNNNNNNNNNNNNNNNNNNNNNNNNNNNNNNNNNNNNNNNNNNNNNNNNNNNNNNNNNNNNNNNNNNNNNNNNNNNNNNNNNNNNNNNNNNNNNNNNNNNNNNNNNNNNNNNNNNNNNNNNNNNNNNNNNNNNNNNNNNNNNNNNNNNNNNNNNNNNNNNNNNNNNNNNNNNNNNNNNNNNNNNNNNNNNNNNNNNNNNNNNNNNNNNNNNNNNNNNNNNNNNNNNNNNNNNNNNNNNNNNNNNNNNNNNNNNNNNNNNNNNNNNNNNNNNNNNNNNNNNNNNNNNNNNNNNNNNNNNNNNNNNNNNNNNNNNNNNNNNNNNNNNNNNNNNNNNNNNNNNNNNNNNNNNNNNNNNNNNNNNNNNNNNNNNNNNNNNNNNNNNNNNNNNNNNNNNNNNNNNNNNNNNNNNNNNNNNNNNNNNNNNNNNNNNNNNNNNNNNNNNNNNNNNNNNNNNNNNNNNNNNNNNNNNNNNNNNNNNNNNNNNNNNNNNNNNNNNNNNNNNNNNNNNNNNNNNNNNNNNNNNNNNNNNNNNNNNNNNNNNNNNNNNNNNNNNNNNNNNNNNNNNNNNNNNNNNNNNNNNNNNNNNNNNNNNNNNNNNNNNNNNNNNNNNNNNNNNNNNNNNNNNNNNNNNNNNNNNNNNNNNNNNNNNNNNNNNNNNNNNNNNNNNNNNNNNNNNNNNNNNNNNNNNNNNNNNNNNNNNNNNNNNNNNNNNNNNNNNNNNNNNNNNNNNNNNNNNNNNNNNNNNNNNNNNNNNNNNNNNNNNNNNNNNNNNNNNNNNNNNNNNNNNNNNNNNNNNNNNNNNNNNNNNNNNNNNNNNNNNNNNNNNNNNNNNNNNNNNNNNNNNNNNNNNNNNNNNNNNNNNNNNNNNNNNNNNNNNNNNNNNNNNNNNNNNNNNNNNNNNNNNNNNNNNNNNNNNNNNNNNNNNNNNNNNNNNNNNNNNNNNNNNNNNNNNNNNNNNNNNNNNNNNNNNNNNNNNNNNNNNNNNNNNNNNNNNNNNNNNNNNNNNNNNNNNNNNNNNNNNNNNNNNNNNNNNNNNNNNNNNNNNNNNNNNNNNNNNNNNNNNNNNNNNNNNNNNNNNNNNNNNNNNNNNNNNNNNNNNNNNNNNNNNNNNNNNNNNNNNNNNNNNNNNNNNNNNNNNNNNNNNNNNNNNNNNNNNNNNNNNNNNNNNNNNNNNNNNNNNNNNNNNNNNNNNNNNNNNNNNNNNNNNNNNNNNNNNNNNNNNNNNNNNNNNNNNNNNNNNNNNNNNNNNNNNNNNNNNNNNNNNNNNNNNNNNNNNNNNNNNNNNNNNNNNNNNNNNNNNNNNNNNNNNNNNNNNNNNNNNNNNNNNNNNNNNNNNNNNNNNNNNNNNNNNNNNNNNNNNNNNNNNNNNNNNNNNNNNNNNNNNNNNNNNNNNNNNNNNNNNNNNNNNNNNNNNNNNNNNNNNNNNNNNNNNNNNNNNNNNNNNNNNNNNNNNNNNNNNNNNNNNNNNNNNNNNNNNNNNNNNNNNNNNNNNNNNNNNNNNNNNNNNNNNNNNNNNNNNNNNNNNNNNNNNNNNNNNNNNNNNNNNNNNNNNNNNNNNNNNNNNNNNNNNNNNNNNNNNNNNNNNNNNNNNNNNNNNNNNNNNNNNNNNNNNNNNNNNNNNNNNNNNNNNNNNNNNNNNNNNNNNNNNNNNNNNNNNNNNNNNNNNNNNNNNNNNNNNNNNNNNNNNNNNNNNNNNNNNNNNNNNNNNNNNNNNNNNNNNNNNNNNNNNNNNNNNNNNNNNNNNNNNNNNNNNNNNNNNNNNNNNNNNNNNNNNNNNNNNNNNNNNNNNNNNNNNNNNNNNNNNNNNNNNNNNNNNNNNNNNNNNNNNNNNNNNNNNNNNNNNNNNNNNNNNNNNNNNNNNNNNNNNNNNNNNNNNNNNNNNNNNNNNNNNNNNNNNNNNNNNNNNNNNNNNNNNNNNNNNNNNNNNNNNNNNNNNNNNNNNNNNNNNNNNNNNNNNNNNNNNNNNNNNNNNNNNNNNNNNNNNNNNNNNNNNNNNNNNNNNNNNNNNNNNNNNNNNNNNNNNNNNNNNNNNNNNNNNNNNNNNNNNNNNNNNNNNNNNNNNNNNNNNNNNNNNNNNNNNNNNNNNNNNNNNNNNNNNNNNNNNNNNNNNNNNNNNNNNNNNNNNNNNNNNNNNNNNNNNNNNNNNNNNNNNNNNNNNNNNNNNNNNNNNNNNNNNNNNNNNNNNNNNNNNNNNNNNNNNNNNNNNNNNNNNNNNNNNNNNNNNNNNNNNNNNNNNNNNNNNNNNNNNNNNNNNNNNNNNNNNNNNNNNNNNNNNNNNNNNNNNNNNNNNNNNNNNNNNNNNNNNNNNNNNNNNNNNNNNNNNNNNNNNNNNNNNNNNNNNNNNNNNNNNNNNNNNNNNNNNNNNNNNNNNNNNNNNNNNNNNNNNNNNNNNNNNNNNNNNNNNNNNNNNNNNNNNNNNNNNNNNNNNNNNNNNNNNNNNNNNNNNNNNNNNNNNNNNNNNNNNNNNNNNNNNNNNNNNNNNNNNNNNNNNNNNNNNNNNNNNNNNNNNNNNNNNNNNNNNNNNNNNNNNNNNNNNNNNNNNNNNNNNNNNNNNNNNNNNNNNNNNNNNNNNNNNNNNNNNNNNNNNNNNNNNNNNNNNNNNNNNNNNNNNNNNNNNNNNNNNNNNNNNNNNNNNNNNNNNNNNNNNNNNNNNNNNNNNNNNNNNNNNNNNNNNNNNNNNNNNNNNNNNNNNNNNNNNNNNNNNNNNNNNNNNNNNNNNNNNNNNNNNNNNNNNNNNNNNNNNNNNNNNNNNNNNNNNNNNNNNNNNNNNNNNNNNNNNNNNNNNNNNNNNNNNNNNNNNNNNNNNNNNNNNNNNNNNNNNNNNNNNNNNNNNNNNNNNNNNNNNNNNNNNNNNNNNNNNNNNNNNNNNNNNNNNNNNNNNNNNNNNNNNNNNNNNNNNNNNNNNNNNNNNNNNNNNNNNNNNNNNNNNNNNNNNNNNNNNNNNNNNNNNNNNNNNNNNNNNNNNNNNNNNNNNNNNNNNNNNNNNNNNNNNNNNNNNNNNNNNNNNNNNNNNNNNNNNNNNNNNNNNNNNNNNNNNNNNNNNNNNNNNNNNNNNNNNNNNNNNNNNNNNNNNNNNNNNNNNNNNNNNNNNNNNNNNNNNNNNNNNNNNNNNNNNNNNNNNNNNNNNNNNNNNNNNNNNNNNNNNNNNNNNNNNNNNNNNNNNNNNNNNNNNNNNNNNNNNNNNNNNNNNNNNNNNNNNNNNNNNNNNNNNNNNNNNNNNNNNNNNNNNNNNNNNNNNNNNNNNNNNNNNNNNNNNNNNNNNNNNNNNNNNNNNNNNNNNNNNNNNNNNNNNNNNNNNNNNNNNNNNNNNNNNNNNNNNNNNNNNNNNNNNNNNNNNNNNNNNNNNNNNNNNNNNNNNNNNNNNNNNNNNNNNNNNNNNNNNNNNNNNNNNNNNNNNNNNNNNNNNNNNNNNNNNNNNNNNNNNNNNNNNNNNNNNNNNNNNNNNNNNNNNNNNNNNNNNNNNNNNNNNNNNNNNNNNNNNNNNNNNNNNNNNNNNNNNNNNNNNNNNNNNNNNNNNNNNNNNNNNNNNNNNNNNNNNNNNNNNNNNNNNNNNNNNNNNNNNNNNNNNNNNNNNNNNNNNNNNNNNNNNNNNNNNNNNNNNNNNNNNNNNNNNNNNNNNNNNNNNNNNNNNNNNNNNNNNNNNNNNNNNNNNNNNNNNNNNNNNNNNNNNNNNNNNNNNNNNNNNNNNNNNNNNNNNNNNNNNNNNNNNNNNNNNNNNNNNNNNNNNNNNNNNNNNNNNNNNNNNNNNNNNNNNNNNNNNNNNNNNNNNNNNNNNNNNNNNNNNNNNNNNNNNNNNNNNNNNNNNNNNNNNNNNNNNNNNNNNNNNNNNNNNNNNNNNNNNNNNNNNNNNNNNNNNNNNNNNNNNNNNNNNNNNNNNNNNNNNNNNNNNNNNNNNNNNNNNNNNNNNNNNNNNNNNNNNNNNNNNNNNNNNNNNNNNNNNNNNNNNNNNNNNNNNNNNNNNNNNNNNNNNNNNNNNNNNNNNNNNNNNNNNNNNNNNNNNNNNNNNNNNNNNNNNNNNNNNNNNNNNNNNNNNNNNNNNNNNNNNNNNNNNNNNNNNNNNNNNNNNNNNNNNNNNNNNNNNNNNNNNNNNNNNNNNNNNNNNNNNNNNNNNNNNNNNNNNNNNNNNNNNNNNNNNNNNNNNNNNNNNNNNNNNNNNNNNNNNNNNNNNNNNNNNNNNNNNNNNNNNNNNNNNNNNNNNNNNNNNNNNNNNNNNNNNNNNNNNNNNNNNNNNNNNNNNNNNNNNNNNNNNNNNNNNNNNNNNNNNNNNNNNNNNNNNNNNNNNNNNNNNNNNNNNNNNNNNNNNNNNNNNNNNNNNNNNNNNNNNNNNNNNNNNNNNNNNNNNNNNNNNNNNNNNNNNNNNNNNNNNNNNNNNNNNNNNNNNNNNNNNNNNNNNNNNNNNNNNNNNNNNNNNNNNNNNNNNNNNNNNNNNNNNNNNNNNNNNNNNNNNNNNNNNNNNNNNNNNNNNNNNNNNNNNNNNNNNNNNNNNNNNNNNNNNNNNNNNNNNNNNNNNNNNNNNNNNNNNNNNNNNNNNNNNNNNNNNNNNNNNNNNNNNNNNNNNNNNNNNNNNNNNNNNNNNNNNNNNNNNNNNNNNNNNNNNNNNNNNNNNNNNNNNNNNNNNNNNNNNNNNNNNNNNNNNNNNNNNNNNNNNNNNNNNNNNNNNNNNNNNNNNNNNNNNNNNNNNNNNNNNNNNNNNNNNNNNNNNNNNNNNNNNNNNNNNNNNNNNNNNNNNNNNNNNNNNNNNNNNNNNNNNNNNNNNNNNNNNNNNNNNNNNNNNNNNNNNNNNNNNNNNNNNNNNNNNNNNNNNNNNNNNNNNNNNNNNNNNNNNNNNNNNNNNNNNNNNNNNNNNNNNNNNNNNNNNNNNNNNNNNNNNNNNNNNNNNNNNNNNNNNNNNNNNNNNNNNNNNNNNNNNNNNNNNNNNNNNNNNNNNNNNNNNNNNNNNNNNNNNNNNNNNNNNNNNNNNNNNNNNNNNNNNNNNNNNNNNNNNNNNNNNNNNNNNNNNNNNNNNNNNNNNNNNNNNNNNNNNNNNNNNNNNNNNNNNNNNNNNNNNNNNNNNNNNNNNNNNNNNNNNNNNNNNNNNNNNNNNNNNNNNNNNNNNNNNNNNNNNNNNNNNNNNNNNNNNNNNNNNNNNNNNNNNNNNNNNNNNNNNNNNNNNNNNNNNNNNNNNNNNNNNNNNNNNNNNNNNNNNNNNNNNNNNNNNNNNNNNNNNNNNNNNNNNNNNNNNNNNNNNNNNNNNNNNNNNNNNNNNNNNNNNNNNNNNNNNNNNNNNNNNNNNNNNNNNNNNNNNNNNNNNNNNNNNNNNNNNNNNNNNNNNNNNNNNNNNNNNNNNNNNNNNNNNNNNNNNNNNNNNNNNNNNNNNNNNNNNNNNNNNNNNNNNNNNNNNNNNNNNNNNNNNNNNNNNNNNNNNNNNNNNNNNNNNNNNNNNNNNNNNNNNNNNNNNNNNNNNNNNNNNNNNNNNNNNNNNNNNNNNNNNNNNNNNNNNNNNNNNNNNNNNNNNNNNNNNNNNNNNNNNNNNNNNNNNNNNNNNNNNNNNNNNNNNNNNNNNNNNNNNNNNNNNNNNNNNNNNNNNNNNNNNNNNNNNNNNNNNNNNNNNNNNNNNNNNNNNNNNNNNNNNNNNNNNNNNNNNNNNNNNNNNNNNNNNNNNNNNNNNNNNNNNNNNNNNNNNNNNNNNNNNNNNNNNNNNNNNNNNNNNNNNNNNNNNNNNNNNNNNNNNNNNNNNNNNNNNNNNNNNNNNNNNNNNNNNNNNNNNNNNNNNNNNNNNNNNNNNNNNNNNNNNNNNNNNNNNNNNNNNNNNNNNNNNNNNNNNNNNNNNNNNNNNNNNNNNNNNNNNNNNNNNNNNNNNNNNNNNNNNNNNNNNNNNNNNNNNNNNNNNNNNNNNNNNNNNNNNNNNNNNNNNNNNNNNNNNNNNNNNNNNNNNNNNNNNNNNNNNNNNNNNNNNNNNNNNNNNNNNNNNNNNNNNNNNNNNNNNNNNNNNNNNNNNNNNNNNNNNNNNNNNNNNNNNNNNNNNNNNNNNNNNNNNNNNNNNNNNNNNNNNNNNNNNNNNNNNNNNNNNNNNNNNNNNNNNNNNNNNNNNNNNNNNNNNNNNNNNNNNNNNNNNNNNNNNNNNNNNNNNNNNNNNNNNNNNNNNNNNNNNNNNNNNNNNNNNNNNNNNNNNNNNNNNNNNNNNNNNNNNNNNNNNNNNNNNNNNNNNNNNNNNNNNNNNNNNNNNNNNNNNNNNNNNNNNNNNNNNNNNNNNNNNNNNNNNNNNNNNNNNNNNNNNNNNNNNNNNNNNNNNNNNNNNNNNNNNNNNNNNNNNNNNNNNNNNNNNNNNNNNNNNNNNNNNNNNNNNNNNNNNNNNNNNNNNNNNNNNNNNNNNNNNNNNNNNNNNNNNNNNNNNNNNNNNNNNNNNNNNNNNNNNNNNNNNNNNNNNNNNNNNNNNNNNNNNNNNNNNNNNNNNNNNNNNNNNNNNNNNNNNNNNNNNNNNNNNNNNNNNNNNNNNNNNNNNNNNNNNNNNNNNNNNNNNNNNNNNNNNNNNNNNNNNNNNNNNNNNNNNNNNNNNNNNNNNNNNNNNNNNNNNNNNNNNNNNNNNNNNNNNNNNNNNNNNNNNNNNNNNNNNNNNNNNNNNNNNNNNNNNNNNNNNNNNNNNNNNNNNNNNNNNNNNNNNNNNNNNNNNNNNNNNNNNNNNNNNNNNNNNNNNNNNNNNNNNNNNNNNNNNNNNNNNNNNNNNNNNNNNNNNNNNNNNNNNNNNNNNNNNNNNNNNNNNNNNNNNNNNNNNNNNNNNNNNNNNNNNNNNNNNNNNNNNNNNNNNNNNNNNNNNNNNNNNNNNNNNNNNNNNNNNNNNNNNNNNNNNNNNNNNNNNNNNNNNNNNNNNNNNNNNNNNNNNNNNNNNNNNNNNNNNNNNNNNNNNNNNNNNNNNNNNNNNNNNNNNNNNNNNNNNNNNNNNNNNNNNNNNNNNNNNNNNNNNNNNNNNNNNNNNNNNNNNNNNNNNNNNNNNNNNNNNNNNNNNNNNNNNNNNNNNNNNNNNNNNNNNNNNNNNNNNNNNNNNNNNNNNNNNNNNNNNNNNNNNNNNNNNNNNNNNNNNNNNNNNNNNNNNNNNNNNNNNNNNNNNNNNNNNNNNNNNNNNNNNNNNNNNNNNNNNNNNNNNNNNNNNNNNNNNNNNNNNNNNNNNNNNNNNNNNNNNNNNNNNNNNNNNNNNNNNNNNNNNNNNNNNNNNNNNNNNNNNNNNNNNNNNNNNNNNNNNNNNNNNNNNNNNNNNNNNNNNNNNNNNNNNNNNNNNNNNNNNNNNNNNNNNNNNNNNNNNNNNNNNNNNNNNNNNNNNNNNNNNNNNNNNNNNNNNNNNNNNNNNNNNNNNNNNNNNNNNNNNNNNNNNNNNNNNNNNNNNNNNNNNNNNNNNNNNNNNNNNNNNNNNNNNNNNNNNNNNNNNNNNNNNNNNNNNNNNNNNNNNNNNNNNNNNNNNNNNNNNNNNNNNNNNNNNNNNNNNNNNNNNNNNNNNNNNNNNNNNNNNNNNNNNNNNNNNNNNNNNNNNNNNNNNNNNNNNNNNNNNNNNNNNNNNNNNNNNNNNNNNNNNNNNNNNNNNNNNNNNNNNNNNNNNNNNNNNNNNNNNNNNNNNNNNNNNNNNNNNNNNNNNNNNNNNNNNNNNNNNNNNNNNNNNNNNNNNNNNNNNNNNNNNNNNNNNNNNNNNNNNNNNNNNNNNNNNNNNNNNNNNNNNNNNNNNNNNNNNNNNNNNNNNNNNNNNNNNNNNNNNNNNNNNNNNNNNNNNNNNNNNNNNNNNNNNNNNNNNNNNNNNNNNNNNNNNNNNNNNNNNNNNNNNNNNNNNNNNNNNNNNNNNNNNNNNNNNNNNNNNNNNNNNNNNNNNNNNNNNNNNNNNNNNNNNNNNNNNNNNNNNNNNNNNNNNNNNNNNNNNNNNNNNNNNNNNNNNNNNNNNNNNNNNNNNNNNNNNNNNNNNNNNNNNNNNNNNNNNNNNNNNNNNNNNNNNNNNNNNNNNNNNNNNNNNNNNNNNNNNNNNNNNNNNNNNNNNNNNNNNNNNNNNNNNNNNNNNNNNNNNNNNNNNNNNNNNNNNNNNNNNNNNNNNNNNNNNNNNNNNNNNNNNNNNNNNNNNNNNNNNNNNNNNNNNNNNNNNNNNNNNNNNNNNNNNNNNNNNNNNNNNNNNNNNNNNNNNNNNNNNNNNNNNNNNNNNNNNNNNNNNNNNNNNNNNNNNNNNNNNNNNNNNNNNNNNNNNNNNNNNNNNNNNNNNNNNNNNNNNNNNNNNNNNNNNNNNNNNNNNNNNNNNNNNNNNNNNNNNNNNNNNNNNNNNNNNNNNNNNNNNNNNNNNNNNNNNNNNNNNNNNNNNNNNNNNNNNNNNNNNNNNNNNNNNNNNNNNNNNNNNNNNNNNNNNNNNNNNNNNNNNNNNNNNNNNNNNNNNNNNNNNNNNNNNNNNNNNNNNNNNNNNNNNNNNNNNNNNNNNNNNNNNNNNNNNNNNNNNNNNNNNNNNNNNNNNNNNNNNNNNNNNNNNNNNNNNNNNNNNNNNNNNNNNNNNNNNNNNNNNNNNNNNNNNNNNNNNNNNNNNNNNNNNNNNNNNNNNNNNNNNNNNNNNNNNNNNNNNNNNNNNNNNNNNNNNNNNNNNNNNNNNNNNNNNNNNNNNNNNNNNNNNNNNNNNNNNNNNNNNNNNNNNNNNNNNNNNNNNNNNNNNNNNNNNNNNNNNNNNNNNNNNNNNNNNNNNNNNNNNNNNNNNNNNNNNNNNNNNNNNNNNNNNNNNNNNNNNNNNNNNNNNNNNNNNNNNNNNNNNNNNNNNNNNNNNNNNNNNNNNNNNNNNNNNNNNNNNNNNNNNNNNNNNNNNNNNNNNNNNNNNNNNNNNNNNNNNNNNNNNNNNNNNNNNNNNNNNNNNNNNNNNNNNNNNNNNNNNNNNNNNNNNNNNNNNNNNNNNNNNNNNNNNNNNNNNNNNNNNNNNNNNNNNNNNNNNNNNNNNNNNNNNNNNNNNNNNNNNNNNNNNNNNNNNNNNNNNNNNNNNNNNNNNNNNNNNNNNNNNNNNNNNNNNNNNNNNNNNNNNNNNNNNNNNNNNNNNNNNNNNNNNNNNNNNNNNNNNNNNNNNNNNNNNNNNNNNNNNNNNNNNNNNNNNNNNNNNNNNNNNNNNNNNNNNNNNNNNNNNNNNNNNNNNNNNNNNNNNNNNNNNNNNNNNNNNNNNNNNNNNNNNNNNNNNNNNNNNNNNNNNNNNNNNNNNNNNNNNNNNNNNNNNNNNNNNNNNNNNNNNNNNNNNACUCAUUUUCCGUUCCAUUUUUAUGGCUUUUUCAGUGCGAAGAUGGAGCUCAGCUUCUCUACGGCCUGUAAAUGUUGCGGAUACUGGUGCUGAUAUUGAGUGUAGAGAAAUUUCGCUUCUUCAAAGUCCAACUUGUUUAAAUGCAAAAAAAGAAAAGAAACGGACUUGCUGCUGCUUGGCGACUUGUUCUCGGAGCUUGAUUGCCUGUUUCUUGAUAGCUUCCAUACUGUUUCUUUCAAAAAGCGACGACGGCUCAGCUCGUGGAAGUUGGGAAAGAAAAAAAGUGUGAUCGAGAAAAAUAAAAAGGCAUGAAUAAUUGUUGACAAAAAGCGAAAAUCAAGGAAAGCCAGCUCUUUCCAGAAAAUAAAAAAGAAAAAAGAAAAUUAUAAGUUUGAAAGGAGAAGAUGAUAGUGGAAGUGUGCGGUGUGGCUGCCAGCUACUAGGAUUUUACUGUUGGGUAAGGUAAUAGUAGAGAAUUUUUUUUUUUUUUUUUUAAGAAAAAUAGUAGAGAAUUUUUUAAGAAGCUAGAACAGAGCAUGACAUUAGACUUUUGUGGACCAAAUUCAAAACCGAAUGGCACGGCCCAGAAGCUUUUGAAUAGCAAAACUUGCAUCAGCCUCAAUCACUUCUUAAUCGCUUGCUUUAACUGCAUCGCUCUCUCUGUGCUCUUGUACAUAUGUAACGGUUAUGCGGUUGUAGUUCACGGCUGAGGCUACGCGUUGGUUUGACGUGGCAGUUACGUGACAAGGGGAUAAAUAAGAUUGGUUGCAACAAACCCACUAAUUUUAUAAAAUUCGAGUAAUAUAGAAUAAAAUAAAAAAACAAAUACAAAAUUGGCUUUUAUUUUUUAUGGUUGACUGUAUUUUGUGUUCUCUUCCGGCACUACUACAAUUGUUCCCUAUAUAUCAGUCACACCCAUAUAUCAUUAACACAAGAAAUGAAAUCUAAUGUCACCUAUUUAGUUAAAAGAAUCACUCAUGAAAAAAAUUUACCAUUUUGAUUUGAGGAUCCAUAUUUUGAACUGCAAGCUAAUGUUCAUCAAGAAUCACUGAUGUUCAUAAAAAUCAGAGUAUGGACGUUGAGUAGAAAAACUAUUUUUGGACAAAUUAUUUUUGUUGAUAGAAGAAUUUCUUAAGGGACUACUAAAAUUAUUAAUAAAAAUGUAUAACACACCCACAUAUCAUCGACACAAUUGACUUUGAGGAUCCAUGCUUUGAACUGCCGCCAAAUGUUCAUCAAGAAUAGAGUAUGACUUGUGUGUAGAAAAUUUUAUGAUUUUGGCCCGAAAUAAAAGGAAAUUAAAUUAGAUGAGAAUCUGCCACUUCUCAUGAAGAAAGGCUAAAUUGUUGAACUGCUGCUUGGCAACAUAUAUCACUCUAACUCAUUAAGAAAAAUAUGAGUCCUAAGUAAUUGCUAGGUAGGGUUCCUGAGAGUAAAAUUGUCCUAAGCAUUAUAUGCAUACAUGGUGUGGUACAUAGAGCACGUUGAAUUCCACACUAUAACACAAACUCAGAAAGACAAGUAAUAACUCAACUGAUAUAAAGACAAAAAGAAGAUAAAAUGAUAUAGAAAAAAGAAUUUCAAAGAGACAGCAACAGACGAUAGACUGAAGCCACUUGAUCUGCUCAUUGAUUGCAGCCUUAAACUCGCAAAUAGUUACUGUACGCUAGUGCUCUAAGAAGUGAAAAUGAUGCGAGCCCUGAUUCCCUUUUGACUUCCAUUUACUGUCAAACAUUCUAGUUCCAGCAAUUUUUUUUUUUGAUAUCUCGCUAUAAAUAUAGCCGUUUGACUGUCAUAAUAAAGUCACAAAUAACCAUUCAUAUUGAUCCACUGUCACACAGCAUGCUUUAUGCAUACAACAGCUGUAUGUAUACCAACUCCUAACCUUAUCAAUACAUUUGGCAAAAACUUAAGAAGAAAACUAUUUCUCCAUCUCUUUUUUGAAAUUUCACAAUAAACCAGCACAUUGUAAACGUUAUGUUGUAACCUUAUGAUAAAUGCUCUAGACUCCAAAUGAAUUUUAUAUAUGAGGGUUUGUUGCAGCAGAUAUAUUGACUUAUCAAGUAUGAAUCAUUCUCUAGAAGAACUAUCUUUAUAUGAAAGAAUAUUAGAACCACUCUAGAAUAUCUUUAGGCUGCUGGUUCUAACAGGAAUCUGCAUGUGGCAACAGUUGCCAGAUCCACAAUUCCCCAACUUGAAAUACAUAGUUGCACACCGUGAGAUAGUGCUGCAAUCUACUGAGAUCUUACUUAUAUGAUACUUUAAGCUACUAAUGUUUGCAUAUUUCUACAUGUUAAAUUGACACUACCAUCUAUAAUCACUCCAAAACAACAGAUGAUAAGCAGCUUUUGGCCACUUAUUACUAGCAUCCACAAUUAUAAAUAAGAGAUCAUGGGUUUACUUGUUGCACCUACUUAAUGAUCUACAGUUGAGACCCUGACGCAAGGUUUAAAUAGUGACUGCUUAGAACCCUUGUAGUUGGAUCUUGACCUCUCCCAUUGUAGCCAAGAUUGGCUACUCUGGUAAUGAAUCAACACUCUCCUGCUCAGGGCCAUGAAGAUCUGGAAGCUCAGCACUAGUGGAGAACUUCACCAAUCUCUUCUUCUCAGCAUACUUGAGAUAGGCUGCAUUACGAGACCAAUCACCACAGCACCAACGCUUAAAGCUGCAACUUUUAAAGUAGAAAGAGCCAACACAACACAAAUCAAUAUGGUUGGAGGAAUACACAUGAUAAUGGCUCCAACAGUGCCAGUGGGUAUCUUGUAAGGACGAGAUAAAUAGUAGAGAAGUUUUUAAGAAGCUAGAACAGAGCAUGUUAGACUUUUGUGGACCAAGUUCAAAAGCCUAAUGGAACGGCCCAGAAGCUUUUGAAUACAAUAACUUGCUAGAAAGCUCCAUUUUUUGUUGGCUACAGUAAAAGGAUGUUGUUUUAUUCUUCUUAUACUUUACGCCUGCAUCAGCUUAAAUCACUUCUUAAACGCUUGCUUUAACUGCACCGCUUCGUACUGCUCUACAUAUGUAACCGUUAUGCGGUUGUAGCUCACGGCUCAAGCUACGCGUUUGUUUGACGUGGUAGUUACGUUAUGACGUUUCGAGUCUGUUAAACAUUCGGUGAUAAGAUUCGUUACAACAAACCUACCAGUUUUAUAAAAUUCAAGUGAGAUGGAAUAAAAUAAAAAAUAAAUAUAAAAUUGGCUUUUAUUUUUUAGGUUGACCAUAUUUUGUGUUCUCUUCGGGCACUACUACAAUUAUUCCCUAUUUAUCAGUUACACUCACGUAUCAUCGACACGAAAAAUAAAAUCUAAUAUCACCUGUUUAGUUAAAGAAUCACUCAUGUUUGAACUACCAAUUAAUGUUCAUCAAGAACGGAGUAUGGCCGUUGAGUAGAAAAACUAUUUUUGGACAAAUUAUUAAAUUCCAAUAUUGUAUCCAUAUGCAAACGAUGCCUGAAGCAGAGCCUCCAAACACUGACCAGGGCACAAAACAAGAGUGUAGUAAUCAAGUGUAUUGUCUCAUAAUCAAUUAAAAGCAGAUAUACAGGAUACCAUAUUCAAUUCCAAAAUAACAAAAGCAUAAUGAGGAUGAGAAGAACAAUGCAAGAUUUGUUGUCGUUUUAGUUGCUUCUAAUAUUUUUUAUGACGCACAUCUAUUGAAUUAAGAGAUUUCUAUAAUCAGUGCCGCAGUACUGAAAAUAAACUACUUGUCAGUCAAAUAGCUGAGUAUUUCUAUGAGAAUGUCAUUAUUAAUGAGUGUCAUUAUCUAUUCAAAUUAAUCAGUGUCAUUAUCGACUUAUUUAUAAAGACAAAAAGAAGAUAAAAUCAUAUAUAUAUGAAAAAAAAAAAGAAUUUCAAAGAGAUAGCAACAUACAAUAGACUGGAGCCAUUUGAUCUGCUUAUUGAUUGCAGCCUUAAACUAGUAAUUAGUUACUGUACGCUAGUGCUCUAAGAAGUGAAAAUGAUGCAAACCCUGAUCCCCUUUUGACUUCCAUUUACUGUCAAAUAUUCUAUUCAUACGAAAAAAAUGUUUAGAUAUCUUACUAUAAAUAUAGCCGUUUGACUGUCUUAAUAAAGUUACACACAACCAUUCUUAUUAAAUUAGCAAGAUCAAACACUGCCCUGGAUCUUGAACAGAUCCACGCAAGUUGCACAACUUACGAUUGAAUCCGGCCAGAAACAAUCAACUCUUUAGUAAGAACAAUUAAUCAGAGUCAAGAAACAAGUUUAAUGAAUAUAAACCUAUAAUUGAAACAAACAUAGCCAAGAAACAAAUAGAGAUUUUACAUGUUUCAGUUGUACCAAGGAUGGCACAACCUACACCACGGGAGAAGCUUUCUGGUGACCCCAAUCUGCUUAGUUAAUAAUAGAGAUUUCAGAGAAUAAGCUAUAACCCUCUCUCCCUCUUCAAUCUCUCUCUAUUUUGUUCCCAUUGAUGACCCCAAUCUGCUUAGUUAGCCAGCUUUAUAGCUGCAUCAGUAACAAACCAGCAAACCCAGAUUGAGCAGAUUGACGACACGUGGAUAACGGCUUUAACGAACCUGGUUAAGAACUGCUCACAUGUUCGUCACGCGUACUGCUUAAAUGAUGGCCAAAACGACUUCAAACAAAUGUCGUUUUGAGGCUUAUGAAUUACAAGUGAUAACACGAGCUUGUCUCAUGACUUUUAAAUGCAACAACGCGCCCAAAACGCCGUCGUUUUACUCUGUUGAGUUUGAUUCGUUACUAAGCUUUACGACUGGCAAUGGAGAAGAUGAUAAUUUAAUUAACAUGGACAGUUUUUAUAUCACUUUUACAACAUCCUAUGCAAUUGUGAUAUUGGGAAUUAUUGAUGUUUUAUAUGUGAAUCCUCAUUGGCAAAAACUGAGUGGUUUUAUCUUUAUUGAAAUGUAGAUGACCUCUCGUUACUAUUUUAUUANNNNNNNNNNNNNNNNNNNNNNNNNNNNNNNNNNNNNNNNNNNNNNNNNNNNNNNNNNNNNNNNNNNNNNNNNNNNNNNNNNNNNNNNNNNNNNNNNNNNNNNNNNNNNNNNNNNNNNNNNNNNNNNNNNNNNNNNNNNNNNNNNNNNNNNNNNNNNNNNNNNNNNNNNNNNNNNNNNNNNNNNNNNNNNNNNNNNNNNNNNNNNNNNNNNNNNNNNNNNNNNNNNNNNNNNNNNNNNNNNNNUCAAGUUAAUUUGAUCCGUUUAUAAGAGAUGAAGUGGAAUGAAGUUGAAAGUCUUGAGUUUUACGACGUCGUUACUCCUUCAAGUGGCAGAUUAUGCAAGUGAAUGCAGAAACACAAUGCAUCAUCCGCGGGGAUGAUACAUCAAAAGGCGGGAUUUGUUUAUGCCUGCAGAUUAGCAAUUUCACUCAUAUAGAAAAUUAAUUUUUUAUAUAUACUAAUCAACACUAAAUUGAUUAUGUGUUGUAUGUUUAUAUGCUACUCAACACGAAAUUAUAUUGAAUUAUUAACAUUCAUAUUCCUAAUAAAAAUUAUUUUCCAUCAGUAUUCAAAAUUUUCACUUAUAGAAAAUGCGUUUUACGUGAAUACUAGUUAUUGUGUAAAUUUGAAUGAUAGCGAAAAAUAAACCUAUUUGAAAACUGUAAGGGUGUGUUGGGAUAUUUUACAACUGUCGGAAUCUGGUAGGAUAUUGCACCAUUUGCCCAAUAUUUUUAGACGUACUCCAACCGGUAUUCAAGAUAAGUAAAAGUUACAAGCGUGGCAAAAUAAAAAAUUAAAUUCGUAAUUUGUAAACGAAUUUUCCUGACAUGUAGAGUAGAUGAAGUUGUUGAUCCUUUCUUUGGAUUAUUUCAGCUCUGGUUGUUGGUCACCGAUGAGCCGAAGUCUUAUUUUAAUUUUAUUUAAACUCAUCAUAAGAUUCGUGGAGCACCUAACUAACUUAACUGACUGUGCAGAGCAUCUCAACAUGGCACAUUUAACCAUCAUUCAAGUGAUAGGUUUAAUAAGACUGCUUUUGUUCUAUCAAGUUCCUCUGCCUCUAAGCAGAAUUACUAUUGAAGGGCCAAAUGGAAAAUGAAAACGUGUGAACUCCAACAACCACCCCACAAAUUCAAUGACGAUGCUCGGAGAGGGUUAGGUUGGGCCUCUGAGAAAAAAAAAAAUAUUUAGUUAAAAAGUUACCCUUAUUGAAACCUGUAUAAAAAUUUUAUAUUAAUUAGUUAUGUUGCCUCUUCAACUAUGAUCAAAUUUUUAUCCGAGCUCAUCAUUUAAUGAGUAAACAUGUAUUUUAAGGGUCCGCCUAAGUUACGUUAAACGUAACUUACGGCUUGGCUGUGAAAUUUCAUCCAGCCCCCCAUAUUCGCUGUUAUUUAUAUUAUAUUCAUAAAUAUUAUAAAAUUUUUUGAUUUAAAAAAUUUCAUUUAACCCCUUACACUCAAUUUUAUUUUAUUAAAAUCUUAGAGUAUGAAUUCGCCCCCUAUAAUUUUAAAUUCUCAAAAUAACCUCAUUUAAUUAAAAAUUUUAAUUAUUAUUAAUUGAAUUAUAAUUAUAAUUAUUAUUUUAUUAUAAUCAUAAAUAUAUUUAUAUUUUUUAAAUAGAUUAUUAUUAUUAUUAAUCACAAGAAUAAAAAGUAUUACAAUUAAUUAAUCUAUUAACAAUAAUUAAUAAUAAUUUUCUAUUAAAUUAAUAAUAAUUAACGAUAAUUAUUAUUAAUAAUUAAUUUUUGAAAAUUAAUGAUAAUUGUUCAGAGUCCUAGGAAUGCCAAUGCCCACCUAGGCUUAGCUAGCAAAGUAGCAACAUACCCUCAUCACUGAUAUUAAUUGCAGUACUACUUAGUGCCAUAAUUGUCCAAGUCCUUGUUAGUUUUGAGAAACGUGUGUUUCUGAUUUUGUUAAAUCUCUUGUUUGGUUAACAAGAAAGCUAUUGCUUUAAUUUCUUUUGCAGCUAGAAGUGAAUGCAUACAGUAUGAUAUAAAUAUCGGGCAACUUGUUCAGAGUCAGUCACAAUCUAUUAACGAUAAUUGUUAAUUAUUAUUAUUAUUCAAAAAUUAAUUAUUAAUAAUAAUUAUCGUUAAUUAUUAUUAUUAUUAUUAACAAUUUAAUAAAAAAUAUUAUUAAUUAUUGUUAAUAGAUUAAUUAAUUGUAAUACUUUUUAUUCUUGUUAUUAAUAAUAACAAUAAUCUAUUUAAAAAAUAUAAAUAUAUUUAUAAUUAUAAUAAAAUAAUAGUUAUAAUUAUAAUUCAAUUAAUAAUAAUUAAAUAAGGUUAUUUUGAGAAUUUAAAAUUAUAGGGGGCGAAUUCGUACUCUAGGACUUCAAUAAAAUAAAAUUGAGUGUAAGGGGUUAAAUGAAAUUUUCUAAAUAAAAAAUUAUUAUAAUAUUCAUGAAUAUAAUAUAAAUAACAGUGAAUAUGGGGGGCUGGAUGAAAUUUCACAGCCAGGCUGUAAGUUACGUUUAACGUAACUUAGGCGGACCCGUAUUUUAAUGAUCUCAAUUAAUAUUUAGAACAAAUAUUUUAAGAAGUAAAGCUCAUUAUAUCCCCCAUUAUUAUGUAUUUCUUUAAUUUCUUAUUUACAUAAUUAUAUUGUACAUUAAAAAUAUAUUGAAUUUGAAGAGAAAAAAAUUCAAAAAAUUCAACUCACUCAAAAAAAAUGCUGGUAGCUUCGUAAUAAUUACUGUAUUGACUGCACCAGAUAAAGUUUUGUAAAAUAAUAAGUUCUCAUUAGUGGUUUUUCGUUUUUUAUUUUCUUUUCCGGCACACCUGAUCAAGAAUUCUAUUUUGUUAACUAAUCAAUUGCAAAGCAUAAGUGUUGAACGGUACAAAAAGUGAAAACUAUGAAUAAUAAUUAUUCCUUAUUAUAUUGACUGCACCAAGCAAUAAACUAAUAAGUUCUCAUCAGUGGUUUUUAAUCUUUUUAAUUCUUUUUACCGCACACCUGAUCAAGAAUUCUAUUUUGUUAACUAAUCAAUUGCAAAUCAUUUAUUAGUGUUGAACGGUGAACAAAAUUGAAAAAAAAAAAAAUCUUAAAAAACGUAUAUUCUUAAAAAAUUCUUAACUUGCAAGGCUAGAAUAUCUUGACUUGAACGGUUGCAAUGAUUUCUCAUCAUUGAGAGUUUAUCAUUGUGCUUCAUCAUCAUCAUCAUCAUCAUCAUCAUCAUUAUUAAUAAAAAGGUAAGCAAUUAAGAGUCAAAUUAAACCACUUGAAAAUCACUCAUCCACACUUUUGGGACAUCAUCUGCUCAUUUAUUUUAUUCUGUAUCUUCAUUGUUUUAUUUGAUAAUUAUUACCAUUAGUAAAUAAAGGGAUUAGUUGAUAAUUGUGAAGUAACUAAAUGGAGCUCACCCUUAAAUGUCGGCUUAUAUGAAGGAGGUGCCUUAGGGAUAAUAAAUCAACUAAUCCCAUAAUUUGUUGAUGUAGGGUCCUAACAAAUUAUUGCUGUAGAUCAGCACACAGCUUGAAAACAUAUUUGAUUCACGAGAAAUGUUCCAGUCAGGAAUUUUAAAGUGCAGGAAAAUACGGAAAACCUUUAAAACCGCAUGGUUUUAAAGGCUUAAAACUGUAAGCCUUUAAAGCCGUGUGGUUUUAAAGCUUUCCCGGACUUUCCCGCACUUUAAAUUCCCUGACCAGAAAACUACUGUUUGAUCCACACAGUGAAGAUGAUUCAAUAUUAAGCAUGUCAUAUAAUCUGGAGUUGGAUAUUGGACCAAUUUGAUGAUAAUGAAUUUCUUUCAAUCUCAAUCUUUAUCUUAUUCGCAACAUGACUAGCCAUUGCGUAAAUUCAAACUCUAACAAUGAUAAGUUUGUGAUAAAGGCAUCUAUGAGUACAAUGGGAAAAUUACAUGAACUUAUGUUAUCAAUCAUUGUUUUGCCUUCUCGUGAUAGAAUUCUGUGCAACAUAAAACAUGAUAUAUUUGUACCUUACCAUGCCGUGUCGUGAACCUAGAAGCAGUGCAAAUUGCAAGGAACAUAUUAAGCUAUCUACUGUAUAUAACAAAUUCUUAUUAGCCCACAAUCUUGUGCCGCCACAUUGAUCAAGUAACACUAUUAUAUCAUUUCCAAAAUGGCAUAUAUAAUCUAAUGUUGAACUAACCAAAUUGGGAAUCAUCAUUCCUUACAUUAAGCUGACAUUCGUACCUGCUAGUCCAUGAGCAAAGCUGACAUUUGAAAUCACUUUCUCUUGGAAUAUUUAAUGACCCUUGAUGAAAGUUCUUGAAUGGAAUUAUUUAAUUUGAUUUGAUUUCCAACAAAUUCAAGAAACCCCACACAGUAGCUAAAUAAAAAUCAACCAAUAAUACGCAAUGGGUUUCUUUCUUUUUGCCUUUGGAGGGCCAUGGAGAUCUGGAGUGGGCUGUAAGUAAUAGCCUUUAUCACUGGAAUGACAGAUUUGCAGAAGAUGAUACAUGGGGAAGGAUUGGGCGAGCAUAAAAAUGGGUUUACACUCUUGGAUUAGCGCUGUUGAGAAUCAAAUAAAAUGGCAUUGAAUGAAGCUUUCAAAGACAGAAUCUGCACUUGUCAAAGGGGUAAUCUACACUUGUCAAAGACAAGAUCCGCGCCGAACGGAUUGACACAUUUCCUUCCGUAUUCACAUAUAUAAUCUAUGAAAAAAUGUAGCCUCUGCAUCUAUAAAUAACUCUCAAUGUAUAAUAUUUUUUUAAGAAAUGAAAACACGUUUCUUCAUGGUAUCAGAGCCAUGAAUACGCUCAACUUUCUUCAAGUUCCGCUGCUCUGUUUGUAACAAAAACAGAGGAAACCAAAUUCCUCCCACAACCAUUUUUCCCACCAUUUUCUUUCUUAAACCCAUUCUUACCAUUACACAUAUCCAUGCCGAUCAAGAAACAAGCCACCCAUACGUAAAAAACUCGAGUUUUCAAAUUUAUCAACAAUCCCAUCAAUUUUCCAAGAGUGUGCUCUUCAAAAACCAAGAACACCAUCAAAUUUCUCAGUUUUCAGUGAGGAAACUGUAAACAUUUCGCAAUUAAACACAUUUUCACGCGCUCACACGCGCCACCCGAAGCCACGGCCAGUCAACCACGCGCCUCUGUCAUUAUUCACGCGCUCUCACGCGCUCCAAAGGUUGAAGAAGACUUCAACCGACAUGUCGUUUUUUAUCUCAGAAGUGCAGCAGUAAAACACGACUUGUCGUUUUUUUAUUAUAUUACAACCGACAAGUCGUUUCUAAAUUAGAGAUAAAACGACGUGACGUUUAGUCUCCAGAAGUGCAGCAGGAUUCAAACGACAUGUCGUUUAUAUUCCACCAUAACCGACAUGUCGGUUUGUCAAGCAGUGGUCAAACGACCUGUCGUUUUGUUAUCUAAAAAGGUUAUUUUUUUCCUUCUUUCAAUCUAGACGAAAAAAAAACAAAAAAAAAAAAGAAAAAAGAGAAAAAAAAGAAAAAUAAAGAAAAAUAAAAAAAUAAAAAAAUGGAGAAAACUCCAACUGAAUCUAGUCCUGUUGUCAUUCAAUCUGAUGGAGUAUUUAAUGCUGGAAUUAUCCUCACUGAGACAAACUACGAUGUUUGGUCUCAAAUAAUGGAGAUGCAUCUUGCAGAAAGAGAAAAACUCUCAUAUAUUCGUAGCAGCACAAAGCCAUCUGAGGAAUUUUCAAAGGAAUAUGAGAAAUGGUAUAGUGAGAACCAAAAAGUAAAAAGAUGGUUACUCAUAUCCAUGUCUCCGGAGAUCAUGAAGCGGUAUUUACGAAUUCCUACAGCCUACGAAAUCUGGGAUGCAUUAUCAAAAGCCUUCUAUGAUGGAAGCGAUGAAUUACAAGUUUUCACUCUAAACCAGAAGGCAUUCUCUACCAAGCAAAAUGGACUACCACUCUCUAAAUUCUAUGGAGAAUUGAUCGAAAUAUUUCGAGAACUUGAUCACCGAGAUAAAGUGGUCAUGAAGGAUCCAGAAGAUGUUGUAAUAUACAGAAGGUCUGUUGAAAGAUUGAGAGUGCACAUUUUUCUUGCUGGGCUAGAUGAAGAAUUUGACCAAGUUCAUGGAGAAAUUCUACGAAAAGAUAUUAUCCCAGACUUAGAAGAAUGUUAUUCUCUGAUCCGAAGAGAAGAUGUACGGCAAAGCAAACUAAACAAGAAGGUCGACUCAGAAACGUCUGCUAUGAUAGCACGACAACAGCCUCAAAGAAAGUUUGUUGACAAGUCAUCACUCCAUUGCACUCAUUGUAGAAAGAAGGGUCAUACGAAAGAACAAUGUUUUGAAAUCAUUGGAUAUCCUGACUGGUGGGAUACUUGAAAGAAGAACACCAAGCAUGGAUCAAAAAGUGCAGUAGCUGAAUCCACAUCCACUACAGAUCUUAGAAAAGAAUCUUCAGUACAAAUCGCAACCGCUGUCAAUCCAGGUAAGGCCCUUAAAACUCUUACACCUGUUAUUAAUAGUACAUGGAUAAUUGAUUCUGGGGCAACUGAUCAUAUGACUUUUGAUUCUCGACAAGUUUCUCAACUGAAAACAUCUUCACAAAAACAUAUUUCCACUGCAAAUGGAACCACAACCUCAGUUAUUGGGGAAGGAUCUUUACGACUCACAAAUGAAUUAAAUUUAGACACUGUGUUAAUUGUUCCAUCUUUAGAUUAUAAUCUUUUAUCUGUGUCUCAAUUAACCACUUACUUAUCAUGUGUUUUAAUUUUUUGGCCUGAUCAUUGUGUGUUUAAGGACAUCCAAACGAAGCAAACGAUUGGUUAUGGUAUUAGACGAGGUAACUUGUACUACUUGGAAAUGUCAUCAACAAACACUGGAAAGCUAAGCCCCGCACUAGUCGCAGAUAGUUUCAUAAAAAAAGGGCAAUUAGAAAUUUGGUUAUGGCAUAGACGUUUAGGGCAUGUGUCAUUUGGUUACUUAAAAAAACUAUUUCCUAGUUUGUUUCUGAAAUUUGAUGUUUGUAACUUUAAAUGUGAUGUUUGUGAACUUUCAAAAAGCCAUCGAACUACUUUUCCAUUGUCCUUAAAUAAAAAUCCAGUUCCUUUCAUGGUAGUACAUUUCUGAUGUAUGGGGGCCAUCUAAAGUUUCUACAAUUGGAGGUGCUCGUUGGUUUGUUACAUUUAUUGAUGAUUGUAGCAGAAUGACAUGAUUUUUUCUGAUGAAAUCGAAAGACGAAGUAAACUCUUUAUUUCAAAGAUUUCAUAAGAUGGUGACAACUCAAUUUCAGACACAAAUUCGAGUUCUACAUACUGAUAAUGGAGGCGAGUAUAUGAGCACAGCAAUUCAACAGUUUCUGAAAUCACAAGGAUCUGUCCAUCAAACCACUUGUGUGGGGACACCCCAACAAAAUGGCGUUGCCGAACGAAAAAACAGAUAUUUACUAGAAGUUGUUCGAGCAUCACUAAUCCAAGCCCACAUGCCAUUAUCUUAUUGGGGAGAAGCACUGGCAUCCGCAGCAUACUUGAUCAAUCGAACACCUUCAAGCUCCCUUGGAUUCCAGACUCCUUUCCAAGUUCUGAAUGAUGCAAUUAUGUCACCAAAUGUGCCGAAUCUGCCCCCACAUGUGUUUGGCUGUGUUGCCUUCGUUCAUUUGCCGCAAUAAGACAAAUUAUCUCCUCGAGCGCUACGUUGUGUGUUUGUAGGGUAUGCCUUACAUCAAAAGGGAUACCGAUGCUAUCAUCCACCAUCAAGAAAAAUAUACAUCACCAUGGAUGUCGUUUUUCAUGAAGAUAUCAUGUACUACUUGUCAGAGUCUGAAUUUCAGGGGGAGUAUAAUGAAGAGGAAAUUCAUACUCUUACUUGUCUUCCACCUGAAGAAAGUCAAUCUUCCAUUGAGAUAGUAAACCUUCAAGAAACUGGAAAAGAAAAUGGUGAUGAUUCUCAGGCUGAGAUAAGUGAAGACACAUUUGGGGAGCACAAUAACUCAGACACAACUGCAAUCGAGAAUGAGUCACAUGAAGAAAUACCUAACCAAUCGUCUGCAGAGGAUGUUCCUACCACAAGUCCAAUAAGAAGAAUUCUUCCUCAGCGUCAAAAUAGAGGUAUCCCUAAACCCACAUAUGAGCCUGACUUCUCUAGUAGAGUCAAAUACCCUAUGAGUCAUUUUGUGUCUAACCAUCGCUUGUCAGAAUCAAAUCAGUCAUUUGUGAAUCAAUUAUCUGCUGUAUCUAUUCCUAACAGUGUGCAGGAAGCUUUAAAAGACCCAAAGUGGAAAGCGGCUAUGAAUGAUGAAAUGAGAUCUUUUCAGAAAAAUCAAACAUGGGAACUAGUUGAUCUUCCACCAAGAAAGAAACCAAUGGGUUGUCGAUGGAUUUACACUAUAAAAUACAAAGCAGAUGGCUCUAUUGAACGAUACAAAGCAAGACUCGUAGCUAAGGGUUACACCCAAACCUACGGGAUUGAUUAUACUGAUACGUUUGCACCGGUAGUAAAAAUUAAUACUAUUCGUAUCUUAUUAUCAUUAGCAGUCAUCUUGGAUUAGCCAGUGCAACAGUUCGAUGUAAAGAAUGCUUUCCUCCAUGGAGACUUGUCUGAAGAAAUUUAUAUGGAUCUGCCACCAGGAUGCAGUGGACCAGAACGACUCAAUCAGAAAGUAUGCAAAUUGAAGAAAUCAUUGUAUGGGUUGAAGCAAUCCCCAAGAGCAUGGUUCGGGAAAUUCACAAAGGCUAUGGUUCGUUUUGGGUAUAACCAAAGCAAUUCAGAUCAUACCUUAUUCAUUAAAAAACGACAAGGUAAAAUCACUGCCCUUAUUGUCUAUGUGGAUGAUAUGGUAGUUACAGGCAACGACGAGGAAGAAACAGAGGCUCUUCAGAAGUACUUGUCAAGAGAAUUUGAGAUGAAGGAUUUAGGUGCCUUAAAAUACUUUCUUGGAAUUGAGGUUUCUCGAUCCAAGGGAGGAAUCUUUCUGUCUCAAAGGAAAUAUGCCUUAGAUCUAUUGCACGAAACGGGAAUGACAGCUUGUCAGCCUAUUGACACCCCAAUAGAAGAAGGACUGAAGUUUUGUAUUACUUCAGACCAAGUUCCAGUAGACAAAGGAAGAUAUCAAAGGCUGAUUGGAAGAUUGAUGUACUUGUCCCACACAAGGCCAGAUCUUGCUUAUGCAUUGAGUGUUGUAAGUCAGUUUAUGCAUAAUCCCGGAGAACAACACAUGAAAGCAGUAAUGCGGAUCCUGAGGUACCUGAAGACAAAUCCAGGAAAAGGAAUCCUAUUUUCCAAAAAUGAAGAUUACAACAACAUAGAAGUUUAUACUGAUGCAGAUUGGGCCGGGUCAGUUAGUGAUAGACGCUCUACUUCAGGAUACUUUACCUUUGUGGGAGGCAACCUUGUCACAUGGAGAAGCAAGAAACAAAAUGUCGUUGCCCGUUCGAGCGCUGAAGCAGAAUAUCAAGGCAUGGCCCUUGGGAUAUGUGAAGGGCUAUGGAUAAGUUUUAUCUUAAACGAUUUGGGCUAUCCAUCACAACAACCAAUACAACUAUACUGUGACAACAAAGCUGCACGAGAUAUUGCUCAUAACCCAGUUCAACACGAUCGAACAUUACAUGUGGAGGUAGAUAGAUUUUUCAUCAAAGAGAAAUUAGAUGAAAAAAAUUUUUGAAAAACAAAAAAUAUUAUCAAAAGAUCAACUAGCAGAUAUUUUAAUGAAGGCCNNNNNNNNNNNNNNNNNNNNNNNNNNNNNNNNNNNNNNNNNNNNNNNNNNNNNNNNNNNNNNNNNNNNNNNNNNNNNNNNNNNNNNNNNNNNNNNNNNNNCCUAGACAAGUUGGGUAUGCAAGACAUCUAUGCACCAGCUUGAGGGGGAGUGUUGAGAAUCAAAUAAAACGGCAUUGAACGAAGCUUUCAAAGACAGAAUCUGCACUUGUCAAAGGGGUAAUCUACACUUGUCAAAGACAAGAUCCGCGCCGAACGGAUUGACACAUUUCCUUCCGUAUUCACAUAUGUAAUCUAUGAAAAAAUGUAGCCUCUGCAUCUAUAAAUAACUCUCAAUGUAUAAUGUUAUUUUUAAGAAAUGAAAACACGUUUCUUCAAGCGCCUCAUUUAGGUUGUAGGCUUGUAGCGAGAUAAAGAUAUUAAUUAAAGUUUUAUAAUCCCUGUUAUGAUUAAGGCUUCACUUAGUAUAGCAUAGAGCUUUUUGAGUUUUACAAGUAAUUUUUUUUUUACAGGUAUAAUUUUUAUUUUUAACAAAAAUUAAUUAAAUAAUAUUAGAAAUCCUAAUAUUUGAGUCCUAAUAUCAUAUAUCACUCAUUUAUUAGAUGACAUAUUUCAUAACUUAUAAAAUUAUUUAACUAACAUCCAAUUAAUGAAUGUUACUAUAGUGAAGACUCAAAUUGAAAUUUAAAUGUUGGGUUGCGUGACAUUUCUCUUAUUUGGUUGUUUAUGAGAGCUUUCUUGUACAAAAUAAUUUUUAUACAAAUUGAUAUAGUCUAAAUUCAUUAAUUAAAUUAAAAUAUAAAAUAAUAAAAAUAAAUAAGUUUGUAUAAGAAUAAUUAAUUCUUUAAUCCAUCUAAUUGAAUUAUCCUAUGUCUAUUUAUAUUAAAUAAAUUUGUAUAAAAAAUUAUAGUUUUGUUUUUAGAUGUGCAACUAAAUUUUUAGUCUCUUAUUCCUCGUAAAAUUCAAAUCUGAGUGGCUCAUCAAAUAAAAUUACAACUACUGGUUAAUCAAAUAAAGUUAUUCCAUCGAGGUCAUGAAAUUUACCAGCCAAAAGAGUUUUAAAUGUCUAUUUUAUAAAUUUUUUAAAAAUUGUUUUAUUUACCAUUUUACCAUCCGUAGUAAAGGUGUCGCAUCGACAUUGAACAGAUCAACAUAUCAGUCAUUUCUCAUUCAGCCAUUAGGAAUUUACGUUUGGGGUAUUUUUGUAAUUAUAAGAAGGUAAACUAAUCGCAAAACUCAUUUGGCUUGCACUUGCUCGCCUGUGCUCUGUGUAUGGUUAUGGCGUUAUCAUUAUCAUCUUCUCCACUCCUACUGACGCCAGACCUUAACAGUUCAGAUUCCCUUUCUCGACUGUCAUACCCUACGCCCCGUCUCCGUGUCUCCGAUAAACAGUGCUCAAUUAAGGCCAUCAGAUUAUCCCGGACCCACAUUGAUCCAACGGCUCACAGUGACCAACAUCCUCUCUAUCUCCAUUUCAAGCUUCCCUCUUCAACUGGCUUCUGCUUCUGUCGUACUCUUUCUUGGAUUCGGAGUCCGUAUUUGCUCGGUCGGUCCGCACAGCUCCCUCUCACUCCAAUUGUCACCCAACAAGACCAAUUGCUUAAUCAAGGCACAGAGCAAGGAGAGGAUGAGAAAUUGAAUCAAGAAUUUGAGAAUUGGAAAUCGAAAACGUACGCAUUGACCCUGCCUGUGAGAGUCGUUUCUCUUCAGAAUUCAGUGCCUCAAUCCUGGGUUAAGGAUUUUAUGCGAAGUCAAGGAAAGAGAUUGAAGUUUCAGAUGAAUUUGUGUGCUAGCAUUGAUGGGAUCGUUAACAAUUUAUCUGUGCCCUUUAACAAAGUUAAGGCUAAGUCAGCUUCUUAUAUGGCUGCUGAUUUGGUUAGUGUUGGUGAUUCAUGGCUCAGCUUUGCGAUUAAAAAGAGAUCGAUUGAGCCAAUAGCUGGAGCUGAAGGCCAAGAUUGGUUCAAAUGCUUCAGUCACAAACGGAAGGUAACAUCUUUGUCUUUGACCCGAUAAUUUUUAUUGUCUUACAUUGAAAUUUGGUAAUGUAAUUUGUUCUCUAUUUGUGUUACCCUUUGUAGUCGUUUUAUUUAUUUAUUUGUUUGUUUAUUUGCUUUUAUUUGCACUAACGAAGUCUCAGGUAUAUCUACGCAGGAAUGAUGCAGGAGAAAUUGAUCCUCGAGGUGAAAUAUGGGCGGCACCAUACAGGUGGGGCACAAUGGUGAUAGCCUACAAGAAAAGUAAAUUUUGAAAGCAUAAUUUGGCUCCGAUUGAGGUAAUAACUGUCUUUAAAGUCAUUUAGUUUUAUAUCAAACAAAAUCAAGGUUGCCUUUCUCGUCAAUAUUUUUGAUGAUAUUAUCUUCUACAAAUGGAUCAUUAAACUUCUUUUUUGUAGUCAAAUGUACAGUAAGAACAAUGAGAAGCUAUGCCACUGUAGCACGUAGUGAUGGCACUUAAUAAGUGAGUUGCUAGGAUGUGAACAAGAAAAAUUAAAUAUUGUCUCCUUGGGUAUGCUAGCUCGUAAGUCAGGGUUAAUAUUAGAGCUUAAGAUACUAUAAACAUGCGAAACUAUUGACUACCAAUUAAAAUAUCCAUUAAAAUGUCUAGGGAGUUAUGAAGGUAGGGAUAUCUUCCAAUUUCUAAGGCCACAUAGUAGACAUCAUCCAGGAUCCUAGGAAAGUGCGGUUGAUCUCCUGCUUGAUGCAGUUAAUAAAUUUGGUCAAUGCGACUGAAACCUGCUAACUGACGUCGCAAUGCGACAUGAGCACUUCAAAAUGGGAUAGACAGUAGCACUAAAUUUUUCUUGCCUAAGAUUGGGCAAUUGGUCUAAAUACUAACCCCUAUUGUAAGUUGAUCAUUAUUUUUUCAAUUAUGUUCAUUUUGACCCAAAAGUUACACAAUCUUGAUCUGAAUAUUGUCACUGAACACUGUCAAUGUCGUUUAGCAUUGGCAACUAACUCGAGUUUGGUAAAACAAACACACACAGUGUGUCUCAUGUCUCACAAUUCAAAUUAUCAUCUGUACUGAUGGAGAAUUUUUCUGAUGUAUGAAGUAUGCUUUGAUACGUAGGUUAGCUUGGAGAAGAUAUCUCAAAAUAAAGAAUAUGGGGAGCGAAUGGGAAGAAAACAGUUCGGUAGUUUAUGAUUCUGUAGUCAAGUUUUGUCUCGAAAAUGGUCAAAAUUUAAAUGAAUGGACAGGGGAUCUUCAUUCUUUUUUCACUUCUUUAUACCGAGAUAUCUCUUAACCUUUAUAUAAUCCCCACUGGAUAUCUGCUUCUAAUAAUUAAAAUAAAAAUUUCAACCACACCAAUAAAUAAUCAUCUUAGAGUGAGACUAUCAGUACAACCCAAAAACAUAAUAAAACUGGUUUGGUUCUGUUUGUUGAUGUUUAAAUGUUGUUCAUCGUGACAUGUAGAAAUGAUGAGGUGAAGUUUCUUUGGCCAUCAAAUAGUAAGAUCUUGCUUGAAGUUGUUUUCUGAAAUGAACAGUCAAAUGGUAGUUUUUUUGGGCCAUUCGAUGGCUCUUUUCUUCCUCAUUUUAAACUUGUGCCUGCUUGGAACAGGAUGGAUUAGGCUGCAGAGUUAUAUAUUUUGACAUGCUCUGGUCAUUACACAAUUUGUUCAUACUGGAAAUUAGGAUGAGAAAUUUGUUGCUGCUGUUUUGAGAGAUCUGCAUUCUAUGCACAAACAUGAUUAAUGAAAAUGGAUUGUAGGACUGGAAAGAUCUGUGGCAGCCUGAGCUCGCAGGAAGGAUUUCAAUGGUUAAUUCUCCCCGACAGGUUAUUGGUUCAGUUUUGAAGUCUAUGGGAGCAUCAUACAAUUCAGACGAUAUUGAUUCACAAGUUGCUGGUGGGAAGAUUGCUGUUCAGCAGAAUCUGGCAUUACUGGUAAACCAGGUACUCUUAAAGAAAUGAUAUCUGGUCAUUGCAUGUUAUUGCCUGACAACUGAUUUUGUUUGUAAAAGUCGGCUUCUUCAUACAUAUGAAUGCAUUUUUUUGUGUUUUCUUCUCCUUUUCAUACAUAUGAAUGCAUAUGUUAGUGUUGUCUUUUCCUUUUCAUACAUAUUAAUACAUAUGUAGAUUUCUUCAUCAUUGUAGCCUCCGAUUUCUUCAUCAUUGUAGCCACCGAUUUCUUCAUCAUUGUAGCCUCCAUAGUUGAAGUUUCCUCAUUUGAAGCUGUUUAUGCAUAUGCUUUUUCCCUUCUCAAGUACAGGAAAUUGAAGAAUUAACCAGAUGUGAUAUGCUGAAAGAGUGAAGUUUUCUCCCUUGAAUGUGGCCUUGUGAUUUGUCUUGAAGGAAUAGGAUGAUCACUGGCAAGAACCCUAUCAAGGUAGAUUUUAUGGUGUUAACAUAUUUUUAAGCAUUUUGUUACAUCAGCAAUGAUGCUUUCAUAGCAUGAAAGUGUUUAAUUUAACUGACUGAUCUUGAUUAAUCAAUUAUGAGUUUUAAUCGAGUAAAAACUAAAUACAAUCAUCGUCAACAAAUUCUGAAAUUGGGUAAAUAUCAUCUUGAUAUUGAAGAAUUUGAAAACACAAUCCACACAGGAAAUCACCCUUCGCGUGGGGAUGGAGAUGUUUACUGCAACGAUAUCGAAUAUGUGCACGGUGUUGUCCACUGAAACAAUGGAAAAAAUUAACAUAGGGGUAUUUAAAUAAUUAAACUCAGACCUCUUUGUAUAUGUUAUCCUAACUUUACUUACCCAUGUUUGUAAUUUUCACUUAACAGUUGAUGCCUAAACCAUUAAAACCAAAUGACCAUAGGGGUAUUUAAAGUAUGUAAAAAUAAACAAAAACACGUAAAAAAUUUCAAACAAUUAAUAAUUACACUCUAAAUGUACCACUUAACUCUUAAUAAUAGCCAUACUCUAAAACAAUCUACAACCUUUGAGGGGAGUAGCUAUGAGGAAAAUCCUUUUCUCAGUGGAUUGCCAUUGUCCGAGAGUUGCAAUGAAAAGAGACCACCAGCAACUGAGCCGGAAGAUUCAACUAGCACUGAAAAAAAUGAUAAUUUAAUUGAUAUGGACAGUUUCCAUAUCACUUUUAAAUCAUCCUAUGUAAUUGUGAUGUUAGGAAGCAUUAGUGAUCUGUAUGUGAACUAUUAUUGGCGCCAUUGGUGGUUUUAUCUUGUUAAAAUAUGGAUGACUUCCAGUUACUAUUUUGUAGUACACAAUUUUAUUCAAUUAACAUACAGCUUAAAACCAUUAUGUAUGUGCUUUAUUAAGAUUCUCAAGUACCAAUCACGUUUGCUUAAGAAAUAAAAUUUUGCCAUUAAAAGCGUAGUAAUAUUUCCAAGCGCUUCGCAUUUAUCUCAACAUUUUGAAGGAAUUUUGAGAAAUAUACUUUUAUUUACUUUGUCAAUUAAUUAAUUAAUUAAUUACUAUUUGGCUUGGAUUGGACGAAAUUCUCAUGAUGUUUUAAUUUCUUUAAAUUAAUUAAUUAAUUAACUCUGUUUUUAAGUCUUAAGUCUGGGCGUGUUUGCAGAAUUUGAUUCCUUCAACGAUUUAGAAGUGUUGGACAUGAGUGGCAAUGAAAUCGACAAUCUUGUGGUUCCUCAAGGUAAACAAUUAAAAUAUUAUUCAAUUACAUUAUUUUAAUUCAUUUGAUUAGGGAAGGCCAAAAAGGUAAGAAAAAAUUAAAUAAAGAAACAGAGAAUUUGUAUUAUUUAAAAAACAGAAUGUAAUAAAGAUUUGAUUCUAGUUCUUUAAUCUUUAAAGCGAUUGAAAAACAAUGUUGCUCUUUUCCCAAAGCAUAAAAUACGAAUUGAAUGCCAAUUAACUUAAUCAUUCAUUUCGUUUAGCUCUAAAUUUAGACAAUGAAUUUUUAUAUUAUUUCAAAAACAGGACGCAAUAGAAUUUUUUUUAAAAACAGAUUGUAAUAAAGAUUUGAUUCCAAUUCUUUAAUCUUUACUGCGAUUGAAAAAUGAUACUACUUCCCAAAGCAUAAAAUACGAAUUGACUCCCAAUUAAAUUAAUCAUUUAUUUCGUUUAGGUCUAAAUUUAGAAAAAUGAAUUUUGAUUCUCUUCAAUCCUUUCCUAAUUAUUAUUAAUAAACAGGUUAUAGAGGUUGGAGGAAGCUGAAAAGCCUGUAUCUAUCGGGAGUUGGAAUUAGAGAUGGAAGCAAGUUGUUACAGUCAAUGGGAUCAUUCCCAUCCCUCAACACUCUUUACCUGAAGCAUAAUAAUUUUACCGAUAUAGCGACAACAACGAACUAAAUGCAGAAAUAACUGAGUCACAUUCUUUGACCGCCCCAAACUUCCAAUUAUCACGUCUCUUGUUGUCUUCCAGUUACGGAGACAGUUUCAUAUUCCCCAAAUUCCUUUACCAUCAACAUGACCUGGAGUAUGUUGAUCUCUCACACAUAAAGAUGAAUGGAGAAUUUCCAACUUGGUUGUUGGAAAACAACACAAAAUUGAGACAACUUUCUCUCGUCAAUGAUUCUCUUGGAGGACCUUUUCGGUUGCCAAUUCAUUCACACAAGCGGUUAGGAAUGUUGGAUAUGUCCAACAACAACUUCCGAGGCCACAUUCCAGUAGAAAUUGGAGAUGUUUUACCAAGUUUAUACGUUUUCAACAUUUCCAUGAAUGCUUUAGACGGUAGCAUUCCCUCUUCAAUUGGUAAUAUAAAAUUCCUCCAAAUUCUGGACUUAUCCAACAAUCACUUGACUGGUGAAAUCCCCGAGCACUUGGCCGUGGGUUGCGUCAACUUGCAGUCUCUUGCAUUAUCAAAUAACAACCUACAAGGUCAUUUGUUCUCUAGAAAUUUUAACUUGACAAACUUGCAAUGGUUACAAUUGGAGGGCAAUCGCUUCGUAGGUGAGAUCCCACAAAGUUUGUCUAAAUGCUCCCCACUAGAAGGAUUGUAUCUUAACAAUAAUAGUCUUUCGGGUAAGAUUCCACGAUGGUUGGGUAAUCUCACAUGGUUACAAUAUAUUAUAAUGCCCAAUAAUCAUCUUGAAGGCCCUAUUCCAGUGGAGUUUUGUCAGCUUGAUUCGCUUCAGAUUUUAGACAUUUCAGACAACAACAUAUCUGGAAGUCUACCAUCUUGUUUCCAUCCUCUCAAUAUCAAACAAGUUCAUCUUUCAAAAAAUAUGUUACAUGGACAGCUAAAAAGAGGUACAUUCUUUAAUUGCUCUUCCCUUGUGACAUUAGAUCUUAGCUAUAACCGCUUGAAUGGCAGCAUUCCGGAUUGGGUUGAUGGGCUUUCUCAGUUAAGUCACCUUAUCUUAGGUCACAAUAAUCUUGAAGGUGAAGUGCCAGUUCAAUUGUGCGAAUUGAACCAACUACAAUUGUUAGAUCUUUCUAAUAAUAAUCUUCACGGUCCUAUUCCUCCUUGCUUUGAUAACACCACACUUCAUGAAAGUUACAGCAAUAGUUCUAGUCUUGAUGAGCAAUUUGAAAUAUCUUUUUCCAUCGAAGGCCCUGACGGAGAUGUAGAAAAGCAAAUCCGUGAAAAUUUUGAGUUCACAACAAAGAACAUUGCGUACAUUUACCAAGGAAAAGUGCUUAACCUCCUAUCAGGACUUGAUCUUUCUUGCAACAAGCUAAUCGGUCAUAUUCCUCCUCAAAUUGGAAAUUUGACAAGGAUUCAAACAUUGAAUCUAUCGCACAACAACUUGAUAGGAUCGAUCCCAUCAACAUUUUCAAACUUGAAGUAUGUCGAAAGUUUGGAUCUUUCCAACAACAAAUUGAAUGGAAAAAUCCCUUAUCAACUAGUGGAGUUAAAGACAUUGGAGGUUUUCAGUGUGGCAUACAAUAACUUAUCAGGCGAAAUUCCAGAAUGGAAAGCACAAUUUGCAACCUUCAACGAGAGUAGCUAUGAGGGAAAUAUUUUUCUUUGUGGACUGCCAUUGCCCAUUUGCAUAUCACCAGCAACUACACCGGAGGCUUCAAUUGACAAUGAAGGAGAUGAUAAUUUAAUUGACAUGGACAGUUUCUUUAUCACAUUUACAACAUCGUACGUAAUUGUGAUAUUCGGAAUUGUUAUUGUUUUAUAUGUAAAUUCUUAUUGGCGACGUAGAUGGUUUUACUUUGUUGAAAUGUGGAUAACUUCAUGUUAUUAUUUUAUUGUAGACAAUCUUAUUGCAACAAGAUAUUGUCAUUGAAAUUAAUUAGCAGUUUAAUUACGAUUCUUUAAGUUCUAAUCAAGUUUGCUUAGAAAAUAAAUUAAUUUUUAUUUUUUAUUAAAAUUGUAGUAGUAUUUAGCGCUAUAUAGCUUCCAACUUCCAAGCACUUCACAAUUGUCUCUACACUUCCAAACCCAUAUCUAUCCACCAUAACUUAUACUUCCCUAUACUGUGCAGCAUACUUAAAUAACAGAACCAUCUCCAAUGUUAAAACCAGCCACUCUAUAACAUUCAUUUAGAAACUAUAUUUAGAAUAGUUUUAUAAUCAUACACAAGAAAUGAAACACCUAGAUGCACUUGAUCGCCUAUUUUACUUUAAAAAAUAAUGAUUAUGGUGCUAUCAUCAUCUUCUUCACUAGCGUCAUUAACACCAAAUCCAGCGAUGGACCCAGACAUUUUAUCAAGAAAGGUAUAUAUAUAAUAAAGUUGAAGCUUGACAAAAAAAUUCAGGAAGAUUGAUGCCUCGCCACAACAAGGGGCACACCAACAUCAAAGUAGAGAUGAAGCAAUAUUCUCAAAGCUAAAACUCUCAAAUCCACGCACCAGAAUUUCAUAUCUCCUCAACAAUUUAAGAACUAAAGAUAAUUAGGAUCUAACAUUAGUUUUUUAUAUAUUAGUUUCAUAAUUUACAAAUCAACGAAGAUGAGGAUUAUGCUAAUGAAUUCAAAUUAUACCAUAGAUUCUCGAGAUGUUACCAAAAAUUUCUAAAGUCAAUCCCACAUAUUUCAUAAUUUUAAGACUAGAAAAUUUCAUUAGUUAGAAGUUUAUUACCUUCAAGUGGAAGAUGAAGAACAUUAUACAAUUGAUUCAGAUUAUAUCAUACAUACUCCAAAUGCAACUAGAAAUUAACAAGUUCAUGCGCACAAAUUUCAUAACAUUAUGAUUGGAAAGUUUCACGAAGAGAAAUUCUAAAUUCAAUCUCUUGCAUCAUGGUAGUUUGAUUGAUUUGAGUUACUUUCUCAUCAAGCUACUAAUAUAACAUUCAAGUCAGGGAGAAAGUAAAUUAAAACUGGGAAGAAAUAACAGUAAAAAUUUGUUGCUAAAAAUGAUGUGUAUUUUUUUUUGAAGGCAAGUUGGAAACACAGUUGUUACUACAGAUAUUCUCCUCAACUUAGAGAUAAAUACAAAUAUUAAAAUGCAUAUGAUCGCACAUAUUACUUGGAGCUUAGUAAGAUUUCAUUAAGAGAAGCAAUCAAACCACUUAUCAAUUGUUGCAAUCGUUCUAUAAGCUAAAAUAGCAAUAUAAUACAAGAAAAAGAACAUAUAGAUACUUGGCAAGAGUUCAUUAAGAAGUCGCAUCACAUUCGGGUGAGUUUGCUUCUGAUAUCUUGCUAGCUGGGGCUUUUUCUUGUCUUUCUAUGUAUGCCGAGGGAAACCAACCAGCUUGGCCCUUGCAUUCACCUUCCGACCAUCCAGUAGGAGCCACCUUGAGAAGUUAUAACUAAAACAGUGAAUUAAACAAAAGUUGACCGUUCGAAGACCUAAGGGGAAAACUAAUUCUUUUACGUAGGAGUGAAUUAGUUGUGAUCACUGAAAUAACAGCAUAACUAUGGAAGCAUAACAAGUUAAAAAUUCACACGUCUAUAAGGGUAAACUGGGUGGUUUAGAACUGAGCUAGCAACCCUACUAUAUUCUGAUUUGCACUUCAAUGUAAAAGGGAAUAUAUGGUAGGAAGAAAGAAAACCAACCAUCAUUUGUUAACUCAUUGCUUUUCAAUCAAAAUUUUAAGAACAAAAUGCCAUGUGCUUUGAACAUCAAAUAAGUAUAAGCAUUAGUUCUAAAUUCCACAUAUCUUAAGUUAGAAGGAUAAGUUAAUAGCAUAGUAGAAAAAUCUAUGUGUUGUUAUUUAGAGGGGAAAGUACCUGGCGAACCACAACAUAAUCAUCAAUUGAAAGACUUAGCUCUCCAUUUGCUUGAGCAUCAAAUGGAUGUAUAACCUGCAAGAUAAUGGGAUAAAUAGAACUUAAUCUUUAAAAAAGCAUAACAAAAGCAGCAACAGUAGCAGCAGUGUUCAUUGUAACCACUAUGAUCAUGGCCAACAAAGAUAUAUUAGAAACAAAAUUCCAUUUUUACUACGACAUUAAUAUGUACUAUAUGAUAUCAUGACGAUUGGGUUACCAAGAGCUAUCAAAGUCCAAUAAAUUCUGUAUAACUUUAUGUAGUUAUUCAAAUUAUGGAUCAGAUUUUAAAUCUGAAAUUUUGACUGCUCUCCACAAAACAUGGCCUAUGCACAAGAAAGUCAUAGAUAAUGAGGAUUACAAGUGUCUGACAUCUUUUGAGUGAUGGAUUUAACAUGAGAGCUUAUGGUCAGUCAAUUUCCUCUGCCUAGCAAUAUAAGCUUUCUCGGCCAGAUUUAUCAUCAAAUACAUAGAUUGCCCCCAAGUCACAUCCAUAUAAACAUAGUUUUUCUAGGUAAACCAGGUAAGGAGUAUCAUAAUUCAGACAUAAUCAUAAAAAGGCCCAUCUAACUUAAGAGAAAAUCUCAAAAAGAGGGAUGUUGAGCUAUCAGUCUUGUAUCUAUAAGCAAUAUCAAGACUUUACAUCACCUGCUACGUCGUGAGUGGCUACACAACUUUCAGUGGUUUGUCUUUCUUUGGCAUGCCUAACUCAGCUUUGAUGUUGCUGAGAUAUUGAUAGUAGAGACACAUGAUACUUCUAGCUCAUGCAUUCUAUCUAGCUCAUCCGACAGCUAUCUCUUUUUUAAUUCAUUAGUGUUUGCUAAACCUCAUGCUUAAAAGUCCUGUUGUUCUAAACAAAGUUUCCUAAGAAUGACUUCCUCAGCACCACAUUUGGACACUUUUAGAGCAAUUUUAUUUGGGGGGAAAGAAUUUUCAAGGUGUUAACUAAUAAAUUUUAAAAAAUAAUUAUAAUUUGUCCUAUGAUUAUAUGACAAUUUAUCUGGGAUGAAAGGAUACAGACAGACAUCUUCCACUUUCAAGACUAAUCACUACUUCUGUAGAUGUUUUGCAAUAAUACAAAUACUUGACCAGAUGGUAGUGAUGGUAGAAAAAAAUUUUAUUGCUCCAAAAUUAAAAUAAGAAUGCAAUAUGUUCAGCAAAAGACUGUGCAACAUCAAAUUAAUUGAUAAGUUUGUAAUUCAGUAAAUUAACAACUUUCAUGGUAAAAUACAACAAAUUUCUUUUCAAAAAAAAAAAUCUUAAAAGACAGCAUACAAUUUUGUGCGCAUCUUAUUUCUUAAGAUUUUCCAGGAGGGCAAUAGAGGGACUUUCACCUAUGCAAGAGAGCAGAAGCCUUACUUUCGCUAUAAAGUAGACGUCAUUCUGAUUAAUAUGCGUUUGCAAAUCAGCUCCAUUUGAAUCAGUAUUCUGAUAGACACAUGAGGCAUUUACAUCCAUUUCCAAAGUCACAUGUUACGACUAUAUUUGAAGAUUGUUCUAUAGUUAGAAGAAAUGCCAAAUGAAUGAACUUACUUGACCUUAAUGUAAAAUGUUAUCACAUGCAUAAGUGAGACGAAAAUGAUAAAUACAAUAUUAUCAGCAGUAAACAAGAAGAGAACACUCCAAGGAAUAGAUAGAUGCGGAUGAGUAAUAUGAGGAACUCCGGUGAGUCUCACCCGAGCAACAAUGCCCAACUUCUCUAACUUAUGAUGAUAUGUUUUCUCAGCAUCUACCUGCAAAGGCCCGAGACCAGGAAAACAACAAUAAAACCACUAGCUAAAGGAGAAAGUAAAGAAAGAAAUACACUUGACAUAAAUCUUGACAAGAAGCACAAUUUAAGACAUAACAAACCCCAAUCAUAUUGUUUAGAACUACCAUUCGUUAUUUCGUUAUUGUAGCAUUUCGAACAAGUGUUGACUUAAUUCAACAUUGUUGGAAAGAUAGGCUUUUAGAAGCGGAAGAAAGCCACUCAAACCAAAGUGAUUGUCCUUGUAUUGGUCAAGGGAUGUAAACAUAUUACAUUUGCAGGAUGAGUUUUAAUCACUCCCCUGAUUUAUUUGGGUUGCAGUAAAACUAAGCGAGCAACUGUUUGACUUUCAAGCAACAUCUAAAUCAGCUAUUAAAAUUCAAAUAAAAUUAUAAUAGAAUAAUAACAGGCCAUCUUGCAUCAAAAAUUAAGUUUAGUUUGUGAAUUUUUUUCUAUAGACAUGUUAGUUCCUGCUAUUGAAAUGUUAAAAGCAUUGAAAAAUUAUUCAAUAAAUUAUGCAAACAUUAAAAUAGAGGACAUAUUAAAAAGUUUCUAAUUACAAUGUUAAGAUUUCCUAUAUUUUAGCAUUUGCAUAUUUUAAUUUAUUUAAAAGCUACGUCGAUCAACUUUGGGCGUGAAGAUUUUAGCUUCUACGAGACUUGAUUGGAAUAUGCAUAAGGAAGAGUGUUAAAAUAUGAUGCAUCCAACGAAAGACAAAUGACACUUGGACCAACAUGCAAUCAUGAAGUGGCCAGAAAAAGGACAAAUGCAACUUUGGCUUAAAUAAAAAAUAACAUGUGACUUGACUUUUGCUGGACAUGCAUCAUGUUAUUACAAGACAACAGAAAUCAGUAUGAUAGUACUAAAAGUUCACAAUAACAUGAAGAUAAGAGGCAGAAUGUCAACAAAUGCAUAGGCACACACAAGAAAGUAUUAACUUAUAUACCAUAGCAAAAAGUCUUUGAUAUGUCAUCUGUUGCUGCUGUGAUUCAACUGACAGCAUGGCAGCUGUCGCUUCUCUACCAAGAGCCAUUAUUGUAGAUUUAAGCUCGGUCAAUCUUGCUUCUGCAUUUCGAAGCUUCACAGCACUCUCUGCUGAUAUAUCAGAUUCCCUAAUCUUUGAUCGGCGCCUAAAUACUUCAGCUGCCUGGUGAAAAUAUUCAAUGUAAAUCUAACAUAAUUCUAAUCUUGCCUUAUACAUGCAUAUGUUAACUCAAAGCUUACCUGGGCUUCAACUUCAUGUCGAAGUUUGUCAUAACGAUGAGUCAAGAAAAUAUCUUAGAACUAAGUUUCCUUAUGAGAAGAUAAUAGUUUCAGUAGUAAUUUACAUAUAAUUUUCUAUAUUUGAAUUAUUUUCUAGUUAGGGAUGAACUAACCUGAUCACGAAGAAUCCCAAGCAAAGUUUCCCUCUCAUUUUCCAUCAAAUCAUGUGAAGUGCCAAAUUGAAGAGCAGCUCUUGCAACGCAAGAAUUGUCACUUUGAUUCUCCACUCCAUACUUGCAACAAUCUUCGGCCAACUUUCUCGCUACAAUAUUUGAAUACAAAAAUAUUGUACACAAGAACUAGUCAAGAAAAAAAAAAUCAAAUAUUAUAACGAGAGCAAGAGCAAACUAACAACCUAUUUCCAUUUGUUUCAAGCUUACUGCAACAAACACUUCAACGCCACGGACAACAUUCCUCUGAAAAUGCUGCGCUACAGAGCAUAUAUUCCAAAUCAUUGUUCAGAUAAAACCAUACAAACCAUCAUAAUUAUUCAACAUACAUUAAGCUCCGUUUGGUAAAUACUUGCAACUUCAGUCUAGAAAAUACAGUUAAUUUUUAUUUAAAAAACAUCAUAAUUAUCAACAUACAUAUUUGACAAAAUUAUUAUUUAAAAAUCAUAACUAAUUACCAAAAGCCACAAUAAAUCAAUAUCAAACAGAGUCUUAUUAUUAGCUAAAGGAGGAUGGUGCCUUAGCUGCCCUGGUGGAAUUGUAUAGAUUUUGAAGUUGUUGGUGACACUCAAGUUCAGCUUCAUCAACCGCAACAUUUUCAAUGCCAAGAUGGAGCAGAUGCUUCAAUACUGCCUGUACAAACCAUAAAAAACUAAUGAAAAAUAAAUAAAAUCGAGAAAUUUCACUAAUUAAAAAAGAAAAGAAACGGACUUGCUGUUGAAAACAGCAGCUGUGAAGAGUCAAAGAUUGACCUUGAAUCCAAGCUGGCAUGCCACCUAAGCUUCUGUAAUCUACAGCCAGCUGACAUGGAAGAUGAGUCAGGAUUAUUGAGCUGGCAGAACAGCUGUGCUGAAGAAUAUCAGCACAUAAGCAUGGAGCAGCUGAAGCUUCUAGAAUUCUAAAAUGAUUGGCUCAUGAUUGGCAGUCUGACAAAAUUAGUUUUUCUGUGUAAUAUUCUUUAUUAGCUGUCAUUAUUUUCUUGUCUCUAUAUAUACUACAAUUGCUCUGUAAUACGUCAGUUGGGUAAGCAAUAAUAAAAGGAAUACUCUGUCUUGUUCACUCUGCUUGCAAUACUAAGCAAUUCUUUAGAAUUUAAGUUGGUAUCAGAGCCAUCUUUUAGCUAUGGCAAGCAGCAGCGACAAUGAAACAAAUGUUAAUCCAACACAGGUUGAUUCAAGUGAUCAACCAGACGAUUUGAAUCAAAACACUGAGCCACAAAAUCCAGGCCUUAACACCAGAAACACAGCACAAAUAAGUGCAUCACCAACCCAGCAUAUCACCAGCAACACCUAUGUCUUUACUACUCCAAUCAAACUAACUCAAAGCAACUUUAUGCUCUGGAAAUCACAAGUGAUUUCUAGCAUUAGAGCAAAUGAGCUUAAGGGGUUUAUUGAUGGCAGCCAUGUCUGCCCUCCUAAGGUCUUCAUGAGUCCUGGACCAAAUCGAUCCACCAUUACCACACCUAACCCUGAAUACCAGAUUUGGAGGAAACAUGAUCAUAUCCUAUUGAGUUGGCUACUCUCCUCUCUAAGUGAAGGAGUACUAGGCACAGUGGUAGAUUGUUCCACCUCCUGUGAGGUGUGGACAACUCUAGCCAACCAAUUUGGUGCUAGAACAAGGGCAAGAGUCCUAUAUCUCAGAACUCAAAUUCAAACUACUAAAAAGGGUUCAUCAACCAUUCACGAAUACUACUCAAAAAUGAAAACUUUAUUGAACUCACUUAGAGCUGCAGGGAAUAACAUGAAUGAUGAUGAUUUCAUCAUGUGUGUGCUUGCUGGUUUGGGGACAAAAUAUUACUCAGUAGUUACCAACAUCAACUCAAUGCAGGAGAGUCCCUCGAUCUCGGAAGUAUAUGGUAUGCUCUUGAGUCAAGAAAACAGAACUGAGCAAAACUUGAGCUCAGGGAACAUUGAAGCAAACUAUGCUCAAAUGAGGAAUGGAAGAAGGAGCUGGAACAACAGUGAAAGAACUACACAUCAGCAGCUGCCUGGAAUUGUUUUCAGAAAUCCUGGAAACAACCCCACGAAUAACCAAACCAAUCAGAAUCCUCAAGACAAAGGAAAAGGAAAAGCAGUGGCUGAUGACAGUGGUUCUGACCCAAAAGGGCCUUGUCAAAUCUACUGGAAAAUGGGACACACAGCAGCUGAGUGUUGGCACAGAUUCAAGAAGAACUUUGUACCUCAGCCAAACAGAAGAAGAGAGCAGAGAGGUGCUUAUGUUGCUGCAGCUGAAGGUCAAAGUAGUGGAGCUUGGUACCUUGACAGUGGUGCUACAAAUCAUGUGACUAACUCUCUUGGAAAUCUCAGCAUCAACUCUGAAUACCAAGGUAAAAACAAGCUAGCUGUUGGUAAUGGUGAAAAGCUUUUGAUUAGUCACAUUGGUUAUUCUGCUUUGCCCACAUAUGAUCCACACAAGCACAUCACCUUAACUGCUAUACUAUGUGUGCCUGACAUAACCAAAAACCUUAUUAGCAUUUCUAAAUUGCUGCAUGACAAUGAUGUUGAUGUUGAGUUUCAAAAAUCUGUUUGUUUUAUUAAGGACAAGAGACAAGGGAAAAUUCUGGUGAAAGGAGUGGCUAGAGAUGGGCUAUAUGAGCUGAUGCACUUACCUGCCAUCCUGAGCAGGAACAAAAAUCCACAUGCUGUUUUGUCUUCUAUUCUGUCAAAUUCAGAGUCAAUGAAUAAUAAUAGUUGUCCAGUGUCCAUGUUGUCUUUCAAUUCAAGUAAUGAGUCCGUCAAAGUUAGUGUCGAGCCAAAUAUAGCUGAUGAGUCAAGAAGCAACAAUCUGCAAGCUGCUGAAGAAACUGAUGUGUGGCAUUCCAGACUAGGACACCCUAGUACUUCAGUCCUGAAAAACACCUUGUUAUCUUGUAAUCAGCUCAAAAUUAAUAAAGAUAUUGUUCCUUCAUUUUGCUCAGCAUGCCAAUAUGGAAAGCAAUCAAAACAAUCUUUCAAAAGCACUGAAACCAAAACUAAGACAGCCCUUGAACUGAUUCACACAGACCUUUGGGGACCAGCACCAAUUCUAUCCACUCAUGGACACAGAUAUUACAUCUCCUUUGUUGAUGACAGAACAAGAUACACAUGGCUCUUCCCUUUAGCAACCAAGUCUCAAGCUCUUGAAACCUUCAUUACCUUUAAAAAUCAGAUCGAAAAAUAAUUGAACCUAACAAUCAAAGCACUACAAACAGACAUGGGAGGAGAGUUCAGAGCCUUUGAACCAUAUUUGAAAAGAGAGGGAAUAACUCUAAGGCAUUCAUGUCCAUACUUACAUGAACAAAAUGGCAAGGUUGAGAGAAAACAUAGACACAUUGUGGAGACUGGACUUGCCUUACUUGCCCAAGCCAAAAUGCCCUUAAAAUUUUGGCAAGAAGCUUUCAGCUAUGCUAUCUUCAUUAUCAACAGACUUACCUCACCUGUGCUAAAGAACAAGACACCAUUUGAGUUAUUGUAUUCUUUCAAACCAGAUUAUACACAAAUUAAAAUCUUUGGCUGUGAGUGUUUUCCAUUUCUUAGACCAUACAACAGACACAAAUUUGAUUUUCACACUUCCAAAUGCAUCUUAUUGGGGAUCAGCAGUGCUCACAAAGGUUAUGUUUGUAUGAACAGUUCAGGAAGAGUUUAUAUCUCAGCUAGUGUCAAAUUCAAUGAAAAAUCCUUUCCUUUCGAAAAUGAUUCUAGCUUUAGGAAACAAGAGUCAGUAAAGGAAGGUGAUGAAAUUGCCUUACUUGAAAAAUUCCAGGUUGUGUCAUUCUCUGUCAACAAUCCCCAUGGUCUCACACAAGUGGCAACAUCUCAUAGCAACUCUCCAGACACUACUGGAAACACAGAAUGCAUCCUAAGUCCAGUCCAGAAUGAAAUGCAACAGGUAAAUGAUACUGACACAAUAUCAGGUAGCCUUUCAACUCACAGUCCACCUCACAUUACAGAAAUAAACAGCCAAAACCUUCCCACACAAAAGGCCUUGCCUUCACACCCCAUGGUAACAAGAUCCAAGGCUGGGAUCUUCAAACCAAAGCUGUACCAGGUUUCCAGUAAACCACAACCUUCUCUUCCCAAAAACACAUUUGAGGCUUUGAAGGAUCCCAAGUGGAGAAAGGCAAUGAAGGAUGAGUAUCAUGCAUUGAUGAAAAACAAAACCUGGACCUUGAUACCAAACAACCAAAAUUGCAAAUUGAUUGGAAAUAAGUGGAUCUACAAAGUAAAGGAAAACUCAGAUGGCAGCAUCAACAAGUACAAGGCCAGAUUAGUAGCAAAUGGAUUCUUACAAACUCCAGGACUUGAUUUCAAUGAAACUUUCAGCCCUGUUAUUAAGGCUGCAACUAUUAGAAUCAUCCUAACCAUGGCAGUAAGCAAUGACUGGUUGCUUAGGCAAGUGGACAUAAACAAUGCCUUCUUGAAUGGUGACCUGACAGAGGCAGUAUACAUGCCACAACCUGAGGGUUUUGAAGACAAGAAUAGACCAAGCUACAUUUGCAAACUGGAAAAGGCUUUGUAUAGAUUGAGGCAAGCUCCGAGAGCAUGGUUCGACAAACUAAAAGGUGCCUUGAGUUCUUGGGGAUUCAAAAAUUCCAGGAGUGACACAUCUUUGUUUUUCAGAAGAAUUGAAUCAAAGAUAGUCAUCAUGCUCAUAUAUGUAGAUGACAUUAUAAUCACUGGAAGUGACAGUCAAGGCAUUGAGGAAGUCAUUAAAGAUCUGAACACAUCCUUUGCUCUGAAGGAUCUCGGAAAUUUGAAUUUCUUCCUUGGGAUACAAGUUCUAAGGAAUCAAAACUCUAUCCUACUCUCUCAAGCAAAAUAUAUUCAAGACUUGUUGGCCAAAACAGAAAUGACAGACUGUAAAGGAAUAGAGACACCCUUCAGCUCUUCUGAGAAAUUGGAAAAGGAUGCUGGGAAUAGAUUCCACGAUCCCAUACUCUAUAGAAGCAUCAUAGGAAGCCUGCAAUAUGCAGUAUUGACCAGGCCAGAGCUUGCUUUCUCAGUUAACAAGCUCAGUGAGUUCAUGUCUGAUCCUAGACAGCCACAUUGGGUAGCAUGCAAAAGAGUGCUGAGAUAUCUCAAAAACACAAUGAAUAUGUGUUUAAGUUUCAAAAAAUCUGAACAUCUGGAUCUCAUUGCCUAUACGGAUGCAGAUUGGGCAACUGAUCCAGAUGACAGAAGAUCCAUAAGUGGAUACUGUGUGUACUUGGGAGAUAAUCUGGUUGCUUGGAGCUCGAGAAAACAAGGCAUAGUAGCAAGGUCAACAGCUGAAUCAGAAUAUAGAGCAAUGGUUCUAUGCAGCACUGAAAUCACAUGGAUUAAUUCUCUACUUGGUGAGUUGAAGAUGGAUGUUGAAAAUAUACCAAUUAUCCUAAGUGACAGCACCAGUGCAGCAGCCAUAGCAGCAAACCCAGUCUAUCACUCCAAAACAAAACAUUUCGAGAUAGACCUUUAUUUUCUCAGAGACAAAGUUACAAAGGGAGAAUUGGAAAUAAACUAUAUUGGCAGCAAUGAUCAAAUUGCGGAUGUGCUGACCAAGCCAUUACCACAUCACAAGUUUAGCUGUUUUAGAAGCAAACUCAAAGUCAUUGACAAGACCUUGAGUUUGAGAGAGGGUGUUGAAAACAGCAGCUGUGAAGAGUCAAAGAUUGACCUUGAAUCCAAGCUGGCAUGCCACCUAAGCUUCUGUAAUCUACAGCCAGCUGACAUGGAAGAUGAGUCAGGAUUAUUGAGCUGGCAGAACAGCUGUGCUGAAGAAUAUCAGCACAUAAGCAUGGAGCAGCUGAAGCUUCUAGAAUUCUAAAAUGAUUGGCUCAUGAUUGGCAGUCUGACAAAAUUAGUUUUUCUGUGUAAUAUUCUUUAUUAGCUGUCAUUAUUUUCUUGUCUCUAUAUCUACUACAAUUGCUCUGUAAUACGUCAGUUGGGUAAGCAAUAAUAAAAGGAAUACUCUGUCUUGUUCACUCUGCUUGCAAUACUAAGCAAUUCUUUAGAAUUUAAGUCUUGCUGCUGCUUGGCGACUUGUUCUCGGAGCUUGAUUGCCUGUUUCUUGAUAGUUUCCAUACUGUUUCUUUCAAAAAGCGACGACGGCUCAGCUCAUGGAGGUGGAAAAAAAAAAGUGUGAUCGAGAAAAAUAAAAAGGCAUGAAUAAUUUUUGAAAAAAAAAACGAAAAUCAAGGAAAGCCAGCUCUUUCCAGAAAAUAAAAAAAGAAAAAAAAAAUUAUAAGUUUGAAAGGAGAAGAUGAUAGUGGAAGUGUGCAGUGUGGCUGCCAGCUACUUGGAUUGUAGAGAAUUUUUUUUUUGUGGACAGAGCAUGACAUUAGACUUUUGUGGACCAAAUUCAAAAGCCGAAUGGCACGGCCCAGAAGCUUUUGAAUACAAUAACUUGCUAGAAAGCUCCAUUUUUUAUUCUUCUUAUACUUUACGCUUGCAUCAGCCUCAAUCACUUCUUAAUCGCUUGCUUUAACUGCAUCGCUCUCUCUGUGCUCUUCUAUAUAUGUAACAGUUAUGCGGUUGUAGUUCACGACUGAGGCUACGUGUUGGUUUGACGUGGCAGUUACGUUACAAGGGGAUAAAUAAGAUUGGUUGCAACAAACCCACUAAUUUUAUAAAAUUCGAGUAAUAUAGAAUAAAAUAAAAAAUAAAUAUAAAAUUGGCUUUUAUUUUUUAUGGUUGACUGUAUUUUGUGUUCUCUUCCGGCACUACUACAAUUGUUACCUAUAUAUCAGUCACACCCAUAUAUCAUUAACACAAGAAAUGAAAUCUAAUGUCACCUAUUUAGUUAAAGAAUCACUCAUGAAAAAUUUUUACCUUUUUCAUUUGAGGAUCCAUAUUUUGAACUGCAAGUUAAUGUUCAUCAAGAAUCACUAAUGUUCAUAAAAAUCCGAGUAUGGCCGUUGAGUAGAAAAAUUAUUUUUGGACAAAUUAUUUUUGUUGAUAGAAGAAUUUCUUAAGGGACUACUAAAAUUAUUAAUAAAAAUGUAGAACACACCCACAUAUCAUCAACACAAUUGACUUUGAGGAUCCAUGCUUUGAACUGCCGCCUAAUGUUCAUCAAGAACAGAGUAUGACUUGUGAGUAGAAAAUUUUAUGAUUUUGGCCCGAAAUAAAAAGAAAUUAAAUUAGAUGAGAAUCUGCCACUUUCUCAUGAAGAAAGGCAUACGGAGCAUACCAUGGUACCAUACAAUACAAAGAGUCUCCGUUCUCUGGUUUUUCAAACUAUAAAGGGGCCAAUAUUCCCGAAUUCUCCCUUGAAAAUUCUGAUUACGACAUUAUUCAUCGCUUGACGCAAUCAAAGUAGCGACAAAGUUAAGAAAAAUAUGAGUCCUAAGCAAUUGCUAGGUAGGGUUCCUGAGAGUAAAAUUGUCCUAAGCAUUAUAUGCAUACAUGGUGUGGUACAUAGAGCACGUUGAAUUCCACACUAUAACACAAACCUAGAAAGACAAGUAAUAACUCAACUGAUAUAAAGACAAAAAGAAGAUAAAAUGAUAUAGAAAAAAGAAUUUCAAAGAGACAGCAACAUACGAUAGACUGAAGCCACUUGAUCUGCUCAUUGAUUGCAGCCUUAAACUUACAAAUAAUUACCGUACGCUAGUGCUCUAAGAAGUGAAAAUGAUGCAAGCCCUGAUUCCCUUUUGACUUCCAUUUACUGUCAAACAUUCUAGUAAUACAAAAAAUUGUUUAAAUAUCUUGCUAUAAAUAUAGCCGUUUGACUGUCAUAAUAAAGUCACAAAUAACCAUUCAUAUUGAAAUAUCUUGCUAUAAAUAUAACCAUUCCUUAUCAAUACAUUUGGCAAAAACUUAAGAAGAAAACUAUUUCUCCAUCUCUUUUUUGAAAUUUCACAAUAAACCAGCACAUUAUGAAAGCUAUGUUCUAAUCUUAUGAUAAAUGCUCUAGACUCCAAAAGGACUUUAUAUAUGAGAGUUUGUUGCAGCAGAUAUAUUGACUUAUCAAGUAUGAAUCAUUGUCUGGAUGAACUAUCUUUAAAUAAAAGAACAUUAGAACCACUGUAGAAUAUCUUUACGCUGCUGGUUCUAACAGGAAUCUGCAUGUGGCAACAAUUGCUAGAUCCACAAUUCCCCAACUUGAAAUACAUAGUUGCACACCAUGAGAUAGUGCUACAAUCUACUGAGAUCUAACUUAUAUGAUACUUUAUGCUACUAAUGUUUGCAUAUUUUUACAUGUUAAAUUAACACUAUAAUCUAUAAUCACUCCAAAAUGACAAAUGAUAAGCAGCUUUUGGCUAGUUAUUACUAGCAUCCACAAUUAUAAAUAAGAGAUCAUGGGUUUACUUGUUGCACCUACUUAAUGAUCUGCAGUUGAGACCCUGACGCAAGGUUUAAAUAGUGACUGCUUAGAACCCUUGUAGUUGGAUCUUGACCUCUCCCAUUUUAGCCAAGAUUGGCUACUCUGGUAAUGAAUCAACACUGUCCUGCUCAGGGCCAUGAAGAUCUGGAAGCUCAGCACUAGUGGAGAACUUCACCAAUCUCUUCUUCUCAGCAUACUUGAGACAAGGCUGCAUUACGAGACCAAUCACCACAGCACCAACGAUUAAAACUGCAACUUUUAAAGUAGAAAGAGCCAACACAACACAAAUCAAUAUGGUUGGAGGAAUACAUAUGAUAAUGGCUCCAACAGUGCCAGUGGGUAUCUUGUAAGGACGAGAUAAAUAGUAGAGAAGUUUUUAAGAAGCUAGAACAGAGCAUGUUAGACUUUUGUUGACCAAAUUCAAAAGCCAAAUGGCACAGCCCAGAAGUUUUUGAAUAGAAUAACUUACUAGAAAGCUCCAUUUUUUGUUGGCUACAGUAAAAGGAUGUUGUUUUGUUCUUCUUAUACUUUACGCCUGCAUCAGCGUAAAUCACUUCUUAAACGAUUGCUUUAACUGCACCGCUUCGAGUCUGUUAAACAUUCGGUGAUAAGAUUAGUUACAACAAACCUACUAGUUUUAUAAAAUUCAAGUGAGAUGGAAUAAAAUAAAAAAUAAAUAUAAAAUUGGCUUUUAUUUUUUAUGGUUGACUGUAUUUUGUGUUCUCUUCGGGCACUACUACAAUUGUUCCCUAUAUAUCAGUUACACUCACGUAUCAUCGACACGAAAAAUGAAAUCUAAUAUCACCUGUUUAGUUAAAGAAUCACUCAUGAAAAAAAAUUACCAUUUUGAUUUGAAGAUCCAUAUUUUGAACUACCAAUUAAUGUUCAUCAAGAACAGAGUAUGGCCGUUAAGUAGAAAAACUAUUUUUGGACAAAUUAUUAAAUUCCAAUAUUGUAUCGAUAUGCAAACGAUGCCUGAAGCAUAGCCUCCAAACAAUGACCAGGGCACAAAACAAGAGUGUAGUAAUCAAGUGUAUUGUCUCAUAAUCAAUUAAAAGCAGAUAUACAGGAUACCAUAUUCAAUUCCAAAAUAACAAAAGCAUAAUGAGGAUGAGAAGAACAAUGCAAGAUUUGUUGUUGUUUUAGUUGCUUCUAAUAUUUUUUAUGACGCACAUCUAUUGAAUUAAGAGAUUUCUAUAAUCAGUGCCGCAGUACUGAAAAUAAACUACUUGUCAGUCAAAUAGCUGAGUAUUUCUAUGAGAAUGUCAUUAUUAAUGACCGACUUUUUCCAGAUUCUUGGACAAACAUAAGAGACUAUUGUGCUUAGUUAAAAUGAUCACUCAAAUAUGAUUUCUUCACUUUGGUUGUCAAUUAUCUAUUCAAAUUAAUCAGUGUCAUUAUCGACUUAUUUAUUUAGAAGAGCGGGUGAUAAAUAUAUUUAAUAAUGUGAACAAGAAGUUCGUUAACUUUUAUGAUCAUUUGGAAGGUCGGCGUGUCAUCACUCGUCAAACACAUUGCAUCGAUCCACCAGCAUGAACCGACAGGAUUAUGAUUGAACACAAGAUGCACAACUUAUGAUUGAACCCAGAAACAAUCAAAUCUUUAGCAAGAACAAUUAAUCAGAGUCAAGAAACAAGUUUAAUGAAUAUAAACCUAUAAUUGAAAAUUUGAAACAAACAUAGCCAAGAAAAAAAUACAGAUUUUACACGGUUCAGUUGUACCUAGGAUGGCACAACCUACACCACGAGAGAAGCUUUCUGGUGAGAUUUUAUUGAUGAUCAAAGAAGAAUCUUUUGCCAAAGCUAAUAAUAGAGAUUUCAGAGAAUAAGCUAUUACCCUCUCUCCCUCUUCAAUCUCUCUCUAUUUUGUUCCCAUUGAUGACCCCAAUCUGCUUAGUUAUCCAGCUUUAUAGCUGCAUCAGUAACAAACCAGCAAACCCAGAUUGAGCAGAUUGACGACACGUGGAUAACGGCUUUAACGAACCUGGUUAAGAACUGCUCACAUGUUCGUCACGCGUGCUGCUUAAAUGAUGGCCAAAACGACUUCAAACAAAUGUCGUUUUGAGGCUUAUGAAUUACAAGUGAUAACACGAGCUUGUCUCAUGACUUUUAAAUGCAACAACGUGCCCACAACGCCGUCGUUUUACUCUGUUGAGUUUGAUUCAUUACUAAGCUUUACGACUGGCAAUGGAGAAGAUGAUAAUUUAAUUGACACGGACAGUUUUUAUAUCACUUUUACAACAUCCUAUGCAAUUGUAAUAUUGGGAAUUAUUGAUGUUUUAUUCUGUGAAUCCUCAUUAGCAAAAACUAGUGGUUUUAUCUUUGUUGAAAUAUAGAUGACCUCUCGUUACUGUUUUAUUAUAAACAUAUAGUUUCGUAAGUGAAACUAUAUGUUUAUAAUAAAAUUAACAUAUAGUUUCGUUACAUUUCUGCCUCAUUAAGAUUCUCAAAUACCAGUCAGGUUUGCUUAAGAAAUAAAAUUUUUCCAUUAAAAUUGCAGUAGUAUUUCCAAGCAUAUCGCAUUUUCUAUGAUUUUUCAUAAAUUAAUUAAUCUGCGGUGCCAAUAUCAGAUUUAGUUUUUCAAACUAAAUAAUCAAGAAAGCAAACAUACAAAUAUACAGUUUAGAGGGGUAAACUAGGUAGGUGGCUUAGAUUUUAGAACUAAGCCAGCUACCUCACUAAAUUCCGAUUCGUACAGUGAACUGCAAGAAAUUGAGAAAACAAUGUAUUUAUAAUUUAAUAGAAUCAUAAGAAAACAAUGUAGUCAUUGCUCAAUAUAAGAUGAUGAUUUCGGAGAGGCACAUUGUUUUCAAGUUAAUUUGAACCGUUUAUAAGAGAUGAAGUGGAAUGAAGUUGAAAGUUUAAAUAACAAAUCCUUGUUCUUGAGUUUUACGACGUCGUUACUCCUUCAAGUGGCAGAUUAUGCAAGUGAAUGCAGAAACACAAUGCAUCAUCCGCGGGGAUGAUACUUCAAAAGGCGGGAUUUGUUUAUGCCUGCAGAUUAGCAAUUUCACUCAUAUAGAAAAUUAUUUUUUUAUAUAUACUAAUCAACACUAAAUUGAUUAUGUGUUGUAUGUUUAUAUGCUAAUCAACACGAAAUUAUUUUGAAUUAUUAACAUUAAUAUUCCUAAUAAAAAUUAUUUUCCAUCAGUAUUCAAAAUUUUCACUUAUAGAAAAUGCAUUUUACGUGAAUACUAGCUAUGUAUUUGGUGUAUUGUUAUACUAUGUAAGACUCAGCUAAAAUCAAACCGUCCCUUAACCUGUUUCUCAUAAGCAUGGCAGAAUUUAAUAAUUUUAUUUGUCAAAAGAAUAAGAUAUUGGCUUCAGGAAAUUUAAAACAACUUUUAUUUACUCUAUCAAUUAAUUAAUGUUAUUUUGUUUUGAAAAAUUCAAUAAUUAAAUUCUCACGUUUCAUAUGUUUGAAGUUAAAUUAUUCAUUAACUUGAACUCUGUUCAAAAUUGGCCAUCUUGUGGUUCCCAAAUGUAGUUAUAAUAUUGAAUGAAAGUAAAAACUUUCUAUGCGAGUUUAAAUCUAAAUCUGAACAAUUUUGACUUUCUCAAUGCUAUCCUAAUUAUAAAAAAUAUAUUAUUUCAUUUAUUGUUAUAGUUACUAGUCUUUGAAAAUGGAUGGAUUUAUUGUUUCCGUGACCAAAUUAUGCCUGCCUAAGGCUGCAACUAUUAAUAAAUCUAAUAUUUAAUGCACAUGUUAAAAGAUUUAAAAUUUUAUGCAUUUAUUAAUUGUUAUACUCGAAAAGAUUAAUUAGUUCAGGUCAAUCUGAGUUGGUGCAUCUGCAGGAGCCUUUUUUUCCCCCUCGUUGACCAUAAUAAUAAUAAUAAUGGAUAAAAAUGACAUCUCUUUCAACACGACUAGGAGCGUGUAAAAACAUGGAAACAGAAUUUCCACAAAAUGCCAAAUGUGUGGAGCUUAAUUUUUGGGCUGUAGACCAAUACAAAUGAAAGAAAAAAGGAAAAGAAGCCCAAAGACUUCUGUAGAACGUGAUCUAUCUUCUAAUAAUAAUAAUAAUGGGUUUUCAAAAUUAAAAAAAAAAAAAAAAAAACAAAGACGCCUCUUAUUAAACACGGAUACUCUUAGUUCUAUCCACUUCUCAUCUCACAAUCUCUCUCAAUUAUCCUUUAUUGAUAGCUCAAAGCGAGUUGCUGUGGAAAACUGUAGCAAAAUGAAAAAUUGGAAAGAAAGGGAUGAAAAUCAAUGCAUGAAAGACUUGGAGAAAACAACCAAAUAAGUCAACUCCUCUUUAAUGAGAGCAUAUUACAAAAAGGCCUCGAUCAUCAUAUCGUAGACUCGGGGAUAAGGAUUGGAUCGAGUUUUUGUUUUGAUAUUGAAGGACCUGUGUUCCUGUCGCGAUGUAGAAUAUGUGCAAGGAGUUGUCUACUGCUCUUUAGGUCAUAAUAAUGCGAUUGUCGUUGCCCUGAAACAGUGGAAAAUACUUCCAUAUCCUCCGGAUGACAACUGAUUUAUAUCUGAUUUCCUAAUUGACUCAGGAUCAGCUGACAACAACAACUUAUUAAUAGUUAUAUCAAAACGGCAGAAGACGUACAUUGUUUAUAGGUUUGAUCCAUUUGGAAUGAAGUGGUCUCAAGUCGAAAGUAAUUUGUUAUUACAACUAGGAUGUACUAGAACUUAGAUCAAAACUUUAAUUUACUGUAAAAAGAAUAUGCUUAGCAAUUCAAGACCAUGUGGUUACCAAAAGCUAUGAGUCAUAUAACAGUUGAUAAAUUAGUUAAUUAAUAAUUGCCGGUCAAUCUUGUCACAUCUCUGCACGUGGCAGAAUCUUGUUCAUUCGCUUGUCACUUCAGAUUCUGUUGAAGACAUAGUUUGAAACGUUGGGAUGUAGGUGUACGCCGUAUGAUUAUUAUUACAUGCCGGCAAAGAAUUCUAUUUUUAUUAUUAACUAAUUAAUCAACUGGAAAUUAAGCUGUAUGUGAAAAAACAUUAACUUGUGGACUCAGCUGCUUACUUAUCUAACACGCUGACUGUGCAUGCAUAACGGCAUUGGGGUUUCCGAAGAAUUUAUAUUUCAGACACAAAAAAAAUCUUACUUAUAUGAAUCCUUUCAACAAACUGAGACAGAUCAUAUUUUACACCCACAGAUUUCAUAAUUUUGUCAUUGGAGUGUUUGCCUAACGACGACUUGAGAAAUUCUGAAUUCAGCCUCCUCCACCAAGGGAUUUCGAUUGAUGUUAAUUUUACUAUUGGAGUUAAUUUGUGAUCAACCUUUCAAAUCUUGUGCCAUUUAAGGAAUAUGAUAAUUGAUCACUAGAAAGAAACCUAUCAAGCUAUAUUUUAUGAUGUUAAUUAACAUGUAAUUAAGCAUUUGUUAUUAUAGAACUGGUUCAUAGCAUGAAAGUGAAAUAAAUUUAACUAAAUGAUUGAUUAAUCAAUUCAUUUUCAUGAGCUUUAACAGAGUUAAAACCAAGCACAAACAUCGUUAUCAAAUACUGAAAUUGGCUAAAUUAAAAAAAAAAAUUCUAAUUCAUGUAAUAUGUACUUCUCACAUCUAAAGCAUUACCUCACAAGGUUUAAUGAGAAACGAAAGACGAGUCUUUGCUUUGAACAAUUAAAGUUGCUGCUACCAACCUCGGCAAAGAUCAAGAAGACAGAACAGGAAGCUAAUGCCAUCAAUGUCUUCUUCAUUAUAGCUGCUGCGUAGUUAGGUGUAGUUUCCUCAUUUGAAGCUGUCUAUGCACAGGCUUUUCCCCAGGUAGUGUACAAAUAAAUGAACAGCCUUGAAGCUUUAUUAUUCUUAAAGCUUUAGUGUUCGCAGCAAAAAGGAAUACUAAUUGGAGAAGACUUUACAGAGUUUCACUCACACUCUCUCUCUCUCAAUUUCAUCAAAAAGUCCCUCCGAAAGUAUCUCCCAAAAUAGUUAGAGCAUCUCCAAAAGACUCUAUAAAUUUUACUCUUCAAAUAUUUAUUUGCUUACCUAUGUGGCAAAUAGAAGAGUAAAAAAAUAUAUUAUUCUCCAAAAGACUCUUCAAAUAUAAAUGAGUUAAUAUUAUUUUAAUUAAAUAACUAUUUUUUUAAUGGAAAAGUCAAUAGUAAUUAAAACACCUCUCUCUCUUUCUCCAAUAAAAAGUAAUAAAAUAUAAAUUGAAGAGGGAGAAAGCAACUCUCCAAAUUUGAAGAGAGAAAAUCACUUCUUAUUUGAAAAAUCUUAAUUGGAGUAUCUUUUGGAACUUUAAAUAUUGAUGCGACUCUUCAAAUAAGUAAUAAAAUUUUAUUUGAAAAGUCUUUUGGUAAUGCUCUUAGUCUUCUUUUAUACUCUGUUUUUUGGAAACGGAGUCCUAAGUAACUUAACUGACUGUACUGAGUAUGUCAACAUAACAUAUUUAACCGUUUUAACAGUAAUUUGAACCGUCUUCAGAGUUAUCAUCAACAAGCUCAUUCAUAUUGUCUCUACACUUCGUAUUUGUCUCUACACUUAGAAAGCUAAGCAACAUGUUUUGUAUAUAGCUUUCCUAUGUUGUGCAACAUACUAAAACGAGAGCACCAUCUCCAGUGUUAAAAGUAGCCACUUUAUAACAUUCAUUUAGAAAAUAUGUUUAGAAUAGUUUUAUAAUCAUGCAUAAGAAGCCCAGAUGCACUUGCUAGCCUAUUUUGUUGGAAAAAUUUUCAAAAUAAAUGGUGUCUUGUUGUAAAGACAUGUCUAAACAAAUGGUGUCUUAUUGUAAAGAGAUGUCCAAUUAAUGGUACCUUAUAGAAAAUGUAUAUUUUCACUUGAGGAUAUAAUUUUUCAUGGUGACAUUCCACUUGAAAUGCAUCAUUUUAUGGUGACAUUUCAUUUGAAAUGAUGAUGGUUCAAUUUGAACAAUUGAUUAAAAUUAAAUUCUGAUCCAAAGGCCAUGAAUAAAGGGGUAUCAUAAAAAAUGACAACCCAAAUGGAAGGGCACAAGUAUGUCUAUAAAGAAAGGUCAUGUUUAAGCCAUUUAGACAUGCAAAUAAUGAUCCUACACCACUCUUUUCUUAACCCUCUUUCCAAAAAUGAAUUUCAUCAUAUAACACAUACUUUUUGUACUUUAAAAAUCCAAUAUAUUGUUUUCUGCAGGAACAAUAUAUUGUUUCUUAGCAGGCUUGCAACAUUCAAGAGUAUUCUGAUUUACUUUCGUCGAUGCACAAUGCAAGCAAACAAAUAACUACUUCAUUGUAUCCUGGAGGCAUAUUUGCUUAACCCAUGUGCAUCACUUAAUUGGUGGGGGCAAAUAACGUCUUAAGGAAAGCGACAUUUGUAACGUGCCUUGAAGAACACAUUAAUUUUCUACAGUUUACCUAUAACUAUUAUUUUCUUUCGACAUACAGAGUUGUAAACACAUUACUUUACACAAUAAAAUUCUACAAUUAUUACUGUGAUUCUCAAUAUUUUCCAUUCCCCACCAACAUAUAUUACUCUGAACAAGAACAAUUAUGGCGUUAUCAUCAUCUUCUUCACUUGCAACAUUAACACCAAAUUCAAGAUAGACUCAGACAUUUCAUCAAGAAAGGCAUACGUCCAAUAAAGUUGAAGCUUGAUAAAAAAUUCAGUGGAAGGUCAAUGCCUCGCCACAACAAAGGACCUAACAAUAUCAUUCUAGCAAAGAUGAAGCAAUAUUCCUAAAGCUAAAGCUCUCAAAUUCACCACACCAGAAUUUAAUAUCUCAUCAAUUUUAAAAACUAAAGAUAAUUAGGAUUUAACAUUAGGUUGUUAUAUAUUAGUUUCAUAAUUUACAAGUCAACAAAGAUAUAGAUUAUGCAAUUGAAUUCAAAUCAUGCUGGAUGUUACUAAAAAUUUACAAGUCAAUCCCAUAUAUUUCAUAAUUUUAUGACUGGAAAGUUUCAUUGGUUUAAAUUUUUAUUACCUUCAAGUGGAAGAUGAAGAUGAACAUUAUGCAAGUGAUUCAGAUUAUAUCAUACACUCUCCAAAUGCAACUAGAAAUUAACAAGUUGAUGCCCAUAGAUUUCAUAACUUUAUGAUUGGAAAGUUUCAAAAAGUUUGAAACUUGAGAAAUUCUGAAUUUAACCUCCACGAAGCUAUUUUGAUUGAUUUGACUCACUUUGUGAUCAAACUAAAAAUACAACAUGCAAUUCAAGGUAGGAGUAAACUAAAACUAGGAAGAAAUAGUGGUAAAAAUUUGUUGUUAAAUUGAAAGCACAACAAAGAUAAGAACCUAUAAAAAGUACACGCAUAUAAAGUAUCCAUAAAAUUACUACAUUCUACAAAGGAUUAUAAAUUAUUCUCUCACUUGUACUCCCUCUAAAUUCCAUGAGGAAUCUGUUUAUCUUAUAGAAAUUGGUUUAGUCAGCAACAAGCACUAUAAUUCUUGAAAUAAAUUUUUUUAAUGCAAUUUUCAAUCAUUUUCCAAAAUACAAUUAAAUUGGAGCCAAGAUUAGGUUUAGCUUUCACACAAAAUAACCAAGCAAACAUAAAAAAACUCACAAUUUAGAGGGGUAAACUGAGUGGUCUAGAAUUGAGCUAGCAGCCUUACUAUAUCCUGAUUUGGACUUCAAUGUAAUAAGGAAUAUGACAGGGUUAGGAAAAGAGAAAAUCAACCAUCAUUGCAGUUGUUAUUUGUUGACUCAUUACUUUUCAAUCAAAACUUUAAGAACAAAAUGCCAUGAGCUUUGAAUAUCAAAUAAGUAUAAAUAUUAGUUCUAAAUUCCACAUAUAAAGUUGUUAGAAAGAUAAAUUAAUUGCGGAGUCGAAAAAUCUAUAUGCUGUUGUUUGAACUAGCAAAGGAGAAAGUACCUGGCGAACCACAACAUAAUCAUCAACUGAUAGACUUAACUCCCCAUCUGCUUGAGCAUCAAAUGGAUAUAUAACCUACAAGAUAAUAGGAUAAAUAAAACUUAAUAUUAAAAAAAAUUAAUAAAAGCAGAGCAAUAGUAGCAGCAUCUAUUAACAACUAUGAUCAUGACAAAUAAGGAUAUACUAGAAACAAAAUUCUAUUUCUACUAGGAAAAGAAUACCUUCUAGAUGAUAUCCAGGACUACUGGACUACCAACAGUUAUUAGACUCCCAUAUAUGAGUUUUGUAUGACUUAAUGUAGUUGUUUAAAUUAUAGAUGGGAACAUAAUUCUCAAAAUUUGACUGUUUUCCACAAAGCAUAGCCUAUGUAACAAGAAGGCCAUAGAUGUUAACAUAUAUGUUUCCAUAAUGUUGAUUUUGAUGAUAACAAACAAGAUUAAGAAUUAUUGAUCUUUCAAGCUCAAAUUAUUUAAUAUUCUUUUUAAAUAAAUCAUUAUUUUCACAUUAUAAAUGUUUUAUAUUUAAUAAUGAUUUUAUGAAAUUGAUUGUUUUUAUUCUUUUUAAAUAAAUCAUUAUUUUCACAUUAUAAAUGUUUCAUAUUUAAUGGAAAAAUGAUUUUAUGAAAUUGGUUGUUUUUCAAAGUUUAUAGUUUAAUUGAAAGAAUUUUGAAAACUUUGAAAUAAACAAGUAUUGCUUGAAAUUUCGGAUUUGGACCUAUUUGAAACUAUUUAAAUAUUCUUGGGCCAUUCUAUAAUUUCACAAAGUUUGGGUGAAGUCAUAAUUUCAGAAAGUUGUGGGAUUGACAAAGCAUUAUUCUAAAAUUCUGAAAUUGGACUUUUUUGUAAACUUUCAUAACAUUUUGGGCCACACUAUAGUUUUAUAAAGUUUUGGGGUCAAACUAUAAUUUUGGAAAAUAGUUUACUGUAGCAGUCACUGUAGCAAGCGGAAAUCCGAAUUCUGACAAAUGGAAGUCCGGAUUUUAGGCAGAAUCUAUCCGAAUUAAAAGCGGAAAUCCAGAUCCUGACAAACGAAAAUCCAGUUGUUGGGCAGUAAGCUACUGAGCGUAAGUGGAAAUUCAGAUGUGACAAAGCGGAAGUCCGGAUGUUCAGAAAUUCAAAUUUGUGGCUGUAACGGUAACAUUAAGCAAAAUUCCGGAUAUCCAUAACCGGUAAUCCGGUUACGACCAAAAUGUGCAUAACGGCUAGUUUUUUAGCUCAAACUAUAUAAACUCAAAACCAAUUCAUUUUUGGUUAAUCCAAGCAAGCAAGAACAAGUGCACACAACAUAUAUUGAGCUUCAAAUUCGUAACUCAUCAUUCAUUCAAUUAUCUUUGUUCUUCAAUUUGUAUAUCCAUUCUUAAAGAGAGUUUCAUUGUUGUGAUUUUCAUUUCUCAUCAAUUUGUGAGUGCACAAGUGUGGGAAACACUUAGGGUGAAGAGAUUGGGGAUAUAAUCUCUUGUUGUAAAGGUUCAUUGACACCUUAGAAGUCAAUUGUAAACAUUUGAAGCCUUGGGAGGCUUGGAUAGUGAAAUCCUCAAGCCGGGUGAGCUUGGAGGCGUGGACGUAGGCGGGGAUAGCCGAACCACGUAAAAAUCCUUGUGUUCGUUUUCUCUUCCCUUACUCUUUUAAUAUUGUGCUUGAUUGAAUUUAUUGUUUUCGAAUUUAUUAAGGCAUUAGAUUAAAUUGUUGUGUGGUUUGCCUAGGAUAAUUUUUAAAACUCCAAUUCACCCCCCCUCUUGGGUUGCACACUUAUAUUUCAUUUGGUAUUAGAGCGAGGUGCUCUUGUGUAGACUUAACCGUCUAGAGUUAAAGAUUCAUGGCAACCCAUAAUGACUCAAUCUUUAGGGAAGGACAAUUCACAAUUAGACCACCGUUCUUUGACGGUAAUGACUACCCAUAUUAGAAAACUAGGAUGAGAAUUUAUUUACAAGCACUAGAUUAUGAAAUUUGGGAAGUUGUUUGUGAUGGUCCUUUUAUGCCUUUAACUAAAAAUGAAGUCGAGGAAGAUAUUCCAAAACCUUCACGGGAAUGGAAUGAAUUGGAAAAGAGAAAAGCUACUCUAAAUUCCAAAGCUAUGAAUGCCUUGUUUUGUGCACUAGAUAAGAAAGAAUUUCAUAGAGUAUCUAGUCGUGAGAGUGCUAAUGAAAUUUGGCAUAAACUUGAAGUUGUUUAUGAAGGCACAAAUCAAGUGAAAGAGUCUAAAAUUAGUAGGUACACUCGGCAAUAUGAAUUGUUCCAAAUGGAACAAAAUGAGAGAGUGUAUUCUAUGUAUACUAGAUUUACGGACAUAGUGAACACUCUAGGAGCCCUAGGAAAGACUUUUUCAAAUAGCGAGAAGGUUAAGAAAAUUAUUAGAUCACUACCUAAUGAAUGGAGACCAAAAAGGAUUGCCAUUGAGGAAGCCAAGGAUUUAAAUAUCUUACCUAUUGAUGAUUUAAUUGGUUCUCUUAUUUCUUAUGAGGAAGACUUGGCAGCCGAAAGAGGCAAUGAGGAGAAGAAGAAAAACAUUGCUCUCAAAACCUCGAAACAGGAGAGUGAUGAGGAAAGCGAGCUGGAUGAGGAGGAGAUGGAUAUGCUGGCUAGGAGGUUCAGAAAACUUUUUAAGAAAUCCGAUGAGCGAAGAAAACUUAGAGACCUCAAGAACCGAAAGGAAAAGAAGGAAUUAAUCAAAUGUUAUGAGUGCAAGAAGCUUGGCCAUAUAAAAAUGGAAUGUCCUCUUCUCAACAAGCUCAAGAAGAAAGCAAUGGUAGCCACAUGGGAUGAUAGCGAUGAGGAAACAAGUGAUGAUGAAGAGCAUCAAGAAAUGAAAAAUCUAGCUCUCAUGGCAAUUGGAGAUGAAUCGGAUGAUGAACUUGAUGAGGUAAAUGAUCUUUUUACUUAUGAUGAAUUAUAUGAUGCUUUUAAAGAAUUGCAUGAUAAUUGGAUAAAAAUUGGUAAAAAGAAUGCAUGUCUUAAAAAGAAAAUGGUAGAGCUCAAAAAUGAAAAUGAAUCUCUAUGUGCAAAGAUUACAUGCCUAGAAUUAGAGAAUAAAACAUUGCAUGAUAGAGUUGUAUUAUCAAAUGAGAAAUCUAGCACUUCACAUGAGCAUGAAAAAUCACAUGUUGAUGAAUUGAUGAAAGAAAAUGAAGUGCUUAAGAAAAAGAGUAAUGAACUCAAUGAAAUUGUAUUAAAAUUCACAAAUGGUCAAAAGAACUUAGAAAAAUUACUAAGCACUCAAAAAUGUGUGUUUGAUAAAGGAGGACUUGGGUAUAAGCCUUACUUGAAACAAAAAUAUUAUAAGAAUUAUUUUGUUAAGGCUACCUCCACAAGUGAUCAUAAAAUUGUUUGUCAUUAUUGCAAUCAAAAUGGUCAUAUGAAGAAUAGAUGUCCUAUUAAAAGAAAUGUGUAUUAUGGAGUCAAAUGUAUUUGGGUUCCGAAAGGAACUAAAUCUAACACUCAAGGACCCAAGAGUAUUUGGGUACCAAGGGAUACAACUUGAAUUUGUUUUGUAGGUACCACAAACAAGGAAUGGUGGAGAGUUCCUUGAUGAAGCUUGUGAGGAUAAUCAUUUGAGCAUGAUCUAGGAGAAAAAGAUGAGGCAAGAUGAUUUAAUUGUUUUGGUAACAAUUCUUGUCAUAUUAAUUUUGUUGAAUGAAUCAUGAUAAAUGGAAUUUGCGAAAGUAUACUUGUAUGUUUACAUGAUAGAAUUAUCAUUGUGUAUAAUAUUCAGUGAUUUAUCAUGAUGCCUUUGUUUGAUUUUGAUGAUUGUAUGGUCUUUGAUUUCAUCUUCUAAAAUGUCUAUCAUCAUUGUCCAUCUCUUAUAUAUGUGUGAAAUCAUAUGCCAUUAAUUGUGUUAUAUCAUCAUUCUUUUAUAAAAUUGACAUCAUUGUUUGAUAUGACGUCAUAUGUUUGGUCUUGUAUGCAUAUAUGUUUCAUGCAUUAAAUGGCUUAUUGAAAAGUUUUAAAUCUCAAAAUGAUUUAAAAUUAAUCAAUCUUUAAAGCCAAAAAUAAAAUGGUGUGUGUAAUACUAGUAUAAGAGCUUGCCAAAAAUCAAUUAGAGCCAAAUAGAUUUCCAAUGACUAAACCGGUUUAUCACUUUCUCUAAUCCGGAAAAUGCUCUCUUAUUGAUUACUCUCGGGUCAACAUUCGGAUAACCGGAUUUGCAAUCCGGAAGACCGGAUUUGCUAAGCCUCCUCUAUGCCUCAAAACCGGAUAACCAGUGCUUAAAAUCCGGAAAACCGAAUUCAAGAGGCAACUUUUUGCCUCAAACCGGACUACCGGUUAUCAAAACCGGAAAGCCGGUUUCGCGUCGAACCUUGCUGGAGAAAACCGGAUUUCCGGUUCAUCUCAUCCGGCAAGCCGGUUUCGGGUUUCAAGCUUCUGGUCACAACCGGAAUUCCGGUUAGUGCAAACCGGAAAUCCGGUUUCGGAAGCUAUUUCAACUGUUCUUCUUCCAUCUUCAAACAGAAAUCCGGUUCUCUCACUCUCUCUAAAAACCGUUUGCUUCUCUCUCUUUCUCACUUGAUUUCAUUCCAAAAUCCAUCAUUCUCAUUUGUUUUUCAAUCCAAAUUGAUUCAUAUAAAUUAUUCCCCAUCCAUUCUUGUGUCUAAAAUCUUUUUAAUUGAUUAAAACUUACUCAAUUUUACUCAAUAUCUUAAAAAAAUUCGAAUUUAUGCAUUUUGAGUAUUUCAAAUUACCACUUCCAUAGUGUGCUUUCCUUAUGGAUUUUACCGUAGUUUUCUAUUAUAUUAUGUACUUACAUUUUCAUAUGCAUUGUUGCUUUCAUUGUGGAUUGAUGAUGAUUAUUGUUUGAUAUUUGGAUGUUUUAUAUUUGGAUAAUGUGGAACUAAUGUGCUUAUCUUGACUUUUUGAUGAUCAAGAGGGAGAUAUGAGAUGUAAGGGAGAAAUACAUCUACUUUGAGAAUCUUAAGCAUAUGAGAUUUUUUUUAAGUUAUAUUAAAAUGUCACAUUAAGAUCUUUGAUGAGCUUAGUUGUCUUGAUUUCUAAAAUGUGAUUAGUAAUUAUAUGACUUUUGAAUUGUUGACAUUAUGCUCUUAUGACUUUUGCAUUCCCUUGCUUAGCUUAUUACUUGUUCUAUUUUGGAUAAUAUGCUUUUUGAACAUUUUUUAUUGUCCAAAGGGGGAGACAAAGUAAUAAAUCAUUUUAAUGAUAUAAAUUGGGGGAAAUAAUAUGCAUUUUGAGCAUUCUUUUAAUAGUUGAUAAAUGAUUAUGGAAUCCUCGGAUUUAAUUGUUACAAGUGUUUGAGGAAUUCAUAUUGAUUUUGAUGAUUAAUGAUUAUAUGUGCAUUGCUUGAUGAAUGGAUGGAGUUAUUGAUUUGUUAUAAUUGUUUAAGCUUAUAUGGAAGUAUUUUUAACCAUGUUGUGUAUUUGAGGAUUUGUUCAUUUUUAAGGGGAGACUUUACCGAAAUUUUUGCUCAUACAAAAUUGGUAAUAUCUUUAUCAACUUAUUUUUUAUGCUCUUGUUUCGAUUGCAUCUAUCUAUUUUUUAUGAAAGGGGAGAUAAAUAUGAUAUGUUUUUGGAUAAAAUCGUUUUGGUUAAAAUUUUUAAUUGGCCAUAUAUUUAGGGGGAGCAUAUAAUAUGAUUUUGGAUAAUAUGCAUUUUGAAUUUUUUUAUUGUCCAAAAGGGGAGACAAAAUAAUAUAUCAUUUCGAUGUUGUCAAAAGGGGGAGAAUAACAUGCACUUUGAAUAUUCUUUUGAUGAUUAAUAUGUGCUUAUGGUGAUGAUUUUAAGAUAUGAUGAUGAUUUGAUUACAUUGUUUUAUAUGAUAUUUUGGAAGUGAUAUCACUAAUCUUGUAUUUGAGGUGAUGCUUGUUGUUAGGGGGAGAUUCUUUCAAAAUUUCCACUUGGACAACAUGGGUAACAAAUUUGCUAUUUUUAUUCUUUUCCUUUAAGUUUUCUUUUUUUAUGAUGAAGGGGGAAAAGAAUACAUGCUUUUAAAUUUAUAAAAAUUUACUACUCUUUUUCUUUGCCAAUUAAGUUUUCUUUUUGAUGAUGAGGGGGAGAAAAAUCCAUGUAUUUAAAUCAUUAAUUUAGCUAAUUGGCAAAUUGUAAAAGAAUAUUAUAUUUAGGGAAGCAAUUUGUGGAAUCAUUCUUUAAAUACAUGAAAUGUUUGUCAUCAUCAAAAAGGGGGAGAUUGUUAACAUAUAUGUUUCCAUAAUGUUGAUUUUGAUGAUAACAAACAAGAUUAAGAAUUAUUGAUCUUUCAAGCUCAAAUUAUUUAAUAUUUUUUUAAAUAAAUCAUUAUUUUCACAUUAUAAAUGUUUUAUAUUUAAUAAUGAUUUUACGAAAUUGAUUGUUUUUAUUCUUUUUAAAUAAAUCAUUAUUUUCACAUCAUAAAUGUUUCAUAUUUAAUGGAAAAAUGAUUUUAUGAAAUUGGUUGUUUUUCAAAGUUUAUAGUUUAAUUGAAAGAAUUUUGAAAACUUUGAAAUAAACAAGUAUUACUUGAAAUUUCGGAUUUGGACCUAUUUGAAAUUAUUUAAAUAUUUUUGGGCCAUUCUGUAAUUUCAUAAAGUUUGGGCAAAGUCAUAAUUUCAGAAAGUUGUGGGAUUGACAAAGCAUUAUUCUAAAAUUCUGAAAUUGGACCUUUUUGUAAACUUUCAUAACGCUUUGGGCCACACUAUAGUUUUAUAAAGUUUUGGGGUCAAACUAUAAUUUUAGAAAAUAGUUUACUGUAGCAGUCACUGUAGCAAGCGGAAAUCCGGAUUCUGACAAACGGAAGUCCGGAUUUUAGGCAGAAUCUAUCCGAAUUAAAAGCGGAAAUCCGGAUCCUGACAAACGGAAAUCUGGUUGUUGGCAGUAAGCUACUGAGCGUAAGCGGAAAUUCGGAUGUGACAAAGCGGAAGUCCGGAUGUUCAGAAAUUCAAAUUUGUGGCUGUAACGGUAACAUUAAGCGGAAUUCCAGAUGUCCAUAACCGGUAAUCCGGUUAUGACCAAAAUGUGCAUAACGGCUAGUUUUUUAGCUCAAACUUUCAUUGUUGUGAUUUUCGUUUCUCAUCAAUUUGUGAGUGUACAAGUGUGGGAAACACUUAGGGUGAAGAGAUUGGGGAUAUAAUCUCUUGUUGUAAAGGUUCAUUGACACCUUAGAAGUCAAUUGUAAACAUUUGAAGCCUUGGGAGGCUUGGAUAGUGAAAUCCUCAAGCCGGGUGAGCUUGGAGGCGUGGACAUAGGCGGGGAUAGCCGAACCACGUAAAAAUCCUUGUGUUCGUUUUCUCUUCCCUUACUCUUUUAAUAUUGUGCUUGAUUGAAUUUAUUGUUUUCGAAUUUAUUAAGGCAUUAGAUUAAAUUGUUGUGUGGUUUGCCUAGGAUAAUUUUUAAAACUCCAAUUCACCCCCCCUCUUGGGUUGCACACUUAUAUUUCAAUAGAUAAUUAGGGUUACAAGUGUCCGUCAUCUUUCGAGUAAUGGAUUUAAUAUGACAGCUUAUGGUCAGUCAAGUUCCCCUACCUAACAAGAUAAGCUUUCUGGGCUAGAUUUCUCAUAAAAUGCAUUGAUUGCCCCGAGGUCACAUCACUCGUAUCUAUAUGAACAUAGUUAUUUUAGGUAAACAAAGCAAAGAGAAUCAUAAUUCAACCACAAUCAUAAAAAAAGGCCAAACCAACUUAAGAGAAAAUCUUAAGAGGGAUCAUAUGUUGAGCUAUUAGCCUCAUAUCUAUAAGCAAUAUCAAGACUUUAGAUCACCUUCGAGGGAUGGCAAAUAUCCAAUUACGUGUCCAAGGCCUUUUGUUCUUUUUGGCAUCUGUUGUUUUGGCACAAAUAUUUUUGGCUCUUAAAAAGAAACAGUUUGAGAAAGUUCAAUUGUCCGAAAUGAAUUUCUAGAUCCGCGGAUUUAUCGACAUCAAGUUUGUAAAAAGAAUCCAAUUUUUCUUGGCAAUUAUAAUUAUAUUAUGUAGGAGCACAAAACUUACGAAAAGCCUUUUGAUUAUUUCAAUUCUGUUUCUACCGGAUGUCGGGAAUUUCUUGUACUGCAUUCCUAAAGCACAGUAUAUAUAUUGUGAAGAAGACUAUUGAACUUUCCCCCUUCUUUGUUUUUUCAAUACAAACUGGAGAAUGUCACUAUUACCAUAUUUAAAUAUCAUAGAAUGUGUCAAUAGUUUUCGAUUCUAUUAGACUAGAAUCAAAUUCGGCCUAUUUCCAAUUCUUUUUGCCUGAGAGCUUGUUUGUGCGAGCUCAUGUCCGUAUUUCCGUACUUUCAUCUCAUUCCCUUCCUCUAUAUGCUCUUCUCUUUCCUUUCCUUUCUAAGCGGGGGUUGGAAGCGACUCUCGUACAUUCGCUUUCCUCUGGCAGCACGAUGCCAAUUCCACCUCAGAGCCAGAAAAGAGUGGUGGUUCCUUACCGUUACAGAAGAAAUGAAUUGCGCGGGGACGAAGGCCCUUAGGCCAGAGUCCAUGGGGAGAUCCAUGGAUAUUUUAUUUUUAUUAUAUAAAAAUAAUAAUAUAAAAUAGUUAAAAUUUCAAUAUUAAAUUUGGUUAUUAAACUAUUUAUAUUAGUAAUAAUAUAUAUAUAUAUAUAUAUAUAUAUAUAUAAAAUAAAAUGGCGGUCCGGUGGUCGGUGGCGGCGGUCCAGCAACUUUCCGGUGAAUUCCGGCGGAGCUCCGGCGACCUUCCGGCGAUGUCUGCGGUGGUCCGGCGAUCUUUCGGCGAGGUCCGGGGAUGUCCGGCGGUGGUCCGGCGAGGUCCGUCGUUAAUUCCGGCGGAGUCUGACUGUGGCCCGGCGAGGUCCGGCGGUAAUUUCGGCAAUGUCCGAUGGUGGUCCAGCGAUGUCCGGUGGUGGUCUGGCGACUUUCCGCUGGAUGUCCAUUUAUAAUAUUAAAUUAAUAAAAUAAAAUAAUAAUUAUUAAUAGUAUUAAAUAAGUUAAAAAAUUAAAGGAUAAUUUUGAAAACUUUAGUUUUUAAUAUAAGAGGAAUUUAAAAUUUCACUAGUUAAUAUAAUAUUUUUACAAUUGUUUGUUUAUUAUAUUUUUAUUUUUAAUUUUAUUAAAUUAAAAUUUUUUAAACUUGUGUUGGGUUAAACGGAUAUCCAUUGGAUAAAAAUAAUUAACCAUAUCCAUCCAUAUCCAUCUGGAUAUAAUUUUAAAAUAUCCAUUUCAAAAUCCAAAAAUUUUUGGAUAGAUAUUAUCCGAUCCAAUUGGAUGGAUAUUGUAGAUAUCUAUUAUGGAGCGAUCCAGUUGUCAUCCCUACCUACGACAUCAUAAGUGGCAACACAACUUUGGAGUGGUCAGACAAUCGAGUUAGGAUGCAUAGUCCCAAACUUCAGCAUACAACUUCUCUAAAAUAGCAAUUGUUAACAUAUAUGUAUGCAUAAUGUUGAUUUUGAUGAUAACAAAUAAGAUUAAGAAUGAUUAAGUUUUAAAAACUCAAAUUAUUUUUCAUACAUUUUAAAUAAAUCAUUAUUUUCAUAAUAUAAAGGUUUUAUACUUAAUGGAAAAAUAAUUUUAUGAAAUUGGUUAUUUUCAAUUAAUGGCCUUCAACAAAAGCUUUCCAAGUUACUGUUUGUCCUUCUUCCUAGUAUGCCCUACACAACCACUGCCACCACUGAUUGGCUUCUCCCUCGAGGUGAAAGGAUGCUAACACCACUCGUUGAUCUUCGGUUGUUUCCUAGUAAUCAAAAACUUGGGUUACACGAUUAAACCACUCAGUGGGAUCAUCACCUGAGUAACGUGGGAAUUCAAUCCUAGCCAAUCUUGAUGGGAACUGUUGUCGUUCCCUGCCACUCUCUUCUCUUCUAGGCCGUGAUGUUGUGCGCGGAAUGCGGAAUCAAGCGCACCAAAUAAUUAUAGAAAAAUAAAGGAAACAAGAAUUACGUGGUUCGGUAAUUAAACCUACAUCCACGGAGGCGAGAAAGAAUAAUUGUUUAUUUAACAAUUAACAGAGUACAAUAUUUGAGUAACGAAUCUUACUUGCUAGAAACCCAAAUAUACCCAGUACUCUCACACUCUGCAGGAAAGAUAAAUUCUUCAGACACACUUCUCUCACUUCUCUCAAAAGCUUAUAAACUUAUAAGCUUAACAAUUUUGGGAUGAUUCCAAAUGAAUGAAAUCCUUAGCUAUUUAUAGGAGAAAUGAAUUACUAUGCUAAGAAUAAAAUAAUAAAAAAUAUAAUUUUUAAUUAUUAUUUUUCAAUUAUUAUUAUUUUUCAACAAAUUGUUGGUGCACCAACAAUUUGUUGACUUCAACACGUGAUGAUGCUGCAUGCUCAUGAUGACUCGAUACUCCCUUAGAUGCACUAAUUGAGCCGGCCAAUUUGCUGAUCACUCUUCCAAGUGAUGCAAUUUAUUGUUAAUGCCCAUCUCCAUCCGCUGCAUGCUAUCUUGCAUACUUCCGAGCUCUACUUCGACACGUUCAAUUCGCUCCUUGUUGGUUGUCAUUGUUGAUCCUAUGCUCUGAUACCAAUGAUAAGUCCCGAUCAUAAACGUACAACAAUGGCUAAGUUUACGUUGUUCUACUUAUGGUGAGAACUACCAAGAAUAGUAAUUUGAGAUAAUUCUAUGGAUAAUCCUCUUAUUAAUUGCAGGAGCUUAUUUAUAGUAGUUAAUAAAACACUACAAAUUAUUUGUAGCCACAAUUCCCGGCUAAAAUCAAUUCAAAUAAGUAAUAUUAAAUAACAAACUAGAACCAACGAGGCAUUGGAUCAAUUGGCAACUGGUCCCCCUUAAGUGGCUCGAAUGGGUGUGAUUCUCAGUUCGUGUCGCAGAGAAGUAAUCUUUGUUAGGAGGACUCGUGCCUCCCGGUCCGAAUCCGGAUUACUCGGGACCUAAUGCGGUCUACCGAUACCGAGUGACUUCAAUAAAAAUAAAUAACAAACUAGAAACAGAAAUAGAAUCCCACUUGAUUUGAUUCUCCACUCGAUCCGCAACGUGGCUUGACGUGGUAAUUUCCUUGCCUUGCUCCAACAAACAACUACUCUUUAAUCCAUACGUAGAUAAGUCUUGCAUGAUUUUGCAUGCAACAUGCAUGACCACAUGCAUGGCUGCAUGAGAUUGAUAAAUGUUCAAACAAAGCCCUCAUAUCUGUAGUUAGGCUUAUGAACCCUUGCUGACCUCCUUGGCUCUCUAUCAAUAAACCAUCGAAGCAAUUUGCAUGCUUAUAUACUAUGAAUUCAGUGGUGGAGGCGGUGCUGUGGUGGUGCUGGUGAUCGUUCUGCUGGCGGGGGAAAAAUCAACCAGCUAUGACGAUUAUUUAUCUUCGGUGAAGAUGGUUCUAUAUUCCGUACUCUAAGGGACCUAUGUGACGCCAUCUUCAAAUUAUGAAAAUUAAUAACUUGUGAAGAUAUUUCAAUCAAAGACGACUUGGAAACAAUUUCAGUGGCUUUGGUCAUAUAAGCAUCAUGUGAAAGAAGCAGCCCAUGAAUCUAGAAGAAAAUGAGAAAAUAUGAAUUGGCAUUCAUUUUCAAGCAAUGAUGUUAUGACCUCUUUAAGCCAUGCUCUUAAUAUACAUGUCAGUGAAAUAUGUAAUUGGUUUAUUUAUCAAGAGAAGUCAUGACUAUUAUAUUUGAAUAGAAGAAUUUAUGAUUUCCCGUUAACAUUAUUAUUGAAGUGGGGUGGCUCAAAUGUCAAUUGCUUGAAGAAUUUAGUUAUUAUUAGUAGUAUUGAAGUGGGGUGGGUAACGGUUCACUCAAUUCGUGGGGGAAUCAUAUAUUACCAUCCAAGGUACAAUUGUGGAAAAUUAAAGCAAAAUGAGAAAUAUGGAAAAAAAAAUGGAAGAAAGUUAAGGCAUGAAAGACCUACAGUUGAAAUUGAUAAUCAUGUUUCUAUUUUGUUAACUAAUCAAAUGGAAAACUGAACCGUAAACAAACAUUAAAACGUGUGGACUCCGCUAGCUGCCCUACAAGUCUACAAUAAUAAUUGAGUACCUUUGAUUCAUCCUUCUAUGAUUUUCUAGCUCUAUUGACUCCAUAGACUCAACAUUAUUUAACGACACUCUGACCUUUUUUUUUUUAAAUAGCGCCACAAUAUAAUAGUCUGAUUUUAGAAUUUCAGUGUAAUCAUAGUCUGAUUUUAAGAAAAUUAUAACUUAUUUUAAAUAGCGCCACAAUAUAAUUCUAAAUAUUUAAAAGGAAAACAUUAUCCACCUGGAACGACUUCAAGUCCAAAGUAAAAGACAAGAGUGGCUCCCCGCAAAUUUCUUGUUUUCAGUAUAUUUUCUCUUUUUCUUUUUUAAAAUCUUUUGACGCAUGCAUAAUCUACCCUUGUUUUUUAUCUCUACUUUGCUCUGCUCAAGUCCCUUUUUUUCAAAUAUUAUUUUAAAUAAUAAAUUGAAUAAAAGUACAUUUGUGUAAUUAAUUAGUAUCUUGUAAUUAAUUAGUAUCUGAGGGGGCAUAUUUGGUGUAAUACUAUGUACAAACAUCGUUAACAAAUACUGAAAUUGGGUAAAUUGAAAAAAAAAAAAUCUAAUUCAAGUAAUAUGUAGUUUUUACAUGUUGAUCAGCAGGAUACAACAUUAAAUUUUGUCAUUGACAAUAUUGCAUGCCUGUCAUCUAAAGCAUUACCUCACAAGGUUUUAUGAGAAACGAAAGACUAGUGUCACAAGGUUUUACUAUUCGCAACAAAAAGGGGUUACUAAUUGGAGAAGACUUUACAGAGUUCCUCUCACACUUUCUCUCACUCAAUUUCAUCUAGAAGUCCCUCCGAAAGCAUCACCCAAAACAGUUAGUCAUCUUUUAUACUCUGUUUUCUGGAAACAGAGUCCUAACUAACUUAACUGACUGUACAGAGCACGUCAACAUAGCAUAUUUAACCAUUUUAACGGUAAUUUGAACCGUCUUCAGAGUUAUCAUCAACAAGCUCAUUCAUAUUUGUCCAAUCUUACGGACGAUAUCAUAUGCUUAACUCGACACAAUCUGGAUUCAACCUCCUCCUAUCCAACAAGGGAUUUCGAUUUGAGUUACUUUGUGCUCAAGCAAAUUCACAUCAGAGUUUUGAUUCUUUAGAUAUGAAUUCAUCACAUUAUAUAUGUCGGGUUAAGUGUAACAAAAUUUUUAAUUCAGUGCGAAAAGAAUAUGCGCUAAAAAAUGAUUUCAAGACUAUUUGAUUACCAAAAGCUGCUGUCAGAGUGCACCGAAAGUUUCUGUAGGAUGCUUUGCGGUUGUCUAUUAUGUUAUGAUGGGCAUAUAAUCCUCAAAUUUUGACUCCUCUCAGCGAAGAAUAUGUCAAAGUUUAGAUUAUGUGUUCGAGCUUUAAUAAAUGCCUGAGUUAAUAAUAAUAACAACAAUAAUAGUAAACUAAAUAACAGAAUUACUAUUGAAUGGUUGGAAAAAGAAUUGAAAACGUGUGAACUCCAAUAACCACCCCACAAAUUCAGUGCGAAUUUUGGAGAGGCAAGGCCGAGCUUCUCUGAAAAAAAAUUAUUUAGUUACAAAAUUACCUUUAUUGAAACCUAUAUAAAAAUUUUUAUAUUAAUUAGUUAUUUNNNNNNNNNNNNNNNNNNNNNNNNNNNNNNNNNNNNNNNNNNNNNNNNNNNNNNNNNNNNNNNNNNNNNNNNNNNNNNNNNNNNNNNNNNNNNNNNNNNNAGGGGAAAAAAAAAAUUCAGCUCACUCAAAAACAAAAAAAUGGUAUUAACUUCGCCACCGCACAAAUCUAGAAUAAUAAUAAUUCCUUAUCAUGCUGGGGAUCCUGUAAUUUCUCGCCGUAUUGACAGCACCAGGUAAAGCUUUGUAAAAUAAUAAGUUACUCAUUAGUGGUUUUUAGUCUUUUUAAUUCUUUUUACCGCACACCUGAUCAAGAAUUUUAUUUUGUUAACUAAUCAAUUGCAAAGCAUAUAUAAGUGUUGAACGGUACACAAGAUUGGAAAAAAAAAUCUUAAAAAACGUGCGGAUUCGGGUGGCCACACCAGAAAUCUAUUACAAUAAUUAGCUUUGAUGCUGGGAAUCUUUUAAUUUCUGGCCGUAUUGAAGUUUUUAAAAUAACAAGUUCCCCUUCUCGUUUUUUUUUUUUUAAAUAUAUAUGGUUAUAACAAUUUUAGAAUAAUGACUCAUUUGUAGAAGAAUUUAUGAUUUCCCAUUAAUAUUAAUAUUGAAGUGGGGACUGGGGUGGGUCAAAUCUCAAUUGCUUGAAGAAUUUUUUUAUUAUUAUUAAUAUUGUUAAUAUUGAAGUGGGGUGGGUAACGGACCAGCGUUUCACUCAAUUCGUGGCGAAUUAAAUAUUACCAUCCAAGGUAGAACUGUGGAAAAUUAAAGCAAAAUGACAAAUAUGGAAAGGAAGGCUGAAAGUAAGGCAUGACGAAAGGCUUUGAGAAGGCUGAAGACUACCAAAGAAGUCAACUGAAAACUAGCUGGGGCCUGAGUGUAUAAAUUGUAAAAUGUGUUUGUUAUAAAUAACAUAGAGCCCUUUUGUUAUUUAUAGUUAUAGAGAAAGAGAGAACGUGUGUUUUUUAUUAGUUAGAGAUAUAGCUAGAAUGGGUGGUUCAAAAUCCAAAAUGGUGACAAUGUUAGUUCUCAUAUUAAUAAUAUUAGGAGGGGGGGUGGAGUGAGGGAUGUUUGGAGCAUGAGGAAUUUGCUCAUUUUCGGCUUAAACAUUUCUUCAAUUCCCCUUAUAGACUUCAAAACUGGGUAGAUGAACAAAGGGAAAGGGUUUAGUGCAGCAACUCCACAGGCCGAGUGGUACAACUACACCUUAGUCUUACUAGAAAUAUCGAUCUGGGAGUGUGGUAUCUGAAUGCUUCUCUCUUUACUCCCUUUCAACAACUUGGUAACAAAAUAGUCGGCUGCAUGCGUUGAGAAUGAAGGUCCUUCAUUUAAUUUAAUUUACUUAAUUUCUCCCUCCUAAUUAAUGUAUAUAACCAUUAGGAGGAACAAGGGAUUUCAUUAACUCAAAUUUACCUCAUGGAGCUCAUUCUUUGGUUUUACUUGCAGGUCUAGAAGCAAUUGUCAUCUAACAGCUGCUUUGAUAAUUUCCCACCCCUUCAUCUUUGAUGGAAAGAUGAAAUAAAAACAAAAUGGUGAAAAUGGUAUUGGUACCUGAGGCUAUGUAAUCUAAUUCAACAACUGCACCAUCAAAACGAUUACAUAAGUCCCAGAAGAAUCAAACAUUAGUUUGCAAAAUAUCAAUUGCUGGAGGUUUGAUUCUAACUUCUGCUCUUCAUUUUUAUGGGCAUAUUGUGUUGUACUUGCAUCCAAAAAUCAUAUUUUAGUUUACUUACACUCAACGCUUGGAUUAAAGUUUUAGGGGGGGGGGGGAUUGAAGAAGACUAAAAUGACACAAAAAAAGAGUUGAGCGAGUGCGGGUUUUGUCUUCAUUUAAGGAGCUCUUUGUAAAUUUUAGGAUUUUUUUCCUAAGAAAAUUUAUGCCAACUCAUUCUUUGCUUCUUUUCAGAACGGACAGAUGCAACCGAAAGUAUAUUCUUGAAUUCUCUAGGAUGAGAGACAUACGUUUAGAUUCUCGAGCCUUUGAAACAAUAUCAAAUUUUAGAUUGUUGAAAUUUUAUAUAUCUGAGUAUGAUGGUGUUCCAAUUAUAAGCUCCAGGGUGCAACUUCACUAAGGUUUAGAAUACCUUCCUAUAGAAUUGAGAAAUCUUCAUUGGCAUAAAUAUCCUUUGAAAAUAUUGCCAUCAGAUUUUGAAUUGGAGAACCUGAUUGAACGGAGCUUGCCUUGUAGUAAGGUUAAGCAAAUUUGGAAAAGAGAAAAGGUAUAAUGUAUUGCUAUUACCAAAGUAUCUAUUUUUCUUGCUUUAAGUAUUUAUAAUGAAUAACUUUGAAAUUGAAUGAUGCUCAUUUAGUAUAGUUAUGUAUCUUUGGUUAUAGGAAGCUGUCAAGUUAAAAUCUAUAGAUCUUCACCACCCCCUGUAUCUCAAUAGGAUCCCAAAAAUACUAAAUCUUAAAAAAAUAAAUCUUUCAAAAUGUGAAAGCAUGCUUACGUUACCCGCGUAUAUCCACAAGUUCAACUAGCUCAGUAUGUUGUGUUUCAUGGGAUGCAAAAUUCAUUUUGCUUCUCAUGAAAUGAUUGACUUGUCCGGAUGUAUUAGGGUUAAUAAACCAACUAAUCCCAUAAUUUGUUGAUGUAGGGUCCUAACAAAUUAUUGCAGUAGAUUGUAGAUUAAUACACUAUUCGAAAACGUAUUUGAUCCACACAGUGAAUGUUUGAGGGUGCAUUUCUCGCCAACUAGCCAUACCCUAAACGAGGAGCCGGUCUCCUUGUAAUUGAGCAGACAUGUGAAGUCUGGUAGCAAAUAUCCAAGAGUAGGAAUUCUCUGCUCAAUCACAAGGACAUCCUCUUUUGGACUAUAAUUCGAACAAGGUUCCUGCUAGGAGCCGAGAGCCUUUCCUGCUGAAGAUCGGGGUCGGCAAACCUAGUCUAUAAUGGUUAGCGAGACGUGUACUCCUAUUCAAGAAUCUAGGCACGAAACCCACUCAGUCGCAACUACGACAUUCAGGCAUCCACUUCCGUGAGCUGAGGAAGGUGAUGGACGUGGAUCGUGGGGCACCGGAUUCGUAGGAAUGCUAUAAAACGGUAAUCAACGAAGGUAAAUGGGUUAGACACUUUUACACUAGAACUUAAGAAAUAAGAGCAUUUACUAAAAAAAGGAGAGAAACACUCAUAGGUGUUCCACUGCCUAAGAGAUCAUGAGAGAGCCACGAGAUCAGUGGCCGAGUUUCCCAAAAAGUAAACCUAAAUUUCUGAUUUGAGCGUAGGAGGGUUUCUCCGGCGUGCUCUGACCAUUUUUUGUGUGCGCAGGAGUCUGCUAAGUCAUACAACGCAUAGCUCUGCUCGGUUAGAAGAGUUACGUGAAGUAUCCUAGGUUGGUCGUGAGUUCGGGAGUUGAGGAGAGAUCCUGGUCGCAGACGAGCAGGCACCAGAAUCUCGCAUCAAUAGUGAAGAUGAUUCAAUAUUAAGCAUGUCAUAUAAUCUGGAAGUGGAUAUUGGACCAAUUUGAUGAUAAUGAAUUUCUUUCAAUCUCAAUCUUUUUCUUUUUAGCAACAUGACUAGUCAUUGUGCAAAUUUAAACUCUGACAAUGAUUUCUCAAUCGGUUUCUAAAAUGAUGACCAUGCAUGUAUAUGUAUAUGCGUGUGUAUAUGUGUGUGUGUGUGUAGAGAGAGAGAGAGAGAGAUCACAUGUGUGUGAUUUCCUUUUGCCAAUAGGAUAUGCAGAGAGCUUGAUCUUACCCAAUAGCGAAACAAACUUCCUAAUAAGUGAAGGUAUAGUAUAAAUACUUAUACUUUCAUGUUAUUUUGUUCAUCAGUAGCUUGAUUAUUUUAUAUGCGUCUUCGAUUUUAAUUUUCUUUCCCUAUAAUCGCUAUUAUCUUUGAACUGGUCAUGAUUUGCCCGUAAGAUUUCUCAUGUUGUUUUGAGGUGCAAUGGAUUUUGAAUUUAGUGACAAGCAGUGGAAGCCAGAAGGCAAAUUAUGAAAAUGGAUAAAGAUCUAUAAUUAGCUGUUAUGGGAUGUCACAUAUCAUAUUGAUGGUAACAUUAUAUAUAUGUACAUAUAAUUAAUGGGGUUGGCUCACGAGCCCAUUAAUAAUCGUAUAUUAGUUUAUAUACUUCAAACAAUGUACUAUGAAGCAAUUUCACAAAUACUUGUUAGCUUAUGUUGAGUUUUAUUGAAUCAGUAGUUCACAGUUCAAUAAAAUGCAGGUUUGCUAUUUGAAGUACAUGGUUAUGGUGCGUACAUUCUUCAUAAGGCUAACUACUAAUUGAUCAUUGAAACUUGAAAAAUGUGACAGAGAGAUGUAGAUAAUAGCCGCAAAACACUGAGAUUGAAAAUCAAGGCUACUAAAUUCUAUUAAAAGCCCUUAAAAUAGACAGCAAUCACCCUGAAAUGUAUAUACUGAAACUAAGAAAUAUUAAUCGCAAAGUUAUGCAUUAAUAGAACUAUUGACUACUUAUCUUUAGCAUAAGGUAUAUUUUUAACUAUAGCUUUCUGCUUUGUUCUAAGAACUAGGCAAAAGUGGUGUAUCUUCAAUCCAAUCAAUAUAUAUACCACUUAUCUUCCUCUUCACUUCUGUCUAUUUUGAUUUGCACUUCAUAUCCUGCACUUGCUGCUUAGAAAUAGUCUUAUUCUGGACAUUGAAAGUAGAAAAAGUGCUUGAAACAAUCAUUGGCAUAGCCCGAGAUUCCAUUGAAUCGUGGACUCCAAGCUUUCAUAGUUCUAUAAAGAAAAUGACAAAACUUCAUACAACUGGCAUUCUGCUUUUAACAUUUGCACAAUCUGAGCGAGUUAGCAAGCCCAUUGUUGCGUUCCCAUUGAAUAGACCUACUUCUGUUAUCCACAGAAGAUCCACCACUCAAAAUGUUUAUCACCAGGCUAUUCUUAAACUGAGCCUAAACUGAGUAGAAACUUCCGCACAUCUCUCAGCAUUCUACAAAGUUGCAUUUCACUAAGCAAUCUAUCCUCUCCAUUCCUAGCAAAGUGACAUUGAUUCCCGUAUUUGUAAUCGCCUAACUUGGGUUUUGGGCAUAGCGUGGUCUUAAAAUUACCACCCAAUACUUUGUUCAGUGCCACUGGCAUCCACAAGCUCUAGCCCAGUUAGCUGAAUCAUAUUCAAUGGGACAGUAAGGCAGCAUUUCACUAACAUAUUCAAUUUGACUACUUAUAUUGACGCAAAUAUUAGAAUUUGAAAUCACUUCUUUUCUUGGAAUAUUAUAUUAAAAUGACCCCAAAUGAAAGUUCUUGAAUGGAAAUUAUUUUUAUUUAAUUUUCGAACAGGUUCAAGAGAACCCAGAGAACACAAAAUUUACACAGUAAUAUGAUUAAGAGCUAAGAACGUACAUAUAGUAAAUGUCUAUCAAAAAACACCCAAGGGUUUCUUUAAAAUUAGAAACUAGUAAACAAAAAGAAAGAAUUAUUUUACUUUUUUAGCAACUUUGGGGUGAGUGAGUGAGUGAGUGAGAAAUUGAAACCCUAAAGUGAUGACAACAGUAAGAUUCAGUAUGAAGUGAAACCCCAAUUUGAAAUGUAGGCAUGAGUUGCUGAGUCAGUAGAUGAAGCUAUAAAUAGGCAUUCAGUUUCCUUCUUUUCGGUUUAAAUCACAUAUUCUAGUUAAAAUCAAAUAUAUAUUUAUAUGAAGCUUGUAAAUUUUUUUUUUUAAUACUGAUAUUUGAAUAUUAUCAAUAAAAAAAGGGUAAUGUUCAUGCUGCAUUAUUUUUGUAGCACACAAAAGGACAACACCGUUUAUGUUAUAAUACUAUCGCUUCUGUUAUGAUAAUAUUUUUUUUGUGGCCAAAUAUCAUUUUUUAAGUAAAAUGGUGGACAAAAUGCAAAUCAGUUUUUAAUCCUCAAUCUCUCCCAAAAUAUAAAUUCGUAGUUAACAAAACAAAAUUGUUGGAAAACCAUUAAGCUAGGUUUAAAACUAUAGCUGACAAAAAGUUAAUAACAAAAACAGAAUGUCCAUUUUAUAACUUUCUUAAAAAACUUUCCUUAACUUUUUUAAAAAGUUACCAACAAAAAGUUAUUUCCAAUUUUUAUUUUGUUAUAAUUUUUAUAACAAAAUUCGUAGUUAACUAAACUCUUCUUAUGCCCUUUCUUAAUUGCCAUACCCUAACCACGCUCAAUUUAGGCCAUCACAGUGACCGACAGCCUCCCUAUCUCCAUUUCAAGCUCCCUCUUCAACUGGCUUCUGCGAUCGUCCUACUCUUUCUCGGAUUCGGAGUCCGUAUUUGCUCGGCCGGUCCCACGCAGCUCCCUCUCACUCCAGUUGUGACCCAACAAGACCAAUUGCUUAAUCAAGGCACAGAACAAGAAGAGGAUGAGAAGUUGAAACAAUAAUUUGAGAAUUGGAAAUCGAAAAAGUACGCAUUGACCGUGCCUGUAAGGUUUGUUUCUCUUCAGAAUUCAGUGCCUCAAUCUUGGGUUAAGGAUUUUAUGCGAAGUCAAGGAAAGAGAUUGAAGUUUCAGAUGAAUUUGUGUGCUAGCAUUGAUGGGAUCUUUAACAAUUUAUCUGUGCCCUUUAACAAAGUUAAGGCUAAGUCAGCUUCUUAUAUGGCUGCUGAUUUGGUUAGUGUUGGUGAUUCGUGGCUUAGUUUUGCCAUUAAAAAGAGAUUGAUUGAGCCAAUAGCUGGAGCUGAAGACCAAGAUUGGUUCAAAUGCUUAAGUCACAGGUGGGGCACAACGGUGAUAGCCUACAAGAAAAGUAAAUUUCGAAAGCAUAAUUUGGCUCCGAUUGAGGUAAUAAUUUUCUUUAAACUCAUUUAGUUUUAUAUCAAACAAAAUCAAGACUGCCUUUCUCUUCAAUAUUUUUGAUGAUAAUAUCUUUAGAAGCAUCUCAUUGACGCGUAACAAUGGCAUCCCUGAAAGAGUCUAUAAACUCAAUGAUAUUAUCUUCUACAAAUGGUUCAUUAAACUUUGUCGUUGUACUCAAAUGUACACUCAGAUCAAUGAGAAGCUAUGCCACUGUAGCAUGUAGUGAUGUCACUUAAUAAGUGAGUUGCUAGGAUGUGAACUAGAAAAAUUAAAUAUUGUCUCCUUGGGUAUGCUAGCUCGUAAGUCAGGGUUAAUAUCAGAGCUUAAGAUACUAUAACCGUGAGAACCUAUUGACUGCCAAUUAAAAUAUCCAUUAAAAUGUCUAGGGAGUUAUGAAGGUGGGGGUAACUUCCAAUUUCUAAGGCCACAGAGUAGACAUCAUCCAGGAUCCUAGUACAGUGCAGUUAACCUCCUGCUUGAUGCAAUUAAUAAAUUUGGUCAAUGCCACUGAAACAUGCUAACUGACGUCGCAAUGCGACAUGAGCACUUCAAAAUGGGAGAGACAGUCAGUAGCACUAAAUUUUUCUUGCCUAAGAUUGAGCAAUUGGUCUAACUACUAAUCCCUAUUGUAGGUUGAUCAUUAUUUUUUCAGUUAUGUUCAGUUUGACCCAAAAAGUUGCAGAAUCUUGAGCUGAAUACUGAACAUUGUCAAUGUCGUUUAGCGUAGCCAACUAACUUGAGUUUGGUAAAACAAACACACAGUGUGUCUCAUGUCUCACAAUUCAAAUUAUCAUCUGUAAUGACGGAGAAUUUUUCCAAUGUAUGAAGUAUGCUUUGAUACGUGGGUUACCUUGGAGAAGAUAUCUCAAAAUAAAGAAUAUGGGGAGAAAACAGUUCAGUAGUUUAUUAUUCUGUAGUCAAGUUUUGUCUCGAAAAUGGUCAAAAUUUAAAUGAAUAAGGACAGGGGAUCUUCAUUCUUUUUUCCCUUUUUUAUACCAAGAUAUCUCUCAACCUUUAUAUAAUCCCCACUGGAUAUCUGCUUCUAAUAAUUAAAAUAAAAAUUUCACCGCUCUAACAAUAAAAAGUAACAUCUUUAGUCAAAUAAUUUACAGUUCCUCAUCAUCUUAGUGUGAGACUAUCAGUACAUUCCAAAAACAUAAUAAAACUGGUUUGAUCCUGUUUAUUGAUGUUUAAAUGUUGUUCAUUGUGACAUGUAGAAAUGAUGAGGCAAAGUUUAUUUGGGCAUCAAUUAGUAAGAUCUUGUUUGAAGUUGUUUUCUGAAAUGAACUGCCAAAUGGUAGUUUUUUGGGGGCAUUUGAUGGCUCUUUUUUUUUCCUCGUUUUCAACAUGUGCCUGCUUGGAACAGGAAGGAUUAGGCUGCAGAGUUGUUAUUUAUUUUGAGAUGCUCUGGUCAUUGCACAAUUUGUUCACACUGGAAAUUAGAAUGAGAAAUUUGUUGAUGCUGUUUUGAGAGAUCUGCAUUCUAUGCACAAUAACAUGAUUAAUGAAAAUGUAUUGUAGGACUGGAAAGAUCUGUGGCAGCCUGAGCUCGCAGGAAGAAUUUCAAUGGUUAAUUCUCCCCGAGAGGUUAUUGGUUCAGUUUUGAAGUAUAGGGGAGCAUCAUACAAUUCAAACAAUAUUGAUUCGCAAGUUGCUGGUGGGAAGAUUGCUGUUCAGCAGAAUCUGGCAUUACUGGCGAACCAGGUACUCUUACAGAAAUGAUAUCUGGUCAUUGCAUGUUAUUGCCUGACAACUGAUUUUGUUUGUAAAAGUCUGCUUCUUCAUACAUAUGAAUGCAUAUGUUAGUGUUUUCUUCUCCUUUUCAUACAUAUAAAUGCAUAUGUUAGUGUUGUCUUUUCCUUUUCAUACAUAUUAAUACAUAUGUUGGUGUUCUCUCCUGAGAUGGAUGCAAUAAAGGCUUUUGCUCCUAAAUUUAGCUGAAGAAAUGGCAAGGGAUGUGAGAUUCUGUCUCAUUAAAUUAACAAAAACCCAAAGCAAUGAAAAUCCAUAAUAAUGUGGUGUGGGUAAAUUGGCUCCAUUUGGUUCGUUUCCUUAAUGUGAAUGCGCGAGCAAUAGAGACUAACAAAAUGAAGUGACAACAAGAAGUCAGUGUCCUUUGAUGGAUGCAUUUUUAGGCAGAAAUAUGUUUGUAAUUGACCAAAAUUGUCUGGCAUGCCAAUUUCAAAAAAAUUAAAUUAUGUGGUUAUUAGCUGUAAUGAAGGAGGAUAGUAGGUGCAAUCAGGUGGAUCCAGGAAAGUUCAACAAAGUUUUGGUAUGGCGUAGUGAAAUUGGUUUGUGCAACUCAGGAGUCUUUCAGGUGAACGAUGAUAGGUUUUGAUUUAUGAAUAUUAUAAAUCUACUGUGCAUAGUAUUCUAGUAGAAUCAUCUAUAAGUUCUAGUUAUUGAAAUUGUAUACUUUGCCCGGUUUGAGUUAAGGGCACAUGUAAUAUGAAAGAUAGUUGUCGCAUCUUUUAGGUUACCUAACAUUUGAUCAAUCCUAUUAUGGGGGCUUCAAGAUGUCUAACAAUAUGUAGAAUGCCCAUGCGCCUCCCCAUUGUUUAUCUUCUACAAUAAUUUGUUUUAGAUGCUAAUAUCUUUGUCGAUACCGGUAACAAUAUUACAAUAUCUGCGUUUAUUGGGUUUUAUAUAGGUUCGACUGUUUGACUGUACACACUAUCUGAAGGCAUUUGCAAUUGGAGAUGUAUGGGUUGCUGUUGGGUGGAUUAGUGAUGUUCUUCCUGCUGUCAAACAUAUGUCUAAUGUUGCUGUGUUGUUCCCAAGUCUGGUGCUAGCUGCCUGCCAUUCUACUUCGAUAUUCACAUUGUUAUCUCCUUCAUAUUAGCAAUCAGUAAACACGUAAUGUGGCUAAUAAGUUUGUAUUCUCUUUAUAGGCAAUCCCUGCUGCCUCAAGACUUGAAACACAACAAAUUGGAGGGCGAGUCAGAGGUCCAUCUCCAUUAAUCCAUCAAUGGAUAGAAUUCUGCUUGCAAACAGCGAGAGCAUUGCCUUGCAAGCAAGAGGUUAUCCCGGGUGCAUCUCCCUCUGCCCUUGAAAGUACUCUGGUUAAGUUGCCUGAAGAACUUCUGGAGGGUAAACCAAGUCUGGAUACUAACUUAAUUGCUGGAGUACUCCCGGCUGAAAUUCUGGCCAGAUGUGAGUUUUUGGAGCCAUUAUCUGAAGCUACUUUGUCAGAUUAUGAGUGGCUGGUUGUUAAUCUGCAAAAACCUGCUCCUGUCUUGAUGAAAAGGGUGCAACAUUACUUGUCAUCAUUAAUCUAAAGCUUUCUAGCAAGAGCUACAUUGAAAAGUUAAUGGCGCUGCAUGCCAGUCAUUAUAAUGCUGUCAGGGCAAUUGGGUCAGGGCAAUUAGGUCUGAGCAUAACUUCAUUAGGAAAAGAGGCUUCAGCUACGUUAAAUAUUGCAGGAUGUACUGAGAUGGCUGAAGUUCUUAAGGUUUUAUGAGAAACGAAAGAUGAGUGUUUGUUUGAACAAAGUUGUUGCCAAUCUUGCAGAGUUUGGAAAGAAAGAUCACGGAGCGAAUGCCACCGAUUUCUUCAUCAUUUUAGCCUCCAUAGUUGAAGUUUCCUCAUUUGAAGCUGUUUAUGCAUACGAUUUUUCCCUGCUCUAGUACAGGAAAUUGAAGAAUUAACCAGAUGUGAUAUGCUGAAAGAGGGAAGUUUUCUUCCUUGAAUGUGGCCUUUGUGAUUUGUCUUGAAGGAAUAGGAUGAUCACUGGCAAGAACCCUAUCAAGGUAGAUUUUAUGGUGUUAACAUAUUAUUAAGCAUUUUGUUACAUUAGCAAUGAUGCUUUCAUAGCAUGAAAGUGUUUAAAUUUAACUGAUUGAUCUUGAUUGAUCAAUUAUGAGUUUUAAUCGAGUAAAAACUAAAUACAAUAAUCGUCAACAAAUAUUGAAAUUGGGUAAAUAUGAUCUUGAUAUUGAAGAAUUUGAAAUCACAACCCACACAGGAAAUCACCCUUCGCGUGGGGAUGGAGAUGUUUACUGCAGCGAUAUUGAAUAUGUCCACUGCUCUUUGGGUUAUGGUGCGACUUGCCCUGAAACAAUGGAAAAGAUUAACAUACCCUCCAAUGAAUGAAAACGGGUGGACUAAUUCUGAUUACCUAAUUGACUCAGGAUCGGCUGGCAAUAAUAACAGUUUAUUAACAAUGCACAGUCCGAGUACCUUUCCAGUAACAGUUUAUUAACAAUGCACAGUCCGAGUACCUUUCCAGGAUCAGAUACGACGUGGUCUAAUGUUGAUUUCAGAAAUAAAAUACAUUCUGAGAGAUGCUGGUCUACUAUUGCAAGCCCCCAGAUUUAAGAAUCUUUUGAUGAUAAUUUAAUUGAUAUGGACAGUUUCCAUAUCACUUUUAAAUCAUCUUAUGUAAUUGUGAUGUUAGGAAGCAUUAGUGACCUAUAUGUGAAUUAUUAUUAGCGACAUUAGUGGUUUUAUCUUGUUAAAAUAUGGAUGACUUCUAGUUAUUAUUUUAUUGUAGACAAUCUUAUUCAAUUAACAUAUAGUUUAAAACCAUUAUGUAAAUUAAUCUAUUAAUUUUCAUGAUAUUUAAUUGAGUUAAAACUAAGUGCAAUCAAUAAAUCUCUUUUGCUUUAAAAAACUGCUACCUUUUGAGUUUAGUGCUUAAUAUUUAUUGAACUCUGAUGCAGGGUAUUUGAAAUCAAACUCGUAAUACAGAUUAUCUAAUUGCGAGUUGCUGUCCAUAGCUGCUAAUUUGUAGUGAUUAUCUAAUUGAUUGAGGUGACAAUAAUUCUUUUAUUUCAAUAGCACAAUGUGGAAUUCAAUAAUUAAAUUCAUGAUAUUUAACUGAGUUAAAACUAAGUGCAUUCAAUAAAUCUCUCUUCCUUUAAAAAACUGUUGCGCUUUAAUUUUAGUGCUUAAUACUUACUAAACUCCGAUACAGGGAAUUUGAAUUCAAACUCGUAACUACAGAUUAUCUAAUUGCAAGUUUCUGUCCAUAGCUGCUGAUUUGUAGUGAUUAUCUAAUUGACAUAGGCCACGACAACUUUUUUUUUUUUUAAUUUUCAAUAGCACAACGUGGAAUUCAAUAAUUAAAUUCUCCUUUUUAAUUUGUUUCAAGUUAAAUUAUUAAUUACUUAAACUCUGUUUUAAGUCUUUAAUUUUAUGUGUUUAUGCAGAAUUGGAUUCUUUAGCGUGUUGGACACGACCAACAAUGAAAUUGACAGUAAACAAACAUUACAACGCGUUGAGUGUCGACUCCGGUAGCUGCCCUACAAGUCUACAACUUUACAAAAAAUAAUUGAGUACACACAUUUGAUUCUCGGGACCCAAAUUUCUAGCCCCGUUGACUCCACCGACAAAAGUUUUGGAAAAUUAAAAAAAAAAUUCAUAGAAUUCCACCAAAUGCAAAACGCGUGGAAUUUAAUUUUCGGCCGUGUGGACCAAAACAUAAUUUAAUAAAAAAAAAGAUAAAAUUUCUAAAAUGUGUGGAAGGUGAUCCAUAUUUUAUUGAAACAACUUAAAUUUAUUAAGGAUUUAAAAUAUUUGGUCAUAAAUUACGCUCAUGUUAAUUUUUCCGCUAUUGACUAUCAUAUUCUAGACACAAUGAAAUUGACAGUAAAGAAACAUUACAACGUGUCGACUCUGGUAGCUGACCUACAAGUCUACAACUUCACAAAUAAUAAUUGAGUAAGCACCUUUGAUUCUCGGGACCCUUCAAUGAAUUGCUAGCCCCGUUGACUCCACCGACAAAAGUUUUGUAAAAUAAAAAUAAUAUAUAGAAUUCCACCAAAUGCAAAACGCGUGGAAUUUAAUUUUCGGCCGUGUGGACCAAAACAUAAUUUAAUGAAAAAAGAAAAAAAAUGAUAAGAUUUCUAAAAUGUGUGGAAUGUGAUUCAUAUUUUACUGAAACGAUUUGUUAAAUUUUUCAAAGAUUUAGAAUAUUUGGUCAUAAAUUAGGCGCAUGUUAAAUUAGGAGCAUGUUAAUUUUUCCACCAUUGACUAUCAUAUUCUAAACUUAAUGAUACAUUUCUUUAUGAAGAGUACUUAGUCUCUCUUCUUCUCUUAUAAAAAUUAUAUUAAUUGAUUUCUUAUUAUAAUAAAUAGUCUUUAAGAACGUAUAGAUUUAUUGUUUUCGUGACCAAAUUAUGCCUGCCUAAGUUUGUGACUAUUAACAAAAUUAAUAUUUAAUGUUUAUGUUAAAAGAUAUAAGAUUUUAUGCAUUCAUUAAUUGUUAUUAGCUAAAGGAUUAAUUAUUUUUUCAACCCAAUCUGUUGAUGCAUCUGCAAGAGUUUUUUCUUUUAUUGACCAUAAUUAUAUUCCGGGUACAAUAAAUUGUCUUUGGUGAUUGGAAAAUAUGACUUCUUACUUCAAGUUUAAUAUGUCUCUCUCCAUAAGCUUACUGGAAAUAUAUCCUCAUCUACUGUCAUUUAUCUAAUAUCAAUUGAAGAUCUCACUUUUUCAAACUAUCACUUCCAAGUCGCAUUGUCACUUGGCCAUUCUUGGACCAUUCAAAACCAAUCAAGUGUUGAAAUAAUCAAAUAUAUGCAAAAUUAGAGUCACGAUUUUUGCUCCCUCAAAUUCUAAUUAUACAACUUCUAUAUAUCUCAUUGUCAGGUCACGAACUUGUUGGCACAUUUUCCAAAUUCCUAUUCCAACUUAAGUGGAAAGUUUCCAAGUUCAUUGCUAGAAAACAACACAAAAACUAGACACACUUAGUUUGUCUAAUAAUUCUCUUUCGGUAAAAUUAAUUAAUUUCAGGGGAAUAUUCUGCCAACCUCUGUAAUUUCAGAGUGAUCAUUAAUUAAUUAAACGAUACAAAUAUCUAAAGUAAUUAGAUGUUUGCUGACAAUACAAGUUCAUGACUUGAAAUUUGAUCUCUAUCGAUUGGUUCACAAAUAGACGUACGUGUGCCUUUGUGGCGAUAAUCGAACAAGUUCCCAAGAUUAUUAUUUUUUCCAAAAACUUUUUUACAACAAAUUCAUCUCGCCAAAAAUUAUAUUUUGCUAACUAACAAUAAUUGAGCACUUGACCGCAUUGACUCCACGUCUCCACCUCUUUCUAAAUUCUAAGUAAAAACAUGGAGAUGUAACCUCCACAAAAUGCCAAACGGGUGGAAUUUAAUUUUUUUGCCUUGUGGAUCAAAAUACAAAUGAAAGAAACAGGAGAAAAAAAAGGCCCAAAGACUUCUAAAAGAUGAAGAAGUCUUUGGGCCUUUUUAUAAUGGUGAAUUUUUUAAAAGAAAAAAAAUAACAACAUUUUUAUGGUUUGUUUUGAUAAUCAUAUUUACAUAUACUCUCUAAUUUUCAAAAUGGACACAUAAAUUUUUUUUUUUUACAAAUAUAUAUUAUUCAUAUUUUUUUAUUAUCAUAUUUUUAUUUAGAGCAAAUUUUUAGGUUGAAAUAUAAUAAAAAGGUAUAAUUGUUCUCUUAUUAAACACACAUACUUUUAUUAGUUUUAUUAGUUUCUAUCCAUUUGUCAUCUCAAUUAUUCUUUAAUGCUAGCUCAAAACACGUUGCUGGUGCAAAUUAUAGCAAAAUGACAAAUAUGGAAAAAAAGGGAAGAAAAUUAAUGCAUGAAAGACUUGGAGAAAACAACAAAAUAAGCCAACUAUGAGUUAGUUGGGUGUAUAAAUUGUUAGAUGUGUUAUAUACAAAUAGCGUAGAGCCCUCUAGUUGGUUCCAAAGACAGAAAGAGCGUGUGUGUUUUUUCACAGUUAGAGAUAUAGUUAGAAUGGGUGGUUCAAAAUCAAAAAUGAUGAUAAUGUUUAUUAUGUUAUUAAUAAUAUUUAAAAGUGGGUGGAGUGAGGGAUGUUUGGAUCACGAGAGAUUUGCUUUUUUGAGACUCAAACAUUUCUUCAAUGAUCCUCUUAAUUCUCUUUACGACUGGGUAGAUGGUGAGGGAGCUACUGAUUGUUGUCAGUGGGAAACGGUUGAGUGCAGCAACACCACAAGUCGAGUGAUAGCGCUAGACCUUUCUUACAGGUAUGGGGGAGAGUACAGUUGGUAUCUGAAUGCUUCUUUGUUUACUCCCUUCCAACAACUUGAGUCACUUGAUUUAACUCGCAACAACAUAGCCGGUUGUGUUGAGAAUGAAGGUGCUUCGUUUAAUUUAAUUAAUUUACUUCUUCUCUCCUAAUUUAAGUGGAAUAUCAAGACUGAGCAACUAUAUGCAUAUUCAUUCAGUUGACAAUUUUGACAUAUUUUUUUAAGUGAUUAAUUAAUUUUGAAAUACACUAGUAUCUAUGAUCUUUUUUUUUUAUUAUUUGGCUUGCAGGUCUAGAGAGGCUAUCAAGAUUGAACAACUUGAAGAUGCUUAAUUUAAGUGGAAACUCAUUCAAUAAUAGCAUUUUAUCAUCUCUAACUCAUCUUUCAUCAUUAAGAUCAUUAAAUUUAUUGUGGAAUAGAUUGGAAGGAAGUAUUGACGUUAAAGGUACAUAAUUAAAACUUCAAGCUCUUUCAUUAACUUGCUAAAAUAAGAUUCAAGGCUUUGAAUUCAAUUUUUUUAUGAUUAAUAUUAAAAAAACAGUUUUAAGCAAUUUAUAAAAACAAGUUUUAAUGUUUCUUGUAAUUUCAUCUUGUACUUUCAUAUGUCUUGAAUUUACAAUUAACAAAAAGACUCUAAUAGCGAACCAAACACCUCCACAACUUCUUAUUAUUUGUGGUGAGGUUUGAAACAUUCAACUCAAUUUGUACUUAUUACAAAAUUUGAUUCUUUGAGAGAUUUAGAGGAACUAGACAGUGGCGGGAUCAAGAUUGACAAAUUUGUGGUCUCAUAAGGUACUACAAUUUACCAUAAAAAAAAUUUGCUACCUUUUACAAUUUAGUUUAGAUUCUUUGCCCUUUGGUUUAUUAUUUUUACAGGUUUUGAAAAAAGUUGAAAUCCUCCUCGGUUUAAGUGGUAUCAAACUCAAUCGUAGCAUCUUAUCUUCUCUGACUGUCUUUUCUUCGUUAAGAGAAUUACAUCUACGUGAUACGGGAUUCAAAGGAACAUUCGAUGUUCGAGGUAAGCCUAAGUCUUGCUUUCUCAUUUUAUAUAUGCCAACUAGAUUUGUGUAUCAUCGACAUAAUUUAAUAUUUAAUUUGAUAAGUUUGAAUGAAUUACAUGCUAAUUUAAACACACUUUUAUUUACUUUGUCAAUUAAUUAAUUAAUUAAUUAAUACUAUUUGGCUUGGUUUGGACGAAAUUCUCAUGAUGUUUUAAUUUCUUUAAAUUAAUUAAUUAAUUAACUCUGUUUUUAAGUCUUAAGUCUGGGCGUGUUUGCAGAAUUUGAUUCCUUUAACGACUUAGAAGUGUUGGAUAUGAGAUACAAUGAAAUCGACAAUCUUGUGGUUCCUCAAGGUAAACAAUUAAAAGGUACAGAUGUGGCCAAAUUUAUAAAUAAAUUGUUAAUUAAUUAAUUUUUUCGUAUUAUUAAUAAAGCUAAAUUCGUUGCUCCUUCCUUCUAAUUCUAAACAGAGUUGCACAAUUUCACCAACUUGGAAUAUUUGACAUUGGAAUCUUCCUCUCUCCAUAUAAGCCUUCUGCAAAGCAUUGCAUCAAUAUUCCCUUCGUUAAAAAAUCUGUCGAUGUCUUUUUGUGAAGUCAAUGGUGUCGUACGCGGUCAAGGUAAAAGAAAAGCGUUGAUUGUGAACUCACUCAAUGGUGUCCUACGUGUUCAACAUUUUUAUUUAUUUUAUUGUUUAAUGUUUCUGCUAGGUUUUCCUCAUUUCAAGAGUUUGGAACAUUUUGACAUGAGGUUCGCGCGCAUUGCGCUCAACACCAGCUUUCUUCAAAUCAUCGGUGAAUCGACGCCAUCUCUUAAGUACUUAUCACUGUCAGAUUUUACUCUCAGCACUAACAGCAGCAGGAUUCUUGAUCGAGGUUAAUCAGAUGCUCCCACCCUCCCUUCUUAAUCUAUAAUAUUAAUUUUCAAUUAAAUAUUUAAUUACACAAAUGAAUUAUAAAAGAACAAUACGCAUUCAUUAAUUUUUAUAUUGUAUUAAUAAUUGAUGAAUUUAAUAAAUUUUCAGGCCUCUGUUCAUUGGUGCAUCUGCAAGAGUUGUACAUUGAUAAUAAUGAUUUAAGAGGUAGCUUGCCUUGGUGCUUGGCAAAUAUGACAUCCCUCCGAAUAUUAGAUGUUUCUUCCAAUCAACUUACUGGAAGCAUCUCCUCAUCUCCCCUCGUUCAUUUGACAUCCAUUGAAGAGCUGAGGCUUUCAGACAAUCACUUUCGGAUCCCAAUUUCACUUGAACCACUUUUCAAUCACUCAAGACUCAAGAUUUUCUAUGCUUACAACAACGAAAUAAAUGCAGAAAUAACUGAGUCACAUUCUUUGACCGCCCCAAACUUCCAAUUACAAUCUCUCUCAUUGACUUCCGGUUAUGGAGAUGGUGUCACAUUCCCCAAAUUCCUUUACCAUCAACAUGACCUGGAGGAUGUUCGUCUCUCAAACAUAAAGAUGAAUGGAGAAUUUCCAAAUUGGUUGUUGGAAAACAACACAAACUUAGAAUAUAUUUUUUUGGUUAAUGAUUCUCUUGCAGGACCUUUCCGGUUGCCAAUUCAUUCACACAAGCGGUUAAGACUGUUGGAUAUAUCCAACAACAACAUCAGAGGCCACAUUCCAGUAGAAAUUGGAGAUGUUUUACCGGGUUUAUUUUCUUUAAACAUUGCCAUGAAUGCUUUAGACGGUUGCAUUCCCUCUUCAUUUGGUAAUAUGAAAUUCCUCCAAUUUCUGGACUUAUCCAACAACCAAUUGACUGGUGAAAUCCCUAAGCACUUGGCCGUGGGUUGCGUCAACUUAGAGUCUCUUGCGUUGUCAAACAACAGCUUAGAAGGUCAUAUGUUCUCCAGAAACUUCAACCUGACAAACUUGAAAUGGUUACAAUUGGAAAGCAAUCACUUCGUAGGAGAGAUCCCACAAAGUUUGUCUAAAUGCUCCUCACUAGAAGGAUUGUAUCUUAACAAUAAUAGUCUUUCGGGUAAGAUUCCACGAUGGUUGGGUAAUCUCACAUGGUUACAAUAUAUUAUAAUGCCCAAUAAUCAUCUUGAAGGUCCUAUUCCAGUGGAGUUUUGUCAGCUUGAAUCGCUUCAGAUUUUGGACAUUUCAGACAACAACAUAUCUGGAAGUUUACCAUCUUGUUUCCAUCCUCUCUCUAUCAAACAAGUUCAUCUUUCAAAAAAUAUGUUACACGGACAGCUAAAAAGAGGUACAUUCUUUAAUUGCUCUUCCCUUGUGACAUUAGAUCUUAGUUAUAACUGCUUGAAUGGCAGCAUUCCGGAUUGGGUUGAUGGGCUUUCUCGGUUAAGCCACCUUAUCUUGGCUCACAAUAAUCUUGAAGGUGAAGUGCCAGUUCAAUUGUGCAAAUUGAACCAACUACAAUUGUUAGAUCUUUCUAAUAAUAAUCUUCAUGGUCUUAUUCCUCCUUGCUUUGAUAACACCACACUUCAUGAAAGUUACAACAAUAGUUCUAGUCCUGAUGAGCAAUUUGAAAUAUUUGUUUUCAUCGAAGGCCCUCAGGGAGGUGUAGAAAAGAAAAUCCAUGAAAUUUUUGAGUUCACAACAAAGAACAUUGCGUACAUUUACCAAGGAAAAGUGCUUAGCCUCCUAUCAGGACUUGAUCUUUCUUGCAACAAGCUAAUCGAUCAUAUUCCUCCUCAAAUUGGAAAUUUGACAAGGAUUCAAGCAUUGAAUCUAUCGCACAACAACUUGACAGGAUCGAUCCCAUCAACAUUUUCAAACUUGAAGCAUGUCGAAAGUUUGGAUCUUUCCUACAACAAAUUGAAUGGGAAAAUCCCUCAUCAGCUUGUGGAGUUAAAUACAUUAGCUGUUUUCAGUGUGGCAUACAAUAACUUAUCAGGCGAAAUUCCAGAACGGAAAGCACAAUUUGCAACCUUCAACGAGCGUAGCUAUGAGGGAAAUACUUUUCUUUGUGGACUGCCAUUGCCCAUUUGCAGAUCACCAGCAACUACGCCGGAGGGUUCAAUUGGCAAUGAACGAGAUGAUAAUUUAAUUGACAUGGACAGUUUCUUUAUCACAUUUACAACAUCGUACGUAAUUG